GUUGCUGUAUUAGGGGCGUCAGGGCUCCACCAGGGGCAUUGGGGCGCCAUAUCAGUUGACAGCAACUAUGAAAAUUGGCUUUUAAUGCACUUGGACCCUAUUCUAAUGACUAAAGGGGUUCUUUACACAUUUGUAUUGAUGGGAAAACACGUUUGUAAGUUAAAACUAAUAUCCAUUUCAUCACUAGAUCCAAGGCUAGGUGUAUCAAACCACUUUUGACACUUUAUAAACCCAAUUUCAUUAACCUAGAGGUCUAAAAUUGAAUUUACCACUUAGAAUGUGUUUUUAGCAAAUUUAGCACUUCUAACAAGUCUCAAAUGACUCAAUCAAAUUGUCUCCACUGCCCACUUACACCCUAGACCUCAGUUACUAAAAAACACCUCUCACUUCCUCUAAACUCACUCAAAACACUAGUUUUCCUCAACCUAAGGACUUAACUCCACUUCUGCCAUUUAGAACCUCAUUUUAACCAAUUUUAUAGUCCUAAUAAGUUAAAUUAACUUGUCUAAGCUGCCUCUACCAUUCAAAUAUGUCAAAGACCCCUAACUUUAAAAUUCCUUAUCUCACUUCCUCCAAAAUACCCUAAAGCACUACCAAACCAUCAUGCUUUCUAUUUAAACUAUGUUAUAACAGAUUUCACACCCCCAAUUACUCCCAACCCAGCCAAUUACAGCAAACUAAACCCACCCCACUCAGUUCAUAACAUCAUGGCACAGUUUCACAGAUUUCACAUCUCAACUUUCAAAGCAUACAUGUCUCAAAUCCACACAAACAUCAAUUCAAAUAGCAAUAUACACUAAAAGAAAACAGUUCUACAUGCAUCAUCACAUAAUCAUCACAAAUUCUAAUUUACACCUAUGAAAAUUCUACAAAAUCAGAAAUAACCCAGCUUCCCUUACCUCUUAAUUGAACAACCAAGUUCCCAAAGACCCUAACCACACGCUUGCACCUCCCAAAAUGCUAGAAUUUCCUAUAGAUCAUCAUUUAAUGAUAGAAUACAGAUUUUAGAAUCUAAUAGAAGCUAGAAAUUGAAGGAAAGUGCAAUGGGCCACAUGCAACCAGAUUUGUUGCAUGAUCAAAGCCCUAAUGAACUGAAAAGAGGAAAACACUUACCAGAGGAAAAAUGCUAAAUUGAUCGGUGGGAUUUCAAGCUCUCAGCGCCAGGAAUCCUUACGUGCUUCUUGAUUGUUGAGAAGACGGUUCAGUGAGAAGAAGUGGUAGAGAGAAAGUAGAGCUGAGUUUUAGAGAGAAAGCAGAAAUAGGCUAAUGAACCAGGUUAUUCUAAAGAGAUUCUGUUUAUACUAUUAAAAGUUGGUUCUAUUAACCCAAUACACUAAUUCCCUCUUUUAACCCAUUUUUCAGGUUCUCACAAUAAAAAUAUAGAGAAGAGGAAAAAUGACACCUAUUUUAAAAAUAAAUUAUAAAAUUAAAGACAAUAAAAAAUUCAUAUAAAUUUUAUAAAUUAUCUAAAAAUUAUAUAUGUUUUAAUAAUUUAAAACAGGAUGAAUAAAAAGAUCGAAUAUAUAAUGUAGAAUAUACAUAUAUAUAAUUCUUUAUUAAGAUUUAUAAAGAAUGCUAGAAUUAUUUAUUAAGAUUGGAACAUGAUGAGAAAAUGCAAUUUUAUAAUUCAUAGUACUUGGUAUGGAACUGCAUUAGACUAUGUAGCUAAUGUGGCAGAAAAUAAAUUGUUUUUUAAUACGUUAAGGAUGAUUUAUAGUUAAAAUGAUAAAUUGAUAGUUUAAAUUGUUAAUUCCUUGCAUAAUUUAGAAAAAUUACUAUUCAAUUUUUGUGAAUUGUAUUUUGAUUUCUAUUUUUCAUUAAAAUUUUCAAUUAUUUUCUAUAAAGGUCGACAGGGGAUUAUUAUUUAGUCAUUUUUAAUUACAAAUCAAACAUGUACAAAUACAUAAUUGUUGGUAUCGGAGGGGUUAAUUUUUAAAAGAGUUUAACGCAGCGGAUUAAAAUACAGAGAGCGUACAGCGUAUCAAGUCACAGUUGAAACAAUUUUGUCUUUUUUAAUUUUAAACAAUUUUCUUUCAGAAAAUUUACCAAGCAGAUAACGUGCGUAAAUAAUAAAAUGAGUAUAGGGCAAAAGAAAAUCACACAGGNAUUUUUAUACUGGUUCGAUUCAACAGAAUCUACGUCCAGUCGUUAAUCACUACAAAGAGUGAUUAACAGUUCCACUAAAAAUUUGUUUAACAGAUUACAAGAUAAUAAACAGUAAUAGAACGAAAGAGAUAAUUCUACCAACUUGAAGAGAACCUGCACUGGCAAUCGACACACGAUUCACGUGCUUCUCCUUACACAAGACCAGGUAGAGAGCCCUACCAACUUGAAGAGAGUCCACUUCUUGUAUCAGCACACGAUACGUAAGCCUCUCCUUCCACAAGAUCAGGCAAGGGAACACAGUAAACAAAAAAGCUUUCUCAAGAACGUUCCUUUGACUACUCAGUGUUCUGGCUUUUCUCAAUUUACAAAAAGUGUUACUUCUGAUGCUUUCAAAACUCAUUUAAAUAGCCAAACANNNUGAAUGCCAAAGGUCAGCUCACAACUGCCAUGAAUAAUCGAUUAUUGUAAGUGAUAAUCGAUUAUUCAAGUCUGUUAUAGAAAUUUUGAAAAGAGAUAAUCGAUUANGCUUCAUGAUAAUCGAUUAUUGUAGUUCAAAAGCAUAUGAUAAUCGAUUACAGCAUGUCCAUAAUCGAUUAUAUCAGUAGAAAUUACAAUAUUAAUUAUUUUCCUACUACAUUCAAGAUACUACAAGUUGCUUUUAAAUAUUCUCCUAUUACAAACAAAAAUUACAAUUCUGCAACAUCAUCAAAACUUGUCUUCAGGUUUUACCAAUACUCCUUUAUUGAUAACAAUAAUAACCCUCUUAUCCAUUACUACAACGAUAUACAUAAGACAAAGAAUAACCAUGCAAUUAAUUUAGAAAAAAAAUAGAAGAAAAAUAAUAAUUUAAAGCAUGGACAAAAACCUAUGACAAAUGUAAUUGUCUCAGACGUAAAACCACUAUGCUCCACAACUUGAACACUACAUCACACGUGUCUUAUCCUUAUCGUCUUUGUAUUCGAAAAACAUUUCACAGAAUUUAACACCUACACAUGUGUUUAAAGAGAACUUUCUCUAUGUACUUAACAAGUAUAAAAAAAUAAAAUAAACGUUUUCAAAGAUUAAAAUUUAUUUAUAAAAGUUUUCUCAUGUAAUUUUUUAAAAUAUUACUACGAAAUACUUAUUACUCUAUAAUAUAUAUAUAUAUAUAUAUAUAUAUAUAUAUAUAUAUAUAUAUAUAUAUAUAUAUAUAUAUAUAUAUAUAUGGGUUUGUUAAUGUACGUAUGUUUGUUAUUCAGUUUGUACAUUUUAAUAAUGUGUACCGGAUUAUAGUAGACAAAAAUAUCCUCAUAUAUUAUAGAUUCUAAGUUUUAAAGUAAAGGAUAUUUAAAUAAUUUUCAUUCUCAAAACUAAAAAAAAAAACUUAAAAAAAAAAAGAAACCUCCAAACCCUUACUCACCUUCCUCAUUCCUCUUAACUAUUCCUCUUUCAUCUCUCUCACUCCAACAUUUUAUCUAUCAUUCUAUGGUAGAUCCAACUAAAAAAAUUAGAAAUACUCAUCGUUAAACCUUUGUAAAGAGUUGAGUCAUUGGCAUAUUCGUCUUCAGAGAAAGGUUCAUUCAAGAUCUCUUCAAUUUCAUCAUUUUCAUUAACCUCUCUAAUUUCAUUAUCUGCAGAUGUUGAAUCAUCAUCUCUUAAAAACCUUAAGGCUAAUUACCAAUUCCUUCUGAUGUCAUUAUGCUUGUGAAAAUUAGAUAAGACAAACAUUAUAAAAUGAAAACUCAAUAUAAAAUCAUUUUUUUUUGUAAGAAAUUGUUUAAUAACAAGUGUUUCUGAUUUUUUCCAGGCGAAUUACUAAUUCCUUCAUAUGUUUAACAGCUAGUGUUUUUUAUUUUUUUUUUGGUUAAAUAUGUUUUUGGUCCCUUAAUUUUCAGUGAAAAUUGGAAUUAGUCCUUGCUCAAAACUUUAGUUUAAUUUAGUUCCCCAACUAUAAAAAUAUAUGAAUUUAGUCCUUUUAACUAAAUUUUGUUAGGUUUAUUUGAUGUUUCAAGCACGUUUUAUGAUAGUAUUUGGGUUGUUUACACUAUUUGAUACAUUCUCGCUUCAAUCUUAAUUGACAAACUCAUUUGAAACAUCAAAUAAAGUUAAUAAAUUUUGGUUAGAAUGACUAAAUUCAUACAUUUCUAAAGUUGGGGACUAAAUUAGACCAAAGUUUUGAAGAGGGACUAAUUCUAAUUUUCAUUGAAAGUUAAGAGAUCAACAACAUAUUUAACCUCUUUUUUUUUUUUUAAUUAGAGCUACAGUAGAGAUGGCAGAGAAGAAAGGUCGGAGUGAGAGAGAUGAAAGAAAGAGGAUUGAGAGAAAUGAGAGAGGUGAGAAUGAAAAUUAUUUAAAUAUCUUUGACUUUAAAACUUAGAAUCCAUAAUAUAUGAGAGUAUUUUAGUCUACUAUAACCCGAUACACAUUGUUAAAACGUAUCAACUGAAAAACAGGCAUACGCGUGUUAACAAAUCCCAUAUAUAUAUAUAUAUAUAUAUAUAUAUAUAUAUAUAUAUAUAUAUAUAUAUAUAUAUAUAUAUAUAUAUAUAUAUAUAUAUAUAUUUUCAUUUUUCUAAUUGUUUGUAUUUUCGGUACCAACUUGAAGCAAUUCUUAUUAACAUUAAGCAUUUUUUUUUUUAAUAUUUAGGUAAAUAAUUUGUAUAAUAAGUACUGGUGUAUUCUAUUUAUAGUAUAAUAAAAUAAUAAUAUUUAUAAUGUAAAAUUUUUAAUUUCAAAAAUUUUGUUUGAAUUUUACUGAUGAUUAAAAUAAUUAAAUACAUAUUAAUUUUUUUAAUAAUUAUUAUUUAUUUUGAUCGAAAGAAAAAUUAACCUUAUAAUGUAAUUAUUUUAAAGAAAUAACUAAAAGUUUUAAAUUAAUAACUUCAUAUUAAUAUUAUAUUUUUAAUAAAUAUACGUGCUAAUUAAUAUAUAUUAAAUAUCUGUUCAAAUAUCUCAAGUAUAAAAUUUAAAUAAAAUAGAAAUCUUAAAAUGAAAACUACUAUUUUUGUUUUAUUAAAAGUAAAAUAUAUAGAUAUAGAAUAAAUUGAUAAUUUAUUUAAUUAUAUAUAUAUAUACAUAUAUAUUUAUUUAUAUUGUCUCAUUAAUCACUUUAAAAUGAUAUAAUUUCUUUAUUUAUUUUGUUCUUGAAACAGACCUAAGCUAUAGGUUUGUGUGAGUUGUAUAUGGAAUUCGGAUACACAUAUACUGUUUUGAUGUUUUGAUAUUUCAUUUUGGCAUUUUGGCACUGCCAAAUAGAAUUGGCAGAAGGAAUUUAGAUGUUUUGUGUCGGUUUGGACAGAUAGUUAAAGAAUCGUGAUGGAAAGAAUCCAUAUGAAAUAAUAUUGAUUUUAUAUUAAAUAUAUAAAAUUAAAAUUUGUGUUAUUUUUUCAAAUUUUGAUAUAUUUUUAUUUUAAAUUUUUAAAAAUGAUAGAUAUAACUUUUAUAUUACGUAAAACUCUUUUGACAGUUUAAACUGCAUUUUAAUUUGCUUUUGUAUUAUUUAUAUUAUUUAACACUAAAAAAAGAUUUUAAAAUACUAUUUAACAAAAAAAUUAAAUAUCAAAUUAAAAAAUGAUAUCUAUUUAUUUUUUAAAUUUGAAAUUAAAAUAUAUUAAAAUUUAAAAUAAAAGUCGAAUCAAUUUCAAAGUUUAACCCAUAAAAAAUGUCUCAAUACAUAAACAAAAAUAUAAGAAAGAAAAAGAAAAUUGUCGGUCCGCGUCCUUCCAAUUGAUCCUCUCGGAUUUCAAUAAAAUAAACUAAAUUCAAAAUUCAAAAAGAGAAAAAAAAAACUUAAUUAUUACAAUAUUUAUGAUUAUAUUAUACAAAUAAAAUUUAUUUUAAACUUAACUGAUUUCAUAUCCUUAAUAAAUUUGAGUUUGAGUCAUGAUUAAACUUUUUUGUCAGUUUAGCGAUUUUUUAAUAUUUUAACAUUUUUAAUUAAGUAUGUAUUUAUUUUUUCAUAUGAAUAAUUUUAUUGAAUUAUCUUUAUAUGUUAAAAAGAUGCGAGGUUUUGUAAUUAAUAUAAAACAAUAGAUAAAAAUAAGAGUUUUAUUAUGAUAAUAAAAGUAAUCCAUUGAUAAUUUUCGAUCAUAACAAAAUUGUUAUGUUUUUAAUUACUUUUAUAUUAUUCAGUCUUGCACACUAAUUAGAUUAAUUUUCAAAAAUAUUAUCUUAAAAAAUAUAUGAAAACAAGUUUUGAUUGAUUUUUUAUAUCGAUAGUAUAUGUAUAUUAAAUUGUUAAUUGUAUUAAUCUGAAAAUAAUUUAAUAAUCCUAUAUCUUAAAAAUAAUUUUGCGUAUAUUUGAAAAACAAAUUAUAAGUUAUAUUUCAUGUCAUACUAAUUUCCUUCACCUUAGUUUAAUUAAAAAUAAUAUCUAAAAUUAUGAAGUAAAACUUCAUUUAUGCUAUUAUAAAUCUCGGUUUGGUUGAGGUAAAAAUCACAUUUGCUUUAAAACUAAAAGUAUAUUAUUUCCAAUCUUAAAAGACGAACGUUAGAAUAUAAAGAAUACAUUAAUAUUAUAAAAAAAGUACUAUUUAUAAAAUAUAUUACACAUACUAAUUGAAGCAGAAAGUUUUAUCACGAGUGGAAAAAUACUGUUUAACGUCGAUUAUUUUGAGUUUUUAACGUCUAAUUCACAACCGACGUCAAAACCGGUGAUGUCAAUGGGACGUCACACAUCCUACACAACAGACGUCUAUACAGGCGUCAUUUAGUUCCAUGUCAGACGUCACUACACGUCGGUACAAGCGUAAUCCGAUGGCUAAAGGCAAUAUAUAGACAUCGGAUGUUGCAAUACCCGACGUCUAAGAGCACAUAAAGACUUCGAACAUGUCACUGACCGCCGUCUAAUGUCACUGUUAGACGUCGGUGUAUGCAUUAACCGAUGUCUAAUAUAGACGUUAUGUUUUAGUGCAGUUUUGUUCUUGUCUUUGGACAACCCAGUAGCACAUUCUUUCUUUGCUAGUUUCCCAAAAAAAAAACUUGCCUCUUUUGAAUAUCUCAUGGCAUUUCAACCAAAAACCGAACCUGGGUCUUUACUUAGUUCCAUUUUCAACCACAAGAGGGAAAAAUUACGCUGAAACAAUAACUAGGCAACGACCUAGGGUCGUUUUUGGAUCGAAACACCACGAGAAAUCCAAAAGACACCACUUUUUCUGGGAGGCAGCUAGCAAAGGAAUGAUGUGGUACUGUGUUACCCCAAGAGAGGAACAAAACUGCACUAAAACACAACACAAGGAAAACAAAUUUUAAUCAGUUAAACCAGAAGAUAAUCGAUGAAAGACUAAACAAUGUUUAAACGGUAACCAUAAAAAAACACGCACUUGGGAUGCAAUGCAGCAAGAGAGAAAAAGGAGAGGAGGAAGACGAUGCAUGAUGUUAUCAGAAACAAUAAUGCAAUGCCGCAAGAGAGAAAGAGGAGAGGAGCCGCAAGAGAGAAAAAGGAGAGGAGGAAGACGAUGAUAUCAGAAACUGCAAUGCCGUGAAGAGUUUGUGGUUUAUUUAACAUGAAAUGGGGCGUCGUUUGCUCCAAAGACCAAUGUCUAUAGUCACCUAGAAGUCGAUUAUCUAACUAAUUUGACGUCUAGGAUAACAUCAAAUUGACUUUUUGAAUGCCCAUUAGACGUCAGCCCCGGCCACCAGGGGAGCCGACGUCUAGGGUGUUGAACCGAUUGACGUUUCAUUUCCUGUCAGGGACGUAGACGACAAUUUUGAAGGGGCGUCGACGUCUAUAAUAAUAUAAAUGUCAGGUUUCUGCUGUUGGACGUCGAAGUGCCUCGGAGUUUGAUGCACAUAAUUAAUUACAGGCACAUAGACGUCGCGCACCCAAAAAUGCAACAUCUAUUUUGCAGAAAUUUUUGUCUUCCCACCUUCCGGACAAGCCAUAGACGUCGGUUUUUGACUACCUGACGUCUAAUCACCUGGGAAUCAAAUGACUAGCAUUAUUAUAGCCAAGUAGACGUCGGCCCCCAUCACAACCGACGUCAAAUGUGCAGGAGAAGUCUGUCUUCUCGCCUACCUCAUUACAUUGGACGUCGGCUUACGACAGAGCUGACGUGUACUACAUAAUAGACGUCUCAUUACUUUGAAGCCGACGUCUAGGUUACCAUCUUAUUUACGAUAAUGCUACCGAUCAUCAUAAGACAUUGGUGAAGCGCUAACAGACGUCUAUGAGUUGACGUUAAACAACAUUUUCUACUCGUGUAUUAAUAGAUUAAUUUAUAACAAUAUUGAUUUUAUUUUUUUAUUAAAGUACGUGUAUCCUUAUAUUUUUCUAUGCAUUAUAUAUAUAUAUAUAUAUAUAUAUAUAUAUAUAUAUAUAUAUAUAUAUAUAUAUAUAUAUUUAUAUAUAAAAGGUUUUAUUUUAAAUCAAUUUUUUUAAAAUUAAAGAUGGUAAAACAAGUCAAUCCAAUUCAUUUAAUUUUUUUUUUGAUAUUGGUAUUUUAAAAAUUGAUUAGGUUAAACUAAUUUGUCAAUUAAAAACGGAUUGAAAUUCAAGUGAUCCGUUAUUGAGUUGACGGACUAGUCUGUUUGUUUUUUCUUUUCUGUCAUCAAAAAGUUUAAUAUAACAUAAAAACGGGUUAUUUUUUCUUUUUAAUAAAAGUGGAUUGAUCACAGGUUACACACUGAUUCAGGCUUAAAAUGCCUGUUGUCCGAGUUAUUUCAUAUAUUAACCGAGUUAUAUCAUAUAUCAAUGAUUAUUAAAUUCUAAUUUUUUUAAUAAAGUUGAAUUAUCAAAUUUGACCAUUUUAUCAUCUUAAAAUCGAUUUGUAAAAUCGAACUGUAAAGUGAAAUUUACAUUUUAUAUAUAUAUAUAUAUAUAUAUAUAUAUAUAUAUAUAUAUAUAUAUAUAUAUAUAUAUAUAUAUAUAUGGGGUUUGUUAAUACGCGUAAGUCCGNNNNNNNNNNNNNNNNNNNNNNNNNNNNNNNNNNNNNNNNNNNNNCGUUUUAACAAUGUGUACCGGAUUAUAGUAGACAAAAAUAUCCUCAUUUAUCAUGGAUUCUAAGUUUUAAGGUCAAGGAUAUUUAAAUAAUUUUCAUUCUCAACACUAAAAAAAAACCCAAACCCUUACUCCCCUCUCUCAUUCCUCUCAACCCUUUCCCUUUCAUCUCUCUCACUCCAACAUUUUCUCUGUCAUCCCUACUGUUGCCCCAAUUGAAAAACAAAAUCAGAAACCCUUGCCUAACCCUAAUCCACCUUCCUCACUUAUCCAAUUUGUUUCUCUUGUCUCCAUACUCUCCCUCAGCCACACAGAACAACCCGUGACAUCGUAAUUUUUUGUUCUUGCUCUGUUCGUUCAUUUGGAGGAUGUGUUAUAUAUUUUUCCUUCUUAUUAUUAUUAAAUUUCAUUUUUAAAUUAAAUCAUGUAAAUAAAACCUUCAUAAAUCAAUUAAAUUUUCAUACAUUAUUUACACAUCUACACUACAUUUCAUUAUAUUUUUAAAGAACAAGAUAUUUCCCUUUAUUGUCCUUUUCCCUUUACAUAAAUUGUUUCUUUUUCCUUUCUCUAUUGGUAUGGGAUACAUGAUAUAAGAUUACAACCUAGAAUUGAAAGAAAGAAGGGAGCUCUUCUAUAUCUAUUUCUUUAAUUUUCUUAUGUCCAUUUUUUAUCACUGUAUCAACUUCUAUUUAGAAUAAACUUUAACCACUGUGCAAGAUAAAAAAUAGUAAAAUCAUUUUUUACCUUUGGAAAAUCAUUUUUUAUUAUUGAGAUUUGGAAAGAGUAACCUAACGUGACAAAGUUUAUAUUCAUUUUAUACACAUUAAUAAAUAUAAAAUGAUUAUAAAAGAGUAAACUUUUUCAAUUUUUAAAAAAUAUCUCUGAUUCAAAUUACCACCACCAUCUUCAAUUGGGUUGAGAUGAGANAAAAAAUGUUGGAGUGAUGACAGAGAAAAUGUUGAGAUGAGAGAGAAAAUAUCUCUGAUGACAAAGGGUUUCUGAUUUUUUUUUUCAAUUAGGGCAACAGUAGGGAUGACAAAGAAAAUGUUGGAGGGGUUUCUGAUUUGUUUUUUUUUUUCAAUUGGGGCAACAGUAUGCAUGACAGAGAAAAUGUUGGAGUGAGAGAGAUUACAGAGAAAUGUUAGAGUGAGAGAUGAAAAAGAAAGGGUUGAGAGGAAUGAGAAAGGUGAGUAAGGGUUUGGGAGUUUCGUUUUUUUUUUAGGGGUUUGUUAACACGCGUACGCCUGUUUUUCAGUUGGUACGUUUUAACAAUGUGUACCGAAUUAUAAUAGACAAAAAUAUCCUCAUUUAUCAUGUAUUCUAAAUUUUAAGGUAAAGGAUAUUUAAAUAAUUUUCAUUCUCAAAACUAAAAAAAAAAAAAAAAACCAAACCCUUACUCACCUCCCUCAUUCCUCUCAACCCUUUCUCUCUCAUCUCUCUCACUCCAACAUUUUCUUUGUCAUCUCUCUCACUCUAACAUUUUCUCUGUCAUUCCUACUGUUGCCCCAAUUGAAAAAAAAAAUCAGAAACCCUUUGUCAUCAGAGAUAUUUUCUCUCUCAUCUCAACAUUUUCUCUGUCAUCAUUCCAACAUUUUUUCUCUCAUCUCAACCCAAUUGAAGAUGGUGGUAGAUAUUUUAAUCAGAGAUAUUUUUUAAAAAUUGAAAAAGUUUNNNNNNNNNNNNNNNNNNNNNNNNNNNNNNNNNNNNNNNNNNNNNNNNNNNNNNNNNNNNNNNNNNNNNNNNNNNNNNNNNNNNNNNNNNNNNNNNNNNNNNNNNNNNNNNNNNNNNNNNNNNNNNNNNNNNNNNNNNNNNNNNNNNNNNNNNNNNNNNNNNNNNNNNNNNNNNNNNNNNNNNNNNNNNNNNNNNNNNNNNNNNNNNNNNNNNNNNNNNNNNNNNNNNNNNNNNNNNNNNNNNNNNNNNNNNNNNNNNNNNNNNNNNNNNNNNNNNNNNNNNNNNNNNNNNNNNNNNNNNNNNNNNNNNNNNNNNNNNNNNNNNNNNNNNNNNNNNNNNNNNNNNNNNNNNNNNNNNNNNNNNNNNNNNNNNNNNNNNNNNNNNNNNNNNNNNNNNNNNNNNNNNNNNNNNNNNNNNNNNNNNNNNNNNNNNNNNNNNNNNNNNNNNNNNNNNNNNNNNNNNNNNNNNNNNNNNNNNNNNNNNNNNNNNNNNNNNNNNNNNNNNNNNNNNNNNNNNNNNNNNNNNNNNNNNNNNNNNNNNNNNNNCCCUAUAUAUAUAUAUAUAUAUAUAUAUAUAUAUAUAUAUAUAUAUAUAUAUAUAUAUAUAUAUAUAUAUAUAUAUAUAUAUAUAUAUAUAUAUGAGACCUUUAAUAUUAAUAAUAUUAUUAGUUUAUUUUUAUAGAGAAAAGUUAUAUUAUUAAAUUCUAUUUUUAUUCUACGAAUUGAAAGGUAAUUAAUUAAAACUUUAAUGUUUUUUUGACUAAACUGAGCAAAUAAUUUAUUUUCUGACGAUGAGUUUAUGAUAAACGUAAUUAUAGUUGUUUAAUUAAUUAAUGUAAUUAAAUAUAUCUGAUGAAUUGAUAGCUGUGAAUGUCAAAAUAUAACUGCUAUAAUUAAUACAUAUGCUUAGAAAAGUAAAUUUAAAAUAUACACGUUACACUAUAAAUACGUUGUAAAUAAACUCACUUCACAGCUAUGCAUUUUGGUGUAGCAGUAGAGUAAUAUUGUGAGAACCAGCUAUGCAUUUUGAUUAGAAAAAUAAUACUUUAAAAAUAUAUUUUUACAACAUUUUAAUAUUAUUUAUUUAUCAUUAUUUUAAUAGUCAAAAAUUACAGUUAAUAAUAAUUAAUAAUAAUUAUAAACACUGACAUAAAUUAAUCACCUAAUAAUAUAUAUAUAUAUAUAUAUAUAUAUAUAUAUAUAUAUAUAUAUAUAUUAUCAAAUGUCAUCAUAUUAUCAUUAUCUUUGUGAUUUUUAUUAAAGACGAUAAUAUUUUAAUAAUAUUUUUUAACAACAAUAUUAUUAUUUUAUUAAUUUAUUUAAAUUUAUAUUUAAAAAAAUAUUUAAAAUAUACUAAUCACAAACUAUUAUAGCGUAAAAAAAUUGUUAAAAAGUAUCUUAAAAAAUAAUCUUCCUUUUACUAGUACUAACCAGAUGAGAAUGAAAUUGUUACCUUGCAUGUUAGCCACGUGGAAGAUGAAACAUAGAUAGCUGUUACUACUUUUAGGUUCCAAUAUUUGCAGUUCCACCUCUUCAAACACUGUUUCUCUCUCUCUGCCAUGGAAUCCCUCAAACUUUCCCUCUUUCUUCUUCCUCUUCUCUUUGCUUUCAUAGCCUUUUCUAAUUCAGUGCUCUCUGAUGGUAACUACCUUCUCUCCUAAUCUCUCUCAUUUCAUUACCAUAUUCUCACAACAUCCAUCUUUUUUAUUGCAUUUUUUUUAUCGGUACAUAUUACUUGUUUGUAUUUUUGUUUUCCGAUUCUCUUCAAGCUUGUAACUCCAACCUUAAAAAUCGACAUUUUAUAAAAUAAACGGUGUUGUCUUUCGUUUUAUUGAUGAAACUUAGUUAUUAGAAUGUUUUGUUUGAUUAGAUAAGGAGGAGAGUGUGUUGAAUGGAAUCAACAGCUACAGGCAGACGAAAAAGCUGACACCCCUGGUCGAAGUUUCUAAGGCGAAAUGUUUGGCCGGUGAAGUUGCAGAAGAAAUAGAGAAAACAGCAUGUGAAAAUGUGAAUCGAUUCUACCCAACUGUUUCUGGUGGUGGCAACAUCCCCAACUUGAAGAAGCACAUUGAAAAAUGUAAGAUUAACAUGACUACCACCACAGAUGGAGUCAUUCUCCCAGUUUGUGUCCGGAAAUUGGAACCCACCAUUGUUCUCUCUAAUUACACUCAUUCAGAUCGUUAUGCACAGUUUCUCAACAAUUCCAAAUACACAGGAGCUGGCCUUGGUUCUGAGGAUGAUUGGAUGGUCCUUGUUCUUACCACCAACACUGCCACUGGGAGUUUCUCUGCUUCUGCUUCUUCAACUUGUGUUAAUUCUAAUAAUGUUGUUUCUGUCGGGCUUUUGCUCUUUGCUUUGCUGCUUCUGCUCACCAACUUCUUUCAUUGAGCACUUUUAAGCUUUCUUUUUAGCUUCAUUUUCUGGGAUGUGGACCCUUUAAUAUCACUUCUGUUGUGUAAUGUCAAAUUUAUGAAUUAACUUGUGUGUUGCUGUUAUUUACUUAACUCUUUAAUACUUUCUCAUGAUCAGCAGCGUAUUUUAUUAUGAUAUUUUUAAAAAUAUAAAUUUAUGUAUUUGUAUGUAUUUUAUCUUAUUGUAAUAUCUAUAACCAACGAGGAUGAACGUGUUAAGUGGAAGAUGAAACAUCGAUACCUGCUACUACUUAGGCACCGUUCCACCUUUAAGAUCAGUCUAAUUGAAAAAAUACCAGUUCGUAUGGAUAUAUCGGAACUACACUAUUAAUCUUGGAAAAAUAUUCACUUGAUCAAAAUUCUAAAUUUGUUACCUUAUAUGAUGUUGAUUUUAUUUAUUUUUUCUGUAAACUUUGAUUGAAACACCUGAGGUUUUUCCUUCUUUACUCUGCGUUUUUUUUUUUCUAAAAUUGAUAUUAUCUUGGAUUGGUGUUCAUUUAUCAGACAUGGAUGUUGUAACGACGGGCAACUUAGACUGUUCCCACACAUCAAUACAAGUUUUUCAAUGCUUUGUUUUUGUUCUUACUCGCACACUUUUUGAGAAAACUUUUUAGAAGGUCAUUUAUUCCAAAUUAUUCUAGGCUAAACACAUUUAAUCAUAUAGUUCUUAUGGGUCAAAUUAGUUGAUAUAAGUAGCCAAAUCAAUUUUUGAAAGUUAUUCUUCAACUGUAUAGUCCCGUAUCUAUACAUUCUAUAUAUCUCUUUCAUUUUUGUGUAUGUUCGAUUCGUCUAUGUGUCCCUUCCACGGGAAACUUGUUAGGAACCACUCCUUAUCUAUAUCUCUUACAUUCCAUGUCUCUUGCACAGAUGAUCACUCUCCACCCUCGUCAAAUGUCACAUAUGUUCGUUUAGCAUAAAUAAAUGUUCGUUUAUCAAGUAUGGUUGAUUUUCUUGAAUGCAUCCAAGAAUUAAUCCCACAAUCCUCCGACAAUAGAGACCCUCAUUCAUCAAAAUCUUAUUCUUGCGGUACAAACUCAGAGAGAACAGAUUUUUCACGUUAAGAAAAAAAUAUACUAUCAUGGCAUAAAGCUUUCUCAAGAAUAUACUUUGAGCUGCGUUCUGAGAGGGUUAAGACAAGACAUUCAAAUAUUAGUUCGUAUGUUACAACCAACAACCUUGAAAAAGGCUCUUAUGUUAGCAAAGAUGUAUGAAACAGCUAAUUUGGAAUUUACGGAAAGUGAAGAAAUCUUAAGUCCUAAAUCCUUUCUCUUUGCUUUGUUAGCCUUCUCUGUUACAGUGCUGCGUAAUGGUAAGUGUACUUUCUCUCCUCGUCUGUUUCAUUUAAUUAAUUGUGUUCAUUUUAUGCAUCUCUUGUAUGAUUUUUUCACUUCAAUAAUAUCAUUUAUACUGCAUUAUUAGUUCUAACCAUGAAAUUUGUCUCUGAUAUUUAAAAUUAAAGGCACAAAUUUGUGUGGUGUUCAGUACCAUAUUUGUAACGUAUAACUGUUUCCAUGAUACAAAAACUUGUGUUUUGUUGGAUUACACUUUAAUAUUAGAAAAAUAAUACUUUGACCACAUAAAUUUUUUAUAGUUGAUACUAUUUUUUCUUAUUUUUUAUUUUUUUGAAAAAAUACAAAAAAUUAUAUUCUUAUGACUUGUGUUGCCUAAAUGUAACAUUUAAAUUUUUAUUUUUUUUAAUUGAAACUUCAAUUGACUACAUGUGAUGAAUACGUGAGUAAAAAUUGAGUCGAUUACAAAUACAGUUUGGAAACGAGAGGAAUAAUGGAUUACAUAAAAAGUAUUUAUGAUUAGGAAAAUGAUAUUUUAACACCAUUUUUUUGACAUCAUUUUGACACUGCAUACAUGUCAAAAUAUGAUUGAACGAUUUCAAAUUAAAAAAGUUGAGGCAGGGGUAUAUUUGGAAGAGAAAAAUCAAAGUUUGUUUUUUUAAUUUGAAAUCGUCCAACCACAUUUUGACACGUGUGCAGUGUCAAAAUGGUAAAAAAAUGGUGUUAAAAUAUCAUUUUCCUUAUGAUUAUGAGUUUGAACUGAAAAUAAUGUAUGACAAUAGAGAGAGAGAGCGUCCCCUCACCGUUAGAUGCUGUGUGAAAUUUGGUAUGAAAAGUUUUCCUUGUUUGCCACCAAUCUUCAUUUUUCUUUUUCGACUGUGGUUUUAGUCAAAAAGUAGAAAAGAGGACGGGCCCAAAGAGGCCCGAUAGAAUAGCAAAAAUUCCAGAUGGGUCGUUUCUUCCUACCCUUCAUAAUUGCAGCUUGUAUUUUCAUCAAUUUUUGUAUAUUUCGAAUAUAUAAUCUACAACAAAAUAAUUAUAUUCUACAUUAUAAUACUCUAAUUUUAUAUUACAAAAUACAAUAAUUACAUUAUUUAAGAUAAAAUACAAUUUUUAUAUUCUAAAUUAUACAUGAUGUACAUACCCUACCCAAACGUGCUAAGUGGCACCACCCAAUAAAGUUCAUUAUUAAAUUUUAACAAUUUUAUUAUAUUUUUAAUAGUCAUUAAAAAUUUAAUAGUCAUCAAAUACUUUUUAAUGAAAAGUUUUUGCUAAAUAUAUUCUCUAUUUAAAUAUAUUCUCUAUUUAAAUCUGGCAUAGAGUCUCAAAAUCCUACAAAUACACUUGAUAUUUCAUCAUCAGUCAGGAAAGACAUUGAAACUUAUUCGUUAUUUUAUACAUAAAAAUCAAACACUCUCAAGUCUUUUAGGUGUGGAUCUUCCUCCACUUUUCAACCUUCAAGAGCAUUGAUUCUCCAAUCAAAUUAAAUUUUGCCACCUGUCUGACCAACAUGAAGAGUGAAAAAAUCACCUACCCAAAAUCGACAUGAUUCCCACCCAGAGGGCCCUUAAUUCUUGAUUAAAGCAUAGUUUUCCAACUUAACGAGGUUUCCAUGAAAGCCGAAGUUGAUCUCCUCAAUGUCAAGCUCAAAGGAAGUACAACCUGCUAGUUUGACGAGGUUUGCAUGAAAAUCGAGGUCGAUCUCCUAAAUGCCACGAAGGGACAAGAGGUACAGGUUAACCCGACAUUGAAUGAGAGAAAGUUGAGGACAACCCCGCCAAUCUACACGAGAGAAAGCUGAGUAAAAGUAAAUAUCAUGCUGAGUGAAGGUGUUCUCAGCCUUUAGCGCCUCUAUCUCCUCCAUGUUCUUUGUCUUUAGCGCAUCGAACUCUAACCUCCAUUCCACAAUCAUGUUCAUCCGUUCUCUUGGUUUUCUUCCUUUUGACAUGGUACCAUUUCAACCCUAUCAUAUUUUUCUUUCACACCCAUAACCUUAUUGAAUAUUAUCCAUUUUUUUAACUCUUGGCAUUUAUAUAAUUUUGUCUUGCACUCCAUUUUUAUGGUUUUGGGCAUUUUUAUACUUUUGUCUUGCACUCCAAUUUUACGGUUCAUACCAUUUGUGUAUACUUCUUUUGUAUUGUUGAACGUAAUUUAGUCCCACAUUAUUUAGCAUUGUAAGAUGUUAUCUGUUUAACUAUAUGAGCAAUCCGAUAUAAAGUUUCAAAGAACUUUUGUGUCCACACUUGUCCAAGAUUUAUCUCAAAGUUAUAAGGAAAUAAGUGAAUAUUAAUUUAUGAAUUUGAAUUUGAACAUUUGAGUUUCUAUUCAGAUUUCAAUAUUUUAAGUUCUACAUAUUUUGCAUUAAACAUUUUUUAUUUGUUCAAUUAUAAGAGAAAUGGAAGAUAAGUUUAGAGAUGGAAGCAAGACUAAAUUCAAAGAUGGAAAGCAUUUUCAGGGAUUAUUCCCAAACACUUAUGACACAUGAUAAAUUGGCGCGUGAGGUUAAUCUUAGCAUGAAAGACACAAGGAACAAGAUCAAACAACUUGUUGCUGAAUUUGAAGCCAUCAAUAAAGGCUUAAAAAUGAAUUUUCCAUACCUUUGCACGGAAGUUAUGCUACAAUUGCUGCUGAAGCUACAACAAAAGGAUUUCGUAGAAGUUUACUAAAACUAGUUUGUUGACAUCAUUAAACUUUUAAGUCUCCUUGAAGAUUACCUUUUAAGUUGUUUUAUUGGAGGUUUAAAGAGAAAUAUUCAAAUAUCAGUUCAAAUGUUUCAACCAAAAACAAUAUACAAAGCUUACAUGUUAGCAAACAUACAUGAAAAGACUAAUUUGGAAUGCAGGACAUAGAACUCAAGAAGAGGGAGUGGAAUAAUUUAGGUUUUACAUAUCUUGAAAUUCUUCUCUUUACUGUUCUUAUGUUUUUUUCCAUAACCUUUUAUAUUCGACAUUGAGUAAAAAAUAGGGUCCCGAUAUUUUGACAACAAAAAUUCGACACACUUUUAACAACGUCACGUGUCACCAUGCCAUUGGUUGUUUUUUUUUUUUAAAAAAAAAAACUUAAAACCUAACGUCGCCAUUGAGGAAGAAUUCAGAAAUUUUGGAUUCCAUAUAUGCCCCUUGCCCUGUUUCAUCUUUCUCCAUUCUCUCAUAUUUCCCUCAUUUUCCCUCUCUUCAGUUUUCGUUCUCUCUCUUUUCGUUUUCGUUCUCCCUCCAUUUUCAUUCUUGAAACUUUGUUCAAGAUCCUUUUUUUUUGUUGAUAGUGACCAUGGUCCUUCGAGCAAGGUAAAUGAGUUUAUCCAUUUUAUUGAUUGCGUUUUCGAUUUGUAUUUGGGUUUUCGAUUUUUUUGAUUGCGUUUUUGAUUGGCAUGUGGUUUCUUGUUUGAGUUUUGUAUGUUAUGAUAUAUUCAGUGAUCUUUGAUGAGAAUAUGAAUGGUUGUAUACUAUGAUAUAUAUUGUUAAAUUUCAGGUUGAUGAUACUUCAAGCAAAGAAACUGUUUUUUUUUCUUCUGUGAAGACACCAGCUACUAAAGUUAGAGAGGAUAAAAAGGAAAGAAUAAAAAGGAGGACCAACCAACACCAAAAACCAUACAAAAAAGAAAACGCAGAGAAAUUUUUAUGCGUGCUUUAGUGGAUCAUAAAAACGUUAUAAGAGCAUAGUGCUUAGGACUCUAUACACUGGAAAUAGAGCACUUAGAAUCCGACAUGAGUGAUUUUUGUAUUGAUUUGUCAUAGAAAGUCAUACAACAUUGUACAUAGAUGAACAAAUAAGUGUAAUGUACCCAAUUUUGUUCAAUUUUAUAAAAGAUGCAUCUUUGCUUCCGUUAAUUAUUGUUAAUGUUAACUGAAUUGUUAUUCCCUUCAUUAUUGUCAUUGUGAAAUGAGGUGUUGUUUGGAAUGUGAAUGAAGAAAGUGAUCAAUUUGAUUGAGUAGUCAUGUUUGUGAUGGAGGAAAGAAACAAUGUUUGUGGUGCAGGCAAAAAACACACUGGUAAACGAUUACAACUUGCUCGUAAAUGAUUACGCGAGUAAAAAGUGGGUUUUUUCAUUUGAACAAGUUAGUUGAAGUCCUGCAAGGUCUGGAGCAAAUGAAAAAAAUUGUUUCUUAUCUUGAACAUGGGUGUCCAAACUUGAUUUCCCACACUAAAAUCACAUUUAAACAAUAAAAUCACAUAAAAACCAUUGCAUUUAUGCAAAAAAUACAAAAAUUUAGACUAUGGCCCCCUAGGUUACCAGAAUUGGCUCCUACAGUACAACUUUCUGUACAAAUCUAAGAUUUUGUUCGUGUAAAUUCCACAACAACUAGUUUUUAAAUUCCAACUUUGUAAAUUCCACAAUCAUGUUAAUUUGUUCCUUUGGUUUUCUUCCUUUCGAUAUUCUUUCAAUCCUAUAAUAUUUCUCUUUCAUACCAUAGAACCCAGUUUAUUAUCCAUUUUUACAAUUCUUGGCAUUUCAAUACUUCUCUCUUGCACUCCACAUCUAUGAUUCUUGGCAUUUCUAUACUUUUGUCUUGCAUUCCUUUUUUACAAUUUGUGUGCUCUUUAUAAUAAGUGUUAUAUUUUGUCUUUUGUGUUAAUGACUUACUAAUUUAAAAUAUAGUGGUUAAAAAUGCAAUAAAUUCGCAAGUGACAUAAGCACCAAAUAUGAAGAUAACUUAUUUUUCUUAUUAUUAUUUAGAUUAGAUCUUUCGAUUUGAAAAUUCAAAAAUAAGAGAUUUCAAAUUGAAAAAAUAAGAUUGGGUUGCGCCAUACAUAGAAAAGACUAUACAAUAAUGAUGUAUUUGACAAAUCAAAUACCAUCGUUUAAUUUAAUAAUAACAUAACGAACCUUUGGGAUUAAUGGAUAAUAUUAGUUGAUUUUUGUAAUAGAUUUCAUAACUCCUAAGUCAUAACAAGUAGACCUUAUUGUUUCAAGAAUUCUUAAUUCAUUAGUUGUAGGGAGGGAUUUAUGUCACCACAAACAGAGACUAAAGCAAGUGUUGGGUUNAAAGCUGGUGUUAAAGAUUAUAAAUUGACUUAUUAUACUCCUGACUAUUAAAUCAAAGAUACUAAUAUCUUGGCAGCAUUCUGAUGAAGAUCCACUUUGGAGGACAGAGUAGGAUAUGAUGUAUCUGAGUAAAGUACCACUACAAGUGCAGAACCUGCUAAGAGUUUGAUAUUCAUAUGUUUAUUUGAAUGGGUUGAGUUUAUGAUGAUUAAUCAUUAAUUAUGGUAUGUUUAUUGUAUUAUUAAGUAAUUUGAAUUAUAAGUUAGAAAUCAUGUUAUUAAUUUAAAUAUACCAUGUUAUUUUUGUUGCAUUAGCUCACCCUUGUUUUAUCUGUUGUUUAGUUGUUAUUGUUGUGUUGUGUGUUUUCUCUCGACGAUGAUCAUCUGGUGGGUGUGAGCAGAAGGUGGUGAGAUGCCGGUGGAACAGGUGUUAGAUGGAGGAUCGACUAGUGUUUAACUUAUAUGGACGAGAUCCUUGUUUCUAAUCGUUGUAAGUUUGAAAUGUAUUAAGUUUAAAAAAGAUGAAUGAUAGUUUGUAUAAAAUUGAGAAAAACUUUUAUUCCUCGUUUCUAUGAUUGUUCUAUCAUAUCAAGGAUGUAAUAACUAUAUUAUAGUUCAAUACUAUAAUUAUUGAGAUGUUACACAUGAGGUUAAUCUUAGCAAGAAAAACACAAGGAACGAGAUCGAACAACUUGUUACUUAAUUUAAAGCCAGCGCAAAAAUGAAUUUUCCAUACCUAUGCACAAAAGCUAUGCUACAAUUUCUGAAGCUGCAAUAAAAGGAUUCCGUAAAAGUUUACUAUAACUAGUUUGUUGACAUCAUUAAACUUUUAAGUCUCCCUGAAGAUUACCUUUGAAGUUGUUUUAUUGGAAGUUUAAAGAGAAAUAUUCAAAUAUCAGUUCAAAUGUUUCAACCAAAAAUGGUACACAAAGCUUACAUGUUAGCAAAUAUACGUGAAAUGACUAAUUUGGAAUGCAGGACUGAGAACUCAAGAAGAGGGAGUGGAAGAAUUUUAGGUUUUACAUAUCUUGAAAUUAUUCUCUUUAUUGUUCUUAUGUUUUUUCCAUAACCCUUUAUAUUUGUAAAAAAUAUCAUGUUGAGUAAAGGUACUGUGAAAGACUUUUGUGAUGUUAUUACCAUCGUUCAACUUGUUUUCUUAGUGGGCGUUCCCAGCCUUCAACGCCUCUAAUUCCCCGUGUUCUUUGUCUUUAGUGUCUCGAACUCUAGCCUCAAUUCCACAAUCAUGUUCAUCUGUUCCCCUGGUUUUUUUCCUUUCGACGUGGUACUUGUCCUUUCGAUCCUGUCAUAUUUCUCUUUCAUAUUGUCACAAUCGGGAUCAGGAUAGGAUGGUGAACCGAAAACAAACGGGUUUAAGAAAAAGAUUUUGGGAGUCACCACCAUAAUUUAUUCUGGAAAAACUAUGAAAAACCAUAAAAUAAGACAUGGUCUAUGAAAACUAGAUUUUAGGUUCGAGAAUCAAUUACACGUAAGGAAGGUAUUAGCACCUUACUACGCUUGUCAAAAAGCAGUACCUUUAAUUAAAUGUAUAAAGUUGAUGUGGUUUUUCCAAAUAUUUAAUUUUUCCUAAAAAUAAUAAUAUAAAGAAACUAUUAAGAAACAAAAAAAUAUUUUUUUGUUUUAUGAGUCCGACAAGGAUUGACUUUGCUCUUACGUAUAUCCAUUUAUAAUUGAAAAUCAAGGAUCACGUAGUUCUUUAUCUAGAAAAAAGGUUUGUAAAUUUGUUUGAAAAUUAUUGUGGAUUGUUAUAGAUUUUUGAAAAUUGAACCUGUCAAGGAUUGAAACUGGUCAUAGGCCAACAUGUAUUUAUACCCUUUAUUGUAUGAUUUUUUUAAAAAUGUUAUUUGUGUGUAGUAAAAAAUAAUAUCUUUAGAAAAAAAACUUCAAAGUACAGUAAAAAGAGAAAACGAAGAAUGUAGAAGUGAGUACCUUUUUAGCUUUGGAUAUUGUCCUAGUUUUUAAAAUCAUAUUUUUUUUCUCUUUUUUGUUUAAAAAGAAACUGACGCAACAAAUUAUAGUAUAAUAUCAAUAUAUUAUUUUUAAUUAUUGCUUAUAAUUAUUGGUAUAAUAUUGAUUCAAAUUAUUACCAUAUUAAACAUUCCUUUAUCUAAAAACCAAUAUUUAAAAAAUAUUUUCUAGUGAUGUGUCCUAUAUUAAACUCUUGGACUCCUUGGCUAAAUUAAAGUUUGAAAAUUAUUUACAUUCUUUUAAGGAAAAUUAUUUUAUUUUUCCCUCCUUUUUCUUUUUACUCACCAUUAAUUAUUAUUCUUUUAUUUUGUUUAUUUUUAUUUUUAUUCUUUAUUUCUUCUUUAUUGAUUUAUCUAGACAAAAUUGAGUGUUAACACAUAUCAUAGAGCCCAGUUGACUCUCCAUUCUUACAAUUCUUGGCAUUCAAUACUUCUCUCUUACACUCCACAUCUAUGGCUCUCCGACAUUUCUAUACUUUUGUCUUGCACUCCUUUUUUACAAUUCGGGGCAUUUUCACACUCCAAUUUUAUGGUUCUUGACAUUCUAUUAGUAUUGUUUAGCUUAAUUUAGUCUCAUAUCAUUUAGUAUUGUGAGAUGUUCUCUAUUUAGAUAUAAAGCUUAAUAGAUACACCAAAAUAAAUAUACUUCCUAGUGUAUUGUGAACGAAGAUGUACAAUAUUCAAACAUGUUAUCAAUAUGAUGAUGAUAAGAAUAAAAAAAUAACGGUUCUUACAAUGAUAUGUUUAAUUUGAACAAGAGUUUGGUAAAACUUUUUGUCUACACAUUUGUCUAAGUUACAUGAAAAUAACUGCAUAUUAGCUUAUGAAUUUGAAUUUGAACAUUUGAGUUUUCAAGUUCUACAUAUUUUGCAUUGGACUCUUUUAUUUGUUCAAUUAUCUAAGAAAUGGAAGAUAAGUUUAGAUAUGGAAGCAAGACUAACUUGAUGGAAAGAAUUGUCAGGGACUAUUUCCAAAUGCUUAUGAGACAUGAUGAUAAAUUGGCGCAAGAGGUUAAUCUUAGCAUGAAAGACAUAAGGAAUGUGAUCAAAGAACUUAGCAACAGAAUUUGAUUUUCCCUAUUUUUCAGUGAGACAUUGCAUAUAUGAUGUCGUAAGUUUAGGAGAGCGUUAUUACAACUUAAGGAUUAUGUUGCCAUACUUUGCUCUGCAACGUUGUUUAAGCCUCCACAAGUUGUCGAUUUAUCUACUAGUGGCUUCAAUCGAACUUGUAAGAUCUCCUUCACAAUACAUGGGUUAACCUGACUUUUUGUUGGUGAGUUUUUUUUUUUUUUUAAUUUAAAUUUAUUGAUUUGAUUCGAAAUAUUGUUAUUGGACUGCUAACUUAAAUGUUGGGUUAAGUUUAUAUGGUUUGAGUUUUUAAUUAGGAUUUGAGUUUUCAAAUAUUAGUGAGGUCAUUAAUAAUUUAAAAUGCACAAUUUGUGUGUAUGCUCUUUAUAAUGAGUGUUACAUUUUUUCUUUUGUGUUAAUCACUUACUAAUUUAAAAUAUAGUGGUUAAAAAUGCAAUAAAUUUGCAAGUGACAUAAGCAUCAAAUAUGAAGAUAACUUCUUUUUCUAAUCAUUUUAAAUUAAAAUUGUUACUAUAUUUUAAUUUUAUAUAUUUAUGUAGAAAUUAAUUAAUAUCUAGGAAGAAAUUUUAAAGAUAAAAAGAUAGAAGAAUACAUAUUUACUUUCAAAAAUACUAUUUUUAAAUGAAAAAAAUUAUGUCUAAUGAUUCAUAUCGUACACAUAAAAAUAAAUAUUAAUAUUUUCUAUGUAGUAGUAUAGAAGUUGAUUUAAUUUUGUAGUUCUAUAACUUUUAUUAGGGUGAAUUCAUACAAAUGCAAAUGUGCUUGAAAAUAAUCCAAAUAACCAUAAGGUAGGUUUAUGGAUCACAUAAUGCUUUAUUUGUGAUGUGUUUAAGAUUAUAAUUAAAAUAAGAAUACACUUGUGCUUUGUUUCUUCACCAUAUUCAAGUGACACCUUCAUUUCAUGUCAAUUUUGUCAUAAACUUUUCCAUGACCUUUGCAUCAAAUUGUGCAUGUCAAAUCUCUUUAUAUAGUUGUGUCUUACUUUUACUGUAUAAAAGUUUUUUUUCCCUAUUUUUUCCAUCCAAUACAUCUCUUCUAUUCUCCACUUUAUAUAUAUAUAUAUAUAUAUAUAUAUAUAUAUAUAUAUAUAUAUAUAUAUAUAUAUAUAUAUAUAUAUAUAUUUCACCGAAGUUUACUUAUCAUUUAAAACUUUUACUGGAAAAAAUAACAAUACAAUACAGGGUUAUUAUUUUAUACAAUUUUAUAAAAAUUACUAUGAAAUGGAAAAUAAAAAACAUCUUCAACUAAACUAAUCUGUGCUUGAUUUUCUUAGCUAAGUUUUUUUUAUCCUCUUCUCGAUUCCCUGAAAGAAAACCUUAACCCAAAACGUUCCCAAUUAAAAAUUUAAUCUUUCAUUUCAAAGUUUCUCGAUAUCACAUUUCAAAUUUCACGAGCAAAAGUAAUUUUUAUAUUUUUAUUUUAAUAAUAUAGGUUCUCAGUAUUUAUCUACCUAUUCUUUUACUUUUCUUCCAUCUUUUAAGAGUAAAUGUUUAAUAUAAUAUUUUAAUUAUGGCUAUUGAAAAGUUCUGGUCAUGAAAAAAACAUAAUUGUAGAUGGAAAAGUAACAUGGAAGAUUACAUGGAAAAAAAUGAAAAAGAGAGAAAAAUAUUUGACCAUAACACCAAUGAGUUGUAGAAAAAGAAAAAUACACAGUAAGUGAAUCACUUAUAUAUUAAGCCAUACAUAGUAAAAUGUUAUGAAUCCAAAAAUUCAUUAUGUUAUGAUUUAGCCUGAAUGAUUAAUAUUAAGAUGGUUUUUAUUGUUUGAACACCAGACUUUUAUGUUAGUCAAAAUGUUGGAAUUUAAGAGUAUUAGAGACAGUAAGAGAUACAAUUAUUCAUGAAGAGUUAUAAAGAGUUACAAUUAUUCAUGAAGAGUUACAACCAUUCAUGAAGAGUUACAAUCAUUCAUGAAGAAAUGUAACUAAUCAGAAUCUGGUAUUUCUUGGAUUUUAAAGAUGUCUGAUCAACAUCAAUAUAAAGGGAUCAUGUGUUCUAUUGAAAGCAAAGACUUUAGAGACCUUUUCUCUAUAUUCGGUCAUCUUCUUAAUUCAAAAAUCAAUUCAUAAAAUCAAUUCAUGAAAAUCAUAUUCUUGUUUAACGUUAAUACUAAGAGUGAAUAUUAUUAUUGUAUUUCUUCUUUGUAUCUCAAAAGCGGAUUUCGUGAUCCCCUUCACUCUUAUAAGAGAUGAAAUAUUUCUUUUAGAAAAGUGUGUAUUUGCAUCUAAAAGAAUAUAUAAAGUCUACAUUGUUGUUCAUAUUGUUUUCCUAAGUUCUUGGAAAAUUGUUCCAACAGUCUAAAAGCAAUAUUUUCUCUAUGACAACAAUUCGUGAGAUGUCUGCAAACUUUCACAAAUUAGACAAAUUUGAAAGUGUUGGUUUCCGACAAUGGCAAAAGAAGAUAUAUUUCCUUCUCUCGGCUCUAAACGUGGCAUAUGUUCUAAUUUCUCCCCAACCCAAAGUAAGUGAAACCGAGACAUUGGAGGAACAACAGAAAAGGAACAAAUGGGAGAAUGAUGAUUAUGUCUAUCGUGGUCACAUUUUGAACGAUAUGUCUGAUCCUUUAUUUUAACAUUUCUAUCAUCUUAUUUCUCUAUGAAGGAUAUGGGCGAAACAAAUUUAUAUUAGGUAUAAAGAUUAAGAAAGAAAAUGAGAAAUUAAUUUUGUCUCAGUCUCAUUACAUUGAGAAAGUAUUCAAGAAAUUCAACAAUUAUGAAUGCUCUCUUGUUUCAACAACCCCUAUGGACCCUAGUUUAAAGAUAUUACCUAAUGGUGGUAAAACAGUUUCACAACUAGAAUAUGCAAGGGUAAUAGGAUGUUUAAUGUAUGCAAUGACAAGUACAAGGCCAGAUAUUGCUUUUGCGGUAAGCAAAUUGAGUAGAUAUAUUAGUAACCCCAGUAUGUCACAUUGGCAAGCAGUACGUCGAGUACUUAAGUAUUUAAAGAAAAUUAUUAAUUAUGGAUUAACAUAUAGUGGUUAUCCUUUAGUUUUGGAAGGAUAUUCUGAUGCAAGUUGGAUUACAAAUGUAGAAGAUCACUCUUUAACUAGUGGUUGGAUUUUCCUCCUUGGGGAAGGUGCAAUUUCUUGGUCUUCCAAGAAACAAACUUGCAUUACAGAUUUCACUAUGGCUUCAAAGUUUAUAGCUCUAGCCUCGGCAAGAAAGGAAGUCGAAUGGUUGAGGAAUCUCAUGUUCGAAAUACCAUUGUUACCAAAACCAAUAGCAAUACAUUGUGACAAUGCUGCAACAUUGGAAAAGGCUUAUAGUUAAGUAUAAAAUGGCAAAUCAAGACAUAUUGGAGUGAGACAUAGUUAUGUCCAAGAACACAUCAAAGAUGGAAUUAUUACAAUAGAUUCCAUACGAACAAAGUUUAAUUUGGCUGAUGGAUUUACUAAGACAUUGGUUAAAGAUUCCAUUUUCAGAAUGACAAUUGGAAUAGGAAUGGAGCCCACGGUUAAUCACAAGUAAGGGAAUCUUAACUUAACGCUUAAUAUGACAUUGAGUCUUAAGUUCAAUAAGAUUAAAUCUCUUAUUUGAUAAUUGAAAGCACAAAUAAUUAUUUCAAGAGUGCUUUAGAUCUGUGAUGAUUAGGAGAUUGACUAAUUCUUAAUUGAUUUAUUGAAUUUAUGUUUUGCCACAGAAACAUGUUUACCUAAAAAAUCAACUUAUGUAAGUGCAAAGUUUGGUCGCUUCAAGAAGUCAAGGGAACAUGACUGUGUUGCACUUAUGAAUAGAUAUGGACGCAUGGCCCUAUUGUGUCAAGUAUAACAAAAAUAUGUAAUUUAUCUUAUAUGUAGAAUAUCUUCAAGACUUCAUUAUGUAUUAUGUUGGUUCAAUCGUUUCGACACCAAUAAAAUACGAAUUCCUGAAAUGUGUAUUCUACUAAGUGAAAGUUCAAGUCUAUGUACACUUUCAUUUAUGUGUAAGAUUGCAAUUAUUAAAUUGAUGUUUGUGUUAAGUAAUUAUGCAAUACUCUCAAAUGGUGGAGGAUUGUUGGAAUUUAAGAGUAUUAGAGACAGAUUUUAGAUUCAUAAAGAGUUACAAUUAUUCAUAAAGAGUUACAAUUAUUCAUAAAGAGUUACCAUUCAUGAAAAGUUACAAUCAUUCAUGAAGAAACGUAACUAAUCAGAAUCUGGUAUCUCUUGGAAUUGAAAUAUGCCUGAUCAACAUCUAUAUAAAGGGAUCAUGUGCUCUAUUGAAAGCAGAGACUUUAGAGACCUUUUCUGUAUAUUCGGUCAUUCUCUUAACACACAAAUCAAUUCAUGAGAAUCAUAUUAACUUUAAUAUUAAGAGUGAGUAUUAUCGUUGUAUUUCUUCUUUGUAUCUCAAAAGCUGAUUUUGUGAUCUCCUUCACUCUUAUAAGGGAUGAAAUAUUGUUUUUAUUAGGAAAGUGUGUAUUCACGCAUAAAAGAAUAUAUCACGUCUACAUUGUUAUUCAUAUUAUUUCUCUAUAAAAUAAAUAAUUUAGUGUUUAAAGAAGAUAAUACCAAUAUAAAUAAAUAUAAGAAGCUUGAACAAUUUUAUCAAUAUUUUCAUUCCGCUUCUAAUAGAAGAUACACAUAAAUAAACAGAAAGAAAAUUCUACAGAAAUAAUUUAUUACUGAAAACUAUUAAUACAACAGAUUUGAAAUAGCUAUUUUAAAAAAUAAAAUAAAAAUAAUAAUGGUUUCCAGCAAGUACUCUUUUAAGUUCAUUCCUAUAGUGUCUGUCCUACAUGACAGCAAAACUUUUCUUUUGUCAUAAACUGAAAAUAUAGAUACAUGUCUAGUAGAGAUUAACCUGGACUAUACACAAUCCAAAACCACAGUAACUUUUCCUUGUAUCAACAUAGGAUACACCUACCUGUUGUGCAAGGGGUCUGGAGAAGAGGGAACUACUCUAUUAACUGUAGCAUAAGACCCUUCAUUUGUUUCAUUUGCUUCAUACUUGUUCUGCACAGCUUCCAUUUCUUCCUUUACAUACCGAGCAUCCAAUACUUGACAAUUCAAAACUGAAAUACUUAGUAGUACCAGCAAGAGACACCCCACUUGAGACCUUGAAAUUGACAUCACUUCACUGCAACUAAUCAUCACCAAAUUCUUCAGGCAUGUUCAAGAAAGGAAAUUAAACUAGAAAGAUGUUCAAGAAUAGGUGUGUGUGGCAAGUAGAGAAAGGAAAAUGAUUCUCCUCAAUAUAAGUGUGGAGGGAAAUGAAGAUUAAGAAUAAUGAGUUCUGACUCUUUUAGUAUGCUAAGUUUGAAACGAGUUACUUUGUUUAGGGUGUGGAUCAAGUCUUCUAAUUCCACUUGUUGGUUUAUAAUUGGUAGCUCCCAAAUCCAAAUCCUAGUCAUCACAAAUAGGUGGAAGGUGUAGGUACACAUUACAUUUUUGUAAAGAAAGAGACAGGAGAAAUGUAGGGAAAAAAUUUCCAAGCUCGUGUUUCAAUUAAUCUAACGAAAAACCUUUUUAACAACACUUUUUUAAUAAUUUUUUGACAACACAUACGUGACAGUUUUUGAUUGAUCUUUUAAAUAUUUUUUAAAUGUAAAUUCAAAUAGAUCAAUAAAGUGAUGACACGUGUCCUGUUGUAAAAAAAAUUGUUAAAAAGUGUUGUCAAAAUAUCAUUAUCCUUAAUUUAAUUAGGAAUAAUAAUAUGAGUUCCAAUACAGAUGAAGUCAGAGGUAAUAAUGUUUGACCAUGUUUUCAUGUGUGGUACUUCAUAAUCAAUGUCCAUUUCAUUAAACCUGACCCGACAUGCAAUAUAAGGACGUUUCAGAAACUAGAAAUUCCAGAGUUUGUGCAUUGAUGGUGAAAUAUGUACACUGUUGUCUAUUGGAUACUAACCAACCAUUCCUUUAUCAACUAUUAAACAUUUAUGGCCAUGGAAUAUUGUUGUUUAAGUCGAUUAAUAAACUCCUUAUACUUCCAAAAUCACCCUAACCUUGUUAAUUGCAGAACCCCAAUUUCAGGAUCAGAACUUAACUCUUAACACUAGUUUAUUUUAUUUUAGCAUUUUUUUUCCACCUUAAAAGUUCAAAUUAUGUUAGAAUUCCCACGUCGACUAAAGAUAUGGUCAAUUUAUAGUAUAUAAAUGGAUGCAAACCUUAUUUUACAAAUCCCACGUCGACUAAAGAUAUGGUCAAUUUAUAGUAUAUAAAUGGAUGCAAACCUUAUUUUACAAGUUGAUUUUGUAGGGUUGAAUUAGACUUAAAGUCCACCGGUAACAAAUUGUGUGGGUGGUCAAUGCUAUUUUCUAGGUCUAGUGUGACUUUUGUUUCCUCUUCCCAUGGUCUGUUCAUGUUUGAGAUUUACUUGGUCGAUGAGGGAGUAAGAGAUUUCAGUGAACUGUAAAAGGUAUCUUUUAGCUCAUGUUAUCUGUCUGGCUUAAUGUUUAUAGAGUAGUGUAUUCUAGUGGGGUUUGUUUCUUUCUUUGGACUAGUUUGUGGGAGCUUUCAGAUUCUAUAAUCUAUUUCAUAUCAAAUUUUGGGAAUCGUCAUUUUCAACCUUAGCACUCGUUCUUGUGUCAGAUGUUCUUGUGAACACAAAUUUCUUUCCAAUUAAUCUAUCACUUCAAAACAUGUGUUUUGGUCGGUUAUCUUCUCUAACUCUAGUUGGCACUGCCUAAAAAUUGAAUUAGGUCAAAUUAGUACUAGUAAUAACGAAAGUUUGGCGUAAACAAUAAGCUUGUUCAAAGACUUCUAAGGGAUUGUGUUGACUUUAUAGUAGCAAUUCUUAUUGGGAUAAAUCCGAAUGGUGGACAUAGUGCUAUUGGGGUCAAAUUCUGGUGUGUUAAUUUGAUAGACUAAGGACAGAUAUGAUUAUUGCCUAUGGAAAUUAUUGAAGCAAACAAAUAGUCAUCGCGUGGUUCGCGUUGAUGCAGCGCGUUGCCAUUGUCUAUUUUUUGCCUAAUAUCUUAUUCCCUUACUAAAGGCUAUUUUCAGUGCGAAAUCAUGUUCAAACAGUGGCCAAAAUUGAAUUUAUUCUACUUUCAUUAAAAUAUUCUACACUUGUGUGCCGGUGGAUUCGCUUAAUCCCUGUAGUUUGACUUUCUUCAGGGCCAUAUCAUGUCCAAGCUGUGCUAAAGUUGAAAAUGUUACAAGCACUCAAGCAUAGUUACAUAGUCCAAGUUUGAUCAUUUUCGUUUUAAACUUCUUACACUGAUAUGUCGGUAGAUUAUUCAAAAAAGGUAGAGUUAGUAAAAUGUACAAAUUUGACCUGAUUCAAGAAACCUACUUUUACCUUCAUUAGACAAGGGAAAAAAUACAUUAUAAUUGAGUCUUCAGAUAGGUUAAGAAAUCCUGAGAUAAAAUCCUAUUGGAUGACAUCAAAACCAAUUUUAAUUGUCAGUUUUCGGAGUCCAAUAUGUAUAUGUUGGAUAUCGAGAUAGUAUUGACAAAAUUGGCAGAUAUUUGAGUCUUUUAAAUGUCUUAUGAGGGUUCAAUUUUUGGCCACACGAAUGAAUACGUUGUUAGAAAGAACAAACCCUACUUCAACAAUAUUAAUAUCUAAAGAUACCUGAGAUACAAAUAAAAUGUGUGUAUACUUUCUGUACGUGUGUAUGCUUGGUUCGCAUCUCGUGGUAAAGUGAGUCGGGGAUAUGCGAAUCUAAGGAAAAUAGAAGGAUAUGAUUUUUUAGAAGGAAAAUGAGGCGAUUCCAAUCACUCAUCAUCUCAAACAUUUUGGAUUCCUGUUAAAACAAUCCAAAGUUCAGCAAUAAAAACAUUUUAGAUUUCAUUCAACUAUGAAUUGUCAUAUUGAUUUCAUUCAACUCAGGUUUAUCCAAUUAUUACGUUCAGCAAGGGACGGCAAAGGGCUGGUCAUAGGACUGAGUAACAAAUUUUUUAUGCUCUGUAGUGAUGAAAACUUUUUAGCCAUCCAAUUAGAGAUCUGCACGGUUAAUGCGAAAAGAGAGAGUUUAUGUAUAAUAUAUCCUUACCUAUUUGGAUACCAUUUUGGAAAUCAGGGUUUCUAUGAAUGUUGCUGUUCGUUUUCCGUUGGAGCACCCUGAAUAUACUUUCUGAAAAUAAUAAUUUUGUUUCUGCCAACCUGGACGGAGGUAAUUUUGGAGGGAGUUUUAAAGGUAUCCAAUACAUUCAUUUCAAAGAUAGCAAUGAACCGUAUAGUCCGAACUUCGAUUAGUAAAAACUCUUCAAAACUCAAACAUGACAAGAUAUCACAGAAGUACGUGUAAUAAAUUGUCAAAGACAAGAGCUUUAGUUAUGAUAAUCACAAGUUAUCGCCUCUAUAUUGCCACAAAUGAAUGAAUACAUGAUUACUUAAUCUUUGGAUUGUGUUUCAGCUACAUAUUCUAAAAUGCCAAAAAGCUAUACCUUCGUUCUAUAUAUUUCACUCAUGAUGUCCAGUUUCCUCUUAUACUGAUACUGUAAAGAGGUAAACUUUUAGUACAACGGCUAGAGCCAGCUGCAACAGAAAAAUGCCAGCAACAAUCAAGAACCACCUUUCACCUGCUGAUUUGAUAUGUGCCCGGAGGUUAAGUGCCACAAAUGUCGCUGACAUGAAGCCAGCCACACCUGCAACCACCCAUCUAAAUAUAUCCAGUGGCACAAUGGACAUACACUGCAUAAAACAAGGGUUUGACUGUUGAUAAGACAAUACAAAUCAAUGUCGUAUUUCAUGUUUCCUUAAAGGUAGAAAAAGGAAGAACUUACCAGUGCCGGAAUAAAGACAAACAGGGAAUACCCAUAUAGACAGAAUAGUUGCACAAGGCCAGCAGGUGCAGAGAAGUAUUUGAGGAUUACAUACAGGCAAAGAGGAACUAUUGUAACGUAGCCAUAAAACAAACCAGCAGACCAAGUCACCAGAUUUAUGUCAUAAUCCCAUUCCUUGCUCUUCAGCUUGUGUGCUACAUAUGUCACAAAGGUGCCAAUAGAUGCUGCUACAAAUAUUAAGGUAGUGCAAAUCCAGAAUGGACCAUACCUGCAUAUAUUUAUGUGAACUAAAAAUUACAUGCACAAAACUCACUCCUUUUACGACAAAGUUAUAGAAGUCCUGUUCUCCAAGAACAAAAAAAAGGUAAACAUCAUCUUGUCCACACAGCAGUAUUUAAGUAACAAGAUAUUAGGCCACAGAAGAUACUUUAAUAAAUUUUCACAUAAAAAUGAAACACAACAAACAGAUCAUUAAACGCGUGAGUGUUUAGCUUGGAAGAUAUUAGCAUAUUAAAACUGGCCACAACAACACAGAUACACCACUUCUCCAUAAAAACUAUAUUUAACAAUGUGCAUAACAUAAUUUCAAAACGUCAGCAAUCAAAACCGAAAAUUGGUAGUAGUAUGCUCAGUCAAUGACAUGAGAAAAAGACAGUCCACUCACAAAUCAGGGUUGGUAGCAGUUUUUUCAUUAAAAGAUCCUCUAAAUGGAAAUAGCGAGUCUACAAUUCUCUCAAGAACAUCUGAAGUGUCAACAUCAAAGUACGGUUUGUAAGCGGCAACUGUAAAAGUCCGAAACCAACCACCCUGCUGGGGUUCAUCAGAACCAGAUAUAGGUUUUGAAAAUGAAUCUGCAUAAAAAUGAACGAAACAAUUCAACACAAACAUAUCAAAUAGAUACCCAAUAGAAAUAAGUUAAAAUAACAACUCCAACCAUGAAAUUUCCCAAUGUACAAGAGAAGGCAAUAACAUAAGUAAUAUGCAUCAAUCACCCUCCCUCUAGAGUAAAAGAAACAAGAACAAGAUCGGACCAAACACAACAGCAGAAAAUAAUACUAAUGUUUUAUGGGCUGGCAUGGACUAUAUAGUAGGUAAUAACAGUAUCUUUGUUACAAUUAUACAUAGUAGGUUAAUAGGCGUCACCAUUACAUCACAUCCAUCCAAGUUACCAGCACAGUUUCCACCAAAGUCCAUAGAUAUCAAUAUGGAACAGCAACACAUUGCAAGACAAGCCCCCAAAUACCAUAGUGAAAUCUUCAAAAUUUAUAUUGCAUAUUUUAUAGUAUACAUAUGGAUAGGGGAGACAAAGUAAGUCAACCUGACUCACUUUUUUGCAAUCUAUAAAGUUUGUAACUCAGACUCAACCCACCUAAGGUUGUUGGGUUAAAUGGACAAAGUGAGUUGGCUCAUUUAAGCAUAUUUUGUUUUUCCAACUUGUUUCGUACAUUCAUUCUAGUACAAUCAAAGUGCAUUGACUCAAUCCACCUAUUUAUAAUAGUAAAAUUAGGACGUCCACCUAUUUCACUGAACACUAACCUCAAUUAGGAAGUGAUAUUAUAAAGAUAAUUAUCAAAAAUAAAAAAUGUUAACUUAUAUAAUUGGCUAAACAAAUAAAUUAAGCAUCCAAACCAUUCAAAUGCUAUUAGAUAACAUUCUAAUAUUAAAAAAAAAAAGUGUCAACCUACAAAAUUAAAAGUAGUAAAUAAUUAUAAUGAAAAAAAUUAUAAAGGAGUGUUGGUGGUGGGUUACUGGUCAACCCACAUUCAACCAGACUCAAACAAGUUUAACCCACUAAUUAAGUUAGUUGGCUUCAAUUUAGUCCACAUUUAAAAAAUAAAGAAUAAAGAAUAAAAAAAAACUAUUACUUUCCAACCAUAGCCAGCACACACUCAUGGGUUUGAACCCAUUUUGACACCCCUACAUAUAGUCCUUACUGCCAACACUGUUUUUUGUUUUAUUCCUUUGCAUAAAAAGAUCCUACAUUUGCAUGCCUGUAUGAAAAAACUUUUCCGAAUUAGUCACUACCAUCGAUCAAAGUUAUGAUAUUAAAUUUGUUCUUUAUACUUGACAUCAUUUUUGUACAAAUAUCUACUCUACACAGUAAAAGAAAUUAAAAAUUACUUUAACUCUCCCUGUAAAAAACUCCACAUAUUUGGUAUCUACACAUGAUGUAUAUUUUAUGGUCUCGGUCCUUACAAGAAAAAUUCUUUACCAUCACUUCAAUAAAUGAUUGGGAUCAAUCGGUAAUUUUUUAUGUGAACCAAAAUGUAAUAAUUUUCAUAUAGGUACUAAAAAAAAUAAAAAGAAAAUAAAGACAGGUUUAAAAACAAUUAAAAAAAAUAUCAAUUCCAUGAGGUAAGAGGAAAGUGGGAUGACCUGUAUUUUAAAUACUAUACAGACUAAAUAAUUUAUACUGCUCAUAUAAAUAAUCAAACCAAAGGAAAAAUUAAAGAAAUUCAUAAAAAAUAAAAACUCAAGACUAUUUUCAGACAUGGUCAAUCUAGGGGCAAUAUGAACAUAGUAAUGAAAUCAGAAAAAUUAAAGAUGAUAGUGAAAUCAGUGGAAAAUAAGAAACAUAACAAAUUAUAUAAAAAAUAGCAUAAUAUGAACUAGGAGUCUUGAAGGAAGAAGAAAGAAUGAAACACGCAAAAAAAAAAGUCCUGAAAACAGUUAAGAAACUAAGGGCCAAGCACAGGUAAUUUUCUGUAAAACAUUCGAGGAAGAAGGGUUAUUCCUAUUGUUUCUGUGGCAUAAAAUGCAAUAGAAAAUAAAGAAAAAUCACAAUUUUACCCAAAAAAGGUUCUAAACAUUGUAUUAGAGUAACAAUGGGUUUGGAAGCCUAAGGCAUGGUAGCACCGCAAUGGCAUGCAAAAAGCCACAAUUGAAAACCACAUUGCUUUCUGAAUGCCAUAGCAACAUAAGAGCGCACUAUUCCCUACUAAUCAAAGUCAUGAUGCAGUCAUAAUUAACGUUAAAAACAUCAUGGGUCGUUAAUGAAACAUACAAGCAAAAACAAAAAAUUGACUUUGGUUACAUCAAUAAUUUUCAAACUAUUCCAUUUGUGAAAGACCACCAAUGAGAACAGGAAUGGGUGUCUGCCAGAAAUACUGCUGGAGGACCGAGGCUGCUGGUUGCACUGCAGAGAGAAGCAUGGACCAAGGUUCUUAAACUCAGGAUUCUAACUAGAAUCACAAGAGGAUGAAAAUUCAUGACUGGCGAUAGUAAAUCAGAAUCGUAGAUUGGAUCGAAAGAUCCUACACUCAAACAAAAAUUAUACUUAUAUCAUAUGUAAUACAUACAUACAUACAUACAUACAUACAUACAUAUAUAUAUAUAUAUAUAUAUAUAUAUAUUAACUUUUUUAUGCCUAAUUAAUAUAAUAGGACCUAAAAAUAACAAAUAAAGAAAAUAACCUCUAUAUUACAACCUUAAACAAACUUAAAUUGAAAUUUCAUAACCAUGAUAAUAUAUUAUAAAUCAAAGAAUAACUAUAAUAUAUUAUUAUGAUUAUUAAUAGUUAAGAAAAAGGGGGAGCAGUUAGGCUAAUAAAAAUAGGAUAACUAUAUAUUAUAAAAAGUUUUAUUGAAAAGCUGUAUUGUAUUCAUUAUAUGAAUAUUUAUAAUUAUAUGUUAUACGCUUAGGCUCACUAAUAACUCAAAAUACACAGGCACCAUCCAAAAAAUCUUGGCAAAUCAAAAAAAGACACGAUAACAAAAUGAAUGGAAAACGAAAUUUAGUUUGCAAAAGAGAGUAUAUAGAAAAAAAAAAUCAGAGAAGCAACCUGGCAUGAAAAGAAAAAAAGUUUAGUUCACAAAACAUAUUUUUCAAACAGAGGAGCAAUCAGCAGUGGCCCAGGGUAGAAAUGGUGAUGAAGGAAUAAAGGUAUGGCAGUAGCAAAUACUGAAGGAGAAGCAGCCAGCAAACAAGAGCAGAUUGCAAAUGGGAAUGAAUGAGAAAAACGAUUGGAACAAAGUGAUUCUAGGAUUUUCAAAACUGGUCAUUUGGCCAACUUCUGACUUUGAGAUCAACCAUCCCACGUGGAAGAUUCUAUACCCCUUCCCAAACGAUCCAGGUGACAGUUCAGCACAGACAAGGCUGCUUGGCACCUAGGAUUACGCGAUUUCACAAUGUGAAUUACGAUUUUAACAACUAUUCCAAGGGGGAACCACAUCUAAUUAUGGUUUUUUGAAAUUCUGACUAGGGAAGGGAAAUCUCAACCCCACCUCUCUCAGACAACGCAGUUUCAAGGUCAAAUAGGAUUUUUAAGAUGUGUCAUUGUAGUGCCGCUAUAGUGCUGUAACAGGCUGCUACUUUGGCAACAAUAUCAGCUAUGACAGCCACCGUUCAAAAGGGUACUGUCGCGCAAACUCCGUAGCAGCCCAUAGCUGCUGCACUACUGAUAACUAUAGUUCCCUCUUCCACGCACACCUUCUAACAAUCCCAUCAGACAAAUCAACGCAUAAUUUAAUACUAUAAACAGCACACACACAAGAUAAACAUCAUAAAAAGCAUAAGAAUAGACAAUUUCACGAAAUAUAAAGCUAGAUCAGGGGAAUAUUAUUAAAGCAAGAAUUGAAAACCUUUCGAGUAUCAUCACCACCAUCUGUAAACCCAAGUUCCUAUGAUGUCAUCUCAUCUCUUUAUUACGCUGUCAACUUAAUAAUUCAAGCGAAGUCCUAACUAAGUCACAGCGUCUAAUACACUACUAAUCACAGAACUUCCAUCAUGGAUCAUAAAAUAAUCAAUCACUGGGAAAGGAAAGCUAUUAAUUAACCUAUUUUUCUAUAAGAUAUUAAAAAAAACGAAGAGAGUGUAGUUAUAACACACCAUCGGCAUCUCGAGGAGGACCAGAAGCAGCGGUAAUCUUGCCCUGCGUUCCAGAAGGAGGAAAUGUCUGAAGAUUUGAAUCUAAAAUGCAAACAAAUUACAAAUCUGUGAUCAGAUCCAGCAUAGGAGAAUGAGAGAAAGAGAGAGGAAAGAGUUGAACCUGCGAAAUUGACAGUGACCUGUCGUGAAUCUGGAACAGCCUGAAAGAAAUGAAAGAGAGAAGUGAGAAAUUGAAGAGUUAACAACGGAACAAAAGAUUCGGAUAGAGAACACUGACAGGAACAGAUCCCUGAACUUGCUGCGCGUCAAUGGAGGUAUAUUUUCCCGACAUCAUCUUGACUUGAUCUUCUUCUUUUCCCUUUUCCUUCUUCUUCUCCUUCUCUCAGAUCUCUCUUCUCUUCUCAGUCGCUCCGAAAGCUUCCACUCUUCGUUUUGUAUUUAAAUAAUUAAAUAAUUCUAUUAAAAAAUAUUUACCAAAUGUAAUUAAAAUAUUUCUUUUAUUCUUUCAUUAUCAUUUUUCUUUUAUUCUUUUUUUAAUUUUUACUAUUUUUCCUACAUCAGUCUCUUCAUCUUUAUUAAGUUACCUCUUCUAAGCACUGAGAAAAAAAAAUAUUUUUAAAAAAGUUAAAAUUGAUUUAUGUAUAAAUUAACAAUACCAAAUUAUAUUUGUCCACGCAUAAAAAUAUUUCUCUCAUAUAUGCUUGAGAGUAGUGAAAGUAUAUCUUUGGAUUAUUUUACUUUUAAAUUAUGCUCUGCCCAUUGUUUCAUUACAGUGAAAAAGGUAAAUUCUGCGUGUAAACGGGCUUAUUCAUGCAGAGUGAGAUGUUUGAAUAAAAUUUUACAAAAGAAAAACUAAAUAAUUUUUAUCAUAAAUUAAAAUUAAUUUAUAUAAAAAUAAAUAAAAUAAAACAUAAAAGGGAAUUUAUACCAUAUACAAGUUAAUUUUAGUUUCAAAAUAAGUUUAUAAAUAGUUUUAAUAAUGUUAAUCAAGAUAUUUCUGGGGAUUUCAAAUAUAAGUUUCUCUUUAAGUGUACGACUAAAAGAUUUUAAAAUAUUAAUUGAUAUCCAUUUUAUUAGUUCUAAAAUAAAUAAAUAAAUUAUAUGCAUUCAUUGGAUGAAAUUAAAAUGAUGUUACUUUAACGAGCUCUAAAUUAAAAAUAACUUUUAUAUUUAAAAUACUUAUCAUUUUAAUUUUUUGAAUAGAACUCUUAUUUUAAGGCUUUUUAUAUGAAUUUGGAAUUUGUAUUUAAGUUUUUAAGUUCUUGAGAUUGUAAUAAAAUGGUCGGUAUUAAUGAAAUGACAAAAUGUUCUUUGAAAAUGUACACCAUCAAUUACUUUAGUUUUGAAAAUUAUAAUGCAAAGUCAAAAAUCGAUUUCAAAAAUAAAUAAAAUGCUGAAAUCAUCUUUAAAAGUAUGAAUUGUCAAUUCAUCUAAUCUUCAAAAUUUGUAAUAGUAAAACACAUUAGUCCCAAAUUAUAAAUAUUUAAUUUUUUAAACAUUUCUAAUUCCCUAGUCAAACAUAAGCAUACAUUUAAGAGAAAAAAAAAUGUAAUUAAGUAUUUAUAAUUAAGGUUCAACUUGCUUUACUGUUACAACUUUAAAGAGUAAAUUGAUGAAUGAUUUGUAAUUUUAAGAACAUACUUUCCAUUUUUUUAUUGCAAGGUUAUAUUAUCCGUAACAAUUUGAAUAACUAAAAGUAUUGAUGAUGUGCGAUUUUAGACAACAUGUUCUUCUUCUUUUCUUUUGCAUUUUAUUCAUUUCAAGGAUCAUUUAUAUGAAUUAUUGCAAUUUCAAACAAUAAAUUAUAGUUUUAAUUUAUUUAAAAAUUAAAUAAUGUGUACCUUAUCCAAAUUCUAAAUUAUACAAAAAUACAAAUGUGCAAAUUUUCACAUUAUAAGUAAUAUUGAAGACUAUAAAUUUAAAAUAGAUGACAAAAUGGGUAUGGCAUGUUGUUGAUAAGUUAAAAGAUUAAUGAUAUUUAGACAACAUUUUUUUGACAACAUUUGAACAUUGAUUACGUAUCAAUAUGUGAUUUGUUAAAAAUUACUCCACAAUAUUAUUUAAGAUUAUUAUACGUAAUCAAUGUUCAAAUGUUGUCAAAAAAAUGUUGUCUAACUAUUAUUAUCGAAGUUAAAAACAGGUUUGGACUAAUCCGUCAAACAGAAACGGAUUAUUAAUGACAAUCCGUCCCGCACAUGAUGGGCUGACAUAUCGGGUAAAACUAACUUGUUAUUUUUUAUAUAUUAUAAUUUAGUUAAAUAUUUAAAAAUAAAAUCUCUAACAUAUUUUCAUACUCAUAUUGAACGUGGAUAAUUUAAUUAACAUCAAUCAUUAUAUUAUUCAGUAUCUUUUAAUUUAAACAAAAAAUCUUUAAAUCCCACUGUUAGAUUAAAUGUUUUGAAUUUUUUUCACACUUUUGUGUUGUAAACAGCUUCGAUUUGAAUCUCAUUUAGUUCAUAUAAAUCACAGGUGUUAUUGGAUCGCUCCCCUUGUAGACAUGGAAAGAACACUCAAUGAAAUUGAUGCAAGUAACAUUAGGUAUCAGAAUUCCAACAAUAAAAAUGUCAAAAGCAAAUUGAAAGAGCUUAUGAGUGAGUUGGGAGAGUGUCUCCAUAGGAGAAGAUUGUGCUAGGUAUACAUUCAAAAACACCAAUUAUAUCGUAUGCUUAAAACCUAACAUAACCAUCACAGAAUUGAUAGCUGAAGCUGAUACGAGAUUCCUAUCCCUAUUAUCUGAUGUAUUUUAAAAACAUCCGUGAUGUGAAGUUCUUAACACCUUCUCCCAUGAUAAGUGAACAUCUCAACAUAAAACUAAAUAAUUACAGAUGGACAUGUAACAAUCUGAUAGCAUUCCUAUUGUAUAUUGCUUCUUAAUCAUAUUUUUGAAACUACGAUAUUGUAAAAUAGAAUGAAUAUCCGACAACACCAAUAAAUCAUCUUUGAAACUACAAUAUUUCUUUGAAAUUACAAUAUGAAUAAUUCAUUACUAGUCUUAGUAAUCCAUUGACAGAAAAACGUAUGAUUACAAGAUAUUCCUCCUACCCCGUGCCUGUAACAACUUAACAACUCGAAUAUUCUAAAUCUGACAGAUUCUCCCACCAUAAAAAUCUCAAUACUGCUUACUCUAGUUUUAAUAUACUAAUCUUCAUCUGAACUACUAUUUUCAGAAGUCCUUCCAAAGUCAUCUGAUACGUUUUUAUCCUGUAGAUAUGCAAAGUUAUGAGUGGAUGGUAACUGUGCAACAUAAAAGGAACUUGCUAUAACUUCAAAUGAUACUUACAGGCAUUUUAUCCCAAUCCUUUAGCCUUGAACUUGUCAUCAUAUGAUUAUCUCGUAAUGGAGCCCAAGCAGGCUGUUGGUCUUCUACCUUGCCCGUGCCUUCAUUGAUCUGCAUAUAAAAAAUCUACAGUUUGAUAAUUAAGCAAAAGAAAGAACCUAUCUCAUCAAGAUAGGUUUGCUACAGUUUAUUGGGAAAAAAGAGAAAUUUUAGACAAGGCACUGAGGCACUGGUUUAAACAUAUCAAACCUAGUUCAACCAGUUUGACAGUUGCACCAGACAGACCAGAUAAAAUAUAAAAUUUAAAAAAUGGAACACCAAAUAAUAUGUUUAACAUUAAUGGUUAAAUCCUCAUCNGAAAUAGUAUUACUAAAAUUUUUCCACAUUCAGGAUUUCCCUGCUAAACUUCAAUAAAAUUUAAAGUGGUAAAAUUGAGACCAGACACUCUGACCACUUUUAAAUCACUAAUCAAAAUUAUCGAGUUGUUAGCUAAAUUGACCUAAUCAAAUAUUGACACCAAAAAAAAGAAUGAGCAGUUAAAAAUCACCUUUGUUGAGGUGCCAGUUGAAGGCAAUGACGGUUUCCCUAACUCUGAAAAGAAGGCUUGUUUGGCCCGUUUUCGUAUCUCUGCCAGCAUACACAUUGGAUAAUUAGAAUUAUACACUCAUCACCAAGAUUGAACAUGUUAAGAUCCAAGAAAAUAGAACACGUAGGAAUAAACAGAGAAUCAAGAGUAAAGUACUGUAGUUCUAUAAUAAGAAUAAAAAGGAAAUACAGCAUCAAACAACUAACCUUUUGCAUCCUUAUUCCUAGAGGGGUUCAACCCUUUUUGAGCAGUUUGUGCCUUAUUGACCUGCAACAGAUGUGAACAAAAUCUCUGGCUUAAUUAUGAUAGAGAUACAAACCAUCACAGAGACACAUACAAAAAUCUAUGAAGAAACCAAAUUUUGGUUAAACUUUAAGUGAAAACUUACAGCAUUGAAUAACUUGACCACUGAAAGUAAUCCAAUUUGAUGCAUGGUCACAACAAAAGUCCACAUCAAUAACAAGAAAAUGCAAGUCGUCAAACAAAUUAAAACAGCUAUAGGCUUUUAUUUAAGAAAUUCAACUCAUUUACCUCCUUUUGUUGCAACACUUAUCAGAAACUUUUCAUGUGAGUCCAAGUAUGUAGCAGGUUUGACAUGUCCCUUUUCUGCUAACUGUAAAAAGCAAUAAGAUUACAACCUAAGACAGGGAAACUUUUGGGAGAUAAAAACUGAGCAUACGAAUAAACUGUAACGGUCUUUGGAAAACAAUAAAAUCUGUCAAAAUAAAAUUUAAGAUUACCAUCUGCUUUUCCUUUUUGGCCUCUCCCUUGAUAUUGCGUUCUGCUUGCUCUUCUCCUAGUUUUUCUAUAACAAGUUUCUUGUGUGCUGACAAUAUUGGACCCUGCAGAUUAUCCAAGUCUUAAAAAAACUAGUCUCCCUAUGUUCUGUAAAAUCAUAAUCUUCUGUAUUCAAAUAACUUACCAACAUAUCAUCGGGAACACUCUUCUUCAUAAUAUUCCUAAAUGCCAUCUUGAAUGCUCGGCAUCCUUCAGUGAAUUUUGUAAUUCCUGGCUGAAUUUCAUUAUCAUCAUCUCCUUCAUCAUCAGAACUGUGAUCAUUCGUAUCAGUAGCAUUUUUGUUCGAUGAUUUUAGUGGUGCUGCAGCUCCUUCAUCUUCAGACUGAUUGUCCCCACUUUCCAUGCCAUCCUUCUCAUUAUUUUUAUUGGUGACAGAUGCCAAACGUCUAGUCUCCGAGGCAGCAGUGACAAUGGCCUCAUCUUCUUCAUCAUCAGAGUUAUACUCCCGUGCUCGCUUGCGGAAAAGUUUCUUCAUUUUUUUGUCUAUUUUAACUUUCUUCUGUCCAUGUGGUGAUGGCAUCACUUUUGCUUUCUUACCUGACUUCUUACGGCCUUGAGUUUUAACAAAUUUCCUCCUAGCUCUCCCAGAUUCUACCAUUGCAAUUUCUUCAGCCAUUGACGGUUUUAUAACCCAACUCCAACCUGUAUAAGUAUAUACCAGUAAUAAAAAAAGUUAUAAAAAAAAAAAAAAAACAACUGAAGCACUCAGCAUCCACCCAAAAAUAAAGGGUGCAACAUAGGUACCACACAAGAAUGAACGUGACACUAGUCAUAAAUAGAAGAAAAACAAAGUAAGCACCAAUAGCAACCCUAAAUAAUUCCCAACUCACAGUCUGAAUUCAAAUUUCAAGUUAUCACCUCACAAGCAGAACAACCAAAGAAAACCUAAUCCACAAAUUCAUUUGUCCUUAAACUUGAAAAAAUAUCAAACAAAAAAUCAAUCAGAAUGACAAACCUUUGACUGAACAUAGAUUGGUUUGCGCUUAAUCAUGAAAAGACGAGAACUACAGAAUACAUUGAAGUUCAAUUUCUAAAAUAAAGAAUAAAUUAGCGAACAGAAUAGAGUGAUAGGUCGUACUCGAAUUGACGAUGUCUGCGAAGGAAGAAUUUGCAGUGGCCGCCGGAGUGGGAACGUUAGGGUGAUGGAUCCAUAUUUAAACCUAUUUAUUUUCUCUUCUAAAAACUUCAAAAGUGUUUGCUUAUUAUUUAUCUAUUUAUUUCACAUCAUUUACACUGGCUAAAAUCUUAUUUUUCCAUCUCUAAUAUAAUAUAAUAUUUUAGGUUUAUCUUUAAUAGAUUUUUAAAUAUAUAAGAAAAAAUUAUUUGUAGAUACAAAAUUGAAAGUCAAAAUAUAUUAAAUUUAAAUUUCUUUAAUUAUACUAUUGAAUUACUUAUCAUAGUUAUUAGCCUCGGUGAAAAUAAAAGUAAUAAAAUAAUUAUUAGGAUAAAAUUAUUUGUUAAAUUCCGAAUACAAAAAAUAGUAAAAAAAAUGGAAAUAUUUUAAUGGAAAAUAUUGAAAUAAAACUUUGUAAAAGUAAUACUGAAAUAUUAAAAAUUGUGAAUGUAUAAACAUAUUACAUUGUUAUAAAUUUUCAAAUCCAUCAUUUUCAUAAUUAGAUUAGAUUACAUUAUUAUAUGAUUUUGUAUCAAAAAGGUUAGACCUGAGGUGAGAUGCUAGCUAGAAAGAAAAGAGCAAAUUGAAAUAUUUAUUUUUGACAAAAGAAAUAUCGGAGUGAAAAGUUUAUUUAUUUAUCAAAUUAUAACAUUCAUUAUGUGAAAAAAUAAGUAAUUGUGUUAUAUAUACUUAAAAAUAUCUAAAUCAAACACGUUUCAUCAGUAUUUUCUUUACAAUUAUAGAUUAAAUAACAUAACUUUUAUUAGUUAAUUUAUAUUUCAAAUUAUCAGUAAAUAUAUACUAAUUUCUUCUCGUAUUAUAAAUACGAUUAUUUCAGUCUUAUUGUAUAUGUAUGACUAUUUUAGUCCUUCCCAUCAUAUACAUAUACAUAUAUAUAUAUAUAUAUAUAUAUAUAUAUAUAUAUAUAUAUAUAUAUAUAUAUAUAUAUAUAUAUAUAUANNNNNNNNNNNNNNNNNNNNNNNNNNNNNNNNNNNNNNNNNNNNNNNNNNNNNNNNNNNNNNNNNNNNNNNNNNNNNNNNNNNNNNNNNNNNNNNNNNNNNNNNNNNNNNNNNNNNNNNNNNNNNNNNNNNNNNNNNNNNNNNNNNNNNNNNNNNNNNNNNNNNNNNNNNNNNNNNNNNNNNNNNNNNNNNNNNNNNNNAUGUUUUCUUUCACUUGUUCAGAAAUUUCUUCAUCCAAACUGAAAUCUUGAACAUUCCUUGUUGAGCAGAAGCUAAUUAAGUGUCUCAAUCUCCAAGAAUUUCGAUUUCAGCUGAUCAAUCCUUCCUCUUUCUAAUUGGUAAGUAAAUUCUCAAUUCUGCAUAGCCAUCAGGGCCAUGAUCAUGCAAUAUAUAUAUAUAUAUUUGCAUGUGAUUCAUUUUGUUUUCCCCAAAUUUCUUGUUUAAUUUAGACCUAAAAUCUACCUUCAAUUUUCCAACGUUUGAUCUUUAGGCAAACUCUGAAAAUUCUAACGGUGCCAAAUUCCAUAAAAUAGUUCGAGUCUGAGUCGUGAUCACUGUCCAGGUAAGGGGAGCUAGUUCUUAUUUUGUUUUGGGUUGUGUGAUGUGAAUGCAUGAUAAUUUUCGAAAUGGUAUGUGGAUUGGAAACAUGAUUUUGAUUUUGGUUAACUUGAAAUGCAUGGAUGGAGGUGUUUAAUAUGCAAUUUGGUGGGUGGUGAUUGUAUGCUGUUUUUGAAUGAUUUAGAUUGUUGAAUUAUGUAUGUUGGAGUUGUUGUGGUAUAGAAAUUCUAUUGUGGUGAUGCUAGAAAGGAAAUUAAGUGCCUUAGGGUUACUUUUUGGUCAUUUUAGAGGAAGUGAGGUAGUGAUUUUGAAAAAAUGAGGUUUGUCACGUUUUUGGGCUGUUGGGACAGUUUCACCCACUGUAUUGUGACUUGUUUGAGUCACUAAAUUGGUCAAGAUAGGUGCAAAGUGGUAAGAUUGAGUUUUGGGUCCCUAAGUUGGGUAAAUUGGUGUUUUAGAGUUAGAAAGGAAGUGUGGUGGUCAAUUUUAGAGUUAGGCAUUCUUGGUGAUCCUAGUCAGUUUAGGUAACUUAGGUAGGUCAUGUGUGACUUAGUAGGCGUGUUUAAAUGGUUAAAAAUCAACUCCAAGUUGUAGAAUUGAAUUUAGACCUCUAGGUUGAUAAAAUUGAAGUUGUAGAACCUAAAUCAAUGCAUAAACACUUUAUAAUAAUGUUAGAAAGGAUUAGAAUUGUUUAGGUAAGUUUAUUUUAGCAUGAAAGUUGACUUAUGGGUUGUAGAAGUUCACCAAAAGGAUUAGAAUUGGUAAAAGGGGGUAGAAUUGCUCAAUUAUGCAGAAAAAUUUGCAUAAUUCUCGCUUGGGUGCUUGGGCGCCAUUUUCUGCUGUCGUGUUUGUUGUUGAUAGUUUAUGGGGUUCCGGACGUCCGUUUUGGACGUUCUUUAGGUCGUUCUGGGGGUUUUUGACCCUUCCGGAAUCAUUGGUGAGGGUCUCCAAGCUGUUUGAAUUACUUAAGUAUAGGUAAUUAUAGUUGAUAAAGAAAUUGGUAUUAAUAAAUGAUGUUUCUGUGAAGAUAUGUAAUGUAUGAGCUAUAUAUGUUUAUUUUGCUUCUGAAUGAGAUUGUAUGAUUAAUUGGAUGAGGUUGGUGAGGUGAAACAAGAUUGGUGAUAUAGAUUAUGAACUUUGAGAAUUAUUCAAAGAUCUCUAGGUGAGAUCACUUUAGUGUAUUAAUGAAUAUUGAGGCUCCUUCAAGGGAGGUUAUCCCUAAUACUCUGACGGUCUUUCAUUCUCAAAUAGAGAGGAUCGACAUGGGUGGUGAGUAGGGAUGGCAUAAAAAUCCGUACCCGCGGGUAUCCGCGGAUAAAAUCCGCCACGGGUAGUUAGUACCCACGGGUAAAAGGUACCCGCGGGUGGCGGGUAGCGGGUUUUUUAAUACCCGCUUGUUAACGGAUCGGGUUCAGAUAUCACACUAUCUGUAUCCGCGGGUACCCGCAACCCGUCUUACCCCUUUAAAUUAUUUUCUAAGAUAUCCUGUCGUCAAACCCUAGUUUCAAUUUCAUUACAUUUUUUCUCUUUCUCCUUCGUUUUCUCUCCACCGCGGACGACCUAAUGUUGGGGCAAGGAUGAUCUGCGUCUUAAGCAGAGACUUCUCUGCCACGGACUCCGACUGUGCUCGUCGGCGAAUGGCACCAGACUCAGAGUCCGACGAGAGGCUUGCUGUUGGAAGUAGAGAAGCACGAAUCCGAUGAAGAAGAAGGUGGUGAAGAGGAUGAGGAAGACGUAGGCAACGCUCGAAGUGAACACCGGAGGAUUGGACACUUUCAGAGGGCUUCCUAAGGACAUUUGCGGCGAGGAAGCGUUUCGUGUUUGGCGUGAGGAAGAGGAGGCAUGGACAUGGAGAGGUGGCAGCUUGGAGGCGGUGAGGCACGGCGGUGGCAGCUUGGAGGGGGUGAGACGCUGGAUCUGCGGUUCGGCGAGGCGCGAUGGUGGCAGCUUGGAGGCGGUGAUGCGCGACGUUGAUANCUUGGAGGGGGUNAGACGCUNGAGAUCUGCGUUCCGUUUAUGGAGGCGGCGNCGCACAAGCAGUGGGAAGGAAAAUGAACUCCUAACUUGAGAAAGAAACCCUAAUGUGAAGGGUUUGGGCUUGGCCCAUACUAAAGGUUAUUAAAACAACCUAAAAAAAGUUUUGUACUUGUCCAUUUUAAAAAAACAAACAAAUAAAAUAUUAUUUUUUUAAAGUAUUAUUGGGUUGAAACGGGUAUCCAACGGGUAUCUGCGGGUUGAAAAAAAUCCGCGGAUUUUUUUUAUGCGGGUACCCGACGGGUAGCGGGGCGGGUAACGGGCACACUUUAUAUAUGCGGGUCGGGUUCGGGUAUCAUACUAUCCGGCCUGAACCCGACCCGUUGCCAUCCCUAGUGGUGAGAGUAGUGGGAAGUCCUAGGGUAAACGCUUUCACUGGAGGUCUAUUCCGCGGUAACGGACUAGCCUUGUGUGUGGUUGGGUGAAACCCCUCGGCAAUGGCUUUGCAAAGCAGUAGAGUCCACCACAAGUGCAUAACCUGCUCAAGAUCAAUAUUCAUUCCUAGUCCGGACGAGUCUAGGUCUAGGAUUUAUUUAUGUUUGAUUGGUUGUUGCUUGUAUGCUUUGUUUCUUGAAAAUGCAUUGAUUAUGUUUAUGUUUUAAAUACUAGCUNACCCUUGCAAUGUAUGUGUGUAUUUUGCAUGUUUCUGGUCUUCCCUUCUUGCGAUGAUCAUCCUACUUUUGGAUGUGAGCAGAACCAGUAGAUGACACGCCUUUGGAGCAAGCUCUGGACAGUGGAGAUGUAGCUCUCACCUCUUAGAUUUACUUUCAGUUUCUUUAUCUUAUUCCAUUUUGAAAGACUUUAUAUAUGUAAAGCUUUUAACUUGUCUUUAUUUUGGAUGACUGUAUAACUAUAUACUAGCAUCAUAUCACUCCUACUGCUUUAUAGUAUUACAGUUGUUGUUUUCCAUGUCUAUAUACUUGUUAUAUAAUUUUGAGAUGUUACAUUAUUUUUACAACUUUCAUUCCUAUAAAAAAAUAUAAAUAAUUAUACUUUUCAUCCUGUAAUAUAGGAUGAAUCUCAUUUAGAUUCUUUAAAUAUUGAAGAAAGAUUAUUUCAAUUUCUCAAAUUUGAAAAAGAUGUUUUAAGUACUUUUAUAUUAAAAGCAACACUAAAUAUUUAAUUAAAUCUAUAACUUAGUACAACAACUUUUGUACUAGUUCUACACGAAUAAUUUUUACAUUAUAUAACAUAAUUAUUACGGGCAAAAUAAGUUACUUCGCUGGUAAAUUAGGUUAAUUCGUGGGUCAAUUCAGUUCAUAAUUUAUUUAAGUUGGAUUGUAUUUAAAAAAAAUAUAAUUUUUUAUAUAAGUUAGUUUUCAAUUUUGUUUAUCAAUUUUUAGUUUUCAAUUUUGUUUAUCAAUUUACCUAAUUUAAUUUAAUUAUUUAUUAUUUUGUAUUUCAAUAUUAUUAGUUAGUAUUUUUUUAUCAUAGUGUUGACGACGAUAAAGAAGAAAUGUUUCAUGAGAGAAAAAUAUUAUAGAUUUAUCUAUUCAAGACUCUAAUCUUAUAAGGGAACAAGUGAUACUAAAAUUUUAUUCGUCUUUUGUACAUAUUUUUGGAUUAUGUUGAGGUUGUAUGAUACUUUUUUUUUAAUUGUCUUAAAAAAAUUGUUUUUUUUAUUUUAAAAAAACUUAUAAUUAAAUGAGAUAAUGAGUCAAUCAAUUUUAACCCACAAACCCGUAGUGGGUCGGUCCAGAUUUAUAUUUUUCAGCUCGCUAAUAAUUGAGUCGGGUUGGGUUGAUUUACUAAGUAACCAAUCCAUGGUGAGUCGAGUCACGUCGAGUUGGAUUACCCGUUUUGACAACUCUAAUUUAAAUUAAUUUUAAAAAUAUUAUUUUCAAUAACCUAAUACAGUUGUUUAUAAUUUCACAUAGUUAAUAUAAUUACAUUAUCACAUUCAGUAGUAGAGUUACAAGUUGAGUCAUAUCUUAGGGUUAGGGGUAUUUUUUUGAAAUAAAAUUCAGAACAAGCACAUAUUCUAAACAGUUCUAUCAAGUUUCUCACAGUACUUGAGAAAUAAUUCUGUUGUGACAAAGAGUUUGAAUUCCAGAUUAAACAAAAACUCUAUCUCCAUCCUAUUCAUCUCCUCUGUGCUAACUCCUCCCACUUUGGCAAAGUAAGCAUUGCUGUAGUACCUGUACAAAAAUGGAAAGAACUUAAUUGUACUUCAUUCCAUAAUUAUAACAUUUUCAACUCUCUAUGGUAGAAUAUAAUUAAAUUAGAUUCAAAAUUAAGUUUUUAAGAUACUUUUAUGAUUAUUUUAAAAAAAUAAUUAUAAUAACAAUUUUUAUUUACUAUAUCUAAUUAAACACAAAACAAAUAUGUAUCAAAUUAAUGUAAAAAAAAAAUUGUAUCAAAUUAUUAUUAUCUUAAUAUAUAUUAAAAUCAGAAAUAAUGGUAUGGUGACAAUAAAAAAGUGAAUUGAAUUUGUAAAAGAAAAGAAAGAGAAAAAAAUAAUAAAAGUAAUGUAAACGCAUAUAAAAAAUUUGUGUGUAAAAAUAUUGUUACUCUAAAAUAAGUGUAUAUGAAGAUAGAUCUACGAGAAACAAAUUUGGUUUAAAUUUUUUUUUAGUCCUUAAAUUAUAAGUUUAUGUUCAGUUUAGUUUCCGUUUUUUAUAAUAUCAAUCUUUGAUUUUUAAGUUAUGAAAAAUAUAUCAAAUCAGUUCGAGCCGAAAUCAAUAAAAUAUCUAUCAUAAAGAAAGAUUUAAACCAAACUAAAAAUAGAAAGAGAAUGGAAAGUGUGUUUUUGUGAAGUACUUACUUAUCAUCAAGAAACUUAGCAGCUACCAUAAUGCUUGUGAUUAGGAGGCGAUGAGCAUUGAAAGAAGUAAGAUAACCACCGUUUUUGUGAAAGAACCUUUCCAUGUAUAUGUGUGCAAUGAAGAAACAAGAAGGGCUGCAAUUAGAGUACUUGAAAAUGCGAUCCAUGUAUUGUGUAACACUCAUGUUUGGUGCUUUCGACCCAUGAAAGAUGGUAACAGGAUCAUACUUUCCUCCUGAGAGCAACAGUUUCUCAUUCUUCAAAAUGGAUCUCUCCAAAAUCGAACACAAUUUCAGCACUGGAGUUUCUGCGACAUCACCCAUUUCUAAUUAUUUAAAGACCUCUGAUCUUAUGAUAGCCAUGGCUUUAUUAGAUGUUGUUGGUGGUGUUUGUUUUCUCUAUUUAAGUACUACACCAUCAUUAGGCAUGCCUUAAUCACAGUAUUAGCAGUUUAAUUUGUUCUGGAUUGGUAGAGAAGUUUUGCUUUUGGUUCUUUCUGGCAGAAUAUUUACAAAAGUGUAUUCUUUCCUUUGGGUUUCAGGUAUGAAUAAUGACACCACAAAGAAUAUUGCCUAUAUGUUUUGACAAAAAAUGGAACCAAUUCCAUUUCAUUGGACCAAUUUGGGCAUAACACUGUAUAUUCCAAAACUUAGUAAAGCUUUAGUUUUCUGAGUGAUUCAUCUUACACUUCGAACUCUUUCAUUCUACCUCCAAUUUCUAGAAAUGCCUUCUAAUUAAUGAAAGGUUUAAAUAUUUUUUUGUCCCUUAAGUUAAGUUUUGAUGUUCAGUUUAGUCUCCGUUUUUUUAAAUGUCAACAUUUAGUUCCUAUGAUAUAAAAAAUGUAUCAAAUCAGUCCUCAUGACAGCACUUAAUGAACAAUAAAUCACAAGUUUUCAUAACUAGGUAUCCAAUAUUUUGUGAUUUGUUAACGGAAGAUGUUAUGAACAACCAAUCACUUAAUGAAAAACUUGUGAUUUGUUAAUGAAUAGGACUGAUUUGAUACAUUUUUCAUAUCAUAAGGACUAAAUGUUGACAUUUUUAAAAGCAGAGACUAAACUGAACAGUAGAAACCAAAAAAGGAUUUAAACCUUAAUGAAAUUACACUUUUAACCUUUCCAUUUGCACCUUUAAUUUUCAGAAAUGUUGUCUAAUUAACGAGGUCUCCAACUUUUUCACAACUUUUUCACCCAACACCUCCAAUUUUCAAAAUAUCCUCAUUAAUGUUAAAUAUAUAUAUUAAGAUAUUUAUUUAUUUUUAAUAACUAUAAUAGUGUAUAUAUAGUAAAUAGUUAAUUAUUAAAACCACUGUUUUGUUAUAAUUAUUUAAUUUUGUUAAUAUAAAAAAUACAUUUUAAAUGUUUAAUUUUUAUUAUAUAAAAAAUGCAUAUUUCUAAUUAUUUAAAUUAUUUUUAAUUUUAUUAUAUUAUUUAUAGAUGUUUAAUUUCUUUUAUUGGUUUUUUGUUUUGUUAAAAUUUAAACAUACAAUUUUUUCCAAAAACACAAAAAGUAAAUACUCAAAAAUCAAAUUAAAAUCUCAAAACAUUUAAAAAUAAUAUUUUUAUAAAAUAAAAAAAUAAAAAAAAAAUGUAUCGUCGAAACACGAUCGAAUGUGGAUAUCCGACGAAGUCUGUAUCGUUUUUUGACAUCCGAUGAAGGCUAUAUCGGUUUUUGAUAUCCGACCUAUUCACGUUUCAAAUCCGUUACUGUUCUUGUUAAAGAUGAAAAAAAACGAAAUAUGACACAGAAGAAAUUGUACCUGCGAAAGAAAGAGAGUGAAGAAGAAAUCAAAUCCUAAAUGAGGAAGAUGGAGGUUUAUGCUGGAAAAGAAAGAGAUCAAAAAAGAAAUCAAAUUACAAAUAAAAAGAGAGAGCAAAUGAGGAAGAAGGAGAUUAUGUAAUGGCAGCAAAAGAAGAAGGCACAAAAACCUAACAAAACUGAAAGUUUAAAACUCUAAACUGUUUUAGAAUUUGAGUAAGAUUUUUUUGUUUUCAAAUGAUUAAAAGUGUUUUUAAUUAGGGAUAAAAUAGGUAUUUAAUUAAAUUUUGGAGGUCCAGAUAAAGAUUGAAAAUAUAAGAUGAAACACUUUAAUUUUUCUGUCUACAUUUUUAACUAUGAGAUAUAUUAAUUGAGUGGUAAACUAUAAUUAAGUGUGAUUCUAAGUAUCAUAUUAUAUUCAAAAAAUAAAAUAAAGAUAAAAAAUUUAUUAAUUUAUUAUCUUUAAGGUUUUGAAUAAAAAGGAAGAUAAUGAUAUUUAGACAACAUUUUUUUGACAACAUUUGAACAUUGAUUACGUGUUAAUAUGUGAUUGGUAAAAAAUUAUUCCACAAUAAUGUUUAUGAUUAUUAUUAUUAUUGAUUGUGGAGUAACUUUUGACCAAUGACUGACACGUAAUCAAUGUUUAAAUAUUGUCAAAAAAAUGUUGUCUAAAUAUCAUUAUCCUAAAAAGUAAUAUCAAUUUUUUUAUGUGUAAUGAUUAUAUCUUUUUAGUGAAUCUAGUGUUGAAAGAUUCAAAAAUAUUUUAACUUUUUUUACAUAGUAAAAGAUCAUCAUUCUUUGAAUGAACUGAGAUCUAGAAAAAAUAUUUGUUAGUGUUUUUUUAAAGUUUUAUUACUUUUUUAAUUUUAAAUAUAAUUAAUUUUUGUGAAUAACUUUUAACCUUGUAAUUAGUCAUUUGAUACUUCAAAUUAAAUAAAUUGAAAGGAAUAGAAUAUAUAUAUAUAUAUAUAUAUAUAUAUAUAUAUAUAUAUAUAUAUAUAUAUUAAUUUACAAUGCAAUUAUAUUAUUUUUCAAAAAGAACGUACUAUAAAAACUUUAAUAAUUAAAAUUAGUUAUUUUAUUUUGUUGGUCUCUGCCGUGCAACUAUUUGACAAUUUUUAUUUUUCUGGAAAUUAAGUUAUAACCUUAAUUUUGAUACUAAUAAUUAUUGAAUCAAAUAAUUACCACUAAUAAAAGUUAUAAUCGAUAAUUAAGAUAUAACUACUAACUAGUUUUACUUUUGUUUCUGUAAAUCCCAAAAUGUAAGGUUUAUUAAAUUUUAAAAUCCGAUUAUAAUUUUUACAAGACUUUGAAAUUUAAUUUCGAAAUUUAAUUAAAUGUCUUGGGUUAUAUAAUUUAGACUAGUUAAUGGCUAAAUAUUUUGAAUGUAAACUAAGAUUUUGAUUACAUAGAAUAGGUAUAUAUUUAAAAAUUUCUUGGAUCCAAUCAUCUCUAUCAUUCGUAAAAAAGCCAGACUUCCAAAUAUGAUAAUAAUAUCGUAUUAACUUUAUAGUAGUGAUAUUUUAACAACUCUUUUUAAUAAUUUUUUGACAGUAAGAUAUGUAUCACUAUUUUAUAGAUAUGUUUGAAUUUAUUCUAAAAAAAUAUUUAAAACAGAUCAAUCACAAUAUGCUACAUAUACAUUUUUAAAAAGUUGUAAAAAAAAAAAGUUGUUAAAAGAGAUUUUUUACUUAACUUUAUCAUUCUAAAUACUUGUGAGGGUGAUGUGUACGUAAUAACUGUGUUUAAUGUUAUGACUAAAAUAGACAUUAGAAAUUGCAUAACGUUGAUGGUGUGUCUAUAUUUUAGGUUGUGUUUAAGUUGACAUGUAUGAGAUGUCACCCUCUUAUAUUUUUUUUCUUCCACACAAGGAUCUAAAUAAACUGCCAUCAGAAAUUUAUUUAUUUUUUAAUUUCAACAACAACCAUAAAAUACUAUUAUAAAGAAUAAUUUGUUAUAAAUAAGAGAGUUCCCUUUAACAAUUUAGAACAGAAAAACAACACAUUUUAUAACAUUCGUUAUUAAUAAAAUUUUAUUAAGUCAUAAAGUUUUAUAAUUCUUAUUUUUCAUUCUUAAUUUUAUAAUUUUCAAUAAAUAUAAUAAAAUAAAAUUAUAAGUCAUUUAUACACUCAAUUGUUACUAUGAAGAAUAGUUUUAUUAUUCGAUGUUCUGCAGCUAACCCUGGGGCAAAACAUCUAAAUUCUGCUUACUGUUAAUACUUUUUUACAUAAAUUUUGAGUUUUCAUUCUUUAAUUUUACUUGUUAUAUUAAUUUACGUGUCUUUUAUUUCGUAAAACUUGUCAGAUUUAGACAGGGUCGGAAAAGAAAUAAAUAAAUAAAAACUAAUAUCUGACAAAUAAUAAAAAUAUCCCUAAUUUAAAUUAUGCAAAUGACUUUUUAGUCUAUGGAUUUAUAUAUAGGUAUUCUUAUGUCUUUUUUAUUUGUUUUUUUUAUCAACUUAAAAUUAUUAAAAUAAACUUAAAUUUAUUAAAUACUUUUUUAUAAUUUAUAUUUGGAUCAUCGUCGUAAUUAUUUUCUGUUAUGAAAAAAAUAAAUACGUGGAUAGAAAAAAUACGAUGAGAAAAUGGAUAAGGAUGAAGAACAUUGAAACAUUGUGAUUCAUUGUUAGGAGAAACAUUGUUAUUCAAAUGACUAUUAUUCCUACUGUUUUCAAAUUCUUUUUCACAACUCACACGUUCUUACCAUUAAUAUACUCAAAACUUUUAUUUAAUUCUUAAUUUCUUCAUUCACAUAAGCUCCUAAAUUCUUCUAACUAUGGGAUGAAAUAUGCAUGGUGCCAAGGGAAUGAUGAAAGGGACUUGUUAUGUUAAUUUUUUAUGAUAAUUUUUCAUAUUUUAAUAAAAUAAUUCACACAUGUGAAAAAUGAAAAAGAGGAUAAAUAAGUGAAAUAUUUUUAUUUUUAGUUUUUUUUUAUUAGAAACAAAAUUACAAUUAGAACAAUUUUUCUUAUACUUUCUAAUUUUUGUCCUACAUCUCUAAAAUAUCAUAAAUAUUCAUCGAUGUUUGAAAGCGGAACACCAAUCAAGAAAUUUAUUUAAAAGUAUAAAAUAAGUAUAAUAUUUUAUAUUUUUAAUAAACUAUAAAAAAUAAAAAAUGUAUUAGAAAAUUUCUAUGAAUUAAUAUAGUAUUACUAAUUGUGAUCCGCCAUAUCAUAUAUAGGCAAAAAAAAAAUAUAGGAUAAAAGUUUUAUAUACACAUAUAUCACAAUAAAACUAUUACACAGCAAUCAAAUUUAUAUAUUAAAGUAAUUAUUAAUUAAAUUAGAGGCAUUUUAUGAAAUAAAAAUUAUUGAUAUGUUUUACAACUAUAUAUAAUAAUGUUUUAUAAUAAUUUGAUUAUAUAAAAAGGGCAUAAAAUGUUUUAUGAAAGUAAACUUGUUGAGUAUAAAGAGAAAUGAUUAUUUGAUACAUCUAAAUUUUUUAUAUUUAUUUGAUACUAUUUUUAUUUACUUUUUACUCUCUUCUUUCUUAAAAAAUUACAAAAUUUUACAUUUUUAGAUCAUUUUACACACUUGUAUUAUGUGUCAAAUGAACAGAAAAGUAUGAUUGAUCGAGUAUAAAUAAGCCUCUUUUGAAAGGAAACCUUUUGUCAUACACUCAUCAAUAUCAAAACCACAGUCACCAAACUGAAGGAGAAGAAAAAUGGUUUCUAUAAAGUCGUUUACUUCGAGAUCUCAUCAUUCAAGGCCAAAACGUUUUGUCAUUUGUAUCUUACUUAUGUCCCUACCCUUCAUGGUAUUCAUAGUUUUAGAGAAGCACAACAGGAUGAUGAACAAAACAACUGAGGUGGAUCCGAAGUUAAGACCAACUUGGUUUGAUGUGAUAGCAAAAGGUCUCAAUAAGAAGAAAGUUAAGGUAGGUGUUGUUAACAUUGAUGCUAGAGAUGAAGAAUUGUUGUCACUUGAGGGUGAAAUGGAGAGUGUGUUUGUAGAUUUUGAUCAUGUUGAUGGGAAGUUGAAAUGGGAGGAGAUUUUUCCAGCAUGGAUUGAUGAAAAUGGGAAGUGCCCAAACAUUCCAAUGCCAAAGUUGGAGAAUUUUGAAGAUCUGAAUGCUGUGGUGGCAAAGGUUCCAUGUGGGGUUAGAGAUGUGUUUAGGUUGCAGGUGAAUUUGGUGGUGGCAAAUUUGGCUGUCAGAAGUGGAUGGGUGAACAAGAUGGAGAAUCAUCAUAGGAAUGUGUAUGUUGUGUUUCUUGGUUCUUGUGGUCCCAUGGAAGAGAUUUUCAGUUGUCACAACCUUUUGUCGCAUCAACAACAAUAUUGGGUCUACAAACCUGAUUUAUGGAGCCUAAAACAGAAAACACUUAUGCCUGUUGGUUCAUGUCAAAUUGCUCCUGGUUAUGCAAAAACAGGUACACCUCAAUCCUUCCAAUGUGAAAUUCUUUUUUCAUUUCACUUAUUUCAAAGAUAUUUUAAUUUCAUUAUUUUUAUGAAAGUAUAUAUAUAAAGACCAUAUAGAUAUAUAAUUUAAUUUAUCGAUGAAAUACAAUUUUUAAAAAUAGUAUAAGGAAAAAAAAAGCUUAUUUUUAAACUCAUUUUAAUAUUGUUUAAUUAUUUCUAAUUAGUUUUACCCUUUUUUAACAUGUUUUUUGAAUUUGAAAAGAAGAAAUCAAAAUACUACAUUUUAAAGAAAAAGAAGUAUUAAUAAAUUAUUUAAUCAACGGAUAUUGUUCUUUUGAUGCGAUAAUGAUGUAAGUAAUAUAAAUGCUUGGCACGGUUAAGGAAUGUUGUAAUUUACGAUCUUAACUCGUCAAAAUUUCCAAAUUCAUAAACAUUCUUUCGUAUACCCAAUCUCUUAACCAUAAUAUAUAUGUGCAUGUCGUGUAGCUUUUCAUAUAUACUUUCUUUUGUUUUCAUAUAAGUGACGACAUGGAGUGUCUAAAUAUCACUUCAGAUAAAUGAAGUAUCUACAAAUCAUCAUGUAUAAAUUAAUUAAUUCUGAUUUUUGUAAGUGUUAUUUUGUAUAAAGUUUUUAAAGAUUUGUUUUUGACACCACUCCAAAAAAUCUUAUUAACGAAGUUAUCUAUAUAUAUAUAAAUCCACGUCCAAUCCUUCUUUUAGUCAAUUUGAGACUUUAUUUGUAUCCCAACACCGAGUGUCAAUAUUUUUCCAAGUACUAACGAGUUUUUAAAAGAAGUUUGAAGAAUUGGUUUAUUGGUAUAAAUCAUGUAUUUUUAAUCAUUGUUUUUUAUAAUUCUUUUAUAUCUUCUUAUGCAACAACUUAUGAUUGAUUCGUUUCAUAUACACGAACUAAUAAAAUAAUAACAUAUAAUUUGUUGUAAAAAAAUUAUUGAAAAGAGUUGUUAAAAUAUCACAGUGCAAAGCAAAGCAAAAUUAGUGUGUAUAUAAGUGAGAUGUAUACCAAUGCAUGUAGCAUUGUUUUACACUGUCACAACACAUCAUUGAAUAUAAAUGAUAAAUUUAUUGAGUUUAUGAUGAUAUUGUAUAAUGGUUUUGCAGGUAAAGAGGUGUGGAGAAAUUUCUUUAGUCCAAAGGUAGCCUACGUAUCUGUUCUUCAUUCUUCAGAAGCUUAUGUUUGUGGUGCAAUAGCACUUGCUCAAAGCAUUCUUCGAGCAAAUACCAAUUUUCCAAACGAUCUUCUACUCCUGGUUGAUAAAUCCAUUGGUCCAAAAUCCAUAACUGGUCUAAAAGCUGCAGGCUGGAAGAUCCAACGCAUCAAACGCAUCUUGAGCCCCUUUGCCAAAAGGGGUGCAUACAACAGGUGGAACUACAGCAAAUUACGAAUAUGGCAACUCACCGAGUACGACAAAAUCAUCUUCAUAGACUCCGACCUCGUACUCCUCAAAAACCUGGACCAUUUAUUCGUGUACCCUCAGUUGUCAGCAGCACCUAACCACAAAGUCUUGUUCAACUCGGGCUUGAUGGUGAUCGAGCCAUCCCAGUGCAUGUUCCAACAGAUGAUGAACAAAACCGACAAGGUACGUUCCUACAACGGGGGUGACCAAGGUUUUCUGAAUGAGAUCUUCACGUGGUGGCACCGUUUGCCAACGAAGGUUAAUCUGCUGAAAGGUUUUCAAAACGAUGAGGACGAGAAUCAUGAAGUCCCUUAUGCCAUACACUACUUGGGUUUGAAGCCAUGGAUGUGUUAUAGGGAUUAUGAUUGCAACUGGGACACGCAGUAUCGUCAUAUUUUUGCAAGUGAUUCUGCUCACAGAAGGUGGUGGCAGGUUUAUGAUGCUAUGCCUGAAGAAUUGCAAUCUUACUGUGGACUUACACAGAAGAUGAAUGAAAGGAUCGUGAAGUGGAGAAGGAUAGCAAGAAAUUCCAGUUUGUCUGAUGGCCAUUGGAAGAUCAAGGUGAAAGAUCCAAGAAAGGGUACUUAUCAUUCAGAUUAGAACAUUCUAUGCAUAAAAGGUUUGGAUUUAUAUUGGAAUUUUAUGAUUCAUGUGAGAAUUUUAGAUAUUAUUUAAAUUAAUUAGUUUAAUAUAUAUUUCUUAAUAUAAAUUAUGCAGUAUAAAUAUUUACUAAUUAUAUUUAAUAAAAUAUAUCAGUUUUUCUUUCAUUCUUUUAUAUCCUAUACGUUAAAAUCCAACCAUUUAACCUUCAGUAUUCUUACUGAUAUUGACUUCAUAGACUUAGAACAUUUUUCUUCCUGUUACUUUGAUACAGACCAUAUUAACAAAAUUAUAGGUUCACUUUGUUUGCAUUUUGAAAUUAUGAUGAUAUUCAUUUGGUUUUAUAUUACAAUUUUUUUUUUUCAAAUAACAUGAGAUUGAAUCAUCAAACAAUUUAAUGCAAGCAUCUAAAAUUAAUGAUAAAAUAAUAAUCCAUUUUAAAAUUAACAUAUUAAAAAGUACACGUAACAAAUAAAAUAUUUUCGACGAGAGAUUCUUACAAAGAAAAAUUAUCUUAUAAUUAUUUUUUAACCAUUUAACAACGCAAUUUUAAAGAUAAUUACAAAAUAUAUAUAAUCUACCUGCUAAUUAGAAUAUAUAUAUAUAUAUAUAUAUAUAUAUAUAUUAUAUUAUAAACCAGCUAAUUAAAAAAUAUAAACUUAAAAUAUGUAUGUUUUGAAAUCCAGUAAAAUUAAGGAUAAAAGUUGACGUGACGUAACAAGUGUUACAAAUCGUGUAAUGAUAUUUUCACAUUUUUCAUAUUUAAUAUUUUUUAUAAUUAUUUAAUAUAUAAUAUUUUUAUUUUUUAUUUAUAAUUAUAAAAAAAUUAUUUUUUUAGUAAUCAUGUUAUCCUUCAAAGUAGUUUGUUAAGCAUUUGUUAAAUUAAAAAAAAUCUAAUAAAUGAUAGUUUUUAAUAUGAUAAUGAUAUUUUAAUACCGUAAUAAAUAAUUAAAUUACAAUUAAAAAGUAAUACUAUGAUAACUAAAAACCCACUUCAUAAUUAUAUUAUAAUAAUAUAAAUGGACUCUGCUUUACUAAAAUAGAAUUCCCAUUUAGUUUUUAUUAUAGGAAUUCGCUUACACCUAUAUAUCUCACAUGAUAUUUUUUAUUUUAAUAAUAUAUGCAUUUUCAAUCCGAGAUGUCCAAAUAUGAUGUUAUCUAUUAAUUAGUUUAAUUUAUCAAACAAAACUAGAAAACAUAAUUACUUUAAAUAUUGAGUUUGGAUGGACCGGACUUAGCCAAGUUGAACUAAGAUAGAUUUAGCUUUAUGUUUACAUAAGAAAAACAAAAACAAAAACAUAACAUCAAGUCUAAAAUGUAUUAAACAAAAGUUUAAAAAUAAGUCGUCAAUUCAUUGAUAUGGGUGGAAGGAAAAUAAGACUGAGAUGAUCAAUAACUUUGGUAUUAGUUUUCAAACCACAAAUAACAAUUUUAAUUUUAAAAAUAAUUUUGCUAAAUUAAAUUUAUAUUUAUUUUCAAACUAACAAUGUUUUUAAUUUGUAGGCUUUUAAUAGGUUAAAAUAUUAAAUCUAACCCACAUAUUUAAAGAUCAAACAACCCUUUCACCUUAAAACUUUAAAAGUGUAUGUUUAUGUUAUUUUAUUUUAUAUGUUACUCAAAUUUCUUAUUUUUAUUUUUUUAAAUGUGGAACUUAAAGUCAAUUUGGAUUCCAAUACUUAUGAUUUAUAAAAUUAUUUAGAAAAUGAUUUAGUAAUUGAGUAUAUUUUAUUAAAUACAUCAGUGCAAUUGUAAUUAUUUUUUAUAUAAAUAUCAAUUAUUUAUUAACCAAACAACUUAUAUGUAUUCACCCUUUAAAUAUCCAAUAUAAUGAUAUUAAAUAUUUAUCUAUUUGGUAAACAUUUUCUUGAAUUUCAUAAUAAUUCAUAUUUUUCAUUAUAAUGUAUUAAAGUGUGAUUUUUCAAACACAAAUAUUUAUAUUGUACUACAUAUAUUCAAGAUUAUCUCGGGUAAUAACUUCUCAUACUAUAAUCUAUCUAGUAUUAUCUUAGAUUAUACUUAUAUGACCAUUACAUUGCGAAAAAAAUCCUAUUAGUUAAAACAUGUUACCACGACAUUAGACAAAUUAAUUAAGGUGAUUAUAUCUAUGGAUCAUGUUCAACUAGGUAAAAAUUCAUAAACAUGAUAUAAAUAACAUGAUUCACAAGCUAAAAUAAUUACAUGAUUAUUAUUAUAACAUUUAUUAUCAAUUGACGCACAUCCCUAACUUUUUUUUACGCCCCGACAACUUACAGGGACUGUUGANUGCCCCCACACAUCACCACGAGACUUUCCAGUGUGCUUUGUCCUCACUCGCACACUUUCUGGGAAAACUUCUCGGAAGGUCACCCAUCUCAGAAUUACUCCAGGGUAAGCACACUUAACCAUGGAGUUCUUAAGGGUUAGGCUACAGAAAAGUAAAUGCAUUUUGGUGAUAUGGGUAGCCAAAUCAAUUCCUUUAAGCUAUCUUUCAACUGUAUAGUCCCAUACCUAUACAGUCUCCAGAUCCCUCUCAUUCCGGUGUAUGUUCGAUUCGUCCAUGUGCCCCUUCCACUCGAAGCCUGCCAGGAGUCGCUCCUUGUCUGUGCCCCCUACACCAUGCCUCUUGCACCGGCGAUCACUCCCCGUCCUCGUCAAUGCCCGGGUGUCACAUGCCCACCAGCUUCCGUCUAGUUCGUCCUCGAACCACACCGUACUGGAGAGGCUAGGCUCUGAUAUCAUUUGUAACGCCCCGACAACUUACAGGGAGUGUUGACUGCCCCCACACAUCACCACGAGACUUUCCAGUGUGCUUUGUCUUCACUCGCACACUUUCCGGAAAAACUUCCUGGAAGGUCACCCAUCCCAGAAUUACUCCAUGGUUAAGCAUGAGAUUAUUUUACAAGCACACUUUUUAUCGACUUAAAACAAUAUAUAAACCCAUAAAUAUCUCGACUUAAAGGUUAAAGAAUGAAGAUAAAAGCUUCUUAUGGAAUCUUUGCAAUGUAUUCUUAAACUUGCAAAAACAAAAACAAAACAACCUUAUAUACUAAAGUGUUUUGAUUCUUUUCUCAUCACAAAUGCUACAAUCAAUUAUGUAGAAUCACUAAUUCCAACAACCACAAAUUUCACAACCAAAUCAUACAUAAUUUCAAUAUUUCACAAACCAAAUCAACGAUUCAUCUUAUAAAUUCAUAAAAAAUCUCUCACUCAUAUUUAUUUCACGUAACCAUUUCAGUCACACAAAAAAUAAUAAAUAAUAAGUAACUAUUUUCAAAAGAUUAAGUAACAAGCUAUAAAUUUGGAUCAAUCUAAUAAAAACGUAUCUAUUAUACAAUUUUUUAUCAUAAUUAAAACAAACACAAAUUGAUUAAUUGGACAAACUUAAGCUAAUUUAAUAAAUUUGAUAAAGAUCAUUAUGGUGAUUGAAUAAAUUUGAUGUUAUGGAGACUUUCAUAAUUCCUUAACACUGCAAUUCCCAAGAAGGUGAAAUAAAAACUUGUAAGUGGAGUAAUUACUUUUGUUAUUUUAUAUUGAAGAAAUGUACAACAAAAUAUAUCAUUUUUCAACACAUUUGGUGGAAUAUAAAAUAUAAUUUUUUUUUCUUAAAUAAUGUAAAAAUAUCUAUCUCUUCGCUCUUCAUAUGAAUUAACUUAUCACCAAUUAAAAAUAAGUUAGUUCAACCUAAUUUAUUUUUGUAAAUUAAAAAUUUUAUAAUCUGUUCAACUUGUCAUAUAUUGUUAAAUUAGGUGACUUAACUCACUUAAAAAUAUUUUAUUCUUCUAAUUCAUUUUAUAUAUUUAAUGUAACAUGGUUUCAUCACACUUUAUAUAUAUAUAUAUAUAAUUAAAGUAUUUAUUUAUUUCAUCAAAUAUUAUAAUUAAAAAUUGAGAUGUCAACUUAUAUAAAUAUAAAUAGACAAAUAAAUAAACUAACUGUAUUCAAAUAUUAUUGAGUAAUAUUUUAAUCUUUAAGAAUAUCAAGUAAUAAAUAGUUCUAAUGAAAAAAAUUAUGAAAGAAUGGUAAGAAAAUAAUAAAAAGUUGUUGUCAAAGGAUAAUGAAUAAAAAUGCCUUCAACUUGUUUUAAAUCAUUUGAUUUAACCCGUGAGUUAAGUGAUUUAGAUCAUAUUUGAUCAACAUUUAAAGAAUUGUUUUUUUUUUAAUUCAAUCCAAUCAAACUCAUGAUAAAUUGAGUUGUCUCAAUUUGAACCAAUUUUAAUAUCUCUUAUUAAAUCAUAAAUAAUAAAAAAAAGAUAAAUUAUAAAUUAGAAAGUAUUUUGGAUAACGUUCUUUAUAAUUCAUAAAUUGAAUUUUUAAAUAAAUUACUUCAAAAUAUAUUACAAAAAUAUUUUUAUACAGUUGGAAUUGGGUUGUAAUGUGUACUAGGGACCACCGUCCGGCAAGAAUAUAGCCGGACGACCAGUUAAGAGAUCAACUCACUGAAGACUCCCAGCGAGGCGGACGGUUACCUCGUGAGACGGUGGAUAGGCUUGAAUAGCGAGGUCCGGACGGUAGCAAACGAACAGUCUCCAUGGUCAAGGUAAGUUCAGAAUGAUUUGUAUAAUCACGUGUUUAAGGUGAUUGGGCUGCAAUUGGGCCUUAAUUAGGACAACCUUAAUACCAGGCCCAUGUCCAACACUAUAAAUACAGGUCAAAGGUCCCAGGUAGAUGGGUUCAUUUAUUACGCAUUUAUCUUUGAAUCUAAAAGCCCGAUCGGAUAACUUAACUAACUUAAGCAUCGGAGUACCUUUGGCAGGUACCCUCCGAACACAGGGAGCACAAGGAAGAACUGGUAGAGUGAGCUAGCAGAUGAUUCGAGGACAAGAAAUUGUGUAGGUUGGGAACUCGGUCUCAUACCAGAACAUAAUGUUAUUAGAAAGUUCAGUGGUUUUUUUUUUUUUAUCAUUAUGUAAUUUUUACUAAAUUGAGGUAACAUGUAAAAGAAUUUUGAAAUUGAGUUAGUCGUGUCAAUUUUACGAUUUCNNNNNNNNNNNNNNNNNNNNNNNNNNNNNNNNNNNNNNNNNNNNNNNNNNNNNNNNNNNNNNNNNNNNNNNNNNNNNNNNNNNNNNNNNNNNNNNNNNNNNNNNNNNNNNNNNNNNNNNNNNNNNNNNNNNNNNNNNNNNNNNNNNNNNNNNNNNNNNNNNNNNNNNNNNNNNNNNNNNNNNNNNNNNNNNNNNNNNNNNNNNNNNNNNNNNNNNNNNNNNNNNNNNNNNNNNNNNNNNNNNNNNNNNNNNNNNNNNNNNNNNNNNNNNNNNNNNNNNNNNNNNNNNNNNNNNNNNNNNNNNNNNNNNNNNNNNNNNNNNNNNNNNNNNNGGAACUCGGCCUCAUACCAGAACAUAAUGUUAUUAGAAAGUUCAGUGGUUUUUUUUUUUUAUCAUUAUGUAAUUUUUACUAAAUUGAGGUAACAUGUAAAAGAAUUUUGAAAUUGAGUUAGUCCGUUCAAUUUUACGAUUUCAUAAAAAAGAAUUAAAACGAUUUUAUUUUAACUGUGAAAUGAAAUGAUAUUAAAUCAAUAUGACUUAAAACAAAUAAAGUUGUCACAAUUUAAACGACUACAGUACAUUUUAUGAAAAAACGAAAGACGAUUUCAAUAUAUUUCAUAAAAGAAUCUGAAAUUAUCAUAAAAAAUCGUCUCAAAUUAUAAAUACUUUUAUUUUUAAUUGUCUUCACUUAACAUGAUUUUAUUUAUAUGAUUUCAUUUCAAUUAAAACAAAAUCGUUUGAACAUAUCACAACAUUUUUGUUAUAAAGUCGUGCCACCACUUGCUCGAAUUCAAAAUUUUCUUAAAAAUUAUCUCAUUUUCAUGAUGAAAUUAAACAUGGUAUACAAAGAAUUUAGUAAUAAUCACGACUAUCCUAGAUAAUCUAAUAAAAAAUACUUUUUGACAUACUUAAAUUUUUUAUAUUUAUUUAAUAUUAUUUUUUCUUAUUUUUUAUUUUUCUUUUAAAAAAAUACAAAAUAUUUAAAUUUUUAUAUCUAUUUUAUUUUUAUAAAAUAUAUUAAAUAAAUGUAAAAAUAUAUCGUAAUAUUAAGUUACUUUUUCGUAUCUUAUAUCUUUUUUCUCUUUUUCAACCCAAAUUUUGGAAAAAAACAAUUUAACGUAUGUCAUCACCUGGAAGGAGCAAAACCCACGUGUCUAACGCAAAGAUAAAACGAGUGUUUUUCUGUUCCUUUUGAACAAGAGCAGUGAAGAAGAAGCUUCUCCGGCGAUCUAAGGUUUCGGUGAUGGCGGAGCAACACCGUAAGAGAACGCUGGAUUCAGGGUGGCUCGCAGCAAGGUCCACUGAGGUGCAAUUCACCGGAACCCAGCUCACCACUACGCACCCUCCAACUGGCCCCACUUCACCAUGGAUGGAAGCUCUCGUUCCAGCAACGUAAUCACAAUUUUUUCAUCUCCAUUUCUGUUAUUUUACUUUCAUACAAUGUUGACUUGAUUCCACACAAUGUGACAUAACAUCAUAACAGUGUUCUGGCGACCUUGGUGAAGAACAAAGUUGUGCCCGAUCCUUUUUAUGGACUGCAAAAUGAACAUAUCAUUGACAUUGCUGAUUCUGGAAGAGACUAUUACACCUUCUGGUUCUUUACAACCUUUAACUGCAAACUUGUACGUGUUGUGAUUGUUCUCUUGUACAUUUUACAGAUUUGGAUUUUCAAGUGGUGCCCUUUGACUUUAAUUUCAUACUCCUUUUUUUUUGGCUUAUGCUGAUAUUUUUGUUUUUUCAAGUUUGUGAGAUUAGUUUUCCAAUAGUAGACCAGUAUAGUAUACAGUGUGUAAGGUUUUAAAGUGUGGUUGGUCACAGACUUACAGUUGUGGUUUAGUUACGAUCUGGGAUAUUUCUAAAGUUUGUUGACAGAUGUGGCUGAUGUAGCUUGAAUUUGCAGUUGUGGAGAGUCCAUUUUUAAAACCUUUCUAGUAUCUCAACAUUAAUCUUCUUUUGAAUAUACGAUGGUGGUUUCUUAUUUUGAUGGAAGGGGACAUCACUAAUUACUUAACUCCUUUUCAUUUGCAGUCAAACAACGAACACUGUGAUCUGAAUUUCCGUGGAAUCAAUUACUCUGCUGAUGUGUAUUUGAAUGGCCACCAAAUCGUCCUACCAAAAGGGAUGUUUCGGAGGCAUUCCAUUCAUGUCACCGAUAUUCUUCAUGCUGAUGGCACAAACCUGCUUGCUGUUCUUGUUCAUCCUCCAGAUCAUCCUGGGAGAAUUCCUCCCAAGGGGGGACAAGGUGGUGAUCACGAGGUUGGAAAUUAAAUUCACACUUCUAAUCAAUUAAUUUUAUUCUUUUCAACUACUUAACCUUUCUGUUACCUGUAACCUUUAGAUAUAAAUUUCAAGUGUUUCCUAAUUUCUGGAAUCAAUUAGGACUACGGUGAAAGAGGAAGAGGAACAAUGCUUGUUGUUGCGUACUGGAUAUAUAAUUAAUUUUGUUCCGGGUUAUUUUGUAGAUAGGAAAAGAUGUGGCCACACAAUAUGUUGAAGGUUGGGAUUGGAUGGCUCCUAUAAGGUGACAUUGCUAAUACUUGUACAGAUGUAUUGAUUUGUGGUCAUUGGCUUUUUGAUCCAAAAAUAAAUAUUGACUUUUUCUUUGUUUUUUGAACUAAAACAUUAACUCUUUUUCUACAGCAAUUUUAGCAUUAGAUAUUGAGUUCAAACUUUGGAGAGUUGGAAGAGAAGCCAUGUAAAGCAAAGUGCAUCUAUGACUAAUGCGAGUUUUUAAUAUGAUUGCAGAGAUAGGAAUACUGGAAUAUGGGAUGAAGUUUCUAUUUCUGUUACUGGGGUGAGUAGCAUUAAUUAUUUAAUUACAUCCCGAAGUCUUCACCAUUGGUCUUUUAAUCAAUUUAAGAUUUGCCACUUGGACCAAUUUCGGAGGCCUUUCAUUUUCCUUCCCGACUCUUCUGCAUUGCAUUUUUGCUAUAACUAGUUUUUUUUUUUUUUGUAUUUCAUAGCAAAUAUUGAUGAACUUCAAGUCCAAUCAUAGGCUGGCUUCAUAAAAUAUUGUCUGAGAGUCCUCGAGAUGUUUGGAAAACUAAACCAGGAAAUUGCGGAGGCAUAGAAUUGCUAUGCUCUUUUUAGCUUUUAGUACAGUCCAUAAAUAAACAAACCCGAUUAAAUAUUCUAGAGUUUUUAUUGUCUUUCUUUAUUAUAGACAAUGGUGCUUGUAGUUGUUCCUUGGAUGAAUAAUUUCAUUGUCUGUGUUUGGUGCAGCCAGUAAAAAUAAUUGAUCCGCACUUGGUUUCAACAUUUUCUGAUGACUAUAAGAAGGCGUAUCUACAUACAACGAUUGAAUUGCAAAACAGAAGCUCCUGGACUGCUGAGUGUUCUCUGAGUGUCCAAGUGACUAUAGAACCUGAGGAUAGCAUUUUCUUGGUAGAGCAUCUUCAAUCUCAAAAUCUUUCUAUACCCGCAAACACACGGGUGCAAUAUACAUUUCCUGAGGUUAGUGAUUGUAUUCAUUAUGCUUGUGACAAAGUUUGUUUCACUGUGCGUACGCCUUUGGUACAUUUGAAGAACAACUUUAUCAAUGAAUUUGGUUAUUUUAAGUAAUUUGUUCAAUUUCACACCCUAUUCUCUUGGUUCUUAGACAUCAUUGGUAUAUGUUUAUGCAUAUGGCUUACGUCAUGUGUCUGUGGUAUAUAAGUUUGUCUAACUUUUAGAUAACUCUAAGUUACUGUAAUUAUAAUUGAAGAGUACUAUCAUUUCUUGAGCUUGUAAUGUAACCAGACAAUCUUUACUACACUGCUAAUUGUGUUUAGGUUAAAUGGAUCUCUUAUAUUUCCUUACCUAUCAAAGGAACAAAGGUUCAGAUAUGAUUGGAUAAAUUUGAUGAAUAUAUAUUAGAAAUUGUCAAGACAUUGGCUUCCAUAAUUUGUAAAUCUUUACCGUUUAUGCUUGAUGUGUAUGAUCUGGAGUAACAAAGCUGAUGGCAAAAUAUUUAGAUAAGCCAACUGAUCACAAAGUAGCCAAGUUAUCAUAGGGAAACCCCUGCCACCUUUUUUACAUCGAACGUAUGCAAUCCUGGAUAGAUAUAACAAUAAAGCAUAUAGAAACAUUUAAACCAACCCAAGUGAUCAUAGGGACAACGCUAUUUCUGUUUUUGGCAUUGCACACAUGCAAGCCUGUUAUUUUUCACAUGUUGGGGCUUUAGUUUUAACGUUUCUUUUCAAGUGCUAAUGAUGCAAAUUAACAGCUUAUCUUCUCCAAGCCGUAUUUAUGGUGGCCGAAUGGAAUGGGAAAGCAAUCUUUGUAUGAUGUUGUUAUUAACAUUGAUGUUAAAGGAUUUGGUGAAUCUGAUUCAUGGAGCCAUCACUUUGGAUUCCGCAAAAUUGAGAGCCAUAUAGAUGAAGCUACUGGUGGAAGGUAAGGUGAUUUCUCAAAUUUAAUCAAUGUUGUAUUUAUCUACCUUUUACUUGGUAGAAUUGAUUCAAUUUUUAAAUUGUUUCUGUAUAUGUUUUGUUGUGUGCAUUGAAUAUCAUAGAUUAUUCAAAGUCAAUGGAGAACCAAUUUUUAUUCGAGGGGGUAACUGGAUAUUGUCUGAUGGACUACUGCGGUUAUCAAAGAAGCGGUAUAGUUCAGAUAUUAAAUUUCAUGCAGAUAUGAAUUUUAACAUGAUUCGAUGCUGGGGAGGUGGGCUGGCUGAAAGACCCGAGUUUUAUCAUUACUGUGAUUAUUAUGGCCUUCUGGUAAGUUAAAACUGCUACCAGAUCCUUAUUUUUGCUUAUAUAUGCAUGCCAACAAGUUAACAUCCAAAUUGCAAGGCCACUUUAGAAGGGUAGAAAGAAAUGAUUUACAUUAACGUGAUAGAAUCCCCUGAAUGUUUCUAUGCACAGCUGAGUAACAUAUAUGCAUGUAUGGUUUGUCAUGUUCUCUCAUUUAUGGGUACUUUUGUGUGGAUAUAGCAGUGAGUUGAAUGACUCAAACACCCUGCUAAGGGCAGGUUUUUAUAGUUCACCUGGUUAUUUAAUACAUUUUAUUAUUCCUCAAAUUUUUUAGUCUUAUGUUGUUUAAGUGGAGAUUUGAUUCUAAUCUUCUUUUUCUAAGACGCAUUAUUUUGUCUGGGUUUCUUGAUAGUGAUUUUAAGUGAAUGGUUGUUAUGUGGUGAUUAUGAUGUUGGGGAUACCCAGAUUGUGUUUCUGAAAAGUGACGCUACUCCUGCUACAGCUAGACCAGGUGGUAUCUGGUUUGAAGCUUAGACAAACUUUUACCAUAUAAUCCUUGGUCCUGUCCAAUAGCUUGUAUUCAUGUUUAUACUACAUUAGUAGCGGUGUUGGUUUAGAAAAUUUAUCUAGUUGCUGGCUGAGUUGUGUAGGUGUGGCAAGAGUUUUGGAUUACUGGGGAUGUUGAUGGACGUGGUGACCCAGUAUCUAAUCCAGAUGGUCCUCUGGACCAUGAUCUUUUCUUGUUUUGUGCACGAGACACAGUUAAGCUUCUAAGAAAUCAUCCUAGUCUUGCCCUAUGGGUGGGGGGAAAUGAGCAAAUUCCACCAGCUGAUAUAAACGCUGCUCUAAAAUAUGAUCUAAGGCUUCAUCCUUAUUUUGAAAGUAAGGAUGAAAGCAGCAAACCCGUAGGAGAUUUGUCCCCAACUCCGUCAGAUCCUAGUCAGUACCUUGAUGGCACACGGAUUUACAUACAAGGUUCAAUGUGGGAUGGGUUUGCUGAUGGGAUGGGGAACUUCACUGAUGGUCCUUAUGAAAUUCAAAAUCCUGAAGAUUUCUUUAAGGACGACUACUAUAAGUAUGGGUUCAAUCCAGAGGUUGGUUCUGUGGGAAUACCAGUUGCAGCUACCAUACGAGCAACAAUGCCUCCAGAAGGUUGGAAGAUACCAUUGUUUAAGAAACUUCCCAAUGGUUAUGUUGAAGAAGUUCCAAAUGCCAUAUGGGAAUACCAUAAAUAUAUUCCUUAUUCAAAACCAAACAAGGUUCAUGAUCAGAUUCAACUUUAUGGUGAUGCAAAAGAUCUUGAUGAUUUUUGUUUGAAGGUAAGAAGAGAGUAGAAACCUUAUCCUGUUGGCCAUUGGUGAUGAAUAUUUUAUCAUCCUAUUUCUCUUGAUCUUUGUUUUUUUUUUUGCUUAAUUGAUGUUUAAUUUAGAUGCUAUAAUCUCCUCAGGCUCAACUUGUUAACUACAUUCAAUACAGAGCUCUUCUUGAGGGAUGGACUUCUCGCAUGUGGAGCAAAUAUACAGGUGUAUUGAUAUGGAAGACACAAAAUCCUUGGACUGGUCUGAGAGGUCAAUUUUACGACCAUCUACUUGAUCAAACAGCAGGUUUCUAUGGCUGUCGGUGUGCCGCAGAACCGAUUCAUGUACAGCUUAAUCUUGCUACAUAUUUGAUAGAGGUAAGUAUCGAAAUGAAGUUCUAGUUCUAUGAGUAGGUCAUAUAAGUAAGAUGUUAUUUUACCGAUUUGAUAAUAUAUUUUUAAAAUUUAAAAUUGAGAUUGGAAGUCAAAAGUGGCCAGUUAAAAAGAUUUGAAGGAUAAUGAAAUUGUGGAAAAUUGUUUGAUUUACAAUUUUCUUUUCAAUUUAUGCACGAUUUACUAAUAAAAGAGUAACUCUUUAAAGGCUGUGUAUUUCUUUAUCUUCCUCCCCAAAACAGGUUGUUAAUACUACAUCAAAAGAGUUGUCUAAUGUUGCCAUUGAAACUUCCGUGUGGGACCUUGAAGGAACACGCCCGUACUACAGCCUUAAUGAAAAUCUCUCUUUUCUGCCAAAAAAAGUAGCACCUAUUAUUGAGAUGAAGUAUCCAAAGUCAAAAGAUCCAAAGCCUGUCUACUUUCUUCUUCUCAAACUCUAUAACAUGUCAGAUAAAAGUGUUAUAUCCAGAAACUUUUAUUGGUUGCAUCUUUCUGGUGGAGAUUACAAGCUAUUGGAGCCAUAUAGGGAGAAGAAAAUACCUCUCAAGAUAACAUCGAAGGUUUCAAUUGAAGAAUCCGUUUAUAAUAUCCAAAUGCAUGUGACAAACUCAUCUGAAAGACCAGAGUCAAGAAGCUCAACAGUUAGGCCAAGUGAUGGUUUUUGUGGCACACAAUCACUGGAAACUCCACAUUGUAGUGUUGGAAAAGAACAAGAAACUGUUUUGUUUAAGGAGAUACACGGAUGUUUUUCUGGGAAAAGUGACGGUCUGAAAGUUACAGAGAUAAAGGGAUCUGAUGCAGGCGUUGCUUUCUUUCUUCAAAUUUCUGUUCAUACUUCAAAGAAGAACAGCAAGGAAGGGGAAGACACAAGAAUUCUUCCUGUUCAUUACUCUGAUAACUACUUUUCACUGGUCCCUGGAGAGACCAUGCCUAUAAAUAUAUCCUUUGAGGCUCCCCAGGGUGUCACUCCUCAAGUACUUCUUCAUGGCUGGAAUUACAAUGGAGGUGAACUCAUUUAUGAAGUUGUAUGACAAUCCCCUGAAAUUAUCAGGGAUUGUUGUUCUGGUAUAUCUUGCCAUUAAUAAAUGCAUCAUAAAGAGAGACCUUCAUGAUUUCAUUUUUUUUUUGUUGGUUUACUAUACCUUAAAAGGCUAAUAUAUCCAAUGGUAAAGUGUUGGAGGUGUAGUUGCAAGUUCUUAAAUUCUGACAAUUUCAACGCAGAGAAUAACUUUGUGAUAACAUUUUUUUUACAAACAUGAUAAUGGACAUUAAUUAGAUUUUAGGGACCCAAUGAAAAAGAAAAAUAAAAAAAAAGAAAAUCCUACAUCCAAAAUAUAUAAAAAUUAUGAAAAUGAUUAAACCUUUUAAUUUAGUUUUUAUUAAAAAAAAUAUUGAUACUUAAAAUUUUAUAUUUUUAUUUAAAUUGUUUAUUUUUUCUUGAACAUUGUGAUGUAAGUAUUAUGUUAUCCAGACAUUUUGCUUAACAAUGUACACUUUUUAAUAUGAGGUAAUGUAGUUAAUAUAAAAAAUGAUAUUGUGUUUAUUAAUAAUAAGCGAAUUUUACUAUUUUUGUUCAAAAUAUGUUGAAUAAUAAAUUCCAUAAUUAUAUCUAUUUCAUAAUUAUAUUUAUAUAUUUAUCUUGAAAACAUAUUGGAUAAUGAAAUUUAUAAUCACAUUUUUUAAAAAUAUUUUAGGAUAUCAAAAAUAUUUUAAGUAUAUAUAAAUUUGAGAAGAAAAAAAAAACUAUAUAUAUAUAUAUAUAUAUAUAUAUGACCUUAAUUCAAGCUAAAAAGAGAUAUAGAGAAUGUCUUACUACAAACUGAGUGAGGUGUUUUCUGCAGUUAAAGUGUUCGAUGUUUUGUCUUUUAAUACUUUCACUUUGGUCUGUAGCAAAACAUCCAAAGCAUUGUGGAUUUUGCUUUCAAUUUAGUUCGAAUACAACUUCGAGAAGGUAUCGAUGCUUUGACUUUGUCAGACUCUCACUCUAUCUCCCAUUAAGAGUGUUCCAAAAUAUGACAACUGUCUAACUUUGUCUUAUAAAUAAUUGUCUCAACUGCUCCAUAAAUGUAAAAAGAAGACAUUAUACUAUGAUUUAUAAUGUAAAGUAUAAUAUAAUCUAAUCUAAAGAUUACACAUUUACCAGUUCUAUGAACUCCCAAAAUACCAAAACACAGAAUGUAAUAGUUGUAGCUACUAAUUACUACAUGAUUCUGCAGCUCUCAACAUUCUCAUCACUGAAAGUAUGAGUAAUAGGAUCAGCCAUUGGGUGAGAGGGCAUAGGAGGUGGUGCCAUGUAGUUCAUAGAUGGAUAUGGCCUACCAUACAUCAUGUUUGUUGGAUACAUGCUGUUCAUAUUUGUUUCAUGUUGAUAAUGAUGCUGAUGCUGAUGUUGAGGUUGGUUCAUCAUCAUAGCCAUGUAUUGCUGCUGCUGAAGGUUAUUAUAUGGAACAUGCUGCAUCUGCAUUCCUUGAUGUCCCAUUGCAUCACCCUGCAAUGCCUGAUACCCUUUUUGGCUUGGAUCCAUCUGACCUACUUUGCCAUUUUUAUGAAGAAGAGGAGUCUUGUCAUAAUCAAGAAAAUCAAAAUCAUUUUUACCAUUGCUAUGCUCCUUCAUUUUUCCUUCCUUUUCUUUCUUAUUUCCACUUUCAUUGCUUUGGUUCUUGCUGUUACUGCUAUAAGUUACUUCUUCUAAUCCAACCUUUUUGCUCUUUCUCCCAAAGCUUAGAAACCUACCUAGCAAUCCACCAUCCUUUUUCUUAAUCUCGUCUUUCUUCUUCUUUUUACCUUUUUGGCUACUUUUCUUCCCUUCAUUAUCAUCAUCUUUGGCUUCAUUGUAAUUCCCACCUUUGCCCUUGAUUAGCAUUGCUUGAUCAAUGUCACCACCUUUCUUAUCACUUCCAUUAUUGUUCCUACUCCCACCAGCAUUGUCUUUAUGGCCAUUAUUAGUAGCAGGCCCAUUCAUUACACCAGCAGGCCCAUGAGGCCCACCUCCAUCUCCCAUCUUUGGCAUCAUCUUGUUAUGAUGCAUUGGAUUGCCAUGCCCAUGCCCAUGCCCAUGGCCUAUUACUUCCUCUUCCUCUUCCUCUUCAUCAUCAUAGUCAUCUAAACUGUCCUCAUAUUCAUCAAAACCAUCAUCACUAGCUUCAAACUCCUUCUCUGGUAAGUUGAACCUAACAGAUUUUUGUUCCUUGACAGGUUCCUUGAGAUCUUGAACCCCUUUCAUGUUUGUGAAGUGUGCCAUUUGACCUUUACCUCCUCCACCACCAUCACCACCUUUCUGACCCUUCUGGUUUUGGGACUUAAUGUCCCUUCCCACUUUGUUGUUAUCAACUUGCAAGUUCUGGAAUUUAGGGUUGAUUUGAUGGUUCCCAUUCUGGCCACCCCAUAUCUCAGCAUGUUUCCCUCCCAUCUUUAUCUUUUUCACCAGUUUCUCUGGAUCCACAUCCCCUGCCACUACCACUUUCCCUCCACCUGCAUCUAUUUUCACAGAAUACACACCUGCACAACAACAAUAACAAUUUCUUUUACAGUCAAAUGAAUCUAAUCUAAUAAUGAAGAUUAGACCAAGUAAACUUGAAGAACCCAGAUAAUAUCAAAACAUGUUAACAUGAAAACAAAAAAAGAAGUGUGCUAAGAUUAAUGUACCAUCGAUUUUCUGCAGGAUUUUCUUAACUUUGUGUGCACAGCCAUCACAGUCGAUAUUAACCUUGAGAACACAGGUCUAAAAGGAGACAAAAAAACAGCAAAAACGGUUCAGAAUUAACAUUCCAUGGGCCCAAAAACAAGACACAGAAAGACAACUGUAACAAAAACAGUACUAGAGAAUACCUGAAUUUUCAGCAAGUCUUGUUUACUCAUUGUUAACAGAGAGCAAAAGAAAAAGAAAAAAGUAGUGUGAAAGAUAAGGAAGAAGAUAGUAGUAAUGAGUAUGGUGAAGUUUGUAUAGAGUGUGCAGACAGUGAGAAUUGCAGAAAACAGUUCCUUUAUUUAUAGAAAAUAGAAGGAAGGCGGUGAUAGACAUGAAAUAAACAAAAAGGGGAACAAUGAGUUGUCUUUCACAUACAAGGCGGUGGUGGAAGCUUCAUUCUCAAACCUGCAUUAAGCAAAAACAGAAAUAUCAUUCUUCAAUAAUCAACCUCUCUUACUACCUUUUUUUUCUUUAGUUAUUCUACCAUAUGAUACACUGAUAUAUACCACCCAAGUUCAUUGCCGACACGGGAUAAUCCAUUAGUAGCCAACGCCAUUAAAGGCUCAUUCAUUAAUAUAUUAAUUGUCAUUAAUAAAUGGUUAACUCACAUCUUAACGUAAUGCUGCUGAAUUAAUAGAUUUUAUUAUUAUAAAUUUUAUAAUAAAGUUUGGAUGAUAUUUUAAUAAUUUUUUAACAAUUGAACACAUAUUACUAUUUUAUAGAUUUUGUUAAAUUUAUUUUAAAAAAAAUAUUUAAAAUUGAUCAAUCAUGGAUCAUUUUAUUGUAAAGGAAAUUAUUAAAAAGACUUUUUCUUUUAUUAUAUUUUAAACUUUCUUAAGAGAAAUAUCUAAUUUAAUAUCUAAAUGUUUUCUACGUACCAAAAUACUUAUUAAUGAAAUUAAAAAAGUUAUUCUUUGACGUAUCUAUUAUUUUAUAUUUAUUUAAUACUAUUUUUUUUAUCUUUUAUUUUUUAUUUUUUGAAAAAAUAUAAGAAUUUAUACUUAUAAUCAUUUUACCUUUAUUUAUAUCAAAUAAAUGUAAAAAUAUAUAAUACCAUUAAUCAUAAAACUAACUAUCGAAAGAGUUAUUAUUAAAACUAACUUGAAACUUUGAAGGAAUGUUUAAUGUUCUUCCUACCAUAUUUAAUACUUUUAUAUGAUUUAAGAGUAGAAGUCAAAUCCAGUUUAUAUUUUUUUUUCUAUUUUUUUAAGACGUUUUUUAAAAAUAAAUGGUUCUAAUUUCUUCUAAAAUAUUUAUUGAGUGUCUUGCCUUCGUACAAUUUUGUUAAGGAAAUACACUUGACAUUUAAUAUAAUGUAAAUUAUGUUAAAUUAUAAUUUGAUUAGAGCAAAUUUUAUCCUUUAAAAUAAUAAAAAACUUGAAAAUUAAUUAAAAGUGACUUUAAUUAAAAUUUUGAUGUGAUAAACGGAUAUGAAUUUAAAUUAAAAUGUAUGUUGUAGUAUAUACUCUGUAUUGAGACAGUGUUGGUGAAGAAUGUGCAGUUGCAAUGGGUACGAUGGUUGGUACAGUGGGUGACAUAUGUUCUUUAGGAAUACAGAUAAUAGGAAAACGACAAAACCUCAUUUUAGUGAUCCUUGUGUUUUAAGUUAUCCAUAAUUUCCAUGUGGGUCUGUGUUCAAUCACACAUGAAUUUGUGUUCUGAAUUCUAUAUUUUAUGAGAUUUUUUUGGAAGUAAAAAAAUACUUUUAAAUUAUAUUAUUUAGAAAAAAAAACUUUUAGAUUAUGAAUUAAAAAAAUACUUUGGAUUAUAAAAUCUAAAAUUCUUUUAAUAGAGAAGUAAAUUUUGAAUUAUCUUAUAAGAAUGUUUUUUAAUAUAAAAUUUGACUUUUUAAUUACACAAUUUAGAAAUAAAGAAAAAUUGAGUUAUAUAAUUUGAAACUUAAAAAUACUUUUUCAAAAAGUUUGUUUUUUUAUGUAAAAAUAACUUUUACCUGGUAUAAUGUAAAUGUAAAAAAAAUGACUUUUAGAUACAAAUUGGAAAUAAAAAGAAAAUCGGAUUAUAUAAUUUAAAAGUUCAAAAAUCUUUUAAAUUGCAUAAUCUAAAAUCUAAAAUUUCAUACUUUAGAUUAUGGUUAAAAGCUUUUUUCGGUCUCAAUUUUGGUUCAAAAAAUUCGUUUUGGUCCCUGAGUUGAAUUUGUGUUCAAUUUCGUCCCAAAGAACGAAUUUAAUGUUCAAUUUGGUCCUUUUCAUUAACACCGUUAAAAUUGUUAACGACAAGGUGUCCAGCUCUGCAACUGCUAUGUGAGGUGUCAGUUUUUUGCUGACUAGGAAACCUUUUCAGUUGGAAUUAGAAUUUUUUUAAAAAUUUAGAAGGGAAAAGUGGGAAAAAAAAGACUUUCUUCUUCCUCUAAAACCCUAAUUCCUUUUUAACAUUGACCAGCUUUGACUAGAUGGACGUGCCAAUGGGGUCUUGACACGUGUCUGCCUCUUUCCCAUCCAAAAUUAGGGUUUGCUUGGGGAAAAGGAAAAGGUUUCCUCCUUCACCGUCAAGAGCGUAGACGCGAGAGGGUUUUCUGAUACCAUUGGGUUUAUUGUGUUCUGUGGUUGUUUCUGGUUUGCCAAUUUUUUGCUUACAGGUCGCGAAUGGAGAAGAGUAACGGAGGGGCUUGUAGCGGCUCUCGUGAUGUUGGCAUCGCAGCGGCAAUGAAGGCUCACGACGACAAGGAGGUCGUGCUUUAGUGUGGUGACGCAAAAACGAUUUGGGAUGGUGCUGCGAUGAGGUUGACGACGGCCUACUGAGGUGAUGAUGAUGGCUGCACGAUGGUGGAGGUUAUGGUGGCCUCUGAGUUUCUGGGUUUUCCUCUACAGGUCUGGUUUUGGUGGAUGAUGGUCGUCUCUCGCCGAAAGAGAUUGUGCGGUUCUGUGAGGAUGGUAGCACUGUUGAAAGGUUGAAAACGCUUUGACGGUGGCAUCCUUGCGGCGAGCUCCUGGUGGCCGGUGAGGUGAUGUUGACGAUUAUGAAUGGUGGUGUGUGAGAACGCAAUGUUGACUACAGUCUUGGGUUGCACGGUGAUCAUGCAUGGAGAUUGCGCUGUUGGUGACGACGGGACUGUUGGGUGGUGGUCACUGGCGGCGUGGUGGUUGCCAUGGAGGUGGUAGCUUAAGGGUGGCUGACGGCUAAGGUUUCUGAAUUGGGAAUUAGGAUUUUAGUAGGUGGAAGAUGAUUUUCCCACUUUGCCCUUCUAAAUUUUUUAAAAAAUUCUAAUUCCAACUGAAAAGGUUUCCUAGUCAGCAAAAAAUUGACACCUCACAUAGCAGUUGCAGAGCUGGACACCUUGUCGUUAACAAUUUUAACGGUGUUAAUGAAAAGGACCAAAUUGAACAUUAAAUUCGUUCUUUGGGACGAGAUUGAACACAAAUUCAACUCAGGGACCAAAACGAAUUUUCUAAACCAAAAUUUGGACAAAAAAAAAACUUUUAACCUUAGAUUAUUUAAUCUAACAUUCUUUAAAAAAAGUAGUUUUUGGAUUUCAUGAAGACUUUUAGGAUUAUAUAUUUCAGAUUAUAAGAUUGAAAAGCUUAAUGUUUAAAAUAAUUUUUAGAAUAAAAAAAUGGAUCAUAUAAUUUAAAAGUCUAAAAGUCUUUUAAAUCGUAUAAUCUACGAUUUAAAGCAAUUUCUGAAUUACAUAGUUCAAAAAUUAUGUUUUAAUAUUAAGUAUGAAAUUUCAUAUUUACGGAGGUGAUGAAAAGAAAAAAUAUUGGUGUGCAAAAGAAAUCCUCCGAAAGGAACCUGUUUUGGUUUUUGCAAUUCUGAGUUCAAAGUUGAUAACAAGCAUGCUUCAAUUCUUACAAAGUGGACGGCACAAAAUUAUGUUUAUUUUAUUUUAGGUUUAAUUAAUAUUUUAGUUUUUUUAUUUAUGUUUUUAUUUUGUUUUAAUUUUUAUAAUUUUUAUUUGAUUUGGUCUAUAUUUUUAUAAAUAAAACUCAAUAUGACCAUUUUUUAAAAAAUUGAACUAAUUUUGUUUAGAGAUUUUACAUUUCAAAAUCUCAGUAUGUUAUAUGUUAAAGUUGGAAUCAUUUUUUAUUUAGAAUGCUUCACACGUGUUAAAAUUAAAGAGAUUAUGUAUAUACUUAGUCCAAUCAGGCCUAUUUAGUUUUAGUGAUUUAAAAUAGUUGAAACUGAUAUAUAUUUGUUGGUAUAAAUAUUCGUGUGUAUAUAUAUAUAUAUAUAUAUAUAUAUAAUAUAAAUUUUGAUAUUUUGACUCUGUUAUGAUAUUUCUUAAUAUCUAUAUUUACAUGAUAUUUGGAAUAUCAGAUAAGGUAUUACAUUAUUGUUAUAUUCAACUAAUUAUCAUAUAUACAAUAAAUUAUUAUAUUUGUUAAUAUUAUCAACAAACCUCAUGAGACCCAUAAAUCCUAUAAAUACACAUGGUAUUUCAUUAGGAAAUACACACGCAUUUCUCUCAUACUUUCUCUUUUAUUCAUAAAGAUCCAAAACAUUAUUACUAACAUGAGUAUCGAAGAGUCUUUUGUAGAUGAAUUUUUCCUUUUUAAAUAAUAAAGGAUUCAAUUCCAGUCAUCAGGAACAUUCAAGUCAUUGUUAAGAUUUUGUCACUUGUCCAAAGGUUCACACAUUGAAUCUCGAUAAGAACAUUUGACACUCAACUUGCAACCCAAGUAAAACUUCCUUCUACUUCCCUAUUUUAUUCCAUCUUUAUGCAAGAUGAUAAGUCAUUUCUAAGAGGGAUUGUAAAAAUAGUUCAUGUGCUAUUAUAUCUCUUAAUACAUAAGUUAUGAGAAGGGUGAAUAGCUUGCCUAUUAAAAUUAUUAUAACAAUGAAUAACAAUAAUAUACUUUACAAGUUCAAAAUGUGAUAGUCUCCUCCUAAAGCCAGGUUGGACCAAAGCAAUAAGAUGAAACUAUGAAAGUGGAAGUGGGGCAAAAGAUGGAGAUGGAAGUGGUGGAAUUAAGGUUGUUGACGGUUCUCUUGAGAGGUUGAGUCAACUCUAGAGAAGGUUGGCUAGAGGAGACCACAUGGGAUGCUUUAGCCUUAAACAAGUUUUGAAUAGCCCAAAAUUUAGGAACGUUUCAUUACAAAUCUCAAAAUGGGUUUGUAGGGGGAUACACCUCUAUUUAUAGAUGAAUAUGUUUCUAAAAUAGACCAAAAUCCUAAAAUGUUAUCUUGCACUAAACCCUAAAAUUCUUAUCUUGGUGAAUGAGAGCUUGACAUGUGACACUCUAACUUUUGGAAAAAUUCUUCACUCCUAGAGUGCCAUGUGGAAAGUCAGUUUAGCAAAAGUUUCUCCAGUAGGAAAAUGACACAAGGUUACUACCUUUGUAAGAAAACUCUCCAUUAAGAGUUUGCCUUAUGGAAACCACUUUAGCAAAAGUUCUCCACUAAGAAAAUGACACAUGGUCACUACUUUCGUAAGAAAACUCUUUACUAAGAUCUUUCCAUGUGGCCACCAUGUCUCAUGUUGAACAACCUCCACUAAGCUAGGGUUACAAAACUAAUCACCAAAGAUUAACUUGAGCUAGGCACAAAUAUUGCCCUACUAUUUAAGUAAGAUUGUUCAAAAAUCCUACACUACUUGGUCCUUAAUACAAGGCUUAAAAAGAAAUCUUACACUACUUGACACUUAAUACAAGAUCUAAAAAUACUCCAUGAUGAUCCAAGAGAAAGAGUUUUGUUUCACCUUACAUAAAUAACUUUAGCUUUUCUUGAAUAUGCUUUAGUGAUGACUAGAGAAUAUACCAUUAACGUGUUUCUUAUAAUAGUGUUCAAUACACUGUGGUUCCACACAAUUCCAUGCAUUAAUGAAAAGCACUCACCUAUCCAAAUAGGUCAUAGGCCCUAACAUUUCACAUUUUUAUGAAAUUGACCAAGUAAAAAACACAUAAAGUGGCUUUGAUUCAUUAUGACUCGUUAUGGUAAACGGAAAUGUGCAAUGAAAUAUGAAACUUGACAUAAGUUUAUAAUAGUGGUUGGUAUAGGCACGAGUUGUCUUUGCUGGACAGGUGAUGCAGAGUUAAUAGAAUUGGUAUUUAUUCCGUUUAAGGGAACGAUUGAGGGGUAUUUUGAUGGUUGUUAUAGUCUGGUUGUGCACAGAUUCUGGCUGUGCAUAAAUGAUUAAUGAAUGUGUUAGAAUUGUGAUAAAGACUUUGCAACUGUAAUAAAACUGUUAUAUCAAUGAUUUGAUGUAUAUUUUGUUAGGUUACCCUUACAUUUUCUUUUGGUUAUGUUUUCUCAUCUGCGAUGAUCAUAUGAUUUAUGUUAUUUUACGAGAAUAGAUAAUAUUACAUAUAGUCAUAUGAAUGUUUAAAGCGUCAAAGAUACGGAAAGACUUGAAAAUUUCUAUUUAUUUCUGUUAUUUUUUUAAUAUGAUUGGCUUUUAUUUAAUUGUCUAAUGUUUUAUUUUUAUUGUAAACAAAUUGUUUCGAGUUUUUACUAGUUUUUAAUUAAGGAUAUUUGAAAGAUUCAAAUUAUUAUUUACUAAUUAUUUAAUAACAAUUAUUUAUUUAUAAUUUAAGAUUAUUUUCUCGUAAAAUCUUAAUUGUUUAAUAAUUAUUAUUUAUUUAUACAUUUAACAUCCUUAAUUGUUUAAUAAUUAUUAUUUAUUUAUACAUUUAAGAUUAUUUUCUCAUCACAUCCUCAAUUGGAACGUUAUAAUUAAUAUCAAUUUAAUGCAAUAAUUACAUUAAUUUUUUUUACAAAAAGUAAGAAUUCAAUUAAAUAAAAUAUAAAGAAUAAAUUAUUGAUUAAACAUUUAUUUUUUUAUCAAUGUGUCCAAGAAAGAUACCAUAGCAAGUAUGUUUUCUUUUUGUUAGUUCCGUAGGUUUAAAAAUUAUUUAGUUACCACACAGGAUUUCUUAUACAAUAUUCACUUGUUAUAGACUUUAAGCAUUUUCAGUUUAUUUAAUCAGUAUACGUAUUUUUUACUUUCCAAAAUUUAAAGGCAAAAUCUUAUUAAAAAAAAAAUUGUUCAAACUAUAAGCUUCUAAUAUUACACGGAAACUAAACAUUCAUAGUAUAUCAUUUUAUGUUGAUGGAAAAAAUAGUCUAAAGUUGGAAUUACAAUGAAAGGAUUUUGAUGCUAAGAAUAAUAGAUGAUAUAUCAAAUCCUGUAUAAAAAAACUGACCAUUUAUCAUAUUAAAAUUCUUGACCAAGGAUUUUAGCAUUUAUAUGUAAAUUUAAAUAUAAAUCUAUAUACUAAGCUUCGAAUUUUUGGAUUGGAAAAUUUAUAAAUAGUUCAUUUUUUUUUUCAUAGACAAGGUUUAGAUAUUAGUUGAAUUGAUAGAUAUUUAUAAAGUUUUUUUUGAAGAGGAAAUUUUUUUCUUGAUCGAGUUUUUAUUUUAAUGAUUAGAAAUCAAUUAGUCACUUCAUUUUAUUUUCAAUGUUUUUUUAUAUUCUCUCAACGUUAAACAUUUCCGUAAACAAAUCAUUAAAAAAUAUAACACUAAAAAAAUAUAAGUCUAAUCCACAUAUUAACAUAUACUCAAUUUAAAUUUUUAAGAAAUAUUUCUUUUAUUUACCUUUAUAUAAUAUGAAAUUUAAAGUCAGUAUUAUCAACAAUUAUACAUUAUCAUACAUCUCCUCACUCUCAGACAAUACCUUAAGCACACUAAAAAUAUUAUAAGAUAAUAAAAAUGGGUUUAGGUAAUAGAAAUUCAUAAAAUUACUUAAACUAUUUCAAAAUGGAAGAUUAUAUCAAAUUAAUAAAGAGAAAUGAUUUUUUGAUACAUCUAAACUUUUUACAUUCAUUUGACACUAUCCUUACUUACUUUUUACUCUCUUUUUUUCUUGAAAAACUGCAAAAUUUUACAUUUUUUAAACCAUUUUAUCCUUGUAUUCUGUAUCAAAUGAAUGUAAAAGUGUGUCAAAAUAUUAUUACUAGUUAGUAAAUGGUUGCACGAGCGAUCCAACCAAAGUUGUUAAAUUUUAGUUUGGUCGAGUGCAAUGAUAAAGAGAUGAAAAGUUAAAGGUUGAAUUGACAGUAAAGUCAAAGGAAUAUAGUAUUCAUAUUGUGUGUACAUUCAAAAACCAAUCACCAAAAUUCUUAGUAAAAAGCUAUUGGCAUAGUUCAAUUUAGAGCACAAAAUAAGGGAAUGUGAUUCUUGCAGACAAAGAAUAAAUUCACUUUUUGGAAUACUUUUUGUUGUGUGUCUUUCUCAAACGCGUUUAUCACGAACACGCCAACUCACACCAAUGUGGGAAAAGCUUAAAAAACCAAAUAUGUAGACAAAUAGAAUCUCUCCUUCUUUAACCACUUAAGAGAGAGAAAUAAGUGCGAAAACGAAAAAAAAAAAAAGAAGAAGUUAAUUUAGUGUAUAUUUUUUCUUUUCUAAAUUUCCAAUGUUUUCAAGAAACUCCAUUUGAAAAACAAAAGAAUUUCUUGAUGCGAGUGUAGCAGAGUCGAGAAAAAUGAUAUUGUCUUGAAUUUCAAGACAAAAAUGGAAGGGAAAAGUAUAAGAGAUCUACGUAGAGAUGAAAAUUUUCUAAUAAUAUAAUAUAACAUAAAUUAUAUAUGAAAUUGUUAUUAUUAAUUUUAUUUUUUUUACAAAAUAUAGAGAUUGUUUUGGUGUGAAGUCGAGUUAUUUCAUAUAUUUGUAUAAUUUUUUCUUAAAUGUCGUCUGGUAACUAAAUCAGGUUUUGUUUUUAUUCCACUGUCUCAAGAGGUAUUUGUCAAAGAUUCUAUGAUGUUAAGUAAGUUGUCGAUAUAAUGUGGUAAUAAAUGCACAGUAUAUGUGAUAACCUACUUCUUACCUUUGACCGUUUUCAACAUGAUCUUAAGACUUAUAAAACCUUAAUUUAGGCUUAAUCUCAUUCCAAUAUCUUUAAUUAUCAUUUACUUUAAUUCUUGUAAAAAAACUUGUUCAUCAGCUAUGGCCGAUCAUCCUAUUCUUGGUCGUUCGACCUUAUCAAUUAGUUUAUGUCACAUUCAUUCACUACUUAAUUGAUUCCUUUUUCCUAUGAUCGUUUUGUUUGUUUGGUAUAAAGUUUUAGGUGGUUCUAAUCACUAAUUUAUUUGUUGGCUUAGAAGGAAAGAUAAAAAAAAACAUAAAUUGGUUCAAUUUUAUAUCCUAAGCUCUUUAGACAAAUUUAUUUUUUAAGAAAUAAUGAUACUUUUUCCUUAAUAUUUAUUUAAUGUUAUUAUUGUUAUUUUAAUCUCCUAGUUUGUCACUGCCUUUUCUUACGCGGAAAGCUAACAUGUACCCAUUAUAGGCGACAAUCUUAUUUAAGGAUCCAAAAAUUUAAUUGAGUAUUUCUCUCACUCUAAUCAUGUUAUUUAUAGGUUUAAUCAUUCAGGAAGUCCUUAUUUUUGCGUGAAAUCUCAAUUUUGUCCCUUUCUUUUUAAAAUUCUCAAUCGGGUCCCAAAUUUAUGAAAAUUGAAACAAUUGGAUCCUUUCCGUUAAAUUGCCUUUAACGGUGUUAGUGGGAAUUUGAUGUGGCACGCUACAGUGAAUUUGUUAACUGACGUGGCUGAACAACUGCAGCACGUGGAUAAUUUAUUUUUUAAAUCAAUUUUUUAAAUAAAAAGAAAAUGAAAGUUAUAAACCUGAAUUGGGAAUUUGAUUUUAUGGAAUUAAGGAUUGGGAUUCUUCUGACUUCUUCUAGAGUUCGUUCAAAGAUCAAGUCAUUUCACAAAUUAGGGUAUCAGUUUGAGAAUUUAGGGUUUAAUCCAACUUGAGUAAUCUCGAGUGGUCAGGUCUUGAGUAGAUGGUGAUGGUGAACUUCUGGUCACUCUGGUGGUCCUUGAACAACAGAUCUACAAAAAACAAACAAAAGCAAUUACAAGAUUCGUCAAAAAUCAUCAUAAGUUUUUGACGGUCGGAAAAGAAUCUCUCGCCCCCCCAAAUCCGAAUUCGGAACUCAAGAAGACAUAGAGUGAGAGAGAGGGAAAGACAGUACCCCUAGCCUUCUUGCCGAUAUCAAAGUAGAGAUCGGGACCCUUGGCCAUGGCUUUGAUUCGGAGAAAAUGGGGAUCUUGAGAAAUUUUGUGGAUGAAGAACGCAGAGUGUUUUGUCUGUCUGUGAAAUUCAAACACUAUCUUUUGCCAAUUAAAUAAAUACCUCAAAACCCUAAUUUUCAGCUUCUUUUCCAAGACUUAUUUUCUUGAAAUCUUGAAGUCUACUCCACCAUUUGAUCUCAAAACCCAAACACUGUGUGGACAAGCAGUGGGUGUAGGCAAGUUCCUACAGCUGUUUGCCUACGCCUUCAAUUUUCCGGUCGCCAAGUUCCUGCAGACACGCAUAGCAAGGUCAUCGUCAUCGUUGCGAUAUCAUCACUGCACCUGUUGUUGAGUUGGUUACUCAUUAUGAAGGUGAACUGGUGGACUGGAGCUAAAUGGGUUGUGGUGGUUCAUAGUAGUGGCUCAUUUGGCGUAUGUGCUCAGUGGUGGUUCUGGAAGGGGUUUUUUUAUUUUAUCUUUAUUUAUUUAUUCAUAAAUAAUAAAUAUACCAAAAUCUAAAAAAAAUGAAUUAUCCACGUGUUGCAGCUAGUCAGAACAAACUGACUACAGCGUGUCAUCAAAUUCCCACUAACGCUGUUAGAGGUAAUUUAACGGAAAUGAUCCAAUUGUUUCAAUUUUUAUAAAUUUGGAACCCAAUUGAGAAUUUUAAAAAGAAAGGGACGAAAUUGAAAUUCCAUGCGAAAAUAAGGACUUCCUGAAUGAUUAAACCUUAUUUAUAUGACUCUCUUUUUGAUGAAAAAUUAUUAUUUUUUAAUAAAGUUUCUUUAUUUUUAAAUAAUGCAUUAAUUUUUUUUGUUCUAAAACGUGUUUAGUUGAUUAACAUUUUGAAUCAAGUAACAAUUUUUUUGUACGCUAAUUUAAUUUAACAACAAAAGUGUAUAUAUGGCACAAAUACUUCUUUAAAUACGAUACAUAUAAAUUCAGAAAAAAAAAAGUCAGACUUAAAUGCUUACUUGGUCACUACGUUAAGUGGGUUUUUUCAGUUUAGUACCCAAUUUUAAAAAUGUAUAGAUUAGGUCCCAAAGUUAUAAAAAUUGCACGAAUCCAGUCUUGUCCGUUAAAUUGACACUAACGACGUUAAUUGUGUGCUGAUGUGACAUAUUUCUUCUCUUCUCUCCUUUGCUCCUUUGUUGUCCAUCUUCUCUCGUUUGCUGUCCAACUUUUUCUUUCUCUUCCAUAUUAGUAGUUUCCAAUUUUUUUUUCUAAAUCAAAUCCCUUCAUUUUUGGGAGCUAAUUCUCCAAUGUUCCACCUCGCAUUAACCCCUCAAGGCAAAUAAGGGUUUAUGCAGAUGAGGCAUUUUGUUCCCUCCACCACCAACGCUCCUUACAGCGGUUCUACCGGGUACCGUCUCUCCUCCGACACCUCCAUUGCCAGUUGCACCUUCCUCACCUAUCUCCGCGACAUACAUAAGAACUUUCUAGAAAAAAGUGACAUUGGACCAAAAAUAAAAUGGGAAAGCAAAAAAAAAAAAAAUAUCAACCUCAAACCUGUAUUUUCCAGGAAUAACAUUUGAAAACUGAAAUUUACUAUACUCUUAGUGGUCAAGCUAAGAACACCAGCAAUCGCUCCUAAAUUCUGCUUACACAACUCAUUGGGGCAAGGCGAUUUGCUUUUGCUCUCUUUCUCUUCACUAUUAGAAGGAGCCAGAGAAGGAGGUGUCAACUUCACGACAUUCGUCGUCGGGUUCAUCAAACUCAUCGUCGGUGGAGGCGAUGGGGCCGCCCCUAUCGCAACAUCAAAAGAAGAAUGAAAACUUCACCACUCUAUUUUGUGAAUCUCUAUGCUACCCUGCAUUGAACCUGAGAACCCCACAUACAAACAAUCACUCAAAUACUUAUCCAAUUCGAGGCUCGUCGACAAAACGGGAUCUUUCGGUUUCAAAUUGGAAUACGAAACCCACACGUGUCAGCUUCUCAAUCCUUUUACUGCAUCAAAUCCAGCGGCAUCAUCGUCAUAGGCACUUCUUUUAACGCUAAGGUUUGCCAUUUCGGCACCGUGCAGCUCUAUGGCGAAAUCGACCUCGAAAACGAACAAUUAGGAGAAAUCAGUGAGAUAGGAGAGAAAUUUCCGCCGUUCCCAGUGAGAUCCAGGCAAUUUAAAGGUGUGCAGGGGUACAUGACACCGGAAUUUUAAGCCUCCAGCGUUGCGACUCAAAGGUCUGAUAUAUACACUUUCAAAGUGGUGACGUUGGAGCUCCUGUCCAGGGAGGAGCCACUGAAGUUUAAAUAUGACAAGAACAUAGGCAGAUUUUUUAGGACGUAGGUGAUCAAGAUGACGAGAGACGUGGUUGACGACGAUGGUGGCAUAUAGUGGAAGCUGAGGGAAGUGGAUGUAGGAGAAGCUUACACAUGUGGCAUUUGAGUGAAUUUGACUGGUAGAGAAAAGAAAAAAAAAUGAAAAUUGGAAACCAUUAAUACGGAAGACACAAAAAAAGCUGCAAAGCACAAGAGAGAGAGCAGAGAUAAGCACGGAGUUAACGUUGUUAGUGUCCAUUUAACGGACAAGACUUGAUUCGUGCAAUUUUUAUAACUUUGAGACCUAAUCUAUACAUUUUAAAACUGAGUACUAAAGUGAAAAAACUCACUUAAACAUAAAGAUCAAGUAAGCAUUUAAGAAAAAAAGAGUUAUUAAUUAAUUUAUCAUGUUUAAAUAAGUUUUUGAAAGUAUAAAUUAGUUGAAAGUGUUUAGUUCGGUGAAAUAUUUUUCGAAACAAUUGACGUUGAUAAUGUUUUUUUUAUCACUGUAAAAUCUAAUCUUAACUAAAUAGCUAAAUCUUGUGAUAUGUCAAAUUUACCACAAAUCAACACACUAAACUACCUUAUUAAUAACACCCCCCCUUUACAAUUUUUUGCAGCCAAAAUGAAAUAUUGAAGAAAAAAUAAAUAAAAAAUAGAAAAGUUACAUGGCCAAACUCCGCCGGUUAAACCGGUGGCCGAGCCGAGUCAACGGCCGUCGGCGGCAUAAUCGGCGCGGUGGAUGACGACGACAUUCUAUCAACAUCGUUGUUCCGUACCCUGGGAGACCUAAUAGACAGCGCCCUAGCGAAAAACGGCGCAGCUACUGAGAAAAUCCAUCGGUCCGAUUUGAAACUCCGGUCCAACCGCCUCGAUUGUUUCCCCCGACUACUCCCUUCUCCUCCGGUUCGGUAACCCCGCCUCGAACUACCUUCCCUCGGUAACACGAUCAAGCUACUUGCUCGAUGCAAUUGCCGGUUUAUUAGUUGCUUGCGAACCUCCAAAGGAAGUAUCAGAGUGAACCGGUCCGUAUUUUCUCCCGGUUGGACAAUCGAGUGCCCAGUCGAGUGCGACUUCGAGAAUCGGCGCGGCCGGUUCGACCGCGAUCCACGCGUGCGGUUCCGGUUCAGCGUUUUCUCCAGAGAAAGAACUUCCGGUUCAGUCAAGAAACGGUCAGAGUCCGCGUGUUGCUGCUCUGGUGCGGCUUCUACGACGUCGUUUUGCGCUUCAAGGUCCGUCGUUAACAUUUGGGGAUCGGGAACAGCGGCAACACCGUUGUUGGCGUCAGAUUCCUGUGAUUCUGUCGGUACAAGGUUGGCGCGGCACACGGGACACGUGGUAUGGGAGCUCAACCACUCGUCUAUGCACUCGGGGUGGAAAACGUGGUCGCACUUGGGGAUCAAACGCAGCGUUUCGGUGUCUUCAAACUCGCACAAACACACCGCGCAUUCCAAGGGUUCUUUUCCGAUCUUGUGGAUCUUGACCUCGGAGUAUUCGAGGAUGGGGAAGGUUUGGAUGACGGCGGGAUCAAGGCCACGCGCAGCUCUUCUGGAGCGUGCGGACGUGAGAGGCCUAACGCUGUUGGAAGGCGUAUCGGCGCAGUGGCGUACGUAGACGGAGAAAACGGCCAUGACGAAAAGCGCCGCCACUAAUAUGACGAUUAUUGCGGCUAGAGAGGGGUUGAAACUGUUUAGUCUUGGGUCGGUGAAUUCACUGGGCGACGGCUGGGACUGCGCGACGGCGAUUGGAAUUGACGCCGCCGCCACCACCAGGAGGAGGAGGAAUAGGGCUGCGUGAUGAUGGUGUUUCAUCAUCUUGUCGAAUGAAGAGAGUGAGACAAAGGGUCUGUUAUUUAAAAGAGAGUGUUGUUGUUGGUCAUAGUUUCUGCAAACGCGCGCUACAGCUGCCUGUGGAACCUUCCACAGAAAAUUGAGAAAAUAUUGCUUGCUUUAACACAAAUUCUACUGAAUUUCAGUGCUUUAACAUAAAUAUUGUUUUUUGUAUUUUUUGUCCAUUUAAAUAAAAAAACAAUAUGGUUAUUAAAUACAAAUUGACUGAAUCAGCAGUAAUGGAAAAUGCAUGCUCAAUUAACUUAAUAAAAAAAUAAUUACUUACGGUAACUUCAUGUUUUUUUUUUAAAAAAUAAUUUAAGUGGAACAAGAGUUUACAAGGAAAAUUAAAAUAAUUUUUAAUCCAAAUAAAGUCUCCGAUUCAGCCCAAUUCGUGAGGAAUAAAAAGGUCCGAUAAAGCCCAAUAAAUAAAAAAAUACAAAAGCAAGCCGUGAAGUUUGACCAAAUGUAUUAGAAGUUUGUUAACCGUAGAAUCCAGUAUCAAUUUGCAUUAAUUAAUAUACGCCAUAUUAUUAGGGACUAUAAUUUCCUUUACACGGUUUCGGAAUCAAUAAACAUAAAACUUAGUUAAUUUUUGUUGACUUAAGCAAAAUGGAUCACUCCAUCAACUCUUGAGCUUCGACAACACCGAGUUUUGUUUUGUUUUUUUAUUAUUAUCAAAUUUAAAAAGAAUAUAAAAAAUGGAACAUAUUAAUAUUUUAAAAGCAAAAAAACUAAAGUUUGACUAGUUCUUGCAGUUGAGUGCGGAAGCAAAGUAGGGUGAAAGUCAACGUUCUUGAAGCUAUAGUCAAGAGUUAAACUAUUAGUCAACCUUCAUUUUCAAAGAAAUUUUCCUUGCCAUAACUAUGGUUACUUGUACAACAUCGUUGACUAAUAUUGGUUACUCACCACAUUUUUUUUUUGUUUUCUCUAUUUCGUUUUUUCUCUUCGGUAGCAAAUAAGAAAAAUUGAAAAUUAAAGGAAAAAAAAGAAGAAAGACAUAUUGAAUAAAUAAGAAGUGUGUUUAUUGGUUUGAGAAGAAAUUAAAGAAAACUUAUUUUAAAAUAACUAAAUAAAUUAAUUAAAUUUCUUAAUUGUAUCAUUACAAAUUUAUUUAUAUGUUUCCGUCUCAAUUAGUUUAAUUAAUAUUGGGUUUAUAAUUGUAUUUAGUUUUGAUUUUUAAGUGAUGUGAGACUAACAAUAUCAUGUUUCAAUACAUUUCAAUAGUUUCAUAUAGUUUAAGAGUUAAGGUUAAAGAUAAUUUAAAUAUAUUUUUUUUCUCUAACUUUUAAAGUAUCUUUUAAGAACAAAAUUGUGACAAGUUUAAUUUUUAAAGUAAACAAUACCAUACGAUAAUUAAUACUAAUAAUAUUAUGACAUAGUUUGUUGUUUGUUGAGGACAUCAAGAAAAUAAACCAAUUGAAUCUCAAUAGUUCAAAAUAACUAAAGAAACAAUGUCAAAGACAAUUUAAAUACAUUUUUCUUCUUUAACUUUUAAGAUGUCUUUUAGGAACAAAAUUGUGAUAGAAAUUUUAGUUUUUAAAAUAGACAAUACCUUAUACAUAACUAAGACUAAUAAUAUUAUGACAUUAUUUAUAACUUCUUGAAGACAUUGAGGAAAUAAACCAAUAAAAAAAAUCAACAAAACACAUUUUCAUGCAAAAGGAGAGAAAAAGGACACGUCAAGUGGGGUAAAAAGAAAAUUCAAACAAAAAACAUUGAAAGGAUUUUGACUACAAUAAAAGACGUCAAAGAAGACUAAUCAAAAUGGAGAAAAGCAUUGAUAGAAAAGUAAUUGAAACCAUGAUUGAAAGCCAAUUUGAAAAGGGAGUUAUAUACAAUAGCUACUAAAAAAUGUGAAUGUGAAGUAAAUAAGAAUAUUUUGUAUGAUGUAAGUAGUUUUAGGAUAGUUACUCCAAUUUAUGUAUUUUUUUUUUCUUUUAAUUUAUCAUGUCAAGUAAUGCCAAAAUUAGAGUUAUCAAAAUGAGUCACAACUCGCGGGUCAACCCGGUCUACACGGGUUUGAGUCGGGUUGGGUUUGGAAAAAUUGUAUUUUUUUAUGCGGAUCAGAUUUCAACCCGACUCAUUUAAACCCGGCUCAUGCGGGUUGAACCCGUGGUGGGCCGGGUUGGCCCACCAACCUACCUACCUAAUUUUAUUUUAUUAAAUUUUAAUUUUAUAAAAAAAAAUUAUUAUUAUUUUUUACUUGAAAAAAUUAUUUAGUUUCUCUAUUUUCGAGUGAAAUUUGUUUAGGUUUGAAUUAUAGAAAGUUUGUAUUUUUUUUUAUUUAAAAAAAAUUGUAAUUAAGUGGGUUAAUGAGCCAAUCCGUUUACCCACCAAUCCGUGGUGGGUCGGGUCAGGUUCAAAUUUUUCUGGCUCGCUAAUAAACGAAUCGGGUUGAGUUGACUCACUAAGUGACCAACCCGUAGUGGACCGGGCCGGGUCGAGCCGAGUUACCCGUUUCGACUGCUUAGCAAAAAUAAAGAAAAAAAAUAUAAAUUGAGAUAUCUAAACAAAAGGUAAUCAAUUAUGGGUACAAUUUCAAACAAAUACCAUCAAUGUCUCGAAUAGAAAGAAAUGACAAAAUUAAUGUUGAGUGUAAUAAUUUGAGUUAUAAAUUUCUUUUAUUUCCUUUAAUAGUUCUUAUUUUACUUUUGAUAAUUUAUUUACCAUUAUCUUCUUCAUCUAUAUUUCUAUCAUUGUUAUUUUGAUUCCUCUGUCGUUCUAUUUUUAAAAUAUAUAUAUAUAUAUAUAUAUAUAUAUAUAUAUAUAUAUAUAUAUAUAUAUAUAAGAAAUAUGAUAAAAAAAUGUUUGAAUUGUUAAUUGAAGGUAUCAAACAAAAGUUUAAUGGUUUAAAAAUUUUCAUGACUUUAAUCUAAAUAACUUGUAAAUUUAUUUUAACAAUAGAUUUAUAAACACUUAUAUAUUUAAAAAAUGAAAUUUAAAAACAUUAAAUAUUAGAAACAAAUAUACAUAAAAUAAAUUUGAUUUAUUGAAAGACAUUGUUCACGUAUGAAUCCAAAUCCUCAACAAACACCUAUACAUAAAAACAAAAAGUCGUUUCCUUCAUAGACACAAAUUUAUCUAUAAAAUAAUGUGUCUUUUUCUUGUAAGUUCUUGUUAAAGACUUUGUCCUAAAAAAAAACUAUUGGUUUUGUCGAGCUUCGAAUGUUGGAGAGGGUGUGAUGUUUACGUUAGAUAAGUUCUGAUGGCUUAGACUUUCAUGUUUGAACUUUGAAUGUUUCUUUUAAUAAAAAAUCUCAGAAAGUUUGAAUAAAAGGAUGGAGAUAAAAUAAUUUCAUAAAUUCUAGAAGGAUAUUGAAUUCGGAUUACAAUAAAGAAUGCGUUCUUAAUGUUUUAACUAACUACGUCUUCAGUUCGAUGCAACCUAAAUUUAACUAGCUUGGAAAAGGUCAAUUUUUUUUUCCUAAUAAUUAGAUGUUGUUAGUAAAAUGUUGUAAUAUAUUACUUUUAUUAUUAUAAAACAAAAUUUAAUUACUUCUGAAUGUCGGGAUAGUUUGAGUCACUCGCAUUUCUUCUGCCUUGAUUAUUCAGUUGUUUCUGAGAUGACAAUCAAUAGGAUGUAGUAGAGUGUGAGUAAAGCGUACCUAUCUUGUGACUUGAAUUCUCUAUUUAUAAUUUGUCCCAUGUGAGCCCAAUAAAAUAUACACAGACAAACUUACCUAAAAAUCUGUUUAGUUGUUUAUAACCUGUUUAUCAAUAUUUUUAAUUAGAUAUAUUUGAUUAUCUUUUGGUUAUUUUAUCUUCUACUUAUCAAUAUCUUUAAUCAGAUAUCCUUGAUUAUUUUAUAUGAUAUCUCGUAAUCGCUCGACUUUGAUAUCAUAUUAUACAUUAGGUGUUGUCUUUAAAGAUUUAGCUUAUUUCUUGAUCCUUUUAUUAUGACGACAAAAUAAUGAUCAAUUAUACUUCAAUGACAUUGAAAAUAUAAGAAUGAAACCAUAAUUUCAAAAUUGAGUAAUGCAUUGAUAUGUAUAAGUUUGUAAGAUAUUGAACAUUUUUUUACCUCGUUUAGACUUUAAAAUAAAGAGUAUAUAAAUAUUAAAACAGACAAAUUAUUAGGUUUAAUACAUCUUUUGGUCCCAUCUUUUGGGGCUUUUGUUCAAAAUGAUCCCACCUUUGGAAAAAAAUCACUUUGGUCCCAUAUUUCAUUAAAUGUUGUUCAAAAUGGUCCCUAUGACAGACGACGUUAAAUUUUUAACGGUGAAGUUACUAGCGUGGCAAACGUCUAUCCACCUGUGCCCAAUUUAUAUGACGUGGCUGUGUGGACUGUAGUAAGUUGACAUAAAUGGCUUAUAAUUGGGGUUAUUAAAAGGGGUGGGUUAGAGUUAGUUGAAGUUAGGGUUCUUUGGUUCUUUGCUGUUCUUUAAAUUUUGGAACAGAGGUUGCGAUAGGUUUAGGGUUCGUUGAAGUCAAAAUGGCUUCUUCUCAAGCAUGUUCGUCUUGUUCCAAAACUGGGUGGGAAAGAAAUUCACAAUCCGCAAAUGAUGGGGGCUGGAGGGGAGGUGGGAUAAUCCCUCAUUGCAAGUAUGGUGAUGCUGCUGUGUCCAAAGUGGCGAGAACUCCCCAGAAUGUUGGGCAAAAAUUUUGGGGAUGUCGGCAUUACAAGGUUUUUUUAUUUCCAUUUUGACUUUAUUUGGUAUAUAUUUGAUGAGGAAAUUUCAAUUUUGGUGGCUUAUUUGUUGCAUAUCAGGGUGGAUCUUCAAGAGGGAUUUACUGCAACUUUUUCAAAUGGUGUGCUGAAGAAAAUAAUGAGGAAAGAGAUGAUGAAAGUGUUAGACAAAGGAGGAGGAUUUCUGAUUUGGAAAUUUUAGUCCAAAACUUGCAGAGAAGGAUGAAAUUGUUACUUGGAGCUAUGUGUGUUGUUUUUGUAGUUAACAUUGUCAUUUUAAAGGUCUGUUUAGGUUGAUCUUAGUAUGUGGCUGCAUGUUUUGGUUUCGUAAUGUCAAGGUGAAGGUGAAGGUGAAUGUUAAGGUUCAUGCAAUGUCAAGGUUUUUAUGUAAUGUGAAGGUUUAUGUAAUAUGAAGGCGUUAAUGUGAAAUGUUAAAUAUAGUAUCUGGUUUCAUUUUAAAAUGUCCAAUUUGGUCCCCAAUUAUAUUUAAAUUAGUUUAGUUUUGGUCCCAAAUGGAUAUGAAGACAAGUGUUUGUCAUCCCAUAAUAAACUCACACAAGUGCUUCUCAUCACAUACUAAACUAACACAACUGCUUCUCAUGAUAUAAUAAUCAAAGUGCACAUAAAAGUGGACAUAAUAAUACUUCAUUAAAUGAUAAUGACCAUACAUCAAAAAACUUGGUCACAAAAUACAUCCAAACUGUGUUCAAAAUACAUCAAAAAACUGUGUUCAAAGUACAUCAAAAAACUGUGUUCAAAGUACAUGCACCAUCUUCAUAAUACACAACAACUGUGUUCAAAAUACAUCCAAAGUUCAUAAUAAUGACUUCACAACACAUCUAAUUGAUUCUUCUUUUGAAAGGAAACUUCUUCCUCAUGAUUGGUGGAGUUGAAUAUGCACUGGACUCCUGAGUAGGUUGUGGUGGCUGCGGGGAUUGAGGAUUGGGUUGCUGUGAAUUCCAAUAUCUAGAUAGGUUUGAUUCCUUGAUAAGCCUGGUGUUUAUCUUUGGACAGAUAGUGAAUUCCAUAGCUGCGACCUUGGUUCUGUUGGUGGCCCAACGUUUCAUAAGAUAAAGCCUUAUCUCCUCCAGCAUUGUGAUUAUUGGCUUGCCUCUGGCAAGCACAAUAACACUGUUGAAGGCUUCACAUAUAUUGUUGUCAAGAGAAUCACAUGCAGCUUCAUAUGUGAAACGAGACCAUGACCAGUACCUGCCAUGAGCAUUGAGUAAAUCAACAUUAAGGCUUAUAUAAUUUUUAAUUAAGCAAGUAUAAUUCAGCACAUAAUCAUGUAUUCUUCUAAUAUAUUUGUAACCAAAGAUGGAUAGUAGAGUAGAAUGAAAUAUAUUUGUUCUACUAAUAUAAAAAAUGAAUAAUGGAGAUCUUGAAUGUUUAUAGAACGCAAAUGGAGUUGCUGAAUUUCAUGCAAGAGAAGAAAAACAAACAGCCAUCUCAACUUUAAAAAUUCUGCUGCAGGAAAUAAUUCAAACCCGAAAGUGCUGAAAAGAGAUGAGUGAAUUUGAACCAGCAAAUUUGUUUGCUGAAUAGCUUUGAACCAGCAAGAUUGUUUGUUGAAUACAAACUGUUUUCACUGAGUUGUGUUGACAAAUUCAAGCCUUAGCAAAUUUUACCAUGUUCAGUUCAUUUUGCAUUCCAUCAAACAACUCUAAUACUCAAAUUUUGAAUUAGCACUUAAAACAAACUUGUAGAGAUGACUUAGCACUUCUAUUAUUUUUAACUAUCAGCUAUUGUUAAAAGUAUUAUAAAAAAGUUAACAAGUCCUUAGAAUGAAAAUUUUAAAGUAUUGCUCAUAUUAAAAAAAGUAAAACAUAACAGAGAAAAGAUAUAAAAUAUGAGAAGUCAGGAUCCUGGGCAUUAGAUCGUUUAUAAAUUUAUGAGAUAUGUUUUGGCUUGUAAGAACAUAAAAGAAAACAAUUUUCAUGAACUAAAAUUAAAAUUGACUAACAUUUAAACAAAACUUAAAUUUACUAACUUCUUACAGUAAGAAACUAAAUACAUCCAAAAAAUAAGACAGGAAAUUCGAAUAUUAUAUUAAUGAUGGUUAAUGUAUAAUAAAACAGGGACAAAAAACAUUUCAACAAGGGGUGAUAGCAAUUUGUCGUAGUCAUAAUCGAUGCACCAAAAGUAUAAUUAACUAAAUGCAGCUUAAAAAACAUUUGUGAAUCAAAUUAAAUAUAUAUUUUCAUGCAUUAAUAUAUUCAACUGAAUUUCAAGUUAUCAAAUUUUAAAAAUUAAAAAACCUUAAUAGUGAUUAUAUAUUGAAAUGAAUCUGACACCAGGAAUGAAUCACUGCAGAAUAUGUUCUGAGGAAACUGGUGUCUAUGAACGCCAUGACCUAUCAAAGGAACAUGGUCACGGCUUUAUCAAAGCAAUUUCAGGCUUUAUAGCAUUCAUUCUGGACUUAGUUCAACAGAAGCUUUAGACACAUUCACCAAUAGUAUUUUAAUCCAAAAACAGCCAAUGAAACACUAAAUUCAGAAAAUCUGCAGCGUCAACCCUAACCCCCCAAAAACAAACAUAAACAACAGCAUAGCCUUAGAAAUUGAACCCUUACCUCACCCCCGUACAAUGUUGAACUACCACCUUCAAGCAAUCACCACUGAUGUGAUCUCCAAUGGCGACAAAUGAACAGCAGAUGAACCCAGAGCUUUCUCUCCAAUCGCGACAAUUGAAAAACAAUUAGGGUUGGGUUUUUUAAUUACCCUAAUUUUCUAAUUUGAUUUUAAUUAGGGGUUUUUUAAUUACCCUUAAAUGUUUUCAACAAGCCACGUCAUAUAAAUUAGGCACAGGUGGAUAGAAGUUUGCCAUGCUAGCAACUUCACCGUUAAAAAUUUAACGCCGUUUGCCAUAGGGACCAUUUUGAACAACAUUUAAUGAAAUAUGGGACCAAAGUGAUUUUUUUCCAAAGGUGAGAUCAUUUUGAACAAAAGCCCCAAAAGAUGGGACCAAAAGAUGUAUUAAACCAAAUUAUUAUUAGCAAUAACAAUAUUAUUUAAUGAAAUUAAGAAUUAAUAAAAAAAAUCUAAAUUUCCCCUCAACAGUUACAAUAAUACAUAGAAUUACCAACGACCAAAAUCUGUCGAAAAUGUCCAAAAUCCGUCGAUAACGACAUUUUUCCGACGGAUUACCGACAAUCAUAACUCCGUCGGUAAUAACAUUGUCGGUAAUAUGUACAAAACUCUACAUAUAUUCUUUCCUCUUCCUUUCACUCUUUUUUUUCAAGUUCAUAAUGUUUCACAUUGUUUUUUAUUUUACUGAACAUUUGACACAACUAUUCUCAUUAAUAUUAUUUGAGAUUCUUGAUUUAUUCUAAAAUAAUUAAAUUAUUAUAUUGAUGUUGUUCUAGGCUUAAAUAAGAAUUAAAAAUGGUUUAGAAAGAUUAUAGAACCAAGUUCUCGAGGUUCGUUGCUAUUGUUAAAAAUUACAUAUGUCAAAAUUUUAAUAAUUGAUUUCAGAAAUUCCAUAAAUUAGAAAUAUCAUAAUAGAAAUUGAACUUGUUCGGAAAUGCAGAAAAAAAAAUAUAUUUUUAAAAAAUAAAAUAUAAAAAAUAUUUAUACAAAAGGGAAAAAUGUGUAUAAAGUUUAAUAUAAAGUGUAAUAAAAUCUAAAGUUUGUAGUGAAAAAAUUAUAAAAUAGAUUUAUUCAAUCUUAAAUAUUUUCGACUUUAAACCAUAGAAAGAUCAUAUUUAUAUACCCUUAACCUUUUUUAUGUCUAACUGUUGGCGUAGUUGUGGUAUUGAAUAUGCAGAGAUUCAGAAUAUGAAUAUUAGAGAGUAAGAGAAGAGAUGAAAACUGAAAACUAUAUUGUAUUAUUAUUUUUUCACUUAUGAAUGAUACAAAGUGGGGUAUAUAACAUGUGCAGAAUACAAUGGUUGACCUUAAGAAAGUCAGUUGGUAGUUAUGAUUAUAACAACAUGCCCUCCUAAACAUAACUAGCUACAGCUUUUACACCCAACAAAUCUCUUAGUUGAUGAAACCUGAAUGGUCUAAGUGCUUUAGUGAAAAUGUCAACCUUUUGAACUUCAAUUGAGCAGUGCAGGAACUCAAUCUUACCUUGACUCACUAAAUCUCUUAGAAAAUGAAACUUAGUAUCAAUGUGUUUACUCCUGCCGUGAAACACAGGAUUUUUAGAUAAGCUUAUUGCAUAUUUGUUGUCUACCAUCAACUGUAUGGGUUUUCUACAGUUAAGCUUCAAAUCUCCAAGGAGUGAUUCUAGCCAAAUGUAGUGACAAGUUGUCUCUGUGGAUGAUAUGUAUUCAGCUUCACAUGUUGAUGGGGCCACCACACUUUGCUUCUUGGAGCACCAUGAGAUAGGCGCCCCAGCAUAUUGAAGGAAAUAGUCGUAUGUGCUUCUUCUAUCCAAUGAGUCUCCACUCCAAUCCGAGCCACACCAAACCUCUAAUACUCCUUAUGAUCUGUUAGUAGCUCUAGGAAAUAAAAGGCCAAAAUUUACUGUUCCCUUCAAGUACCUUAAGACGUGUUUCGCUGCUGUCAAGUGUGACACCCUUGGUUCAUGCAUGAAUUUGCUCAACAAACCAACACCAUAACUAAUGUCAGGUCUACUAUUACAGAUAUACCUCAAGUAGCCCACUAUUUGUUUGUAAAAAGAGGCAUCUACACGUUCUUCUUCGUGUUGUUCCGUAAGCUUGAGAUUAGCAAUUACAGGAGUGGGAGUAUAGUUACAAUUGCUCAUGUUGAAGCGUUUCAGGACCUCGCUGAUGUACUUUGCUUGGUGUAGAAUGAUUCCAUUUGCAGUCUCAACAAAUUCAAGCCCGAGAAAAUAACCUAAAUCGCCUAGGUCGGACAUUUCAUAUUCUUCUUUCAUUUUCCUUUUAAACAAAUCGAUUUCCUUUUCAGAGUCUCCAGUCACAAGGAGAUCAUCUACGUACAAACAUACUAGAACCUUGUUCUGUGAUCCAGCACUUCUCACGUACACACCAAAUUCAAUAGAACUCUUUUGAAAUCCCAGUUUGAUCAAUAAAGCAUUGAUGUGAUUGUUCCAAGCUCGUGGCACUUGUUUGAGUUUGUAUAAUGCCUUAUUCAGCCUAUACACCUUGUGCUCUUUACCUUGUAUCUCGAAUUCGGGUGGUUGCAUCACAUAAACUUCCUCUUUCAAAGGACCAUUGAGGAAAGCAGAUUUCACAUCUAACUGUUGAAUUCUCCAAUUAUUCCAGCUAGCCAUUGCUAUCACGAGCCUCAUAGCCUCAAUCCUCGCGACGAGUCUGGCCUUCAAUUUUGCUAUCUCACCUCCUAAUUUAUAUUUAGUCUUGAAAAUCCAUUUUACCUCAAUUGUUCGCUUAUGCUGAGGUAGUUCAACCAUGUCCCAGGUUUUGUUUCUUUCGAUAGAUCUUAACUCUUCAAUCAUGGCUUCCUUCCACUCCUUCAUGUCAAUAGCUUGCCUCCAAGUGAUAGGCUCUGCAUCUGCCAGAAACGCAACGUGAACCAAGUUCCUAGAGUCUGCUAUGUCACUAUCUGCGAACACCUCGUGGUCUGCUAGUCUGGUGGAGGGAAACCUUACUCUUUGAGAUCUCCUACUGCUGCCUUCAUCAUUAACAACAUUCUGUCUCGUAUCAUAUUCUUCCAGCCAACCAGAACCUAAUUCUGGUUUGUCAUCUGCCUUCUGCCAAGCAUAAACAACCCCUUCAUCCACUGUUAUGUCUCUACUGAUGAUCACCUGUUUCUUUUCUAAGCUGAACAAUCUGUAUGCUCAUGUCGAGUGAUAGCCCACAAGAAUCAAUGUUUCACUCCUGUCAUCAAACUUUCUCCUCUUUUCUUCUGAAACAUGUUUGUAAUAAACAGACCCGAAAACCCGCAGAUGAUUAACAUAUGAUACCACUUUUGGCGCAACUGUGGUAUUGAAUAUGCAGAGAUGCAGAGUAUGAAUAUCAGAGAGUAAGAGAAGAGAUGAAAACUGAAAAAUGUAUUGUAUUAUUAUUUUUUCACUUAUGAAUGAUACAAAGUGGGGUACAUAACAUGUGCAUAAUACAAUAGUUGACCAUAAGAAAGUCAGUUGGUAAUUCUGUUUAUAACAACACUAACAUCUUAAACCUAUGUCCAAAUAUUUUUUUUUUAGCUUAAUUGUUUUCACUCCUUAAAAUAACUAAGACACUACUAUGCUUAAGUUGUAGUAAUUUGAAAUAAAAAUACUAGUUUUUUAUAAACUUCCUUUCCAAUCUCAAUAAUUUUAAGGAAAUAUUGAUUUUUUUUAAAAUUUAUUUAAAGAAAACUUGAAAUAUUCCUUUUAAGAGGGAGGUUUUUUUUUAAAAAACAUAGGAAAAAAGUUAUUUAAAAUGUAGGAAAAGAUUGUUCGUUUUUUAACCUCCAAAUAAUAAAACGAUGUUUAAAAAUCAUUCAAAUCAUAUUUAAUCUAAUACUGAAUUAUGUUUUAAGCGUUCUUAUCAUACUUAAUUGUGUCGAAAUCAAGAUUAAAGACAAUUUAAAUACAUUUUAUUCUUUAUUUUAUCUUUUAAGAUGUUUUUUCAGAGAAGAAUAUUAACAAAUUUUAUGUUUCAAAACAAACAAAAUCUUAAAUACACGAUGAUUCACUCUAACAAUAUUAUUCGACAUAUUUAAAAUAGGCAAAAAAAACUUAUAUCUAUAAAUGACAUAUCUCUCUUACACAUUAUUUUAUUAUUUCAAGAUAUAUAAGAAUAAAAAUAUAACUUUGUAAAUAAUGAUACAAAUAUUUUGUCACAAACAAAAUAAAUGGCUUAAAAUGAUUUUUCUAAGUCAUGCGAGACUUUCUUUUCCAAACCUUUAUUUAUGUUUUAGAUUGUCCUUUCCUAUAUUUUUGUAUAUUGGUCAAAAUGGGACUCAUAGUUUAAAUUGAAGUUUAAUUAAGUGUCUUCAAAAUCCUAUUAAUUUCAAAUAAACAUAUACAUUAAUAGAAAUUUUGCAAGGCUUAAAAAAAUUAAAUUCUUAUAAUUCUAAUAUUUAAAAUAAUAAAGUUUUCUUCUUUAAAAUUUUAUCUUUUUCCAUAGUCUUUGCUAUAAAUCUUUAAUUAGAUAGUUUCUAUCGAGUUUUAUUGUAGAAAAAACUAAAACUAACACAAAAUAUGAAUAUUUAGAAAAAAAAAUGUAUUUAAAUAUGUAUAAACUAAAUACAAAAGAAUGUCUUUACAAGUAAAAUAAAGCCAAAUCUUUCAAUAAAAAAACAAAAUAUAUAUCUAUGAUAUAAAUUCAUUUUGGUUAAAGUAAAAUAAAGCCAAAUCUUUCAAUAAAUAGACGUUAUUGGAUGCUACUAUAUCACAAAAGGAGUUAAUUUCCGUAGUGGAUCCAUUAAAUUAAGUUUAUAUUUUUUAAUUGUUUUUCAUUCCUCCAAAUUAUGAAGAUAUAUUACAUCCUUUUUAGUUUCAAUAUUUUUUCUUCUUUUAAUUUCAAGAAAAAAUAAAUAAUUUAUACGCUUUAAUAUUUAUUAUUUUAAAAAUGAAGAAAAUAUUAGUUUUUUACUAUAUAUUUGUUUAUUAAUAUUUUAUUUCAACAAUUUAAUUAGUUUAGAAUUACAUUUUAACUCUCUUAAAUAAACUAUUUUUAUCAUAAUAUUAAAAUACUAUCACUAUAUAUAUUUUUAAAUGAACUUUGAAUUUAAAAGAUAAAUACUUUAAGAUAAUGAUAAUACAAAAUUUAUAUUCUGAAAUACAAAAUUUACAUCUCAGAAUACAAAAAAUCUAUGAGAGGACAUGUGGAAAUUUAUGGAAGAGCAGAAACUGCUGAGAUGAACUCUUGAGUUGAUCCAAACUACUGGGCUUUGGCCAACCUAUGUCCAUGAAAAAUCUUAAAUAUUAUAAGAGAUAUCUUUUUACACCCCAUGGUUUCCUCCUGCACCUCAUAAGUGUGUAAAUAGCAAAAUUAACCCUAAACACCCACCCUCUAUGUCUCGGUUGUUCUCUCAUUUAAUUUUAAUGAUUACAGACAUUUCCCACAUUUUAAAAUUUAAAAGUGUUUUUCUAACAAAUAAAUUUUAGAUUAUAUAAUAUAAAAGUCUCAUAAACCUAUUUCAAAUUACACAAACCUUUCUACAAAGUAUAGUUUUAACACAAAUGCAAGAUGGAAAAUGAUAUUUUAACACCAUUUUUUGACACCAUUUUGACACUGCACACGUGUCAAAAUAUGAUUGGACAAUUUCAAAUUAAAAAAGUUAAGACAGGGGUAUAUUUGAAAGAGAAAAACCAAAGUUUGUUUUUUUAAUUUGAAAUCGUCCAAUCACAUUUUGACACGUGUACAAUAUUAAAAUGGUGUAAAAAACAGGUGUUAAAAUAUCAUUUUUCAUGCAAAAUAGAUAGCACGAUAAUAUGGAUAAAAAUCCCAAUAUUUUAUGAGAUAAAUUAUGUGACCAUGGCCCAUUUUUUUCGUGUAUAUUUUAAUUGAAAUUGAUGUUUUUCCUUAACUUAAAUUAGCUAGGGAAACCCUAGUUUAUCCAUAAGCCAAAAAAAAAAAGGUUUUGAAUGUCAAUUUUAUUAUGGGACCCAAAAAAUGAAGCAUGCAAGAUAAUGAAUAUGAAAAAGUAUAUCCUAUAGACCACUUUUAUUUAGGUAGCUUCUAUGUAAUUUGGAAUUUAGUUUAGAUUCAAAGCAACAAUUAUCAUCUUAAUCAUCAUAAUGCUAAUCCGAAAUUAGUAAAAUGGAAAUGACUCAAUCCUAUCCCUUUCACUCAUUUUCUUUAGAAGAUACCCACGUAGAAAAUUUGUGAUUAGCAUAAUAUAUAACACUACUUGUUAUUCAACUCUUCCUUCGUUAUAGUAUCAUUAAUUGGUUAAGUAAGGGUGAAUGAUUUUUAAUAUUUCUAAGUUCUUAAGUUAUUAUAACUUUAUAUGUCACCGUUAAUCAUAUCAUACCACCAUACUUUCACUAAUAAUUCAUCAUAUUCAGUGUCAAACUUCUCAUUAAAUACAUCUCAUCGAUCACCUUAAAAAAAAAAAAUCUAGUGUUUGCAAUUAUAAAUUAAUUUAAACAAAUUAAGACUUGAAAAGCAAUGUUUUGUUAUGGAUAUACGUCUGUAAGAAUGCAAUUAAAAUUAAUUACAAUUUCAAUUCAACCGACACAAUAACAUACUCAUACAAUUAAACGAAAAUUAUAUAUAUUUAAAAUUUAAGACAUUAUUAAAAUUUCUUACAGUCUGACAAAACCAAUUUAUUUAUGUUUAACAGUGUUAAUUGUUUAAAUUAUAACUUCAGAACCGAUCCUUUUUAAAUACUUAAUGGUAAUUUUAAACUUGUUAAUACGAAAGGGUUGUGUUAAUAUUUGAAAAUAUAUUAGCUUCAAUAUUCUUAAAUACGUGCCGCAUGUCAUUUAAUAUAUAGAUUAAACUAAUUCUUAUUUCAAAACUAAUGAUAGUUUUGUUUAAUUAGUAUUUUUAUAGUUCUAUCAUGGAAGUUAGUCAAAUAAGUUAAAAAGAAAUAACAACGAACGGCUUAAGCUAUAACACAGUUUUGUUUUACUUUAAAUUUCUAUAAAAAUAUAACAAAAUUUAUAAAUUCACUAUUGAAAAUCACUUCAAAUAGUAUGAAUUCGAGGAAAAUUUAAGUUGAAUUACAUUCUUCGUCACUAAACUAAGUUGAAUUAAAUUAAAUUUUUGCCAAUUCAAUUAGAAUUAAACGGAUAAUAAAUUUCUUUUCUUAAACUUUAAAUAAAUAACUAAAUAAUAUAUAUAUAUAUAUAUAUAUAUAUAUAUAUAUAUAUAUAUAUAUAUAUAUAUAUAUAAACUUGUGUUGAAAGUUUCACAUCGACUAGAGACAAGACCAAUUUAUAAUAUAUAAGUGGCAUAGAGACCUCACCUUACAAGCCAACUUUGUGGGGUUGAGUUAGGCUUAAAAGCCACUUCUAACAUGGUAUUAUCUUAGCGAUAUUUGUUGGACAUUUUGUUCCACCACCCGCUAUUGGACUGUUAUAGGACCACCUAUUUAGUCUCACGCUCAAGAUAGAUAUACCUGAGUGUGAGGGAGUGUCAUGGAAAUCUAAUAUCGAAUAGACAUCAAGUCAGUCUAAUGAAGUUUUGUUUGUUGAAACACUUUCUAUGUAUAGUAUCCGGUUGGAUAUUUUGAUAAUCGGGCAUGGUAUGGUUCUGAUUUAAGGUUCUGAAACAAGCAUGUCUGUCUGUGGAGGGUGAAUGAGACUGUGAAACUUGUGUGGAAAGUGUUGAUUAACAUGUUUGUUUGUUUGUCUUCUUGUUUGGAAACCGCUUUCAAGUUUUGGGGAAGUGGUUUUUCAUCGCAAGCCGUUGUUUUGAGGGUUUGGGACACUGUAGUUUGAUGUGUGGUGACAUGAGUAGAGACACGUGUACGACUGAGAUGACUCCACACAUUUUGGUGCCAUUCCAAACACAUGAUGACAAACUCCUUUACGUCCAAUCCAAAUCACUUCAACCCAUCUUUCUCCUCAAUAAAUCCAAUCAUACACGUAUGCAUGUAAUGGAUCAUUCUUCCUACGCCUUCUAGGGUUUUCCUUUUCAUCUUAAUGUCACGUUGUAUGGUGAGAGCAACAAAUCUACUUUUUUUUUUUAAUAUAAGAUCAUAGAAUUAUAUGUUCUAACUCGGGUGUAUAUAAAAUGUGACUAGAUAGAAGAAUAUAGGAAUGUAAAUAAAUAAGUUUUAAAAUUUGGUCUAUGAAAAAUUAGGGUUUAUAGAAGAGUGUUUCACCUGGAGAAGAUCGGGAAAAAGGGUAUUGAGAAGGGUUUGAUUGGAGGUGAAUCGAACUUUCACUGUGAGAAUCAUAAUAAUUAUGCAAAGGUACUUUGGAUAGUGACGUAAAGAAGGGUAGGUGAGGAUUGUGGGCGCUACAAGAACAACAAAAAUGCAAUUUGAUUUUGCCUCUACAUUAGGGUUUACAUUUUUGGAACAACAUUUUAACCUUUUUCUUCUUCAUUUUCUCACCUUUUCUUACACUUCAUUUAUGUGCUUAUUGUGUUUGUCAAAUUCUGGAUUCAAUAGUAAACCAUAACUAUUCAUUGUCAAGACCCACAACGAGGUUUCUUCUCACAAGAUGAAAGAGGAUCAAAAUUGAAAAUAGUUCACUUUGUUAAAUGCUUUUUUGCUUAGUGAAGAUACAACAAACAACAAGCCAAUGGAUUAAUUAUAUUAUAUAAAGCUUUAUACCUUUAUAUUAAUUGCUUUGUAUAUAUAUUUUUUCACACUAAGGAAAAGGGAAGUUUGUUUUGAUUAACUAAUUCAGGAUGGGACGGAAUGUUCAAAGAAUAAUGAUAUUAUGACAAAUUUUUACAUUUAUUUGAUACAGAGAAUAUAAGAGUAAAAUAUCAUAAAAAUAUAAAAUUUUAUAUUUUUUUAAGAAAGAAGAAAGUAAAAUAUAAGAAAGGAUAGUGUCAAAUUAAUAUAAAAAAGUUAGAUAUGUUAAAGAAUAUUUUUCUUGUUCAAAUUAUGAUAACAAUACAAGGCAUGCCCUUGCUUUGUUUCUAUGUGUUCACUAAUGCUAUCAUUAUUUUAAAAUUCGUUAUAUUAAUUAUAUUUCUAAAGUUUUUUUUCAAAUAGUAUAAUAAUUAUUAGUUUAUUAUUUCUUAUAUAUUUUUUCACGUAAAAAGUUUCUAAAGAUUUAAUUGUUUUAAAUUUUAGAGAAAUGUAGUUUAAAUAUCCCGCCCCCCAAGAUAGAAUAAUACUAUAUAUUAUGGUCCAAUGACAACAUCGUUUCAACUAGAUCCUAAACUCUUGGAACAUUUAAUAUACGCAAGCUUGGUCAUAGCAGUUAAUUAAUUAGAAAAAAAAAAAAGAACUUGCAAUUUUAUUCAAUUUGUCAAUUACUAACUUUCUGAAAAUUUAAGGCAAGGACUUUUUUUAAUCAGUAAGACUCAACUUGUUAUUAUUUAAUUAUAAAGCUUUUUUGCAUCCUCUCCCAUAAAAAAGGGAGUUUCUUAUUAUAGGAAAGAUUAGUUAAUGACUUUAAUCGGCCAUUAAUUAUAAUAAACCAACGUCGUAUAAUUAAUGUCUGUUUAGGUAUACACAUUUAACCCUACAUGUCUGUCAAGCUUUUCGUUGAUGUGUAUAGUAAACGAAAGAUUGAUUAAAAUGACUUGAAACUGUUAUUAUAUAAACCAACCCAAAUAAAAUAUUUAGUUAUUAAACAGGUUGAACCCUACAUGUAAAGAUUUUCUUGGAUGAUAAUACUAGUUAAUACGAUUAAACUCACAUGAAAUGUGGAGAUUCUUGAGAGUGAGCUGUUAUACACUUGGAUAAACUUAUGCAGAUAAUGAUUCAUGAACAUGCAUGUUAUAUAGGAUGUGAUAUUCAUAAGGGACAAGGCUCAUACUAGACCUGGUGAGGCUGCGUUUGUUUCGUCUAGGCAACAACAAAAUCUAAAUCCUUGAAAUUAAAUGUUUCCGUCCCAGUUACGUAGCCUGAUACAGACAACCUUUUUCUUUGUCCUUAGCGGUGUAAAAUUAACGACUCUUGCAUGUACAUAUACGUUGUUAUAACCAAACGCUGAAAACUAACACUCUUUUCAUAAUCUAACGUAAACCUCGGAGAUGCGGAGAAUGGAUUUCAAAUAUUGUCAGUCAGAAUUUACAUUACUGAUACCAGUUGUUCGAAGUGGUACGUCUACUAGAGAUAAGAUCAAUUUAUAAUAGAUAAGUGAGGUAUAAAUCUCACCUUACAAGCCGGUUUUGUAGAGAUGAGUUAGGUCUAAACCCACUUUCUAAUAUGGUAUCAGAGCCAUGAUUAAAGUCUAUCCUAGCGAGUUUUAAGUGGACAUUUCUGGUAUCAGAGUCAUGAUUAGAGUCUAUCCUAACGAGUUCUAAGUGUGCAUUUUUGUUUCCACCCGAUGUGUUAGAAGUUUCACAUCUACUAGAGAUAAGACCAAUUUAUAAUAUAUAAGUGAGGUGCAAAUCUCACCUUAUAAGCCGGUUUUGUGGGGAUGAAUUAGGUCUAAACCCACUUUCUAAUACCAGUUUUGAUUAAACUCUCCAGCUGUGUUUUGAUUAAACAGAGAAUUUACAUUUCAUCAAGAGUAUGACAAAAACGUGUGUAUGUACGUACGUAAACCCAACUGGAUGGCACUGUAAUUUCAUGGUGAAGGAACACAGUUGAUAUAUUGUCGUAAAAGUUGAGGUGAGUGAUUGGAUAGGAUUGGUUAGUGGUGAGAGUUGAGAAAUUUUGAAGUUGAAAAAUUUGCGAAGCUGUGUAUCCCGUGAUGGAAUCAAUUGACAGGACUUGCAAAUAAAAACAUGGCACAAUCUGUGAAAUGGAUGAUCCUUCAAGUUGGUGAUGAGUGCACGGAUACAUGGUUGGCCCCAUUGUUCACAUAACAUUAUAUAUGUCUCCCAGGGUUUACCUCUUUUCCUACACUCACGCUGGUUGUUUUCCACCAUAUACGUACCUUUGAAAGUACUUGCAGGGUACAGAGAUUUGGGUUAUAUGCUGAGACAUCUUGGCUUAUAUUGCAGGGGAUUUUGGUUUUAUACAUUUUCUGCUUAUUUAGAGUCAUUUUGUUACCAUAAUGUAUGAAGCUAUUACUCUUUUAGGGUGAAAAAAGAAGCAUUUUUUAAUACAUUAUAUAUUGUGAGUUGACUUUGGGUUUCUGAGAUAAACCAGCCGGCCUAAUACCUAAACAAUGGCGUAGCCCUAACCACGUCCACUCCUAAUUAAUUAUUAAUUAGUGAGUACUAUUCUGAUUAUAAUUAAUUUGUGUGACUUUAAUUUCCUACUUCAUAUCUCAGGUGAACUUUGCUGUGGGUUUCACCUCACAGCGGUUUGACAUUGGCCAAGAAAAUGUUUAGUUUUUGGAGAGUCUUAGAGUUGGAAAAGUGUAACUUCGUGUUUGUUUUGUUUUUUUUUUUGAAAUAUGUUUCUCAGAAAAAAAGGUUUCUAAGACUUUCACAAAAAAGGGAGAAUCUAACCUUUUUCAAGUAAAAUUAAAAAUGUAUUGAAAGAAAACUAUGUUACUCUUUAAAUUAUCUAACUUUUGAUGAUCUCUCAGUUAAGCGUGAAGAUGAAAAAUGGAAGAGUUGGUGGGUUUACAAACAAGAAUGCUGAUAUUUUGACAAUUGUUUUUAACAAUUUUUUGACAACAGGAUACAUAUCAUUAUUUAGUUGGUCUCUUUGAAUUUAUGUUUAAAAAGAAUAUUUGAAAUGGAUCAAUCAUAGACUGUUACGUAUUUGUUGUCAAAAAAUUAUCAAAAAAGAAUUGUUAAAGAAAUUUUUUCCGACAAACAAAUAGUAAGGAAUUUAGUCCGUUUUUGAAAGCUGGAAGGAAGAAAUUUGGUCCAGAGGCAUAUGAGAGUCACAUGCAACUUUUGAUUUAAGCUAGAAAGAACUUAAUUAGCUAGCAUGCAUAGGAGGUGGAAGAUAUAAACAAAGUAAAAAUCAGUCCUGAGUUGAUUAUGUGCACCAAAAUUUGUACAUUUUGACCCAAAUUAAUGUAAAACUAUACUUGAUUGCAUUUUGUCAAUGAUGAUCGUUGCACUGAAAGUCCAAGAUUUGCAAAAUGUAGAUCUUGAUUAGUCAUGCUAAUUACUGGCGAUAGGAAGAAAGUUCAAAGAACAAUGAAUUGGUAUGAUGAGGGACCAAAAAGUUCGGAAGACCAAUUUUAUUUGAGAGAUAGAGUCAACUGAUUACCCAAUGUGACGAUGAAGAACAAGAUCAUUAAAGUCAGAGCAUGCUUUUAUUUGCUAUAAAUAAAAUCAAAAUAUAUCCUAAUAAGGUUAGGUAGGUUUAUCAAGUUAUCGUAGGGACGACGAUACUUUGACAACACUUUUUUGACAACUUUUUUAUAACGGGACACGUGUCAUCACUUUAUUGGUCUCUUUAAACUUAUGUUUAAAAAAAUAUUUAAAACAGACCAAUCACAAACUGUCACAUAUGCGUUGUCAAAAAGUUAUUAAAAAAAAUAUUGUGAAAAGGACACUUUUUUAACAACUUUUUGACAACACAUACGUGACAGCUUGUGAUUGGUCCGUUUUAAAUACUUUUUUAAACAUAAAUUCAAAGAGACCAAUAGAAUGAUGACAUGUGUCCCGUUAUAAAAAAUGUUGUCAAAAAGUAUUGUCAAAGGAUCGUCAUCUUAUCAUAUUAGUGUUACACCGUCCCGAAAUCCCUGGCUCGAUAAAAUGUUUAGAUAUUUGGGAUGAAAAAAAUGUAUCUUCAAUCCUAUUUAAGGAUGAGAAUGGUUGGAUUGAGUACCAAAACGGUACAAUUUUUUUUACUGAGGACAUUGUUCAAAAUGACAUUGUUCGUGUUUGAGUACAUUGAUUACAUUUGUGUAUUUAAUGAAUUUUAUUUUAUUUUAUUUUUCUUGCUUUUUUUUAUGAUGAGAAAUACCACGACAAUGUACUGAUUGAGUUCUAAUUGAUGUUGUUAAUUAUAUCCACCAAUUAAUAGGAAUUAACACAAGUGCAAUUAUUGAAAAGUAAUAAAGAGGUCCCACUUAAGUGACGAAUACUACAUGUGUUGCGAAAUUUCUUAUUGGCUACAGCAUCCUUUGUUAGAAGCAUCUUCAACAUUAUCAAUAUAAUUAUGAUAAUCCACACAUCUGACAAGAUGCUUAACACAUGAUUAAUGUUAAAUUAUUGAUGUAAUAGUAAUUAUAAUAGUCAAUGUUUUGGACUAUUCCUUUAGUUUAUCUUACAAAUUUAGUUGUUGAUGAAAAGGGUUCUGUACAACAAACUUAUAUUAUGUAAUAGUAAUUUUGAACCAUUCAAUCUAUAAUGAGUACGUGGCAGUAGGGUCUACAAUUUUCAUAUUGGUUCUAUAUGAUGAUGAUCACCAUUAAUUAUAGCCUGAUUAAUUAAUUAUCUAUUCCAUUUUGAAUGACGCGUUUUAGUAACAAAAACUGGUUUUAUAUCUGUAAUUAUUUUUAAUGUUAAUGUGUUUAACUGGGGUUGGAUUGGGCAGGAAAUGGAAAGAGAAGAAGAAAAAAAACGAAAAGCGAGUCAAAAAUAAAAUUAUCUACACUAUAAAAAAUGAAAAAUAAGUAGUAAUUAAGGGAAAGUUUUUAUUAGAUUUUAUUGAUGUAACAAAUUUUGUUAAUUAAUUAUAUACAAUAAUAAAUUAAAAACAUAUUUUUAAUAAAGUUGAGUAUUAAUUAAUAUUUAAUAUAAUUAAUUUAUAAAAUUGAAAGUGUGUAUUAUAUAUGUUCGAUAGAAGUGAGUGACUAAUCGGUCGAGGACGAAGGUGGAAUAUGUGGUCGGGAGAGGUGGUUGAUUGAUCGGUUAGAACGAAGACCGAAGGGGGCGACCAGUCAUGGGAGGAGUGUAGACGGCGUCAAAGGAUGAUUAGUAACAUUAAUAAGCGAGUAUUGUGGAAAAAGAAACAUACACGUUGUGACGAUUACAAUAAGGGGCGAAUCUUAUUGAAUAAGGUGUAACGGUUACAAGAAGUUAAUGUCCAUUAUUAGGCCUAAUGUCUAUAAAUAGAUACAUGUUAAACCAGAUAUUUACAUUUGAUCAAAUCUUACAUACUUUACUCUAAUUGUGGCCCUGCUGACUUGAGAAAGAGAUUUUGGAAGAGAGUCAGCUUGAAGAGUGUUUGGUCUCGGAUCCCCUACUAAAACAUAUAAUAUUUAAUUUAAUUUUAUUAAUAACUAUGAAUGAUAAUUAAGUUGCUCAUUAUACUUUUAUUAUAUUUUAACUAGAAUUAUUUUUGGUUACUGAUUUAAUAAUAGACUGAAAGUUUAUCGUGUAUAAAUAAAUAUAAACUUUAUUUGAUAAGACGAUUUUUGUGUUAAGUUAAAUUUAAAAUUUAUUUUAUAAUAUAAUAUCAAUGUCAUUCAAAAUUUAUUUUAAAAAAUUUAUUAUUUAUUGAAUUUAUAAUAUUGCUUGCUAUUAUUAAAUCAAUAUAAAUCUGCUUACAAAUAUUUAAUUUUAUAUUUAAGAUGGAAAUGUUUGAUGUAAAAGUUCCUUUGAGUAUGCAAAACCUUUUCUUGUACAAAUUGAUUAAAUAAGAUUGAAUUGAUUUAAAUUCAUUUCUUAAUAAAAUAAAAAAUGACUUUUACUUUGAUAAAUUUAAAUAAUAUAAAAACUUUGCUAAAAAGACAUUUAAUAUAAUAAGUUAAUAGAAUUAUUUGACGGAAAGUACAAAGACUAACAAAAGUGUAGUGUGACACAAUUUUCACUAAUAUAAUUUUUGAAAGAUCACAAAUUUGGAAUUUAGAAAAAAAAUGAAACCGAUUAUGAAAAAAAGAAAGAAAACAUGCAACAAUAAACAUGCAAAAUAAAGAUUUGAAAUGUAAAUAGAAUUUAAAUAUGAUGUAAAAAUUAAAGACAUAUUGAAUCUUGAAAAGUAAAAGGAUAAUUAAAAAAUUUGCAAAACAACAAGUUGUAAAAUAAAAAUAUAAACCAAAAAACGAUGCAUCACUAUAAAUAAAAGUUAUUUAAAAAGAAGUAUAAUAGAAAACAAUACAUUCUCUUUAAAUAAACUUCAUAAAAAUUAGUGAUUGGUCCAAAGGGUAAUGAUACAUAAACAACAUUUUUCUGACAAUAUUUGAACAUCAUCAUAUGUGUCAUUGUGUGAUUGGUCCAAAUGACACAAUGACACCACCAUGGACCAAUCACACAAUGACACGUAUGAUGAUGUUCAAAUGUUGUCAAAAAAAUGUUGUCUAAGUAUCUUUAUCCUAAAAAUUAACAUAUUUUAUAUUUUAGAUUUUGUUUGUUUAAUCUAUGAAGUUUCUUUAUAGUCCUUUCUUUAAAAUAAUUAAAAUUAUUGUUAUUACUAUAAUUAUUUAGAGGAUGAAAAUUAUAACAGAUUUAAAAUUCCGAUUGUUUUUAUUUUUGUUGUUUUUCAAAUUAAAGAUUUAGUGUAAAUAAAUGAUAAUAAAUAUAAAAAGCACAUGACUAAUAAUAUCUGACUUUUUUGUACUAAAGAAUUUUAAUAUUUAAAAAUAGUGAGGGUAUUUUAGUUUCAUAUACGAGUGUAAUGUGGUGAGUUUUAAACAUGUUAAUUGGGUUAAGAUAAAUACUAAUUGUAUAGUUAUAAGUUGUCUAGUUUAAUUACAUCCGAUAUUUUAGAUGAAGUUUGAAUGAAUAUAGGAAUAGUUUUUCAGUUUUUUAAGGACGUAGGCUUGUAUUUAUGUCGAGUUCACUCUCGAUUAUUUAUGUUUUGUAGCAUGUUUGAAAGUAAGUCUUUUAAAAACCAAAGAUAAACAGAUUCUUUUAAGUUUUAUGGGAUAAUUUAAAUUUUCUUGUAAUUUGUGUGAGAAAAAAUAUUUAUUUGAUAAGUUAGUUAAUUUCAUUUUUAUUCAUAAAAAUGAUUAAAAGUGAUUUAAUGUUUUACUUUUAUAUAUUUAUUUAUAUUUUUUAUAAUAGGUAUAAUUUAUUUAUAUUUGAAAAAGUAUAAUUUUUAUCUUAUAUUCAGUGUAGUUAUAUAUUUUUAAAAAAGAAAUUAUAUAAUAAUAAGUAAUGGAUGAAAUUCAAAAUCUGAGCAUAGUUCAUUUGUUAAAAGUUGGUAAGAAUGUCUUUAUUUAAAAAUAAUGAAUGAUAUAGACAUUCAAUAUAAUUAUGACUUAUUAAAAUAUUAUAUUAUAUUAGUGCAAAUGUUUCAACCAAAUAUAUUAAGUUUUAAAACUAGUGUAUUCUUACCCUUAGAAAUUGUCUUAACCCAUUAUUGAAUAUAGCUUGCCUUCUACAAUCUUUUCAAUAUACCAUUAUGCUCAGUCAAUCUAUAAAACUACCUUUGUCAUUUCUCAACCAUCACAUUCACGAAGUUUUAACUUUAAAACCUUCAGAAAAAGAAAACAAUCUAACUGGUACAAUAAAAAACAGAGCAUAACUUGGAUCAAAAGAAUGACUAAUAAUACUGUUACAUUGUAGUACUAUAAAGCAAGGUGACAUUAGUGUCCUGAAAAAGAAAAAAUAUACAUUCAUAAUUAAAUGUCUGUUUUUUAACUUGAAAUCUGUAGCAACAGUAUAAAUAUAGGACCAUGAGAAUUUUUUUUAACAAUUUUUUAACAAUAGGACACGUGUCAUCAUUUUAUUAGUUUGAUCUGUUUAAAUUUAGGAAAAUGAUAUUUUGACAUCAAUUUUUGACACUAUUUUGACACUGCACACGUGUCAAAACGUGGUUGGACGAUUUCAAAUUAAAAAAGCUGAAAUAAGGGCAUAUUUGGAAGAAAAAAACCAUUUUUUUUUAAUUUGAAAUCGUCCAACCAUAUUUUGACACGUGUGCAGUGUCAAAAUGAUGUCAAAAAAUUGGUGUCAAAAUAUCAUUUUCCUUAAAUUUAUGUUUAAAAAAAGAAAAAUUAUUCUGACACACUUAAAUAUUUUACAUUCAUUUGACAUUAUCUUUACUUACUUUUUAUUCUUUUCUAAAAUUACAAAAUUUUACACUUUUUUGGAUCAUUUUAUCCUUGUAUUCUGUGUCAAAUGAAUGUAAAAAUAUGUCAUAAUAUUAUUAUUCUUAAAGAAAUAUUUGAAAUGAAUCCAUCACAAACUAUUAUGUAUGCGUUGUCAAAAAAUAAUUGUUAAAAGAUUUUUUUUUUUAAUGGGCAAAUGUUGAGUCUGAAUUUUGCUGAAAUGAGUUUGCAAAUGGAAUCCCUUUGGUAUUUUGGAAAAUUUGUUUGUUCACGUUAGUUUUGAAGCACAUGGAUUCUCUGCAAGUUUCUGACGGUGAAAGUGUGGACAAAGUUCUUAACCCUUUUUCUCUCAGCUUUGCAAUGCAAGAAUCUCUCUCUGACUGCAUCAGCUUUUCUUUUCUUCUUUGCAUUUUCGCGUUUGUGCUCUGUUUCUCCUAUUUCCGACCGUCUUAUUACCAAAUCACGAACUCCUUUCUCUUUUUGUCUUUCAAAUUUCUUCACGCUCCUCUGCUUUACGUGUCUCACACUUCUCCGAAUUUGAGGCUCUCAACUCUCCUUGGCCCCCACGCGCACCCUUUAUCCUCUUCAAUCGUUUUUCGAUUUUGGUGGGUUGUUGGAACAUUGUAGUGAAGGAUACCCAUCAGAGCAAGGUAAAAUUAAAAUCUUUAUUUUAGCAAGGGAUAUUCACGUGCCAUUUUUAUUUUCUUUCAUUUAUUUUAAUUAAUUUAAUAAAUUUUUCAAUUACUUGAAAAGCUAAAUUUUUAAAUUAUACCACAGAAUGUUAUUUUAUUUUUAACCAGUACCUUGUACUUGUUUACUAAUUCACUACAAACAAUUUCUUAUUUGUCUCUUUCUCUCACAUUAAUGGUUUAAUGUUAAAUGAAAAUAAAGCAUCCACCUAACAUUUUUAUUAAUAUAGUAUACACAUUAUUGAUAAUAAUAAGUUUGGUUGAACAUUGAAAAUUCAAAUGUCUUAAGGAUUUAUUCCCUUCCCUCAUCGAGGAGAUGUAUUGAGAGUUAAUGAUUUAAUUAUAAUUAAAUUGUGAUUAAGAAAGUAUUAUAAAAAUAAAUCAAUUAUAAACAGCUUUACAAUAUUAAAAUAAAAUAAAAAAUAAAUAAAAGUUGUACAAUUCUUAACAUUUUAUGUACACAUUUUAAAAGAUAUUUAAAAUGUACAUAAAACUUCGAAUCAAACUAAUUAUAUUGUUAGGUUAUGUUUUAAAAAAUAUACCAUAUAGCUAGCUAAUAACAACAAUGUUAUAUGUAAAAUAAAGGAGAGAAUGAUAAAAUAAUUCAACUUAAAAUAAAAAAUAUAAGUUAUAAGUUAAUAUAAAAAACUAACCUAUAUGUUUUAUAAGAUACAAAAUUGAUAAUAUUAAUGAAAUAAUCUAUACUUGUAUGCGUUUCUAGUUAAAUGUGUGUUUUAUUUUAUCUUACAACAUUUUAAUUUUAAGUUUAAAAUAAAACAUGAAAUUUUGAUAAAAUCCUUUCAAACUUGGUUUACACUGUAUCCUUUAUCUUGAUUGAAGUUCACUUAUUCUAAAAUGGUCCUUUAAAAAAAAUAACAAAUUAAUUAGUCCUCGAUGUAAUGCAGAAAAUAGUAUAAACACUAACUAAUGAAAAUACACCUGCUAAAUUAAUCAAUAUUUUCUUUUAUAUUUUCUUUUAUUUAAACGUGUGUACAUAUAUAUUAAUAAUACAAAUAAUCUUUCACUCAUUAUCAAUCACUUGAUUAGUAUAUUUAAUAAGGUCAAAUAUAUUAUAUAAUUUCUUUAGAUUUCCUAUUUUUUUUUUUAAAUUUGAUUUUCCCCAUAAAGCAACUAUCUGUGUCUGAACUGUUGGAGAGUCAAUGCAGUGAAUAGUAACUAUAAGGCUUUCUUGUGAUCAGUUUUCUUGAUUGGAUUCCAAAUGCUAAUUAAGACUAAGACACCUGAGCUAUUCUAAUUAUAAUUUAGUUUUUUUUACGUAGACAUGCAUAAUUAAUUAAACUUUUACUAAUAUUUUAAUAUUUAUUUUAAAAUAUCUUUAUCAUAAAUCUUGUAAUAAGAUAAAAAAUAAAAAUGUAUUGUUCACCUAACAAGUAUUACACGUACAAACGUGAUUACAUGCUACAAUUUUACAGAUAAAAGUUAAACAUUAAUUAAAUUUAAGAUAUUUAAAAAAAAUAUCAUUAAAUAAUCUAAAAAGAGUUAAACAUUUUACUUAUAUUUUUAUAUCUUUUCUCAGCAUGGAGUAUUGUUUUAAGACUUUUUUUUUAUUUGCUGUUAUUUUUGACAAAAAUAGCAUUUGUAUUGUUAUUUUAUAAUAUCAAUAAGAUAUUUAAUAAUUUUUUAUUAUAUCUUUAAAAAUUUAUUGUAAGUAAUAAAAUAAAAAAUACAAAUGAAAAAAGUAUAAUUAAUAUGAAUAGUUAGAGAUAUCAAGAAAUAAAUAAAAAAUCAUGAAUCUUAAUAUUUAAAUCUACCACCUCUGUAAAAUUAUUGAAUGCAAACAUUACAAUGGCAUGAAAUAUAUUGAAGUUUAGAAAUUAUGGGAUGUUUUGUAGGAGAGUUUACAAGUAAUGAUUUUUAUAACAAUUUUGCAUAAAAAGUUAAGAAAAUUAUUAGAAUAAUGAGAGGAGAUAAAGAUUAAUCUGUCAUCUGUAUUGAGUUCAUUUAUAUAAGAUAACUUACAAUCCAAACAUAUGCUUUUAAUCUCAUCCAUCUUUAUUUAAUGUUAAACACAUAACUUUACACUCAAUUUUCUAUAUAAAUUAAUUUAGAUUUUAAAAAUUUAUUCUUUUUAAAAUUUUAUCAAAAAGCUUUGGUUAAUGAUGUAUUUCUAUAUAUAUAUAUAUAUAUAUAUAUAUAUAUAUGAUUAUUUUCUGUAUAGUCUUCACCUUAUAAGAGGAAGUUUCUGAAAAAUAAUAUCAAAGUUUUGUACUCUCUGAAGUCUAAACUCUAAUCCUUAUUGUUGCAUGCUGUCCAAAAAAAUUCUUUAUUGUUCCUAUUCUUAUUCAAAUUUGUGUUGGCUUCUAUAUAUAUGAUACACAAAGGUAUUUAUUGUUUGUACUUCAACCCCAAAGAAUACACAUUAUUUAAAUACAUCAUUUUAAAUUUUUCUCUGUCAUUGUCUCUAAAAUAUAUUAAAAACUUAAAUUUUAUUUAACAUUUUAAGUGUAUAGUUUAUAAUUAAUUGUAUAAUAAAAUAUGCAUGAGAAAAUAGGAGUGUCUGCUCCUAUUUUGUUCUUGUUUUUGGCUACUGUAAAGUCCUAAGACAUAGGUGUUCUCUCUAUUUCACGUGCAAAGCACUGUCCAUUUUGUGUCUUGAGGCCUUUAAAAGCUCAAAAACACUUCUCAAUAGCAUGCAACUUGCUAUUUUCCAUCUCCAUCUUCUUCAUCUUGUUCUUCUUUCAGGGCACCCACAUCAAAAUUUUGUGCAUGUGUUUAUCUGAGGGAGAGAGAGGCAUGGCUCUAGAAGCAGUAGUGUAUCCCCAACCCCAGGAUCCGUUUGGCUGUGCAAUCAAAGACCUAUACAGCUACAACAACAUGUUAGAAGCUGCUGCAGCAAACUGGGGUUAUGGAGAUUUCACCCUUGAAAAAGAAGACCAAGCUUCUGUCACUUUUCUUGACAACCAAACAGAGAAUUACUCCCAUGGAGAAUGGAACUCUUCUCCUCCCUCUUUGUUGCCUCACACCAUGAAUGCAUCAAAUCCUCCUUCUUCAGAAACCAGCAACACGCAGAACAACUUAGAUACUUCAGUUUCCACCCCAGCUCGCCCCAAACGGCGCAGAACCAAAAGCAGGAAGAAUAAGGAAGAGAUUGAGAACCAGAGAAUGACCCACAUUGCUGUAGAACGCAACAGAAGGAAGCAGAUGAACGAGUACCUCUCUGUUCUUCGCGCUCUAAUGCCUGAAUCUUACGUCCAAAGGGUACCAAAAAAUGCUUCUGCUUUUCACUUUCUUCAAAGGGAAAUCUUCAAUUUAAUGUCUUUAAGUUUGUUUUGAAGUUGCUUCUGCUUUUCACUUCAUCCUAAACAUCACUGCUAGUUUGCGUUGUUUUUUACUUGUUUAAAAUGGUUAAAGUGUUUCUGUUUUGAUUCGAUUGAUUGGGAAUGCAGGGUGAUCAAGCAUCUAUUAUUGGGGGUGCUAUAAACUUUGUGAAGGAGCUUGAGCAGAGGCUGCAAUUUCUUGGUGCUCAGAAAGAGAAAGAGGGGAAACCUGAUGUACCAUUUUCUGAGUUUUUCUCAUUUCCUCAGUACUCAACAAGUGCCAGUGGUGGCUGUGAUAACUCUGCAGCCAUGAGCGACCAAAAGGGCGAGGUUCAGUCUGGCAUUGCUGACAUAGAAGUGACAAUGGUAGAGAGCCAUGCAAAUCUCAAAAUAAGAUCCAAGAAACGACCAAAGCAGCUCUUGAAAAUAGUAUCUAGUUUGCAUGGCAUGCGUCUCACAAUCUUGCACCUAAACGUUACCACAACUGGGGAAAUCGUCCUCUAUUCUCUCAACGUCAAGGUUUGUGCUACCUUUCAAAGUGAAAACAAUGUUGUAAAAAACAUUAUGUCUCUUUAAGUGCUGAUGUUUUGAAAAUGUUGUUGAAGGUUGAAGAAGAUUGCAAGCUUGGAUCAGUGGACGAGAUAGCUGCAUCUGUAUACGAAAUGCUGAACAGAAUCCAACAAGAGUGAAAGGGUGAAUUAAGAUCUGAAGUUGAGCUAAUUUAGCCCAAUUUUUUUUAACCUGAUAAAGACCUUAUCAUAUUUGUUUCUUCUUUGCUUUAUUUUUUGUUUUGUUUUGAAGUUGUAUCUAAUUAUUGCAACGGCUGUUCAACUGUUGUUAAGCUACUGAAGCACCUUGAUCGAUGUGGGGUCCUUGGAGGAAGUUUUUGGUUUAUUCCUUCUCACAUUGUAGCUACUUCUAUUUUUUGAUCCUUUUCUCUGUACUUUGGGUGGGGAAGAUCGUAGUGUAUUCUGCUUCAGACACAUUUAAGUGCUCAGUCAAUUCAACUACCUUGCUUUAAUAGCUGUAGGCCCAUCUUAAUCUCAUUCACAACCCAAUUUGUCAAGUUCAAUUUCAGAAUAUCUCUUCGCAACUUUGAAUAAAAAAAGAGAUAGCCAAAGAUUUUACCAUUUGCUUGUCACAUCCGAUUUCUCAUAUCUAAACAUAAAACAGAUUCAUCUUUCAAAUCUAUUAUGGUAAUAUUUGUUAUGUAGUUAUAUAAAAAUGCCCAAAUCCAAAGUAGAUUCAUUGAUCCCUCUUACAGAACGAAGAACAAUGUUUCAUCCUUAUCAUCACUAAACUCAACCCACCAAUCUACAGAUAAAUUGAUGUCUUAUGUUGCAUUAUUGUAAUUAAAAUAUUAAAUGAUAUCAAUUCCAUUGUUUAUUCCUCAAUUUUUUUUUUUCAGUCUUCUUUUUCGUGUCUUUAUAAUGUUAUCCAACUUAAAAGAGAAACUUUUGUACCUUUUACUUUUGUCACAAUCCAACCAUUUUCCUUUUAUCAUAUUAAAUAGACACUUUUGUCAUAAUCCAAAUAUUUUCCUUUUAUUGAUUUAAACUAGUUAUGUUUCAAAACUAUUCAUAAGUUAUUUUAUUUCUUUUUACAUUACUCUUUAAGUUUAGAAACAUUAUACUCUUUAACAAGGGACACCAAUAUAAUAUAAUACUAAAAAAGUAUAAAUACAAUUGAAGAAAAUCCCAUAAUUUAUUUACUUUUACAUCCUUAAAACAUUACUCAUCACAUAUUUCUACUUUCUUUUCUUCACUUUGUAAAAAUUUAAUACACAAAUCUUUUUGUUUGUUCUAUUGUCGCAAGGAAUUGUUUUUGAAAAAUGGCACUUUGACAUAAUUUUCAGAAACAGAGCAUGAUGAUGACAGCUGUUGACUGGAGAAGAAGAGAGAGUGAGAAAAGGAAAAAGAAAUAGAAAUAAGAGAGUGGAAGUGAUUGAUUAAUGGUGGCUGUUACAGAAAAGUAGCUGAGUUAUUAUAGGGAUCAUUCUUCAUGCACUCUUUUUUCACUUUCUGGCUCUAUAAUUUUUUUAAUAACUAUUGAAAAUAUGCAAAUGAUUAGAGCAUUGAAGGUAAAAAAACAAUGGCCCCAUCAAGUUGUACUAUAUUCGUAGUCGAAUUCCUAGGUGAAAAACAUAAAUAAAAAGAAAGUUGUGUUGUGGUGGGGUCAUCGAAUAACUCAAAUGGUAAAGUUACAAACAUAGUUUGAACUAUUGUUGAAAAGUGAGCAUAAAACCUUUUUGUGGUUAAUCUUUUCUUUCAUUCUGGGUGAUUUGUGUGUUAGCAAUUGCUAAUGUGAUCAUUUCAGUCAACAAAAACAGUAUAAUGUUUGGGUAAAAUAAAACCCUUUUCCCUUCCUUCAUUCACUUAAAAAUCUUAUGUGCAAUGUGUUUCAGAUUCUUUUAUGUGCAAUGAGUUUUUGUUUUAUUGAUGAUAUGUCACGAGUGAAUGUUUUUCGAAAGAUGCAUCAUUUUUCUAAUGUUAUAAGAGCAUGUUCUAGAUCAAGUAUGGGUCAAGAAGCCAUCAUCAUGGUGACUGCAUUGCAUAAACUCAUGAUGAUAGCUACGUUCCACAGACUCAAUUAGCAUCAUAACAAGAGUACAAAAACUAUAAAGUUUUCAACACAAUUGACAACUUACAUGCUUACAUAUAAAGGGUGAUUUUUUUUUAAUUUUUUUUUUACCCCAGAAGGAAAAUCAAUAGAAUUUUCAAAAGGGUUGUUAGAAGUGAUACUGAAAUAAUCAAAGCAUGCAUAAACUGUUCUUGAUGUUUCUAAAUUGAAGCGUAAUAAUACAGAGAGUUCUCGGUAGCUUCUUCUGUAAUGAGUCUCAUAAAAUGGAAGAAUCUUGAGCAUGAUAUUUUGAUAGGAUCUAGAUGUAGUGAUCACAUGAAGUCUAAUUCAUUCACAUUUGAACUUUGUGCAUAAAGUAGUGUCAGAAGAAAAUGAGUAUUAUUAUUGAUAGGAAGAUUAAAGAAAAAAGAGUGGAAAGCACAGGAUAAGAGGGUAAAAGAUAAGAUGAUGAUAGUGCGAUUGAUGUCCUUUGCAGAUUUUACUGUCCUUUGCAAUAUAUGUUAGGUCCAGUCUCCUAUUUUUAAAUGUCAGAUUCUAAAUCAAUGGUACCAACGAGGCUCUUUGUAAACUCCACCAAAAUAUACAUAUUAUAAUAACAAUUCAUUGGUUGUUCAUGAAACUCUCCAGGCUUGUCUUUUGGAAGAUUCCAACUCUAACACCUAUUUGUCUUCUUCUUCCUGUUCUCUUCCUCCCCAACAUUCACUACAUAUAUUCCAACCCAUUAAACAUCAAAUUUUAAUCUUUUCGAAAUUAAACCACUACCAACAUCUCACAAAACAUAGUCAUUUUGUUCCUUUCCACUCUGUCUGUCUUAAACUUCACAAAAUGUUAUUUUGGAGACCAAUUAACUUGAGAAAAUGCAGGUUUACAAGUCCUAAAGUUUUUGAAUGGAAAAAGUGGUGUUAAGAACCGUUUAUACAAAGACAGAGAGAAUAGGGUUGGGUUGCAGCUUUGAGGAAAAUGGGAAAGAAACAAAAAGAGUUGCAAGUGUUUGAUUUGCAGCGUAUACUCAUACUGAGAGUGAGAGAGAGAGAGUUAUAGAGAAGUAGCAGAGAGACAGAAGAUAGUGACUUUCUUUCUUUUGUUUGUGUGAUAGAAAAUACAAUAGAAUAAAGUAAAAAGACAUAAAGCUAUUUAUUAGAACGAUGACAAUCACCCCAUAACUGGAAAUGACAUAAAAGUGGAGAAAGACUCUAAUAAUUGAAGUGAAUGCUAUUAUGCACUGAAUUGGUCCACAUCAAACUUCCUCUUUUCUUAUUAAUCAAUGUGUCUCCACUUCUUAACAAACAACCAUACCAGAUAAAAAGUACCAUAUACUCCUUUUCUUUCAAACACAAGCAAUGUCUGUUGAGAAUUUAAGAGUGAGUUUAAGUCUCAUAUCAAAUAGAAAUGAGAAUGAGAAAGUAAAACACGGUAUAAAAUUAAAGAUACAUUAAUCUAUCGUUUUAACAUAUUAUCUGUUUUAGACUAAAUUUUGAAGGUUUGCUUUUGGUAUUAUUUUAAAAAACUUUUUAUCAAUGAAGGUAUUUAUAUAUGGAUAAACUCUUGUCCAACUCUACUUUUAUUCAAUGUGGAACUUUGUUUGCACUCCAACAAUAUCUUCAUAUAUUAUUAGUUAAUGUCUCUAGUUUUGAGUGAUAGAUGCAUGAGAUGGUUGGUAUAUUCUGAUCUCAUUUGAAUGAAUGUUCAUCACAAUCAGCCAAAAGAGAAUAAAAAUAGUUGAGGCUGGCCCAAACAUAUUCUUUCUUGCUGUGUAAUAAUGAGGCUUUUCAGAAAAGUUCAAUUAUUGUAGCCCAAACUCUGUUGGGCCCGAAGCUCCAAUUCCAUGACGCGACAGCAUUAUCAAAUCCACGAAAAAUACUCAAAUUCUUUCUAUUUCCAUUGCUUUAUCAGUGUUUUGUUGAUAAAUUAAACUUGCACAUAUUUUCUAACAUUUGUUUGAGUUAAAAAUUUAACUCUCAGUUUAAGUCUUAUAUUUAUAAAUAUAUUGUAAUUUGUCUAAUAAAUGAAGAAGUUUAAAACAAGACAUAACUUAAUUUUGGUUCAAAAAUUCAAUAUUUUAACAAGUUAUGUUUUUACAAAAUUCACUUAUGUCGAAUUUAAAGUACUUUAUGAAUAACUUGUUUGAUUUAAUUUAAACUCAUUCUUCUUGCUCUCAUAAAUUAAAGCUGCCAUGCUUAUAGAUUCUUAUUCCUUUCAUUUUGAUCUUUGUACUAUCUGCAGGCAAUACAGAUAGAGUGCAAUGUCUUUAUACUUUUGUUUUAGAAAUCCAUGUAUUUUUUUCCUACAUUCUUUAUCAAUUAUUAUUCUAAUUACUUGACAAGAAUUUAAAAUAAAAACACCUAAUAUUAUAUUAUUCUUUUCAUUUUUUAAAAUGUUAUUUAAAGAUAAAAUCGUAAUAGAAAAAACUUCAAAAUUCAUAAUACUUUACAAUUUAAAUAAUUCAUCUUCCGACACAUAUGUUAUUAUAAUUUUCUUAUUUCUUUAAUAAUUAUUAUUUGGACACUUGUAAAUAGAAUAGCUCCAAAAAUAUCUUUUAAACAAAUUAAUGAUACAUGCAUGAUCCAUUAUUUUUCAUAGACUCUAUUUUAGGUUUCAUCUGAAAUAUUUUGAAAUUUUAACUUAAUCUAUUAAUCUACCUAAAAACAUCUUUCAAAAUUAGAGUGUUUAUAUAGGUUUAAUUAAUGAAAUGAUAGGUCAAGAAGAAAGAACUUUAAUAAAAGUAAACCAAAAUACAUACAAGUAUUAAAUAAGGGUACCGGUACAAUGAUACGUACACAUGUCGAUUAUACUCAAAUGACAAUGUUUUUUUUUUCUUUUAAAACUACCAUCACUCGUUACAAAACAGUGUUAUUUGAAUGUAAUUGACACGAAUGCGUGUCAUUGUAUCAACACCCUUUACAAUAAUUGUUUGUAAAAAUGGAAUUUUUUUUUUUAUGAUAUUAGUCUACUUUUAAAAUUCUUAACACAAAUGUCUAUUUCUAAAGUCAAAUCUAAUCUUUUUUUAUAACUUAUUUAAAUACACGUUUGCAAUAAUACAUUCAAAUAUAAUAAAAAAAGUUAUCUUCUUUACUGACUUUCUUUCUUUUCAUGUACGUUAAUAUAUAUUCACAUGUAAUUAGUUUUUUUAAAGAAUUCUUUAUUGUUGUAGGGAGUGGUAACCAAUAGUUUGGAAAGCUAAUAUAAUAUAUUCAAAAUAUACGUAUUACUAUUAUCAUUAAUAAAGAAUAUAAUUUAAUAUAAUUAUAAUUAUGAAUAAAUUACUCGUAUUUAUUUAAAUUAUUGUAAUUCCUUCUUUUAAUUUAUUGAUAAUUAAAUUAAAACUAAAAUUUUCAAAUAUGUAAUUAUUAAAAUCAAAAUCAAUAAAAAAAUAGAAUAGAAUAUUUUCUUUCAUGUUUAUUUAUGUUAUUUAAAAAAAUUAUACAUACAUUUCUAAAAAAAAUAAAAAUUAGAACACUUGAAUUAGUUAGAUUAUCAAAAUUUGAAAAGAAAAUUAAGAUAUACCUAUUCAAAUUUUUAUAUUUCAAACAUUGCAUAUAAAAAAUAUUCAUGAGAAAAAAAUAAAAGGUCGUAUAUAGCAAAUAUCAUACUAUAAAACUGACAUUUAAUUGUGACCUGAGUCUGAAAAGAGUUACUUUGUUUUUUUCUUUUUCAAAAGUGGAAUACAAUAAGUAAUAAAUAAGUAGAAAUAAUAAGUUUGUUUUUACUUUUUUUUUUCCUUUAAAAAUAAAAUGAAAAAAAUAAGAUAUGUGAAAAAACAAACUUAGGCUCAAUGCAAAGGAUCCAUCCAAGUGUCAUAUAUAAUCACUGUUUAUAAGGUAUGUCAUGUCAUUAGAAUAAUUUAUUACAACUUUAUUAUUUAGUGUUAGGAAUUAAAUUUGAGAUGAAAAAAGUAUACCAAUAUAUCAUUUUCAAUUUCUUAUAUGUAUAAUCUAGUCUCUACUUUUCUUAUUAGUAUCUAUACUUUUAAUACAUUUAAUAAAAAAAUAGUUAAAUAAUUCCACUUUUUAUAUUUUUUAAUGUCUUAAAGACAUUGUUCAUCUAAGUAUAUUUAAAUAAAAAGUCUUGUUAUCGAAUAGGCAAUAGCCUUUCCAAUUACAUAAAAGAUAGAAUAAACUAAUAAAAUAGAUCAGUUACUAAUCAAACUAUCUUGUUAACAAUAAGGAUCCCCACAAUUUUAUGUUUAUCAUAAUUUACAAGUAAUAAGAAGAGAACUCGUCAAAAUUCACCCAAUUCUAUAACUUCAUUUCAAAAGCUUUUCACCACAAAUUGAUUAUUUCUUUUAUACUAAUACUACUACUAAUAAUAAUAAUACAAAAAAAAUUAAUGAAGUACAAUAAAUAACGUUUUGCUUAAAACAAUAUUUUUGUGUCUAUUCUGAGUCCAAUGAAAUGUGUAUAAAAAAAAAAAUCAUAUUUUAACACCAAUUUUUGACACUAUUUUGACACUGCACACGUGUCAAAAUGUGGUUGGAUGAUUUCAAAUUAAAAAAAACUGAGACAAGAACAUAUUUGAAAGAGAAAAACCAAAGUUUUUUUUUUUAAUUUGAAAUCGUCCAACCACAUUUUGACACGUGUGCAACGUCAAAAUUGUGUUAAAAAAUUGGUGUUAAAAUAUCAUUUUCUAUACAAAAAAAACUUGUUUCAUAAAUCAUAUGCUAAAAUUAAAUUAUGUACAAGUUAAUUUGAAUUUAUGAAAGAUUUUUCUUUUCACAUGAACUUCCUUAAAAAUAAAUUUUAAUAUAUAAAGACUUAUUUUAUUUAUUAAUAUUGAUUCAACUCAGUCAAUUUUGAAUUCAUAAUCAAUUCUACAAGUGAAAUCGAACUUCCUAUCAUUUAGCUAAAACCAUGUUGACUAGUCAAUGAUUAAGAAAAAGUUAACUCGAAACCAAACUCAACCUUAACAAGCUCUAAUGGAACAACGAACUUUUUAAUUCCCUCCAAAGAAAAAAAGAGUUUGUUUUUUGCUAAUUUAUUGAAUACCAGAAAAGCCAUUUUUUUUUUCUGAGGGGAAAAUGCUUCCAUAUAUGUAGCUUUUCGCAAUGUGCAGCAGCAUUUUCCUGUCGCUUACAACUGCAAUCUACAAGAGAUGAAGAGAAAAAAGGGAUUAUGAAAAAUUUUAAGACCAAAAAAGUCUAAAUUUUUUUUAAGAUAACGAUACUUUCGUAAUAUUUUUUGACAAUAUUUUAACAUCAUUUACGUAUCAUUGUCUGAUUAGUUUAUGGUGAUGUUUAUGAUUAUUAUUAUUAAUUGUAGAAUAAUUUUAAAACAAUCAGAAAAUAAUACGUAGAUAAUAUUAAAAUGUUAUCAAAGUAUUAUUAUUCUUUUUCUUUUAAGAGAAAAGGAGGAAAAGAUGCUAAACCUUUUCAAGUCUUAACAUAGUUUGGUAUAGGUAUACCAGACCCUUCUGUCAACUUUUUAUAUGCAGCCUGCAAUCUUCUAGUGAUUGCUCCAACUUCUCCAUUGCCAAUUAUGCGACCAUCAACCUUCACAACCUAAAGAAAAAUCCAAUAAAUUUUAAUCUCAUUCCAUAGAACUCAUUCUGCCAAAGUUAAAUAUGUUUUUAGUCUCCAAACUUUCAUACGUCUUCAAAUUUUAAAAUUAAAUAAAUAUAAUCUUUUUAACUCAAUUAUUUUAACUUUUAACACGUAUCAUUGCAUUAAAAAGACAUGUACAUUCAGUUUUAAAAUUUAAAGAAUAAAAUGUAUCAAAGUUUAGACAAAUUCUGAUUUCAUACUAAGAUUUAAAGACUAAGAACAUAUUUAAUCCUUAAAUGUAUGGUCAGAUUCAAUUGAAAAGGUAUAUAACUGGAACUUACUGGGCUCAGUUCUCCCAUUGUUCCAGUUGUCCAGACCUGCAAGAUAGUCUUCUAGCUAUAUAACUCAACAUAAUAUAUAUGUAUAAUCGUACAAUUUUUGCAGAAAUAAUUUAUAUGUUAAAAAUAAUACAUUAAUAUAAAAUUAUCAAAUAAGAAAAUGAUUAGAACAGUAUAAGAUACUUAUAACAGUAGAAGUUGAGAGUUGAAUAUUAAUGAACUGAGUAUAUAUUUUCUAAUUUAAAAUAGUUACUGUGAAGGAAAUAAACUUACCAUGGUAGUUUAUGACUAGAUGAUGGAGUAAAACUAUUUAUAGUGUCAGUGUAUGGUCUUUUUAUUUUCAUAAGUUAAUCCUUAAUAUUUUAUAGCAAUUUUUGUUUAGAAAUGUAUUUUGAAAUUGUAUACGGGAACCUCAUCUGCAGUAUGAACUUCUGACAAGCUGAUUCUGCGCUCCUCUAAGAUUAACUGUUCUUUCACAACAAGGUCCAUCACCUAAAAUUGCAAACCAGAACAGUCCAAUCAAUGCCAAAGUACACUUCAUUGAUAAGCAUAACUUAGAAUGAAUUACAAACCUAAACUUUUCUAGUGUUCUACUCCAUUUCCUACCAAAAACAAGUUAUUAUUUGCCAACACAAUGGCACUCUGAUAAACAAAAUCAGAUGCUGAAUAAAAGCACUUCUUGUAGCUGAAACUGGUAUCAGGUGUCAUCUGAUACUUCACUCCCAACAUAAAUGUUACAAUGUAUACAGAAAUUGGUUUAAAAACAACAGGAUGAUUGUACACAGCUUACAGUUGCACGAGUAAUGCCAGGAAGACAGUAAUCGGCAUGAGGUGUCAAAACACGGCCUUUUUUAACCACGAACUGCAGACAGAAGAACAAUAAAUGAGUUGAAGUGUUCCAGAAAUUAGAUCCUGUACUAUCUAUGUUGCAAAUAAACCUUGUUGCAAAAACAAAACCCUGUGAUCCUUCUCAAAAAGGGGGUCUUGAACAGGAUUUUGUUUCCCUGAACACUGCAAGGUGAUGACAAACCAACAACGUAUCUGCUGCAUCUCACAUCAUAAAAGGAUGUGAUUUCACAUCUUACGAGCCAUACACUGAGUUUACUAAAUUUUCAUUGGCACAAGUCAAAGUUAUCCAUGCUCACUCUUUUUAAAACAAUAUAGUUUUGUGUAGAUUAGUAGUCCAAAGCUUUGACUCCAAGAAAUAUCUGUGUUGGUUGCUACCUAGUACAAUGAAAAUAAAGAGUUCUUUGACAGUAAGGGUAAAUUUGAGGACAUACAAUGUUAGUUGCAUUGGUUUCUGACAAAUAACCAUCUUGGUCAAGCAUGAUUGCGUCAUCUGCUUUUGCAUUAUUGCCUUCAAUCUGCACUAGGCCAAGAAUAAUAUUUUAGUAAUGAAGUAAGAUAUAUCACUAAGACAGGAUAUUAGUAAGACAAGAUGCUAGAAAUAAGGAUAUUAGUAAAUAAACAUAACUCAUUUUCGUUUUAUGAUACAACAUUAUCCAAAAUACUCCAUAAUAAUGAUAAUAAAACAAGGAUUACCAUGUUAAACUAACUUAACAACCAUAAUUGUUACAACUAGAAAUCAUCUACUACUAAUAACAGUAAUUAGCGCAUUUUGGUUGAACGCUACUUUUAAACAAUCUUGAGAAGAACAGGAAAAUACCUUUGCAAGUAUGUUAUUGAGAAGAUUAUUGUGAUGAAUCUUUGAAUCCAAGUUCUGGUAAAAAAAAUAAAAAUAAAGAAAAGGGGAUGGAACAAAGUCAAUUGAUUAAACUAAGGUUUAGAUCAAACAGAACAUUAAAGGUUGAAUGGAUCUCAUUCUUUUAUAUGACAGUAUAAAGCUACCCAUAAUAAUAAUAAUUACAAUGGCAUUAAGCUCUUCAACUAAAUAGCAUUAAAUAUUUUGUAGGUCUUUCUUUGCCAGCACAAACCAGGAAUAGGUAAUGUAUUUAGUGAUAACACCACAACACAUCUUUAUAUUUUCUACUUAUUUUGUCCUUCUUUCAUCCUGUUUAUGCACUUGUCAAAAUUUCCAUAUGAUUAUAGCUUUUGUUAAGCACCUCUCUUUUUUUCUAUCUAUAUUAUCCAAUGCUUAUAUUUUUUGGGGGGAAAGAAUAAAACUCUCUGAUGGAAAACCAAGUCAUUCAAAUGUUCUCCAAUGUAUAAAAUGAAAGAAAACCAUGAUAAUAAAUAAGUAUACAAGCAGAAACUUACAUUUGGUGAAUUACGGCGUGUUGUAGCAGUUACAAGAGCUAUACCACGGGUAUUAUCAUACACUGGGGGUUUCCAUUCAGCAAGCACUGCAUAUAUUAAAAAGAACCAAUAUAGUAUAAAAUGAUUAACCAUUUCAAAAAGCAGUGAUAGACAAGGUAAACUAUACAUGGAAACACACUAAAAUGUCCUUUUGUAUUCUCCAUAAAUGAACCACAAUGUUUUCAUAUUUUAUAGGGUAAACAACACCAUGGAAGUAAAAUGCAUGUUGGAGACAUAACAAAUAUAAAACUCACCUAUGCAAGCUCUUUUUUCCCUUCUUUAAUUUUUGUAUUGACCAGUCACUUUAAGAUUGUGUUCGAUCUGCUAUUAGUAGUCUAAUAUUUUCAUUAUUCAUUUCAUUCUUUUUGUCAGUUUUCUAUUCUCUAUCAUGUUUUUCUUACUUCUGUACUUUUAACUUAGAGCACCUCAUGGGGAAAUACUUGACUUGAUCCCCUUCUAAAAUCCCUUUUAACAUUACAAAAAUCAUAUACAAACUGUCAUAGGUCAAUUUGAAAACUUCAAUUCGCUCAAUAAUGCAGAAAUUGGUAUAUAAAAACUGUUCAGGAGUAUAAUAAUGUUACUUAUUUGGCAAAGGGAUAGGAAGUUACCAAUUAAUGUACAGCCAUAAAGAUUGAAUGCUGGGCUCAUCCCAGAAGAAACCUGGGUAAACAGAAUAUUCUUUCUACUUUAGUUAAAACAAGAAUGCUCCAUAGAAAGGAACUUUAAUACAAUUUAUCUCAUCUUUGUUCAUAUACUAAUAUAUUAUUAAAAUUAUGAACCUGCUCCCAUAUAAUGCUGAGCACUGCCAUGUGAAUGGUGAUGAAACAAAAUUUGACGAAUUAUUAUCUUUAAGAAAUUAUUUAGCUCGCUGAAAUGAUAAGUGAGAGAUAGUAAAACCUUUUUCCCUCGUGUUAGGGAAAGCCGUAUGUGUGAAUUGUCAAACAUGCCAUUCCUAAUCAAAGUUCUGAAAAUUGCUUCCUUUAUCUGCAAUUUUUUGAACAUUCAUCAUGAUGAUAACUGAAAAAAUAGCAAUUAGCACAUAGCUUUUAAAAGAAAAACAGAAUCAUCUGACAAAAAGCCUAUCGGGAUAACUAGCAAAGAGUGUUUCAACUGACACAUGCUAGAUAGAUGAACUGAAUGCAUGUAAGACUCACCUCAUCCCGAUUAGGAACAUUUUCAAAAGCUAAAGCCUUUGCUGAAUCAAAUAACCUAUAAGAAACAAGAAAUGCAAGAUGACAUAUCAUGAGUAUUUCAAUUAUUGCAUUACCUAUAAUCAUUCAAUUUAUUGCAUUACUAUUGAGUUAUGUAAUCAACUGAUCAGAUAGAACAUUAUUGGAAUAAUGUUAUAGCAUAACAUAUAAACUAUUCAAUUUCUUAGUUUUGUGACAUCACCUGUCUAGAUGCUCCUCAAGCUUAAAUAUCUUUCCAUUAUACACCCGAAGUCCCUCCCAAACCGAGUCACCUCCUUGGACUACUGAAUCAAAUACAGAAACCUGAUAGAUCACAGGGUAAUAUUUUCAAACCCUGAGAAUCUGUACAUCAAUCACAUAAAUCUGAACCUUUUAAUUGCCAUACAACUAAUUACCUUAGCACUAUCACGAGGUACAAUCUCGUCACCAACCCAAGCAAGCAAUUUCUCAUUUGCAGGAACAGGAAGAUCGGGAGUAGGUAAAGGAGAGCUCAGAAGAGAUGAUUUUUUCUUCACAUGACGCCGAAGCAUCUUAUACAGGGGUAGACUUUGUUCCAACAAAUUGUACAGAGAAAAAGGAAAUGGCUGAAAAGAAGUUUAAACUUUACAGCUUAACUAUAGUCAUGGUUUUUGUCACCUAUGCCAGUCAAGGUACCUCACCCCUUUACACUUGAAAAAUAACCUUGUCUUAAAUUUUGUAUCCUCCAAAAUUUUUAUGGGAAAAGCAAGAACAAACAUAAGUUCAUAAUGAGCACCCAAUUUCAAAUCUAAUCUCUGUUAUUAGGUAAAAAAAUGGCAAUUAGCAAUGGAGCAAACAACAUCCAAAUACUAAUAAUAACUCAAACAAAAUAACAUCAUGGAUUCUCCAUAAAAGACUAAUAGAACAUGAUAAAAACAACCAAAUACCUCUGGAUACUUUCUAGGUUUCUCAAAACCAGUAGAUUUAUGCACAGUCUUGUACCACCAAGGGGCCCACAAGCCAUCUAUUUCCUUUGGACCUGCUUCCCACCUAGAAUGUAUUGUUGCAGAAUAAGAAUAACUGCAAUAUUGUUUUGUUUGAACGCUAAAUGGCAACUUGAUCAAUGCCUUAACAAAAGUUUCCAGUUUCCAAAGAAAAAUGACCAAAACUCCAAUGAACAUAAUUUAAAAGGAAUUCAUAAAGUAGCACGGCCUAUUUUUUGGGUGCAUUAAUGUAGCUUUAGUGAUAAACUCAUCCCCCUUGACUUCCUCUCAGUGAUUUUAACUUUGUUGGGGGAAUUUAUGUAAAGGGUAAAAGAAAUCUACAUACUUGAGCAUAGCAGGUUGAAAGGGAAUCUCCAGAUCAUCACAGAGACCACGUAGGGUAGCCUGCAAAUCAACAAGAUCAUGAGACUAAUGCAAGAUAAUUACAAAAUAAUAUUUAAAGCCAUAUUUGAAGUUAGUUUGUAAAUAUUAUUAUCUAGUCUUCCAACUAAACAAAAACCAAUCAAGCAUGUUCAGAAAGCUCAGAUAAUACCUCAGGAUCUUGUUGAAGUUCUGCAGCAUCAAUAACAGGUGGUGCCUUUCCAGUCUCACGAAGUUCAUUGUAUAUACAAACCAGCUCUGCCAAACCCAACUCAUAGAAAGAUGGAGGGACAACCUUAUCAAAGGAUGGCUGAACAUACACAAUUGAGUGAAGCACACAAGAACUAUCACGCAGUAGCCAUAGACAUAAAUAACCACAAAAUACCAUAAAAUUUGAUAAAAUAUUUGCAACACCCUGUAUGCAUUAUUAAUGAAACACAAAGCUCAUAGGCUUUUUCACAAGCCAACUCUUUUUAAAGUAGAUUUAUGAUAGAUCUUUAUGCUUUUGGACCAACACUACAUAUGCAUAUGACAAGAACAUGCAGAACUGGCUAUUAUUUUAGUGACAAACAAGUAAUAAAUGAAAGACAUUUUACCAAUAUAUCAAGAGGAUUUCUUAUCAGAAUGAAGUGCUUUCCUUUCUUCAUUAGAUCACCAGUCAAACCUUGUAAGCGUUGCUUUGAUAUAUGCUGAAAACAGCAAAAGAUAAAUAAUGAAGUAGAAGAAAACAAACUUGGUUUUGAUAACACAGCUAAGGCUCAACAUAAACUAAUUAUUAUGGGUAUUUUCAUCUGGAUCAAUGAAUCAGCUUCCUUCCACCUCCUCAAACAGACUCGUGUUGAUUUAUUUGGACACAUGCCAGUUGUGGGACCUUCCUAGACCAAAACCAAUUCCUAGCCAACUAAACUACUUGCAUAAUUUAGAGCAUAACAGCAAAAGAUGUAGACUUUUUGUAACAAUUGAAGCUUCUGCUUCAGUUUCUUUGACUUUGUGCAGAGUUACCCCAUCACAAAAUUAGAAUGAGACACAGGAAUAUAAAGUUAAUAGUACAAUACCUCCUGUCAUUGAAGUAAAUGGUCAUAAUGUUCUUCUAUUUAUACAUUUUUUUAGAAAAUGCGUAUCUCAAAAGAUACAUUGUUUACCUUGCAGAAUCUAUAUUUCUUCCUUCCUGGACCAAAAAUUAUGUCAGUAGUGACCUUAUUUCCAUCAGAUUCCUGUUACAUUUGAAACACCAACAAUUUUCAAUAUGAAGCAUGGGAAGAGGACACUACAAGAGACACACAGGAUAAUUAUAAUAAAUGAUAGCUGAAGAAGCAUUGCAAGUUAAUUUUAGAGUUCAGUAUGUAGAGCUUGCUGAAGGCAGAAUCUUCAGAACUCAAUUAAGAAAAAAUGACCAUAAAGAACUUGAAGCUACUUUUAUACUUCCACUCUAGAUCAGAGAUGCUUAUAUUUUUCAGAAUUCUCACAUUCUACGAAACACCCUCUACAUUUAAUAAAGCAUCAUUUUCCCCACCAAACAAACAAAAAAAUUGUUUAUCAUCACUAUAGACAGUCAUUUUAAAUAUACCAGGCUGACAGAACAAUGAUUGAGUGAACAGAGAUAAGUUAAAGUGCUGAGAAUAAUUUAAUAAAAGCAUAAUCAAAUCAACCUAGUUCUCAGCACCAACUACAAGACGAUUAGAGGAGAGGUAAUGAAGGAGGGCAUUUUGUGACAGAUAUACCAUUUUUGAGAGUAGCUCCUCUCUAUACGGUCUAUCAAGACCUGUUACUCUAAGGAAAUUUGCAUAGAGAGGCUCAUCAAGCACUUCUAUGUCAUCCCUCUGCGUAGCACAAAUGAAAACACCUUAAUCAGGAACAGGAUUCUCGAGUAAUCAUCAAUAACAAAGCACGAUUUCAAUCAAUUAAUGGAAUCAUUAAUCUAUCAGCAGAAUACUAGGUACACAUUUGUUGAAACUGACAAAAUCAAAAGAAUAAUAACAAGAACUUGUCAUCACCGUCAUCAUCAAAAGAAAACAUCAUCAAACUACAACAUCGUUUUCUUAUCAUAUAAAGUCUGCUACAACCACUGGACAAAUCAUGAUGAAAAAUUUAAACAAAAAAAAAGGUAAAAUUAUGCAAUAUGUUAAUUCCUUGUUUGCACCCAACAAAAUACAUUGGCAAGAAAAAAGGUGAGAGUGAGAGAGAGACACCUGAGCAAAAGAAUACAUGAGACUGGUACUGAGGGAUCUUGGAGCAGACCAUGAGUGAAUCACCUCCACUUCACUCUCCGCCAUCUCUGAUUUCACCAUGCAAAGCUAAGCCUUUCUUUCUGAUUCAACUUGAUUAGAAUAUUAUCAGUAACAGUGAUGAUGGAAUCCACUGGAUUGCCACUUUUCUUUAUGAGAAUCACAACACAACAGAAUAUAAAAAGAUGGGUCCAAAUCUCGGAACAGGAACCAACAAAUUCCGAGGAAUCUCAAAGGAGUUAAGAUAAAUUUUGAGAUGACUUUAGAGGCAAAAGAAACAUGGUAAUUAGGAAAGUACUAUGGUCUGGUAGUAAUUAAUUUUUACUAGUUAGUAGAUGAGGUUGACACAUGAGAGAUGCAUUUUGUUUGGCUUUUUGUCUUUUACUGCCAUUGUUGCUAAAAUUUGGAAUUGCAUAGAGAAGAUGAAAAGUGUUUAGAUUUUGAUUAGAAUGCCAUAUAAAGUAACGCCUAGAUUUUGAACAAGAGAGACUAAAAAGAGUUUAUUACUAAUUAUUAUCUGUACUACCCUUUUUAGAUAUACAACUAUUUCAUAAUCUUAAUAUAAUCCACCCCCAUAAAAUGAAAUGAAUAGAAAAUUAUUUACAUUCCAUUCAUAUGAAAAACAAAGAUUAAAGUUUAUACCUUUUAACCAAAAGAAGAAAAAUUUUCCACUGAUUAGGGGUUUUCUGAAAUUUGAAGUAAUCAAAGAUCAGAGCUUGCAAUUACUUUUUGCUACCAAACAAUAAAAUUUGGUUGUCACAACUUUUCGACAAGCAAUGAUAAUUCCUUUUCACAAAAUCAUUGCUUGUCAACAAAAGCACAUCACUUAAUUCGUUGCGCAGACGUGUUAUCCACUGUAUUGUCCGAUAUCAUCCCCCAAACAUGUCCUUACCUAGUUUUUAUUUUAUUUUAAUAAACAAUUAUCACAUUCAAAUAUCCUUUAUCUUCUUAAUCCAAGAUAAAGACCAUGAAAAAAUAUUUAAAAAAAUAAGGCUCUCAUUAAAUGUGCAUGAAAAAAAUAUGAAAAAAUAAUGUAAUUUCUUUUAUUCAUUUCCCAUUCUAUUAAGGCUUUAAUUUAUAAAAUCUUAUUUAAUAAUAUAAAAUUGUUAAAUAAAAUAUUAUAAAAUUUAUGAAACAAAAUAAAAUAUAUAAAUGAACCAAGCUAACAAAAAGAAUUAAAAACAAUCAAACUCUUAUAAAAGAUAAUUACUGAAAGCUAAGAAAUCAAUAUGUAGUAUCUUCGUCAUGAAUAUCAUCGUUUAACUUUUAUUUUACUGGUAUAGUAAAAAAGAUAAAACAUAAAAAAACACACAGCACGAUAAAAUAUUGUACAAAAAGAGUUAUUCUUAAACAAUUAAUUCAUAUCAAAUAUAAAUUUGUUUAAAAAGAAACAAAAAUAAUCUCUCAAUAGCAUGGUUAAUUUAAACGUGAGUUUAGUAAAACUUUGUGUAUCCAAAAUUACCUAAGAUUUAUGUCAAAGUUACGUCACAAUGACUACGUAUUAAUUUAUGAAUUUAAAUUUAAAAUUUCUAGUAUGUGUUAUUCAGAUUUCAAUAUUUUAAGUUUGGCCUAUUUUGCUUUGACUUUUUUAUUUGUUCAAUUAUUAUAGAGAUAAGUUUAAAGAGAUGGAAGCAAGAAGACGGAAUUCAGUGAUGGAAAAUAUUGUUAAAGAAUAUUUCCAAAAACUUAUGAAACAUGAUGAAAAAUUGAUUAGUAUAAUUAAUUUUAGUAUAACGCUAUCAAACAACUUAUUGUUCAAUUUAAUGUCAAUAAUAAAGUUUAAAAAUGGAUUUUCCAAAUCAUUAGGGCAAUGCUAAUAUUGCUCAAACUGCAGCAAAAGGAAUUUGUAAAAAUACACUAUAAUCAAUUUCUUGACAUCAUCCAACUUUUAAAUUUUUUGGAAGAUUUUCUUUUAAGUUGUUUUAUCCGUCUAAAAAGAGAUAUCAAUUCGGAUGUUUCAACCAAAAACAAUAUAUAUAGCUUAAAUAUUAGCAAACAUUUAUAAAAUGGCUAAUUUGGAAUGCAUGAUAGAGAAUUUAACGAGAGGAAAUAAUUUUAGAUUGGAUAAUGAUAAUUAGAUAAUUUUUUUUGACAACAUUUGAACACUAUAUCUCCACAAUCAAUAAUAAUAAUCAUAAACACUACUAUGCAUCGAUCAAUCACAUAAUAAAACAAAAAUAGGUUUAAUAGGUUCGAAGGUCCCUAUAUUUGGAGGUUUGUUUCAAUUGGGUCCUCCAAUUUUUGAAGUGAUCAAUUAGGUCCCUAAUUUUAUCAAUUUGAAUCAGUAAAAGCAUUUCUGUUAAAUGCAGUUAACGCCGUGAAGUUUUUGAAUAUGUAGCACGCUGACGCUUCCAGGUGACAUCAUUUCAAGUGCAUAGGUAGAUUAUAAAAUGGUGAAAUCUUUUUUAAUUUAGGGAUUUCACCUUCAAAUACACCCUUUUAAUUUAGGGAUUUCACCCUUUUAUAAUCCAUCUAUGCACUUGUGCCACCUGGAAGCGUCAGCGUGCCACAUGUUUAAAAACUUCACGGCAUUAACUGCAUUUAACGACUUUUAUUGAUUCAAAUUGACAAAAUUAGGGACCUAAUUGAUCACUUUGAAAAUUGGAGGACCCAAUUGAAACAAACCCCAAGUAUAGGGACCUCCGAACCUAUUAAACCAAAAAAAUAUACAGUUCAAAUGUUGUCAAAAAAAUAUUAUCUAAGUGUCAUUAUCAGAUUUUACAUAUCUUGAAUUUUUUUUUCUACAGUCUUUUUAUUUUCGAUGGUGAAUAAAAGUAUAUUUGUAAAAGACUGACUUCUACGUUGCUCUUAUUUGUUUUUCAUUGGACAAUUGUAAAUGAUAUUAUUUUUUUCUAGAAUAAUAACUUUUUGAUUUUGUACUCUUAAGAUAAUUAGGAAGAGUUCCAAAAGUAACUCAUACUCAUACAUAUACUUAUGUUUGUUUUGACACUGCAGACUUUACACACAACAAUAAAUUGCAUAUGAAACAAUAUUAAUAUUAUAUUAAAUAGAGUGUUUCAAAGAUAUAUUUUGAUUUAAAUUUUUAAAAUAAUAAAUAUAUGAAACUUUUAGUAUAUUUUAAACUGUAUUUUAAUUUACUUUUCAAUUUUUUAUUCUAUUUAACAUUUUUUAAUUAAAAAAAAUACUAUGUAACAUAUAAAAAAAGAAAAAAAUGUAGAUUAAAAAAAUUAUAUCUAUUUGUUUUUUUAAGUUUAAAUUAAAAUAUACGAAAGUUUAUAACAAAUAUCAAAUCUAAUUCAACUUUUAAAAACUAAAACAUACUAACCCAUAAAAAAAUUGUCUCAAUACAUAAACAGAAUAAAAAAAAAAACAAAACAAUUAUCCCAUCCAAUUGAUCCUCUCCAAUUUCAAGAAAAUAAACUAAAUUCAAAAGAAAAAAAAACUUAAUUAUUACAAUAUUUAUAAUCAUAUCAUACAAUAAAAUUUAUUUUAGACUUAAUUAAUUUCGUAUCCUUAAUAAAUUUGAAUUUGAGUUAUGAUUAAACUUUUUUUGUCAGCAAAACCAUUUUUUAAUAUUUUAACCAUUUUUAAUUAAGAGUGUGUUGAUUUUUUUAUAUAUGAAUAAUUUUACUGAAAUAUCUUUAUAUACUAAGAUGUGAAGUUUUGUAAUUAAUAUAAAAAUAUAAAACAAUAAACUAUUUCUAUUGUUAGAUAAAAAUAAUAGUGUGUGCUGAUAAUAAAAGUAAUUCAUUGAUAUUUUCGAUGAAAACAAAAUUGUUAUGUUUUUAAUUACUUUUAAAUUAUUCAGUCUUGCACAUACUUUUAUAUUAUUUAGUCUUGUACAAUAAAUAAUAUAUAACAACAUUCAUAAUAAGUGUAUCAUAUAUUAUAUAGUCUUGCACACUAAUUAGAUUAAUUUUAAAAAAUAUGAUUUUAAUAAUUAUAUCAAAACAAGUUUUGAUUCAGUUUUUAUAAAUAUGUAUAUCAAAUUUUAUAAUUAAUUGUAUUAAUCUGAAACUAAUUUAAUAAUUCUAUAUCUUAAAAAUGAGAUUGCGAAUAUUCUGAAAACAAAUUAUAAGUUAUAUCUCAUGUCAUACUAUUCUUCACUUUGUGUUAUUAUAAAUAUCUUUUGGUUAAGGUAAAAAUCUCAUUUACUUCAAAACUAAAAGUAUAUUAUUUCUAAUUAUGAAUAUUAUUUCCAUGAAAUGGCGAAGGUUAGAAUAUAAAGAAUACAUUGUUAAUAUCAUAAGAAAGUAUUAAUAAUAAAAUACGCACAUACUAAUUGAAGUGGAAGAUUUUAUUUAUAAAUUAAUUUAUAACAAUAUUGAUUUUAAUGUUAAUAUGUUAACUUAUCUGAAAAAUAAAAUAAAUUGUUUGUUUAUCUUAUUUUAAUAUUUUAAAAAAUAAAAACUCACCUAUUUAUACAAACUUAUAUUUUGGUUUAUAAAAUUUAUUUUAUUUCAAAAUUUUAAUGUAACAUCCCAAUAAAACAAAACUGAUUUGAGGAAAGAUCCAUAAUUUGUUAUACAGAAAUAUACUACAUUGAACCAAAAAUAUAGUAUAGACUUUAUAAAACAAAGAGGUUAUUCUAAGUUUCAGCUUUGCCACCAUCUAUCUCUUACUCACGAGAUACACAUCUUGAGCUCACACCAUUAAAAUGAUCAUUACACAAAAAAAGCAAGCACACACACAAACAAAUAAAGACAAUAUAGUAAGCUAAAAUAGCAAAAAAACAUUCAUGCAUUUUAACACGAUAAUAUUACAUUCAUAAUAUAAAUCAAAUAAUACAAAAAUAAUCAUAUCAACUUUAAACUGCGACCAUUCGGAUACAUGUAUCAAACUCGAGGCCUACCCCGUGUUUGGUGAAACAACUUGUCUAAAUCAUACUAGUACUUCAUCAAACUACCACACACCAAGGUUAAUUUGUCAAACAUUUAUGACCAUUAGACUAAAGACCUCAUAGUAUUUUUCACGACAUAUCAAACACAACACCAAAAUAUUCCCCGUGCAAUUCCUUUUCAUAUCAUACUUAAUUUCCACUCUCCAUUUCAUUUGAAUAUCAUCAUAAAGGUAACACAUUAAAUCCAUACACACAUCCAUGCUUAACAUCCAUAAAACAUUCAUUAAUUCCACACAAGUAAUUAUGCAUAGAUAAUUACAAGAAAUUAGUAACCUAAUCAGAUUAAAACAAUUAAUUCAAUCAUAAUUUCAAGAAAUUAAUAAUCUAAUUACAUAAAAAUAAUUAUGCAAUCAUAGAAGUAUAAUUUCUAAUUCAUUCUAUCAAAUAAUAUAAGACUAUUUUUAACUAAUGACGUUUAAAAAUAUAUAUUAGUAAUAAAGAAUGACAAAGUACAAAACAAUGUACAAUUAAGAAAAAAAGAAGUAUAUAUUAAAAGAGGGAUGAAAAAAAUGUUGAAGAAGUGAAAAUGUAUUUUAAUUUAUAAAUAUAGUAGUACAGAGAACGAAAUUCAUGAUACGUAUUUUUAGAAUAAAUAAUUUAAUACAACUCAAAACAAACUCCCUGAAACUUAAUCAUAGGUUUGAGAUACUUUAAAAUUAAAAUAUGUUGAAUUUAAAUUGUUUUUAAUUUAUAUUUUUAAUAUUUUACUUAAAUAAAACAACUUAAAUUUAUUGAAUUUAAAAAAAAAUUAUUUAAAUAAAUAUUCCAGUUACUACUGAAUACAAGUUCAUUUUAGUAUUAAAUAUUUAAUUUAAUAGUCACUAUUUUUUAGUUAAGAUUAUUUUUCAAUUAAAUUAUUUUAUAUAAUGUCCAUAAAGUUUUUUUCUGAAUUAAUAAUUAAAAAUAAGUUAUUUUUUUUAUUGAUAUCAAUCUCAAUUAUUUGAAUUGAUUCCUAUCAAAAUUAUUAUUUAAAUUUUGUUAAAGAGGAUUGUUUUGUAAUCAAUCUAUGUCUUCCUUAAUAUUAAUAAAAAUAAUUUUAAUUAAAAUUGAUUAAAAUUUCUCCCAAUAGACACUAGAAAAACAAUAAUCAAUGUUAAUCUAGAAAUUAUUAAUUAUUAUCGAUAGGAUACAUUCUAAUACUAUUUUUAAAAUUAAACUUUAAUUCUAAUCUAAUUCUACACUGCUGAAGAUAAAAUUUUUACUCACCUAUAUGUUAUAAAUCUAUUAACUUAAAUUAUCAUUAUCAUCUAAAACUAUAUUCAUAUCCAAAUCCACUAUAAAGUAUAAUUUGAUACCAUCAAGUUUUCUAUCUAUAGCAAGUCUCUCACAAACUACUUAUGCCUAGGCAUAUAUUUGUUUGUCACUUCACCAUGUUUUAAGGAUAAUGAUAUUUAAACAACAUUUUUUUGACAAUAUUUGAAUAUCAUCUACGUGUCAUUAUGUGAUUAAUCCAAAAUUACUUCACAAUCAAUAAUAAUCAUAAAUACCACCAUAGAUCAAUCACAGAAUGACACGUAGAUGAUGUUAAAAUGUUGUCAAAAAAAAUGUUGUCUAACUAUUAUUAUCCUUUAAGAACUUACAAGUAGAAAAGAAAAGAAAGGAAAACAUAACAUGUGAAAGUCAAAUAAUGGUUACUGCAUAUUACUAGAAGUGAUACGUAAUAGUCUUACACUGGCUUGAUUGUAUGAUUGCAUGAAGCAGAGGAGAUUUAAUGGCUUCAAUGAAUCAGUAAGAUCCACAAUAUCAAGGUUACCCUGUGUCCCUAAGGUCAGAAAAUAGUUGAAAGUUUCAAUGUUCCUGAUAACAUAUGCAAUAUAAGCCACCGGUGCUUCCUUUGACAUGCUGCUACUACCAUCAUUAUAUAUUGCUUUGCAUCUACCAUCACAUAUUUCAAUAUCAUUUUCAUGUCUUGCUUCACCAUUUCCAAGUUUAAUGUUCGGAGAGAGGUUCUUGCAACUUGAAUGUUGUCUGCAGAAACUGGAAUUCAUCUGAUUUAAAAGAAUGGCAAGUACUCGAACAAGAUGUGGUAAACAAGCUGGAUCAUAUAUUACAUCUGCACCCAAACUGAAAUAGUAAUAUAUUAAGGAAUGACAUUUGAAUUCUGAACAAAUUUAAAGAAACAGUAUGAGAAAUUAAGUUCAGUAAUUGAGUAGAAACUUCAGUUGAACUCUUACACAAGAUCUGGCAUAAUUUCUUGAAGUUGACUUUCUGAUGCAGAUUCCCAGGGCAGAUACAAGCAUUUUACCUGAGUGAGGUGCAUGGAUCAGUUCAUAAUACAGAAACUUGGUAACAUAUACAACAAUACAGUUUAUAUUCUCUUCUAUCUCACACUUGCUAAAAUCCAUUACUUGAGAAAAAGGUUUUCAAAAGAAUGCAGAUCUAGACAAUUUUGGUUUUAGCUUUUAUUACAAUUUAUCAACACAGAAUAGACUGCAACAAAAAGGACAAAAUAAAACUUCAAAAAGAAAUUUUAUAGAUUAAUCUUCUAUGGACAAACAUAUUAGAACCAUACACUAAAAAUGUAUGAAACUCAAGAUAAGCACAUCAACACUCUGCAAGUAGAAAGUCCAUACAUACCAAUACUGAAAAUUGAUAUGUAUAUUUCAGUUUAGCAAAUAGCUCAAUAUCAUAUGCAUAUCUAUAGAAUCUUCCUAAUUAGAGAAAAUAUGUAUAUGAUCUUGUAGAUUAUUUGUUUCCUUAUUUCCCUUUUCUUGAAGAUUAGAUUGCUAUAAAUAGAGGUAAGGAGAAUGUAAUUACUAUGAAUGAAAAUAAUAAAAUCAUUCUCUUUUUCAAGUAACCUGAGAGAAGAUGUUGUGAGGAUAAAAUUUUCUAUACACGAAAAGAAAAGUACAAUGCACAGUCUAUGCAAAUUCAGACUCACCUUGUUUGGAUCUUUGUUUCCUUCUGUCAUAUUAGCCUCAACAUUGAGGUGGUUCAACUCCAAAUUAAACUUCAUGUUAGCUAAAGUUGAUAGGUCACCGUCACUUAAUAUCACCUGUUGAGAGACAAUAACAAGCUUCCAGUUGACUAAAUUCAACUACAAAUAUCACCUAAUAUUGCCCAUAUAAUAACUAAACAAAUAGCACCAUUUUAUAGUUUAAAUUUCAGUGUUCUAGCUAAAACAUCAUACUUUGAUAACAAAAAUGUCAUCAUUGAACAUGUUCAUGCAUGAAUCAGCAAGUAUAAUUGGCCAUACCUGGGAAGCUUUCACAUGGGCUAGACAUAAUCCAACUAAGCCAACUCCUGAACCAAUCUAUUCCAAAUUUUUAAAAGAUGCACCAGGGUAAGAACAGAUGAAAGCUAAUCUUAAUGUGACAAAUGAAAUGACAAAAAAGUUAGAAACUAAAACACUUAGAGCACAAUUACAUCUUAGAGCCUCUCUGAUAAGUGAAGGUAAUCACAUAAUUGUCUCAUCAUCAUCACAUGAAUGGAUAAACAUUAUUAUUAUAUUUAACAAACUCAAACAUAGAACUGACCUCAAAGCAUGAUUUAUCAGAAAAUAAUUCUGGAUGAGAAAGUAUUAACUCGGACAAAAACAGACUUGAUGGCCAUAUUGAGCACCUACAUAACCAAACCAAUAUCAAUUUCUAAGAAUUAAUGCUGAUUCCAAAAACAUACACUUGACAUAUGAAUAUUGAUAGAAGAAUUAUGAUAAGUACUAAAUUUUCCAAAAAAAUGAUAUUGCUGAACUCGACAAAAGUUGAAUUAUGAAGCAGAAAGAUCACUGGUUAUCAUUUAAAAGAACUUCUGCAUUGACAAACAUCACAUAAGGGCGUUUAAAUGUUACAUUCUAUAUGCAUAGUCUUUAAUGAUAUGAAAUAUAAGCAUACCCAGUAUCACCUUCAAGCAUGUUUAGAGAACACUGCAACGAAAAAACCACUGUCCUCGAGUGUGGACAACUUAGUAGUUUAGAACAACCUAGUCAUUCCAAUUCACCAGCCCAAGAAAAUCUGAAUGAAACAAAAUCAUAAGAAUAAAUGAAGAAACAUAACCAGAAUCAAGAUUUACCCUCAGGAAAAAGAAAUGAAAUUCUUUUGCAGAUUCUUGCAUCUCUCUUCGCGAAACUAUCAUCCUAGCACAAAAGAAAGAAAAUCAAGAAAAAAAAAAAAAACUCUACAACCAGAACAAAAAAAAUGCUUGCAGAAAGUCAUUGAUGGAAUAAAACCUUAAACGAUGUCAUGUAGUGAGCAUAAAGUUCGUACAAAUUGUCCAACACAUAACCACGGUCUGACUCAACUUGACUAAUAAGUUUCUUGAGAAAAUUCUUCAGGUAGGGAGCAUGAAAAUCACCCUGCAUUUAUCAUUCUAUCAGAUCAAUGAAGCCCAGAGAAGAAAAUUAGUUUGGUGUAGUUAAAUUCUUUUUCACUUCUUGUUUUUUUUUUUUUUUUCUUUUACAAGUGUUAAAGAAAAGUUAAUCUGCCCAAAUAGAAAAAUAAAUAUUACAGGAGCGGAAAGGCAAUGGUCCCAGAUGAAUUGUUGAACUUGUUCCGUGAUUGAGCCUCCGCCACAAGCCCUGCAAAUCUAUUUGUGUCACUGCUAUUUGAAGUCUCACUGAAAUACAAAGGAAAAAGUAGUAAAGAAAAGAGAAACCUGGCAUGGGAGAUUACACAGUGAGAAGGUUCCAUAGCUAGGAUUGAAGAAAGUAAAUGGCGAGAAGAAGGCAGGGAAGGAUCUAAGUCUUCCUCCAUCGCCACUUCCUUCCACUGUUCAGUUCCGCCUCAGACAACCUCCUAUUUUAUUCAAAACAUGUGCUUUUAUAUGUCCAAAACAAACUCCUAAAAUUUAUUUUAUUCUUUGUUUAUGUUUUUUUAACUUCAAUUUUAAUAAAAUAAAAAUUUAUUCCUUCAAAUUACUAAAAAAAAAACUGAUAUUUUUAAUAAAAAUAUGUCCAUUUUCUUUGUUUCAUUCAAAAAUAAGAUACUAAUCAUAAUUUAGUUAAAAAUACGUUUGGUGGAAUUAACCAAAUAUAUUUUAACAAUUUAAAUAAUUUAUAUAUAUAUAUAUAUAUAUAUAUAUAUAUAUCCAAAAAAUACGAUUUAUUCUACUUCAGAAAAAUUAUGUACCUUAAAAUCAAAACACAUUCUAAAAAGUUUAUUUCAGAUAUACAAUAAAAGAAAAGGAGAAUGGUAAGAUGUAGAAAUAAAAACCCUAAAUUGAAUUCAUUAAUUUUGGUAAUUUGAGUAGAUACAUUAUUUUUGUUUCUUUUUUAUAAUUCUCUUAAUCAAUUAGAUGAAUUGAAGAUUAAGGGAGUUUUUAUUUUUACAAGUGUUAAUAUUUGAAUUCAAAUUCGUUCAGAAUUAUCAUUUCAUUCCGUAGAACUCCUGUCACGAGUUAAGAGUUAAGAUGUUUUUGUUUAUAUAUGACGUCAAUAUUUCAAACUCAAGUCUACUCAGAUAAUAUAAUUAGGUUAAUAUUUAGGUAUUUUAUGCUUUGUAUCUAUGGUGUCACAAUUUUGUUUUUAAAAUAUUUAUUAAAAAAUUAAAAGAAUAUUUAAACUAAACAAUAUAAAACUAUUAAAUGUAUUUAAAUUAGUUUCUCUAAAAAUAUUUGAUAGAAUUAAACAUGAGUAUAUUUUAGGAAUUAAAAAUGUGUUUAAGCAUAAAAUUGUUACCAUUUUUAAAUUAUAACUCAAUAUUUGCUUCGGAAUGAAGGAAUUUUUUUUACAAUUUGAAUUAAAUCAACCCAUUUAAUUUAAAGCUAAGCCACUAAUCUAACUCAUCUUACUUAAGCUAUUUAUUAAUGGACAUGUUUCAACCUUUUUGGAAAUUUUAAAUAAAUGUCAAUAUUUUUCAACUAUGUAUUUAAGUUAAUAUAUUUAUAAAUUAAUUUAUGAAAAUAGUAAGACCUAUGAUAAAGUCUUUCAAACUAUAAUGUAGUAAAAACAAUUAUUUAUUGUUAACUAAUAAUUAAAUAUUAGAUUAAAUAUGUUUUUAGUUGAUAAACUUUUGAUACAUUUUAGUCUUUAAAUUUUAAAAAAUAAUUUAAUACAUUUUAAUUUUUAAACUUAAAAUAUACAUACAUACAUACAUAUAUAUAUAUAUAUAUAUAUAUAUAUAUAUAUAUAUAUAUAUAUAUAUAUAUAUAUAUAAAAUGUUUUACAUAUAAAAUAUUUAGGGUUUUUUUUCCCUCGUGACACUAAGGAGUUGUUCUCUCCUUCUUUCUCCCCCACAAAACACAUCAACUUUCCAAACACUCUCUCGGAAACUAACACUCUCUCGGAGACUAACAAAUGAGCAUUCGUUAUAGAAACAAUUUGUUCAUCUUUAACAAUCUUUUUUUCCCAGAAGAACACAAACAUUUCUCAAGGAAACCCUUCUCUUACCCCCCACACUAGUGCAAUAAUUAGGAACAACUUGAGUGAAACCAAACACAGUAAAAAGGUCAACAAUGAACACAGACUGCAACAACCUGCUCUAAUAGAAAUUAUGCAAUUGAACACUACUAUUAAAUUCCUAAAUACCCUUUAGAUAUCAAUUGUCAUUGAUUGACUUCAUUUUCUAAACACUUCCAAACAAAAUAAAAGGUUUAAGUAACAUAUAACAUCACCGCUGAUUUUCUAUGGUACACUGCAUUGGAAGAAGCAAGUGAAUUAUACAAAUACUUUUAGGAUGAAGACGCUAAUUGCUUCAUUUUAGCUUGUAAAAUGACUCGUGUUUCAUCUGCCACGUUUUUUUUUUUGGAUGCAACCUGCAGUGAGAUUUGUAUAAAUUCAUUUUUUUUUUAAAUAAGGUAAAAGGUAAUAUGAGAGUGCUUGGAAAGCUGAUGGGUUUUGUGGAGAAGGAGAGGGAGAGGGGGAGGAAGAAGGAGACGACGACGACAAAGGAAAAAACCCUAAAUUCAGGGUUAGUGGAAGAUGAAGCUGACGUGUCAAUUUUUUUUUUUAAAUUCAAAAUUCACACCUUAUAUUACUCUGUUGUGUCAUGUAUGAGAGAGUUCAGUCUGUACCGUUAAAUAUUUGAUGCCGUAACGAAAAAGGAUUAAUUUGAACUGUUUUUUCAAAAGUUGAAAUCAAUUGUUACGUACAAAAAAAAAGGUAGGACCAUUCUGAACAUAAUCCCCCAAACUAAGGACCAAAAGCAGUAUUAAGCCAUAUUUAAAUUGUUUAUAGAGUGUUCCUCCCUGCACCUCCAAAUUUACCUUAUUACCCUUAAUUCAUUUAAUAAAGUCAAACUAUAAUUAAUGAAUAAACCUUACACACCCACCCCUUCCUAGUCUAGGAGUUUUUCAAGGGCUUUCACUGUUUUAUUGUUUUGGUGAGGUGCAGGGAGCUGCUUCAUUCAUUUCACUUAAAGCUUUCACUUUUAUAUUUUUAGGUUUAAACCUCUUUUUGGUCCCUAAGUUAUAAGUGGAUGUUCAGUUUAGUCCCCGGUUUUAAAAAUGUAAAUUUUUGGUCCCUAAGUUAUAAAAAAUGUAUCAAAUGAGUCCUUUUUUAACUUGAAAUACUGUUUUUGGUUAUUUCUUAACAACUGCUACAUCUUUAGAUUACUUUGAUUUGUUUCUUAAUAAUAACAGCACUUUAGAUUACUCUUUGUACUUUGACCAUGAAAAUAAAAAAAGGACUCAUUUGAUACAUUUUUUAUAACUUAGGAAUCACAUGUUUACAUUUUUAAAAGCGGAGACUAAACUGAACAUCCGCUCAUAACUUAGGGACCAAAAAGAGGUUUAAACCAUAUUUUUAUUGUUAACCUGUGUUUGUGAUUUGUGAUGGUGAUUGUGGUUGCUGCUGAUUGUGGUGUUGUUUGCUACUGUUUUGGACUUUGAACAUAGACGAGAGAGGAAGAAUGAGAGGAAGAAGAAGAGCUCCCCCAUGUUAGUACAUUUUUUAUUUUGCCGCACAUCAAGAUGCGGCAGAGCCAAACUAGUGAUUGAGUUGCAGUUUUGAAGAGACAAAACAACUAAAAAAAUCUAUUAACAAAUAUUGAAUCAAAUAAAAAGAAAUAAAAAAAAUUAAAAUUAAUAAUCAUAUAUAUUAAAAAAAGAAAUAAAAUAACAAAAGUAUCGCUUAUUAUAAUACUUAAAUAAAUACAAAUAAAAAAAAUAUAAUAUUUAACAAAAUAAAAUUUACGCAUAGGGAUAAUAAUAAUUAUUUAAUUAAUAAAUAAUUUAAAAAAUUUCUAAAUUCAUAAACAAAAAAAAAUUAACUAAAAUUAUAUACAUAAAAAAUCAUAUAAAAAAUAUUUAAGAAACAAAUAAACCAAUUUACGAAAAUAUAGUUUAGUGAUAAUAAAAAUUAUUUAAUUCAAUAAAUUAAUAAAUACUUAAUCUAAAUUCAUAAUUAAUACUUAAUCUAAAUUACAUUAAUAAUAAAUAAUAUAUAAAUUUUUAUAAACUUAAAAAAAAUUAAGUAAAAUUAACAAACAAAUUAAAAUUAGAAAAAUAACAACUUGAGAAAAACUUCACAAACAUUGAAAACUCAAAACGCAGUCUGAUAUGCGUUUGCCUCAAUCCGAAGUUUGAACUGCGUUUUAUCCAAGCCGCAUUGCGAUAUGCAUAGAAUGAAGAUGUGCACCCCCAAAACUUUACCAACCGCAUCUCCACCGGCGGUUGCCUUCUGCUGCUGAUCCAGCUACGACACGACUACAUCCGCCGUUCGUACUGCGGAGGCGUCCAUUUGCGGUUCGACAGCACCCCCAAAACCCAUCCGCCAUUCGUACUGCUGGAGAGUUUAACCACAUUACCAUUUGCGGUUUGAUAUGCGGCACCCCAAAACCCAUCCGCACUUCUUACUGCGGCUGUCGUUAACCGUGGUGUGAUUUGCGGUUAACCCUCCUCGCAUCCCAUUCGCUUCAUGUAAACACACACACACACUUUUUGAUACACAGUACAGUUCAUUUACAGAGUUGCAACCACAAAUCACAAAACAUGAUUCUCACACAAGAUCUACGAGAGGAAAAAUAGAUGCCAAAAAAAACUUAAAACACGAUCUGAGAAAAAACGAACAACUGAUACCCAACUACUCCACUCGAACGCAACAAAAAGAUAGCAGCUGCACAGGUUGGAGGGGUGGACAAGAAGACGGGUAAAGAGUAGAAUAAAGAAAGGGGGUGUAAGGUUUUUUUUCGUGUGAGUUGCGGUUAACUUUUUAUAAACCUUUUUAUAAACCCAAUGAAUAGGGUAACAGAAGUAAGGGUAGGGGUACAGUCGGUAUUAAAGGAAAAAUAAGAGGUGCAGGACGAGAUCACGAAAGUAUAGGGAGGAACACUCUUGUUUAUAUUAUUUGACAUAUUCAUUCUUCAAUAUUAAUUAAAAUAACAUGUUUGACACACAAAUUGUAUUUUAAAAACUAUAUUAAUUUAUUUUUAAAAUUUAAUGACUAAAAUAUAUCAAAAUUUUAAAAUUCAAUAACUAAAAUUAUAUUUAACUUUUAAAUAUUUUAUGAAAAGUAAUAGGUUAUAAAUAUUUUAAAAUUUUCAUAGAUAAUAAUUUUUAACUAGUUUCCAAGUUGUGAGAAUGAUUAAAAUUCAUGUUCAAUUAUCAAAUUGUAACGAAAACUUGUUAAUUAAGUCAGGAGUAGUUACUAUACUUUUAAAAGAAAAAAAGAAUUGUUAUGUUUAUCGAGUUAGUAUUUUUUAUCUUUUUCUUAAACCUUAUUAUUUAUUACAUGUUAUGGUGACUGAAACACAACAUAAUGUAUAUAUAAAAACUACUCCUGAAAAAGGAUCACCAAAAAUGAAUUUUGAGAUAUACAAAAAUAUGAACACCAUUAUUAAUUAUAAAAUACACAAACACAAAAUAAUAUACAAAUUAAUGUGUGAAUUAUGUUACAGCCUAUACUUAAAUGUCCAACUCACUCAACAUUUUUAUAAGGGCUGCGGGAAGUAUCUAAUAAGAAAAUAAAGUAUAAUAUAAAAAUAGAAGAAUUAUUCUUAGAUAAUUGAGAAAUAAAAGUAGUCAGUGACAAUCCAAAAGAAAGAAGAGAAAUAGUGUUGAAAAUGUUAAUAUUGAAGUAGAUUAGAUCUAGAGCAUAACCUAAGCCUGAUCUAAAAUCAUUAGUUAUUGCUUCUAAGUAAAAUAAAAAGAAAAAGGAAAAGAUAACGUGAAAUUCAGAUACUAGCUAUUUUUAUUAUUGCCAGUUAUACGCAAUAGUCUUACACUGGCUUGAUUGUAUGAUUGCAUGUAGCAGAGGAGAUUUAGUGGCUUCAAUGAAUCAGUAAGGUCCACAAUAUCAAGAUGAGCCUGUUUUCCCAGGGACAUGAAAUAGUUGAAAGUUUCAAUGUUUCUGAUAACAUAUGAAAUAUACGCCACCGGUGCUUCCUUUGGCAGGCUGUAACUAUCAUCAUUAUGGCUUGCUUUGAAUCUACUGUGAGAUAUGUCAAUAGCAUGUUCAUGAUUAUGUUCACAAUUUUCAUGUUUAAUGUUUGGGGAGAUGCCCUUACAACUUGCAUGCUGUCUGCAAAACUCCAAAUUCAUCGGAUUCAAAAGAAUGGCAAGUACUCGAACAAGAUGUGGUUGAUAAACAGGAUCAUAUAUCACAUCUGCACCCAGACUGAUAAUAAUAUAAUAAGAAUGACAACUGAAUUCCGAAAAAAAUGGAAAGAAGAAUAUACGAAAUUAUGUCUCAAAAGUUGUAUAGUUAAACCCUCACACAACAUCAGCCCUGAUAUCUUGGAGUUGACUAACUGAUGCAGAUUCCCACGGCAGAUACAAGCAUUUUACCUGGGAUACAUGAUCAAUUCAUAAUACCGAGACUUAAUAAGUACAGUUCAGGUUAUAUUCUCCUUUAUAUAGACAAGAAGAAAACCCAUACUUUAAAAAUGAAAAUGUUGUCAAAGGGAUGGAGAAUCCACUAUCAGAUGAACAAAAUUUGAAAACGAAAAUUCAAAGGUUGACUUCCAUGAACAAAUCAACUAUCACAUGUUCAAGCUCUAGAAACUGUUGUAAGGAAUAAGGGGAUGGGGAAAAAUACUGGAAAUUACUAAUUGAACCGGUUUAGCAAAAAGCUCAGAGUAUCUACCAUAUAGUGUGAGGAUAGCAUUUUCUAUAUAUGAAAGCAAAAUCCUGUGACAGUCUAUUCAAAUUGAGACUGACCAUGUUUUGGUCAUUGUUUCUUUGCCGCAUGCCAGCUUCGACAUUCAGGUGGUUCAUCUCCAGAUUAAACUUCAUAUUAACUAAAGUUGAUAGGUCACCAUCACUUAAUAUCACCUGUUCAUAGAUGAUAAUUACAAUUGCUUUUUUAUUAAAUUUAAUUACAAUAAUAUCAUCUAAUAUUACCCAUGUAAUAAUUAGUUGACCAUACCUUAGAAGCCUUCACAUGAGCUAGACAUAAUCCAAUUAAGCCAACUCCUGAACCAACCUACUUAAAAUUUUAAAAAUAGUACACCAAGGUAUAAUAAGAACAACUAAAAGCUAAUUUUAAUGCAACAAACAAAAUGACAAAUUUAUAAACAGAACACAAAUUUCAAACUUUGUAAAGGGAGAAUUAUAUCUCAGCCUCUCCCAUAAGUGAUGAUUAUCACAAAAUUGUUGCAUGCAAAGCUAUUCAUGAUUGGAUAAUACUAACAUUUCUAGUGGAUUAAAAAAAUUCUUAAAUAUGUUACUAACCUCGAAGCAUGUUUUAUUAGAAAAUAAUUCUGGAUGAGAAAGUAUGAACUCAGACAAAAACAGACCCGGUUUCCAUAUUGAGCACCUGCACAACCAAACAAAUACCAUCUUUAAACUUUAAUGCAAGUUCCACAAACAUAUGCAUAUUCAGGGAAGAAUUAUUUGAAGCUGUCCGUAGAUAGAUCCAACUAAUGCCCAAAUUAAUGGUGUUGCUGAAGUCAACACAUGUAUCAAAGAGCAAGAGUACUGACUAUUAUUUAGAAGAACUUUGCAUUGACAAACAACACAUAAAAACCUUGAAAUGUUGCAUUCUAUUUGCAACAGUUUCUUAUGAUAUAAAAUAUGAGCAUACCCCGUACCACCUUCAAGCAUGUUCCGAGAACACUGCAAUGGAAAGACCAGUACCCUAGAGUGCGGACAACUUUGCAGUUCAGAACAACCUAGGCAUAACAGUUUACCAGCCAAAGUAAGGUGGAUGAAACAACAUCAUAAAAAUAAAUGCAGAAACAUCACUCUAAUCACUAUUUACCAUCAGGAAAAAGAAACGAAAUUCUUUUGCUGACUCUGGCAUCUCCCUUCUCUAAACUAUCAUCCUAAAAAAAAGGAAAAAGUAAUAAAAUCCUGAAAAAAUCUCUGUAAGAGCUAAAAAAGGAAGCUUGGAGAAAAUUGUUGAUCUAAGAAAACCUUGCAUGAUGUCAUAUAGAGAGCAUAGAGUUCGUACAAGCUGUCCAAGACAUAGCCAUGGUCGAACUCAAUUUGAGCGAUGAGUUUCUUGAGGAAAUUCUUCAGGUAAGGAACAUGAAAAUCACCCUGUAUUUAGUAUUAAAAUACGAUCAAUGCAACUAUAAGGCAAUUUAAAGAAAAUAAAAAGAGAAAACAAAAAUUACAGGAGAGGAGAGGCAAUGGUGCCAGAUGAAUUGUUGAACUUGCUCUGUGAUUGAGCCUCCACCACACUCCCUACGUACCGAAUUCAGUCACUACUUUUCGAAGUCUUACGUAAUAAAAAGACGAAGGAGCAAUGAAAGAGAAACCUGGCAUGGGAGAUAAGGCAUUCGGAAGGUUCCAUGGCGAGAAUUGCAGAGAGCAGUCGCUGGCUACAUGGGAGAGAGGGAUCCAACUCUUGCUCCAUCGCCACCUCCACACUGCAUCAACCUCCCCCGCCAUUCAAAAAAUGGGCCUUUUCACUGCAAACGCGGGCUUUCAAUGUUACUUCAAAAUUGGGCUGGGCCUCACACGUCUUACUAGACUCUCCCUUCGGUUUUUUCUUUACACACUCCCACAACUUUUGAAAUGGGCUUUUUAUAUUUCGGGAAAGUAACUUUUCUUCUGGAAUGGAACAAGCAUUUUUAAAUGUUCAGAACACGAUUUCUAAAAUAGAAUUUUUAGGAACAACCUUUUCAGAAUAUAUGAAUUGUAUUUUAGAACCAGCUUUCUGAAAUAAAAUUUCCAAGCUUUCAAGAACAUAUAUUUUAGAACAAACUUUCUAAAACAAAUUUUCAAAACAACCUUUUCGAAGCAUUAAAUGUUAGCUUCCAAAAUAACUUUUUGUGAACAAGCUUUCUCUCUUAGUUCUUGUUUACUUGAAUGGAUUUGAGAAAGAGUAAUUGAGAAGAUUUGAUGAUACAUUUUUUUUUGUUAUUUAUUUAAAUAAAUUUGGUAGUAAGUGAGAGUGAAUUUGAAAAUAAAUUUUUUUAAUCUGUCAUAUAAAUUAAAUCCUACCCUAAUUCUCACAAAUUUUACUUUCAAAUCUACCCUCACUUACCUCCAAAUUUAUUCAAAUAAACAACAAAAAAAUUUAUCAUCAAAUUCUCUCAAUUACUCUCCUCCAAAUCUACUCAAGUGAACAAUGCCUUAGUUUUCUUCUUCCUCUCAAAGAGGGUCGCGUCAUCAUUAUACUGCCUUAUUAUGAAGCACUAAUAGAGGUGGGCAAACUGCUCCAUAGUGUACUGCACUAUAAAAAAAUAUAAUUAACUAUAAACUAGUUUUAAAAAACUACACUGAACUAAAAAAUAGUUCAGAAUAACUGAACUGAACUAUUUUUUAGUUCACUUAAUCCAAUGCAGUUCAGUUAACUCUUUUUUAAUUAACUAUAUUUUAUUUGCCCAAUACAAAACCAUAAGAAGUGUCUUCUCAAAGAAGAAAAUGCAUGAUAAACAACUGUGGUAGAGAGAAAAAAUAGAUGAGAACGAGAGGUUUCCAUGAAUGAAGCAAAAUCCUACAGGCAAUAUAACAAAACCGCAAUACAAAUUUCAACCAUCAAACCCCAUCUCUAUUACAUCAAAAGGCAUCUUAAAACAGUGUUAUCCAUAGCUGAAUUAAAUAUAUAUUCUAAGACUUUUUGGGAGAUUUGGUAGGCUUAGAUGAAGAUUUAGGCUCCUUAUAAAUUUUAUCAGACUUCUUGGAAAGCAAAACCAGAUUAAUACCCGUAAGACAGCACAGAGAGGCAAAGGCCACCAACCACGAUGACAAGCCUUCGACGACGACGGACCACGAUGAGCCUUCAAUGGUGAACCACGACCACGAGCCUUCUAUUAAAAGGAUUAAAAAUUCUGAUGUAUUAUUUCAAAGAAUAGAGUACCAUAUAUAUACAUACAAGGAUCCUAUAAUCCUUCAUCUAUUAAAGGNNNNNNNNNNNNNNNNNNNNNNNNNNNNNNNNNNNNNNNNNNNNNNNNNNNNNNNNNNNNNNNNNNNNNNNNNNNNNNNNNNNNNNNNNNNNNNNNNNNNNNNNNNNNNNNNNNNNNNNNNNNNNNNNNNNNNNNNNNNNNNNNNNNNNNNNNNNNNNNNNNNNNNNNNNNNNNNNNNNNNNNNNNNNNNNNNNNNNNNNNNNNNNNNNNNNNNNNNNNNNNNNNNNNNNNNNNNNNNNNNNNNNNNNNNNNNNNNNNNNNNNNNNNNNNNNNNNNNNNNNNNNNNNNNNNNNNNNNNNNNNNNNNNNNNNNNNNNNNNNNNNNNNNNNNNNNNNNNNNNNNNNNNNNNNNNNNNNNNNNNNNNNNNNNNNNNNNNNNNNNNNNNNNNNNNNNNNNNNNNNNNNNNNNNNNNNNNNNNNNNNNNNNNNNNNNNNNNNNNNNNNNNNNNNNNNNNNNNNNNNNNNNNNNNNNNNNNNNNNNNNNNNNNNNNNNNNNNNNNNNNNNNNNNNNNNNNNNNNNNNNNNNNNNNNNNNNNNNNNNNNNNNNNNNNNNNNNNNNNNNNNNNNNNNNNNNNNNNNNNNNNNNNNNNNNNNNNNNNNNNNNNNNNNNNNNNNNNNNNNNNNNNNNNNNNNNNNNNNNNNNNNNNNNNNNNNNNNNNNNNNNNNNNNNNNNNNNNNNNNNNNNNNNNNNNNNNNNNNNNNNNNNNNNNNNNNNNNNNNNNNNNNNNNNNNNNNNNNNNNNNNNNNNNNNNNNNNNNNNNNNNNNNNNNNNNNNNNNNNNNNNNNNNNNNNNNNNNNNNNNNNNNNNNNNNNNNNNNNNNNNNNNNNNNNNNNNNNNNNNNNNNNNNNNNNNNNNNNNNNNNNNNNNNNNNNNNNNNNNNNNNNNNNNNNNNNNNNNNNNNNNNNNNNNNNNNNNNNNNNNNNNNNNNNNNNNNNNNNNNNNNNNNNNNNNNNNNNNNNNNNNNNNNNNNNNNNNNNNNNNNNNNNNNNNNNNNNNNNNNNNNNNNNNNNNNNNNNNNNNNNNNNNNNNNNNNNNNNNNNNNNNNNNNNNNNNNNNNNNNNNNNNNNNNNNNNNNNNNNNNNNNNNNNNNNNNNNNNNNNNNNNNNNNNNNNNNNNNNNNNNNNNNNNNNNNNNNNNNNNNNNNNNNNNNNNNNNNNNNNNNNNNNNNNNNNNNNNNNNNNNNNNNNNNNNNNNNNNNNNNNNNNNNNNNNNNNNNNNNNNNNNNNNNNNNNNNNNNNNNNNNNNNNNNNNNNNNNNNNNNNNNNNNNNNNNNNNNNNNNNNNNNNNNNNNNNNNNNNNNNNNNNNNNNNNNNNNNNNNNNNNNNNNNNNNNNNNNNNNNNNNNNNNNNNNNNNNNNNNNNNNNNNNNNNNNNNNNNNNNNNNNNNNNNNNNNNNNNNNNNNNNNNNNNNNNNNNNNNNNNNNNNNNNNNNNNNNNNNNNNNNNNNNNNNNNNNNNNNNNNNNNNNNNNNNNNNNNNNNNNNNNNNNNNNNNNNNNNNNNNNNNNNNNNNNNNNNNNNNNNNNNNNNNNNNNNNNNNNNNNNNNNNNNNNNNNNNNNNNNNNNNNNNNNNNNNNNNNNNNNNNNNNNNNNNNNNNNNNNNNNNNNNNNNNNNNNNNNNNNNNNNNNNNNNNNNNNNNNNNNNNNNNNNNNNNNNNNNNNNNNNNNNNNNNNNNNNNNNNNNNNNNNNNNNNNNNNNNNNNNNNNNNNNNNNNNNNNNNNNNNNNNNNNNNNNNNNNNNNNNNNNNNNNNNNNNNNNNNNNNNNNNNNNNNNNNNNNNNNNNNNNNNNNNNNNNNNNNNNNNNNNNNNNNNNNNNNNNNNNNNNNNNNNNNNNNNNNNNNNNNNNNNNNNNNNNNNNNNNNNNNNNNNNNNNNNNNNNNNNNNNNNNNNNNNNNNNNNNNNNNNNNNNNNNNNNNNNNNNNNNNNNNNNNNNNNNNNNNNNNNNNNNNNNNNNNNNNNNNNNNNNNNNNNNNNNNNNNNNNNNNNNNNNNNNNNNNNNNNNNNNNNNNNNNNNNNNNNNNNNNNNNNNNNNNNNNNNNNNNNNNNNNNNNNNNNNNNNNNNNNNNNNNNNNNNNNNNNNNNNNNNNNNNNNNNNNNNNNNNNNNNNNNNNNNNNNNNNNNNNNNNNNNNNNNNNNNNNNNNNNNNNNNNNNNNNNNNNNNNNNNNNNNNNNNNNNNNNNNNNNNNNNNNNNNNNNNNNNNNNNNNNNNNNNNNNNNNNNNNNNNNNNNNNNNNNNNNNNNNNNNNNNNNNNNNNNNNNNNNNNNNNNNNNNNNNNNNNNNNNNNNNNNNNNNNNNNNNNNNNNNNNNNNNNNNNNNNNNNNNNNNNNNNNNNNNNNNNNNNNNNNNNNNNNNNNNNNNNNNNNNNNNNNNNNNNNNNNNNNNNNNNNNNNNNNNNNNNNNNNNNNNNNNNNNNNNNNNNNNNNNNNNNNNNNNNNNNNNNNNNNNNNNNNNNNNNNNNNNNNNNNNNNNNNNNNNNNNNNNNNNNNNNNNNNNNNNNNNNNNNNNNNNNNNNNNNNNNNNNNNNNNNNNNNNNNNNNNNNNNNNNNNNNNNNNNNNNNNNNNNNNNNNNNNNNNNNNNNNNNNNNNNNNNNNNNNNNNNNNNNNNNNNNNNNNNNNNNNNNNNNNNNNNNNNNNNNNNNNNNNNNNNNNNNNNNNNNNNNNNNNNNNNNNNNNNNNNNNNNNNNNNNNNNNNNNNNNNNNNNNNNNNNNNNNNNNNNNNNNNNNNNNNNNNNNNNNNNNNNNNNNNNNNNNNNNNNNNNNNNNNNNNNNNNNNNNNNNNNNNNNNNNNNNNNNNNNNNNNNNNNNNNNNNNNNNNNNNNNNNNNNNNNNNNNNNNNNNNNNNNNNNNNNNNNNNNNNNNNNNNNNNNNNNNNNNNNNNNNNNNNNNNNNNNNNNNNNNNNNNNNNNNNNNNNNNNNNNNNNNNNNNNNNNNNNNNNNNNNNNNNNNNNNNNNNNNNNNNNNNNNNNNNNNNNNNNNNNNNNNNNNNNNNNNNNNNNNNNNNNNNNNNNNNNNNNNNNNNNNNNNNNNNNNNNNNNNNNNNNNNNNNNNNNNNNNNNNNNNNNNNNNNNNNNNNNNNNNNNNNNNNNNNNNNNNNNNNNNNNNNNNNNNNNNNNNNNNNNNNNNNNNNNNNNNNNNNNNNNNNNNNNNNNNNNNNNNNNNNNNNNNNNNNNNNNNNNNNNNNNNNNNNNNNNNNNNNNNNNNNNNNNNNNNNNNNNNNNNNNNNNNNNNNNNNNNNNNNNNNNNNNNNNNNNNNNNNNNNNNNNNNNNNNNNNNNNNNNNNNNNNNNNNNNNNNNNNNNNNNNNNNNNNNNNNNNNNNNNNNNNNNNNNNNNNNNNNNNNNNNNNNNNNNNNNNNNNNNNNNNNNNNNNNNNNNNNNNNNNNNNNNNNNNNNNNNNNNNNNNNNNNNNNNNNNNNNNNNNNNNNNNNNNNNNNNNNNNNNNNNNNNNNNNNNNNNNNNNNNNNNNNNNNNNNNNNNNNNNNNNNNNNNNNNNNNNNNNNNNNGUGUUAGGUUCCUUUACUCAAGGAACGUAACAGAUGAACAAUCCACACACACACUCCCAACAGUAAGAAAGAAAGGUAUGAAUAUAAACUGUAUUUAUCUGUAAAAGUAUGGAUGAAUAGUAAACAAAAAGAGUAUUUCCCAAGGAAGCCUCCCUUCCUCCACUGGAAUCACGCUCCAAUCUCUACCUAAAAGGCACCCAAAGAUAAGAUCCCCUCUCCCUAUUCUGAUUCUUAUUUAUUCUCUCUCUCUUCUAACAACUCGUAACCCACCUUGCUCCUAACACGUGUUUGUCUCACCCCUAUGUGUUUGCCUUGCUCCCUACUCUCCUUACACGUGUUUAGCUGACUCCUCUUUUAUUCUUCCUUGUAUAAACCUUUAAUGGUCUAACAUUACCCUCCUCCCCAACAUCAACCUUGUCCUCAAGGUUGAAGUGAGGGAACUGCUGGCGGAUGUAGUGUUCUUCUUCCCAUGUAGCCCCUUCAACAUCAUCCUUCUGCCAUUGUAUUAAGACUUGGGGUAUCACCUUCCCCAGUUCCUGCUGGUUCCUGCGUUGAAGCACUUUCAGAGGAGUGUAAGUGUGUCUAUCCUCCUGCAAAUCAUUUGGCAAAACUUCCUCCACCUUAUGAUCUCCUACCGCUAGUUUCAAUUGAGAAACAUGAAACACAGGAUGUAUUCUUGAAGAUUCUGGUAACUGCAGCCUAAAUGCAACAGAUCCUAUUUGUUUUUCCACCAAAAACGGCCCAUAAUAUCUUGCUGAAAGUUUGGGAUGCAGUGUUGUAGGCAUAGAUGCUCGUCUAUGAGGUCUGAUUUUAAGGAAUACCAAAUCGCCUUCCUUGAUUUUGGUCGCCACCCUCUUCUUAUUAGCAUGAUGAGUCAUCUGAUCCUGAGCCCGUGCCAAGUGAUAUUUCAAUUGCUACAAUGCCUCAUCACGGGUUUGCAAAUCCUGAGCAACUGCAUCCACCACCGUUUCUCCUGGUAUGUAACGUGUCAAUGUAGGAGGAGGUCUUCCAUACACCGUUUCAAAGGGAGUGCAUUUGGUCGCGCCUUGGUACGUGGUGUUAUACCAAUAUUCAGCCCAAGGUAACACCAAGCUCCAACUCUUGGGUUGUUCGGAGCUGAAACAGCGCAGAUAAGUUCCCAACACCCUGUUCAAAACUUCCAUCUAGCCAUCUGUCUCUGGGUGAUAGGCUAUGCUCAUCCUGAGUUGUGUACCCUGUAAACGAAAAAUCUCUUGCCAAAAUACACUCAUUAAAGUCGAAUCUCUAUCACUAAAAAUGGUUACCGGUAUCCCAUGAAGUAUAAUCACUUCCUUCACAAACACCUCCGCUAUGGAUCGAGCUGUAUAAGGGUGUUUAAUUGCAAUAAAAUGUCCAUACUUGCUGAGCCUGUCCACCACCACUAAUAUAGUAUCAAAUCCAUGAGACUUGGGUAGUUUCACUAUAAAAUCCAUACUGAUCUCCUCCCAUAUUGCUUGUGGUAUAGGCAGGGGUUGUAAAAGUCCUUGGGGAUAUGCUGCUAGAUAUUUGUGCUGUUGACAUACUAAACAUGCAGCCACAAAAUCCGUAAUUGUUUUCUUCAUUCCCACCCAGUGUAAUGAUUGCCCCAUUCUUCUGUAGGUUUGGUAGACCCCCGAAUGUCCUCCAGUUACCCCACUAUGAAAGUCAGCUAUAAUCUUUGGUAUCCAAACCGAAUGUGGGGAUAAAACCAGCCGCCCUUUGUAGUGUAAUCUGCCAUGCUCCAGAGUGUAUGCAGGGUGGGACUCUGGAUCUGUUCUUAUAUCUGUUAACACCUUGCUGAGGUUCUCAUCCUUCUCCACCUCUUCCAUGAUCUCUUUAAAAUCAGCCCAGUAUGGCUUGGAUAUCAUCCCUAACAUCUUUUCUUCUUCUUCCCACUCUGCUCCUUUUCGUGAAAGUCCAUCUGCCACACAAUUAGAUGCUCCUGUCCUAUAUUUUAUCUCAAAUUCAUAUCCAAGGAGUUUAGCUAGCCAAUUUUGCUGACUUUGGGUAGUUAUCUGUUGUUCUAGUAAGUGCUUCAAGCUCUUUUGAUCAGUAAAAACCAUAAAUUUUUGGCCCAAUAAGUAUGGCCUCCAAUGUUGUAUAGCAAGCACCAAUGCCAUCAAUUCCUUUUCAUAGAUGGAUUUGGUUAAAGAUGAUUCUGAUAAAGCCUUACUAAAGAAAGCUAUGGGUUUAUUUCUCUGUGACAGCACUGCUCCCACUCCAUUCCCCGAUGCAUCACACUCUACACAAAAUGUUUGAUCAAAGUCAGGCAGAAUCAAAACUGGAGNUGUUGUUACCGCCUCUUUCAGUUUCUUCAUGGCUUCGGAUCCUGCUACCGUCCACUUAAACAUCCCCUUCUUNAGCAAUUCAGUGAGGGGUCUUGCCAUCUUCCCAUAGUCACGGAUAAAUCUUCUGUAAUACCCAGUCAAACCUAAAAAACCUCGUAACUCCUUGAUAGUCUUAGGUUNUGGCCAAUCUAACACUGCUGCAACCUUAUCUCUAUCCAUCUCAACCCCUGCUGCCGAUAUCUUAUGCCCCAGAUAUUUCACCUGUCUUUUGCCAAAUUCACAUUUCUUCUUAUUGGCAUAGAGUUUGUGCUCAUUUAACACCUUUAAGACUUGCACCAAAUGUUGUGAAUGUUCAUCCCAUGUCUUGCUAUAGACAAGAAUGUCAUCAAAGAAUACCAAUACGAAUUUCCUUAGAAAGGAUCUCAAAACCGAGUUCAUNNNNNNNNNNNNNNNNNNNNNNNNNNNNNNNNNNNNNNNNNNNNNNNNNNNNNNNNNNNNNNNNNNNNNNNNNNNNNNNNNNNNNNNNNNNNNNNNNNNNNNNNNNNNNNNNNNNNNNNNNNNNNNNNNNNNNNNNNNNNNNNNNNNNNNNNNNNNNNNNNNNNNNNNNNNNNNNNNNNNNNNNNNNNNNNNNNNNNNNNNNNNNNNNNNNNNNNNNNNNNNNNNNNNNNNNNNNNNNNNNNNNNNNNNNNNNNNNNNNNNNNNNNNNNNNNNNNNNNNNNNNNNNNNNNNNNNNNNNNNNNNNNNNNNNNNNNNNNNNNNNNNNNNNNNNNNNNNNNNNNNNNNNNNNNNNNNNNNNNNNNNNNNNNNNNNNNNNNNNNNNNNNNNNNNNNNNNNNNNNNNNNNNNNNNNNNNNNNNNNNNNNNNNNNNNNNNNNNNNNNNNNNNNNNNNNNNNNNNNNNNNNNNNNNNNNNNNNNNNNNNNNNNNNNNNNNNNNNNNNNNNNNNNNNNNNNNNNNNNNNNNNNNNNNNNNNNNNNNNNNNNNNNNNNNNNNNNNNNNNNNNNNNNNNNNNNNNNNNNNNNNNNNNNNNNNNNNNNNNNNNNNNNNNNNNNNNNNNNNNNNNNNNNNNNNNNNNNNNNNNNNNNNNNNNNNNNNNNNNNNNNNNNNNNNNNNNNNNNNNNNNNNNNNNNNNNNNNNNNNNNNNNNNNNNNNNNNNNNNNNNNNNNNNNNNNNNNNNNNNNNNNNNNNNNNNNNNNNNNNNNNNNNNNNNNNNNNNNNNNNNNNNNNNNNNNNNNNNNNNNNNNNNNNNNNNNNNNNNNNNNNNNNNNNNNNNNNNNNNNNNNNNNNNNNNNNNNNNNNNNNNNNNNNNNNNNNNNNNNNNNNNNNNNNNNNNNNNNNNNNNNNNNNNNNNNNNNNNNNNNNNNNNNNNNNNNNNNNNNNNNNNNNNNNNNNNNNNNNNNNNNNNNNNNNNNNNNNNNNNNNNNNNNNNNNNNNNNNNNNNNNNNNNNNNNNNNNNNNNNNNNNNNNNNNNNNNNNNNNNNNNNNNNNNNNNNNNNNNNNNNNNNNNNNNNNNNNNNNNNNNNNNNNNNNNNNNNNNNNNNNNNNNNNNNNNNNNNNNNNNNNNNNNNNNNNNNNNNNNNNNNNNNNNNNNNNNNNNNNNNNNNNNNNNNNNNNNNNNNNNNNNNNNNNNNNNNNNNNNNNNNNNNNNNNNNNNNNNNNNNNNNNNNNNNNNNNNNNNNNNNNNNNNNNNNNNNNNNNNNNNNNNNNNNNNNNNNNNNNNNNNNNNNNNNNNNNNNNNNNNNNNNNNNNNNNNNNNNNNNNNNNNNNNNNNNNNNNNNNNNNNNNNNNNNNNNNNNNNNNNNNNNNNNNNNNNNNNNNNNNNNNNNNNNNNNNNNNNNNNNNNNNNNNNNNNNNNNNNNNNNNNNNNNNNNNNNNNNNNNNNNNNNNNNNNNNNNNNNNNNNNNNNNNNNNNNNNNNNNNNNNNNNNNNNNNNNNNNNNNNNNNNNNNNNNNNNNNNNNNNNNNNNNNNNNNNNNNNNNNNNNNNNNNNNNNNNNNNNNNNNNNNNNNNNNNNNNNNNNNNNNNNNNNNNNNNNNNNNNNNNNNNNNNNNNNNNNNNNNNNNNNNNNNNNNNNNNNNNNNNNNNNNNNNNNNNNNNNNNNNNNNNNNNNNNNNNNNNNNNNNNNNNNNNNNNNNNNNNNNNNNNNNNNNNNNNNNNNNNNNNNNNNNNNNNNNNNNNNNNNNNNNNNNNNNNNNNNNNNNNNNNNNNNNNNNNNNNNNNNNNNNNNNNNNNNNNNNNNNNNNNNNNNNNNNNNNNNNNNNNNNNNNNNNNNNNNNNNNNNNNNNNNNNNNNNNNNNNNNNNNNNNNNNNNNNNNNNNNNNNNNNNNNNNNNNNNNNNNNNNNNNNNNNNNNNNNNNNNNNNNNNNNNNNNNNNNNNNNNNNNNNNNNNNNNNNNNNNNNNNNNNNNNNNNNNNNNNNNNNNNNNNNNNNNNNNNNNNNNNNNNNNNNNNNNNNNNNNNNNNNNNNNNNNNNNNNNNNNNNNNNNNNNNNNNNNNNNNNNNNNNNNNNNNNNNNNNNNNNNNNNNNNNNNNNNNNNNNNNNNNNNNNNNNNNNNNNNNNNNNNNNNNNNNNNNNNNNNNNNNNNNNNNNNNNNNNNNNNNNNNNNNNNNNNNNNNNNNNNNNNNNNNNNNNNNNNNNNNNNNNNNNNNNNNNNNNNNNNNNNNNNNNNNNNNNNNNNNNNNNNNNNNNNNNNNNNNNNNNNNNNNNNNNNNNNNNNNNNNNNNNNNNNNNNNNNNNNNNNNNNNNNNNNNNNNNNNNNNNNNNNNNNNNNNNNNNNNNNNNNNNNNNNNNNNNNNNNNNNNNNNNNNNNNNNNNNNNNNNNNNNNNNNNNNNNNNNNNNNNNNNNNNNNNNNNNNNNNNNNNNNNNNNNNNNNNNNNNNNNNNNNNNNNNNNNNNNNNNNNNNNNNNNNNNNNNNNNNNNNNNNNNNNNNNNNNNNNNNNNNNNNNNNNNNNNNNNNNNNNNNNNNNNNNNNNNNNNNNNNNNNNNNNNNNNNNNNNNNNNNNNNNNNNNNNNNNNNNNNNNNNNNNNNNNNNNNNNNNNNNNNNNNNNNNNNNNNNNNNNNNNNNNNNNNNNNNNNNNNNNNNNNNNNNNNNNNNNNNNNNNNNNNNNNNNNNNNNNNNNNNNNNNNNNNNNNNNNNNNNNNNNNNNNNNNNNNNNNNNNNNNNNNNNNNNNNNNNNNNNNNNNNNNNNNNNNNNNNNNNNNNNNNNNNNNNNNNNNNNNNNNNNNNNNNNNNNNNNNNNNNNNNNNNNNNNNNNNNNNNNNNNNNNNNNNNNNNNNNNNNNNNNNNNNNNNNNNNNNNNNNNNNNNNNNNNNNNNNNNNNNNNNNNNNNNNNNNNNNNNNNNNNNNNNNNNNNNNNNNNNNNNNNNNNNNNNNNNNNNNNNNNNNNNNNNNNNNNNNNNNNNNNNNNNNNNNNNNNNNNNNNNNNNNNNNNNNNNNNNNNNNNNNNNNNNNNNNNNNNNNNNNNNNNNNNNNNNNNNNNNNNNNNNNNNNNNNNNNNNNNNNNNNNNNNNNNNNNNNNNNNNNNAUUGCCUAAUAUCCUUUAAUAGAAUAUUUGACAUAUCUUAACACCUUCAACGGCAGCAAGCUUUCAACUUCAGAAAGGAAUGUAAUUGGACGUAAGAAACGGGGAGAAAAUUGUGAUAAUGAAUGAGUUAAACCACACAAUUAACAGUUAAUUGUGUUAAGUGUACAGUUAGUUCAAUAAUUUUAAACCGAACUGUUAAAUAGUGCAAUUGGUUUUUAGUAAAUAUAGUUUCAGUUUCUUAAGUACAAAAUAUUAUAGAUAAACUAUAAUUUAUAGUUUUAUCUGAAGUGUGCCCAGCCCUAAGCACUAACCAUGAAUAAAAUUGAAGUUAAAAAAAAAAAAAAAGAGUAGAACAUAUGUGAUAACCCCAAAAGGCCCUCUUUGAUAGUAUACAUAAAAUACAAAUGAACCAUGAAGCUUGAAUGCGUCAUAUACCUAUCCUUGAACAUCACAGACCAUUAAUAAGAGCUUGACUGACAUUUAGAAUUACAAUGAGCUAUUGCUUUGAAGACACGAGCACAUAAAGAAUCAAAUAAUGAUAGCAAUAAAUACAACAGGGUGUCUAGAACUUGAGCUUAAGUAGGAAGGGCAUUUUGUCUGAGAAAGGAGGAUCGGAGUACUUUCCGGUGAGAAUUUGUGAUGCUACAUAUUGAUUAGCAGUCUCAGUGUAAUGAAUCCCAUCCCAGCUUAUGUACUCACUAGAAUCAUUGCAAGCUUGUGCUGUGAUUGUGGUUCCGUUGAAGGUCUUUGUUUCCCCACAGGAAACUCGACUAUCAUAGUUGAGGGGUGGACCUCCGAAUCCACAACAAGCCAUAAUAGGUUGUUCAAACCCUGCAAAGAUGCAAUCAUACAAAUUAACUGCCUUUCCUCCCCACAAAUUAUGUUAUGAUAGAUCAUAGAAUAGAAUGUGACACUGUUAUUAUGACUGAUAAGGGUCCUUAAUGAGCCAAUAAAUUGAACAGGCUUAUAGCCUUUUCUAACUACAUUGAAGUAUAUCUCCUGUAAAUACUAGCCUGAUCCAUGGGGGAAAAGGUAAGUACUAACAAAAGAAAGCAACAAAUCAACAAAAAUAAAUUUCCUGGAAUAGUUAUAUAAUGUUGCAUUUUCAGCAAAAGUGAUAAGUGAUGACAAAGCCAUCUGAGAAAUUUUAGCUACACAUUUUAAAAUCUAAAAUUGAGCUUAAUACUCUUGGAAUUGUAGAACUGAAACGUGGAAAGUAAAUAAAAAUUACUCGGAGAUGCUAACCGUAUCUGGAAAAGUUUGAAAUCAGAUUUGAUUUUAUAGAGAAGAUAUCCACGUAUGUGACAUUCGAGUCUGGAUAUUGGCCCUGCAAUUUAGUACAGAGAGCGUGUAGCUGUAGGUUAAAGAUUUUAGCAGCUUGGUUGUGUGAACUAACACAUCCCAGUUCGUCAAGUUUUGAUGCAUCAGUUCCAAAUUUGGCAAUGUUCUGAGGCAAGCAUCCAAGAGGCCCUGUAUUAUGUAUCCAGAAAUAUCUAGCCCCCUGGUCAUAGAGAUUCUAGUGGACAAUUAAAGAGUUAGAACUCCUUUGUAUUAAUCUCAGUAAAACUGUGCAUAUAGCCUAUGGAUGCAUAAAUUCAAGAAAGUUUUGGAAUAAAAUUUUCCCAAACAUUAAAUGAAAAUAGAAGCAUGUUAUUUGACACCAACCUUUAUUCCCUUUUCAAGCUCUAAAAGAAUUGCCGGAAUUGAGGCAAGUAUUUGGUCCAAAGUUUUUGAAUAAAAUGCUCCAGCAAGAUCAUUCUGGCCAAUGUCAAACAUGUACAAUCCCUUCUCGAAAAUAUUCUCAUCUGGGACGUACUUAUCAAAUUUCCUGCCUGAAACAUUGUGAUGUUUUUUUUUUUUUUUUAACACGAAUGAAUGAGUUAUGAAACUGACAGCAAAUCAGUUGUGCCGCAGAAGUAGUAUAGCAAAAUUCAAUUUUGAAAACAUUACAUAAAUUUAGCAGAGAUAAAACAUGGAAUUUAAUUUCAAUAAUUUGUAUAAGAAAGAUUCUAAUCAAAGAUCAACAUAUAUUACCGAUAAGAAAUUCACUAAAAGUAUUAAGGAACCAUAUGCUAAUCUUGUGCUUUGGCAGAUACCUUUGGCUAUCAAUUCAAGGGCCCUAGCUUUGAAUCGGAGGAACUGAGACACCUGAACCCCAAAGGAAAAGGGGCAGAGGGAAGAUGAAGUGGCUGGGAGGAUAGUUGCAGCUGCUGCAGCAAAGUUGCAUCCUUUCCUAAAAUUUGGCAAACCCAAAGAAUCCAGGUAGGCAUUUAGGAAUGGCAAGUCCAUAGCAUCCACUGCAAUAAAAAACCAACAACACAUGGAACAAUAAGUGAAAGAGUUGUUUAUAGGGAAGAGGGAGACCUAAACUUCUACUUGGGAUCAUGAUGUGAAGGAAGAAAACAGAGGGCAUUGCAAAAAUGAGGUUAUGGAGAUUUAUUACUAAGGAAAUCGAUGAUGAGACGGCCAUCAGAGUAUCUUCCCGAUGGUAUUUGGAAGUAAGUUUGUCCAUUUGGAGGGUAAAGGCUCUCAAAACCAGCGGCAAUAAGAGCACCGGUAUCAGAAUUUGAAUCACCAAAGUUGAAAACUGUUGGAAAAUCCAACUGGAAGGAUAUGGCACAAGGUAUGCAGAUGGCAAUGAGGUAAAGAAUCUGAAGGGUACAAGUGUUGGUUGCCAUAGCUAUUGACUACUAUUGUAAGGAGAGGUUUUUAUCCCUCCCAGCUUUGCUUCAGUUUCAAACUUCUGCCAUUAGUUAGUUUUCCAUCUGAUAUUUGUUUGUUUGGUUGGUGCGUAUAACUUAUAUUGAAAGUAAGUCAUUCUUUUGAAUCAAUAGCAAUAUAAUCAAUCAAUGUACUAAAUUUCAGUGGGUGAUAAAGAUAAACUUUUAUUUAAAGACAUUAAUUUUUAUGUACUCAACCGAUUAAAUAUUUAAAUUAUUUUAUCCUUAGUACUGAAUUGUAUUAUUCGGACUGAGAGAACGCUUGUGUUAACCAACUUUAAUAACUAAAAAUUGAUAUUUGGAUAACAAUACUAUUUAUUAUAAUUAAAAUCAAAAUCAAAUUCCUGUGUAGCAUUUUGAUUUUCAUCAAUAAUUAAUAUAAAAACAUUAUAAUUUUCUCAUAAACUUAAAUCUAAUAAAUAAAAUAAAAUAUUUUGGUCUUUUUUUAUUAUACACACACACACACUUUUUAACAGAAACAAAUUCAGCUUGUUGCACAUGUAACUUUGUAUUGAUAUAUUAUUAAAAAAAAUUAUAUUUCAUAUAAUUAUGAGUUUUAUCAAAUUAUUUCAAUGAUGUAAUAAUACGUUAAAGGAUAAAUUAUUUCAAUGUAAACUAAAUAUAAUAAACCAAAACAAAAAAUUAGUAAAGACAAAAAUCAGAUCGUUUUCAUAAUAUUGACAGCCAACUAAAUAGGAGAAUUGGCAGAAAGCUGAAGAAGAAAGCAAAAGGUUAAGAUGAAUCAAUCUCCUAAAAUUGAUGCUACGUAUUGGGAGGCUAGUUAGUUCGGGGAAAACAAAGAAGCCGGUAACUAUUUAUCGUGUAGCACCUGAGCUUAAUUCUUUUGGCGUAUAAUGUUAUACUAUUUUUUUUCCAUAGUAAUUUAUGUUUCAUGCUUGAAAGCUUUCUGAGUAAUGGUUAUUGCAACAAUUAUAAAUAAUAUAACAUUAAGGUAUAAAUAAAAAUUACUUAGGAAGUCCACUAUGAGACGGCCGUCGCAGAACCUCCCAGAUGGAAUUUUGAAGUAAUCCUGUCCAUUAGGUGGCGCAACCUGAAAGCCCAACCCUGCAGCCAAGUCUCCUGUGUCCGAGUUAGAAUCACCGAAGUUGAAAACUGCUGGGUAUUUGAACUCCGCCGAAUUUGACAUAGCUAAACACAUGGAAACUAAGACAAAAUGAAAAAAUACAUUCUUGGAAGCCAUGGCACGUUUUCACCUGUGUCCAAUGGAACCAACUACCAACUUGAUAAGUUGAUACCAAUUAUAGCGCUGUUACACUGCGAUCAUAGAAAAUGAUUCCGUGCCUUUUAUAUAUGCACGCCCCAUUGGUUGCUUCAAAGAGCUAACGUGAAGUCUUAUCUAAUAAACAAUAAGACCCUUGCUUUAGAUGGUGGAUAAGUAAAUGAAAGCCAAAAGGAAAAUGUUCCUUAUGUUAAAAUUACCAUGCUAUCCUUAUGUUACUACGGUCAACCGCUAUUAUAUUAAGUGAUUAGCGCAAUCCAGUGAGUGCAAUGCAGGUCCUAAAUCGUUCCCUUAAGAGACCUAAACUCAUAUUGGAACUUGGCCCCGAAAAAUAAUUGCCCCAGGGAGGGAAAGAGAACGCUGGGAAAACGAUAGAAAUGGUAACGGAAACUUGGGAAAGCAUUAAUACAAAAGCAAGGAGAUGAUUUUUUCCUUGCGAGGGAUUGCACGCUUGUGGCUUGAAUUGCAUUUCCACGGGAUUGUAUUGCUUCACCUCGUAAUCAUCGGCUACCCACGGAGAACCUUUACAUUUUACACUUCUCAAUAAACAUUCCUAAGCAAGAUUCCUGACGGUCGAUAAUCUGAUAUUGAUAACGGAUAAUGUCAGCUGUUCCCCUUCUGUUGAAAUAAUUCUGCAUUAUAAGGAAGAUUACAGUGCCUGGAUCCACCGCAGUCAAAAUACCUGCAACCAAUGACGUGACGCAACAUAGAACCUUACAUAUACAUUCAUCUAUCCAAGGGCCAAGGCUCAUGCUGCACGUUAUUGAUUGAACUGCUGUGUCUUAUUGUUAGAAAUCCUCUCUAUUGAAAUUUAACAUGAUAUUGAACCCAGCUCGUUCAUCCAUAAUUUUUUUUAAUGAUUCAUCCAUAAUUUUAACACUAGUUUAUAGUAGUAUGCCGUUCAUCCAGAUUACAUAGCAUACUAGAAACCAGUUCAAAAAUCGCAAUCAGGAAAUCCAGUGCCUCCUACCCUUAAGCUGCAUAGCUAUUGUGUUGCUUACGACAGUGUAAAAAUCAAGACGAAUUGAAGCAGUUCAAAUGGUCCAUACUUUUAUUGGCUACUUGUGAAUUUAUGGAUCAACUGUGCUAAAAUGGUUGAAUUCAUAAAGAGAGGUGUCAGGAAACAGCCAUCAAUGGCAAAUUAUUAUUCAUAUAAAACAAUUUUCGGGUUAAACAUAGGCUCACUAACAAUGCUAUCGAUUGUGAUACGAUAUAUGAAUUGGCCAUCAAAUCAUAUAUUAUGCUAUUAGCCAGCCCCCAAAAUGUCCAACAGUAAGUGAAUCAGCAUGUGGCAUCUUUAUUAUUUCUAUGCAUUAUUUUGAUAGUACUUAAAGGCCCCACUGCGGCAAGGCAUCAUAUACGAAUGAGUAGUCACUGCCAGCAUCUUGGAGAAGUGUAACCCGACCAACGAAGAAAGAAAGUCAGGAUACCUGAAAUCAUAUUCUGAAAAAUGGAACUAUUCUCUGCUCCCUUGUAUAAUAGAGAAUCCGUGGAGGCAUCAACUUUGGCCCUGAGAAUGCUAUUCUCCCUUUUAAGCUGUGAAAUUAUAUGUGCGACAAUAAAUAUUAUGUGUUGUUCAUACAGCAUUUUUUAGAAGCUUUUAACUUUACUACAGAUAAACAGGUUUUAACGUACGGUUGGUUGCAGAGUUUCGAAGAAAAAGGGAAAGAUGGUAAAUUUUUAUUUUUAGAGUAAAUGGUAUAAAGUGUUCAUAAAUUUAGGAAAAGACUAAGAAAACAAGUUUAUUACUCUGUCACUUUUUUAUUCCGUUUUCGCAUUUUAACCAAGCCUAGUAUCUGGUAAACAAAAAGUGCCCAAAAGGUUGGAAGUGACCGAAACAGUGCUAUCUGUUGUGAGAAAAAGAUUAUCGCGCAUUUUUGUCUUACCUCGUCAACAGUAGCUGUAAGCUUUUCCAUGGCUGCUUGCAGCAAGGAUAUCACCUGUAAAGUGAGGUCAUCUAUGUCUGACUCCUCUUCAACAGAUGAAAGGUCAAAGAGAAUGCCCUCUUGUAUGAACAAUUCCUCUAGGAACUUCACAUCUUCAACAUUAAAUUUCUCCGUCAACUGUAUUAACAUAAAUUUUAUUACGAAUUCUAAUUAGAAAGGGAUUUUACAACAAUAUUCUCACCUUGUUCAAAACUCUAGCGCUUGAGUCGUCGUCAGGUGGAGAAGCAGUACUAGAACUUGUGUCACUUUUUUCUUCACUGUAAUUCAUUCGAGGCGACGCCUUUAUAUGUUUCGCCCUGCAAUUCGCAUUUUAAAAUAGAAAUUUAAUUGGGUGAAUAUUUAUUUUAACUCUUUUCUUCAUUAAAGAUGGUCGUGAUUGUGUGUAAAGCUUGUCGAAAAAAAAGUUCGUGAGAACUAAACAAGAUUGGAUUUAUUUGAAUUUUUCUUUUGGGAAAAUUUAUCUUCUACCUUAACCAAAUUAUUUCAACAAAAUUCUUAUUAGCUUAGGUAUAAUAUAACUCUCAUAAUGGGUCGGUCUGAUGGACUAGUCCAAAACGUUUCAAGUAAACAUUAAAGAUUUCGUUUUGCACCCCUAUAAUUUCUUUCGGCAUCUCAUAAAUAUGAAAACUUUUAGCUUACAGUUGAGUAAAUGACUUUUGUGUAAUCUAUAAGUUUUUUAAACAAGGAAGGAUCACAACGGUGGAGACUAAGAGCACUUUUGACUUUUACACCCCCUCAAUGAGGUAUAGGAAGAAAUAUCCUAACAUAAUAUUAGACUCAAGAAAUAUAACCUAAAUAUAUUCAGAUUUUUGGCCCAUAUCAUACAAACUAAUGGUCGGCCCACGUGCUUGUAAGUAGACUCAAGUAGUACGUAUAAUAUUUUUGGUCAAAUUCUUACUACACCUCCAUAUUUUUCAUCCUACACAUCCAUGCAUAUUAAAAUUUUAGCUUUGCCAUUUUCUAAUUGUACAGACUGAAAAUUAAAAAUGACUUGUGAUUUAUACAAAAUUAAAAAUAACUUCUGAUUUAUACAAAUUGGAAGUCAAAAUUGACUUCUGAAUAGAUUUUUUGGAGUUCGAUUGAGUGUAUUUCAAAGUUUUUUCAUAAUGAAUUUGUUGUUAUCAUGUUUCAAAAUUUAAUUUAAUGUCUUAUUUGAUAUUUUAUGUUUUGAAACUUUAUUUGAGAAUUAACUUAUAUGUUUGAAUGAAUUUUUGUAUUGAACAAUAAUUGACAAAAAUUGCUAGUUGAACCGAAUAUACAUUAUUUGGUUGGGUAAAAAUCACAGUCCAAUAAAAAAAAAUUGUCUUGCCAUAUUUGACAGUCAUAUUAGUUUUCUCAUUUUGACUGCUUUUUUUUAGGUCUAGAUUAACAAACAUUAGUUGGAUUAAGUUGAAUAAAUUGGAAAAAUAAUACAUUAAAUAAGUUCUUUUAGCCUUUGAAUAACUUUGAAAACAAAAAAUCAUUAAUUUUAUUGCUCAAUAUUUAAUAAAAGUAUUAGUUUGAUUUUGACAAUUAUUUUAUUACUUUUAACAUGUUAACAUUAAUUUUAAUAAUGCUACAAGUUACUAUACCUACAGAUAUAUAUUAAAUACUUAUAUGUCAUUAUUUAAUUCAAGAAUAAUAAAAUUAUGUCAUAGCAACAUUAGUAUAUUUAUUAAAUGUUGAUAUUACAAAUACUAAAUUUUUUUAAUAAAUAUAACAUAUGAUUCAUGUAAAAUUAAUGUAUACCUGACUCAACAUCACCGUCUUUACCAGUAAUAUUAACAUGUUGUUUACGUGUACUAUUGUGAUACAAAAGAAAUUUCGCAUUCCCUUUUUGGAAUAAAAUUAAAAACCAUGUUAUAUCACCUGUAUUUCAUUAUUUAAAGUAUUAAAUAUAGAAGAAAAUAGACACAUUUGUAAAAUAAUUUUGUAGCCAUUUAAUAAAACUAAAAUCACAGCAUAUAUUAUUUUUCCUAAUAACUAAAUGACAUAAAUCAAAUGUUUCCGUUAUUUUAAUCUAAGAACGUUUAUAAUAUAAAAGUCUUAAAAAGAUUAUUAUGAGUUCUUAUUAUAUUUAAUUGAGUUUUGGUAUAUUACAUUGUCUUUUAAUAAAGUUUACAAUUAAAAUAGUGAGAUUUAAAAAUAAUACACAUUUGUACAAAUCAUUUUACUUCAGUUUUUUUUUUUUUUUUAAAUUAGUUCUAUGAAUAUAUGAAAUUAUUCUUUAAUCUUGAAAUAUAGAAUCUAAUGUAAAAGCUCACCAGAGCACAUGAGCAAAUAAUUUCUUUCAAGAAAAUAAAGAAGUUAAAAUUAGAACUUUUGUUAAGGAAGCUCUGACAUCAUUUUAAACAUAGAUAAAGAAAGAAGGAAAAAAAGAAAACGGCAGUGCCUAAAGAUUUCAGGGAUGACAUACCUUGCACCGAAACGAAGAGUGGAUAGAGUCUCGGAUGCAUUAAAAGCGCUGGGUGAGCAACAACAAAGCAAUGCAGUUCUAGCAUUUCCUCCCUGCGAAUAGGAGAUACAAUGUUUGGGAAACUGAUUUCGUGAAAAAUGGGUAUGUUUUGAUAAAUUAUAAAAAAGGGAGGGUGAACUAACAAGAGCAUCCUGAAGAAUUCGAGGGAGCUUGGAAUCACGAUACGGGAUAUGGCUUGUUUUUCCUUGCAGACCACAUGUAAGAGAAUUUAUUACAUUUCCCAGAGCAGACAAGGAUUUGUUUAUGGUUUUGGCUUCGUCUAGAACUCUUCCCUCUGCUCCUGUUUUCUCCACUUUCUCUGACCCAGCCAAGUCCACUAGAAUUAGUUUUCCGAACCUCGUCCUGUUCAAAGUCUCAGUGUUUGAGAAUGAUUCAUAAGCAGAUCACAGAUUUAUGGAAGAAGUAUGACCUUUUAUCUCUGGAAAAUUCUUGCUGAAUUGUCAAUAUAUAAAUGCAGUGACUUCUGCUGCUGGCCAUGUUCAUUUCUACAUGUUUUGUUUAGGAUGUUUGCAGAACGCAAGUAACCUUCUUAAUUCCUAUCACUGCUUUUCCUCCCUCAAGAAAACAGGGAAUUUACCCUAAUGUGUUAUGCUUUUUUUAUCAACUAAGAAAGAAAAUAACAUUAAACAGGCACAAGAAGUACCAAAAUACAUCGUCCACUACCAUGGGUAUGACCAUUGCUUUUCCUCCCAAAUGUACUAUGUAGUUUAACUAUAUAUAAAAAAUAAAAAGGUAAAAUAAAAACUGAACGAUGAGCUAAGAGUCAAAGCAGGAUACGGGUCUCACCAACUGUCCGGUUAGCUAUCCCCUUCUACAAAUUUGAGGUCACAAUUAGAAGCUGAAAUAAUUGUAAAAUCAUUCAGAAAAUGAUGUUCGAGUUGUUUAUUCUUACAGACAGGUUUUGCAAUGCUUCAACAGGGUCCAGCACAUUAAUCUGAAUGAAAAACUCAAAAGUUCCCGUUAGUCCUUUAUAGCAAUAAUUGAAUAAGAAUCUCCAAUUAUUUUCUUUUUUGUUUGUUUUUGGUUUAGUGUUUAGACAAAUAUUUUGUAGCAUACACAAAUACUGAAUGAUUCCACUCCACUAUACUUUUUGAAUCAGCUCAUGGAGAGAGCUUCGCCUAAUACUCUAUCAAGAGAAAUGAGACCUUGCUUCACACUAAAAUGUCAAGUCUAUUCAACUUUACUUUCUUGAAGCUUAAAGGGUGAGCUUGAAAUCACAUUUCUACUAUAUUAUAGGAUAUAAAUAUGUGCAAAUUUUAUUUUACAAAUAAAAUUAUAUUUAUUUGAAGUUGAUUUCUUAAUAAUAUUAGAAUUUAUAUUAAUAAGGUUUACUCGAUCUAUUAAACUAUUUAUAAAUAUAAAAUCUCAUACUAAGAUGUUAGUCCUUGAUCGGAAAAAUGUUACAUAUUUAUUACAUAUAACAUAUAAGAAAAAUAAAUCAUAACGUAAAAAUAACAGUAAGUUUUAUCUUAUAAAUUAACUUUUUGAGUGUAGUCAUUAAUAUUCUGUGCCGAGAGAUUAAGCACGUAAACUCACAUUUAAUCUCUUAAUGUUUUGGAAAAUAAAAUCAAACUUAGCAUGAUGAGAGAAAAGGUAAGUCCACGAGCUAAGAAAAUGCUAACCAAAUAAUCCAAUACCCAUGCCUCAAAAUUUAAAUUUUAAACAUGUUAAUCAUAAACAUAAGAGCAUAUAUGUAAUUGUGAACAGCGAAGUAGUUUCAGAUAGAUAAAGAAUAAUCAGAAUGGAACAAGAUAUAAAGUUCCCAAAAAACAGCUCACCUCUGUAACACCGGGCAAAAAUAUUCCUCGCGAUUUACUCUCCUUAAUUUGUAUAUUAACUUUUGAUAAAUCAAAUAGGUCCCUACAUAAGAGGAUAGAGUUAUUCUGAUGACUAUUGAAGAAUCCAAAUUCACAUCAAAACUAGCUUUUCCCAAAGUUAAGAAAAUUUCCUACCAGAAAAGCAUAUAAUAAUAUGCUCUAAGUACAGUGGGGGAGGGGAAAUACUUUUUUUUUUCUAUUUAUAUACCUCACUUUUUCCAUGUAGAUUUCAACCUGAACGAAUCAGAGACAAAUCAGAUACAUAAUUUACUAUAACCAGAUGAUUUUGUAAGACUGGUGUGGUUAAAUGAGUAAGUGUCUCAGUACCAUUGACAACUUAAUUGAAUAUGUUUUCUUUUCAUCAGAAGAAUUUAAGGAAUCAAAAAGUCCCUCUACAACUCUUGGAAGAAGUCCCUUCUUCUGUUCACUACACUCAAGUAUACCAGGUCCCUGCUUCAGAGAAGUAGUCAUUUAAAUUCCUGUAUUUGAUGUUUUAUAAGAUCGUUUUGAGAUACUUUUUAGGUGACAAUUUCCAACCUCCAUACUAUAUGUCUUCCCAGCUCCAGUCUGCAAUUGAUUGCAGGAAAACUAAAGGUUUAAACAAUUGGAGUCAAAAGAAAAAUGGAUUCGUGAAUACAGUUGACAAGUUCUUCUGAAAAAAAAAAUGUAAUAAUAAUUACGGUAGUCCCUCGUAAUGGAAAACAUGUGUAGCAUAUUUUCUUAAGCCAAUAGGCAGUAGAGAAACAUAUGUGGCAUAUAAUAAAAGACUAUAUUUACUAACAGGUAUGUUUAACAACAUUGUGGAUUUUGCAAAUUGUCGUCGCUAAAUAUUUAAAAGGGAACUGUCUAGUUUUAGCAUCAGGCGCCCUUUCCUUACUUCCAGAUUAGUUAGAUUUGAAUUCAACACGGAUACACCGUGAAAUAACAGUUCAAAUACUUCAUGCCUCAUCUACAUUUUUCAUUUCUUAUUUUCCCCCUUCAAACAUAAGCAAUAUAUACUCCAAAAGGGUAUUUCUGAGCUAUUGCAAGGGAUCAUAUUCAGCGAAGCUCGUAUGGUGCAAUAUACUGUAAUUGUGCACAACUCUCGAUACACGUGUAGAUGCCAUAUUUGAAGAGAAAAACCACAUAUGAUCUCGUAUUGUUGAUUUUAAAGUUUAACAAAAAAAAGCAAAAAGCUGUUGGCAAACUGGAGACGCGUAAGAUUUUACCUGGCCGUAAGUGAUAAUUGUCCCAUUGUAUCCAUCAACAACAUCUAUUUGGUUUAUAGGAAUACAUACAAAACGAAAGCCUGAUGUCAAUAAAAAAACUAAAAAGCAAACUACAAUUAAGGGAAGUGUCACUUUCCCGAAUUUGAUUCUUAUGAAACAAUCCAAAUUUUUAAAAUUUGAAUGUCCGACGUGUAGACGUACACUAGCAUUACACGAACUAUAAGGAUAAUUUUUUUCAUAUAACGGAAGUUUAUAUGCACUAUUUGGCCGUAAUGAAGCUGUCAUUUCAUAAGGAAGCAGGAGUCAUUCAAAUUAAGGAAGAUUUCAAUCUGCAUUGCGUUGACUGAUUGACAUAAAUUUGUAAUGAGAAUUAUGUAGCUGUACCUCUAACCAUGGGAAGAGCUAGGAACUGAUAGACAUCAGCUUGCUCAGACUGUUCGUAGAACACUCUAUCAAAGCUAAACACGGAUUCUUCAUCCUUUUCGUCCUGAAAAAAAAUUAAUUCAAAUUUAUUUUACUAUUCACGGUAAUGUGUGAUUCACUCCGAGUUUAAUAGAGCAAGAAUGGAAACUAAUAGACCCUUAAUCUGACGUAGAAAAAAAAAAAAAAAAAAAAAAAAAACCUUGAAAAUGAAAGUUUCGGUAUCUCUAGAUCGAAUGCAAACAGAGCUAUUGUCAUUUUGCUUCUCUUUUGAGUUCAAAGGCCUAAAGCGUGCGCAUACUGUAACAUUUGACAUGAUGCUUUACAGCAGACAGUACUUCGCUGCAGUCGUUGAUUUAAACCUGUCAAUGAAAGAGAUAAUAAUGCAUAAAAUAAUAAACCAGAGGAAUAUUUAGAAGCUAGCAGAAAUUUUAAAACAGAUCUGCGUUGUUUUCCAGAUAACAUCGAUCUAGAGUCAGGUUUCUCAGUGAGUUAAGGAAAGAAGGAAAACGCAACGUGAAUCUCUACUCCAUGAAUCGGUCAUUGCAUCAGGCAUUAUUCCAUAUUUUCGAUUCAUAUCAAUUGCAUUACAAGAGAUGAAUGACCGUAGAGGAAAUUCUCGAAGCUUCCUUGUUCCUUAAAAUCCUUUUUCAGAUGCAGAAACAAAUUUGAAAACACAUUGAGUCAUUAACAGAUAAACCUGAUCGGAAGUUGAAUAAUCGUGGAGAAGCAUGAACCUGAGUCAAUCUUCUCUGAAAUGCAACGUCAAUGAUAAUCUCACAAUGUUAGACUGAUUAGUCAUUCUCUUUUUCAUGAACAAUGUAGUAAGAAAAACAAUUUGAAAGAAUAAAGAACAGUGUUCGUCGAAGGGAAAGAGAGAGAACCACCUUUCCCACGGCGAUGAACGGAGAGCUUACAAGUAACGAAAUGAAUUUCGCGUGGUCUUUGAUGGCGGGAACAAAGAUAAUAAGCCAAUAUCUUCCUUUAUACGGGCCUAUAUCUGGCUCAAGUUUAUAGUUCAGCUUUUACUCCUUUCACCCCCCCUAAUUAAUACUCAACCCCCAUAACUACAAUUAUAAUGACAAUGUUUUAACUAUUUUUUUGUUAUUAACAUGAGAUACAGAUAAUAAUCAUGGCGUAGAGGAAGCAAAAUCUUAUAAUUUUGAUUAGAAAUCCAUUUAUUAAGACUACAACACAUUUGUUGUGGAAUUAUAGUUGACUUUACUUGCUUCAAUUUCAAAAUCGUUUUCUUAUUCUAUGAAUUUUAUAUUCAAAAUUAUAAAAAAAUGUGCUUGGAUAUCGUUAAAAAUUUAUUAAAAGGUUAAAAGAUAUUUAACUAAUAUGUAUUUUAAAAUUUUUAUUAAACAUUAAGUGUUUUAAAGUUUAGUAUCAAUUAACUUCGUAGCAAAAAAACGCAAAAACUAUAUAAUUCUAUCUCACUUUCUACUAUACCAGCCAGUGAACUGCAUUAGUCACAAAUGUUUAUCAUACUUAUACUAUUCUUGAAACAAAAAAAAAACAAUAAUUUGCUUAGUAGGAAAAUAAACAUAGGUUAAGGAUUGACAUAUGAUAAAAAGUAAAAAUAAAAUGAGUGGAAUAAUCUUAUGAAGUAAUAAUUUUUCACGCUUUUAUGCUUACUUGCACAAUUUUAAAAUCUUAGAACUUUAUACUGAUUUGUUUUUUUUUUUUUUUUUUGUAAUAAGUGAGCGUGUAGUUUUUAGAUUAUUGUUAAAUUCAAUUGUUUUAAUGAUCAAUUAUUAUUAUAAUAGACUAUAAUUAUAAGUUACAGACAUGUUGAAAAUUAUUUUAAGAAGAAUAAUUGUGUGAAUAAAAUAAUAAAGUUUACACAUGAAAAGAAAAGCAUGUGAAGUCGAAAGAAAAAUAAUUAAAAAGAAGUAAACAUAACUAACAAAAUUUCAAAUUCAAGUAAACAAUUUAUUUUUCCGGUUCUUUUUACUAGAUAUCAAUAUUUGGUGGUCCUAAGACGGCAGGAGGACGGCAUGAUAGUUGUCUAGAGUUUUUGGGUGUGUUGGAAAGAAGAUGAUAAUAUGAGGGUAGUGACAAAAAAUAGAACAAUUUAUUCCUUAAUUGUUUACAUUGGUUAACAAUUGAGAUGUUCUCAUAAAAAUGAUUAAAUUGAAUAAAAAUUAUGAAAAAUAUGACUAUAUUAAAUACUUCAAAAAAAUUAAUAAUAUACAAUAUCAAUGAGUUAUACAUUUAUUCAUUGCGUAGCACGCUUAGGUGGAUUGAGGUAAAAAAGUUAUAGACAAAAUUAUCUUUAGGUUAAAAUCAAUUCGUGAUUUGAAAUUGAAAAAUCUAUUAAAAUUGGUGUUGAAAUUGGGUUCAUGAUUCUUGGUCUUACCUACUCGUUUGUUAGUUUCAAUUCUUCGUGUUUGAUUAAAAUUAAUUAUAAAAGUUGUUUUGAUUCUGUAAUUUAUACAAUGUUGAUUAUUUGCUAUUCUUAGAAUAGCAUAUUAAUAUAUUUUCUUGCAUAAUAUCAGAAUGAGAGUUUCAUAAUAUCACUCUAAAUCAGAAAGAGAUAUUUACAAUUUUAAUUAGGAAGAAUUAGAAAAUGUUUUCAGAGCUUCAAAUUCUCCCCCAAUUUUCCCUAAUUUGUAUAAUCUAAUAACAUAAUAGAAGAACAAUUAAAUUUCUUUAAAUCAAUUAAGAAAAUAAGAGAGUAAGGUUCAACACAUAAUGGUGGUGCUCAACCUGAUCAAUGGCGAUGACGCAGUCUCUGUUGCACUUCUGUUUCAAUUCGCAAGUUGGGAUGAAGGUUGUUAAGGAGGAGAUGAUGGACAAAAUUGGGUGGCUGACAUUCACAUUCUAUGGUUCGCGAUUUUUGAUUUCUUACGAUGUUGGGGUUUUUGCAAUUUUAGGGUUUUCAAUGGUUGAUGUAAGGAUUGAAUGAGGGUUUACGACAAGCUUCACGGUUGAACAGGGACGCUCACGGUGACUUCGCGAAUCAGUGGUGAAAUUUAAGGAGAAGUUGUGAUGACGAGAUGAAGGCUAUUGCGAUGGAGGUUGUAGUGUCGCUCAAUAGUCACUGUGGUUGGUUAAUGGUGACAGGGUUACAGUGAUUGUGGAAAAAUGAGAAGUGUGAUGAAACUUCUAGUUUUGGAUGGGAAGUGACAAUCCCUCAUUGGCUGAGUUUGUCAUACAAUCACUAACUGGACAACUUAUUUAGUUUUGGUUAGGAAACAAUUUUACGAUUAACAUUUUUAACAUGAUAACCACUAACUUGAAUCACUUUUACAAAAUAUGAAACUAUGGAUAAACUUAUGAAAAAAAUGUAAGACCACUUUAAACAAACCAAUUAAAAUUAAAAUAAAGAUAAAAAUGAUAUUAAACACUAAAUAUUUAGUAGAACAGUAAUACAUGAAUAAUAAUAGAACAUUAUAAUUUAAAAUUUAUGUUAUUUGAUGAAUUUGAUAAUAAUAACAAUAGCACGAGAAGUAACGUGUUGUUGCCUUAAAGUUUCACAUUAAGUGGCGGAACUUCAUAAAACAUCGAUCCCUUGAAAGAAAAGUAAAGAAUCUGAAAGUGCUUCCGUUACUUGGAAGGAAAAACUUGUACAUAUUCUAAGCACACAGGGACAUUACUCUAUAGCUAUCUCUUCAACAUCUCCACAGAAUUUCUUUUGCAGAUAUGGACUCGGGAGAACUUCAUUCAAGCAUUUGCUACAAGCUCUAUCUUUUCGUAAUGAAAACUUUGGCUUCGCAAGCAAUGAAGACAGUGACUUUGGGGAGUUCUUCGCAUCACGGUUCAAGCGAUGAAAAGGAGCAAAACAUCGCAAAAGUCUGAAUCUCUGCCAUUGAUUCUGAAACUUGGUUCUCAUCUCAAUCACAAACCAAACUCAAUCUCUUGAUUUCGUUUGUAAUGUUCAUGUUAGAAUCGGUUGGGCGAGUGAGAGGACUCUUUUUCAUCUCACAUCUUUAUAUAAAGUUGUUUGUUAUUGUCAUUUAUUUUAUUUUUAAUUUAUUACGUUGAAGAUCAUAACUAGACGAGUGUUAAAGAUCAAUUCGGAAUAUAUAAAUAAUAUAAUUUUCCCUAAUUAAUUGAUUUUUAUUAUUAGAUUAGUUGAUUGAGUUUCUUUAGACAAUUACAUGACUGUUAUUAGGUUUUUAUUUAAUUUAUCAUUUUUAAAUAUUUAGUCUUAUGUAUAUAUACAUGUUUCAGUUGAGAUAACUCACUUUAUACUUACAUGUUAUAAAAUUUUGAUCAAAGUAGAUCAUUAAGACCAUCAAUCAACAAAGAACGCACAAGAACUCUAGAAAUGUGUACACAAUAAAAAAUCUUCUCGCAUACAUGAAAGAAGUUUCUAAAAAAUUGAUCGGAUGAUGUUGAAGAUAUCACAGUUAUAAUCAGGAAUUAAAAAACUUAAAAGUAUAUAUUUUAGAUUGUGCGACAAAUCUCUAAAUUUUUAAUUAUAUUAUUGAAUUUUUAACAUUAAAAUAAUUUAGUUUUAUUAAUUUAAAACACAUAUCAACUUUAAUACUUUAUUUUUUAUAUCGUAGGAAGAAUAAGUUAAUCUUAAAUUAAUUUGUUACAAAUGUAAUUUUUUUAAUAAGUUUGAUAUUUGAAAAUUACAAUUUUGUUUUUUUUUAAAUUAAUAUAUAAAUCCAAGUUAUCCUACUUAAUUCAUUUCAAUUAAAAACGAGUUAAAUUAGAAUAAAAUUAAUACAAAAGAAAAUUUAAUGUGAUUCACCCUAAAACUUUUUUAGUAAAUUAGAUCAAUAGCUUCUUGAAAUCUUAACUCAUGAACAACUUCUAACGAGAACCAAUUCAGUCCAUCUCACUUAGAAAUAAAAUAUGAAGUAUGUAAAGAAUCUUACCCACCCCACCAUAGUAAAUUAAAAUAUUACACCCUUAUAAUGAAAUUUAAUCAUAAAUACAAUUUUAAACAAACUAUUUCAAUUAAAAUAUUUUCAACAAAAAUGAAUCAGACAAACAAUCCAAGUUUUAUUUUUAUACUGAUUUUAUAUUUUUUUCAUCACAACAUUUAUAAUAUUUAGUAAAAGUUCUUUAACAUCUAAAAGUUUGCACCCACCUACCACCUUCUUUAUUUUUCUUGUCAUCACUUGACAAGUUAGAAUUUGUUUGAUGGUCUGAUUCAAAUAAUUGGAUUAAAAAGAAAGAACAUUAAACUAAACUAUCAAAUUCAGUUGGCACAACAUAUCUGAUCUUUCUAUAUACCAAUAAACUAAAAAAAGAAAAGUGUUAUUGAAAAUUCGAAUUUGACCCGUUUUCCUUCCUUCGUUUUAUCAGCUGCCAGCAUCUGACAGAAAUGUUCAGUUAUCAAAUCCAACUCCUACACCUGAGUAUGUUUGAAAUAUGAAACUAAAAUCAAAAUGUUCUACGUUGUUUUAUCCAACAACUGUAAUAACAGUAAUUUCUGUUAGGACAAUGAUAUAGAUAAUAUUUUUUGACAAUAUUUGAAUAUCAUCGUACAUGUCAUUGUAUGAUUGGUUCAAAUGAUACAAUAACACCAUCAUAAAUUAAUCACACAAUAAUACAUAUGAUGAUGUUCAAAUAUUAUAAAAAAAAUAUUGUUUAAAUAUCUUUUAUCUUUUUGUUAACACAUAUCUAUACAGCUCGUGUUCUCUUUCUUAGAGCAUCUUUGAUUCUCCCAAACUCAUCAUUUAAUGUAAAUCCAUUUUAACCACAAAAUCUAUAACCUUUUUCUUUGACAAAUAAACUAAAACAAAUAUUUAAGGGCAUGUUUAGCAUUCUGUUCAAAUGGAUGCCAAAAAAGAACAUUCCAGAGUGACAAAUCAAACGUUGUCAGAUAACAAAAAAAAAAAUCUGUCUUUGAUAUUAUUAUCAUUUUUUUUAGCUGGAGCUCUAUUUAUGAAAAAGAUGAAAAAGAAAAAAGAUAGAGCACUACCAGUGGCUACAGUGGUGAUUGCAAUAUAUAGGUAUAUAUAAAGGAAAUGAAAAGAGAAAGAGAAUGGGUGGUAGAUCUGGGUGCUUGUUUUGUUCUCCUUCUUUCACUGGGAUAAAGAUUCAACCUUUAAGUUCUUACACUUUUCCCUCUUUCUCCUUCACCUUCUCCCCCCACCAAAACCACUCACUUUCUUUCCCUAAACUCAUGUCUCAGCCUUUAUCUCUCAACUCUGCUCCUCUAGCAGAGGCUGACACUGAUUCUUCCGCCGCCCCUUCCCUCUUCGAUUAUCAUAGUAUCGACCAAAAACUGCUCCAAAACAUCGUUUACGAUGCUCUUGUCUGGAGCACUCUCAACUGCCUCCUCGUUGGAGAUAAAUCGGUUCAGGUCAAACUCUGCCACUGUUUUGUUUUCUCUCUGUUACUUGGAUUUGGUUCCUUUGCUUUCUGUAACUUAUGUUACUUCUGCUUAUCUCAAAACUCAUCAACAUGUGCACAGUUUUCAUAUUUUAACAUUUUUCUGUACUAAUGUUAAUGUAAUAUAAUUGCAUGGCUAGUAUAUAAAAGAUAUAAAAUCUUAAAAUAACAGAGCAAAUUAUACUAAAACCAUGACAGGUUUCUUGAGAUUUUAUUUUGUAUAAUGCAUUUCUUAGAUAACAUGAGUGACUGUAAUAAACAGCGAGCGCGAGUGUAAUGUUUCUGAGAAAGUUCAGAGAUUAGUAUAAAAGUAUAAAUGGAAACAGUGUCUGAGAGAUUUUGGAGAAGAUUUACUGUCUCAGUUGUAUGCUUCAUGAUUAAAGUUUGACAUUAAUGAUAAUAAUUUAUUAUUCAUUUAUUACCCUACUUGUUUUCUUAAUAUUGGUGGGAGAUUUCACAUGCAUUAUAUAAGUGGGGUAAGUUCUCAUUUUAUGUGAUAUUGAGUGAGACUUAAACUCGCUUUACAACAGAAAUCACACAUUACCUUGAGAUGAGGAUAAGUAAUACAUGGAAUUAAACCCUGGAGUUAUAAAUACUGAGUAAUUUAAUUUGCAAAAUUAUGAAAAUACCAUUUCAAUUGUGAUGUUGCUAAAUGCCUAUCGUUUUAAUCUUGAUGUUUAUGAUAUAAGAACUAAAUUUGAUACAGUGAUUUUGGGUACUAAAAUGAUAUUUUGAUGUUUACAAUCGAUGUUACCUUUCAUAGAGAUCAGGAACAGUUCCCGGUGUAGGCUUGGUGCAUCUUCCGCUUUGCUUAUUACCCGGGCCAUUUCCUGAAAGUCACUGGAAGCAAGCUUGUGAAUUAGCUCCUAUUUUUAACGAACUUGUUGAUCGGGUGAGUUUGGAUGGGAAAUUUCUUCAGGAAUCUCUAUCAAGGUAAUAUUUUCGUGUUGUUAUAUUACGAGGCACCGAAUGAGUCAACUUACUUUUGGCACCAUGAAAACGGGAACAUAAGGAAAAUAUAUAUUAUACUACAAUUUGACUCUGUAGGGUGAAUUUUGACUCAUUGUCCAAACUUGUGUGGGUAAGUUUGAUUUUUGGUCCUGCAAUGUCUAAAUUCGUUCCUACGUGAUCCAAUUGUUGGAAUCAAAAUAAGUAUGAAUUGAAGCUUCACAUUGGGUAGGAAUAAACAAAAUAAACAAUAUAUAAGGAGAAAAAACCACAAUUUCUUUUAUUAAGGUUUUGAGUAGGAAAAGGUGGCUCAGGCAACGAAUGUCCUAAGGAAUGUUGCUAAGCAGAUCCAACACCAAUUCUCUCACAAUCUUAUUCUUAAUAAUAUGUAAUUCUUAACUUAAGUAAUUUUUUAGGCUCUUAUGGGACUUUCAUAACCUUUUGAAGUACUUUUAUACUUUACUAUGACAAUUGGUUCUUGAAUCCUUUUUUCAACUUCACCUUUCAAUAAUUGCUUCAUUUGAUGCCACGAGUACUAUAUUUGCUUGGAUUCUUUUGUUCUGUCGUCAUACAUUUGUAACUACCUAUAGCUGCCUAGAUUCUUUUUUCACCUCAGUCUAAUUCUUGCCUUUAAUAAGAUAUGAUAUUAUCUGCUCAUAUCAAUGCAGAACUAAGAAUGCAGACGAAUUUACCUCCAGACUUUUAGAUAUUCAUUCCCAGAUGCUACAGAUUAACAAAACAGAGGUAAGUGUAUGUUGGUAUGAAAUUUGUACCACCGAAACUAUUAAGAGAGAAUCAGUUUUAGUUCCUACUCUAAAUUACUAUUCUUUACAAACAACUAAAAUACUGGUAGUCAAGGGAAUUUUUCCUGUUAUUGAUUUUUCUCUUGUCAUAAUUUUAAUAGGAUAUACGCUUGGCAAUAAUGCGUUCGGAUUAUAUGGUUGAUGACAAGACUAAAUCACUUCUGCAAAUAGAGAUGAACACCAUUUCCACUUCAUUUGCUUUGAUUGGAUGUCUUAUGACUGGACUUCAUAAGUAAGGAGUUGCUGUAUAUUUUACUUAUUGGGCUUUCAUCUCUAAUUUAUAAUCUCUUGUUUUUGAGGUCUUUGUUUCAUUGUUAUGGGUUUGUUUAGGAAAAUGUGUAAAUUUUUGUUCUCAAUAAAGAUAAACACACACGCACACACGUCUAGGAAUACAUUUGAAGUUUCUAGUGGUUAGAAAUCGAUGUAUUUGAAGACAAAAUAUUAACAUAUAGUCUGUGAAUCUUGAAAUUAUUUACCCGAACUCUAGUGGUAGAUUUUUAUUUGAAGAUAAAUUUAUGACGUUGACGUGUAUCAUGGUAUUAUUUUGUGUUUUCCCAGGAGCUUAAUUUCUCAAUAUGGAAAUAUCCUUGGACUAGAUUCCAAUAGGGUUCCUGCCAACAAUGCUGUCGAUCAAUCUGCAGAGGCCUUGGCUAAAGGUUGGAGUGAGUAUAACAAUCCCAGGUCAGUUUGGAGAAAGAAAAUUCCUUUUCACUUUCAUUUGCUGUUCUGCUAAUACUUUUGGUUCCAUGCCAUAUUUCUGAAUGGGUCUGUACAGGGCUGCAAUUUUGGUCGUGGUUCAGGUUGAAGAACGAAACAUGUAUGAGCAGCACUAUAUUUCCGCCCUUCUAAGAGAUAAAUAUCCUUUUCUUAUUAUCUAUAAUUAUGAUACUAAAGGAACACUCUAGCAGAGCAGACUCUGAUUUGUAUUAUUAGGGCUAUCAAAUGUGAUAUCAAAGGAUACAUAGAGAUGUUCUGUAAGGAAAACUACCGUAGUUUUAUGUUCAUUACAUUUUGGGUUGUAAGGGUUAUUUUCCUUAGCUUUAUAAUACGUAUCAUAUCAAAAGCAUAAGGAAAACAUUGGCAGAAAUUGAUCAGGAAGGGGAAAUUCUGCCAGAUGGAACACUUUCUGUGUAUGUAAACUUUAUCUUGAAAAUCUGACUUUCUUCUAAAGGUUUUUGGUUUAAUUAUAUUUCAUUUCUGACAUUAGAGAAGUAUAAUUUAUUGGAACUUGCAGGGACGGACAACCAAUUUCAGUUGUUUACUUCCGGGCUGGCUACACACCAAAAGACUAUCCUUCAGAAUCAGUGAGAUUCAUGAAUUCAGUUUUUUAGCUGAGAAAAACUGACUUUUCAACAUAGGAGCAUCUCUUUUUGUUUUCUAUUGACUAUAACUCCUUUUUCAAUAAUUAGUAAAGAAUUAAUUCACUGACCCAGUAUGUCUCACUACUAUUGGGAAAUGAUAUUGUAUUGAAAACUUCUAUUUGAUCCCCCUAUCUGGUAACCUAACUUCUUUUAUAUUAUGAAGAAAAGUAACGAUGAAUACUAUCACUUGGACCCUAUAACGUUUGUUUCAAAAGCAAAAUUCAUUUGAGAUUGGUCAGUGUAACAGUUUCUUCUUCAUUACAUCACAGUGUAUAGACUUUCUCUUUCAUUUUACUUUUUGUACAUCUAGCUCAAUUAUAUCUUAAACCAACAAUAUCUGUUUUACUUUUGUUUUUACCUUCCUCGUCCUUUCUAUUCCAUGGAUUUUCUCAGCCAUAAUAUUUUUCCUGCUAAAGUUGCAUUAUUUUUUAACAUUAACGAGUUCUUCUGUGUAGGAAUGGAGAGCUAGGCUACUCAUGGAACAAUCUUCUGCUAUCAAAUGUCCUUCAAUAUCUUAUCAUUUGGUUGGCACCAAAAAGAUUCAACAGGAACUUGCAAAACCUGGUGUGCUUGAGAGGUAUCUUCUGAUUAAUAUUCUUAUAUAUUCCAAGUUUAUUCCAUCCUUUAUGCUUGUAUAAAGCUGUUGAUUAAUUCACAGAUACUACGCCUAAAGGAAAAGUGUAAAAUGGAAUAUUGUAAGUUAUUAUUGUCUUAAGAUUUUAUCCUUCAGGGUGCUCUCCAAUCAAUGCCUUACUUAGUUGGCUAAGCAUGAUAUGAUUGUACCCUAAGGCUAAUAGGUUUUUGUUAUGGACAGUAGCCCAGUGGAACUCCAUUCCUUAGUAUAACAACAAAUUGCUCUUUCCUAGCAAAUAAGCUGAUCUGUGACUAAUUUUUUCCUUUUUUCUAAUGAUAUUUUGUUUCUAUGGUUGAUAUCUCUUCCUAAAAUCCUUGAUUCAAAACUCUAAACAGGUUUGUCGAAAACAAGGACCACGUAGCCAAAUUGCGUGCAUGUUUUGCAGGGUUGUGGAGUUUGGAAGACUCAGAUAUUGUUAAAAAAGCAAUUGAAAAUCCAGAGUUAUUUGUGAUGAAGCCGCAAAGAGAAGGAGGAGGUCUUAUAUUAAACUUUGAUUCAACACUUCAUUAGAAAAAACGCCUGGAAGAGAAACUUACAUAACGAAGUGUAAUAAUUACUUUUCAGGAAACAACAUUUAUGGCAAUGAUUUGAAGGAAAGCCUCCUUAAAUUACAGGAAGCUGGUUCUGAAGAAGAUGCAGCUUACAUCCUCAUGCAGAGAAUAUUUCCAGCCACUUUUCCAGCAAUUUUGGUGCGUGAUGGUAAUUGGAGUACGGGUCAUGUGAUUGCAGAAGCUGGAAUAUUUGGUACUUAUUUAAGGUACAUUGCUCAGCUACAUAUUUAUCAUUGUUCUGUGCUUAAAUUUACAAAUCCUUGAAACUGAUGAACUGAAAUUUGCAGGAACAAGGAUAAGAUUAUCAUAAAUAACGAAAGUGGCUAUAUGGUGCGUACAAAAGUAUCAUCAUCUUAUGAAGGUGGAGUUUUACCUGGUUUUGGAGUGGUAGACACUGUAUACCUAACUUGAUGGAGCCAAGAUCACUUCAAUUCAAAAUAUUAUGAAUGUUUUACAUGUAUCACCAUUAGUUUCUUCACUCCUGAUUGUGUUUGUUUCUCUCCUAAAACAGUAAAAGAAGAGAAGAUGCAUUGUUGUAUCUUUUAGCUCUUCCUACGGGAUGCUGUCUGAUUAUCAAAUGUACUCAUCUAUCACAUUAGUUCUAACCAAUAAAGUUAUUGAACUUUUUUAACCUGUCCUCUUCAAUAAUCUCCUGGUAUAGAUUAUUAAGUCAUGUAAAUUUUGUUUGAACACAAUCAAAUAUUGGUGUAUAUUAGCCAAUUAAAAGCUGUAUUAUAUUUUUUUAUAAAUUUGGUGCAGUAAUCUUAAGCAUUCAACUAUACUAAAAAAUGUUAAUAAAUUGAGAAUCCACAGCAUUACAUAUUCAGAAAAAUGGUUUGAAGUUAAGUUGUGAUGUGACUGCAAUAAGAUCACUCAUUAACCUCUUUUUCUGCAUUAAAAGCCAUUUUCUAAGAUCCGAACAAGCCAUUUUAAAUGUCAUUUUUUUUUAUAAUAAAUUUCCAAGUUAUGGAAAAUUGUAACUCGUGUGUUCUUUUUGAAAUAAAAAUGGUAUAAAAUAUUUUAAUUUUUUAUGUUCCUUUUUAUUUUUAAUUUGCUAAUGAUUUUAUAUUAAUGAAAUAUCGCUUGUCAUUUUCUUGAAUAUUUUUAUAAAUUGGGUCAAUUGAGUAAUUUUAUUUUUAGUUUUCAAAAUUUAGUUGUAUUUUGCUUCUUAUCCUGUAAAAUUUAUUUUCUAAUUUUGGUUCCUGUUAUUUUUUUAAUCUGUAAAAUAUUUAUUUAUUUAGGUUUUAUAGUAUUCAUUUCAUUUUUAGGUUUUAUUAUAUUCUAUGUAUCGUAAGGACAAAACAACACAAAAUACAAAUACUUUGGAGAGUCAAAAAUAAAAUAAGAAGAAAAAAAAAAGAAAUUGUAACAGCCAAAAGUAAAAUAUGACUAUGUUUCAUGAAUAAGAAAACAUCUUUAAAUUUAAACUAAAUUCAAUUUUUAUUAGAGUUCACAUAACCAGAAAAAACAUAGUAAAAAAAAAACAUUUACGAGCCAUGGCCCACUGAAAGGGACUCGAAAAGAACAAAUUGGAAAAGAAAAAUGCUCGCACAGAUUCGGAUUCUCCAAAAGGUGUCACCUUAUUACUAUACUAAUUAGGGAGAGUCAAAAGUCAACUUUCUGUUUUAGUAAGAAAUAAAUAAAAGAAAAAUAGUCUAUUACUGUUACUUUAGUUUCUAAAAAUAUUUAUUUUUAAAAAAAUAAUUUUUAACGCACCUAAUUUUUUAUAUUUAUUUCACACUAUCCAUUUUUUACCUGAGAAAAUAUAAAAUUUUAUAUUUUUUUUUACCCUCAAUGUAAAAGUAUUUCAUACUCUUAUUUUUAUAAUUCCUACAAGGAAAAAACAGGAAACGAGAGUGAAAGAGGCGAAAAUGAGCGCAGGCAUUGGUUGCGUUGCAUGUUGGGAGACUAUACCCUUGUUCUCUGCUUCCAAAUCCACCACCUUCCCCGUUCUCUCCGGCGUCCGCCGCCACUCUCUAUCGGUCCCUUUCGUCUCCUCUUCCCCCAACCUCGUCAUGUCUCCACCUAAACCUCUCACUCUAACUCCACUCCAACACUCUCCUCUUUUCGAUUACCACCGCCUCGAUCAACAACUUCUCCGCACCCUCGCUUACGACGCCCUCGUUUGGAGCUCUCUCCACGGCCUCCUCGUUGCCGAUAAAUCCGUCCAGGUCAAUCUCCACGUUUUUCAUUACGUUUCGUUAACUAUCACACCCUAAAUUGGCGUCGAAUGUUCUUUGUAACGGUCGACAUUACGAAUUCUUCGAUUUGAAUUUCAUUGCAGAAUUCGGGAAGCGUUCCAGGCGUGGGAUUGGUGCAUGCUCCGGUUGCCUUGUUACCCACGCCAUUUCCGGAAAACCAGUGGAGCGAAGCGAUUGAGUUGGCUCCUAUUUUCAAUGAACUCGUUGAUCGGAUCAGCUUGGAUGCAACGUUUCUCCAACAGUCUCUCUCCAGGUUACAUUCUUGCAAAUUCUGCGGUGCUAUCGUCUCUUGUUAGAUAUCUUGUGCAUGCAUGCAAGUGGCACCACUACUUGAGUUUUGGUACAGCGUAGUAUACUAGGGUAUGUGUACGUUGAGAUUCUUUUUCUGUUUCUCAAUGCAGAACUAAGAAAGCGGAUGAGUUCACCUCAAGACUUCUGGAUAUUCAUUCCAAGAUGCUAAAGAUUGACAAAAAAGAGGUAAUUGUGUCUAAUGUACACCAAUAUUAUCACGAGAUGAAUGAUCAGUGUUUAUUUUAUAUUUUUUGUUUUGUUUUAUUUUAAAUAUCUUUCAAAAGAACUCAUUUUGUGCUCAUAUUCUCUCAUUCUGAGAGAUAGGAAUCUUAUAUUUCUUAUUUGGAUAAAUAUAUAAAGGAAAAACUAAAUCAAAAUUUUUUUCUUCUACAUCUUCUACAGAAAUUCUGUCCUGUAAUUUUCUAAAAGGUGAAGUGGAUAAAGUGAUUUUAAUGUAUAAAAUAAUUUUUAUUCAUUUCACUUUUUAUUUUUUUCGUUGUUUAAGAAAAAAUUAUCUAAACAUGGCCAUAAUAAUAUUUGCCUUAGCAAAAGGUUGAGGAUAGGGUGCACAUGAAGUUUUCCACCUCAUCUUUACUUUUCUUGAUGAAGUGAGUCAAACGGAUUUGUUGAUGAAUUUUUCUCCGCCAAAAUUUUAAUAGGAAAUUCGAUUGGGGUUACAUCGUUCAGAUUAUAUGCUUGAUGAAAAGACUAAUUCACUUUUGCAAAUAGAACUCAACACUAUUGCCUCUUCAUUUGCCGGUCUUAGUAAUCUUGUGACUGAACUUCAUAGGUAAGUAUUGCUGCAAAUUACACAUACUAUGCUAUCAUCUUGAAGCACUUAAUUGUUUUAUUGCAGCUAUAUAUGGGUUUGUUUAAGUUAAAUACCGAACUCUCGGUGCUGUUACUUAUGUUUACAUGUUUUGUGGAAUAUUGGAAGCCACCGCGGGUGAACAGGGAUAGCACUGUACAAAUCAUAUGUAUUCCCCUAAACUAUAUGAGUUUUCGAACCUUUUUCUUUUAGGACAUUCUUGUGUGUUUUUGGUAUGGAUGAUGAUAUUUUCACUAACACUUUUUGACAACUUUUUUUAGAAUGGGACACAUGUCAUCACUUUAUUGUUUUAUUUGAAUUUAUAUUUAAAAAAUAUUAAAAACGGACCAAUCAUAAGUAUGUAUAAUUGUUAAAAAGUGUUGUUAAAGUUACUUUUUCCUUUUGAUAUCAGAAAACUUUAAGGUUUGAGAGCUUUUGCCAAUUAUUAGAGCAAAAUCCCCAACUAUUGUUUUGAACUCGAGUGGUGUUUGGUUGAGAUUUCGGGGAAGGAUGGGGAGGAUGAAAAUACUAAUAGGUAUCUGAGGAGAAAAGCCAUGUGAAAAAAUAAUUAGAAAAAUAGGUGGGAUUUCAUUUACUGUUUCCCACCAAUUUUUAUGCAUCCUUCUUCUCACCAAAGAAAAGCAUUGUCCUUCUUCUGUAUUUUUUACGGUUUUUUUUUGAUAAUUUUUUUAUAAUUGUUUAUAUGACAGUUUAUGAUUGAUCUGUUUUAAAUAUGCAAAUUAAUAAAACAGUGAUAGAUAAUCUAUUAUCAAAAAGUUAUUAAAAAAAAUUAUUAAAAUAUCAUUAUCUCUUCCGUAAUGUCCGUUCAUCGGUUGAAUCUGUUCAUUAUAAACUCGUAGGUCUUCUCUAUGUUCCUUUUCUAUUUAACUUAAUUUAAACUUUGGUGUCCUUAGUUUAAAUUACAGGCGAUCACAUUAAGUUUUUUCUCUUUUAAUGUUCUUCAUUUGCUUCAAAUAAAGCAAAUAUGAGCCUUUAAUGUGUCUUAGGAUGAAACUUUUAAAUGUUAAUUAUGAAUGUCUUCAGUUUUGGCUAAGUUUUUUUAACUACUUUUUAUGUGUAGUAUAAAUUAUUUAUCUUGUACCUAUGAUCCUUUAUAUAGCUACUUCUGUUAUGCACUUUUGGGGUUUUCACUUUGUGUUUUUAUACCGGAUUAAUAGCUAUGAUUGUAAUUACUUAUAAGAACUCUGGUGGAAAUAUAUUUUCAUUUUAAGGAAUUAUUCCUUUGUAGAAAUAUCUUUAUAUUAGUUGGUCAUUUUCUAGAUACAUACUUUCUCGCCAUGGAAAUUUGCUUGGACUAGAUUCCAAAAGCAUCCCUGCCAACAAUGCCGUCAAUCAGUAUGCAGAGGCCUUAGCUAAAGCUUGGAGUGAGUAUGACAACCCCAGGUCAGUUCAGAGAAAAAAAUUUCCUUUAACUUUCUCUAGCUCUUCUGCUGCUGGUUUCGGUUCCCUAAUAUAUUUUCUGACUUAUCCGUCCAGGGCGGUGAUCAUGAUUGUGGUUCAGGCUGAAGAACGGAACAUGUACGACCAGCAUUUUGUUUCUGCUGUUCUUAGAGAAAAAUAUCCUUUCCUUAGAGUUGUAUUUAAUUAUAAUACAAAAGGAAACACGUUUGUUUUAUUCCCUAUAUAAGGGCAGACUCUUUUAUUUGUAUAAUUACAUGUGAUAUCGAGGAUGCUUUUAUCAGUUUCGUAAAGAAAACCACUAGAAGUUUCUAUACUUAGUACAUACUAUUUGGUUGUCACUGUCCUUAACUAAUUAGCACGCAUAAUAUUUCAACUAUACGAAAGACGUUAGCCGAAGUUGAUCAAGAAGGAGAAAUUCUUCCCGAUGGAACACUUUCAGUGUAUGUAACAUUUAGCCAUAAAUUAAACUUUCAGCCAUGUUUUAGUGAUUUAAUCAUGUUAUGGUUCUAAUUGUUGAGGACAAUAAUUUCUUGGAACUUGCAGGAAUGGACAAGCUAUUUCAGUCAUUUAUUUCCGGGCUGGCUAUACACCAGAUGACUAUCCUUCAGAAUCAGUGAGUGAUUUGAAAUCACCAAUUUGCUGUUCAUAAGAACCGUGCUUUUUCGAUGGUAGAAACAUCUGUUUUGGUUUCUAUUACGUAACUUCUUUAUUUAAACAUUGAGAUAUGACCUAUGCGGCAUAAGCAGUGGCUCUCGCUUACUACUGUUAGGAAAUUGUACUGUAUAGUCAAUAAUUCAAUUAUUCUUCAUGCUACUAAACUUCUUUUAAGAUUCACAUGAUAAAAGGAGUUGUAGAACACAAGUGAAGUAAAGCUGGCGGAGAGGGCUGAGUGGAUUACAUUUUUCCUGAAUUAUAUAGGCACCUAUUUAUUGGCCCAAUUAAUACAAUGAGAAAUUCUUACCCGAGUUUACUAUUUCUUGGGGAUUUGUCUCAUUUUUGGUUUAUGCUUUGUCUGAAUGCAUUCCUUGCUUUCCAUUCAUUUCAUUUGCCCAAUUAACUACUCCUUUGUGAAGCUCUUACUAUAUUUACAUUAGGAUUUGCAGUUACUGCAAUUUGCCACAAAUGAUUCAUCGAAUGGGGCAGUUGGGGGUUGAAAAAUUUAAAUAUUUCAAAUUGGCUGAAUCCCACAAAAAUAACAAUCUAAUUUACUUUUCUUCUUCUUCACUUAAUUUCGAUUACAUGGAUUAUCUUUUACCGUAAUAUUGCUCCUUGUUACACGAUUGUAUUAUCUAGCAAAAUCAUGGCUUGGGAUGCUCAAUAUAUGUAGGAAUGGAGAGCUAGGUUACUGAUGGAACAAUCUUCUGCCAUCAAAUGUCCUUCCAUAUCCUAUCAUUUGGCUGGCACCAAAAAGAUUCAGCAGGAACUUGCAAAGCCUGGUGUGCUUGAGAGGUAUCUUCUAAUUCUUCAUAUCUUCCAAGCUAAUUUCAUCCUUUAUGCAUUAUUGAAAGCAGUUGAUCAAUUCAUCGACACUAUGUUUAAAGGAAUGUGCGAUGAAAAAUUGAAAGUUAUCAUGUAAAAUGGGAUUAUCCUUCAGGAUCUGCUUUCCCCUCCAUAUACAUUGCUUAGUUGGUUGGUCAUGAUAUCUUGUAUCCUCUAGGAACAAUAGGUUUUUGUUUUAAAUGGCCGGUAAAAAUUUGUUGGUAAAUUGAAACAGUAAUAUGAUCCAGGGGCAUCGUUCACGAUGCUGUUGCAAUCAUUGUUAGCCAAUGAUGUCAAGGAGGUAUAAUUAGCGAUUAUCUUUGGAUUCUUCUAAGUUUUGAAUCAUAACAAAGUUUCUUGAGUGAAUAGUUGAAGGUUUGGCAAUGUGAGGCUUUUUAAUGAAAAUAUUUGUGCAUAGGCUGGAGGGGUCUUGCUAUCAAAAGCUCAUGUUUUCUACAGAGCAGAUCCUAAUUCUAGAAGGUUUUGACGAAAAGAGAAGACAGUAGACUAGUCAAUUGGAAGAAGUCUUCUGGAUUCAGUGCACUAAUGGUAGAGAUGUAAAUUCAAAAAAUUUUCUUUUAUAGUGGCUGCAGGAAAGAUUAGAUGUUGAUCAGAGGGAUUGAUGGUUUCUGCGGGAAUUAAUGUGUCUUGUUGGUACUAGCUUUCGCUUUCACGUUUCAUUUUUACUUUUUAUGGAAGAUUUCCUAUCCACUAUUCUUGGACUUUUAUUGUCUUCUAACUGUACUUCUUCAGUUGAAGAAGGAAAUAAAUUAUGGAUGAUAGUCUUACUCAGAGCUACACUCAUACUUCAUAUUUUUUGUUAAGGGAAAUCAAAUUUUAUUAUAUAUGAUAAACACGUUCUGAUUAUAAUAAUAAUCCAAGCCUCCUCCCCCCGCCCUAAUUUUAUUUUAGAAAAUAAGCAGUUCUAUGACUAAACCUUGAGUUAAGCAGGUUCCUUGAAAGCAAAGAUGACGUUGACAAACUGCGUAAAUGCUUUGCUGGGUUGUGGUGUUUGGAUGACCCUAACAUUGUUAGAAAAGCAAUUGAAAGGCCGGAGUUAUUUGUGAUGAAACCCCAAAGAGAAGGAGGAGGUCUUAUACCACCUAAACUUUGAUUCAGCCUACUAAGUGGAAGAAACGUAUCUAACGAACCAUACCUACUUUUCAGGAAACAACAUUUAUGGUGACGAUGUGAGGGAAACCCUCCUAAAAUUGCAGCAAGCAGGUUCUCAAGAAGAUGGAGCUUACAUCCUUAUGCAGAGGAUAUUUCCAUCUGUUUCUGCAGCAAUUUUGAUGCGUAAUGGUUGUUGGCAUAAUGAUCGUGUAGUUUCAGAACUUGGUGUGUUCGGUACUUAUUUAAGGUACAUUACUUGGCCACAUGUCUGUCACUGUUACUUUAAAUUUGUGUAACACUUGAAUAUGAAAUCGCAGAAAUAAGAAUAGGGUUAUCAUGAACAAACAAAGCGGUUAUUUGGUGCGUACAAAAAUAUCAUCAUCUGAUGAAGGUGGAGUUGCAGCCGGUUUUGCAGUGCUAGAUAGUCUAUACCUGACCUGAAGGAGCCAACACUGUAUACCUGAAGUUAUCAGGGUAAUUCAAAACAUUGCAUCCAGGCAUGGUUUACAUAAUAUUUUUUCGGAUAAUGAUACUUUGACACCCAAAUUCUAACAAAUAUUUGACACUGGACACGUGUCAUAAGUCAAUUGGUCAGUGUGUUUAAUGUUUAAAAAAAUUGAAACACACGGACCAAUUAACUUAUGACACGUGUCCGGUGUCAAAAAUUUGUUAGAAUUUGGGUGUCAAAGUAUCUUUAUCCUAUUUUUUCUAGAAUAAUAAUAUUAUCACACACUUUUACGUUCAUUUGACACAUACUACAAGGGUAAAAUAAUCCAAAAAAUGUAAAGUUUUAUAGUUUUUCAAGGAAAAAAAGAAUAAAAAAUAAAUAAAAACAGUCUCAAAUAAAUAUAAAAAAUUUAAGUGUGUCAAAUAAUCAUUUCUCUUUUUUCUAUGACCCGACUUUUACAUAUUUAUACCCAGAAGAUCCACUUUCAAACGAGGAUAGAGCUUGUAUUCUUAAAGAAGCGGCUCCAAGGAAGAAGGAACAUCAACAUGAUCAAAUCCAUUAAAUAGUAAUUAGGGCAUGCUGACUAUUUAGCAUGUUUUCCUAACAUUCUGCUGUCGGGGAACCUCAUGUGUUGAUCUUUAUUUAAUUGGCUUGUUUUGAAAUUAGUCAAUGACGAGAUUCUUUAAAAAAAAAGUUUGAACACCAUGGUUAUAUGUUAUGAAAAAUUAUGAAAUUACAUAUUUUUUGUUUCGAGUUGGUUAUGUUUAGAAAAAGUAUUUUUUAUUGAUUAAUUUUUUGUAUAUUUAAGAAUUAUAUACAUUAGUGCAUGUGAUUUUUUUUUUAAAUAAAAUCAGACGAGUUCACCCGUUAUAGAAACGAUUGGCUUGUCUAAACCAUUUUUUCUUUAUUGGCUAGUCAUACACAUUCUACAAAGGUUGAAGAAAAUGAGAGUUUGAAUCUAUUAUUUUGUCUAUAAUAAUUAGGAUAAUAGUUCUUAUUCUAACAAUUGAGGUCAUACUUUAAAAUUUCAAUAUAUUUUAAAAGUGUAUUAAAUUUUAAAAAGUGCAUAUCAAUAUUUUUUUUAUGUAAAUGUUUAUAAAUAUUUUAACAUAAUUAUGAAUACUUUAUACACCAAUUAUUUGUUAUCAUAUGAAAAAUAUUAUUAAAAAAUAAUAAACAAAUGAGAUCAAAUUAAAUUUAGGUAAAAAAUACAUAAUAAAUUUUUCAAAAUUAAACCACCCUAAAUAAAAGAAGUUUAUUUCUAUUAUAAAAAAAAAAGAAAUCAUUCCAUUUAUAAUGAAUUUUAUAAAUCAAAAAGCCAAUUGUCCUAGAAUAAUACUUAAACACCAUUUCUUACAUAUCUUCAAAUAUAUUUAUCUUAACUCUAUAAAAGAAUAAAAAAAAAAAAAACUUUACAUAAUAAUUCAUAAUCAUUUUUUAAAUCAAACAAGUUUAAAGUCAAUUUUCUAAAAAUACUAACAAUAAUUCCCAUAAUUUUACCAUAUAAAUAUUUCUGCAUCCAAAACAAUAGUGAAACUACUAAUGUAUUAUUACAUAAGUUUAAAUAAGUUUAUAUUCUCGCAUGUUUUAUCUAAUUUUAAUUAUGCAAAAUGAUUACUUUAAAAAAAAAUACUUUUUCGUGAAUAUACAUGUGCAUAUACAACAAACAUGUAUAGCUAAAAUAGAAAUGUUAUCUUUAGAUAUUGUUAUCUUACCUAGUGGCUUAUUGUAAUUAAAAACGUGGUAAGUAAAUAAAUUUUAGUAUACCGAUAUAAUUAUAAUGUACAAAUGAAGAAAAUAAAAAUAAAAUAAAACAUUUUUAUAAAUAUUAUGAGAAUGAAUAAAAUUUAUUACAUUUUAUUUAAAUCACGCUCAAAAAACAUAAAUCGGAGAACGAGGAGUAAUACAACAGAAUAUCUAUAACCUUGCAAAGGAAUCUCACCUUAUUUAACUAAAAUGAAUGCUUCUGACAGCAUUGAAUAUAUUUAAAAGAACACACUAAAUAAGGAGACAGGACAAAUUUCAACAGAAGAAAAAAAAAAAUUGGAUAUUGAAACUUAGAAACUGGCCUGAGAUUACGAUCACUUUGGAAAGUCCACUUUAAAAGAAGGAAGAGUUGAAAUUUUCUUUAAUUUAUUUUUAUUCCUUGUAACAUUUUAUUUUACCAUAUUUUUUAGUUGGGUUAAAUAUGUUUUUCGUCCCCCAACUAUUGGUCGUUUUUGUGUUUAGUCCCUCUUUUAAAGUAGGGUACAAUUUAGUCUUUCAACUUUAGAAAACUCUGGUAUUAGUCCUUUUUAUCAAAUUUUUUUAACUUUAUUUGCUGUUUCGAACGCGUUUCUCAGUUAACAUUGAAUCAAAAAUGUGUCAAAAUGUGUAAACAAUCCAAAUGCUAUAAUGUAACGUGUUUAAAACAGCAAAUAAAGUUUAAAAAAUUUGGUAAAAAAGACUAAAACCAUAGUUUUCUAAAGUUGUUGAAAGAGGGACUAAACACAAAAACGGCCAAUAAUUGGGGGACGAAAAACAUAUUUAACCCUUUUUAGUUUAAAUAUAAAUAUGAAUUGAAAUGCAUAUCGAAAUUGAAAAUUAAAUUGAAUAAAAACAUGUAAUUGUAUUAUAGCUUACCAGUGAAAAAAAAAAAAAACCUUCGUUAUAUUUUAAGAAAAAAAAAACUAAAGAGUAAAAUAGAAAUAUUAAACCCUGCACCAUUCAUAUAUUAUUAUAAGUUUAUUUUUAUUUUAAAAUACAAUAAAAAAUAAAAUAAAAAUGUGAAUAUAAAAAAGGGAGAAUAUCUUUAAAUAUUGUUACAUCACUAAUGACUUGUUGUAUAUGUAUUUAUAUUAUCAGUUUUGAUCUACAAAUCAUUAAAAUCAUACAGAUAAUAAUAUUCUUAAGUACCAUGUAAUUAGUAGUGUUAAAUACAGUGAAUGAGAUUAAUAUCUUGUGUGUGAAAUAUAAACAUAGGAUAUUCUAUUUAUAAUAAUAAAAUAAAUAUGAACUAAAUUUAAAAUACAAAAAAAAAAAUAUAAAAAAUAAAUAUAAAAUAAAGAUAAUAUAUCAGCAGAUUAAAAAGUUAAUAAAAUAAAAUAAUAGACUAUUUUCUAAAAUAAAAAAUUAAUACAAUAAUUACCAUGACAAAAUACUUUUUAUAAUAUGUAUUACAUAUAAAAUAAAAUAUUCUGCAUAUAAAAUAAUGCGAUAUUAUUUAUAAUAAAUAAUAUUUAUCAUAUAUCAUGAUUCGAUAAUCUAAUGAAAAUAUGUAUUUAUAUUAUUGCAUCUACAAAUCGUAAAAAUCAUGCCGAUAAUAAUAUUCUUAAAUACUAUGUAAUUAGUAGUCAAAAAGAUGAAUAAAAUAAUAGGGAAAAAAUUAAUAUUAGCAUGAGAUAUUCUUUGGUGAUAAAAUCUUUUCUAUGAUAUAUACUGCAUAUAAAAUAAUAUAAAAUUGUUAAUUUCUUAUUUUCCCUUCCCAGUAUUUGAAUGGUGAUCACAAUUUCUCAGAGAAGAUUCUUCCUUGUUUGAGCCUUAACUCUGCCACUUUGAGAAUCAUUAGCCGUUAUGAGUCUCUUCAACUACCACCGUCUUGAUCAACAACUCCUUCACACCAUCGCUUAUGACGCUCUCGUUUGGAGCUCUCUUCAUGGCCUCGUCGUCGGUGAUAACUCCGUUCAGGUUACUCUUCCGUCAUUUUCUUUUGUAAUUUGUUCUAUUCCUUUGCUUGUUUGCAAUGUAUCAUGUAAUUUGUUCUAUUGAUUUAAAUCAAUGGAUACAGAGAUCAGGGAGCGUUCCCGGCGUAGGAUUGGUGCAUGCUCCGAUUGCAUUGUUACCGACGCCGUUUCCCCAAAACCAGUGGAGACAAGCCUCCGAAUUAGCUCCGAUAUUCAAUGAACUUGUUGAUCGUGUUAGCUUGGAUGCAUCCUUUCUCCAACACUCUCUCUCCAGGUUAACCCUUCCUCAACUCUUUUUCUUGCUACCUUCUUCAUGCAUUUUAGGGUUUAUUAUUCCAUAAUAUGUUACACAGUUUAUUUUUUUGGAAAAAGUCUCCUUAACAGUUGUUUUUUUAUAACUUUUUUAUAACGCAUACGUGUCAGUCUAUGUGUCAUAUGUGUCAGUCUAUGAUUGAUAUGUUUUAAAUAUUUUUUAAACAUAAAUUCAAACAGAUCAAUAAAAUGAUGACAAAUCCUGUUAAAAAAGAAUUGAAAAUAUCGUUAUCCUAUUUUCUUUUAUAUAUAUUUCCUGUGUUCAUAUUUUUUUGUAUUUUUCAAAACGCAGAACUAAGGAAGCCGAUGAAUUCACCUCUGGACUUUUGGACAUUCAUUCCAACAUGCUACGCAUUAACAAAAAAGAGGUAACCGUUAUUUAUAUUACAAAUCGAUUUUACGAAAUUAAAUUAAGUUUAAAAUAUACUUCUUUUAUAUAUUUAUUAUAAUUUUAUUGAUAAAUGGUAUUUUUAUUUGUGUGCUAUGCCAAAAAUUUUGUAGGAAAUAAGAUUGGGGUUACAUCGAUCAGAUUAUAUGCUUGAUGAAAAGAGUAAUUCACUUCUGCAAAUAGAACUUAACACUAUUGCCUCUUCGUUUGCCGGUCUUAGUAACCUUGUGACAGAACUUCAUAGGUAAAAUAAUAUCACCUAAUGUUUUGAGAAGUUUCAUCCUAUAUUAAUUUAUGGAUAAAAUAUUUUAUACUAAAAUGUAAACAAAAUUAUGACUCGAUUAAUUUUUCAAAAUACUUGUUUAUAUGAAAAUUUUAUUCAAAAAUGUGUGAAUAAUAAUCAAUUUAAGUAUUUUCUGAAAUUUGCCAACUCCAUAUUCAAUGCUCAAUUACGACCUUAGUCAAGACUACAUUAUUUUUUUUUAUAACAAUAAAUGGAGAAUAAAGGUAUUCCAAUCCUUUUUCAAGAAAAAAAUAUGUUUAAAAUGAUCAUUCGUCCUGUAUUUUGGUUGUAAUGAAAUUUUGAUGUUGAUGAAAUAUUUUUAUAUUAGUUGAUCAUUUUAUAGAUACAUAGUUUGGCGCCAUGGAAAAUUGUUUGGACUUGAUUCCAAAAGUAUUGCUGCAAAUGAUGCUGUUAAUCAAAAUGCAGAGGCUUUAGCUAAAGCUUGGAGUGAAUACAAUAAUCCCAGGUCUGUUAAGGGGAAAAAAAUUCCUUUAACUUUCUCCUCGAAGUUUUUAUGCUGCUUUUGAUUCCUUAUGUUUUCUUUGUAUCCAUGCAGAGCUGUGAUUAUGAUUAUUGUUCAAGCUGAAGAACGAAACAUGUACGAUCAGCAUUUUGUUUCUGCACUUCUCAGAGAAAAAUAUCCUUUUUCUUAUUCUAUAGUAAAUUGCAUAUUUUAUUUUUGUUGUCUGAGAAUCCUUAGCUUUAUAACACACACAAUAUUACAAGUAUACGGAAAACAUUGGGAGAAGUUGACGAAGAAGGGGAAAUUUUACCAGAUGGAACGCUUUGUUUGUAUGUCAUUAACCUUCGGCCACUAAAAUAAAAACUGCAUAUUCAGUUAUUUUUUUUAUUACAUUAUAUUUCUGAUUAAUUGUGAAAAAAUGUACAUAAAUUUUGCAGGAAUGGACAGCAAAUUUCAGUAAUUUAUUUUCGGGCUGGCUAUACACCAGCUGACUAUCCUUCAGAAUCUGUAAGUAACAUGGAUUCAGUUUUUGUCAUGCUCAUACGAAUCCUGCUUUUCACUAUGCAAACAUCUAUAUUUUUUUUUAAAGAAAAAUGUUUUUUUUUUUAACUAUUUACGUCUGUUGACAAUUUAUUUUAAGAAUAUUUUUUCAAAAAAAUAAUUUUUCGGAUAAAGUAUUAUAGAAGAAUUAAAGAAUAAAGUAAUGAAUGUAAAAUGUGUGAAAAAAACUUUUGGUGUAAAAAAUAAUAGCACUCUUUCUUAAACUUCAUUUUUAAGGUAUCAGGAAGGUUGAUCCCUACAAAUAUUAAAUUCUUUUCGAAAAUGAUAAAUAAUAUCAACUUCUUAUAGAAAACAUAUGAUUUUUUUUUUCUACAUCCCAUACUAAUAAAAACAAGUUAAAACCAUCCUUGUCAAUAUUAUAACUUUUUUAAGGACAAAACAGUUAUUUUAAAAUUAUUGGAGUGUAAUUAUCAAAUAUGGGAGUGCAAGGUGAAAAACUAGAACUAGGAGCCAUAAACUAUUUUUUGGGUUACAUUGGUAAUUGUUGUCUCCAAACUCCACCAUCAUUUGGGACUGUAUGAAUACUUCACGUCAUAUACUAAAAUUAAUUUAUAUCCAAAUUAAUUAUUAGAAAAAUUGUUAUAUUACUUUUUUAAAAAAAUGAUUUUUUAAUUUAAAUAUAAAGUAAGUUUAACUUAUAAAAAAAAUACCUUUUUUUUCUUCAGUAAAUUGUUAUUCAAAUAUUAAUUCUUUCUCAAUUCUUUUAGCAGAAGAAACACUUGUAAUAUAUUUUUAAAAUUUAUUAAAAAAAAAUUAAAUAGAAAAGAUAAAAAUAAGUUGAAAAAAAAAUACUAUUUUAAAAUUGUUAGUGUGAAAGCUCUUUUAAUAAAAAAUGUUUUUUAAUUAUAACAAAAUAAAAGUAAUAUCUGUUAUGUAAAAGCUUGCUUCCUUCUUUCAAUUCUAUGGAUUAUUUUCUGUCAUACAUAUAUCUUGUAAUAUUAGUGAGCCUUCUAGCCUCAGUUUGAGAUCUUAUGGUUUUGGUAUAUGUUGCUGAAAUGCAGGAAUGGAAAGCUAGGCUACUCAUGGAAAAAUCUUCUGCUAUCAAAUGUCCUUCUAUAUCCUAUCAUCUGGUUGGCACCAAAAAUAUUCAACAGGAACUUGCAAAGCCUGGUGUUCUUGAGAGGUAUAUCUUCUGUAAUUCUAUGGUCAACAGUUUUUAAGUUAAAAUCACAGUAUACUUAAAGGAUCUGUUUAACAUCCAUAAGUUUUCCAUCACAACGGAAAAUGUUUCAAUAAUUAAACCCUAAAAUCCUUGAAUUAAAACUAUGAACAGGUUCCUUGAUAACAAAGAAGACAUUGCUAAGCUGCGUAAAUGCUUUGCUGGAUUAUGGAGUUUGGAUGAGUCAAGCAUUGUUGAAAAAGCAAUUGAAAAUCCGGAGUUGUUUGUGAUGAAGCCCCAAAGAGAAGGAGGAGGUCUUGCACUAUACCUAAACAUUGAUUCAACCUAUUACCUUACUUUAUUGAAAAAAAAACUUACAUGAUUAUUUCUUUCUCAGGAAACAAUAUUUAUGGUGAUGAUGUGAGGGAGACCCUCCAAAAGUUGCAAAAAUCAGGUUCUCAAGAAGAUGCAGCUUAUAUCCUUAUGCAGAGGAUAUUUCCUGCUAUUUCUGCAACAGUUUUGAUGCGUAAUGGUUGUUGGAGUAAGCAUCACGCCAUUUCAGAACUAGGCAUAUUUGGUACUUAUUUAAGGUACAUUUGCUUCACUGUAACAGUUCUGAGUUUAAAUUUACAUUAACUUGACAUUGAUGCAAUGAAAUAUAUGCAGGAAUAAGGAUAAGGUUAUCAUUAAUAAAGAAAGUGGGUAUCUGAUGCGUACAAAAAUAUCAUCAUCUGAUGAAGGCGGUGUUGCAGCUGGCUUUGCAGUGCUAGAUAGUCUAUACUUGACUUGAGAGUGCUAACAAUUUUACAUACCUUAGUUUAUUUAUCAGGCUAAUUCAAAACAUUAUGCAACUAGCUUCUUUGACAUACUUUUCUUUUGUUUGGGGAAAUCUUGCUUUGAAUUUCUAUGAUGGAAGGAAGUGUCGUUAUAAAUUCAACCUCCUCUUCAAUUUUUUAAUAUCUUAUUAAAAUAAUAAGUUUAUGUUUUUUUAUGUAAUAUAUUUAAAUUUCGUACAUUGUUUCUAAUAAUUAGGAUAAUAGUUCUUAUUUCAACAAUUUAAAUCAUACUUUGUAAUUUCCAUAUAUUUAUUGUUUUAAAUUGUAAACAAAUGCAUAUCAAUAUUUUUUUUAUGUAAAUGUUUUAAAAUAUUUUAACGUAAUUAUGAAUAUUUUAUAUGGCAAUCAUUUAUUAUUAUGAAAAAUAUUAGACUUAAAUACUUACUUGGUUUCUAUAUUUAAUGGUAAUUUUCAGUUUAAUAUUUGAUUUUAAAAGUGUAGAUAUUGAAUCUCAAAAUUAUCAAAAUUGUAUGAAUUGGGUGCAUUAAACGAACGAAACGGAAUUAACUCCCAUAUCACGGGCCAAAAAAAAUUUUCAAUUUUUCUUUGGAAAAUGAUAUUUUAACACCUUUUUUUAUCCCAUUUUGACACUGCACAUGUGUCAAAAUGUGAUUGGAUUGAAGCAGGGGUAUAUUUGGAAGAGAAAAACCAAAGUUUAUUUUUUUAAUUUGAAAUCGUUCAACCACAUUUUGACAUGUGUGUAGUGUCAAAAUGAUGUUAAAAAAUGGUGUUAAAAUAUCAUUUUCCGAAUCACUUAAUAUUUGUUUCCUUGCCUCUUCCAAUGUCGAUUCAUUAUUUUGCCCAAAUGUGAAUUCACUUUACUAUGGAAGUAUGGAGGAAAUUAACGUGGGGUUUUCUAUUAUUAAUCAAAUUGCAUGUAUGAUCAUAAAACAGUGUAUUACAGCUUUUGUGUAUCGUUUACAGUUUUUCUGGUACAAGUAUAAUUUUUGCAGUUGAAACUAUAACUAUGUAGCAUUUUACAAAGAUGAAACUAAAUCCUGUUAAUUGUUGAUUUUUGUUUGAAAAGUAACUAAAGAUCGGAGCUCAAUGUAUUCGAUGCUUUUCAAAUUGGAAGAUUAUAAAAUUUCACUUUCACUUCGAAUAGUCAUGGGUACGAAGCUCAUGAGAUCCUGCCAUCUUUUCUCACGCUUUUAGAUUGAAGCCUUUAUAAAUACAAGACAAACUUCACAAAAUUCAACUACCCCUGUCUUAUGAAAAAAGAGAGAGAAAAAAAAUAUUCAUAAAAAUAUAGAAAAUUGAGAAAAACUGGGACAGAACACGGAAAAGCAGAAAAGAGAGAAAAAAAAAAGUAAAAAAAGUUUUCAAAUCGGAUACUAAACUAAAAAUUAUCAUUUAAUAUAAAGACCAAAUAAGUAUUUAAUCCAAAAUAUUACUAUAUGAAAAUAAUAAUAAAAGAAAUGGGAUCAAAUCAAAUUCAUGUGAAAAAUACAAAGUAAAUUUUUCAAAAUUAAACCACUCUAAAUAAAGGAAGUUUAUAUUUAUUAUAAAAAAGAUAAAAAAUAGUCAUUUUGUUUAUAAUUAAUUUUAUAAACCGAAAAGUCCAUUGUUCUUAAAAAUAUAUAAUACUUAAACUCCAUUUCUUACGUAUCUUUACAUAUAUUUAUCUGAUCCUUUUAAGAAAUCAAAAGAACAAUUUGAAAAAAAAAAAAACAUACAUAAUAAUUCAUAAUCGAUUUUCAAAUCAAACAAGUUUAAAGUCAAUUAUCUAAAAAUACUCAACAAAAGUAGUUCCUAUAAUUUCACUGUAUAAAUAUUUCCUCAUCCAAAACAAUAGUAAAACUACUAAUAUAUUAACUCAUUACCUGUAAUUAUCAAUUUUUUAUAUAAAUUAAAUAAGUUCAUAUUCUCACAUGUUUUAUCUAAUUUUAAUUAUACAAAAUGAUUACUGUAAUAUUUUUUUCGUGAAUAUACAUGUACAUAUACAACAAAUAUGUAUAGUUAAAAUAGAAAUAUUAGUAAUAAAAAGAAGGUUUAAUGUCUCAAUAGGUCCCUAUUUUCGUCUAGAAUCUUAAAUAGGUCUCUUUCUUUUUCGGCGUCUCAAUUAAGUCCUUAUUUUCUUAAAAUUGAAUUAAAUAGGACAUUUCCGUCAAAUUGAGAUGACACCGUUAAGAAGGGUAUCUUGACCGUGACAUUGAAAAUGUGACUGAAUUGUAUUUUUUUAAUUUUUGAAUUAAAAAAUGAAGUAUACUCUUUAUAUUUCAUUUUUUAAUUCAAAAAUUAAAAAAAUACAAUUCAGUCACCUUUUUAAUGUCACAUAAUAAAAAAUUACACUGUCAACAUACGACGUCAUCUCAAUUUGACGGAAAUGUCCUAUUUAAUUCAAUUUUACAAAAAUAAGGACUCAAUUGAGACGUCGAAAAGGGACAUAUUCGAAAUUUUGAGCGAAAAUAGGGACUUAUUAAGACAUUAAACCUAAAAAGAAUUUUAUAUUACACUUUAUAAUUAUUCAUUUUUACGUUUUAAAUACUUUUUUGGUUUUUAAUUUGAUCAAUUUUGUUUAAUGUGAGACUAUUUUUUUUAGUGUUAAUUUGUUUAAUUUUCAUAAUCUAUGUUGAAUAUGUUUUUGUUUUCAUUACAUCGUUUAGAUAGUUAAUAGUAUAUUGGGGAUGGAUUUUAACCACACUCGUUAAAUAAAAUUCUUGAAUGAAAUAAUUAUUUCUAUUCUCUAAAAAAUAAUAGUCACAUCACUUUAGUUUUUGGAAGAAUGAAAAUCUCAUAAACACCCAAAUACAGAGAUAUUCUUGAAGAGAAAAAGAAAGUUCUUAGAAAAGGUUGACCAGUAGAAUUACAAACUUAUUAAAAAUCAAAAGAACAAAGUUACCCAAUGAAUUUCUUCACUCGAUUAUAUAUAUCUGUCCUCAAUACUACACAGAGUCAUUCAACGCUAUAUAACAAGAACUUGAUUUUCUAAUUUGGUUACACUCAAAACCUAUCUGAGUGACUAAAUUGAAAAUGCAUAUCAAUAGUUUAUAUAUGAAUAUGAACUAAAAUGCAUUUCAAUAUUGAAAAUUAACUUCGUUAUAUUUUAAGAAAAUAAUAAAAAAUAAGAAUAAAAUAGAAAGAUUAAGCAUAUUUAUCUAUUAUUAUAAGAUAUUUUAAUUUUAAAAUGCAACAAAAAUUAAUAUAAAAACGGGUAUAUAAAAAGAGAGAAUAUCUUUAAAUAUUGUUAAAUGACCUAAUGACGUGUUGUAAUUAAAUAUGUUAUAAGUAACGAAAAUAUGUAUUUAUAUUAUUAGUUAGGAUCUAAAAAUCGUUAAAAUCAUUCCGAUAAUAAUAUUAUUAAGUAGUAUGUAAUUAGUAGAUUAAAAAGUGAACAAAAUAAUAGGCUACUUUCUAAAAAAAUAUAAAAAAUUAAUACAAUAUUAACAUGAGAUAUCCUUUGUCAUGAUAAAAUUUAUUCUAUAAUAUGAACUGCAUAUAAAAUAAUAUGAUAUAAUUUAUAAAAAAUAAUAGUUAUUAAAUAUCAUGAUUCGAUAAUCUAAUGAAAAUAUGUAUUUAUAUUAUUGAAUCUACAAAUCAUAAAAAUCAUGCUGAUAAUUAGGAGAUUAAAAAGUCAAUAAAAUAAUAGAAAAAGAAAAUAUAAUAUUAGCAUGAGAUAUUCUUUGGUGAUAAAAUAUUUUCUAUGAUAUAUACUGCAUAUAAAAUAAUAUAAUAUAAUUUAAAUAUAAUGUUGUUAAUUUCUUGGGUUUUAUAUAUUUGAGUGGUGAUCACAAUUCAUCACAGAAGACUCUUCCUUCUUUGUGCCUUUUAUCUCUGAAACUUUCAGAAUCAUUAGCCGUUAUGAGUCUCUUCGACUACCACCGUCGUUGGUGAUAACUCUGUUCAGGUCAUUCUUCCGUCAUUUUCUUUUGUAAUUUGUUUUAUUCUUUUGCUUGUUUAGAAUCGUAUCAUGUAAUUGGCUUAAGGUAAAAAAGAUCUUAAUUCUUUUUAUUAAUUUAAAUCAAUGGAUGCAGAGAUCCGGCAGCGUUUCCGGCGUCCGCUUCCAUUGUUUCCGACGACGCCGUUUCCCCAAAACCUGUGGAGACAAGCCUCUGAAUCGGCUCCGGUAUUCAAUGAACAUGUUGAUCGUCUCAGCUUCUCCUUCUUCACUCUUUUUCUUACUACGUUCUGCAUAAAUGUCUAUGUAAAGAUAAAUCAAGGAUGAAAAUGAUUGUGAUAAUUUGAGUAGAAUUUUGGCUUUUAUGAAUCAUACUCAUCAUUACAAAUUGUGUUUAUAUUAUUGUUAUCUUCUUCUGAAUUCAACGACUGUGUUCAAUUUUGGAAGUUUCAUUUUCGGAUUCCCUUAUCUGUCGGACCGAACUUAUGUAUCUGUCAGACCGGUAGAAGAAAUCGGAAAUUAAACUUUUAAAGUUGGACCAGUCUUUCAAUUCACAAGAAGAUGAUGAUAUAUAUGUAUGCACAAUUUAUCGUGAUGGAUAUAAUGCAAAGAAGUUAAAAUUAUACAUAAAUUCUCACCAUCAUUUCUAUCAUUGAUGCAUUCUUAUAUGGACUUGUUGUAAACUCUUGUAAAAAAUUUAAAUACAACAACCACAUAGUUUGAAAUUCCAAUGCACUUCUCAUAUCAUAAAGAGAUAGAGAGUUAUAGAGUUUUUUGUAUUCCUCUUUUAGAGAUAUAGAGUUAGAGUUUUUUUUAUGGGAAAUGAUAUUUUAACACCAUUUUUUGACACUAUUUUGACACUGCACACGUGUCAAAAUGUGGUUGGAAGAGAAAAACUAAAGUUUUUUUUUUAAUUUGAAAUCAUCCAAUCAUAUUUUGACACGUGUGCAGUGUCAAAAAAAUGGUGUUAAAAUAUCAUUUUUCUUUUUUUUUUUGUAUAUCUUUUGUAAUCGUACUUUUAUAGUGAAAAUCUUUUUACUGGACAAGGUCCCGUGGUUUUUCCCGAAAGGGUUUUCCACGUAAAAAUAUUGGUGUUAUUUUCUUCUCUACUUUUUAUUUUAUUUUAUUUCAAUAACAAAAAUUAUUAAUAUAAAUAGAAAAUUAAAGUAUUCCAAGUUUUUUACAAGAAAAAAAAACCUAUAACUCUCACAUUUUUUUAUUAAAAUAAUUUGGAGUUUAAAAAUAAUUUUGUAAAAAUUUAUCAAGUUAAGAGUGUAGACGGUGUUAAUAAAAUUUGAAUUUUUUCUGCAAGGAUUAAGGUUACAAGUUUUUUUUUUAUAUAAUAUGCUCUAUAGCGUUUCCUUUGUCAGAUCAUCACAUUCGAUUAUUUUCUUUACAGAUUUUGUUUUCAGUUCCAUCAUCUUUCUCCUUUAUAUCUUUUCUUUCCCUCUGUUAUUUCUCUCCCAUUUUUAUAAUUAUAUGCUUCACAAAUAGAAUUAUAUAUAUAUAUAUAUAUAUAUAUAUAUAUAUUAAAACUCAAAAUUCAAAAUUUAAAAAUAUUUAAAUUAUUUUAACAAACAUAACAUUUAAGAAAAUAAUUUUAGCUUUAUCCAACCAGAAUUUAAAAAGAAAGAAGUUCAAGUAAUUCAAAUAAUGUAUUUCAAAUGCAAGAUAGUCUGUACUUGACUUGAGAGAGCCAUCCAUUUACGUACAUACCUUUAUGCAAUUAGGUUCCUUAACAUACUUUUCUGUAGUGUGGGGAAAUCUUUUUUUUAAUUUUCUUUAAUGGAAUUUUUCACAUAGAUAUGUCAUUAUUGGAUAUAUCAUAUAUAUUUGAUUAAAAUUCAAUCCAGACUGACGUUGCUUUUAACAUCUAAAAAUAUGUGUUUGAGUUUUUUUUCUUUGUUAUAUAAAACGUUGAGAGGAGUAAAAUUACAGAUUUAUUAAAACCAAAAGAAUAAAGUUAUCAAUUUAUAUUGAAUGGUCAAAUUUUUAGUAUUAAAACGAAGUAUAAAUAUAACAAAAAUGUUUUCCCAUACAAGAUGUCCAAAAUGUUAAAACAGUGAAAAGAAUUUCGGUAGAGGUAAGUAACACAAAAUUAUCACAAGUACAAUAGUUGUAAUACUAGUGCAGUCUUUAACGUCAUCCUUUAAACGUUGGACCACAAAAUAUUCAACGUAAAUUAUUGACCGGUGGCAUUUUUGUAAAUAAAUGGUCAUAUAGACAUUGGUUAGUAGGGUCCCCGACGUCUAUAAUUUUAUAGACGUCGGGUCUCUCCUAGCCGCCGUCUACGGGAUUGAUAGGUAGGUGAAAAAUUCAUUUUUUUCUGUCAUAUAAACCCCGCCAGUAAGACGUCUAUAGUCAUAUAUAGACGUUUGGCCCCCUUGUAACCGACGUCUAUACGUCAAAUGGCCUAAGAGGGUAGGUGAAAAAAUUGUUUUGGAUGUCGGCUCCCCUUACAUUCGACGUCUAAAUGGCCUAACAGGAUAGAUGGAAAGUUGUCUUAGACAUCGACUCCCCCUAGAUCCAACGUCUAUACACACCACGAAUAUUGAUUUUUAAUUCGAAUGGACUUCACAUUAGUCAGGUCACCGACCUCUAGUCGGCCACUAGGGGAUCCGACGUCUAGAUUCCUGUUAAAUCAGAAUUCGCAAACCUGCGGUUACGCGCAUAUCAUCGUCUUCCUCCUCACCUUUUCUCUUCGCGACAUUGCAUCUCAGGUGCGUUUUAUCUCUUUUGAACAGUUUAAACUUACUUUUACUCCGAUUAAAGUAGUCUUUGAUGGAUUAUCUUCUAUUUGAACCGAUUAAAAUAAUUUUUUGUUGUGUUUUAGUACAGUUUUGCUCGUGUCUUUCUGUAACGUAGUAGCACCUUCUCCUUUUGCUAGCUCCCUCGUAAGAAAAGUUGCGUCUUUUGGAUCUCUUAUGCCAUUUCAACCCAAAAUCGAACUUGGGUCCUUGCCUAGUUCUCAUGUUACCAUACUUUUUUUUUAUUGGCAGUUGGAAUGGAACUAGACAAAGACCCAGGUUCGAUUUUGGGUUGAAAUGCCUUAAGAGAUCCAAAAGACGCAAGCUUUUCUUAUGAGGAAACUAGCAAAGGGAGAAAGUGUUACUAGGCUAUCCAAAGACGCGAGCAAAACUGCACUAAAACACAACAGCUCAGUAGACAUCGGUCGAUGCCAUUUCCGACGUCUAUAUGCCUUUUAAACGUCGGUUAGUGACAUGUCUGACGUCUUUAUAGUGCCCUUAGACGUCGGACAUGACACUAACCGACGUCUUUAUAGUGUCCUUAGACGUUGGUUAGUGUCAUGUCCGACAUCUUUAUAGACAUUAGAUUCUAUAAGUCUGAUGCCUCAUUAACGUCACCGAUAAAGACGUCAGAUUGGGAUCUGACGUUAAAAGUCCAAAAUAACAUACGUCUAAAGUCCUUUCUGUACUAGUGUAAUGUAUUAUUAAUAGAUAUGUUCAAAAUUAUCACAAGUACUGUAAUGUAUUUUGGUUGUAAUGAAAUUUUGAUGUUAAGGAAAUAUCUUUAUCUUAGUUGAUCAUUUUAUAGAUACAUAGUUUUGCGCCAUGGAAAAUUGUUUGGACUUGAUUCCAAAAGUAUUGCUGCAAACGAUGCUGUUAAUGAAAAUGCAGAGGCUUUAGCUAAAGCUUGGAGUGAAUACAAUAAUCCCAGGUCUGUUGAGGGGAAAAAAAAUCCUAUAACUUGUCUUUGAAAUUUUUAUGCUGCUUUUGAUUCCUUAUGUUUUCUUUGUAUCCAUGCAGGGCUGUGAUUAUGAUUAUUGUUCAAGCUGAAGAACGAAACCUGUUGUUGUCAACAUGAUUUAAUAACCCGGGUCCAAUCUUUAUUAGCGGAACAGUAUGAAAUUCAUUCAUCAAUAAAAUAAUGCAAUAUUGCUUAUAUCAUAUUCUUAUCUUUAAAGCUUCCAAUGAAGCAUCCACCAACCACCAUAAUAUCUGAACUGAAUGAAAUCCACUGGUUUUUCAUCAGUUCUGCAUCUGUUACUGUCAUUUGCUAAACAAGGAUUUGUGAUAUAUUGUCUUUUAUUUUGAAAAGCUUUGGCAAAUGGCAUUGUUAGUAUUGAACUGUGGUAGUGUCUUUUGUGAUCAAUUUAUGAAAAAAGUGAGGUAAAAACAAGAAGAAAGUGGUAAAACACUAAACUUGCUUCAAUGGAAUAACUGACCUUUCUGAAAUCAUCUCAAGAAAACAGUGUAUUGGCAAUGAAAGCUAUGUUACAAUUAUCAUUAGCUAAUGAUGGUUUUUUCUGUCACUCCACCCAUAUUCACGAGCUCGAUUUUCCCACAUUGUUGUCAGCCUUCGUUCUUCAAUGAGCUCUGCCUCUGCCCUCUGCCUUGCUUCUUCACAAGUUUCCAUUCCAAUGUUGCACUUUUCUGCUUCUUUCUUGUACUGUGAAAAGGUUUUCUUGGCAUCCAUUACUAACCUUUUCGUGUGUUCCAAGCUCUCCUUCGCCACUACUUUCUGCAAAUUUAGCUCCUCAGAUAGCAUUGCCAAUAGACCCUUAUUCAUUUCCUCAUUCAAAACAGGAUCACGUUUACCACAAUCUACACUUGCAUGAGUCAAGUUUCAUAUUAAAAAUUGAACCCUUUAUGCAUCAAAGUAAAUAAGCGUGGAGUAAAGCAAAUUGUUUUGUGAAACGUUUCAACAAGUAGAAAUUCAAGAGAUGAAUUUACCAGAAACUGAGCCAUUGGCGAGUCCUGCAAAAGUCAGCAACAUUGUUGAGAAAUAAACCAAUAUAUUAUAUUAAAGAAUUUAAAUACCAUACAUACAUACAUACAUAUAUAUAUAUAUAUAUAUAUAUAUAUAUAUAUAUAUAUAGAUUAACUAAAUAUGUGGCAACACAAGCUACACUUAUGACACUAGGCUUAAUAUUAAGUAUGUUGUUGGAUAUAUCGAAGAGGAAGUUCACAGAUAAAGAUACCAUGCUAAUGAGAUCUAAACCUAACUACAUAAGAGAUUAGAGAUUGACAACUUUUUAUUCAAAACCUUAAAAUAAUGGGUUAACGAGUCUUUCACUUAUAUUCAAUAUUAUACUUUCUUAUUUUUAUCUAAUGUGAGUCUUGAUCUAAGACUUGGAUUCCCAAGGUAAAUCCUCCAAUGCCUCAAUUUUCUUUGGUUCUUCCCUUUUAAGACCAAAGGUAGAACCAAGAUUUCAAGAUUUCCAAUUGAUGUAUGGAUGAAAUAGCAGAAAUAAGAAAAGUUUAGCUUUCUACAUUAUUAAGGAUUAAAGAUAUAGUGGCUCUAAUCCUUUAUACAAAGUCAGUAUUUUUCUGAUGAUUUUUUUCAAAAAAGGAUACAAAGUGCAGAAGGCAGUUCCUCUGCAAAUUGCUGCAGAUGUGGCAACUCCAUAUUCAGAAUAGCUCAGCACUGGAAACAAUAAAUGCUAGCUAAUUGCUAUACCUAUUCUCUAUGCCCACACCAUUUUCCAUUUUCAAACACACAAGGGUUACUUCUGUCUUUUUCUUGUAAUUGCAUCAAAUCAAACUUGUUUCUUUUUUUUGACUUGAAGACCAAAAUUGCUACAUUACACAGAAACUAAAAAAGGAAACUUCACUCACCCAAAGGAUCGAGGAGAUAUUCUGCUGAAGAGCAGUGACAAUCACAGGGAGGACAAGAAAAUUGAGGAGGUGCACUCUUCUUAACCAGCGACCGAGACGGCGGACCAACCGUAAACAGAAACAAACACACACUCAUCCAAACUAAAACCCACCUCAAAACACCAUGAGGACAAAGCUUUUGCUCUGGUAAGUGAACCCUCCACACCCUCAUUACAAACUCAAAACAGUUACUUCAACAAUUCUUGAUAGAAGGCUCCUGCAACAAUGCAACACUCACACUGCCAUUUGAAGAUCUGGGUCAGUGAGUUAGCAAGUAUGGAACAACACUUUGUUGGAUACCGAGAUAAAUAAAGGAUGUGACUUUGUGAAGUUGCGAGAGAAAACCACCUUUAUCAAGGGAAAAAUUUUACAAAACGAGAUCAUAGACGCUGAAUUUGACUGUAAAACACAAUGAUUGACAGAGAAACACUUCAGUUUCAUAAACUAUCACACAUAGUCUCUCUCUUUUCAAAGCGAGUGGAAGACACUGUCUACUUUGUCUUUCGGGAAAAUUAAAGGAGACCCAGAUCCCGGAAAAGUGUAAAGAUGGUGUCUUUAUGGGGUUUGCAAAACGGGAAUUUGCUGCUGAAGAGUGGGGUAGAAAUUGAAUAAUGAGAAAGAAAAAGAAUGGUGAUGUUGCGGCUUUAGGAUAAUCAAGAAGGUUGCUUUAAUGAUUGGUUUGGUUUGGUUUGUUUGUUUAAAUGAGAACGGUAACCUUGACAUUUUGAAACUUUGUUAACCAAUAAGGAGGAGUUAGUACUAGGUAGGUUAUGUUUUGUUAUGCCCCGUUUGGUUAUUCCGUAACACUCGUAUGUGAACUUAAACUAAAGUGAUUAACCAACCGUAUGUGCCCUGUAAGUUUGGAACGGUGCAACUGAAAGAUUCUUUGUUGCUACUCUCUUAGGUAGAUACCUUCCACUUGGUCUGUGUUGCGCACGUGCAUAGCUGCAAAAUUUUCGGGCUGUUACGAUAAAGACAAAGGCAAAUGGAACGUUGUAGGUUUUCAGUUACCAUGUUUGUUUAAGGAUUGGUUAAUUAAAAGAUUAACAUCAGAAUGGAAUUUUAGAUCGGAGGGAAAACAAACUAUAAAUGUUAUAUUUAAAAAUUAUAAUUCAAUUUAUAUUAUAUGUUUUGAUAAAUAUAAAUAUAUUGUGAUCAUGUUAUAAAUCAAUAUUUAGGAACAUGUUUAUUAGUAGUUAACUAAUUUUAAAUAUACAAUAUUAUAUUUAAAUAUAAUAAACUGUUUGGUUUGACUCUAUUUUCAAUUUAAGAAAAAUCUAAUGAAAACUCGGUAUGUUUUAUUUUUUUAUCUGAAUUUUAACCCAUCCAUUAAAUAUUAUUUACUAUGGUAGGAGUAUCAAAUAAUGGACACUGAUGCCAACACUGGAGCAACUAAUUAAUGUGUGUGAACAACGAACUUAAAUAUAACAGAGUUGAUCGAAUUUAUUGAACAGCGCCACCUAAUUACUUUUUUCAACCUCAAAACCCUAAGCAAAAACAACGUAACAGAACACCCAAUUCAAUUCAUUUUUACUUUAUCUAUUUUGGAAUCUCCAUUAAGUCCACCGGCCCACUUUUCUGCCUUUGGUAUCAAUGCUUUUUAAAAGUAAAUUCUAUUUUUAUGGAUUUCUAUAUAAAAGCCUACAAAGAAAGAUAAAAAUCAAUGAAAUUAGUUAUUUUUAAUAUGGUAAAUAUUCAUUAACUGUCAAAUACUUUACAUAUUAUGAAUUAAACAAAUUUGACGAAGUUAAAAAUAUAUAAUAAAUACAAAUACUAAGAACAUUCUUCCAUAUGUACAUGGUAGUUCAAAUGAUGCAUGGUAGUUCUGCUUGUAUCGAAGAAAAUAAAAUCGGCUGCAGUGGGACUCAGCAAUUAAAUGGAUAGAAGAAUUACAAUACCAUGUCAAUAUCAAAAUCAUAAUUAGUUAUCACUAAUAUACCAUUAAAUUUGAAAUAUUUUAGUUUUUUAUUAACAGACAUUGAAAUUGAUCUUUAAACGGCAAGAUAUACUAAAUAAAAAAUGGCAAGUGUUUAUGUUGUGCAAAUAUCACAUGACUCACUUAUUUGCAAUUCUUUCUUUUUCUGUCAAAUUGAUUCUCAGUGUCCAAUUUUGUAUUUUUCAGACAACCCUGCUCUUACAUGAUUUAUAGGUAUAUUCAACAAAAAAAAAAAAAAAGUGUAAAUCAGUACAAAUCCAGAGGAAAUUUUGACAUCAUGAAAGAUCCAGAAUGAUAUCCAAUAUUCACAAACAUCAAGAAUAAAAAAGUGAGUACAAAGUCGAGAAACACUGUAUAUUAGGCUCUCCUAAAUUCUGUCAUGAUGCAUUCAUAUUAUGCAUUCACAAAUCAACCAUUCAUUAUGCAUUCACAAAUCAACCAUUCAUUAUGCAUUCACAAAGCAACCAUUCAUUAUGCAUUCACAAAGCAACCAUACCUACAAUUGAAUGCCAAGCUUAUGAUGAUGAUGAAUGAAUGAUUAGAGCAGCUAACUAAGAAGGAACAACCGUUAAUCACCUGGUCCUUUCCCUUCUUAAAUUCCCUCUGUUUUGGAAAUGAAAUUUUCUUUCUUAAAACAAAGAACAACCUACUGUCCAAUAAAUGUUAACUACGAAACCCAACCCGGAAGCUAGCUAUGCACAGUCAAAGAAUUUGUCUCGUCAAGUUUAUCCACAUUGUCAUCAUCAGAAUCAGGAAGAGGAUCGAAAAAAGAAUCAAGGUACCAGGAACAUCGAUCGUUCCACUCACCCUUGUUGGCACAGGCUCGCCAUUUCUGAUCAGCUAUCAUAUCAGGAGAGAGACCCCACUCAAGCAGUUCUUCGUCUGCGUGAUGAACUGCCAAACUGUACUCUCCACCACUCCCCAACUGUAACACGCGGAACUCACCGUUUUCAAAAUUUCUCAGAAGCUCAAACUGUUCAACUGUCCAUUUGAACCACUUCAUCAUGAAAACACGAGAUGCCAGUCCAUGUGACACAAUUAUCAAAUUCAGAUCAUCAGAAGGAUCGUGGUUUAGUCUGUUCAUGUCAACAUCCCUCCACAGAGAUUCGAGGAAACCUGCAAAACAACAAAAUAUGUCUGAAAUCAUAAUGUCUUCUUUAGCCCCUUUCAACCAAAAAAUCACAAUUUGAACUAACAGCGGUUUAAAACUUAACUAUAAUCAAUCCAGUUUAUUCAAAUAUGCAUUUUAAAAUUUUCAUUCCCAGUGUGCACCACAAGUCCAAACCAACUAUUGUUUAGAUUUAAAAUCAAGAUGAAUCACGAUAGAGAAUAAUGAAACAUGAGUUUUUCACAUUGCAUGUACGACACCACCAUCCAAUAAAUAAAUUGCAACAGGUUCACAUAAUUUUAUCACAACCAAUUAAAAAUCAAACCUACUACUAUUCGAUUUCGAAUCAAUUGACAGUGAAGUUAAACCCGUAUUUCAUUCCAAUCCAUUUCAUCCGAACUCAAUUAAUCUCUUUUGCUCAAUCCAAACAAAUAACCUCCUAAAUGCUUAGCCUAUUUACCUAAUUCUUGUCUUCGAACAUUUAAUCAAUAAUAUCUGUACAUUCAGCCCUAACUAUUGCGAAAAUUGUAGUUAAUUCCAGGAAACGACGAGAAACAUUCAAUUUUGAUUUGCGACAGAAGAGACAAUGAGCGAGAGAGAGAGAGAGAGAGAGAGAGAGAGCAUACUGGAAACGCGAUCGAAGACGUCGGCGGCGGAUUCUCCUUCUGGAAACCGAUAGAAGAAUCUGCCGAAGCGUUGUCGAGUCUCCUUGAUGACGUUCAUGUGUUCCUGCACCUGGAAGUUGCCGAAGUCCUGUUCGCGUAUGCGGCACUCUUCCCUGACUCCGAUGACGCGCUUCCUAGAGAAGGAGCGACCAAUCUCCCGUAGCGUGGAUCGGGUGCGGGCGUAAGGAGAGACGUAGAAGUAGACGCGCCAAUUGGUGGAGCCUCCGCCAGCGAUGAGGUGGCGCAUGCGCGCCCCGGCGUGUCGCGCCUGUGCAAUGCCUUGCGUUGUCAACUGGAUCUUAGGGUCGGGCGUUGUAUCGUAUGCGGCGGGGUCGUUGUUCCCCUGCGACUCCCCGUGACGCACCAGAAUUAUUCUCUUCGGUAACACUGCUCUAUGACCAUCCCUCUCCCUCAUUUCCCCCUCACUGCUCUUUUCCCUAACUUUCACUGCGUAAUCCCCAAAUUAUGUUUCAUUGUGUUACCAUUCAAUUCUCCUCAACUACUUUUGUUCUUCUAUUCUUUUGCAACCAAAAUACUUCCCUGCAUUUCAAUCACCACUUCUUUCAGUGUGGGCUCUCUAUCACAUCUCAAACUAUCAUUAUCCUUUAUUAUAUGACCCACCUUUAGGUACCUUUACUUUAUACUAUUUUAUUUUUUAUAAUUAAGUAUUGAUUUAAAGUUAUUAUAAUUAUUGGAAAAAAAUGUUAAAUAUUGUUAAAUUAUAAAUUAAGUUUUUCUUUUUUCAUAAUGAUGUUCUUGAAUGCUCUCACCAUAUUACAAUUUAAUAGUUAUUUCCCCACUCAAUUUAGUGGUCUAUAAAUAUGGUAUUCAUAACUUAACAUUCUUUUUUAAUAUUCAGAGUCUUGUGUAUGAUUCCAAUUUAAUUUUAAAAUUGUGUUCUAAAAUGAACUUAGAAGAGAGUGAAUAAAUAGCUAUUACAAAAAAAAUCACCUUUCAAAUAGGAAAAAAAAUUAAUAAUUUUCUUUUACAACUUUUUUAAGUGGUUUGAUAUUGGUCUAUUUUAAAUAUUUCUAAAUAACUAUUAUAAAUAAGAAAAUGUAUUUUUAAUAAAAAAAAUUGACAAUUUUUUUAUAAUUGUUUACAUGACAAUUUGUGAUUUGUUCUUUUCAAAUAUAAGAACCAAUAAAAUAGUGAUACAUCUGUCAAAAAGUUAUUAAAAAUGUUGUUAAAAUACAUUAUGCUUGUAAAUAAACUCACCUUUCAAAUGAAUUAAAUACCAUUUUCAAUACACUUGAGCACAUUAUCCUUAACAGAUAAUGAUAUUUAGAUAAUAUUUUUUUUUACAAUACUUCUUUUGACAAUAUUUGAACAUCGUUUACGUGUCAUUCUGUGAUUGGUUCAUGAUAGUAUUUAUGAUUAUUAUUAUUGAUUGUGAAGUAAUUUCGGACCAAUCAUAAAAUAAUACGUAGAUAAUAUUCAAAUAUUAUUAAAAAAAUUGUCCUAAUAUCAUUAUCCUUAGCGAUAUCUCCUUCCGGGGCAAAUCCAUGAAUGGCUUCCAUUUGUCUGUAAAGGAAAAAAAAUUAAAAAUCAAUAUGCCUAUCGAUACUUUGUUCAUUCCAAAAACAAUACCCUUUUCAUGAUGAAGCAUCCCAACUACUGAGUUUUAUUAAUUUGUGGUUGUUCAAAAGUUAUUAUACAUCAACAAAUAUCUUAAUACUUGGUUUAUAUUAAGUUUGACGAUUUAUAACUUUCAAAAAAUCUUGUGAUCAGCUCAUAUAAUCCCCCAAAAAUGUUAAAGGAUUAAGGAAUUUAGUAACAGGUGAGGGUUGAUGAUUAGUGUAAAGACAAGGUGACGUACAAGAAAGAGGAAAUGAGACCUGAAUUGCAUCCUUAUUAAAAAUAAAUAUUUCAGAAGGAUUUGUAUUAGUAGUAUUAUUAAGUAAACUAUAGAAACCAUUCCAAAAAUAGGUGGAAAAAGUUCCCACUAAGAGAGAAUUACAUAGGAAGUAAUUGCGUUAAAUAAUUAGUUAUAAGAAAUAAAUCAUCAAAAAAAAGUUUAGUUCUUUACUCUCUUUUUUUCUCUUUUGAAGUCAGGUUGGAUUAAGAAGUUAAAUGCUUAUUAUUUUAUGAUAUUUUAACAGUAUUUUCUUUAAUAAAAUAAAGCAUGCUUUAUUAAGUAAUAAGAAGCUUUAGAAUAAAAAAUUGUUAAGAUAAGAUUGUUUGUAAGACUGAAUUUUCUAAAUAUCUUCAUAUAUUUUGAAGUUUAAAAAAUAGUAAUAAUUGAAAUGAGCAUAUGACAAAGUGUUAUUUUUGAAAAAAUAAUAUAAUUGAAAGAUAAAUGUUUUAUGAAAAAACUCUAUGAAAUUUAAAUGUUUUAAAGAAAAUUUUUAGUAAAUACACUAAUAAAUAUAUGAGAAGAUGCACUAUUAAAAAAAUUUCUCACAAAUUAUAUGAGAGUCUUGCUAAACACACUCGUGCUAUACUUUAAUAAGUAAUGUUAGACGAUCUCUCAUUAUGAUAUAAAAAUGAUGUUUGUUUAGUAAACGUACUAAACGGUACAAAUAUUAUUCGAAAGAUGUGUUAAAAGAUAUCUCAUUAAAUGUGCUCUUUAAUUAACGAGUAAUAACUAAACAAGACAUGGUUAGGAAAAGCCUAGCCUAGGCUAAAUGAUAUCAUGUGUUAAACAAAGUUUUCAUCUAACAAUGAAACUCUCAUGAAUUGCUUGGUAUCUUUACUGGAAUGCUUUAACAAUCAAAUGCUACUUUGACAAUGAAAGUUUUGAAAAACAUAUAGUUAUUCUGAAUGUGCAUUAAAUGACCUUAAAUGCACAAUGCUUAAGAACAAAAAAAGUGAUAAGAAAAAUGACAUAUAUGCCUACAUACAUAUCUACUCUACUAUGUGCAAAUUACCUAUUUCAAGCAUCCACCUGCACUAUCAUAUACAAGUCAAAAGUGAACAUUAGAGACAAAGAAGACAUUCACAGAAUGUUCUCUUUAUCAAAAGUCGCGCCAAAGAGUUCAUACAACCUACUUUUGAUAAAGUAAUGAAAAAACAUGCCUACUUUGAUAAGUUGACUUUAACCUGCGAUUAUUACCUACGACAAGGCUAAGAAGACCCAAAGAUCAAAGCAAGUACCAUCUAACGAACAUUUUCUUGAAGCCUAUAAAUUGAAGAACAUUGAAGAAAAGAACAAAAGGAUAAGCACAUGGACAUAAAAGAAAAUAUUUGGGAAGAAAAGCAAGCUCAAGAGAAAAGAAAAAGCUUCAUAGAAUCAUAAGCUUACUAUUGUAAGAAGAGAGAAAACUCUAAGAGUUUGUUAGAUUGAAUUGUACUGUGUACACAUCCUCUCUGCGAGAGUAAUCGUCUAAGGACUUGUAAGCAAUCUGAUUGAUUGAAAAUUUUGAAGAGAAUUCAAACUCUUAACGCUUAACUCAAUGGGGUUAAACGAUAGUUAGAUGGGUUUGUCUAGUGAAAACCAAGAGUGGAUGAAACUCAACUAGACAGUGUAUCGGGAAGAUCCUAGGAGUGUCUAGAGAUACCACUAGGAGUAGUGAAGAAUACUACACAACCAGAAGUGGGCGAAACUUGGUUAUAGUUAGAGUAACGGGGGUUAUUGGAUUGACUAAGUGAUGCUAAGAGUGGUGCGAAUAAUCAGUUGUAAACUUGUUAAAAAUUAUUACGGAACCUUCUAAAAGGUCUCAGAGGAGAACCAAACGUAGCUUAAUGGAGUGAACGAGUUUAAAAUAACUAUGUUUAUUACUUCAGUCUUGCCAAACGCUUUCCUUACAAACUCUACAGUUGCUUAUUGCAUUAACCGUUUACAACAACUUUCGUCACCAAACGAGAUUAAGAGUUAUCUUUCUUAAAACGUUGCAGCAGAUCAGUUGUAAAAUAUUUAUUUGUAAAUAUGCAGUUUGAACUUAACUUUCAAAGUCAAGUGUUUAACAACUUAUACAAAUCGUUUAAUCUUUGACAAGAUUAUUAAACUAUCUUUUCGACGAAAAGUAUUUCUAUAAUGCUAUUCAAUUCUCUUUUCUAAUGUUUUCCAAGUAUUUCAGAAAAAUGUUAGACUAUUAAUAAUUUAAUUGUUUAAUACUUAAUUAACACCAAUCAUGUAGAGUUUGGUGUAUUUAGGAUGUGUUGGCUUUAUAAAAUUUACUAUUGGCAAUAAAGUGAUAAUUACUCACUUAGAUUGAUUUUUUCAAGUUCAUUUGCACAUGUUUAGAAGAGAAGAUUUUAAGGAUGGAAGAGAAGAUUUUAAGGAUGGAAGAGAAGAUUUAAGGGAUGAAAGAGAUAAGAGAUCUUUGAGGAGGUAUAAGGGUGAAGAGAACCUAUAGUAGUGCUUUUAUCAAAGUAUUAAUUCCUUUUCCCCCAAAUGGUAUACUUUUUGUUUGCAAAUUACCAUAAUGGACAGGUUUUAAACAAAUUACAUAGGUUGAGGUAAUUUGUGUCCAACUAACAUAACUUCAACACUUUUUUUUUUUGUGAAUGUCAAGAGCUACGAUAACAACUUGGAAUUUCAAUUUUCAAAGUCAAAAGUAUUGCAAGGAGCAUGCCUUCAACUACUAAAAUCUCGAGCAAUGAAUAUAUAUAUAUAUAUAUAUAUAUAUAUAUAUAUAUAUAUAUAUAUAUAUAUAUAUAUAUAUAUAUAUNNNNNNNNNNNNNNNNNNNNNNNNNNNNNNNNNNNNNNNNNNNNNNNNNNNNNNNNNNNNNNNNNNNNNNNNNNNNNNNNNNNNNNNNNNNNNNNNNNNNNNNNNNNNNNNNNNNNNNNNNNNNNNNNNNNNNNNNNNNNNNNNNNNNNNNNNNNNNNNNNNNNNNNNNNNNNNNNNNNNNNNNNNNNNNNNNNNNNNNNNNNNNNNNNNNNNNNNNNNNNNNNNNNNNNNNNNNNNNNNNNNNNNNNNNNNNNNNNNNNNNNNNNNNNNNNNNNNNNNNNNNNNNNNNNNNNNNNNNNNNNNNNNNNNNNNNNNNNNNNNNNNNNNNNNNNNNNNNNNNNNNNNNNNNNNNNNNNNNNNNNNNNNNNNNNNNNNNNNNNNNNNNNNNNNNNNNNNNNNNNNNNNNNNNNNNNNNNNNNNNNNNNNNNNNNNNNNNNNNNNNNNNNNNNNNNNNNNNNNNNNNNNNNNNNNNNNNNNNNNNNNNNNNNNNNNNNNNNNNNNNNNNNNNNNNNNNNNNNNNNNNNNNNNNNNNNNNNNNNNNNNNNNNNNNNNNNNNNNNNNNNNNNNNNNNNNNNNNNNNNNNNNNNNNNNNNNNNNNNNNNNNNNNNNNNNNNNNNNNNNNNNNNNNNNNNNNNNNNNNNNNNNNNNNNNNNNNNNNNNNNNNNNNNNNNNNNNNNNNNNNNNNNNNNNNNNNNNNNNNNNNNNNNNNNNNNNNNNNNNNNNNNNNNNNNNNNNNNNNNNNNNNNNNNNNNNNNNNNNNNNNNNNNNNNNNNNNNNNNNNNNNNNNNNNNNNNNNNNNNNNNNNNNNNNNNNNNNNNNNNNNNNNNNNNNNNNNNNNNNNNNNNNNNNNNNNNNNNNNNNNNNNNNNNNNNNNNNNNNNNNNNNNNNNNNNNNNNNNNNNNNNNNNNNNNNNNNNNNNNNNNNNNNNNNNNNNNNNNNNNNNNNNNNNNNNNNNNNNNNNNNNNNNNNNNNNNNNNNNNNNNNNNNNNNNNNNNNNNNNNNNNNNNNNNNNNNNNNNNNNNNNNNNNNNNNNNNNNNNNNNNNNNNNNNNNNNNNNNNNNNNNNNNNNNNNNNNNNNNNNNNNNNNNNNNNNNNNNNNNNNNNNNNNNNAUAUAUAUAUAUAUAUAUAUAUAUAUAUAUAUAUAUAUAUAUAUAUAUAUAUAUAUAUAUAUAUAUAUUUUAAAUUAGAAGUGGUGUGCCAAUAACGUAACGAGUAAAAUCGUUACAUUAGAGCACAACUUUAUAAACCAAUUUUUGUUAGAAAUGCAUAACACUUCACCAAAUUCAUUUUGUUAGCAAACCUCUAUUAUGUUAGCAUGCAUUGUAGUGAGAGUUCUUCCAAUAUUUUCACUUUCACCUUUUUUUUUUUCUCUUUAAAUUAAACAAAUACAAUUUUGUGUUUUUUAUUCUCUCAAAUUAAUCCUAUUACUCUUUCUCAAAUUCUCUCUCAAGAACUAAAAUCCUUAAAUUUUCUUUAAAAUUACGUGAUGAAUUUGAUAAAUUAAAAAAUUAUUUUAAUUGAUAAUAUAUUAAAAAAUUAUUUUAAUUGAUAAUAUAUUAAAAAAUUAUUUUAAUUGAUAAUAUAUUAAAAAUUUAUUUUAAUAGAUAAUAUUAUAUGAUUAACGUUUUAUAGUGACUCAUAAAAUUAGAUUAUUAUUAUUAUUACUAUUUUUAUAUCAUUAUUAUAUUGCAUUACUAAUAUCCUUUCUAUUUUAUAAUUUUCUUUAAUAAUAAAAAUUAUUAUUGUUAUUACUUAUUAUUGAUUUUAAAUUCUCAUUAUUAAGAUUUUUUAUAUUAUUAUUAAUAUUUUAAUUAUUUCUCUUCCUUUUUUUUUUUUUCUCUUUGGUUGGUGUGUUUGUAUCUCAAUUGAAAAAAAGAAAAAACUAGAGUAAAAAUGUAAAUGUCAUAAAACUUACUUUAUUUCAUUAUAUUAAAAACUUGGAGACGCGGGGAAUCGAACCCCGUGCCUCUCGCAUGCGAAGCGAGCGCUCUACCAUAUGAGCUACGUCCCCUUGAUAAAAGUUUUCCAAACUAUACUUAAUAAUUUUUAAUAUAUUGAGAACAUGAAAAUGGCAAACAGAUUUUAAUUCGGAAAUUUUGGUUGAAAUCAAAUAUGUUAUGUAUAACAUUUAUUUAAUUUUAAACGCAUAUAAUUAAAGUAAGUCAUAAAAAUACUUAGCACGGAAGAUAAUAAAUAAAGCAUGCUUAGAUCAUGUUUACUUUGCAUCUUCUUCUACGCUUACGUUUGUUUAAAACUUAAUUUAUAUAAAAAAUAUUCUUUUUGUUUUUUAUAAAUAUCUUUUAACAAAAAUUUACUGUACUUCAAAUUUAUUCUGUUUUUUUUACUCAUGUUGACUAUUUUGAGUGGUAGAGAUAAUAAACAUAUUUCACUAGACAUUCUAUCAUAGUUUUGAUUAUUAUUCAUAACAAAAAUCUUAUGCCGAAUAUUAAUGUAGUUCUAGACUUAAAAUAUCAAUAUUGCUAAUUAAAUUUAAAUAACCUUUUGAUAAUUAGUUGAUAUACUCGAUUAUUUUUUCAUUACCUUAUGAAUCAUUUGAUAAAUUGUUGAUUAUUAUAUAAUUAUAAUUCAGUAUUAAUGUAUAAUUGAUUACAUGUGAUAUUCCUAAUCUGGGGACAAUUUUAAAGUAUGGUAAUCAAUUUAUCACACAACACAAUCAAUAAUUUUCAUAAAGAAAUGUUUGCAAUGUUGAAAUUUGGUUCAGUAAGUUUCAUAUAAUCUAUGGACAUUCUAUCAUAGUCUUAACAAUUUUUUUGUUUCAAUAUAUAAAAGUAAAUUAAUUUAUUGAAAGAUAAGAAAUUAAACCAAAUGCAAUCGAAAAUAUAAAAUAUCAAAUAUCAAAUUGAUAAUAUGACCAUUUAAACCUCUAAUAAUUAUUUUUCCUUCUCUUUUCUUUUCAGCAAAUAUUAUUCUUAAAUCAUGACACAUAAAAAUAUAACUACUUAGAGUAGUGAAUUAACUUUAUAAAUAUUAUAAAUAUGGGUAAUGAUACAUAGACAACAUUUUUUGACAACAUUUGAACAUCAAUCAUACGUGUCAUUGUGUGAUUGGUCCAAAUGACACAAUGAUACUACCAUGAACCAAUUACACAAUGACACGUAUGAUGAUGUUCAAAUGUUGUAAAAAAAUGUUGUCUAAGUAUCUUUAUCCUAUAAAUAUUUGUUGACUAAUUAACAACUUUUUUGUACACAUGAUAUCCUUUAUAAUGGCCCAAAAGUUUUAUUUAUAUGAUCUAUUAUUGGUAUUUUUUUUACAAAUUAAAUAGAUAAUAAAUACUUCCCCCUAGUUAUUAGAUUCUGUUGUCAUAAGACUAUGAGUAUUCAAUAGUAAUUAAUAUCAGAUCUUUUCCAUAUUAUUAUACAAAACAUAGUAAUAAUUAUUGUGGUAAAAAAAGUUGAUCACCAGAAAAAAAAAUUAAAAGUUUUAACCAAAAUAAAUAAGAAUAAUAACUUCAUUUAAAUAUUUAAACAAUAUAUUAGGUUUAGUAGAUAUUCAAUUUAAAGUAAAAAAUAAUUAGUAUUUAAAGUAAAAAAAACAUAUACAAUGACUUAAACUUAUUUAUGAUGAAUAAUGGAAUACAAUUGCCUCCAAUUCAGGAGGGAAGGAAAAACUGGAGCGCAAGGAGACUUUUGGCCCAGUUACGAAUAAAAAACCAUAAGCGUAGAACACGCUUUGUCACGUCUCAAAUCUCAAACCUCAAUCUUCAUUCCUCGCUGAUUCCAUUCACAUUCCAUUUUUCUCAACUCGUAUAGCACUUCUGUUUCCGUUUUGCUCCUCAGCAACACGGUGUCGUUUUCCGUUUCGAUUUCGCAAUUCACGUCGCCAUGAGAACCAACAAGCUUACCGCGUUAACUUUCUGGGUUUCAUGCGUGGAUUGGAUUCGAUCUCUCUAUAAUGCAUGCACUGACAAGAGUUUUCAAUCUUGAACAGUGGUAAUGGCGAGGUUUAUCCCUGGAUUCGCAUUGCCUAUGCUGCUCCUGUUAGGUUUGCUUCAUCGUUCCACUCUCUUCACGCAUCAUUUUGUUGAGUCUACGUUCACCUAUAGACGGUUUUUACUUGAUGGAAGCUACUUCAUAUUGCACUUCUAUAGAGUAUAUAUAUUAAAUAAUAGUAACCAACUUCAUAUGAAUUUGACCUUCAAUUGUGAAGAAUUCACAUUAUUCAUGUGAGUUUAGUUUUUAUUUGUUGCAAGUGUAAACAAGCAUGUCAAUCAAUUAUAAUCAUCAUUGACAUUAAGGUGUGUGUGUGUGUAUAUAUAUAUAUAUAAUACUAUUUAUUUACUCUAUUCAUUUUUACUAAUCACAAUGUUUUUUGAACUGGCUAUUAUGCAUGAUAAGUUUGGGCUUUUCGAAUAAAAAAAGUAAAGUUCCAGAGUAUUAUAUUAUUCGAGUAACUAUCUUUGAGUGUAUGUAUACUUGUUCUUAUGGUUUUGCAUACAAUAAGGCCACGCAACCCUUAUAGUUAUAAAAUUGAUCCCGUCUUAAGUUUGAGAGGGAUUGGUUGAAAUUACAUGAAGUCUAUUGUGUGGUCAUAGUUGUUUUCUUAGUAAAAAUUGCAACUGACAACUUUUCUCUUUUCAUGCAGCAUCUUUGCUUAACUGGAGUUUGAUAUCGUUGCUUGAUUUGAUGGCAUUCCUUUUCAUUCAGUACACUGCUUCUAGAAAGGGUGAGAAGCUUGCUCCAAUCCUUGUAUGGAUGUAAAUACUGAUUUUUCAUGCCUUUUCUUCCAUCAAAAGAUUUGGUGUCUAAUAGGAGAUUUGGUGUCUAAUAGGGAGUUUGGUGACACAUUCUCCAAAUUUAUGAUUCUGUUUCCAUUAUUUCUUCAUGACAUUGCUGUUUUGGUAUUUUUGGUGCUAAUAUAUAAUUAUAUAUUUUCUUCAUGUAGUUAACUAUUUCUUUUUAUGCAAACAGGAUUCCGUGUUCAUCAACAAUAUUUGAUAUCAUGGUCCGUUCUAAUGUUAUCGUCUCUGACCCUACUCUCCCAUGCCGUAUUUCAUAUUGUUUUAGCCAUUGAGGGGGAUCAUUGGAGUACUGCUGAUGCUCAGUGGGCUGAGCUAAUUGGAUUUAUACGGUAUUCAAACUUUCUCUGUCUUAUGGUUUUACCUUUUUUAUGUUAUAGAGGUUUUAUCCUGAGUGUUUUGUUCUUCAGAAUACACUACAAAAAAAUAGUGACUGAAAUGAUUUUGCAGAGUGCAUUCUUGGAGGACUUUGCUGGGAGAGCACUUUUUGGUCACACAAGUAUUAGCAACUUUUCUUUCUAUAGUUGAAAUCUAUGGAAAUUGGUUUCAUCAAAAUCUAUGGUGGAGAGAUUUUUGUUCUGGGCAUCUAUGUUAUUUUGUUCUGCUGAUAGGUUUGCCAUAAAAGCUUCUCUUUUUUUGCCCUAAAUUUUUCUCCUGCGUGCUGAUCAUCUUUGUUUAAGAGUUACUAGCUCACCGUUGCUGGUAUUUAAGGGACUUUUGCAUUUUCGAACCUUGAUUAUUUUGAGUUUGUUCAUGUCUUCUUUUUUUGUGUUCAAUUUUCACGGAUGGUUUAGCUUACCCUUUUUUGUAAUUGACUUGUCACCCUGAAUAAAGUUUAUUUUUCUAUAUUAUGAAAAAGGCAAGUGGCACAUACAAUAACAAAGGUUUUUCUUAGGCUCUUAGGAUGGCUAUUUGCGUGAUAGGUAGUAGGCCAUGGAAGGUCUAUAUGAGAAGGACUAAGAGCAGACUUAGAUAUACUUGCCUCAAAUUGAAACUGAUUGUGUGGUAAUUGUGUCUUUAGAUAGUUAUUUGUGAGGCUUUGACUCUAAGACUAAAUUAUUAUUUUUAUGUAUUAUGUCCAUCUUAGUGCUGUAAUUUUAGGCUGUUGGAGAGUUAAAAUGAGUAGUAAUAUAUCCAAUUAAAGUAUAUAAGUAGAGGGUAACCUUCACUUUUUAGUUGAUUUUGUGAGGUUAAGUUAAAUCUAAACUCGAAUUAUAAGAUAGUCUGAGAGCCUAUCCUAAUAGUUGUUGUUUGGUUUCAAACCGCUCAUAGAUGGCUAUCCUACAAACUUCACGUUCAAGAUGACGAGCUUUUGGCAUGGAUUGUGGUGUUGAAGAUCCUAUAUCAAUUAGAAAUAUGACCUAAUUAAAGUAUAUAAGUGGAGAGGUAACUUUCACUUUACAAGUUAGUUUGUAUGAUUUAGACUCAAAUCCAAAUUAUAAGGUGAUAUUAGAGUUUAUUCCAGCUAUUGUUGUUUCUACAAUUUCAUCCAUUAUUGAGUUGUUAUUGGAUCUACAAAAUUCCAAUUUUUGGUGUGAGGAAGGGUGUUGGGGCACAUCAAUUGGUGAUAUCUUUAAAAUCAGGGUAUAUAAGUGAGAUGUAAAUAAAAUUAUUACACUAAUUCUUUUAGUUACAUUAUGUUUAGCCAAUGAAAUUGUGAAUGACUGAAUACCAAUAACAAACUGAUAUACUUGUGCCUAAUAAUUAUAAACGGAUGUCCAUUUUUUGGUUGUAGGAUCUCAUCUCAAGGGUACAUGCUGCUUAUUGUUACCUGCCGUACAAUUAAUUGCUGGGAUUAGUCAUGUAUCUUGGAUUUCUUUCCCUUUUUUCAUUUGUAGCAGCAUAGGGCUUGUUGAUUGGUCAUGGACAAGCAAUUAUUUAGGUAUUUUUCGGUAAGCUCCCCCUUCCUCAAGCAAAAGAGUUAUGAUAAGGCUUUUUUUUUUUUUGUUACUUACAUAUAAUUUAGAAUUGGAAUUUUAUUAGUUUAUUAAAAUUCUGGUUCAUACAAACUUGUAGGUGGUGGAAAUAUCUUCUAUUUUAUGGUGGCUUCAAUAUCAUUUUUCUGUACAUAUAUCAACUUCCCAUUGAAUUCCCCGCAACUUUUAGGUGGAUUUUUUUCCACUUUGGGUUGUUCAAAAUUUCUACAAGUUCAGAAUGGUCAGAAGUUUGUUCUGGUCUUUCACUUCUACUUUUCUACAUUAUGGUAAGAAUAUUAAAUGCAUCCCUAACAUUGCUAUAUUAUUGAAAAUGGAGUCAAUAUGUAACAUAAAAUAAGAUAGCUAUUUAUCAUUAUGUGUUCGUGGAAUGGUGGCGGGAAUCAACUACAUGUUGACUCGUAUGCUUUUGAGUGUUAAAGUAUUAUACUCAGACUGAAUGGUUGCAAGAUUAGCUUUAUCCAUAUGGGAUUUAGUACUACUAGCUCAACCAAAUUUUUACAAUGAUAUUUUGUCGUUUACAGUUGAUAAUUCCUGUUGCUUAUUUCCAAUUUACAAAGCGAACUGAAUUCCAGAUACUUUGUAUUCAGAUAGCAACUAUCAUGCCUUUUCCCAUUUGGUGGAGUCAGCUACUUGGAUUAAACGAUUUAUUUGAUUCAUUAAUAGCUAGUCACAAUAGAGUAGUUACUCAUUUCUUACUUAUAUUAGUGAAUUAGUUAGUUAUGUGGACUUUAAAAGAGUGGCAAGGGGAUAUGGUCUCUUGAAUACCUCGUGCAUUAAUGUUAUUCAUCUCUGGCUCUGUUGCCAAAGUUUCUCAUUAAAAGGAUAAUACACAUUUUGUAAUUUCUACUCACCUAUUCUGUCUGUUUUCUUCUUGGUCGUGAUCGAGUUCUAUCAACAAUUAUUAGAGCACCGGUCCGGAUUUUUUUAGGGGGAAGGGAGGAGAUUGCUGUAAAAAUGACAUAAAGAUAGAUUCCAAGAUUUGAUGGCUGAUUAUGGCAGAGUAGUUCUUUGAAUUAAUGAAGGUAUAAAAGUAUAGAAGGUCAUGUUAGCUUUGGAAAGAUAAGCUCUUAAAUGGCUGGUUACUUGGAAGAAUAAUAACCAGUACUCAACCUGGACUUAUUACGAGGUAGUGUUCAAUACCUUCCUAUCAAAUGUUUUUAGUUAGAAUCCAAGAUUUAGAAACCAGGGAGAUGGAAAACGAAUAUAGAAAUGAAGUUCAAGAGAGGAGCCAAAACUAGUGGAAAGAAAGACAAGAGUUGAUGAGUGAAGGCAACAAGAAAACAUAACAAAAGAUGAAUGUUUAGAGAGACAAUAAUCAAGGGAAAGAAACCAAUACAAGAAGGGCACAAACAUUAGCAUAAACCUGACGAAAGCAGCCCACCAACAUUUUGGACAAGUUAUAGGAAAGCAAAAGAAAAAAAUGAAGUUCUUCAGUGAAGAAUUAUUGUGACAAAGAUGACAAAAGAAGUUUUUUUUUAUUUAUUUAUUUUUUUGUCGUAAAUAAGGCAAAUUUAAGGGGAACCCAACGAUUGACACAAAGGGAGAGCAAAGGACUCUUUUGAAGGCGAUAGUGGAGGUUUUAGGUUAAGUAUAGUACCAUGAACCCACCUCAAAGUACUCCACUUUUGCAAAAGUUGAAUGAGAAAUUCUAAGUAUAAAUACACAGGCUUUGAUGCUCAAUUUCACAACCAAAAGAACUGUUGAAAGUAGAGCACUAGAGAAGCGAGGAGACAGUCUCAUGUUUGUGUGAUUGGAUCUAAGAUCUAAGUUAAAGAUGAUUGAUUAUCAGGAGUAUUUGAUAUAAAAUAACAGAAUUUGUAAUAGCAGAUUUAUUUAAAAUCCUGCAAGUAUUCAAAAGCCUGUAUGUGUAGAAAAUAACAGUUAUGUAAUAGGAUUUAAGACUAUAUAUUAUUUGAUAAAAAUAUUAGAAAGCAAUUUUAUAUUCAAAACUACAUAAUGAGAAUAUGCAAUACCUUUUGAUGUAGCAAAGUGUGAAAAGUUCAAAAACAUGUUUGUAUUGGUUGCCAAAGAUGGUAUAGAAGUUAAGCCAGUAUCCCACCCAGAGGUUAGGGUGAAAUAUUUGAAGCAACAAGUUGAAAUACUCAACAUUUGAAGGAGCCUAGGAACAUUUAGAAGAAAACAAGAUGCACCAUAAUGACCAAUAGAGGGACCAAUAAGUGGAAGAGGACUAUACUUAACAUUUUCGUACAUAGUAUUAAGGAAAUUUUCCUUUUUGAAGUCAACUGAUGUAAGACAGUGAAUUUUUUUUUAAGAUGAUGAAUAAUGUUGUUCAGGAGAACAAGGAAGAGAAUACUGUCCAAAUCGUUACAGAUAGUGUAGAAAAAUACAAGGCAGUUGGGUAUUUGUUGACCUAGAAGAGAAAAAAAAGUUAUACUAGACACCUGCACAACUUGUUGCAUUGACUUAAUUUUGGAGGACUUUGAGAAGAUUACACUCCAUCAAAAGACGAUAGCAAUCUUCAAAGAUUUGACCUUUUAUCUGGAUUGAUAUGCGUGAUAAAUCUGAAGUUUGUUCCAAAUUUGAGAGGCGGGAGUGAGGUCGACCAUUUGGUUGAGAACCGAGGUGUUCAUAGAUGCAAGAAGCCAAACAACCAAGGGUUGAUCUUGUUGCUCAUAUUGAAGGAAGGCAGGAAUGAUGACGCUGCUGAUCGCAUCUUCAGAAGAUAGGUAUUUUGGUGGAAUGUCAUGACCGUCCAAGAAGCGGAAGAGUUGAAGCCCUUUAAUGGUGGCAAAAACUUGUUGCCAUAUCAAGAAAUUCAGGGGUGAGUUUUAGAGAGAUCAAUGUAUUGGAAGUGUGUGGGUGAAAGGAGGAAGGGACAACUGAGGUAUCAGAUUUGGGUGGGGAAGAAAAAUUUGGGGAAGCCAUGGCAAAGGAGCUUUGAUUACCAUGUAAGAAAAAGGAAACAGAGAAGGAGAUAGAAACGAAGAAACGAAGAAGGAAAUUAUGUAUCAUUAUCUCAACGUAUACAAAGAGAAGAGCAUUUAUAGAAACAGAAAGUAACUGAAUUAGUUAUUCUGUUAUGUUAUCAACAAGUGGUAAAAGAAUUACAGCUUAUAUCUAUUAAAAAGUUUGUCUUAUUUCCUUGUUGUAUAAAUUUACUAAGGGAGCUUAUUUGAUUACACCUAACAUGAUGACCCUUUUGCCCCUUCUUAUUUGACUCUAGGAUGUUCAAAUGACAAUACGAGAUCACUCGUGAGGAUGUUCGCAUCCCAGAAAUGGAACAUGUUGAUAAAAUGUUUCUUUCUUUUCUAAAUCAGUUGGCUAUUCUAAAAUUAUUAGCUAAUUAAAAUUUUAGAACGUGUUAGAAGUAGGUUUUAGGCCUAACUCAAUCCCACAAAACCAGCUUGUAAGUUGAGGUCUACACUCCACUUAUAUAUUAUAAAUUGACCUUAUCUCUAGUCGGUGUGGGACUUCCAACACACCCCUCUCACGCCGAGGUAUAUACAUCUCGAGCGUGAGACAAAAUAUUAAUGGGUGGUCCGAUAACGGCCCAAUAACGGGUGGAAUAAUCUGCCCAACAAAUAUCGCUAGGAUAGGAUCUAACCAUAGCUCUAAUACCAUGUUAGAAGUCGGUUUUAGGCCUAACUCAAUCCCACAAAACCCACUUCUAAUAGAACGUAUUUUUACUUUGCAUAUACUUCUCCCAGGCCAAAAGUUCCGUAUUGUUCUCCCUGGGAUUGAAGAAAAGAAUGGCUUGUUAGAUGACAAAGAAGUCCUAGCGCAUUCUUUUAAAUGAAGAUAGUUUAAACCAUAAAACCAUGAACAGAAGUAUAACAUGAAAAGGCCAAGAACAUGAGAAAUGACAGCCCAUCCAUACAUGCUGUCAACAAAAGGUCAUACACCCACUGCAUUUAAGGUACAAAUAUGACCAAAAUCAGAGUAAAUUCAUAACUAGAAGCUACCACCGACAAGCAAACUAACUGAAAUAAGUAAUUAAUCACGGCAGUUAAAAAGAAGAGUUUUGUGGCCUAUAAAUUUAUCACAUUCACACAUUGCACUUCUAUUGCAUUUUAAUUUAGCUAAACUUAAACUUGGUUAUGGAUUUCUUUCUUGAGUUUGGCACUUGUAUUGAGCAGAGAGGAAAGCGUUGAAGACUUGCUAUAAAAUCUAAUUACCAAUUAUGGCAUUAUAUGACAAUUUAUUGAGAUGAUACACUCAAAGAAGUAGUAGGCUAGAUUUUUUCUGUCUGUUUUAAGAUUUCCUUUAGGUUGGGUGAUUAUUCUCCAGCCUUGUUCCAGCUAUCUUGGAUUAGAAGCGAGCUAGCCGAAAUGGAAAUCAUCACAUCUACAAGAGAAAGUGACUUGACCGAGCAGCUUCUUCCUAAGAAGCAUUCUAAUUUUCUUCAAGAGUCCAGGUUACGCAGCUUCCUCAUUUAAUCCUUCUUUCUGUCUUGCUUUUGUUUUAUUUCUUUGCCUUCUAAAUAAUGAAGUUAAAAAAUACUGCAUAUUAGCAACGACGAUGGUCUGGUUCAAUGCCGCAAUAUGAUUGUUCUUCUACCUUGGUAUUAUAAUACUUCACUUGAGUUUGUCUGUGAACUCAAGUCAGGUAUUAGCGUACUACAAUAUUAUUAAGAUGAUUAUGGGUGAGAUGUGAAUGUUGUCGGUAUGUACUGGAAUUUUGUUGCAAGUAAUUAAUUUGUUGGCCUCUUCUCUCUUUUCUAUUUUACGUGUAUGAAGUAGAAUAGUUUAAAUAUAUUUUAGAUGAAAUGAUUGAAUUACUCCUUGUGCUUGCUAAGGAGUUUCUCGUGUUAGAAGAGAUGCACGAAUCGGGCACCUUUGCCAAAAUAAUCGUAUAUUAGAUCUUUUUUCUUUCUUUUGCUUUUCCACCUUGGUUUCAAACUCACGAUUCCAACAUUUAACUAGUUUUAUGUUUGAUUCGGUGAUCUUUUAUAAAUACAAUAUCCAUUAAAAACAUAUGCAUGAGGUCCCCUCAUCUAAUCACCUAUACAAGGAACUCUAACAAUAUUUAUUUCUCUCAUUUCUUGGUUUUGUAAUUUUCUGACAUGUCUGGUGUGAUCUAACAAUAUUUAUUUCUUUCAUCUUUUGGUUUUGUAUUUUCUGACAGGUCUUGUAUGAGGCACACUAAUUUGUUAUUGCGAGGAGUUGUUUCUCGGUCAUUUAGUAUCAACUUUCUAACAUACGGUUUUCCGGUACCCCAGAUAUAUCCAUUUCUAUUAUUUUUUUAAUCAUUACAUUGCUUAUUGGUAAAAUUAUGUGCAAAAUUUGCGUCUAAUAUGUGUUGGCCGUUUAAAAGAUUAUAAAAUCAAGGAACUUAUCAAGUGAUUAGUUGUAUAUUUGUAAUUUGUAAUUAACAAAUUAAUCAACCAUAUAACAUUACAACAAAUUCAUGCUUGGUGAUUUUGGGUGUCGAGAAAAAUGUGACAGUUUGUUGAUUACUAAAUUAAUCACGUGAGAUUAUCCCUCAAAUGUGUAUUGGUCAUAUCAACAUCUUUUGAUUUUUUAGGAGUGUUUGUUUCACGGUAUCAUCUUAUAUUCCCUGAAGUCACAUUCUUGGAAUAUUAUAUCCAUGAAUCAUAUUCCCAUAAGCAUGUUUGAUUGUUAUUUACUAAUUUAAAAAAAUAUAUAAAAAGGAGAAGAAUGUAAUGGAAAUAGGUAGUUAUAAUAGACAAUAAUUUCCAUCUCCAUCUUAAUAUUUUAUACCACCCUCUUCAGGGGAAUAGGAGCAAUUAAAACGCGAGGGACUUACUUUCCUGGUGAUAAAGAUACCGGAGAAUUUUUUUUUCAUAGCCACCUAUCAAACAUGGGAAUACUUAAUUUCCAUUUCCAUCUUAAUAUUUUAUACCACCCCCUUCAGGGGAAUACUUAUCCCCAUUUUCACGUUCCCAGGAAUGAAGAAAGAUAACAUGAAACAAACCCCCUUUGAUCAACUUGAGCCUAUUUUCUAGUGUUCUCUUGUGAUUCCUCUCUCCCUGUUUUGAUCCAUGACACAUGACAGAACUUUAUGAGUUGAUUAAUUGAAUUAGUUGGUAUACCUUGCAGAUUUCCUUGCUGGCUCUAUCAUUAUGGAGUUUUCACUUCGCAAGUCUGGGCUCAUUUGGACUGCUUGCUUAUGUGGGAUACAUUUUGUAUGCCUUCCCUUCCAUGUUUCGGUUGCACUAUUUAAAUGGCAUGCUUCUUGUUUUCAUUCUGUUUUGGGCAGCUAGCACAUAUAUCUUCAAUGUGGUACUUACUUUCUCUAGUAACAAAUCAUGGAAGGUAUACUUUGCUAGAGGUUUUGAGAUAUCUUACAAUUAUAUUAAAGAAUCUUUUGUUGACAUGCUCUAUAACUCAAUUGUAGGAUAUGGAAAUAUGGGAAACUAUAGGCUUGUGGCAUUACCCUAUACCAGGAUACUACUUGCUUGCUCAAUUUUGUCUUGGUUUUCUCUUUGCUAUGUGUAGUCUUGUGAACAGUUCAGUGUUAUCGUGCAUUGCUGGUCAAGUACAAUUAACAGCUGAUGAAGCUGUAGUGGAAGGUGACAGAACUAGACGAUCUGAGUAGACAAAGCUUACUACUGUGUGAAAUUAUGUUUUUCCAGUGUUUAACCAGAUACUCCUUUUUAGUUAGAUUUUAUGAAAUGAUGAUUGAGUUCCAUAGUAAAAUUCCCUUAUAUUCUACAAGGUUAGGAGAUAUAUGCUAAUGAAGGUGCAUAACGUUUGGCUAUUUUUUUUUUGUUACAAUUUAAUCAAGUUUUACUGGCUUUAGAUUCAUUUAUGAAACACAUUUAAAUUUGAUGUCUGCAGUCGCCUUCAGAAGGUUUAACAAUUGAAUCAGCAAGAAAGCAUGGCUGGGACAUUUUUUAAAUGAUAUAAAUCUUGUAUUUCUCAACACACAUUUCUUUAAAUAAUGUCUUCUUGUUUGAUUUUUAUGUUUCACAUCUAUAGAAAAAAAAUGUGUUUUGCCUGAGAUAAGUCUCUAUCAUGACACCUUAUCCGAGCAAAAUGUGCUGUUAAGUUUUUGCCAAUGGAAUAUCUAAUGCUAUUUCAUUUAUCUUUUUCAAAAAUAUAAUUAUUAUAAAUUUGUAGUUUAAGGAAUAAAAUAAUGCUUCUUAAAUGUGUUUUUUCAUUCUUCCAAUUAUUUUGGCAUAUUGCUUAUAGUGCUUAUAAAAUACUUUUUGCUGUUUUGGGUGAAAUAUUUUAUUUUUUAUUUGUUUAUUCUUUUUUGUGCAAAAUUUCUAGUGGAAGAAGAGACGACGCUGUCGGUUGUGGCUACAAUAGCAUGGGGACUACGCAAGUGCUCACAUGCUGCAGUACUGAUAUUGAUAUUUCUUAUUUCAAUAAGAUCUGGUAUCGUUCAUGCUGUUUAUAGUAAGUACAAUUGCCAACAAUUUCCUUCUUUGUUAAUUAUACAUUUGGUUGUUAACAUGUUAAUAAGGAAUUAUUUUUAUUUGUAUUUCCUGUUGGCGCAAUAUGUUGGUCCAGUUCUAACCAAAUUUUAUAGGAAUGAAGUUUUGAUCCACAAUUAAUGUAAAGAGUUUUACAAUACCCACAGGGUUCCACCUGAUUAAAUAGCUCAAGUAUUCAAAUCAAUUGAAAGACAUGAGUUACAAUUAUGAUGUGACAUUUUCUUUUAUAUCUAUAAAACCAAGAGUUUUACGCUGACUGUUAAUCAAAUUGAAACUUGCUUUGAAACACUGUCUUUAGAGUACUUUGAGAUGUAGCAGUGUUCCUAAUUUUUCUGACUGCUACCUUAUCUACAUGCAGUGAUUUUCUUUUUAAUUUAUCUAUUAAGCCGUGCAAUCGACUGUAAAUUACACCGAGCUAUUAUACUUCUAUGUGAGGCACAGUUUGCCGUUCAAUUCAUUCUACAACUUGAUUUGAUCUCCAAAACUUUGGACCAUAAGGGUUCAUAUGCUUUUGAGAUUCUCUCACAAUUAGGUAAAUUUUUUAUGUAAGAAUGAACUUUUCAUGUGCUUUUUUUGGUGCAAAUGUAAAAUAUCUAUUGCCUUAAACACAUUCAUUUAUGAUAUCUUUCUUCUGUUUUGUGAAUGUUGCAGGUCUGCUUAAUUAUAUCCAUUCAGUGGAUUUCUUCCAGAUAUCGAUUCUUGCUUGUUUCUGUGCAAUUCACAAUCAUGGGCUGCAAACACUCAUUUCACUGUCAGCUAUCGUGCAGCAAACAUCUUGUCCCCCAUUUGGCUUUAGCAUCUUGAGAGCUUUCUUGAUCAGACCUGUUUGUUUAUCAGGUUAUAGUCCAAGGUCUAGUGAGAACCAAGGAAAUCAUGGUAUAAGUUCAGUAAAUAUUGACUAUACUUGAGGAUUUCCAUCUCAUUUUACUUUGCUAAAUAAUUCCUCUUUGUGUUAUUAUAGUUUUGUUACUUUAUUGGUUUAAGCUACAUAUUUAGCCUUAAGUGCAUACUGGAAGUUAAUAUUCUAACCAUUCUAUUUAAUUACUCAGAGAGGAAGACUAAAUCAUAUUUGGAGGUCAUAAGACUGAGUUUCCUGUCUAUUUAUCGGUUGUGUGGCAAAUACAUUGCCUUCGUAACAAUUCUCUUCACUAUAUACCUUUGCACGCCCAACUAUGCUUCAUUUGGCUACUUAUUCUUUCUUCUACUGUGGAUAAGUGGGAGACAACUUACAGGGAAAUCAAGAAAGCAUCUUUGGUAUCCUAUGAAAGUGUAUGCUAUAGUUGUGUUUAUCUCCAUUUACGGCAUUGGUGUCUUUUCCAGCUCCGAGAGGUGGUUUCCUAGGAUUGUUGAUCUUCAAACUGCAUUUGGUUAUAACCCAGAAGCUUCAAUGUUGCAAAACAUUUGGAGAUCUUUGGCUGUUUUGAUUGUGAUGCAGCUAUAUAGCUAUGAAAGGAGGAAGAGCAAAAGAUCUGCAUCUAGUGACUUCAAUGGACCAGAAGUAGGACCCUUUGCUUUUGCCAGACGCCUUUUGUUUCAGCAUGCCGAGAAAAUACUAUUUCUUGCCCUAUUUUAUGCAUCUUUGUCGCCUAUAAGUGCAUUUGGUUUCCUGUACCUUCUUGGUCUAAUCAAUUGUUCAAGAUUACCAAAGUUGUCUCAUAUUCCUGCAAAAAUAUUUCUAGUUUAUUCAGGACUUCUUAUAACGGUUGAAUAUAUUUUCCAGAUGUGGGGAAAUCAGUCUGAGAUGCUCCCUGGUCAAGAGCACUUCCAGUUGUCAUUAUUUAUGGGUUUGCAGUUGUAUAAACCUGGUUUUAAAGGUAUGGAGGCAGGAUUAAGGGGAAAGGUUGUGGUUAUUGUAGCAUGUAUACUUCAAUACAAUGUUUUGCGUUGGUUGGAGAAAAACCAUGUUCAUGGAAAUGGAGGAAAAUGGAAUGAACCUUGUCCUCUGUUCAAUUCAAUAGAAGUUUCCAAUGAAAUUACGGCCUGUAUACAGAGCAAACAAUUGGAAAAUUCCACUUCACCAACAUUUAAAAGAAGUGGAAGAAGUCGUUCAUGGCCAACUUCUAAUUCUGCAUUAUCCCAGGGGGCAGAUUCAGGGCCUGAAAGAGACAGUGCAAAAAAAAUAAGAUAUUUUCAUUUCUGGGAGAAUUCCAAGGAUAGCUUGAAGUGGAAUAGAAAGCGGAUUCUUUUCUUAAGAAAAGAAAGGAUGGAGAUGCAAAAGACUGUUUUAAAAGUAUCCUUGAAGUUCUGGAUUGAAAAUAUCUUCAAUUUAUUUGGUCUUGAAAUCAACAUGAUUGCUUUGCUUCUUGCUAGCUUUGCUGUGUUGAAUGCUAUAUCUCUGCUCUAUAUAGCAUCACUUGCUGCUUGUGUUCUUCUUCAUCGGCUACUAAUUAAAAAACUAUGGUCUGUUUUUGUUUUCUUAUUUGCUUCCAUCGUCAUUAUUGAAUACUUGGCCAUCUGGAUGCACAACACUUAUACGAACCAAGAGGAAGAACAAGUACCAUGCAAUGACUGUUGGAGAAGAGUAUCAGAUAUACAUUUUAGCUACUGCAAAAAAUGUUGGUUAGGUAUCUCUCCGUUAAUUCAUGGCUAUCUGCGUUUAGAUGGUUGGUAUUAGGCAUAUAUCCCGCGGGUUAUGUGCAUCCCAUAUAACAAACCUGAAGCCUGAUUUCAAUACUAUAGUGUGCUUAUUAGUGAUAAUUCAGAGCUCCAUUCAUUGUAAAUUUUUGUUGUGGUUACUUCUCCCAAAUAAUUUAUGCUAAAUAUCAUUACUGCAGGAAUUAUUGUGGAUGAUCCUUAUAUGCUUAUUUGGUAUUAUGGUGUUUUCAUGUUUUCAUGUUUCAAAUUCCGUGCUGACCGGUCAUCUUGUCUCACUGGAUUGGAGAUGUACCAGAAGAUACUCUCCCAAUGGAAAUCUGCCUCAGUACUAAGUGAUCUAUCAUUUGAGACAAAAGGAUACUGGACAUUCGUUGACCACCUAAGGCUUUAUGGUUACUGUCACUUGCUAGAUUUUGUUCUCUCGUUGAUUUUGAUUACAGGAACUCUUGAAUAUGAUAUUCUGCAUCUUGGCUAUCUUGGUUUUGCUCUGGUUUUCUUCCGAAUGAGGCUAAAAAUACUAAAGCAGGGAAAUAAAAUUUUUAGAUUCUUAAGGAUGUAUAAUUUUGUUCUCAUUGUCAUGUCACUUGCAUAUCAAUCUCCUUUUGUUGGAAACUUCAGUAAUUUCAAAUUUGGUUCAAUAGAAUCCAUUAAUGGAUUGGUUGGAUUCCACAAGUAUGAUUAUGGGUUUCGACUUACAUCAAGAUCAUCAAUUGUGGAAAUCAUAAUAUUUUUGUUGGUAGCACUACAGUCAUACAUGUUUUCAUUUCCAGAGUUUGCUUAUGUUUCAAAACAUCUCGAGAAAGAGCAGAUUGGUGCCAUACUUAGACAGCAGGAGAAGAAAGCUGCUUGGAAGACUGCUCAUUUGCGACAUAUUCGUAAAGCUGAAGAGUUGAAACAUCUUCGGAGCUUGCAAGUAGAAAAGAUGAAAUCGGAGAUGUUAAAUCUUAAAAAUCAGCUACAUAAUAUUAACACUGAAGCGAAUUGUAGUAAUGCUUCUCUAAAAAUUGAUGGCCUAACAAAUAGAGGAAACUCUUCCCCAGAUUUGCAUCCGGAGAAUGGAUUCAGGAAGCAAGAUCUUGAUAUGACUACGGAGACAACAAGUCCAUUUGAUGGGAAACAAUCUCUACUGAGUGAAAAAUCAAAAUGUCCACUGAUAGCACAAUACCGGAAGCACCCAAUGGUUUCUCCUCAUGGAAUUGUGGAGGGAAAGGAAAGAACUAAAAACAAUAAUGUUUUGAAUUUGGAAAUAAGAAAUCGUGGUGAACUUCCAGGUAGGAGAAAUUCUUUGGUUUCAGCUAUAUAUUUCAUAGGAAGUGGGCUAUCUCAGUUACAAUCUCUUGGAAAUAUGGCAGUUACAAAUCUAAUGAACUAUCUAAAGAUAGAACGAGGGGAACUAGAGCCAACUGAAGAUUCUUCAGAGGAUGAGGAAUACUAUGAGAUUGAAAUUGAGAAUCAGAAUGUCGGUGCUGAACCUUUAGAAUCUGCAAUUUCUACUCACUCUUUUCACGAGCAUACUGUGCCUGAUACUGCAUGCCUCCAAAUUGGAAUUAUUUUACGUUUCAUGUGGUCCCGAAUGAGGUCAAAUAAUGAUGUUGUUUGCUAUUGCUGCUUUAUUCUAAUAUAUCUAUGGUACUUCAGUUUACUUUCUGUGGUUUAUCUAGCAGCACUCUUCUUAUAUGCUCUCUGUCAAAAUACUGGUCCCAGUUACAUAUUUUGGGUUAUUAUGCUAAUCUAUACGGAGGUAUGCAUUUUGCUUCAGUACUUGUAUCAAAUCAUCAUUCAACAUACCGAGUUUGAAUUUCAUGCUAGCUUACUUCAAAAAUUAGGAUUUCCUACUAAGCAAAUAACAUCAUCUUUUGUGACAAGCAAUUUACCAUUUUUCCUGGUAUAUAUAUUCACUCUAGUGCAAAUCUCCGUAACUGUGAAGGAUGGGGGUUGGACAAUUAAUGCAGACCUCACCUUUUAUAAGAGAAGAAAUCAGAGGUGCAUAGAGAAUUUAAAGCGCUCCACCUACCGGGGGAGAUUACCGAGAUUAUUUUUACCCGUGAAAAGUAUACUGAAACUGAUUAUCAGAAGCCUCUGUAGGUACUGGAAAUCAUUGACAUGGGAUGCAGAAACUCCCCCUUACUUUGUCCAGCUGUCUAUGGAAGUUAUCUCGUGGCCUAAAGAGGGAAUUCAGCCAAAGAAAAUUGAAUCAAGAAUAAAUAAGUUGCUGAAGAUCUUGCAUAGGAGGAGAUGCAAAGUGGAUAACCGUUUUAAAUUGCACUCGGCAAGUAGGGUUCGUGUACAGAGCAUUGAAAAAGGCGAAGAAAAUGAAAACUUGUGUCUUGUUGUUUUUGAGGUGUUAUAUGCAUCCCCUCCUAUUGAAUUUGCUUCUGAGGAAUGGUACAGUUCAUUAACCCCAGCGGAAGAUGUAUCUAAUGAGAUUCAGAAAGCUCAACAAGUUGGUAUUUUUAAAGAAAUUGCAUUUCCAUAUCGCAUACUAUCCGUCAUUGGUGGUGGAAAGAAGGAAAUUGAUCUGUAUGCCUACAUCUUUGGAGCUGAUUUGGCUGUUUUCUUCUUAAUUUCCAUUUUGUACGAAACAGUUAUGAAAGCUAAUAGUGAGUUUUUUGAAGUCUAUCAGCUUGAAGAUCAGUUCCCAGAAGAUUUUGUAUUAGUUCUCAUGGUAAGUUUUUUUUCUUUUCAGAAUGUAUUGAUAUAUAUGGCUUUUAUUUCAUUUCUAUGAUGUAUACUAUAAGUCUAAUAGUGAGAUGUAGGUGGCUGGUCAUUUUGCUUGAUGUGACUUGCCAUUUAUGUUCAAAUGCAUUGAUUAAAUAAUUUACUGAAAGUUCAUUGUAAAGAUUGGGUCAGUUAGAAAACUAUUCAGCAUCAUCUAGUUGAACAAGGUCGUCUAUUAAUACUCUGGUUGUCUAUUCUUUGUGUGUUGUUUGGUGAAAGAUCGUCUAAUACACCUAUUGGAGUGAAGAUAUUUUGAAACACUCGUCCACUACUACAGAUCGUCUUGUACACCAGUUUGGAGAAACAUUGUCUUGUAUGCUCGUUUAGUGGAGGAUCGUCUGGUACACUAGUCUGUGGAGGGCCAUCUUGUAUAGCCAGCCAUUUGUUUCUCUUCCACUAUCUAGGUCAUCAUAUGUUUUAUGCCUGUCUUAAGCAUGAAACAUGGGAAUCACAUGUCACGUUUCUGUUAAGUGAUAUGUGCCAUGAUUCGUGAGAGUGUUAUAGUUGUUUUGUAUAAAUAGGUACCUUUGUGUAAAACAUGACGUUGAGUUGUUGAGUUCUAAAGCGAGCGAGCAUUCACUGUCGUAAGAGAGACAUUUGAGUUGUAAUCUGUAGUUCUUUCUGUCGGUUUCUUAGAGAGAAGAACUUGUUCUAGUGAAUUUGUUUGGAGAUGUAGAUUAGAGUUUGUUAAUACUCUAGUUGAACCUUGAUAUCUUCUCGUGUUGUUAUUCUUUCAUUCGUACUUAAUAUUCUUCUUCAAUUUCUUGUGGUGUUGGAGUUGAACAUUCUAGUAUCCGGUGAACUUGACGUUAAUUCUACAACACACAGAUGUUUAUGUCUUGUUGGUUACUCAGCUUAAGAGCUUUAUCUUGCAGGUUGUCUUUUUCUUGAUUGUGCUUGAUCGAAUUAUAUACCUCUGCUCAUUUGCAACAGGAAAAGUUAUUUUCUAUUUAUUCAACCUUAUUCUCUUCACGUAUUCUGUCACAAAAUAUGCUUGGGAUAUGGAUCCUUUACACAGAUAUGCUGGGAUACUAGCACUCCGAGCCAUUUAUCUCACAAAAGCAAUUUCUCUGGUUUUGCAAGCCAUACAAAUUCAUUUUGGGAUUCCACAUAAGAGCACUUUGUACAGGCAGUUUUUGACCAGUAGUGUUUCUCGGAUUAAUGUUUUGGGUUUUCGACUAUAUCGUGCUAUACCUUUCCUUUAUGAAUUGAGAUGUGUGCUAGAUUGGUCUUGCACAACAACAUCUUUGACUAUGCAUGACUGGCUCAAGGUAUGUUGUCAACUGUCUUCACAUGUUCCCUCUUGAUAUUUUUUUUUUGCUGCUACUGCUUAUUAGUUACGCUAUUAGCAUGUUAAUAUUAUAGGACUUCUCUUAAUUGGCUAUUCUCGAGCACAAUAAACUGUAGGGCAAUGUCCGUUUUUUCCCCUAUUUAUAACACUUUAACUUCUUAUUUUCUAGUUAGAAGACAUUCAUUCAAGUCUGUUUCUUGUCAAAUGCGACGUGGAUCUGAAUAGAGCCAAGCACCAACAAGGACAAAAGCAAACAAAAACGACGAAGUUCACCAAUGGGAUAUGUUUAUUUUUUGUAUUACUAUGUGUCAUAUGGGCUCCAAUGUUGGUAAGAAACAAAAAUCCAAGUAUUUGCUUAUUGGUUAAAAUUUAAAAAUAAAAUUUACUACUUUGAGUCUCAUCUAAUUCCGAAAUCCUUUUUUACAAUUAAUGAAAUGCAUAAUAAUAUGGGAAUGGCUUGGUCUGAAAAGGUUGAAGUAAAUACCUUUCACGUGAGAAAGAUAAGAAAACAAUUUCAAUUUAAAGAAGCAAUUUGCUUGAAAAUAACUUUCCAUGAAACUAUACGGUAUAAUUUGUUCUUUCAUAACUUUUAGCUAAUGAAUAUGCCUGGUUAAUGAAAAGAAAUAUAUAAAAUCAUUGGCACAGCUUCUCUUCCCCGAAUCACUGUAAUGGCCCAAUACUUGUUAUCUACGUUUUAGCCUAGGUAAUUGAAUUAUUGAAUUAUCUCAAGUUGGCUUGUUUGCUCCACUUCGAUUAUCAUUUUUUGAUAGGGAGCAGAGAUAUAUUUUUUCUAGAUUUAAUAGAUGUGUUCAAGUCCCGUAUUAGAAUGCCAACCCGAAAAAUCUUGUCAAGUACUUGGACAUAUAUUUGCUGUGCUGUAGCUAGACUAUUUUCAGGCCUUCAAAGUAGCAUAUUAGGAGUAAAAAAAUCAUGGAAGCGCUAUAUGGUCAUGUCUGCUGUUUCAGAUAGCUCAUAAGUCAUACCAUAGGACUAUUACCGGCACUUCUUUUUCUUAUCCUUUUGGGGAAUGAUGUAGCACUGGUCGGUUCAACACAAUCCUGUUCUAAACUCUCGACUGUCAUAACCCUAUAAUACAUAUUUCAAAUAUUUUAUUUAUAUGCCUCUGUCAUUUUGCAGAUAAAAGCAGUUGAAUGUUACUUUUACAUUUUUGAGAUCACUUAUGAAGUGUAGAUUUAAUAACAUUGGAGGCAAAAAAAAUUCCUAAAUCAUUUACUGAAGUAUCACUUCCACCAUUUCCUUAAAAUUACAUUUUCUGGGCAGAUGUACAGCAGUGGUAACCCAACAAACAUUGCGAACCCAAUCAAAGAUGCAAGUGCCAGGGUUGCUAUAAAGACAUCAAGUGGACGGUUGACACUGUUUGAGACUACUUUGUGCGAGAAGAUUUCUUGGGAAAAUCUUGAAGCACGAACAAGUUUGGAUCCCCAGGGUUAUCUUAAUGCAUACAAUGAGAAAGACAUCCAAUUAAUUUGCUGCCAAUCAGACGCAAGUACAUUGUGGCAUGUUCCACCAAUUGUGCAGACCAGAUUUAUAAAGUCCCUUACGCGACACAUGGACAUUUAUUUCUCCUGGGAAUUUUUCAGAGAUAGGCCUAAAGGAAAGGAAGCAGUCAAGUAUGAAUUGACCAUAAUGGAGCCGAAUAUUUCCACAUCUUCAGAAGUGACUAAAGUUUUCAAUGGUACUUCUAACAGUUUCGCAGUAUUCAAUAUUUACCCCAGAUAUUUCCGAGUCACAGGGUCCGGAGAUGUGCGAUCCCUCGAACAGUCGGUAUGUUUAAGAAGAUAUAAUAUGCCUAAUCUAAGACUAAAAAUAUUUAUUAAGACCAAAAACAUGUUCCUAGUUUGCUUAGUUGAACUGCUACAUACAUUCCUUUACUAGCUAGGGCUCAGAUUAUAAUGGGCAUAUAUGGUCCAUGCAGGUUGAGCUGGUUAGUGGGGAUCUUGUUCUUAACCGUGGAGAUCCUGAGUGGUGGUCGUUUUAUGAUUUGGGCUAUUUAGGCUCACUUGGAUGUGGGAAGUCGCCAGGACCUAUGGCUAUAAUUGUAUCUGAAGAAACCCCGCGUAAGCUGAACUUAAACUUUAAUACAGUUCCCUGUUUAGUUUCUUUCAUAGUCCAAAAUUAUCUAAAUUAAAACAACUUUCUCUACUCUUUGUUUUCAUAAAAAUAAAAAUAGUCAGUUUUAUUAUUAGUAACUUGCUUUCUAGAAUCAUUACAUUAUAAUAUCAAUCACCUCACUUCAAAAAUUUUAUAAACUUUCCUCUAAACUCGCACUUGGUGCAUAAUGAUAGAAGACUAGGUUGACAAAGAAACCGAAGCAUUAGAAGCAAGACAAUAUAGCAAUAAUCAAACUACAUCAUAAACCUCAUCUUCGAUUUAAUUUUAGGAAGAGUUCAUGAGAGGCUGUGAUUAAUAGAUUCAUAAGAACAUUAGGAAAGAAAGAACAUGAUAUUGAAAUAAGAACUUGAAUAAGAACUGAAUGGAAAAUAAGUUUGGUGUAAGGAAAGAACAAAUCUACAAAUAAUAUAUGAAAAUAACCAAAUGAAAACAGGAAAAAAAACAAAGAGCUGAGGAUAUCACCUUGAAUAUCAUUCUCAAAAUAAGUGCAUCCCAGAAUGAUCACUUGAAUCAAAGAAUGAGAAAAACUCUCACAAGAAAUAAUGUUGUAAAAACUCUUCCAAUUUUUCAUAUACCCAAAAUACAUGUUUGAUCCAAAAUUUGAAUGAUAUUAAAGAGGGAAAAUUCAAAUUUAAAUUAUAAUUUAAAAGGUUCUCUCGCGAUUGAAUUUGAGUGCUGCUUUCUUUGUUUGUGUAACUUGCCCUCCUAGGCAAUAAUAUGAACAUUUGUUUUCCAUGUUUGCAUUGGACUUUCUUCUCUCCUUUUCUUGGUUGAACUGUGCACUCCUUAUUGAGAUUUUGUUGAGUCUUCAAUUGAAGCUCAAUUUCAAACUCAAUCUAAAAUUACAAAUUUAAAGAAAUUAAAAAACAAAUUACAAUUAAAAGAAAAUGUAGUAAAAUUAAAUUUUAGUCUAAAAUUACAACUAAAGUAAAUUCCUAUCUAGAAAUUCAGACAAUUAUUUUAUUUUUUUAAAAUAAUGCUACCAAAUAUCAUUUUAACCCUUACACUCAUCACAUAGUGUCCUAUGCAUGAGUUAGGCCGAAUUCAGACAUUGUUUCCUUCCAGAUUUUAUCAAUACACUGACUAAUACCAAUCUCCUUGUUGCUUAAGAGGGCAUUAUCGGUGACACUCUCAGCAAGUUUAGUAUCUGGGGGCUGUACAUUACCUUUGUCCUAGCAGUUGGACGUUUUAUCAGAUUACAAUGUUCUGACUUGCGAAUGAGAAUUCCUUUUGAGAAUCUUCCUUCGUGUGACAGGUGCUCGAGCAAUUAAUCCAUCUAUAUAGAUUGUUCAUAUGAGGCUCCCUUCUGUUUUAGUGAGGAAUAAAACGAAGUGGAUGCCAAAGGUUUCAAUAAGGGACCAAAUAAUUUGUUCAUUGAUGCAGAUUGAUGGCAAUAUGUGAAGAUAUAUAUGCUGCAAGAGCUGCUGGAGAGCUUGAAGUUGAAGAGAUUUUGUAUUGGACGCUUGUUAAAAUCUACCGUUCUCCACACAUGUUGUUAGAGUAUACUCAGGAUGAAUAAAUUCUUGAAAGUCUUGGAAGAUAUUCAGUCUCCUAUUGUAUAUUGCAGAAUCAUCGACAUUUGAGCAUAACCCAAUUCUCAGAUGGUUUCCGUUGGAAACACAAAACAGGAAAAGGAAGAUCACAUGCAAAGGCUGCUCAACCGAAUGAAUCUCGAGUUGUAUAUGGAGUCACUCGUACAAUCAGAACUCAUACAUUGACUGAGGGAUACUGCUUUUGAUUCUGGGUUAUAUCAUACUCUCUUCAGGAAUUGGUCAAGGUACCAUACACACACUUUAAGAUGUAAAUUUGAGUGAUUCCUACCUAAACUAUCUUAUAUAUGUGUUAGCCACUUGCUAAAUCAGUUAAUUAUUUACCACAAAUUAUACAUAAAAAAAAUAGACUUAUUCACAUUGAGACAUAUAUUGCAUGUUCAUUUUAGCAUAUUUUCUGCCGCUAAUCAACAUUUAUUAGAAAAAUAUGAUUUUUGUAAGUUUCACUUAUCUAAUGAAUCUUGCAUUUAUAAGAUGUGUAAUAUGAUAUAUUGUUUGCACCUAUUUUGUAUAAGCUUGUCAAAGCUUAUUUCCAUUUUCUUACACAUUUAAUCGGGUUUUGUAAGUAGUUGUUAGAUUAAAGAGUGAAUUAUUUCCAUCAUCCAAUGUCUCUCAAAUUUCAUUUUGAAUAUUGUCUGACGAUGUAUAUAAGAGUAAAUGCAUUGAAACUCUUAUUUUCAUUACAUUUACAUUUAUAUUACAUUUUCCUAGACUUAAUUAGUUAUUUGAUAAGUAUAUUUAAUAUUUUAAAUAAAAAUAAAUCUAAAUUUUAAUAUAUAAAAAAAAUUACUAAUUUAAGAUAUUUUUUUAUAAGUGCAUCCUACUGAAAAGAGUUAAAAGGCAUACUCUAAGUAUGAAGAAAAGAUUUGAGUGUCGGGGUGAAAAUACCGUAUAACGAUCCAGUAGUUCUCCCAUAUUCUUGAUCAACUUUUAAGAUUGAAUAAUAUAUUUUGAUAUAAAAAAAAUAGUAUUUAACUUUAAAUUUUUUUAAUUUAUUUGAUACUAACUUUUUUUAUUUUUUACUCUCAUUUUUUUUAAAAAUACAAAAAUUUAUAUUUUUAUAACUAUUUUAUCUUUAUAUUAUAUAUAAAAAAAUAUAUCAUGAUAUUAUUAUUUUUUAAAAAUAUUUUACACCUAUUUGAUAUUAUACAAAGUUUGACACUAUAAGACUAGUUCUUUAGCAUACUUGUAUAUGAAAUAGACCUGCUCAAAUUUUUUAUUGUUAUAUAUAUGAAAAAUAUGAAAAUUAUUUUAUUAAAAUAUAACAUAUUUUUUAAAAUAAAAAGACCUAUAAUUUACACGAUUUUAAUUUUUUGUACUAUGUUAUUUGAAGAAUGCAAAUGAAUUUAUUAUUGAAAUAAUGCCUCUUAAAUAAGUUUUCAAAUUUUUUAUUGUAAUUGUAUAAUUUAACAGAUAAAAUUAUUCUCUAAAUUUAUCCAUUUAAAUGUAUUAGUUAACCAGAUAUAUAUUUUAUAUAUAUAUAUAUAUAUAUAUAUAUAUAUAUAUAUAUAUAUAUAUAUAUAUAUAUAUAUANNNNNNNNNNNNNNNNNNNNNNNNNNNNNNNNNNNNNNNNNNNNNNNNNNNNNNNNNNNNNNNNNNNNNNNNNNNNNNNNNNNNNNNNNNNNNNNNNNNNNNNNNNNNNNNNNNNNNNNNNNNNNNNNNNNNNNNNNNNNNNNNNNNNNNNNNNNNNNNNNNNNNNNNNNNNNNNNNNNNNNNNNNNNNNNNNNNNNNNNNNNNNNNNNNNNNNNNNNNNNNNNNNNNNNNNNNNNNNNNNNNNNNNNNNNNNNNNNNNNNNNNNNNNNNNNNNNNNNNNNNNNNNNNNNNNNNNNNNNNNNNNNNNNNNNNNNNNNNNNNNNNNNNNNNNNNNNNNNNNNNNNNNNNNNNNNNNNNNNNNNNNNNNNNNNNNNNNNNNNNNNNNNNNNNNNNNNNNNNNNNNNNNNNNNNNNNNNNNNNNNNNNNNNNNNNNNNNNNNNNNNNNNNNNNNNNNNNNNNNNNNNNNNNNNNNNNNNNNNNNNNNNNNNNNNNNNNNNNNNNNNNNNNNNNNNNNNNNNNNNNNNNNNNNNNNNNNNNNNNNNNNNNNNNNNNNNNNNNNNNNNNNNNNNNNNNNNNNNNNNNNNNNNNNNNNNNNNNNNNNNNNNNNNNNNNNNNNNNNNNNNNNNNNNNNNNNNNNNNNNNNNNNNNNNNNNNNNNNNNNNNNNNNNNNNNNNNNNNNNNNNNNNNNNNNNNNNNNNNNNNNNNNNNNNNNNNNNNNNNNNNNNNNNNNNNNNNNNNNNNNNNNNNNNNNNNNNNNNNNNNNNNNNNNNNNNNNNNNNNNNNNNNNNNNNNNNNNNNNNNNNNNNNNNNNNNNNNNNNNNNNNNNNNNNNNNNNNNNNNAAUAUAUAUAUAUAUAUAUAUAUAUAUAUAUAUAUAUAUAUAUAUAUAUAUAUAAUUUGAGAAUUUGUCAUAUUUAAUGAACCAAUGGGUGAACCUCCCAUUGAGUAGACUCGGUAUGACUCUCAUAUUGUGCUAGUUAUAUAAAAGGUUAAUUCAACUUAAUAUAUAGAUAUCAAUGACACUUUUAAAGCUUUUCUUAACUUUGAUCUCUCUUCAACAUAAUAAAUAUGAUAUUAUAAAUUAAUAUAUAAAAGUAAAUAAGUCAAAUAUAACUGUUGAAGAAUAAACGUUAUUUUUAUUAAAAUAUUAAGUUCAUUACUUUGUCAUUCAAACAAGACAAUCUAUUUACUUCAACUUUUCUCAAGUUUCUUUUACUCUUUGACAUAAAAUACACAUUCUGAUGAUAUAACAUCAUAAUUUUCAUCUGCUGAAUAGCCAUUUUCAGCCUUUUCAAGAAAAAUAUUAUUGUUAGGUUCUCCAAUUUAUUCAUGUUAGAUUACAUUUUAGGCUUCUUUAUGUCAUUCUUUUUCUUCGUUCAUGCAAAAACUAACAUUAAUCUCUUUCUUUUCCUAUUUUCUCAUCUUUUUUUCUCAGGUUUAAUGGAAGGAAGACAAAGUUUUUUCCUAUCUUACUAAAAUUCUCUCUCAUCAAAAAGGUUCAUUUUUUUUUAUUCCAUGCAUAUUCAGGUUUUAUCCUUUGUAUUCAUUGUCCAUGAAUUUACACAAUCUGGUUAUUUCAUUUUUGUCAUUCAUAUGAGUAUUGACUAAAACUGGAAAUGGUUUGAUGUGAAUAAAAGGAAUAAGUGAUUUAAUAUUUAUAUUAGAAAAUAGUUGCGAAUUAAAUAUUAUAUUUGUUAACGAAGAAAAAACAUAAGAUUUUAUGUAUAAACAACAACAAAUGAAAUUUUUAAUUUUAUCUUAUGUAUUUUAUUGUUAUUUUAAAAUCAACUACCAUUCAUCUUUGAAAAAACAUAAUUAAAAAGAUGAUUUAGUUAUUUUAAUAUAUCAUAUAAUUUUUCUAUCUUUAUUAUAAUGUACCUUAUAGAAAAUGUUGGCGGUUCCUUUUCAAAUACUUUGUAAUUUCUAUAAAACAUUUAAUAGGAUAAUGAUAUUUAGAUAAUAUUUUUUUAAUAAACAUUUGAAUAUCAUCUACGUGUCAUUCUGUGAUUGGUCCAUGCAGAUGAUGUUCAAAUAUUGUAAAAAAAUAUUGUCUAAGUAUCAUUAUCCCAUUUAAUAUACCUUUACUUGUUUAUCUUUAGUAAAAAUAUUAAACAUUUUGUGUUUUGGAUUGUUCUUUAAUAAAGACAUGUGAAAAGAAUUUUGUUUAGAAAUCAUUUCAUAGUGUUAUGUGUGAAAUCAAUGUUCUUCCUCAAUUAAUUAAGUUUCUCAUUGUAAUAUAAUAUUUCCAAAAAUAUAAAAAUAAUUAUAUUUGACGUGUAAAUAUCUAAUUUUUAUGUUAUACACAGACCAUGGAUCAACAAUUUGGAAAAACAAAUGAUUACACAGAUGCCUACUUUGAAGGAAUAAUUCGUGCUUGUGAGGUAAAUAUUACUACAUAAUUUUUUUUUUGUAUAAUUAAUUUUCAUUUAAUAAUCAUAAUAUCUAACAUAGUUUAUUUUUGUAAAAUAUAAAUCAGAGCAGAGUAAGAAUUCCAAAAGGGUUCUAUAAGACAUGGAGUAAUGAACUGGGGAAAGCAGUUAUACUUGAAGAUGAUUAUGGCAAUAUUUUUGCUGUGGAAAUUGAUCUUAUUACAAUAAACAAUAAAGUUUGUGCUUAUUUUAACAAUGGUAUGAAUAGUUUGAAGGAUUUCUAUCACAUUGAGGUUGGAAAAUUGGUGCACUUUAAAUAUGUAGGACAAGGUACCUUCAAAAUAAGGUUCUCUAUUCCAAGGCCACCAUUAGAAAGCACUUCAAGGAUUCAAAAGGGCACUAGAAGAAUGUUAUGGGAAAGUAAUAUUUUUUAUGAACAAUUUGCCAAUAUGGAAAAUAAUUAAUUGUAUUUUUUUUUUAUUAUAAGUUUUAAUGUGAAAGAUGAAUUUAUAAAUCAAGCAUCAAAUAUUGGUGUGAAGUUACCAAACAAUGUGGAAGAAGAAAGAGAGAUAAUAUUCAAAAAUGGUGAAAGAGUAAAUGAAGUUGUUUUUGGGAGAGCUUGGUACAACUUUUAUAACAAUUUUGGAAAGAAAUGGAAAGGUUCAAUUUUGGAAAGUAGAAGGAGAUGAAAAGUUAAAUGUGAAAAUAAUGCAUUUAAGUUAGUAUUUUUUUAUAUGAUUAAGUGUUUUUUUUAAUGAGAAAACAUUUGGUAAUAUAAAUUAUUUAUACAAUAUUUAUAAGAAAAUUUAUAUUUUUGUUUAAAUGGUGAAUUCUUAUAAGAUUGUUCUUAGAUUAUUAUUUAUCAAAUAAUUAAAUAUUUUUUUCGUCUUUAAAUUAUUAUAAAAAAAUUAUGUUUUGUUUUUAAAUUAAAAUAUAAAAUAUUUAAUUUCUUUUAUUGUAUAAAAAUAUAUGCAAAACAUCUAACAUGUUAAACAAAAUUUCAUGAAUUAAAAUAUAACUUUAACAUAUAAUUUGUUGGGAAACAUAUUUUAUAAUAUAAAGACCAAAUUUUUAUAAUUUAAUUGAAGAAUGAUACACAAUUUUUCAUAAUAAUUUGAAAAUAAAAAUAUAUAUUUAACUCUUAAUCAAAAUAAAUUUUAAUCGAUCACAAUAGUUGUAUAAUCAUUUGAUAAUUAACCCAAUAGUUGAAAUUUCGAAGUUUACUAUAUAAUUAAGUUAAACUAUAUAUGUCAAACUUCAUCAAUUCGUUCUUCUUUUGUGGUUUCGAAUGACUAAAAACUUUUUAAAGAAUUCUAACAUCUUUUGCAAAUAUAAAUAUUCUAAUAACAAUCUUUUGUUAUAAUUUUUCUUUACGUUAAACAAGUCAUCACAGUAGAAAGAAUAUAUUUAUACUCUACGAUACCAAUUUAUUAUAAAUUUUAAUUAUAAUAUUAUAUUUUAUGAAAUUUAAUUUUAAUUUAUAUAUUAAAGAUAUUUAUUUAUUACAAUAUAAAACAUAAUAAAAUACUGGUAAAGUAAAAUAAACUAGAGUCAUUAAUAAAACUAAUUCAAACUUUGAUAUACAUAUCGAUAUUUAAAUUUCAAUUAUUUUGAAUAAAAAAAAUCUCAAGUAUUUAGUUUUUUUGUAUUAUCUCAAUCAUUAAUUUCAAAAGUUAAUAAUUACUUAACUUUUAAUAAAAUAUAUGAUGCAAACUUCCAAGAAUCGUCGAUAUGUCCGAGUGGUUAAGGAGACAGACUUGAAAUCUGUUGGGCUACGCCCGCGCAGGUUCGAACCCUGCUGUCGACGUUUUUAAUUAAUUUUCAUAUAACUAUAACUUUCAUUAUGAAUAUUUUGAUAUAUAUUCUAAAAAUUAAUAAAUAUUAGAGAUUUUUAUUUUAAUUACUUUUAAAAUAUCACAUUUUUUUUAAUAACUAAACCUGAUAGCCCAGGAUUGAAUUGUGGACCCAUUUCAAACCAAUCCCAUUUAAUGAGGUUUAUGAAAAAAUAAACAAUAUUUAGCUACAUUUUAACUACACGCUAACUAAUACGUUUACACUAAUUUUCAUUUAAAAAUAUUUUUUUAGCCUCUUUUAAUUUUUAUGCAUACCAUCUUCUAGAAGGUGAAUGAAAUAAUAAAAUGUAAACAUGGUUCUUGUAUCAAGUUGACCCAUAAUGCCUCAACAAUGUCGAUAUGUCCGAGUGGUUAAGGAGACAGACUUGAAAUCUGUUGGGCUUCGCCCGCGCAGGUUCGAACCCUGCUGUCGACGGUUUUGAUUUUUUAUAAAUUUUAAUGAUUGAUUUUCAUUGCAAACAUAAAGCAUCAGAAACAAUAAAAUGCAUAAAAAAAAGUAAUAUAUUAAAGUUUCCAAUAAAGAUAAGUUUAAAUAAAAAAUAAAUAUAUUUCAAACGAAACUAGAGAAAAUAAAUUACCUUCUCUAAAAUAGUUUGUAUAUUUAUUUCUUCAUAUAUUUCAUUGCAUUUGUAGUGAUGAUGUAGAUAUUUUACUUAAUCUCAUCAAUAAUAAAUCCUCCAUAAUUUACACGCAUCAAAUAUUGGACUUCAAAAGCAGAUUGUUUACCAAAGAGAAUUCAAGUAUUUAUGAUUUUUGAAAUUUAAGGUGAGUAAAAAUUUAAAAGGAGGAUAUGUUAGAGGAAGUAAAACAUGCCUUAAUUUUUUGAAAGCUUCAUUACCAGAUUGAAAAAUGGUGGAUGAAGAGAUGAAAUAGUCAAUGUCUUAGGGUGACAUGAUUGAAGUAAUGAAUUUUUUGAGUCAUUAGAAAUAACGUAUACGAGGUAGCUUUUUAAAUUCAAACAGAACAAGAAAAUAUUGAAGUAUGUCACCAUUAUUUUUUAUUCUUUCCAACUGUUUGUAUAUAUCUUGCACUGUUCACACUCAAGUUCUGUUGGUCGAGUGAGUGUCCACCCAACAAUCCUUCAUACCUAUUUGAUUUCAAUCAAAUCAUUUGAACAUCUUCAAGAACAAGCCAAGAAGCACCAACUUCUGCGAUUGUUCCAUUCAUAACUUUUCUUAUAUUCUCAUCAACUGAAAUUUUUUGGUGAAAGAACAACCACUUACACUUACUUACACUGUCUCCAGUCUCACUUUCUUCAAAUUCACAGAACCCAUUUUUCUUCAAAUAAAUCCUUCUAUAGAACAAUCAGAUUAACUGAAACCAGAGACAAGAAAACAUAUAAGCAGUUCAAAUCGGAGAGAGUGAGAUUACGAGAGUUCAAAUUAGAAGCCACUGAGUUGAUUAAAUGGAAAAUUUUCCGACAAUCUUAAAAACUGAAGAAAAUAUGUUCAGGAAUUGGUUUUGACAUCUAACAUAAAUCUUCAAAAUUUGGUAAAUACAGUACAAUCGCUCUCCGUGUGGAACAUUCUCUCUCUCUCUCUGCCUAAGAAUACAAAACGCAGUUAAAGUAAUUACAGCGUAUGUGGACCUCUCGGUGGUGUCGUUUUUCUCCGCAACCAAACACCACCGCAUGCAUGCAUGUUUUCUCUCUACACACAUCCAACCUUUCUUCUGCCAAUUUCCUCAGUGCAAAUUCCAACGUUCAAAUCAUUCAUUCACUGCAUCUACCUUCCCCUUCAAAACCCCAUGCCACGUGUCCCUCCAACCCUCACACAAUGCUGAUUCCACACAUGCGCAUGCUGCCAUGAACAUGGUGAUGGUGAUGAUGGUUCACCAUCUCGUGACACCUCCUUAACCCUUCACUACUCCCUCCCACGCCAAGGAGCCUCCACUCUCCGACAUUCUCUUCCUCUAUUCCUUUCUCUUCUUCUUCUUCUAUCUCUUCUUCUUCUAUCUCUUCCUCUUCCUCUUCAAGAUCUGACACCAGACGCAAUGUCAAACGUCCGUUCUCUCGCCACGCAUGCAGAAUCUCCGCCCGCUCUAUUCUCACUUCAGUCAACUCCAACCUCCCGUCUUUCCUCACGGGCCGGAGAUAAAAAUUCGGUUUACCGUUCCGAUUGAGCGACGACAGCGGCGGUGGAAAUGUCCUCACCUUCCCUCUCCCCUCCGUCUUUACCGUUCUCCUCCGAGAAAUCUCCUCCCCUUCGAUCACACCCUCAUCCUCGCAAUUACUGUGGAUUUGGUCGGAGCUCUCGCAGCCUAGAUUCUCCGUGCAUGAGGCCAAGCCGCUGACCACGCAAACCACGUCGUUAUCAAGGGAUCCAAUCUGUGUCUUCUUGGGCCGAGGAGCGUCGCUGUUGGGCUUCAACAUGGCGGACUCCAGAACGUUGGGAGGUCUGUGGACGUCUGUGGUGGCGAGUCCAAGGCCCAAAAGUGGAUGGUGGUGAUAGUGGUGGUGAUGAUGACACGUGUCAGUGGAGGUGUUUCUCUUGAACAAUUUGAUCAUGGCAGGGAAGACGAGGGAGAAAAGAAAAGGCGGAUAGAAAGAGAAACCGAUUGAGUUUGUCAUGGCAUAAUAACAAUAAUCAUAAUCAAAACGUAAAAGUAGUUGUAACAAUUUGUGAGAAGGGAUUCUGGAAGAUGAGAAGAAGAGAAAGAAGGUAUUAAUAAAAUAAAAAGGAAAAGCAUAGCAUGGGCAUGGGGUGGCAGAGUGAGAGUGCCAACCAAACAAAACGCAAGAAAAGGAAGGGCGUGUUUGUUUCGGGGUAUGAGCUGGAAUCCCUCUUGGAGCAAACGGUGCCGGGUCCCACGUUGGACUCCGCGCAAAUAGCUUUUUAUCUCUUUUUUUUUUUUUCUGUGGGUUAAAUUUUAACCAAACGCUAACCUCUUAUCUCCUAAUCCUACAUUCCACGUAUUAAUUAUGCGUUGACCUCUUUUUAUCACUUCGUUAAUCUCUUUCUUUUCUUUUCAUUUCUUUUCUACCAUUUUUAUGCUCAUACACGUUUUACUCAAUAAUUAGAAACCAUUUUUUAUUUUGGUUAUUCUCUUGUUACCGUUUGACCAUCUCUAACAAAAUUAAGAAAACGCGAUUCCCAGGUCUUCCAAUAAGCACGUUUGCAAAACACAGACAGACAUUGGCCCUCGGAGUUUGCGCGAGUUGUUCCUGCUCCCAGACGACCCAGGCAAUGAUCAUUUACACGUUCUUCCGAAAAUUAAAUUGCUGGUUAUUUGAAUCGUUUCUACAUAAGUUCUUAUUUGAAAAAGUAGUUUUCAGUUUUCAGAUCAACGUUGUAAAAGUUGUUCAGAAAUCACCAUUUGUCCGUGUCCUUCAUAAAUGUGCCGAAUUCAUCUCUUGAGGGAUUCUUGAAUUUCUUCUAGCGUACGCCCCUUCGUCUCCGGCACUAGUUUUGCCACGAACAGAACGGUGAAGCCACAUAUGGCAGAGAAGAUGAAGAAAGUUCCUGAACAAACAUGAUGUGAGUUUUUGCUUUCUUGGUAUCUUUUCUUUUGUGGUUCAUUUUGGUUUUCUCUUUUAAGGGUGGAGUAAGUAUUCUCACAAGGAAUUGAAAGAGUGAGUAUGAAUGAACCUACCUGCAGAACUCCAGCUCAUGAGAAAGUUAAAAGCAUAUGACACAAUCCAAGAACACAACCAGCUAACCAAUGUCACAACACUUCCUGCAGAGCCCUUCACAUUAAUGGGAAAUAUCUGGGAGCCAUAAAAAAGAUAAUUCAGUACACUUUAAGAACUUCUUAUGCUCCAUUUUUUAUUUCAUAUAAAAACUACCUCAGACAUUAUCACCCAUGGGAUUCCCCCCAUGCCAAGAGAGAAUGAUCCUGUAUAUACCUGAUCAUUGCAAAAAUUAAAUGCUCAAAAUAUCAGGUAUGUGGAUUUAUUUUAAUAUUUUCAAUAUUCUUCGUUAAAUAUAAAAUGCUAACUAGAAACAAAGAAAGAAGUCAGUAUUUGGUUUGAGUAUUUGACACUAGAGAACUCAAACUUCAUUACAUUAUCCACUCUAUAAGUACUUGAUCUUCGGUGAUGUUAUUAUUAACUGGGCAAAAAGAAAACACAGGUAACAUUCUGUCAUCUCAUUUCAAUGUCAUAAUACAAAGUAAUGAAUUCGAAUUUAUGUUUUGUUAUUGUUAUUAUUAUCCAAUUAAAUGCAUAAGAUUGCUGACUGUAAUCAGAGAUUCAAAACAUUGCCAUUGAAAAAUCAUCACCAGUACACCGACAAGUGCCAGAAUGGGACUGACUUCCUUCCAUUUAUGUAGGUCCUGCAUGAGCCAAGCUCAAUUAAUUGAUCAUUUUGAAAUAACUAAAGUGAAAAAACAAACUUGGUAGUGUAGGUUUUGUUAUUUAAAGAACCUGCAAGAAGAAUGAUAGGGCUGCAAGGAAGCAUCCUAAGGAUGUUCCCGAAGCAGAAACCUGCAUAAAGCUAAACAUUUUGGAUUCAGAUCUUACAUAUCAGCACAAAACAGAAGAAACAAAACAUCAUCUUUUCUACCAGCAGAAGUGGUCGUCUACCAGAUUUAUCCAUCAAAAGCACUCCCAGAGCUGUCAUUGGGAUCUAUGAAGAUACAAGUGAAGAGAAGACUCACCAAAGGAGUGGCAUCUAUCUCAUUUUAUACAACAUUAAGAAGGUGAGCGAAUCGACUGUAUGAAGAGAAUGAAGAACCUGAACUGCAACCAUUGCUAUCAUUCCAAUACUUCCCGAAAAUCCUGAGAUAGAUAAGAAUUUCUGCCUCUAUGACAAUUGUGUUAUAAGUUGAACAUUCUCAUGGCCAUCUUCUUUAUCAGUCAUGUGUUAGAAGCAUUAAAAAAAGAAUAUGCAUGUACCAGCAGAGAUGAAUAUAGAACUUGCAUAAAAAGCAAUGCCGUUAACCCCUCCAAACUGUUGCAGUAUCAUCAGACCAACUCCUACCUAACAAAGUAAUUAAAAAAUACUAUAAGAAUCUGCAAAAAGGACAAGACAGGCUACAAGAACAAGGAUAUAUAUCUUAGAAAGCUCAGCUCACAGUAAGUGACUUCAAAUACUGCAACUGAAAUAAGCCAAAAAUGGUAGCUUCUGUUUCGGUCUGAAGGGCUUCGGUAAAAUCCUACAAAAAACAUAACAUAGAAUAAUGUGUUAGACUCUUAAGCCUCUUCUACCACCCGAACACUGUAAUAAACAAACACUAUAUGUACUCUAAUUUCAGUGGCCUCUUGAGAAACAUCAGCAUUCUUUCCUCUAAGACGCUGUAGAACAGAUUCACUCCUUUCCCAGUGACCAAAUUUUGCCUACACAAGAUUUCAAACUGUCACAAACUUGCAAUGUGUUUGUCUACAAUGUAGUGAUUCCAAUUAUUUGGCACAAGUGACUGAAAAUCUCAGUUUCUUGUGUGAAUCGUGUCAUGUUCAACAACAGAUGAACAAAAAUAUCUCAAACAACUCACCAACCACCUAGGAGAUUCGGGAAUGAAGAAUAGACCCAAAAGUUGUACGAGACACGGAAUAGUUCCUGAGAUAAAGAAAGAAAAUGCCACUUACAUUGCAACCUUUCUUAAUUUCACUAUGUUAGAUGAAAACCAUGCAGAUGAGCAUUACCUAUUAGAGCCAAAAUCCUCCAAUUUAAGAACGAUCCAAUAAGAUAAGUUAAUGAUACCCCACAACAAAUCAUUAACUGUCAAAAGAAACUCCAAAUUGGAUUUUAAAUAAGCCUAUUACUUGCAAUGAGAGUAAAGUGAUACUAAGAAAAGAUUUAUCGUUUCUUUACCUGAUGAACUGUGGUGAAUCCCCCUCGGAGAUUCUUGGGUGUUACUUCUGCCACAUAAACUGGUACCUAUAAUGAAAACAGAAGAAACAAACCCAUUGUUUUUGUUUUGAGUGACCGAAUUCCUCUCGAACUGCACUUGUGAAAAACUAAGAGUCACAACAAUUACCACAUAAGAUAGAAGGCCCAUUCCACAUCCUACCAAAAAUCUUCCCACGUAUAGCCACCAACCAACCUUCAAACAAGCACCAUGUGUCAGAUAAAAACGACUUAACUUGUGUGCAAAUAUCAAGGUUUGUUUUACCGAUCAAGUUAAUUUCUCAAAAAGAUAUUUUGCUUGUAUAGGCUUAUAAGAAAGUGGCGUGUAAGGAUGGUAACCUUUGAGAAUGCUAUGGCAAGCCAUCCCAAGAUGCAGAAUACUUCGGAGAAACCCAUAGCCUGUUUUUCAAGAUGGAACAAAAACGAAGAUUGAAAUAAGAUUGUUAGGAAUUCAAGAUGACCAGUAAUUCAAGGUGGAGAAGAUUGUUAGGAAUUCAAAAUACCAGUAUACAAGUAGAAGAUUCCUAAACAUGUUGCUUGAAGGUUUUGGAUUAAAAGUAUUGUUACACUAUCUUGUAUGGACUGAUUCACGAAAACUUAUUGCCUAAAGUUAAGUUAAAAGUGAUGUUGUAAUUUCUUGUAUAGACUUUUUGAUAACUGAUUGGUUUCAAAUCUCCCGUGUCUUGAAAUACCUAACCUCAUGAAACUUUCAUUUCAAAACACAAACUGAAUAAACUUACAGCUCUUCGACCUGCGUAGUCUGCUAUUCUACCACUUAUGAUGGCCCCAAUCAUUGCUCCAAUCGUCAGUAUUGAUCCAAAAACCGAAUACUGAAUAAAACCAGACCAAUAAAAAGGUAUUAAAUGUGUUCCUUCCUUCCUCUCACCAGUUAAAUGGUUAAUACAUGAGAAACCAAAACAAAGGUCGUGAUUCAAAGUUCAAACCUCAGCCACGCCGAGAUUGAGAUCAUUCAUGAUUCCAUUUUGAGCAGGAGACGAAUAUCCAAUCUGCAAAAUUCAUACACUGACAAUGGUACUACUCUCAUAAAAUUGCCAAAGCAAAAACGUGUGAAGGGAACUUACAGCAGACCCAAAAACAUAAGAACCAGAAACCGCAACAAGGGUGGUAAGUAUAAGAAUAGCUGGUACCGACCAAGUUUCUUUCUGCCUCUUUUCCUCACACGCAACCCCAUCGUUACCAUGAUGAUAAGCUUGCAAUAUUUCUGUGGAAAGCAAUGGACUUGAACAUUCUCUCGGUUCAGAACUCUUAGAACUGUCGUCCAUGGUUCCCCAGAAGCGGAUUUAGGAGACACUACCAAUUUUAAGGUUGCUUGUGUGACAGUAAAUGAAUCUAUGAAGAACAGUGCUUUGUGAGGUCCAAAAAUGACUAAUGAGGACGACAGUGUUGGAGAUAAGUCUUGUGUAUUAUUGACUUUCGAUACUGCGUUUGAUGUUUUGAACUCAACUUCAUUGGAGGGACUGUGACAUGGUUUUUGUUACUGGGCAUGUGAAAUCUGAACUGAUAGGCAUAGAUUUUUUGUAGGAUGAUGUGUCAUCAUAAGCUUGCACAAAAGGCCAAGAGUUCCAAGCUGUGGCAUUCUGAAAAUCUUACCUUUUCUUGCAUGUGAUGACCAAGCCCUCAAGAUUCUUUUGUGUUGUCCUGAGUUUUAAGGUUUUUGUGAAUUUAGAGAAAAGUAAUUGAAAACAUUCGAAUUAAUUUUUUUUUUAUUUGAAUAAAUUUGGAAAUAAGUGAGAGUAGAUUUGAAAGUAAAAAUUUAUGAGAAUUAGUGUAAGAUUUAAUUUAUGUGAUAGAUUAAAAAAAUUUAGUUCCAAAUUCACUUUUACUUACCUCCAAAUCUAUUUAAAUAAACAGGAAAAAAAAAUUAUCAUCAAAUACUUCCAAAUCCUCCGAACUACUUUUUCUCAAAUGCACUGAAAUGGACAAAGAAUAAAAUAUGAGAUUGAUGCAUUAAAAAAAUUAUAUUAUAUUUUAAAAUAUCAAAAUUAAUAUCCAUCAAUAUAUUUUUAAAUUACAACAGAUAAACAGUACAAAAACACAGUAGAUAAUAUAAAUUGGUGAUGAGCGAUGAAAUAGUAACUUAGAUAUUCCUGUGUGAUGCUAUUUAUAUUAUAUUUUCAACCCACCAUUAUUAAUUUUUUAAUACAAAAUUAAAAUGUUACUUUGCCUAUAUUUUUACUAUUAUUGGCAAGUCUUUUUUUUUUAAUUAUUACAACUCAAACUUUAGUAGGUAUUUUAAUCCAAGACACAACUAUUAAUCUCUUGACCAUUUUACAUACUUUUAGAAUUUAACUUCUAACGACAUAAAAGACCAAACAUGUUUGUCACUUGAAGCAUGUUGGUCUUCUUUUAUGAUUAAUACAAUAUGAUACAUCGCAUCCACACAAUUAAAAUUCUUUUAUAUUUUUAGUAUCUAAUAAUCAUAAUACGAUACAAUAUGAUACAUAAUAUCCAUCAUUAAUAUUUUUAGAUUUAAAUAAAUUUUAGAUUUACUUAUUUUCGUCUUGAGUAUCCAGUAUUUUUUUUAAAAUUAGAUAUAUAAUUCAUCAUAAAAUUUUGGUUGAAGAUCCUGAAAAAAAAAAUCAUUUUCAUUUUGUUCUUAUUAUCACUUCACUCUUUUUAACUGGAUUUUAAGUUUUUUUUUUAAAAAAAACAAUCUCUUUUAGUAUUUUAACUUUAUUUUAUUAUAAUACUUGUUACCAUGUGAUAAUGUAUUCUGCCGGCAAGUAAUCAACUUAAUGUAAAUUAAUUUAUAUUAUACUAAGCUUCAACCAUUCCUAUUGUUUUCUGAAGUGUAUUUUAGUUUAGAAAACACUUCAACAUAUAAUAUAAAAUAUUUAGACAAAAAAUAUAAACUUUUUAAGUAUCCAAUUUUUAAAAAAAAAUAUUAGAAACAUAAAACAAAAAUUAACAAAAGUUAUUUAAGUUAUAUUUCUACAUAAUCAAUUUUAUUUAGUUUUGUUAUAUUUUUAAUGAUACAUAAUAGCAAUUGACACUAAAUUGUUUUCAUAUUUUACUCAUAAUAAUAUUUUUAAGUCACAAAUUGAAAAAAGAAACAAAUAAUGAGAUAGUGGAAAGUGACUAACAUGGAUUAUAAAAGUGUGCACAUUAAUUUCUUGUUUACAUAAUAUAAAUAAAAUAAAAUAAAAUAAAUUAUAUACAUAUUAUACAUUUUUAUUUAUAUAAAUUCUAAGACAGCAAAGAAAAAUUACAUACACAGAGUCUCUGUUUUUGCUAAUACUGAUUAAAUUGGAUAAAUAAUACAAUCACAAAAAAAAUAUUGUGACUUGGAGAUUGUUAUCUCCAUGAUUCAAACUUAUGUAACUUUUGAAUAAACUUCUUUACACGAAACCCCAUCAAUGUGCAACUUGCAGAAAUUCUGUUGCAGAGGAAUACCAAAUUCAUCUCUCAUAAGCUAUUCAAAGAAGCUUGAAUUUCCUCUAGUGUACGCCCCUUGGUCUCUGGUACUAGUUUUGCUACGAAAACAACAGUGCUGGCACAUAUGCCAGAGAACAAGAAGAAAGUUCCUGCUCCAACACAACCAAAACAUGACAAUGAACAUGUUUUUCAUAAAAUACUUCUUUAAAUUUUGAUGUUUUAUUGAUUUUUUUGUCUUGUCUCUUGAGGAAAUUAAUGUAUGUGUUAGAGUGGAAAACAGGAAAUAAGAGUAAAUUGAAGUUUACCUGAUGAACUCCAACUCAUGAGAAAGUUAAAAGUAUAUGCAACAAUCAAUGAACAUGUCCAGUUAACCAAGAUUACUAAGCUUCCAGCAGUGCCCUUCACAUUAAUGGGAAAUAUCUGAAACAUGAACAGCAUUCAUGUGCUGAGGAUUUAUUAUAUUUCAAUUUUGAUUUGAUGAGUCGAAGCAUAGUUGAACAAAGCUACCUCAGACAUUAUAACAGACGGAAUUCCAGACAUGCCUAGCGAGAACAAUCCCAUGUAUACCUGCUCAUUAGGAAAUUUAAAGCCAAAUUGCUUUUAUCUAUCAGUCAUUCAAUCCAUGAGUAAACCAGGCUGAAUAUACAACAUGAAUUGAAAUUUUGUCGGAGAAUUAAACUUCAGAGACAACAUUAAAGUCCUAAAUUCCAUUCGAUCUUACUAAGACAAAUACAAGGCCAAUGAAAAAUGAAAAGACAAGGAUAAGUACAAGAUGCAAGUGUUGGCAUUGUUAGAAAAGCAUUACCAGUACACCAACAAGCGCUAUAAAGGGACUUAUUGACUUCCAUUCAUGUAAAUCCUGUAUCAAGCAAGCCUAAUUGUUCUUAGAAAUGAUUCAAAAAGCAAAAAUGAUUAAAGCAAAGAUCUUCUAUCAAAAGAAAAGAACCUUCAAGAAGAAUGAUAGGGCUGUCAGGAAGCUUCCUACGCAUGCUCCUGUAGCAGAAGCCUGUGUAAGAGUCAAAAUUUAGGAUGAGAAUCAACAGAACAUGGAAACAGAUAAAAUUAUAAAUUAAAAAAGGAAGAAAAAAAUUGGCCAUUUUACCAGUAAAAGUGGUCGUCUUCCACAUCUAUCCAUCAAAAGUACUCCUAAAAAUGAAAAUGAGACCUAUAAACACAAAUAAAAGGACUAUGUGAAGAGAAGACCCCGGAAUGAAGUGUACAUGCAUCAUCCAAAAUGGCACUGAACUUGUAUUGUAUAGAAUUGAGCACACAGAAGUAAUGAAAUUGUGUAAACAGAAAUAAAAACCUUGAAGACACCCACUGCUAUUGUUCCAAUAGUGUCUGAAAAUCCUGUAAAAGAGAAGAAUCUUUGCCUUAAUGAAUCAUGCACAAAUCUAGUAUUCUCUGAUUUGUUUUUUCUUAUUUGGCAUAUGUUAGAAGGACCUGCACCUACCAGCAGAGAUAAAUAUGGAAUUUGUAUAGAAAAGAAUGCCACUAAUCCCUCCAAACUGUUGCAGUAUCAUCAAGCCUACACCUACCUAAACAAGUAACUAAAUACCAUGAGAGCCUGGAAAACAUUAAGAUAGCCUGAAUGAAUGGAAUGAAUUUAGAAUGCUCACAGUGAGUGUCCUUAAAUACUGCAACUUAAAUAAGACAAUAAUAUUUCCUUUUUCUGUGUGUUGCUGAAGGGCUUCUGUGUAUUCCUACAAAUGAAGGUACAGCCAAAAAAUGUUAAAUAUUAAAUUAUGUGUCCCCUAGUAAGAUCAUAACCCAAACAAGAACUUGUUGUAUACUCUGAUUUCAGUGGCCUCCUCAUAAACAUCAGCAUGCUUUCCUCUUAGGCGCUGUAGAGCAGACUCACUCUCUUUCAUCCGACCAACCUUAGCCUGCAGAAGAUUACAUAUAUCAGUUGUGCUGUGUUAUCCAAUGACAUGUGUUGACUCUAAUCAUUUGACAAACAGAAGAAAAAACUUGGUUGCUUGUGUGAUAUGUGUCCAACAUGUACUGAUCAAAGAGCAAAAUUCCAGAAGCUAAGAACAACUCACCAGCCACCUGGGAGAAUCAGGGAUGAAGGGAAGAGUCAGAAGGUGCACAAUACAAGGAACAGUUCCUGAGAUAUAGACAAAAAAUUAUGUGAGUUAUUUCGAACCCUUUUUAAUUUGGUUUUGUGAAAAAGAGCAACAUAAAGAAUAGUACAAGUAUAUUUACCGAUCAAUGCCAAAAUCCGCCAAUUCAAAAAUGCGCCAAUAAGAUAAGUUAAUGACAACCCACAACAAGUCAUUAACUGCCACAACAAUACCAAAUAGACAUUUAAAGUGAGCCUUUAUUGAGUGACACAAAAAAUAAGUGGCACGAUACACAAAAUAAGAGGGGAAUGACUGAUGUGAUAUCAUUUAUAGUAUUCCUUUACCAGAUGACCUUCGGUAAAUGCUCCUCUGAGAUCUUUGGGUGUUAUUUCUGCUAUGUAUACUGGAACCUGAUUUGCAAAGGGAACUGUGUUACAUGUAUUUCUUGAUUGACUGAAUAACAUUAAUUUGAAUUGCAGUCAUAACAUAUCAAACGUUAAAGCACUUACCACAUAAGAUAUGAUGCCAACCCCACAUCCUACCAACAUUCUUCCAAUAUAAAGCCACCAAGAAACCUUCAAACACGGAAUAUUCAUUAUCUUAGACUGAAUUUAAGGAAAUUGACCCUGUGGCUUUGGGCGUAGGAAGGAACAGAUAGAAAUAAACACGAAGUAAACCAUUUAACUAGAAGCAGUUUUGCUUGAAGCCUAGUUAAUAAAGAAUCUCGGAUAUCCGUAGACUUCAAUUUGAGAAAUAUGGGAAGAAAUUAAUGGCAAACCUUUGAGAAUGCUAUGAUAACUGAUCCCAAGAUGCAGAAAACCUCCGAGAAACCCAUGGCCUUCAUGGAAAAAUGAAAAAUUUAACCCAAAGUGAACAACAGUACCACUGAAACUAAAACUAAGUGUAAUCUGUCUCUGACUUACCAAUCGCCGACCCACAUAAUCUGCUAUUCUACCACUUAAAGUGGCACCAACUAUCGCUCCAAUCGUCAAUAUUGAACCAAAAGUUGAGUACUGGAAAAGUGACAUAAACGAUCAAAUAAACAAGAACCAAUAAACUAUGAGGAGUGAAUUUAAGAGAAAACUUAACACAACUUCUUAGGUAUUGUCAGUUUCAUCUAUGUAUUACACAAACAAUUGAGGUGACCUCAAAUAAAAUUAGAGAAUACCAGAAAAGAUAUACACAACUUAAACAUCAAAAUUUUACAUUCAAUUUCCAGUAAAGUCAACUGUUCUUACCACGCGAUACAUUUUAAGAAAGAUUACAAAAACAAAGAUUGUUAGGUCGUAACCUCGGCGACAGAGAGAUUCAGGUCAUGCACGAUUCCAUACUGAGAAGGGGAUGAAUAUCCGAGCUGCAAAAAGAGGUGUCUGAUGUGACGGCAAGAACAGAAGUGGUGAUUCUGAACUGUGAUGAACCAAAAUGUGUGAUUGAUAACUUACAGCAUACCCAAAAACGUAAGAACCAAUCGUAGCAGAAACGGCGGUGAAAACAAGCAUAAAUGUCAUCUCAGAAGCUUCACUUUGCUCAUCUUCAUGGAAAUCAACUCCAUCUUUGCUGGAAGACAGCAGAGGAGUUGAGUUUACACUUGCUUCACUGCCUCUGAUGCCCAUGAGUGAUGAUUCCUUCGCCCAAAAGUUUCCACCACACGACCAAACACUCCACACAAGUUGUUUUACACUUAACAAGAAAGCUUAGCAGAUAAUCAUGUGGUUCUGUAUCAGAUUUCUAGCACAAGAACAAAAUCGCAUAUUUAAUAUUUUAUUAUUAAAAUAACUGUCAGCCAGUUGUUGGGAGAAAAAGUAGUUGAAAAGAAAUAAUUUUUGGAUGUCUAUUCUACUCUCUAAAUCAAUACACUCUGAUUUUUAGCCAUUUCAUUAUUCUACGACUCUCUUCCUUCCACGUUAUCUACAACAGCAAUAAAUCUACGACCUUUUUAAAAAAAAAGAAAACUUUUUCAUAUUUUAUUUAAAUUCAUAUUUUAUUGAGGAUAUUUUUGGAUAAUUUGAAUAUAUUUUUUUAAAAUAUGACAAAUCUAAAUUCACUUAUUUUAUAAAAGAAACGUAAAUUUGUAAACCUUUCAACUGCUUCUUUGAAAAAAUCGAAGAAUAAUUGGAAAAUGGAUUACGUGAAUAUCUUUACAAGAUUUUCACUAAUAAAUUAGUACAAUAUAAUGUUUUAAACUUAGAAUAUAAUUUCGUAAAAUCACGGAGUGGGUUGAAGAGCUCGUCAGAACCCGUUGUCAUUCCCAAUAUGCUUAUUUAAAAAACUAACAUUCAUUUCACGUGGUUUUUUAUUUUAUAUUUUAUAAGAUUUUUAGAAGAUUAUGUAUACAACACAAAAGUAUCUUUUUUAUUUUAUAUACUUUCAAUUAUUAUUAGUUGUGGCGCGUAUCACAUGCUAAUUUCAACAAAAUAAAAUGAUUUUUACGAAGAGGGGUUAAAUUUAUUAAAUGUUAUGGUGAUUUAUGUAUGAUUGAUAAAAUUAAAUCACGUGCAAUUAUUGAGAGAAGUUUUAGUUGCGUGGGAAGUUUUCGUUAGGUGUCAUAUCAAAUUCGGUAAUGUCUGGUUUUAUAUUAUUAAUGAGUGCGAAGAAUUACUUAUUACAUGUAUUAUUUUAGUUAGUGUUUUUAAUCUUUAAAAUUUAGAAUCAUUUUUGUGACAUCCAUUUUUAAACUGUAUUGCUAGAACAAAUUACAUAAUUAAUAUUAUGAUAUAGUAAAUAAUUAAGAAAAUAUAAAGUUAUAUUACAGUUAUUUAAAUAUAACUAUAAUAUACCUUCCUAUAUAGAUUUUGUGCUUCUAAACCAAAAGAAAAAAUAACUACCAUAGAAAUAAUAUAAAAACUAUUAAGCAUCAUAGUCAUUUUUAUCUAAAGUCUAUUCUAUAGUCACUUUAUCAUCUUAUGUUCAUGCUCCCCAGAUGGCCAUAACUAAGACAACAGCAUACAAAAAUAUACCAAUAAUAUACAAACAACAAGAUAAGGUAGUGAUACAAAAUCAAAUCAUAAUAUACAUUAAUAUUCCAUACAUGAGUCAUAUUUCACAUAAAGCAAUACAAACAUCUUAAUCAUGUUCAAGACCUAGACUCGACUAUCCAGAUUUAGUAUGAAUGUCAAGCUAUGGUGGGUUGUGCACUUGUGAUAGUUUCUAUCACUUUGCAAAGUCAUUAUCAAUGGGUUUCACCUUACCAUACUCACAAGGUUAGUCUGUAUCGCGUCUUAGGUCAUACUGGAAACAGCUACUUAAGAAUGAAUGAUCAUUAAAGUGUCGGGAUAACCCCCAAGACUAAGCUCCCUGCAUUCAUACUAACAACAUUAUGAUACAACCAUUAAAAAUCCUCCUUAGAACUCUUACACACCAUAUUUCGUUCAAACAUAUAUUUCAAACCUUAUCACACAUAAUACAACAAACCAUUAUAAUUUUCAAAACCAUACACAUAAAAAGAAAAGAUUCAAAAACACCCAAGAACACAGACCCACUCACCUAACGAAUAGUCUCUACUGAGCUCGCUUAGCCUUUGCAACUCUUUGCCAAAAACCUUAAAUACUCGCCUAGCGAGUUCUAAAACAACAAGCUCCCCAAGAUGAACGAGUUGUUUCGCUUAGCCUCUGGAAUUCACUGUCAGAACUCUCCUAAACUAAGUAUGUAACUUUGCAGUACCAAAUUUGCAUAAUUAGCACCCCUAAACAACCCAUAACCUAUUGUAAUAUUUUUCACAAACUUUUAACACUCCUAGAUUGAAUUGUAAAGUAUUUUAAACCUAAACAAAAGUGUUAAACCCAAUUUAAACUAGUUAUCAAGUAUCUCACCAUAAGAUUUCACUUAAAAACAUCUAAACUCUUCCAUUUGAGACCAAAAUUUCAUUCUAUAAGUUCUAGCUCAUUUUUAAGUGACUUAGGAACUCUAACAAGUCAUAAAUGACUUACCAACACACCCCAGACCUUCCAUUUGGAAACAAAACCAAUUAUUCAAAAUUUCACUAGUCCAAACCUCUAAAAAUGCACUUAACACCAACCAAAACACCACAAAAGUACUACUACCUCUUUCUUGAACAAAUUUCAACUACUUCAUAACUCUAACAACCCUAAAAUCACAUCCAAAUAGACUCUAAGACUUAAUUUCCUCUUUUUAACCCUUAACUCAAAAACUCACAUACCAAAACUCUUUAUUUUAACCAAGAAUAUUUACCAUUAAACCUAGUCCAAUUCUCUUUCACAUUAAACCAAAUUCAACACCACCAAACAUUUCACCAACACAAUUCAUCAGACAAUCAGAGUUUAACAUACAAUCAUUCAGCAUCAACAAGCAUCACGUGAUCAAAUUCACCUACUUAACCACAAAAAUUUACAUUAAUUAACAUUUCAAGCGUAAGCAUCCAAUAUCUCCAAACUACACAUCAUAAAUACUAUCAAUUCAUACUUUAUAAAUCAAUAUAGAAUAAAAACUAUUUCCCCUCACCUCAUAGAUAACUACCAUAGCUCUAAAAAUGUCCAACCAUUGUUUCAAACAACAAACUCUAAAAACACCUACAAAUCACCAAAUUGUGAUCAGAGUGAAUCUUUAGGAUCUCAUAUUGACAAGAUACUAGAAAAAAAUAACCUGUCAUUUAUAUUCUCCAUUUGGACAUUAUUUGUCUUACGCUUUUGUGUCAUUUAAUCUAAUUAUAUAUGAUUUUUUAAUUAUUCCUAAUUACACUAAAAUUUAAUUUGAUUUUCCAUUUUAUUUUUGACUCUUUCUUCUUUUCUUCUCUAUGUGUGAAUAUUUUUCCCAUGUUUUUCAUUUACCUAAACAAUAGUGAAAAAUGAAUUCUUUUUUAAAGAAGAGCAAAAGAUAGCUUGAAAAAAAAAUAUAUACGAAAAUGGAAAUAGUGAAAAAUAACUGUAAGUGAGGAUUGAAACCAAUAAACAAGAUGAAAAAAUAGAAAUGAGAAUAAAUUGAAAUUUGUGACAGUUUUAUAAUUGCUUUUAAUAAAUAAGUUAAAAGUUAUAUUGAUGGGGAUAAAACAGAAAAGUAAAGGUAUACCCAAAAAGGUGUAUUCUUUUUUUAACGUAAAUAUGCGUACGUGGACAUGUGUGUAAUUAGUCUUUAUAUCUCUAAUUUGUCAAAUAAUUUUAAAAUAAAUAAAUAAUUUUCUUACUUACGCAUUCAUAAUAUGUAACCUAAUAUCAUAUCUAGAUUAAUAAAAUAAUAUCUAGAAUCAUCCUUACUAAGCUAAAAUAAAUAAAAGUUUAUGAAGUAACAUUUUUUUUAUUUCUUCAUUUAUUAAUUUCUAAUUAUAUAUACCCAAUCCCUAAUACAUCAUUCCUUCUUCAAGUUUACUUGGGGUGAUCGGAGGUAAUUGAGAGAGAAUGAUUGAGUGAAUUUGAAGAUAAUAUUUUUUUGUUGUUUAUUUGAGUGAAUUUAAAGGUAAAUAAGAGUGAAUUUUAAAGUAAAUUUUUUUAAUUUGUCAUAUAAACUAAAUCUUACACUGAUUCUUACAAACUUUAUUUCAAAUUUUACUCUCAUUUACUUCCAAAUUUACUCAAAUAAACAACAACAAAAAUUACUCUCAAAUCUAAUUAAUGACUCUUUUUCAAUCACCUCCAAUUAUCCUAAUCCUAAGUGAACAAACUAUAAGUCUGGAUCACAACAUUCGAUUUGAUAUGAGUGAGGUAAAUUUACGUGCAGAGUCAUCAAUCACGAAUCAAAAUUUAUUGAUUUAACAAGAGAGUGGUGAAUUGCACAGUGCUUAAUGACUUUCCAUUUUUAUAUUUAUAUAUGUUGUCACCAAUAUCGCUUUACUAUAUUUAAUUAUGCUUUUGUGGCAGAAGCAAAUGAAAGGAUAGAUUUGAGUGUCAGAUAAGACAUAAUGUGACAUUGAAGAAAGUGAAAGGGAGAAAAUGCUGCCUUUUCAUUGUUUCAUUUAGCCAACUUCUUCAUUCCAUAUUUGUUCACUGUCACAUCUUGCAUAAAAAAAAAAAAAAAAUCAUUUUUCUAACACUUUAUAAACAGUAUAUUGUUAUUUAUAUACAAACUUUCUUAUGAUACUUAUCCAGUUGCUCUCCUAUAGAUAAUAUAAUAAAAUGGAAGGUAUAUAUAUAGAUAUAUAAUUAAAUAUAAUCCUAGACCAAAUUUGACUAAAUGGAUUAAGAGGAGGAUAUAACAAAAGUAGAAAAAACUAUUUUGAAAUAAGUGAAAAAAAUUAAUACUUAAAUAACAAAAGAAUAUUUUUAAUUGAAUUUUUGUUAAAAAAUUAUAAUUGAUUAUGUUAAAAUCUUAUAUUUAUAAAUAAAUUUUAUUUAACUUUUUAUUAUUUAAAUUUAAGAAUUAUAAAAUAAGUCAACUUAAUUUGUUCUGGUUCAAUAUUUAAUUCGUAUAUAUAUAUAUAAAAAAAAAAAAAAGAGGAUAAGGUCAUAUUGUUCCGUCUUAAGAAAAUUGGUCCAAAAUUCUAUCUCAUCUCUCCAAAGACGGCCAGUACUUUGACCAACUUUUUUCUAAUUUUUUAAAAAAUUAUAUAUAUAUAUAUAUAUAUAUGGGUUUGUUAAUACGUGUACGCCUGUUUUUCAGUUGAUACGUUUUAACAAUGUGUACCGGAUUAUAGUAAACAAAAAUACCCUCAUUUAUCAUCCAUUCUAAGUUUUAAGGUUAAGAAUAUUUAUAUAAUUUUCAUUCUCAAAACUAAAAAAAAAAAACCCAAACUCUUACCUCCCUCAUUCCUCUCAAUUCUUUCUUUUUCAUCUCUCUCACCCCAACAUUUUCUCACUGUUGUCCCAAUUAAAAAAAAUCAAAAACCCUUUGUCAUCAGAGAUAUUUUCUCUCUCAUCUCAACUUUUUCUCUGUCAUCACUCUAACAUUUUUUCUCUCAUCUCAACCCAAUUGAAGAUGGUGGUGGUAAUUUGAAUCAGAGAUAUUUUUAAAAAUUGAAAAAGUUUAUUCUUUUAUAAUCAUUUUAUAUUUAUUAAUGUGUGUAAAAUGAAUAUAAACUUUGUCAAUUUAUGUUACUCUUUCCAAAUCUCAAAGGUAAAAAAUGAUUUUACUGUUUUUUAUCUUGCACCGUGGUUAAAGUUUAUUCUAAAAGCCUCUAAAAGUUGAUUCAAUGAUAAAAAGGAGACAUAAGGAAAUUAAAGAAAUAGGUAUAGAAGAGCUCCCUAGGAGUACAAUUCUUUCAAUUCUAGGUUGUAAUCUUACAUCAUGUAUCCCAUACCAAUAGAGAAAGGAAAAAGAAACACUUUGUGUAAAGGGAAAAAGACAAUAGAGGGAAAUAUCUUGUUCUUUAAAAAUAUAAUGAAAUAUGAUGUAAAUGAUGUAAAUGUGUAAAUAAUGUAUGAAAAUUUAAUUGAUUUAUGAAGGUUUUAUUUACAUGAUUUAAUUUAAAAAUGAAAUUUAAUAAUAAGAAGAAGGGAAAAUAUAUAAGACAUCCUUCAAAUGAACGAACAGAGCAAGAGCAACAAAUUACGAUGUCAUGGGUUGUUGCGUGUGGCUAAGGGAGAGUAUGGAGACGAGAAAGAAACAAAUUGGACAAGUGAGGAAGGUGGAUUAGGGUUAGGCAAGAGUUUCUGAUUUUUUUUUUUCAAUUGGGACAACAGUAGGAUGACAGAGAAAAUGUUGGAGUGAGAGAGAUGAAAAAGAAAGGAUUGAAAGAAACGAGAGAGGUGAGUAAAGGUUUGGGGGUUUCUUUUUUUUUUAGUUUUGAGAAUAAAAAUUAUUUAAAUAUAUAAAGAGAGAGACAGACAUUAAGAAUAUUUUUAAGUUUUAAUUAAUGAAUUGAUGUCUUUAAUCAAAUAAAUCAUAAUAUAAUUUAUAAGAUACUUAAUAUUCGUUAUUAUGUUGAAUGGUUACUACUUAAAAACAUAAAGUUUUAAUUAUAAUAAUUUAAAUUAUUUAAGAAAAAAAUACACUUUUUUAUUUUCUAAAUUGUGAGAACUAAUUAAAAUGCUUUACUUUAUAAAAAUUGUGAGAACAAAUUAUUUGCUAAAUUUUAUAUUAAAUUGACAUAAUUAACUAAAAAAUAUGAAUUAAUUUAUUUUUAACAUUACGUUAAAUUUGUUAUGAACCAUCUGUACUGAUUUUUUUUUAAUAUAGAAAUAGUUUUAUACAAUUAUUUUUAAUUACUAUAUUUUAUUUCAGUGAUUACUUCCUGAUAAAAAAAAUCUUGUUAAAGUUUUAAUUGUUAAUCUGAAAGUAUUUUAAGAAUCUAACAAUUGAAACCAUUUUAAAUUAUAAAUGAUUUUUCUUUUAUAUAUAAUUGUAUAUGAAUAUUUAAAUCUCAUGUUUCAAAUUGUAUACUAUCUCACUGUGACACUCGAUGGUGACAGCUAGUAACAACGUUGCCUUUAAUAAUUUGAUACAAUCAUUGAUGUUUUAUAUAUAAAAAAUUAUAUAAUUUUUAUUAUUGGGAUACAAUCAUUGAUAUUUUAAUACAUAAAAAACUAUAUAUUUUGUAUUAUUAAGGUUGGAUACUGUUGUCUUAUUUUACAAAAUUAUAUAUUAGUUGUAUAGCUAUCAUAUGAAUUUGGAGUCGGUGUAAAAUUUUAAUGAUGUUAAAGAUGUUAUACGAGAAUUAAUAUAAUAAAACUUUAGGUAUUAACUCAAGGUUGAAUAAAAUCACAAAAUAAUGAACAAACUUUUACAUUUAAAAGAAGAUAUUUUGUUUAUGGAAUGUAAUGUGAUUUUAUCAAGGACAAUUGUUUGAUAAAUUUAAGUGAUGAUAAAAAUGAAAGUUAAUUAUUUUUUAUUAGCAUCAUUUUAUUCAUACACUUACUAUAUAUUUACAUACACUAAAUUUUUAUCUGUUUAUAUUUUAAAAAUUAUAUUAUAAUUCAUACUAUUAUAAUUAAAAAUAUAAUUUGUAUAUUUAAAAAAUAUUUAUUAGAGUUGUUUAUAUCUAAUAUCUUUGUAGAGAAAGGUACUAGCCUUUUAUAUAUACAUUUCUCACGUUAUAAUUAAAUUAGUAAAUUAAUACUAAUCAAAUUAUUACUACAUUUUAUAAUGAUGCAUUAAAAAACUUUGCACAUGAAAUUCAAUUUUUUUUAUACUUGUCUUUCUAAAUUUGUAAAUUUAGUAAUGUAUAAAAAUAAUAUCAAUGAUUUCAUCUUCUAAAUAAGGGACACUAUUUUGAGAUCUUAUAAAGUUGCUUCUUUUUUAUUCCCUUUGUGAUUACAACAAAUGCAUAAUGACUCUCAAAAUUAAACAAUAGUGUACCUUACUCUAGAAUUAAGAUCCAAUCUUACUUUAGAAUCAAGAUCUAAUAUAAGAUAAAACAAAACUUGUGUAAUUAUUAUUAACAUUAUUACUACUAUUUUAUGCUUCAAUUUGCAUGCAAAUCAGAAAUAUAUCAAAAAUUAAUUAUCAAAUAUGUGUCAACUGUUUCAAAAAGUUAUUAUUGUUCUUUAUCUAUAUUUAUAUAUAAAGGAAAAUAUCCUCUUUGCUGCUCACAUUUAUUUUGUAACGUUACCUUUUAAAUAAAAGUUUUUUAAUUAGAAUAAUUAUCUAUAUUCGUGUGUAAAAUAUAUUUUUUUAUCAUAUUUAUUUUAUAAUUUUACCUUUUAUUUUUUUUAAAUUAAAAUAUUUAUUUUAAUCAAUUUCAUCAUUUUAAGUGACUAUUUCAUUUUUUGAUUUAACUGUUUUUUAAAUUUAAUCAUUUUUAAUUAAAAAAUAUCCACAAAAUAAAUAAAAAGUAUUUAUUAUAAGGGUAACUCAAAUGUUUUCACUGUGUGUAUAUAAUAAAGAAUAAAAGUAGAAAUGAAUAGGAAUAAGAAUAUGGUUAUAUUUAUUAUAAGGGUAACUCAAAUGGAUUAUAAUUAUUCUUUUAUCUCAACUUGAUCUUUCUUUUUAUUUUAUAUUAACAAUUCAUAUUAAUGAGUAUCAAGUUGAUAAUCAUUCACAUUAGAUAAUAAUAGGUUAAAACCAUUUAGGCGUCCCUAUUUUCGUAAGGUAUUUUCAAUUUGGUCCUUUUCUUUUAAACCUUCUCAAUUGAGUCUUUAUAAGUGUUAAUUUGAAACAAAUUAGCCUCUGCCGUUAAAAAUUGUUAAUGGUGUUAAAAUUAUGCAGAGGUGAGUAGAUGACGUGGUUAAAAUUCUCGUUUUGAAGUGUUAAAAUUGUGAGGUGUUAAAAUUGUGGAGAGGAGAAUGGGAAAAAUUUGAACACCUCUGCACAAUUUUAACACCUCAAAGGGAGAAUUUUAACCACGUCAUCUACCCACCUCUGCACAAUUUUAAUACCGUUAACGAUUUUUAACGGCAAGGGCUAAUUUGUUUGAAAUUAACACUCAAUUGGGAAGGUUUAAAAGAAGAGGACCAAAUUAGGAAUACUUUACAAAAAUAGAGACGCCUAAAUGGUUUUAACCAUAAUAAUAUUUAUAUCUUGAAACGUGUUCCUUAAUAUUAUAAUUUUUUUCUCCUUUUUACUAAUAUGUAUGUGUAUCUUUUCAUGACCUGAAGGUUGAAUUAGUCAGUUUUCCUUUCAUAAUUAUGCUAUUUAGUUAUAUUUUAUGAUUUAAAUCGUAAUCAAAUAGUUUUCAAAGUUUUUAAUUAUUAUGAUUAAUUUCUUUCAAUUUUAUUUUAUUUGUAUGAAACCAAAAAUAAAAUAAUUAAAUAUUUAAUAUAUGUAGUAAUUGAAAUUUAGAUAACAUUGAAAUUAUUUUAUAAUUUUUUAUUACUCAAGAGUAUCUCUCAUCAAACAUUACAUUGGUGGACUUUCGUUUCAAUUUUUUUAUAUUUUGAAUUAGGAUUUGAACUCUGGUCAUAAAAUCUAUUCAAUUAGUCGUGUUUAAUUUCUCAGAAAAUAGAAGUAUAUUAUAUAUAAUGUUUCAGAAAAUAUAUUUGAAAAGUGACUCAUGAUACUAUGAGUGGACAGGAUUUUGAGUGGAGUGAAUGUAACACGUGUCACUUCCCGGAUGGAAAAGAAAUCGGAGGGUCAAAAGGAAAACACAAGCUACUGUUUCCUAUACCUCAGAGAUUUUUCAUCCAUCCCAUCAAGAAGCUUUCAGAAGAAAAAAAUCCAUAAUAGAAAAGGAAAAUUGCUUUCAGGAAAAAAAAAAAAAGGAAAGAGAGAAAAAGUUGUUCACUGUGUUUCAGAACAUAAUUUUCAAAAGUGAUAGAGUGCUGAAAGAAAUCUGAUGGGUGCAGGAUGUAAUAGCCAGAAAUAUAUAAAUUGGGUUGUUAAAGAAAGUAAUUGGGCCGUACAUAAACAAAAAUCUGAUGUGAAAAAAAGAAAAUGGGGGUUACUCCCUGUACCUCCCCAAUUCUAACCCCCACCCCCCCAUUCCAUUUUUAAGAUUUGUUUUAUUAGUUUACUUUNNNNNNNNNNNNNNNNNNNNNNNNNNNNNNNNNNNNNNNNNNNNNNNNNNNNNNNNNNNNNNNNNNNNNNNNNNNNNNNNNNNNNNNNNNNNNNNNNNNNNNNNNNNNNNNNNNNNNNNNNNNNNNNNNNNNNNNNNNNNNNNNNNNNNNNNNNNNNNNNNNNNNNNNNNNNNNNACGAAGGAGAGGAAUUUGAGUCUGUGUGUUUUGACUGAGGCAGACUGUAAAAGAGUAGGUUAACUUUAGUAAAUAGGUGUAAAACGGUAAAAAUAAAAAAAACAUAAAGAUUAAUUUUGUAUUUAAAAAAAAAUCCAAAAAAAUUGGGGGGGUGGGGGUUGGAAUUGGGGAGGUACAGGGAGUAACUCCCAAGAAAAUUGAGCGCUACUCUCCACCACCACGUAGUGCUUUAUGUACUUUUUUAUUUUUCUUUUGUCCUUCAUUAAUAUCUAAUGUGGUGACUAAAAAUUAUAACUUUCUCCAAUUCCAACCACUUCAUUAGUGGUUUCCACCGAUCCCUGUCACUAUAUUAACUUUCUCCCUACUUUUGCAUCUUACUCACCACUUCUACCUAAAUCAAAUUCCUCUUUCUUUCCUUCUUCUGUUCUUGUUUGCUUGUUGUGAGUAUGGUAGUGUGGUGUUAUUGUGGUGUGCUUCGUUGGAGGUGGAAAAGCUUAAGUUGGAGGUGACAAAGCUUAGUGGUGGUGCAAGAAGGUGAUCCAGUGGUGGCAGAGCUUGGUCGUGGUAGUUGUUGAAGGUGGUCUAGUGGUGGUUGAAGGUGAUCCAGGGGUGGUGGCACGAGCACGACUUUCACAUGUGUGAAUACAUAAUUCAUACACUAAAACGGAUGUCAAUAUCCUUUCGAGUCUUAAACGAAUAUCCAUAUUCGUCAAUAAAUAUCAACAUCUCUUGAAGGGUAAACGGAGCAUCAGACUCUUUCAUCCUCUGAAGUUCUAAUUCUCUCAUUAAGUUAAGCUCUUGCAUGCUUUGAAAUUUUUUCAUCUCUAAUGUAUUCUAUCUUUAGAUAACCCCAAAUUGCUUUUGUUGAUUUAAGAAUCAUGAUCCAAGUAAAGAUGAUUGUAGAGAUGUCAUCAUAAAGACAUGACUUUGCUUUUGCUUUUCAGUUUUCUUCUCCUUGUGAUUUUUGAUUUAGGCCACAGUGGGAUUGUCUGGCAACAUAAGGAUUUCAUAAUCUAUGGACCGUUACCAGAAGAUGGUUCACUGAGUAAAGGGCCUCAAUCCCGAGUUAGCCCUUUAAUACAUCCAACCCACCCUUUAAGGACAAUGUUUGUCGAUGCCCGUCAAAGACUUUGGAAGAAUUGCGUGAGUGGGCGGCUGAUGAAGUAAGGGUGGAGGAGAUGAAGCAGUAUGAUCGAAAGGAGGCGCAGACGACAAGGGAGAAAUCAGAAGGAAAAAGGCACGAGGGAGUGCCAAGAAAGGUCGGGGAGUUCAAGCAGAAGGAACCUCCCAGGGGGUCGCAUUUUCACCAAUACACCCUACUGAAUGCCCCCCGCGCUAAAAUAUUGUAGGAGGCGUUGAGCGCCGAAUUGAUACAGACACCUAAGAGGCAUCCUACGCCGUUCGGGCCUGACGACAAUAAGCAUUACUUGUAUCACCAAAAUUUGGACAACAUCACCGAAGAAUGUGUGACACUCAAGGACUGAUUCAAGGAGCUAAUAAGAGUAGGGCAAUUGAAGAAGUAUGUCAAAAUCGAUUGUCAAGUUGACUCAUAGGUAUGAUCGCCCAGCCCGCGGAGGAGGAGUCCAGUGAGACAGGAUGACCGGGGCGCAUGUAGUACGGUAGGAAUGACUGCCCCAUAUCAGAGAGACGGCGUAGCAAAACCCGUAGCAGAAGUAAUGAUCGCCCGUUACGUGGUCAUAUUAAUACCAUUUCCGGAGGGUUCGCCAGAAGAGGAUCAUCCUUAACAGCUAGGAAGCGUCACGUCUGGACCCUCCGAUCGGUUAAUACCGUCGGUAGGCCUAAGAGAUCCAUGCCAGCAAUCACUUUUACGGAUGAAGACUUUCACACGCUGGACCCAUAUCAGGACGACCACAUGGUAAUCACAGCGGAAAUAGCCUGUUAUGGGGUGAGCAAGGUGUUGGUCGAUCGGGGAAGCUCUGUCAACAUCCUAUACUGAAAGACUUUCCAGCGCAUGGACUUGUCGAAAGACCUGAUCGUCUCGUAUAAUGAACAAAUAGCGAGCUUUGCCAGAGAACGGGUAGACACGUGCGACUAUGUAGACCUCCGCACUCGCUUAGGUGUCGGACGGGAAGGUGACGAAAGGAAGGUUUUGCUGGUAGACACCAACACAUCCUAUAAUGUCCUCUUAGGUCGCUCAUGUCUUAACACAUUUGGAGUAAUAGUAUCCACUCCCCCAUUUGACCAUGAAGUAUCCAUCAGAGAGGGGAACCAUGUGCACUAUCUGGGUUGAUCAUAAGAUGACCCCGAGAAUGUUAUGCAGUCAAUUAAAACUUCAUCCCUAGUCGACCCGACGAAAGACGAUUAGGUCGGAGGUGGUGAUGGCAGACCUUGACCCGUGCACUAAUACUGACGACCGGAUUGACUCACUCGAAGAGCUACGCCCUGUGAAGGUGGGACAAGGCAACCAACAAAUUACCAACAUGGUAGGAGGCCUGAAGCCAGAGAUGGAGGGGAGUUGCAGGCGGUCCUUUGGCGCAACCGUGACCUUUUUGCCUGGACGACAGCUGAUAUGCCCGACAUCCAUCCCACACUAAUGUCCUACAAGUUGUUCUGUUCAAAGAGGUAAGAUCGGUUGCUCAAAAGAAAAGGAGAUUGGGAGCAAAGAAUAUAUAUAUAUAUAUAUAUAUAUAUAUAUAUAUAUAUAUAUAUAUAUAUAUAUAUAUAUAUGGGUUUGUUAACGUGCGUACGCCUGUUUUUCAGUUGAUACAUUUUAGCAACGUGUACCGGGUUAUAGUAGACAAAAAUACCCUCAUAUGGAUUCUAAGUUUUAAAGUCAAUGGUAUUUGAAUAAUUUUCAUUCUCAAAACUAAAAAAAAAAAACAAGAAAUCCACAAACCCUUACUCACAUCCCUCAUUCCUCUUAACCUUUUCUCUUUUAUCUAUCUCACUCCAACAUUUUCUCUAUCAUCUCUACUGUAGCCCCAAUUGAAAAAAAUCAGAAACACUCGUUGUUAAACAAUUUCUUACAAAAAAAAUGACUUUAUAAUGAGUUUUCAUUUUAUAAUUUUUGUCUUAUCUAAUUUUCACAACAUAAUGACAUCAAAGGAAUUGGUAAUUGGCCUGAAGGUUUUUUAAGAGAUGAUGAUUCAACAUAUGUAGAUGAUGAAAUCAUAGAGGUUAUUGAAGAUGAUGAAAUUGAAGAGAUCUUGAAUGAACCUUUGUCUAAAGGCGAAUAUGUCAAUGACUCAACUAUUUACAAAGGUAAAUUGUUUAAUGACGAAUAUUUCUGAUUUUUUUUAGUUGGAUCUAUCAUUAGAUAACAGAGAAAAUGUUGAAGUGAGAGAGAUGAAAGAGAAAGGGUUGAGAAAGUUAGUAAGGGUUUAGGGUUUUUUUUUUUUUUUUUUUUAGUUUUGAGAAUGAAUACCUUUGACUUUAAAACUUAGAAUUUAUAAUAUAUAUGGGGAUAUUUUUAUUUAUUAUAACUCGAUACACAUUGCUAAAAUGUACCAACUGAAAAACAGACGUACGCGCAUUAACAAACAAUAUAUAUAUAUAUAUAUAUAUAUAUAUAUAUAUAUAUAUAUAUAUAUAUAUAUAAUUUAAUUUAAAUAAUAUAUUUUUAUAAUUUCUAUCCAACAAUUUUAUANUUAAUUUAAUUUUUAUAUUUUUAUAAUUUCUAUCCAACAAUUUUAUAUUAUUCAUUGUUUUUAUUAACAGAUAGAUAGUGUGCCAUUUACGUUUGUGGCCAUUUUUAUUAUUCAUCAAAGUAUAUCAUCUAAACAAUAUAUUUUUUUUAAAAUUAAAGUUAGAUUCUUAAUUUUCAUUAACUAAAUCUUAAUAUAUUUUUUAAAAUAGUUAUAUACAAUACAUUUUAUUGAAAAAUAUAUAAAUAACUUAAAUAUAUUUUUAUCAUAUAAAUAAUUAAAAUAUUAUUAUUUAAUUUUACAAUAUAAAAUACUUAUAUUAAAUUAUAAUUUUUUUUUAUAAAAUAAAAUUAAUAUAAUAAAUACAAUAUAAUUUUUAAAAUCUCGUAAUGCAAUUGCUUGUAUUUAUUAUGAUUUUAAUAAUCAACAAAUUAAAAUGUUAGAAAACCUUGGAUGGACACAGCUCCAAAAACUAAUUUAGAAAACAAAAAUGCACAGGGGUAAUAUUGUAAAUUGAACUACUCUCCCCCAGCAAAAACCCUAAUAUCUUGAUAUAUAAAAUCGAAACAAAGGGUUAUUCCUCGUUUACCUUGCAGAACCGAGAACUUUAGACGGCAGGUUCAUCUUAACUCCGAAUCUCUAUACUGCGUUGCAACAAUCAUGGUUCGUACAUAGUUUAAUCAAUGUCAUAAAUCCUAGAUUUUCUGAUUUUCUAACUGUGUGGUGUAAAUCUCAUUAAUCAAUCUCGUAAAUCUUAAAUUUUCUGAGUAGUGUUUUUGUUGUUGUUGUUGUGCAGUCGAGGAGAAAGGUUAGAGAGCCAAAAGAAGAAAAUGUGACUCUGGGUCCAGCCGUUAGAGACGGUGAGCAUGUCUUUGGCGUCGCUCGCAUCUUUGCCUCCUUCAAUGACACCUUCAUUGUAAGUAUUUGCGUUGCUUUAAAUUUUGUGGUUUUGAUUUGCAAUUGCUAUAGUUUGAUUUUUGAUUUUUAUGGUUGCAGCAUGUCACUGAUUUGUCUGGAAGGGAAACACUUGUCCGUAUCACUGGUAUGAUUGCUUUUAUUCACAUUAUAGGAAUUAGUUGACUGUAUGCAAUUGUUCCAUAGCCAUUUUUCUGGCUAUUAUAUAAUAGCUUCUAUUUUUUUCCGGUUUUUUUUUUUUUUUUUUAUCAAAGUUUUGUGAUGUUAUAAUAUUGAUAAUGAAAUUGGCCAUAUCCAAUUUCAGCGGAUGUUAAUAGGUUAGAUUGUUAAUACAUGUGCUUUUUUUAAUCCCUGAUCACCUUUCUUGUUAGAGUGUUAAUACACGUGCUUUUAUGAUCCUUAUCUGACACUUAAGUAUUUCCAUGUCUUGUGAUGGAGGGAGCUUUGUGAUUUGACCUGCACAGUUUUUACGAGUCUGUCUGGCUUUAUGUUGAGGAGUUUUGAGUUUUUAUUUUUAUUUUUAUUCACACUGCUUGCUAAAAUUUAUUUCUAUAUUUUUAUUCUUUGCUGAAAUUUUUAUUCACAAUUAAUUUUAGGUUGAGUGUUUUCUUUUUUAGUAGAUAUAAGAAAACAACCGUUCUUUACGUAUUUUAUGACUUUGCUUUUUCAUGUGCUUUACUUGUAUGUCUUUGCUUUUUAAUUUCAGGUGGGAUGAAGGUUAAAGCUGAUAGAGAUGAAUCUUCUCCCUAUGCUGCUAUGCUUGCAGCACAGGAUGUUGCUGCCAGAUGCAAGGUCAGUGGGAUUCACAUUAGUACAGUCAUUUUCUCUCUUCUGACCAUGUUGCAUUUUGUGAUUGUCAUGUCGUUCUUAUGUAUUUGUAGAAUUCCUAUUUGAUCACCCUGUUUGCUAAUCCAAUAUCAUUGGUCAAUUGAUUUUUCUCCUUUCUCUGAUUUUAAUCUGUUCAUGCUCUGUGAAUCUAUAGUGAGUAUUUUUUGUUUCUUUGAAGCUGCCUAACUUAAUGCAUUGUUUCAAAUUAUUUUGACCAGGAGUUGGGCAUAACUGCUCUUCACAUCAGGCUCCGCGCCACUGGUGGAAACAAGACAAAGACACCUGGUCCUGGCGCUCAAUCAGCUCUUAGAGCCCUUGCUCGUUCAGGAAUGAAAAUUGGUCGCAUAGGUAUUUGCCCAUUUAAGGGAAAACCACAAGUUCAAUUUGAUUGUCUGGUUGUCCUUUUUCAAUUGUUGUUUAUGUCAAUAGUAUGUAGCUAACUGGGUUUUUGCAUUAGUUUUGUAUUGAUUUCAUUUGAUAUUGUAGCUAAAUAUUAAUUGCUAUUUUUUUUAUUCUGUUUUCCAGAGGAUGUGACUCCCAUUCCUUCUGACAGCACGCGUAGAAAGAGUGGAAGGAGAGGUAGAAGGCUUUAAGCUUCUACUAUAUGAUUGGAGUCGCUCUGCUUUUAUUUCCAUGUCAAGUAGAAUUGUGCCAUUUCGAAAUUUUGAUUUAGUUUAAGAUCAAACUUUUAUUUUAUUUCUUAAGGUUUCUCCAACAUAAUUGAAGUUUACAUACAGACAUUAUUGUUAAAGUCUUUUGAAAGUUCUGAAUGUUGUUGUGUCUUAGAAAACUGCAAAUUAUCUGCUUGAUAAAGUUUUUUUUUUUUUUUUUUGUUGUUUAUUGUUUUUUUAGAUAGUUCUCCCUCCCUACGUUUAUCUACUCUUAACCCUGCGAAUAAGAAUGGUUGGAAAUUGGAUUAUUAUUUAUUAAUUGCAGGGUUCUCAAUCUGCAAGUUUGAUGAUGAAAAUUGAAGGGAUGUGUAAAAUUAAUGAAUUAAUUGUUGAGCUUUAAUUUAUUUAAUCGUGAUGGUUGAGGAAUUCAAACAAUUCUGUUGGAGAUAGUUUAGUUUUAAUUUUUUAACUACAUUAUGUUGUCUUUUGUGACAUAAUUUUGUUAACAAUCUCAACAAUCCUCCCAAAAAAGCUAGUAAUAAAUUCCAUAACCAUCAUCCGCAAAACAUCGAAAUCUUUACUCAAUAUUUGAAGUUGUAUACAGUUCACACCAGCAAUAAUCUGCAGUUUUCUAUCCAUUAAAUUCAAAAUAUCCUUCGAACUGUAUUUGCAAAUAAUCUCUAAGAUUAGACGAUAAAAAGAUAAUGUAUAUUUUGGAUUUGUCUUUGAACUUUUUUACCUCAGAUUCUAUCUUGUGCAUUAGUCUCAGAAGUUGGUGGCUAUUGAAUUCUGGAUUUAAAAAUUGCUCUUUUUUUAAUAGUAAAAAUACAAACAUGGUCAGAUAGUUUUAAUAACCAUUAACAAGAGAAAUGACAACUUGAACAAAAUUUGAAUUCUACUAAAGGAGGAGAUUUGAUUAAAAGGUUUGUACCAAAUUAAGAGUCCGCUACAUAACCUGGAACCAAAAUAUUAAAAAUUGUUUUUUUUUUUUCUGUAAUGUUAUCGUCUUCAAAAUAUAAUUUUUUUUAAUGUAUCAACUUUAAUGUAUUUUUAAUGUUCGGUAAAGGACAGCAUUUCAAUAACUGAAAAAUAAAUAUUACUUUAUUUCCUUAGCCGAUGCAAGAAAUGAUUGAAUAUUAAAUUAAUUUGGUAAAUGGCUUAUGUUUUUUUUUUUUUUCAUGUUUACCUUGAAUAAUCUAUUGCUGUAUUGAUAUAUUGUUUGUUUUUUGUUCUCAAUAGCGAAAUUGUUUCUUGUAUCGGGUUGCCUAUUAUGCAUCCUAAUUGAAGCAAUUAGAUACAUUAGCAAUAGUAACUUGAUUUUAGACUUUAGCUUGUUUUUUCUAUCCACUAUUUUAACCAUGCAAUUGCUAAAAUGAAAAUUUUCAUUGACUAAUUCUUGAUCUUGAACAAGGGGAAUAGAUUGUUUGGUUUACUAAGAAAAUUCUCAUAGACUAAUUUUCACCAUCUUAAUUUUUAUUUUCUUUUUUCUUUUUUAAGAAAGGAUGAAAGUACUUGGAGGUAUAGGUUAAUUUCGUAAAAUAUUGAAAAAAAAAAACUAAAUGGUUUAAUCAAUGGUUAUUUGAUUCUUUACAUAUGAAGUACAAGAUUAAUUUAAAAGUUUAAAUAAAAUAUAUCAUAAAAUUAGAUUUAUCAAGGAAUUACAAUAAUAUUUAAGGUCAUUAUAAAAAUAGAGAUAAUUUAUCAAUAGAAUUUCUACAAUUUAAAAUAUCAAGCAAUUUUGAUUAUAAUAUGUAAAAACAUUUAUAAACACAUGUAUGCGAUGUAAAUAUAGUAAAAGUUUUUCAAAAAUACAUGAGUAAUUACAUCACUUGAGAUAUAAAUAGAAAAUUCUUAUCACACAAUACAUAGUAUUCAUAUAUGACAUUGAAAAGAUUCUAACUUUCACUACAAUACACUCUCUCGUCUAAGAUCUAUCAUUCCUUCUGGCUGUAGGUUCUUCUGCUCACACUAAUAUAAUAAUCAUUGCAAGAGAAAAAUACAAACAAUACACAAAUUCAGAUAAAAGAGUAAGCUAAUGUAAGAAAUUUCUAGUUUACAUAGAAUUUAAGUUUACUAAAUAAAAUAUUCAUUAUCAAUAUUGUAUAGAACUUAUAAUUACCCUUAAGUAAUUCAAUCAUAAGCAUCUACUAAAUUCUUAGAUUCUUUAUCCAGAUUUAUGCAUUGACUGAGACAUAGAAACUUUCAUGCCGUCAGAAAAGUGGAUUGCGACAAAGGCUCUUGCUUCAUUUGGCUUAACCAACAUGAAUCAAUUUUCUUUGGACAAGGUAAGUUACUUAUAGCAUCACAGAUUAAUGGUCUCAUCCCUAAUCUAGUCAUAAGAAUCUCAUUCAACUCUCACCACCUAAGCUACGACACUCUCUAUGAGUUUGUAAGCCUAAUAAGAUAAUUGCUCACCAACACAUAUCCCUAGUCAAUGCAUAACACUACAUUAUAAAAGCAUUGUACUACUUCCUCAUAAGCACAUACUUCAAAUAAACAUACAAUUCCAUUAACUUCAAUCACUCCAUCACAUUACAUCCACUUUAUACUCAUAAACAUAUAUUUCCAUAAUCAUAAUUCUCAUCAUCCAGUAUUUAAGUUCCAUUCAAAGAUUUCAACAACCCAAAACUACACAGUAUGUACUAUUUGACGCCAAGAAGGACCACUUACCAGCUCUUGACAGAGAGCCCUUGGAAGAGAAAUUCAAACCCACGCCCAACGAUUUGAAGUUUCCGUCCAGUGGCGAGCUCUUGUACUUAGUGAUAAACCCAACGCCCAGUGUCCCCAAACCUUAGAGCUCUCUAGAACUUAAAUUCCAUAAGGAUGCCCAAUAAUACUUAGUGCCGCCCAAUGCGAGCCUCUAGAGUUCUUCGACUUGGCUUGUUUGAGGUGAAGCCUAUAACGCUAUUUAACUAAUGUCCAACGACAUAUCAGUCCACAAUAAUAAUCUGGUAUUUAAUUUGUGCAAUUAGCUUAAUCUAAUCUUCUCUAAUUCCUUUUCAAUUCAAUUAACAACUUUAAAUUUGAUUAUGACCUAAUUGCUCAACCCAAAUUCUAUGUCCUUAACAUUUCACAACCAAAUCUCAACUCAAAAGUAAUCAACACAUAAUUUAACGAUUAAUUUCCCUUACCUUAAAAAUGUACUCUUAAACUCCCUAAUGAAACUUUCAUGACAUCAACAAACAAAAACCCUGUCUAGACACAUAAGAAGGCCAAAUUAAUCAUCGGAGUACACAUUUGGACUCAUCCAACACAUAAUAUUUAAUUAAAGUAAGAAAAAAUGGAAAUCGUACUUUAUUCUUGAUUUGGAUAAGAUAGAGUUGUAGAACUCUCUAAAGUCAUUCUAAAAGUAGGCCUUGAUUGAGAAACAAAUGAAGUAAGAGCGAUUUAAAAGGAAAGUCUUUGAAGAAUGCUCUUUAUAAUUUAAUUCUAAAAUGAAAAAAUAUUUUCAUAUUAUCAAGAUUUCAUAAUAUUCAUCAAAUAAUAAACUAUAAUAAUAUCCAAUAAAAACAUAUCUAUUGUAUAACGUAUGAAUUAAAAGAGUCAUAAUAUUGAUACACGGUUCUUGUAAAAUUUUAUUAUUAGAAUAUACUAGUAUAAUUAAAAAAAAAUUAAAUCAUAAGAAUAAAACCAUACUUAUUUUAUUUAUUUCAUAAAUAUAUUUUUUAUCAAUAAAAAAUAAAAUAUAACAAAACCCUUAUGUUAAAGUAAAAAUUGAAAAGAAUAGUAACAUAAUGGAACUUACAAAAAUUAAAAUUUUAAAAGUUACAUGCAAAAUAAUAAAUAAUAAAUUAAUAUCAUGCAUAUAAUAUGAUAAUAAAACAUAAAAAAAUAUAAGUUGAUAAAAAAUAUUAAUUUAUAUGUUACGUUUAAACAGAAAAAAUUUAAAUUUUAAAUUAAAUUUGAAAUUUCCAAAAAUAAUUUCUUUUCAAAAUUAUUAAUUCAAUGUACUGGUUUUUUUACUAAAUCACAUAUCUGGCUUAUAAACUAACAAGUAGUUGAUAAAUUAACUUAUAUAAUAAAACUUUGUUACAUAAACUUUGUAUUCUGGGAAAAAUAGAUAUUAUUAUGCAAUUAUAAUUCUAUAAUUUUUAAACAAUUAAAAUUUUAUUAAAAGUUUUAGAACAGAAAUAAUAUAUAUAUAUAUAUAUAUAUAUAUAUAUAUAUAUAUUAUUUAUAUAUUUAUUUGUUGAUUUGUACAGUAAUUUUAUUUAUUCGAGUUAGAUUUAAUGAACAUUAAAUAAAUUUAUUUAUUUUUAUGUAUUUUAAAAUUUAAACUAUUAUUAUAUUUCAUGUUUUCAUACGUUUUCUUGUGGAUAAUUUUUAGGUGAAUAAAUUAUUUUAACUCAUAAUGUUAAUUUUUUAAUUUAAAUUAGAUAAAAAAUACGAUAAAACAUGUUUUUGGUUGAAAAUUGGAAUUUGUCUAUCUUCAAAACUUUAGACUAAUUUAGCCUUUUUUUAUAAAUGCGUGAAUUUACUUCUUUUGAUGAAAUUUUGUUAACUUUUUAUCAACUAACAUUGAAAAUAAAAAAUGUUUCAAAUAAUAUAAAGAAGUCAAAUAUUAUUCUGAAAUGUAUAUGAAACAUCAAAUAACUUAACAAAAUUAUAUUAAAUCCAAACAUUUAUAAAGUUUAAAGAAUUGAACUAAAGUUUGAAAGAAAUAUUUAAGAUCAUAUUUAAUCCAAAACAAUUAAAAUAAUAAUAAUAAAAUAAUUAAAUGUCUAUGUAAAAUUAAAAAAUAUGUAGUAUAGUAAUGACUAAAAAAAUAAAAAAAGUGUUUUAAAAUAUAAAAAAUGGAAAAAGAUAUAAUCUAAAAGAAAAUAUUUUUUAAACUUUUUCUAUAUUGAUUAAACUAAUUUAUACAAAAACCAAAUAAGUCUUAGGGCCAAUUCGUUAAUGUUACCAUAUAUUUGACCAAUUGUUAGCUGAAUAAAAAUAAUUCAAUUUCAAAUAAAACAGAAGUUCCUCAUUGGCUUGAAUCUCCUAACCUUUACAAAUAAACCACCAUUGUUUCAUACUAUGUAUUUGUAAUGUUUUCUUUAAUUGGAUUGAUUAGUGUAGAUGACUUAAUAUUCAAACUAAAUUAAUAACAGAUAUUCAUAUUUUUAUAACUAUUUUACGGUCGCUUGAUCAUUCAAUAUUUCAGCAUCACAAUGUAAUAUAUGAACAUUUUACAUGAUUGUUUGAUUACUAGAUAUUUUUGUAUAACCUAUACCUACAUUCUAUCAAUUACUUGACGUAAUCUUUGUGAUGUGACAAAUUCUCUCGUUUGAGAAUAACAAGUUGAGGCUUAACCUAAAAUAUUUUAAAUACCUCUAAUAAUAUCAUAUUAAUGUAAGAAGUUUAAGUUUAACUCACAUUUACAAAAUCAACUCAUUAAAAUAAGAUUGUCUCCAAUAAUAUAUAAAUAUUUCGAUUUGAUCUCCAACAAAUGGUAAUUUAUGUUGAUAAUAUUGUAAUGAACUUAUACAAUAUUUUAAAAAAAGUGUGCAUGCAGCAGAGAAUCACAUAUAGAAUAUGUAGGUUGAUUAUUCUAUUCAGAAUUGUAUUUGAAGAAUCUAACAAAUAUUCAAUAUACUUGAUUUAUUUAAAAACUUGUUAAAAAAAAUAAACAUUACAUAUACUAACUUCAGGUUUAAACCUUUUUUGUCCCCGAGUUAAGUUCUGAUGUUCAGUUUAGUCUCCGUUCUUAAAAAUGUCAACCUUUAGUCCUCGUGACAACACUUAAUGAACAAUAUAGGACUGAUUUAUUGUUCAUAACACCUUCCGUUAACAAAAUAUUGGAUACCUAAGUAUGAAAACUUGUGAUUUAUUAUUCAUUAAAUGCUGUCAUGAGGACUAAAGAUUGAUAUUUUUAAAAGUGAGGACUAAACCUUUUUAUUAUAUUGGUAAUACAAAUACUUGAUCCCUUUUCAACCAGAAUCUUCCUCCAUAAACAUUUAUUCAUACACGUAACAUAAUUUAUUUAUGAAUAGUAAAAAACAAACAGCAAAGACAUACAUCACAUAAACCAAUAUAAACUUUGAGUAUCUUCAUUCUUCAAUCCAACAAUUAUGCAUUCACAAUCAUUCCACCUGAAAAGAGAUGAAAACGAAAAGAGUUAGAAAACACAAAAAAUGAAAAGCUGUUCAUGAAUUUGGUUAUACAAAUUUUGUAAGUAUGAGCAUAGAGAGAUGCGUGACCAUUUGGGUGGAGAACUUGGCCUGUUAUGUAAGAGGAACACUGGUUGCUGGCAAGAAACACAUAAGAAGGAGCAACCUCAAUAGGUUGUCCAGCUCUUUUCAUUGGUGUUAAAUCAGAACCUAACACCACAAUUUGUUCUACUGUCAAACUUGCUACCUGUAAGGGACUCCAGAUAGGUCCAGGAGCAACGCCAUUCACACGAAUUCCCUUGCUCACCAGCUGAAGUGCAAGGGAUCUUGUGAACCCUACAAUGGCACCUUUUGUGGAUGCAUAGUCCACUAGUGUUGCGUAUCCUUGAUAUGCAACCACUGAUGUCGUGUUGAUAAUGCUGCUUCCUUCCUUCAUGUGCUUCAGAGCAUAUCUGUGUAGUCAUUUUCAGAAGCCAUUAGUGUUAAACUUUUAGAUCAUUUAUUAUGUAGUUAUAGUAUAUAAGGAGAUGCAAAGAUUUUACAAAAGUUCUGUGUAAGGUUAAAUCAGGUUCUUGUCUUACUUAGUCAUGAAGAAGUAGGAAAAGAUAUUAGUUCGGAAAACCAUGUCCAGUCUUUUAUCAUCAAUUUCGUCCAAGGAAUCACUCUGGAACUGCACAGCUGCGUUGUUCACCAAAACAUCAAUGCUGCCAUAAGCAUUAACGACUUGAUCGAUCACACUCUUGCAAUUCUGUUCAUAACCCAAAUCAACAGCUAUAGCCAUUGGAUCUUUGGCAUCGGCACUCUUAGCUUUUCUGAUGAUUUCAAGUGUGUCUCUGGCAUCUAUGUCUUCCUGUCCCUUCACAUAGGUGAAGAUAACAGUAGCACCCUCCAAUGAAAACAAGUUACACACUGCUUUUCCGAUUCCGGAGUCACCUCCAGUUACUACAGCCACCUUCCCCUGAAAAUAUAUAAACCGAUUAAGCACAGAAGCAGAUAAAAAAAACAACUUUCAGGUCAAUCACUCCAUGCAUAUAUAUACUUGAAGUUUAUUGGAUGGUUUGUAAUCUGGACUGCUAUAUUGGGGUGGUGGAUUCAUCAGAUACUCUUUGCCAGGCUGUGUGUCUUGCUUCUGAGGGGGAAAUCUGUAUUCACCGGAAGCCAUUCUCUCAAACGGGCUUUUGGGAACUGCGUUUUGAGUAGACGUCGAUUUGGAGAUCCUAAUUUAUAAGGACGUAGUGAACAAAGAAAGUGUUAAGGCUGUGUUGCAUGUGCAUGUGUUUGUGUCGUGUGAUGAAAUGAUACACACAUGUUCUGUUUUGAGUUUGACACGUGGCGAGACAUUUAUUGUGGAAAAUGGUUUAAUGGAUUAUGCUUUGUCGAAAUUUUUUUUUCACACAAUUUCUUUUAAAAUAUUUUAACAUAAUACAUAUAUUAUUUUUUAUUGAUUUAUUAUUUAUUUAUUAUUAUAUUGAUGUAUUUUAAAUUCAAUAAAAAAUAGUAUAUAUUAUGUAUCAAAAUAUUGUAAAAACAAAAUUAUGUUAACAUAUAUUUUUCUUUUUCUUUCUUUUGGUUUUCUUAUUUACUAACUCUUUCCUUUUUCAGGACUUUUUAUUGUGAAUGUUUUUCCCGAUUUGACAUUUUUGAAAAUGUUAUUCUUAUUAAUUCUAGUAGGUAGGGAAGGCUACACGUAAUAAUAACUAUCUGAUAUCCUUUUUAUCUAAACAACUUCAUCAUUUAUAGAUUUAUUUUUACAUUAGCAGAUAUUUUUUAUUUUAUAAUUUUAAAUACUUUUAUCAGAAUAUUAAGUUUUUAAUAUAUAUUCAUGUAAAAUUUUAAUUUUAAAUACAACUUUAAAAAAUUACAGAAACAAAAUUAGUCUAGAUAAAUUUGAUCUUUUUAAAAAUAUAAUUUAAAUAAAUAUUGUAAGUUUCAGAAAUGUAAUGUUCUAAAAAGAUAUCAUUUCAAUUUUAUAUUUUUAAAUAAAUAAAUAUAAUAUAUAAUUAAAAUUAAAUUUUAAAUAAAUCUAUAAUAGUUAAUAUUCAUUUCUCUACUAAUUUUAUUUUUAUUACUUAAUUUUAAAAAAUUAUUAAUGUAACAUUUAUUAAUAUUAAUUGCUGAGUAACGCUAUAUACUUAUACCAUUAUCAGCAUAUAUUCUUAUAUUUUUAAAUAACAUUUUACGUUAAUUAAAAUUAUAAGUUUAUUAUGUUUUUUGCAAGUACUUCGAUUUAGCUUUUGAAUGAUUUUUAAUCAUUAAUUUUAUUAAGAGUAUUUGUGCAUAUUUCAAUGUUAGCUUUUAUAAGUAACACAGUGAGAGUUUUAAUUUUAUUUUGAAUAGAACUGUGAAAACGGAUAAUUUGAUCUCAUCCGAUUCAACUCACCACGAGUUGGUGGAUAAACAGGUUGACUCACUGACUCACUCAAUUACAAUUUGUUCUAAAUAAAAAAAAGUUACAAAAUUUUAUAAUUCAAAUCUAAACAAUUUCACUCUCAAAUUUCACUUCCAACAUGGUUGUUUAACUAAUUUUUAAAAUUGAAAACUUAAAUAAUUUUUUCAAGCAAAAAAAAUAAUAAAUAUUUUUUAUAAAAUUAAAAUUAAAUUUUAAUAAAAUUAAGUAGGUAGGUUGGUGGGUCAAUCUGACUCACCAUAGGUUCAACCUGCAUGAGCUGGAUUUAAAUGAAUCAGGUUAAAAUCUGACCUGCGUAAAAAAAAAUUUAAUUUUUUUUACCCGUUGUGAGGUAGAUUGACCCGCGGAUUAUGACAAUUCUGACCGUUUUAAUUUUGAAUGACUCAUUAUAUCACUUUAAUUUUACACAAUUUAUACAGUAAGUUUUACUUUAAUAAGUAGCUUUUAUAAAAUUAAAUUCUUGUUGAUAAGUUACGUUUACUGCAAUUUUUUAUAAAUACACGUACUUUUUUUUUAUUGUUUUGUUAAACAAUGGAUAUUAACCUAUUUGUACUAGAGGUUUUAAUAGAAAUAUUAAAUAUGUUUAUGAUUCUUUAAUAAUUUUAUAUUAGAGUUUUUAAUAAUAAGAAUAAAUAUGUUUUUAUUUUUUAAUAAUUGAAAAUUGGAUUUGUUUUGAAUUUUGAUCUAAUUUAGUUUCUUAAUUUUAAAAAUGUGUAGAUUUUGUUAUUUUAAUGAAAUUUGAUUAAGUUUAUUUCACGUUCAAACAUAUUUUAUAAUAACAUUUGAAUUAUUUAUAAUAUUUAAUUUUUUUCUAAUAUUAAUUGAAAAAUGUAUUUGAAACUUCAAAUAAAUUUCAUAAAAUUUUAUUAAAAAAUUUAAAUUCACAUAAUUUUAAAGAUGUGAAACUAAAUUAGUCUAAAAUUAAAAAAAAGAAAAACUAAUUUUAAGUUUUACUAAAAAUUAAGGAAAAAAAUAUAUUUAACAAUUAAUAAUAUCUUACAAAUAUUAUUAUUAUUAUUAUUAUUAUUAUUAUUAUUAUUAUUAUUAUUAUUAUUAUGUUAGAUUAAAUAGUAUUUAUUACCGUGGUAUUUUUUUGUUUCAGUUAUUUAUAUUAUGUGUUAUUCUUAAAAUAUUUAUUAAAAUAUCUUUUUCUCUUUUUCUUUUUCUAACGUAGGUAGCUACAAUUUUUUAUCAUUUUUCUCUGUUCCUCUUCCACAGUUUAUUUCAUCAUAAAAAAAUGUAUAUUAUUUUUACACUUUAAGAUAUAUACUUAAAAGAAUUAAACUAAUUAAGGGUAUAGUUUUCAGUAUUUAGACUAAAUAGGACCACUAUUUUCAAGUAUAAACCUAAACACAAUCUAUAUAUCAUUGUCCAAUUUAAGUUAUAAGUAUCUUAACAACUCAAUUUAAUACCUUGUCACCAAAGUCAAACAGUUUAACACAAAUUUCAGUUCAUGAGUUCAUAUGAAAUGGACCCGAUGGAAAAUUCAAAAGCAUGAACCAAAAAUUAAGAAUAAAGAACAUGGUUUCAUACACGAAACCAACAAAACCAGUAUUCAAUAACUUGUAAACUUCUUGGUUUAAUUGAUAAAAGACUUGACAUGAUCUUUAUCGUGCCAACACACAAACUUGAAACCAUAUGUGAUCAAAUUUAGAUUAUUAAUUAGAUGACCUUUUUUUAAAAUAUUUAUUAAAAAUCCUUUAUUAAAUAUUAGAAAGUAAAAGAAAUUGAUCAUAAUGAGUUUAAAUCAAAUUCAUUUCUAUAAAAUCAACUUAUUAAGUCAAAAUUAUCCUAUUUAUAUAUAGGUUAAAAGUUCUUUUUGGUCCCAAUUUUGGUUUGGAAAAUUCGUUUUGGUCCCUGAGUUGAAUUUGUGUUCAAUUUCGUCUCAAAGAACGAAUUUAAUGUUCAAUUUGGUCCUUUUCAGUAACUCCGUUAAAAUUGUUAACGACAACGUGUCCAGCUCUGCAACUGCUGAGUGAGGUGUCAUUUCUUUGCUGACUGGAGUCCUUUUUAGCCGUUAGAAAUUUUUAAAUUGAAUUUCUUAAUCAGGUUUUUGAUUUUGGGAAUAAAUUGAAGAGAGUGGAUUCUAAAUUAGGGUUUUUAUUUCCCAAUCUUUUUCCCUUAGUUAACGAGCCAUGUCUGCUUCCCAUUCUUCUUCAUCUUGUUGGAAUACCUUGUGCCGCCGUACUUCUCAUCAUUCCCCUUGGGGUGGUUCAAUGGGGCCAGGGGUAAUCCCCAUUUGCAAUUGUGGUGAGAUGGCAGUAGUAAAAAUGGCUAGAACUCCAAAGAAUGCGGGAAGAUAUUUUUGGGGUUGUCGAAACUACAAGGUAAUGUGAAUAUAAACCCUACAUUCUUUAUGUGUUAUUAAUUAACACUGUGUUUGAGAUUUUUCUUGUUGAUGAAUAAUAGAGUGAAGCUGGUAAUGCGAUGUGUUGAAACUAUUUCAAGUGGUGCAGUAAAGAAAAUGAUGACGAAAGGGAUGUUAUUAUUGGGAGGCAAAGGGGGAAGAUUUAUGAUCUGGAAAACACACUCAAAGCUUCGAAGAAAAAGAUCCAAUUAUUAGUAGCAGUGACUGGUUUUCUUAGUGUAGUUAUCAUAGUUAUGUUUUGUGUAUUUUGGUUGAAGUGAUGAUGUUUGAAGAGGUGGUCCCAGUGUGGUUGAACGUACUGAUUUAAGGUCAAUGGAGUUGAAAUGUUGUGAUGUUUAGGUUAUGGCUAUAUUUCUUGUACUAAAUGAUGAAAUUUUAUAUAUUAAGUAAUUGUUCAAUUUAAUCCCAGUUUAUGUUUAUUAGUUAUAAAUUUGGUCCCUAUGUUGACUACUGAUGUGUUGUUAAAGCAAUAAAACACAACAUGAUUGAAAUUGUACAAAGCAUUAAAAUGAUAACUUUGCAUAAACAGAACCAAUGUAAUCNNNNNNNNNNNNNNNNNNNNNNNNNNNNNNNNNNNNNNNNNNNNNNNNNNNNNNNNNNNNNNNNNNNNNNNNNNNNNNNNNNNNNNNNNNNNNNNNNNNNNNNNNNNNNNNNNNNNNNNNNNNNNNNNNNNNNNNNNNNNNNNNNNNNNNNNNNNNNNNNNNNNNNNNNNNNNNNNNNNNNNNNNNNNNNNNNNNNNNNNNNNNNNNNNNNNNNNNNNNNNNNNNNNNNNNNNNNNNNNNNNNNNNNNNNNNNNNNNNNNNNNNNNNNNNNNNNNNNNNNNNNNNNNNNNNNNNNNNNNNNNNNNNNNNNNNNNNNNNNNNNNNNNNNNNNNNNNNNNNNNNNNNNNNNNNNNNNNNNNNNNNNNNNNNNNNNNNNNNNNNNNNNNNNNNNNNNNNNNNNNNNNNNNNNNNNNNNNNNNNNNNNNNNNNNNNNNNNNNNNNNNNNNNNNNNNNNNNNNNNNNNNNNNNNNNNNNNNNNNNNNNNNNNNNNNNNNNNNNNNNNNNNNNNNNNNNNNNNNNNNNNNNNNNNNNNNNNNNNNNNNNNNNNNNNNNNNNNNNNNNNNNNNNNNNNNNNNNNNNNNNNNNNNNNNNNNNNNNNNNNNNNNNNNNNNNNNNNNNNNNNNNNNNNNNNNNNNNNNNNNNNNNNNNNNNNNNNNNNNNNNNNNNNNNNNNNNNNNNNNNNNNNNNNNNNNNNNNNNNNNNNNNNNNNNNNNNNNNNNNNNNNNNNNNNNNNNNNNNNNNNNNNNNNNNNNNNNNNNNNNNNNNNNNNNNNNNNNNNNNNNNNNNNNNNNNNNNNNNNNNNNNNNNNNNNNNNNNNNNNNNNNNNNNNNNNNNNNNNNNNNNNNNNNNNNNNNNNNNNNNNNNNNNNNNNNNNNNNNNNNNNNNNNNNNNNNNNNNNNNNNNNNNNNNNNNNNNNNNNNNNNNNNNNNNNNNNNNNNNNNNNNNNNNNNNNNNNNNNNNNNNNNNNNNNNNNNNNNNNNNNNNNNNNNNNNNNNNNNNNNNNNNNNNNNNNNNNNNNNNNNNNNNNNNNNNNNNNNNNNNNNNNNNNNNNNNNNNNNNNNNNNNNNNNNNNNNNNNNNNNNNNNNNNNNNNNNNNNNNNNNNNNNNNNNNNNNNNNNNNNNNNNNNNNNNNNNNNNNNNNNNNNNNNNNNNNNNNNNNNNNNNNNNNNNNNNNNNNNNNNNNNNNNNNNNNNNNNNNNNNNNNNNNNNNNNNNNNNNNNNNNNNNNNNNNNNNNNNNNNNNNNNNNNNNNNNNNNNNNNNNNNNNNNNNNNNNNNNNNNNNNNNNNNNNNNNNNNNNNNNNNNNNNNNNNNNNNNNNNNNNNNNNNNNNNNNNNNNNNNNNNNNNNNNNNNNNNNNNNNNNNNNNNNNNNNNNNNNNNNNNNNNNNNNNNNNNNNNNNNNNNNNNNNNNNNNNNNNNNNNNNNNNNNNNNNNNNNNNNNNNNNNNNNNNNNNNNNNNNNNNNNNNNNNNNNNNNNNNNNNNNNNNNNNNNNNNNNNNNNNNNNNNNNNNNNNNNNNNNNNNNNNNNNNNNNNNNNNNNNNNNNNNNNNNNNNNNNNNNNNNNNNNNNNNNNNNNNNNNNNNNNNNNNNNNNNNNNNNNNNNNNNNNNNNNNNNNNNNNNNNNNNNNNNNNNNNNNNNNNNNNNNNNNNNNNNNNNNNNNNNNNNNNNNNNNNNNNNNNNNNNNNNNNNNNNNNNNNNNNNNNNNNNNNNNNNNNNNNNNNNNNNNNNNNNNNNNNNNNNNNNNNNNNNNNNNNNNNNNNNNNNNNNNNNNNNNNNNNNNNNNNNNNNNNNNNNNNNNNNNNNNNNNNNNNNNNNNNNNNNNNNNNNNNNNNNNNNNNNNNNNNNNNNNNNNNNNNNNNNNNNNNNNNNNNNNNNNNNNNNNNNNNNNNNNNNNNNNNNNNNNNNNNNNNNNNNNNNNNNNNNNNNNNNNNNNNNNNNNNNNNNNNNNNNNNNNNNNNNNNNNNNNNNNNNNNNNNNNNNNNNNNNNNNNNNNNNNNNNNNNNNNNNNNNNNNNNNNNNNNNNNNNNNNNNNNNNNNNNNNNNNNNNNNNNNNNNNNNNNNNNNNNNNNNNNNNNNNNNNNNNNNNNNNNNNNNNNNNNNNNNNNNNNNNNNNNNNNNNNNNNNNNNNNNNNNNNNNNNNNNNNNNNNNNNNNNNNNNNNNNNNNNNNNNNNNNNNNNNNNNNNNNNNNNNNNNNNNNNNNNNNNNNNNNNNNNNNNNNNNNNNNNNNNNNNNNNNNNNNNNNNNNNNNNNNNNNNNNNNNNNNNNNNNNNNNNNNNNNNNNNNNNNNNNNNNNNNNNNNNNNNNNNNNNNNNNNNNNNNNNNNNNNNNNNNNNNNNNNNNNNNNNNNNNNNNNNNNNNNNNNNNNNNNNNNNNNNNNNNNNNNNNNNNNNNNNNNNNNNNNNNNNNNNNNNNNNNNNNNNNNNNNNNNNNNNNNNNNNNNNNNNNNNNNNNNNNNNNNNNNNNNNNNNNNNNNNNNNNNNNNNNNNNNNNNNNNNNNNNNNNNNNNNNNNNNNNNNNNNNNNNNNNNNNNNNNNNNNNNNNNNNNNNNNNNNNNNNNNNNNNNNNNNNNNNNNNNNNNNNNNNNNNNNNNNNNNNNNNNNNNNNNNNNNNNNNNNNNNNNNNNNNNNNNNNNNNNNNNNNNNNNNNNNNNNNNNNNNNNNNNNNNNNNNNNNNNNNNNNNNNNNNNNNNNNNNNNNNNNNNNNNNNNNNNNNNNNNNNNNNNNNNNNNNNNNNNNNNNNNNNNNNNNNNNNNNNNNNNNNNNNNNNNNNNNNNNNNNNNNNNNNNNNNNUCAUCAUCCAUGUCCUCCUCCUCCAAAUGUACUUCUUCAACGUCAACUUCUUCCUCCACAUGAACCUCCUUCUGUUCAUCAUCCAUGUCCUCCUCCUCAUUAUGGACGUCAUCAUUCAACCCCUCCCUACCUAAACUUCCUUGACACAACAAAAGAACCUGGUCUUGUUGUUGUUCACUUGGUUCUAUAUCAACCAACUCUGGUUCAUCAUCCACACCGUGAACCACAUACAGCUUAACUUCCCCUAAUCGUUUGGCAAUGCCUACCAUGUUCAUUGCACUUUUAUCAUCCUCCAACUUAAGUAGCAUAUUAUCGAUGCAAUAAAAUAUGUCUCUCACAUUCAUAUACCCCAAUUCUUUAACAGCAUCUACUGCUUCGAAAUAACUCCAUCUGUCAGGGUCCACACUCCAAUAUGUCUUUUCCCCACCAACAUAUUUAAUAGGACAUUGGCAUACUAGGGUCCCACCAUGGUGGACCACAACAUUAAACCUCUCCUCAGACAUCUCAAAAGCAACCUUACAAAAGUAACUGUUAUGGGCAUGUGACCACUAUACAAACGCUACUGUUAACAUGUGACCACAUUAUCAAAAUCACUUAUCAUACGUUACACAACAAUGCCCUAUAUAAAUUUCAAACAUUGUUACAAAAUUGUAACUUUUCCAAAAUCAAACACUGAAACGAAAAAAUUUGGGGUUUUACAGUCUUCAACAACAAAACCUAGAAAUUAAUAUGCUACAAAAGGAACGAACAAGAAAUCAAACCUGAUUUCGCAGAUAUGAUUUCCCAAUGAUGGUUGCUUCCGAUUACAAAAGCAAGUUACUGGUGUCGAAGGCCAAACUUGUUCUUCUCAAGUUGCAGAAGUUCUUCUUCCCAAAUUCAACCACUUCUCAAUCUCGCAAGUUUCACAAUUUCCCUCCCAAAUACCUAACUUUAAUUUUAUUACCAGAUUAAUUAAAAAUUUAGUUUAAAAAGUCCUAAUUGUAACGGCUAGAAAGGAUUCCCAGUCAGCAAAAAACUGACAUCUCACUUAGCAGUUGCAUAUGUGGACACGUUGUCGUUAACAAUUUUAACGGAGUUACUGAAAAGGACCAAAUUGAACAUUAAAUUCGUUCUUUGGGACGAAAUUGAAUACAAAUUCAACUCAGGGACCACAACGAAUUUUCUGAACCAAAAUUGGGACCAAAAAGAGCUUUUAACCUUAUAUAUAUAUAUAUAUAUAUAUAUAUAUAUAUAUAUAUAUAUAUAUAUAUAUAUAUUAUAAAUUAACUUAUCUCUUAUUUAGCUGAGAUAUCUAACACAAUAAUCACAUUUAAAAAAUAUUUAAUUUAGUUUUUCAUCAUUUAAAAGAAACACUUAUACUUCCUUUUCUAUUAUAAUCUUAUUUUAGGCAAGUAUUCAUUCAUAAUCGGUUGUUACUAUGUUACUUUUUCUUCAAAACAUAAUUCACAUGGAUAAGAGUCAAAUAAAGCAUGUAUCACAUAUACUAUAAUCUCAUUUAAUGAGUAUUAAUGUUCCAUAUAAUGAUUCCACUUGAAAAAAAGGGAAAAAUAUGUUAGAAUUUAUCUAACAUACUGAUUUCACCUAAAAAAAGAGGAUAUAGUGUAGAGUGAAAAGUCAUACAACAAAUACUAGAGAUCGUGGUAUAAAGAUAAUACAAGAGUGUAAAUAAAGACACCGUGGUAAGAUAACUCAAAAUCAGGUUAUUAACCACAAGUUAUAGGCAAUGAUUAUCAUAUAUAGCUGACUGCCUUUUUACAUUAAUGCUGUAUUAAUUAUUUUCCAGUUUUCUUUUCCGAUUGAUUUCAUUUGUAUGACAUUUGAAUUUGUAUUGUAUGCUAGAUGUUUUCACAAGGUUUCUCGAACAUAAUUGAAGUUUACAUAAAGACAUUAUUGUUUUUGAAAGUUCUGAAUGUUGCUUCGUGUCUUAGAAAGCUGCUAAUUAUCUACUUGAUAAAGUUUUUUUUUCUUCUUCUUAUUAUUCUAGUGAGAGUCUAAAAAUAGAAUAAUAAGUUUAAAUGAUGAAUUAUUUUAUAUAAAUAAAUCUUUUGUUAAUGAAUCUUAUUAUUUACAACACAUAUUUUUUUAAAACUUAUUUUCUAAUAAUAUCUAUCAUUUCUUUAGUGUUAUAACAAUUGAAUCAUCUAUUUGAAGAUUAGAAAAUGUCUAAGUGAUUAUUAUGACAAGAUCUUUAUUCCUAUUCUAUUAAUUCUUGCAAAAGACCAAGUUAAUUUCUUAUAUUUUUUCUGUUUUCCAUGUUUUCUAAUGCAUGUGAUCUUAGUUCUAUCCACUAGUAAAAAAAGAAGCUUUUUAACACGUUAUAUACGUUUCGAUUUUAUUAAAACUGAAGCGUAUAAAAGUGCAGUGACAUUUUUUAGUUUUAGGUAACUUAUAUACCUCGUUCAUAAAGAACCGAAGCGUAAAACGCCUACUGCCUCGGUUAAAUCAGAAAUCGAGGCAUAAAGUGGAACCAGCGCACACUGCAAUCACGUGAUAGAAGUUGACAUAAUUUUUGAAUAAGGUGUACUGCCUCAGGUAUCAAUAGAACCGAGGCAGAAAAGCUUUCCAGCAUCGGUUAGGCGCCAACCGAGACAUAUAACGGGAAUAUGCUUCCAAAAUUUCUGACACUUUAGGCAUCGGGUAUGCUUGAAACUGAGGCAGAAAGCCUCUAUUACUUCAGGUAAAUCUGGAACCGAGGUAGUAUAACAUUUUAUGACCUCAGAAAUCUCUUUGCUUUCACGGUACCCUUCUCACUGUUCCUCUUUUUCUCGCUCGCUCAAAUCUCUUUGCUUUCACUAUUCUCCAACCACCUUGAAAUAGUGUCGUCGCUUCGUGGCCACCACUCAACCGCUCCGUCACCACCACUCUAUCGCUGUUAGGCUAAGAUGGAGCAGAAGCAAUGUUUGCUCCAAUAAGGAGAUUUUUCCCCAAUACUUGUAGGCUAGGAUAUGCAGGAGCAUAAGUCUUUCAGAAUAAAUUGUUUAAAUUCGAAGAGACACAAGCAUUUCAAAGAGAGAUACAAUUGAAGACAAAGUCGAAUGUAUGCUCACCAUGGGUGAGAAGCUGUUCCAGAUCGGCGAACUGAGAGGCUUUCGUGAUUUCUCCUUUCUCGCGAAGGAGGCCGAGCCACUCCCCGAAGCCUUCGAAUAGGUUUUCACUGUCGUCAAUGCCAUUCUCCUCUCUCAUAGGGUUUCUUCCAUCUUCUUCAAAUUCUACAACACUCACCAGGAGUAGUAGAGGCGUCGUCACAGUUCGAUCCAACGAGGCUCACCGUCGGUAGCGCCUGGAGUCGUUGUAGGUGUAGACAGUGUCAACGCAACGCCUCCUUCUUUGAUCCGCAAUGGUCGCCGUAACUCUAAUCCUGAAAUCGUGUUGAUGCGUGUCACAUUAUCGUCGUGGCUCAAUCUCCGUCAAGUUCGCUCCACCACUGCUAUCCAUUUCGCCCAAAUCAUGAAUUCCACCACCGGAAACAACCACGAGCCACCACCGUUGCGUGAUUUCGCUAUCCCCCCUAGCUUCCCCUCUUCGAUCGAAGGGAUGAGAAAUUAGGGAAGAGAUCGAAGGGAUGAGAAAUUAGGGAAGAAAUUGAAGAGAGAUGAUGCAGAGUGACUAUAAAGAGAAGAGAAAUUAGAGCUUUGAAAUUGGAGAGGCAAAAUGAACUUGAAUAAAUCCUCGGGACUAAAAUUGGAGAGGCUAGAUGGAAAAUUAGAUUUAGGAACAUAUUAUGAUAGAUUUUCCAAAAUAGUCAUAAUACAUUCUAAAAUUUUCCAUUAGUCAAAGUAUUAUAAUAUAUAUAUAUAUAUAUAUAUAUAUAUAUAUUACAGAUAUUAACUUAAUAAUCACAAUAAAUUUUAAACUUAUUUAUAAAUUUAUCAUUAUAAAUGACUUUUAUAAUGUUUAUUAUAAUACUAUCAUUCAUCAAUCUAUCAAGAUAUAUAAUAUUUAUAUGUCAUAAUAGAUUCGUCAUAUAAAGAUAUUUUUCUACUAAAGUGUACCAUAGAUUUAAAACAUAACAAAAAUAGAUUUUAUUACAACUCUGAUAUGAUAUUAAUAUAGUACGUUUUUAAGUUUAACUUAUUAAGAUUAGAUUUAUCUUUAAUAAUAUAUUAUUAUUUGGCCUAAUUAAUCUCGUUUUUGAUCUCUAACAAAAGGUAAAUUUUUGUUAAUAACAUUGUAAUGAAUUUAAUAUUGAAAAAAAAAACCGGUGAAUCUCAUUAAUUAAAUGUCAAAUGUCUUAUAUAUAAUGUAUGGUUGAUUAUUCUGUUCAGAAUAUUUAUUGGAAGAAUCUAACAAAUAUUCAAUAAACUUGAUUGAUUUAAGAACCUGCUUAAAAAAACCAUCAUUUAUAUAUAAACUUUGGUAUAUUUAUCACAUUGGCAAAAAACAAAUACCAUUGUUUGCUUUUCAACCAGAAUGUUCCUCCAUAAACAUUUAUUCAUACACAUCGAUACAAUGUUACUUUACACACGUAACAUAAUUUAUGAAUAUAAACAAACAAACAGAAAAGACAUAUUUUACAUAAACCAAUAUAAACUGAGUAUCUUUAUUACUCUUCAAUCCAACAAUUAUGUAUUCACAAUGGUUCCACCUGAAAAGAUGAAAACGAAGAGUUAGAAAACACAAAAAAUGAAAAGCUGUUCAUGAUUUUAUUGUGAAAUUAAAUAUACAAAUUUUGUAAGUAUGAGAAUAGAGAGAUGCAUGACCAUUGGGGUGGAGGACUUGGCCUGUUAUGUAAGAGGAACACUGGUUGCUGGCAAGAAACACAUAAGAAGGAGCAACCUCAAUAGGUUGUCCAGCUCUUUUCAUCGGUGUGACAUCAGAACCGAACACCACAAUUUGUUCUACUGUAAAACUUGCUACCGGUAAGGGAGUCCAGAUAGGUCCAGGAGCAACGCCAUUCACGCGAAUUCCCUUGCUCACAAGCUGAAGUGCAAGUGAUCUUGUGAACCCUACAAUGGCACCUUUAGUGGAUGCAUAAUCCACUAGUGUUGCGUAUCCUUGAUAUGCAACCACUGAUGUUGUGUUGAUAAUGCUACUUCCUUCCUUCAUGUGCUUCAGAGCAUAUCUGUGUAUUCAUUUUCAGAAGCCACUAGUGUUAAACUUUUAGAUCACAUCUUAUGUAGUUAGAGUAUAUAAGGAGAUGCAAAGAUUUUACAAAAGUUCUGUGUAAGGUUAAAUUAGGCUCUUGUCUUACUUAGUCAUGAAGAAGUAGGAAAAGAUAUUAGUUCGGAAAACCAUGUCCAGUCUUUUAUCAUCAAUUUCGUCCAAGGAAUCACUCUGGAACUGCACAGCUGCGUUGUUCACCAAAACAUCAAUGCUGCCAUAAGCAUUAACGACUUGAUCGAUCACACUCUUGCAAUUCUGUUCAUAACCCAAAUCAACAGCUAUAGCCAUUGGAUCUUUGGCAUCGGCACUCUUAGCUUUUCUGAUGAUUUCAAGUGUGUCUCUGGCAUCUAUGUCUUCCUGUCCCUUCACAUACGUGAAGAUAACAGUAGCACCCUCCAAUGAAAACAAGUUACACACCGCUCUUCCGAUUCCGGAGUCACCUCCAGUUACUACAGCCACCUUCCCCUGAAAAUAUAUAAACCGAUUAAGCACAGAAGCAGAUAAAAAAAUUACUCUCAGGUCAAUCACUGCAUGCAUAUAUACUUGAAGUUUAUUUGAUGGUUUGUAAUCUGGACUGCUAUAUUGGGGUGGUGGAUUCAUCAGAUACUCUUUGCCAGGCUGUGUGUCUUGCUUCUGAGGGGGAAAUCUGCUUUCACCGGAAGCCAUUCUCUCAAACGGGCUUUUGGGAACUGCGUUUUGAGUAGACAUGGAUUUGGAGAUCCUCAUUUAUAAGGACGUAGUGAACAAAGAUAAUGUUAAGGUUGUGUUGCAUGUGCAUGUGUUGGUGUCGUGUGAUGAAAUGAUACACACAUGUUCUGUUCUAAGUCUGACACGUGGCGAGACAUUUAUUGUGGGAAAUGGUUUCAUUCGUCAUGGUUUUCUUUUAGUUGUUUUGGUUUUCCUUGUUUAGGUUUUCUAUUCUGAAAGUUUUCUCAAUUUGACAUUUUUUAAAAUGUUAUUCUUAUUACUUGUAGUAGGAAGAAGGUAACACGUAAAAAAAAGCGGAUAUAUGCAUUCAUGCUGAAUCAUGGGUUUAGAAAAAGCUCAGUAAAAUGUGAAACUCCAAGAUUAAGCUAAUUUGGUGGUGGUGUGUAUUAUAAGUAUGUGUAUUAUUGAUUCAGCUACUCGAUAAGAUAUUGAUAUUGUCUGUUUUAAAUUAUGCUUUGAGUUUUAUAGAUUUGUUUUUUAUAUCAUUCUAAAAUACUUUUUAUAAUAUUUAUGUAUAUAAAUUUAUGUUUAUUUCUUAUGAGAUUUUAUUUAUAUCUUAACACUAAGUUAUUUUCUUAAACUGUUUUUUGGAAUUAAUUGCUAUGAAGUUAUUCUCAAAAUUUUAUUUUAGUUUCAUUUACGCACAACUGCAGAACUUGAUUUUAAAUAGAAAUAUAUAAAAAUUGAUUCUUAAAUCCAACAACUCUCGUAAAUUUAGUUGGUUUUUCCAUAUAUAAGAAUUUAACACACGUCGUAAAAUUUAAAAUAAUUGUAUUUAAGAUAUUCACUGCUUUAGAAUCUUAUGUUACGACGUUGUUCUUAGGAAACAUUUUGAAAAUUUUAAAAAUAUAUAUAUUGAAAUUAAUUUUUAUCUCUAAUCUUAAAAGAUGUAAAAGUGUUGGAUGUACUGAAAGAUAAUACUAUGCUUUUAUUGAAUCAGAUUAAGUUGGGUGAAGAUAUUAUGUUUAGUUAAAUAAUAGUUAAAUCCUUUACAUAUAUGUAUAUAUUAUGUUUCCUUCACGUCUGUAAUGUUACAAAUGAGGAAUAAAUAACUAAUCUCUGUUUUUUUUAAUGUUUCUCAUAUUUUAGGACAUUUUUUUACAAUCCUUCAAGCUUUUUUAUUUGGAAUGUUGUUCUUAAAAAAAUAUGAAAUAAUAUUUUCAAAAGACUACGUAUAAAAGUCACUUUACAGCUCUUCACAGAUUUCAAGUAGAAAGGACACGUGGACAAAUCAAACAUACACCAAACUAAAAAAGAUAUAAAAACUAUAUAAAUAUGAUAUUAUACAAUUGAAAAAUAACUUAAAAAAAUUAUUUGACUAUUCAUAUCAACGUAUGUCCUUUUCGGAUAACCUAAUCCAUAAAUAUUUCAUAGUUAAACAUCAAAUUUUCCUAGAAAGUGCUGUAAGUUGCGGCAAUGUUACAAACUUUUUUUUUUAAAAAGUUUUUGUCAUAUGUAUAACUCAUGGUAAGUUAACUUUGGAUUAUGCAUACAAAAUAAGGUUAUGAGAGCUUUGCGAUAAUACCAUAUUAAUUAUUUGUCAUCCAAAGAUAUGUACAUUACUUUUUUUUAAAAAAAAAAUAGACAUAAGUAUAUUAACUAAGGCCAUUAAUUAAUAUGAAUUUUAAUUUUACUUAUCGCGAUAAUCAAUUAGAGAAGUCAGUAAAUAUACACUUUGAUGUGACUUUUAUAUUUCAAAGGCCAAUUAUCAAAUUUUAGGAAUAUUUAAUAUUUUCAUAAUUAUAAAUAUGGUAACUUUUUAUCUACAAUAAAUAAUUAUGUCAUCUUAAAUACUAGUAUAGUAGUACAAUGAAUGAUGACAACAUAAUAUCGAGUAAAGGAUUCACAUAUUUUUUUAGUAUAUAGUAUACACUUUACAUAGAUUUUUUUCUUUAAAAUAAAAUAAAUGACAGAAACAUGUGGUGUAGAUAAUAUGAUAAGAAGAAAGUUUGAAAAAAAUGUAAUUUGUAAAAACAUAGGACAUGAAAAAAUGAAGAGAUUUCUGCAAUUUCAUUGACGAAGUGAAACAUGUCAAAUGGCUACAACAUAUAUAUGAAAAUCAAAUAUUCAACUCUACAUAUGACAGUCUCAAAAAAAUAUCAAAUAAAAAAUAUUGAAGUAUACAUACAAUCACUAAAAUUAUAGUGAUGCUUCAUGAAUGCAAUUUUCUUCAUUCAGUAAACCAGUUUGCAUUUGGAAAGUUUUUACUGGUUUAUCAUGAAUGGAAUUCAUUUCUUUGCAGAAGUGUAUGAACUCAUAGAAGCUUGAAUUUCUUCUAGUGUUCGUCCCUUGGUCUCUGGUACGAGUUUUGCUACGAACAACACAGUCAAACCACAUAUGGUAGAGAACAUGAAGAAAGUUCCUGGCCAAACAUAACAUCAAAAUAUGAAUAUUUCUCAGCUUUUUUGUUUUUGCUCUCCAGAAGAAGAUUGAAUUCGAACCAACCUGCUGAACUCCAAUUCAUGAGGAAGUUAAAAGCAUAUGAUAUAAUCCAAGAACACAACCAGCUAACCAAAGUCACAAGGCUUCCAGCAGAGCCCUUCACGUUGAUGGGAAAUAUCUGCAAAAUCAAAUAUAACCAUUCAUCAUGCUGAUGAUUUUUUAUGUUUGAUUGUUUCCCAAGUUCAGGUAUAGUAAACAGUAACUACCUCAGACAUUAUAACCCACGGAAUUGCUCCCAUGCCUAUAGAGUAGGAUCCCACAUAUACCUGGCCAUUAAGAAUAAUUAAUACACUUGUAAGAUGAAAUUUACACUCACUUAUAUACUAAGUAUAAAACCAUAUUAAAAAGUGGACAUUAAACCUAACUCAAUCAUAUAAUAUCGACUUAUAAGAUUUACAUCUACUUAUAUAAUGUAAAUUUGUUUUAUUUUCAGUCUAUGUGAGAUCCCCAAUAGAGUUAUGCAAUAUAGUAGUGAUCACAAUCCAUUCAUUUCAGUUAAAUUUAUGAGAUUGCACAGCAUAGUUGAAGAUCCCUAUAUAGGCAUAUAAGGGGAAGAACAUUACCAGUACACCCACUAGGGCUAUAAUGGGGCUAACUUCCUUCCAUUUAUGCAAGUCCUGCAUCAGAUAAUCCUAAUUAUUCUUAGAAAUUCUUUGAGAAAACCAACUUACUGGAUCAGAUUGUGUAGUUAAAAGAACCUGCAAGACAAAUGACAAGGCUGCCAGAAAGCAUCCUAAGCAUGUUCCCACUGCAGACACCUACGUGAGAAUCAAAAUUUCAGAUUCAGAAUUUAAAGCACAGAGUAAAAAUGCAGGAAUAAUAGUUCAAACUCUUUUACCAGCAGAAGUGGUCUUCUUCCAGAUUUAUCCAUUAGAAGUACCCCUAAAGUUGUCAUUGGAAUCUACAAACAUAAAAGAUGGAGUAGUGUGAAAAACAAGAAUGAACUCGUCAAAGAAUGCAUCUUAUUAUUAUGCAGGAUUAAAGCACACAGAAAUUAUGCAAUCGGAAGAAGAGAAUUAAGAACCUUAACGGCGACCAUUGCUACUGUUCCAAUACUUUCUGAAAACCCUGUCAUGGAUAAGAGUUUUUGCUUUUGUGUGAAUCUUUUCAUAAGUCUAGUAUUCUCAUUCAUUUUCUCUUACUUGCCAUAUAAUGGAGCAUAGAAAAGGAGCUGCACAUACCAGCAGAUAUAAAUAUAGAGUUUGCAUAGAAAACAAUGCCAUUAAUCCCUCCAAACUGUUGUAGUAUCAUCAAGCCAACUCCUACCUAACAAAGUAACUAUAAAACAUAAGAGCCCCACAUAAGGCUAAUAUUGGCCAUAUACGAAUAGAGAUAAUUUAGAAUGCUCACGAUAAGUGACUUCAAAUACUGCAUUCGGAAUAGGCCAAUGAUGCUAGCUUCUGUUUGCUUCUGAAAGGCUUCGGUAUAGUCCUUCAAAUAAAGGUACAAUACAAAAAUGAUAGAUUAAAUUCCUAGGAUUCUUCCUUUUCUAUUUCUCUUUUGCAUCCAAUAAAGAUAGUAACUAUAGUGUAACAAUGUAAGAACAAAAAACUAGUUACAUACUCUAAUUUCAGUGGCCUCUUGAUAAACAUCAGCAUUCUUACCCCUGAGGUGCUGUAGAGCAGAAUCACUCUCUUUUAACCGACCGACCUUGGCCUGCAAAAGAUUGCAAUUUGUGAUAUGUUUGUGUGGAAUGAAAUGUAUUGACUCCAACCAUCUGAUAUAAGUGAAGGAAAAAAUCACUUCGAUGUGAGAGCAGUGACCAACAUGAACAACCCAAGCAAUAAAAUUACAAAAGCUGUGAAAAACUCACCAGCCACCUGGGAGAAUCGGGAAUGAAGGGCAGACAGAGAAGCUGCACAAGGCACGGAAUAAUUCCUGAGACAGAUGAAUAAACAUGAGAGUUACAUGGAGCCCUUUUUGUUUGGAUUGUGAAAAGAACACCAGAAAGAAAAAUAUUACCUAUUAGAGCCAAGAUCCUCCAAUUGGCAUAUGCUCCAAUAAGAUAAGUUAAUGACAUCCCACAAGAAAUCAUUAACUGCCAAAAUAAGACCAAAUAGGAGUUUAAAAUAAUCCUGUACGUGAAAUAGUAAAACAUAAGUUGUAUGGUACAUGCAGUAAGAGUAAAAUUAUGUUAAAAGAUUGGAUCAUUACAGUGUUGCUUUACCUGAUGAACUCCAGUGAAUGCCCCUCGAAGAUUCUUGGGUGUUAUUUCUGCUACAUAAACAGGUACCUAAUAUUCAAAGUAAACUAUAUAUGUAUUUCUUUGAGUCAUUGAAUUUCAUAACAAAUUAUACAGUCAUAGCAGUUACCACGUAAGAUAGAAGGCCAAUCCCACAUCCUAUCAACAGUCUUCCAACAUAAAGCCACCAAGCAAUCUUCAAACAUGCAUCAAAUGUUAGAUAUCAACAACUGAACUUGUGGAAAACCCAUGGGAUGAGCAAAUUCAGAUAAUAAAAUCAUAGUGGUUCAAUCUAUCAAGUCUGUAGUCCUUACUCUAUCUAUCUAAUUCAUUCUGUUUAUGAAAACAGCAACUUAAGUUUCAAAUAAGCCUCAAUGUUAAUGCCAGAGCAGGUUUAAAUAACUUUUUAUGGCCACAAAUAUGCUAACAUUUUUCUUUUAGUGCUAGUCUGUAUUUCUUCAUAUCAAAUGGUAUUUAAGCCUACCAGGUCAUGUAUUUCAAGUACUCAAUAAUUGCAGUUAAAAAGUGAACUUUAAACUUAACUCAACCUUGCAAAUCUGGCUUAUAAGGUGAGGUCUACAAUCACCUAUAUACUGUAAUUGACAAUUGUUGUUAUCUCUAGUUGAUGUGAGACUUCCAACACCCCUCUCAUAUUGAGACAUAUAUACAUUUCAAGCGUGGAACUAGACAUUAAUAGGUAAUCUAAUAACAGGUGGAACAAUAAACUCAACAAAUAAUAAAUUUUGCUACGAUAAACUCUUACACAUGGCUCUCAUAUCAUGUUAAUAAGUGGACUUUAAGUUUAACUCAACCUCAUAAAAUCAGUUUGUAAAAUAAAGUUUACAUCCACUUAUAUACUCUAAACUUGUUAAGAAAGGAAUUUUAAAUCUAACUCAACCUUAUAAAACCAACUCGUAAGAUGAAGUUAUGUAAUUGGCAUUAUCUACUGUUGAUGUGGGACUUCCAAUGGUUACAAUAAAUUCUUUCCAUGAAUGUCUUUUUCCCCUACCUUAAAAUGUAGCUACCUAUUUUUCCUUUCAAGAAAGGUUACCAUCAUCACAAAAUUGUGGUUUUCAGACAUAUUCAACUAUUAGUGACAGUACAAGUUAAUAAAUUGAAAAUAAAGAGGAAGAAAUUAAUGAGAAACCUUUGAGAAUGUUAUGGCAAACCAUCCCAAGAUGCAGAAAAUCUGGGAGAACCCCAUGGCCUGCUCAGUAAAACACAGGAUAACUAAGGUGAAAACAACAACACUGAAACCAGAAUUAAGCAGCAAUGCUUUGACUUACAACUCGACGACCUGCAUAAUCUGCUAUUCUACCACUAACAACAGCACCAAUCAUAGCUCCAAUAGUCAAUAUCGAACCAAAAAUUGAGUACUGCAUAGGUUUGGCCGUUGAUAGAAGCAGUCAAUCAAAUGAUAGCCAGCAACAACAAUGUGCAACAAAUGUUAGAAAAACAAAGGUUCAAACCUGGGCCACUCCGAGGUUGAGAUCACGCAUGAUUCCAGAUUGAGUUGGUGAUGAGUACCCAAUCUGCAAAGUUAACAAGGUAAUUCAUCUGACUGUAGUAACUUUGAGUUAGAGUUUCAUUCCCACCCAAUUUUAACAUUAUCAGCCAAUGAAAAAUCAUUAUUCAUACCGUAAUAGUCAUUGUAAAAUUCAAUCAACCAUUUUUACGUUAUCAACCAAUAAAAAAUCAUCACUCACACUACAACUUAACAUAGUCAAUGCAAAAAUCCAACCAACCAUUUUAACAUUAUCAAACAAUAAAAAACCACCAUUUACCACAAAUUAAGAUAGCCAUUAUAAAAUUCAACCAACCAUUUUCACAUUAUCAAGCAAUAAAAAAUCAUCAUUCAUACCACAACUUAAGACAUUCAUUAUUAAAUUAAACGAGCCAUUUUACCCUAUCAAGCAACAAAAAAAAAUCCUUCAUACCACAACUCUAUGAUAGCCAUCAUAAAAUUCAACCAUCUUAAAAAAGACAACUUUUUUUAACUGGAUAACAGCGUAAGAUUUCUAAGGUAAAUACAAAAACAGUAACUCACAGCAGAGCCAAAAACGUAGGAACCAAAAACAGCAACGAGGGUGGUGAGUAUAAGAGUAGUUGGAACGGAAGAAGCUCCAGUGUGCCUCUUUUCCAGAAAGUCAACGCCAACAUCGUGGGCACCAUAACUUGUAGGGAGAAGAGGGCUUGUAUAAUCGCUUGGUUCGGUGGUUUUGUUGUCCAUAUUUUGCGUUCUAUGAGAAGCAGAGGAAAUAUGAGAGAGGUUCAUUCAGAGGGUUUAAAAGGGUUACACCAGAGAGAGAGAGGUUGGUGAUGAAUGGCGUUGACCAAGACGACGUGAUGAUGAGAAUGAAACGAUGUCGAAUUGGAUAUGAACGAACACCGUGUGUUGGACAGCGUCGCACUUCGCAGUCUACGUUGGCCAAACAAACACAUAGGCAAAUCUUUUCUGUUUUUUUUUUUUCAUUUUUAUGUGUGCACGAGAUUCUUGCGGGUUCAAUUUUAAAUUUAAAAAAAAAAAUGCUAUUCUGUCACGUGCUUAAUUAGGAUUUGGUUUUUAAAAAUUGUAAAAAUUAAUCCUUUUUUUCUAACUAUAAUAACAAAUGUGCUGGCAGUGGCAGGGUUAAAAAAAAUAUUUAAUUUCUCAACCAGAAACGCAAGGGAGAGUUUGCCUCCCAUCGCCUCUCACUGAUCCUCCACUGCAACUGGCCUCCACCCAACCAGCCACCGCGAGUUGUGGUGCAAGGCGUCGCCGGCGCUGACGUUCGUUGCCGGAGUCGUCGCCGAACGAGGUGAGAGUUCCCCUCUUCCGCCGCUCGUCGCGCGAGUUGGAAGCGCCCAAGCCGUCGCGAGCCAUCGUCCAAGGCUUUGCAUAGUGGCGCAAAUCGCCACCACAAUCUCUGCCGGCCACCGCACCAAGGUCCCUCUUCCUUCUCCUCUUCCCGCGAGGUUCUCCCUGUUCCUCGUCUUAAGACGUUGACGCCAGAAAGGGUCGCCACUCCAAUGCCGGCGAGAAAACUCCUCUUCCUCUGUUAUGCGAAGUCGGAAUCCACAUCCGCCGCCGACAAUCACCAUCUUGUUUGUACUGUAUUGUGCUGGGCGUGAGUCUUGGGGUGUGAAAAAUUGAUUUUCUGAUUGGUGUAGUGAAUGUUUUCUGUUAAGCAUUGGGUUGGGGAAAAAAUGGGUUUAUGUUUGGGUUGAACUUCUGGAGAUGAAGGAAAGGGUGUUCAGAAUUCUCAGGUUGUGAUGGUGAGGCGUUUUGCUUUGAUUUGUUGUUUGAUUUUCUUUCGGUGGUGGUUGAUUUGGGUGAUGGUGGAAGAUGAGGGAUAUGAGUUGUUUCAAAAGAUAAGCUUUAAACCUAUGGGCAUGGGAUUUGUGAUUUGGGUCCGUUCAUUCAGUUUGACACAGGUGAUUUGGGUUUGUUGAUUCUGGAAAUGCAUUUGAUUCUGCUUCUACCAUUUUCUGUGUUUUCUGGGUUGAGAAGCCAUAGUUUAAUGGAUUGAGACAAAAUUUUGAAAGAUUUAGGUGUUACAAGUUUGCAUAAAAAAAAUAAAAAUAAUAUAGUAAGUUAAAAGGAAACUACUUUUACUGUGCUAAAAUCAUUAUUACAAAUUUACUUAAAGAACAGGACAAAAUAACAUUAAUUAAUUGGUAAAUAUAUUUGUUUGAAAGCAACCCCACAGCUUUUGAGAAUCUUUUUAAGAAACGUUCUCAUCUGAGUGGGGUUAAGCCUCCCAGCAUAACUAGUUGCAAUGGCUUCACCACAGGUUGACACUGUUGUUACAUGAGAGAAACAAAGAUAUGUGAACUAUGUAAUGAACCACACUUGUUUCUCGAUUUGUUUCUGGUUUCUAUGUCACUUAAAAUUUGUAAUUGCACAACAUUCUGUGGCUGAUUAUAGAGUAAAAGGAUUUCUAUAAAGACGAACUUUCUCAGGGCAUCAAAUACCAUGUUCUCUGCUUCUGUCACCUUUAAUCGCCAAUGCCGUCGCCAAUGCCGGUGACCAGAGACACUGUUGUUUAACUUAUGCCUGCGUUUUAUCAUCUGGGUAUGUCGUUUUUUUUCUGCUUACGUGAUUAUCUUUCUACUUCCCCAAAUAUAUACGUGAUUAUCCCAGAAAUUCCCCAUAUAUCUUUCUACUUUCGUAAAAUUAUUUUACGAAUUUUACGGAGAAAUUCGUAAAAUCCUGUAAAUAACAAAGGAUGAUUCUUAUUGGAAUUGUGUUAGAUUUCUACCAAAUUCUGAAAAGGUGACAGAUCGUGUAUGAUAAUGGUCAUUUGUGUUUAAAAUUCUAAUGUGUUUAAGUUUUGGGACCUAGUUCAUGUUCUUGGGUAGUUCAUCUUCCAUGGCUUUGUUUUUAUUAUUUUUGCUAUUAUUUAUUAAUUAUUAAAGCCAGUGUCUGAUGUUUUAAUGGUUCCUUGUCAAAUAAUUAACAGUGACCGAAUUUCUGUUCCCAACUUUUGUGCUUUUUUUAGUUGUUUGUAACUUUUGUUUCUUUCGUAAUCUGCUUCUUUGAUUCCUCGACAGAGGAAUCAUGUAAUCAUGUCACACCAAAAGAAAAAAACUGUAAGGUUUUUCUAAUGUCUGUGAUUACUCAUGUAGUGCAGGAAUAGUAAAGAAAAAGUUCUGCAAACAGAUUAAAGAUGGUUCCAAUUGGUCAUGCUUCUGAUGACAAGCAUAAAAUACGAGGCAUUGUGUUUUCUAACCCUGCUUCUGCACAAUGCUUUGUGAUUUUAAUAUACUGUGUUUCCUUUUAGUAUUGUUUAGUUUCUCUUCCACCAACCUUUCCCUGUGAUGAAAAUGUUGAUUUUUAUUUUUCUCUUGCAGACUCAGGAGAAAUCGUUUUGGAGGAGCAGAAAAGUGUGGUAACUCUAAGAGAACUCUUGGACGAAUGCAUUAGUGACACUGAGAAAUCUCAUCAACCACCUGAAUUAGCUGGUGGUAAUCCAAGCUCAACGACUGAGCUUCACCGCAGGAAGUUACUCAGACCGUGCAGAAUGAGAUCAAUUGAGCACCUACCAUCUUUUCCUCCAAGUUGUUUGUCAAAAAUAACAAAGCCUAAAAGCAAAAGCAUUGGAAAAAACACUAUUCGAUGUAAUCCACACAGUUCCAGAACUUUGGUGAAUUUCAGUCUUUCUGACCUGAGAAAUGCAACCAACAAUUUUAGCAAAGGUUUGUAGUUUAACCUUGUUUUCAGACCAAUUGUUUUUCUAGUAGUUUAGCUAGUAAUAAUGUAGUUACAUUAGGACGAGGUAACAGGACAUACCAAACUAGAUAGAAUUAUAUCUCGAAAAUUACAGCUUUUGUUUGGUUUAAUGUCUCAUAUAUCUACAAAUAAAUUCAUGUCAAAAUUAUGACUAUAAUGCAGAAACAAGUGUUUUAUGCUUCCAAAUUGACGUGAGUCUAUUAUAAUGUUGCUUCAAUGGAUACACUAGACAAAAAAGUUAGGAUAACACCUAUUGCAGAAAGAUGAUAGAACUCCUUUUAGGUGGUUUAGGAAUGUACAAAGAAGACUAAUAGAAGCCUACUCACACUGGGUAACCCAAUUGCUGGAGGCAGAGAAAAACUAAAGGCAAAUCCAUUAGGAAAUAAGUUGUUUACCUAUACAUGGUUUGUGUUAUAGGAUUGUGUAUAUUUGGAUUAAAGUUUGCUGACACUAGUCUGUAUAAAAAGUAUGUUGUGAACAUAAGUUUGAUAAAAAUGAGUUUACUGUAACAUAAGUUGUAUAAAUAUUUGUUGUGUAGUUGCUAUUAGGGACUAUGUUAUUGCUUGAUGAAAACUGCAUCAAUUUGACCAUGUAGUUUUUGUUCUUCCUUUUACUUAUAGAGAAUAUAAUUGGAAGAGGUGGUUAUGCUUAUGUUUACAAGGGCAGACUGCAAAAUGGGCAACUAAUAGCAGUUAAGCAACUGAGUAGAGGGACUACAGAAGACAGGAUAUCAGUUCUUCUAUCUGAGCUAGGAAUUCUUUCUCAUGUUGACCACCCCAAUACUGCCAUGCUUAUUGGAUUUGGAGUUGAAGGGGGAAUGUACCUUGUGUUUCAAUUAUCUCCUCUGGGAAAUUUAGGAUCUCUUCUUCAUGGUGUGUACUUGAUUCUAAUAAUUGUACUGUUUUCCCAUGUGAAAGCUUUCUUCUUUUUUUACCACAUUACAAGUGUAAAGUAUUUGUCAAUGGGAUAUAUCUGUUGGAGAGUAUGAUGAGCCAUCUUUAAUGAAAUCUCUCUGUACAAACACUUUUUUUUUUUAUUCAGAAGAGUCAAAUUCAAGAUCUUGCUUCAAAAAGUUUUCUGUUUGAAUGUACUUACUGAUUACUUUUUACUUUUCAUGAAACAUUCAGGUCCUAAUAAAAAUACCUUAGAUUGGAGCAAAAGGUAUAAAAUCAUUUUGGGGAUAGCAGAUGGCCUCUUCUAUCUUCAUGAGAUUUGUCAAAGGCGAAUCAUUCAUAGAGAUCUUAAAUCAGAUAACAUUCUGCUCACUGAGAAUUUUGAGCCGCAGGUAUUUAUCAGUGAUUAUAAAGAAUUAAUAAAAGAAGGCAUUGUUAACCUUUGCUGGUGAAACUUGGGACAUUCUUCUGCAUUUUUUCUCAUUUUCUGAUACACAUGAGUAGUUAUCACUAGGAUCAUUCCCUGCUUAAAAGUAAUAUAUAAUGAUACUUCCUUUGGUUUAGCUAGAAAUGUGUGCAACUAAUGCAUGACACAUUGGAUGGCAAUGCUUUGGUCUGUGGACAAUCCUCUCACAGAGAAAAAUCAAACUAGCUAUACUUUAUGAUCCUUAGCAUCUACCUCCAGUUUAGAAUUUUGAAAAUAAAGCAUAUUCUCUGAAAAUCUUCAACCUUUGCCAAGAGAUCAUUAUGUAAAUUAAGCCAUCACAGCCUAAUUGUUCUCUUUCAUGCCAUGCUAUUACAUAUUCUGCUGGUGAAAUAAUUAGAAGCAGCAGCAGAAGCACACCUUUGCUUCUGGAUCCUCUACCAGUACUCUACUAGUGUACAAGUUCGAGGCUUAUAUUUCAUCUGAUCUAUCACUCUGACUAACUGAGAAUUUCUCCAGAUUUGUGAUUUUGGGCUCUCAAAAUGGCUACCAGAAUCCUGCACUCAUCAUAUUGUACCAAAAUUUGAAGGCACAGUUGGGUAAGCAAAUACAUACAUACAUUAAACUUCUAAACCUAUAUUUUGAGAAUUAACUAUCAUUCUCAUGACUUAACACUUCCCCCUCGUCAUUCAAUUGACAGGUAUUUUGCUCCUGAGUAUGUGAUGCAUGGCAUAGUAAACGAAAAAACUGAUAUUUAUUCCUUUGGGGUCUUACUUUUGGAGAUUAUAACAGGGCGUCGUGCUUUGGAUCAUUUGAAAGAAAGUAUUAUGCUAUGGGUAAGUCAUUCUCCCAAUUUUGGCUGUCAUAUAUUAUCUAAGUUUACAAGCUCAGAGGCCUCAGCACAUUGUGAUUUCUUGUGUUACAGGCAAAGCCUUUAUUGGAAGCUAAUAAUAUCAAGGACCUUGUUGAUCCUUCUCUGGGUGAUGAUUAUGACUGGGAACAAAUGGAACGUGUAGUUUUGACUGCAUCUCUGUGUGUUGAGCAGUUUCCUAUCUUACGCCCCAGCAUGAGUCAGGUAAGUAUGCAACCAAGAAAGUUGCAGUACUGUAAUCUUAGUGAUAAUUGGUCACUGUAACUGUGACUAUAUAUAUAUAUAUAUAUAUAUAUAUAUAUAUCAGUUAGCUUUGGUUUAAGAGAAGAUUGAUCAUAUUUUCUCUGUUUGAUGCAGAUUGCAAUACUGCUAAGAGGUGAUGACUAUGUCAUGGAACAUACUGAGAGGAGUAACAAGAUGCACAAGAAUACAACUCAAGGAGCUAUCUAAGUUUUGUCAGUUGGCAUAAUAAGGUUGCCUUGGAUUCUUGAGAACUAAGGACAUCAUAUUAAAAACAUUUGAUUGUUGAUUGUGUUACUCUGUCGGAUUUGUAUUCUCUGCUGAGUCUUCAAAAUAUUGAUUUUGAUGUUCUAAAAUAUAUUAAAAACUUUUUUGAUAUAUAUCAUCAAGUGUAUUUUGAAAACUCAGCAGAUGGAUCAUCCUAAAAUUCUGGCAAAAAAUUUGGACUCAAAUACACUAUUGAACUUUUUUACUUAUAGGAAGAAAGGAGGGAUAUAAGAACUUACAUUCAGUUCUUUGUUAUUAUUAUGAAAAUUGACUAUUAUGAGAAAUCAUCCUUAAAUGUAGAAUUAUUUUUGUCCAUUCUCUUUGCAUCCAAUUUAGGACAAUAUGUUAACUUUAGAUUUUUUUUAACAAAAUUUUAACAUAAUAUACAUGUCAUUUAUUGAGUUUAGAAUAUUUUUUUAUUGGUUUAGAUUACGUUAAGAUAAUAACAAAUAAAUAAUGAAUUAGUGAAAAAAUGACAUGUAUGUUAUCAAAAUAUUAUGGGAAAAUCUGUUAAAUAAUCUGAUUUUUCCAUAUCUCGUACAAUUUUGGUCUCAAUGACUGUACUCAUAAAUAUAAAAUGUUCAAAUAUAUCAACAGAAGUAUCUCAUAUCUCAUACAAUUUUAUUUCAAAAUUCAAACAUCACACUCAAGUUUUUUAAUGCUAUCUUUGUUAAACAUCUGAAUUCUUUCUUACCUUUUAAAAAAUUUCACAUAAUGUUUUAUUCAUUUCUUGUAAUUAUGUACAUGUUAAUUCCAGAAUAAUUAAAUCGCCAUAAUUCUUAGUUCAAAUGAUCUUGUUCUAACUCCAAAACUUGUUUUUCACUUGAAAGUAUUUUAAAUAACAUUUUCAAUUAUUUUGUAUAUUUAAAAGUCAUGUUUAGAAAUGAUAACAGAUCGGGUCGGAUAUAGAUAGUGUCUAUUUCUAAUCUAACUUGUUGGAUAAAACUAUAUCCAUUAUCUGAUUCACUAUCUGUUAGAUAUUUGCAUAAAAAAAAUUCGUGAAUUUUUUUAACUUGCAAAUACUUGUUGAAUAUCCUUUUUCAAACUACGAAUGUUUUAAAAAAAAUAUUUUAUAAAUUUUUAAAUGAAAUCCAAAUUAAAUUGUAAAAAAAAGUAUGCUUAACAUUUAAAAAUAAAAUAAAAAAGACUAUAUGUCAAAUAUUCAGUGGAAGAGAUUCAAUAGUAAUAAACAACCUCUUAUCACUCUAUAUAACAGAUAAAAUAAGAUGUUUUCUCAUUUUAUCAAACACAUGUAUUGCUCAAAGAAACAUGUAGGUUAGCUUAGUGCAUGACCAGUCAAUCAAAGAAGUCAGAAUAAAAUGUAAACUGAUCGUCCUUCUCAUAAAGAGUAAUAAACUAUCCAUAAUAAACAGAUUAAGCAUUAAUUAGCUUUUUCAGCCCAGAAAAUAUAUAUCUCCUUCAAAUUAAAUAAGAUCUACCACUUAGCAUUUUCCUUAUGAUCAUAACCAACUUAAUGAUAAAAAUAUCUUUGCUUAAAAUAUAAAAUCCGAUAAAUAUAUUUUUAAUACUUAUAUUUGGAUGCAGAGUUAAAUUUCAUGUUUGUUCCAAACUUAAAUAGAUUUCGGUUUCUAAAUUUUAAAAUAAAUGGAGAUAAUAUUUUUUAUUCGUCAAUGUUAACUUUCUUUUACAUUUUAAAUAAUGAUAUAAACUGACAUUUAAACUGAAAUAUAUUAAAUAGUAUAAACAAUUUAAAUAUAACUUAAAAUGUAGCUUAACAUGUCAAAAAGUUUCACAAUUAUAAAUAUUAUAUUUAUUCAGUUUUAAAUUUAAAGAUUAAACCGUUUAAAGUUUGAAAUAUGAAGAAAUCUAAAUUUAAAUUUUUAUAACUAAAGACUUAUUUAAGUAAUACACCAAAACACGAAAACAAGAUUUGAAUAUUUCUCUACUAAUAAUAUCCGAAAUAAGAGAGAUAACAAAGAAAUGUUAUACAUUAAGCUUUCUUUAAUUUCUUAGUUACUUUUGCAAUGGGUUAGCUCACAAGGCUAAAGUUGAGUAUUAUACCGAGUUAUUUUAUCUAGUGGGUAAUUUGUAGACUACCUUGAUUAGCCUUGAGUUUAGCUAAAUAAGUCGAGUUUAAGUGGGUUUUUUUAACAACUAAAAUAUGUUAUCAAAAAUUAUUUAAGAAUAUAAAUUUAUUCAGUAAUUAUUGAAAAUUAUAACACCAAAAAAGUAAUUAUCCACUGUACUAUAAAACUCUCAACAAAGAGUCUGUAUAAUUCAAAGUUAUACAACUUCAAUAUAUACAGGAUAAUGAUAUUUAGAUUAUAUUUUUUUGACAAUAUUUGAACAUUAUCUACGUGUCAUGAUUAGUCUAUGAUGGUGUUUAUGAUUAUUAUUAUUGAUUGUGGAAUAAUUUUGAACCAAUCACAAAAUGACACGUAGAUGAUGUUCAAAUAUUAUAAAAAGAAAUGUUGUCUAAGUAUCAUUUAUCUAUACACAAAAUAUAUAACAUACAAAUAUUUAUAAGAAUUAAAAUGUCCUACUUUGCUCCUGCCCACUCAUAGUAACUCAUAGUAAGUUAUUGCUCUGUUUGCACUUUGUAGUUCUAGUCAAUUUCAAUAAUAGAAAACCUUAAUCUUAAAGAAAAAAGAAUGACCAAUGACAGUAGGAUCAAUGUUUCUUCAUCGCUUUACUUUUGGUCAUGUGAAAUGACUUAUUAUGGAGCCAAUGUAACGUGAAUUCAAAUUUGUGAUUAUCAUACUUUUUGCUAAUGAUUUUAUAUUGGAGAUAUAGCACAUACAGAUAUUAGAGUAUAUAUAAAUACAGUAAAAUCUCAUACAAUAAAAUUAUUUUUAGAAAAUUGAAGUAGAUUUAAAGAAUGCCAGUUCUAAAAUAAAUAUAAAAAGUCAAACAUUUUUUAUAUUUUUUAUUCUUAUACAGAUUCAAAAAUUAAUAUAAUUUUUUUAAUUAAUAUAAACAAAGUUUUUCUAUCAUAGUAUUACUUAAAAUUUAUGUUUAAGAUUAAUAUGUUUUUGGUACUAAGAAAAAUAUGUAUAGGAGAUUCCUUAUUAAAGAUAGACGAUAAGCUGGUUUUAGAUAGGGUAAUGAUACAUAGACAAUAUUUUUUGACAAUUUUUAAACAUCAUUAUACAUGUCAUUAUGUGAUUGGUCUAAAUGACACAAUAACAUUACCAUAGACGAAUCACACAAUGACACGUCUAAUGAUGUUCAAAUAUUGUGAAAAAAAUGUUAUCUAUAUAUCAUUAUCCUUUUAGAUAUUGAUUGAGAUACUAUGUUGUUUGUUUUGUUGGGAUGUUCCCGUGGCAAUGUACAGUAGUAAUGGGUGGAAAUGUGUGGUUCGACAGUUGUUGUUGUCGCAAUGUGAUGGAUUGACAUGAAGAACAUGAGGUUGAUAGGAAGUUCAAGACAAAGAGUUGUCCUUUUGGAAGUGUCAAAAAUCUCUAAUUAUUACUUACAUGUUGUACAUCAAUCAUUCCACUUUUGCUACAUCCAAAUCUAACCAAUAAUGGUACUAACCCUCAUCUGACAUAAGUAAUGAAAAUUAUUUACCUAUAUUUUCAAUGUUUUUCCAAAUGACACUUUGAAAUUUUUUUAGUAUAUUAAUAUGAUCAUCUGAAUGACCAAUGAUCAAUCCUUACUUCAGUUGUUGUCAAUGAGUUAUUAGUGAUAUCAGUUUUUGGAAUUAUGAGUUAACAUAAUUAAUUUUAAUAUCGAUUAAUUUAGAAAUAAAGUGUGAUUAUUUAUUAUUGGAUUAUAAUUAAAUUAAUUAAAAAUUCGCUUUCAAACUUAUAAAUAAAAUAAAGAGAUAAUCUUUAUUUAUUACAUCAUCACUUUAACUCACAAUAUUAAACUAACUUUGAUAUUAAAAAGUUUUUAUAAAAAUCUUUUGAACGAUUUGGACAAAUAGUUAGAAUAGUCUUCAAACUUCAAACCACUGAAUUGUUAAUUUCAAUCCUAAAAACAUUAACUAAUUUAAAUUUAUUGCAAUGAAGAUAAUCGAAAGAAUAUUUUGUUUAAAUAUUGAAAUGUACUUCUAAGAUUUUAUCAUAAAUAUUUUUAUUAACUUUAUCCGUAUUUUAAUUUAAACAUGAGUAAAGAAUAAAUGAAACUUAAAUUUAACUCGAUUUAAGAAGGAUUUAAAAUCUCAAUAAUAUAAAAUCACUUUCAUGAAUGCUAAUAUCAAUUUCACUCUGAUAACAUCACGUAUGGUAAACAUACAAUAAACUUAGUAUUCUAAAAUUCAAAUUAUUCUUUUGUUCUCAAUUAAAUCAAGAUUAAUAUCUUCUGAUGUUCUAAAAUAUUUUUAAUUAUAAUAUUUUUAAAUAAAUAUAAUUUUUAUAGUUAUGUUGUUUUUAAAAAAUGGGUGGAUCACAUCCAUAGACAACAUAUUUUCCAUGACUUAAAGGUAUCUUUUGCAAUUUUUAUUUUCAUGAUUUUAUAGAACUUGUCUGGGUUUAUAGAACCCGUAUGAGUUUAUAGAACUCUUCUGGGUUUUUAGAACCCGUAUGGGUUUAUAGAACCCGUCUGGGUUAAAAAAACAACUAUCUUUUAUUUUAUUUUUUAUUUUAAAAAAUAACUACCUUUUAAAAAAAUAUAAUAAAAACUAAUAACUUUCCUCGAUCAAUCAGAACUUUUCAUAACUUUUUAUUUUUUUUAAUUUAAAUUAAAUUUUAAAAUUAUUAAAAUAUCUUGGAUUUAAAAUUAGUUUUUUUUUUAACAGAGACAUUUUUGUAACCUAAAACUUGAUAAAAUGUACCAACUAAAAAAUCACUUUACAUAAAUUAGCAAACCCAUAUAUAUAUAUAUAUAUAUAUAUAUAUAUAUAUAUAUAUNAUAUAUAUAUAUAUAUAUAUAUAUAUAUAUAUAUAUAUAUUAAUAUGAGUAAAUGGAGACCGUACAGCUUUGUAAGGUCGCAUGUUCUACUGCUUCUGUUUAGCAGUCAGCGUGCAGAUCUUUGCUGUUAUCUUGUUAUUAUCGACACACUCAUUUAUAUAUAUCUAUUUAUAUUUAUAUUUAUAUUUUUAUAUAUUGUGAAUUCCUAUCAAUUCAAUGUUACAUUUUUUGUAUUUUCUAUAAAAUACUACAUUUUUUUGCCGUUUGUUCUAUUAAAUAUUACAAUGUAUUAUCAGAAAAGUUGAAAAGUCCUUAAUAACUGAAGUAAAUUUAAUAUAAUGAUAACAAUAUUUAGAAACAAAAUUAAUUAUUCUCAGUAGUUUAUGUAAUUAUGGUAAUAGUUUCUUACAUUAAAAAUAUGAUAAGAUAAUGCUUUUUUAAUUGAUUAGAAAUUUCUAAUAACAAGUGAUAUAUAUAAUAGUAUAAUAUGUGAAUGUGAAUGAGUGAUGGGGCUCUUACAGACAGCUCGUGCUUAUUAAGGCACGCCUCAACAUGGCAACGUUGUCCAUUGUUUACUCUCUCACCUCAUGUCAAUUUCAUAAAAUAUUUAUUCACUAUAAUUUAUUAUAACAUUUUUAGAUACAAAGAUCAUGUUUCACUUUACAUAGUUCGUUUCCUAGAAUGAAUAAAAUCAUUUGGAAUGACAAAUUUAAAAAAAUAAAAAAUAAAAACUAUUAAAUAAAUGAAUCUCAUCAUAAGUAAUUAAUUAGAUUGGUAAGAAUUUGACUAAUAAGAAUUAGAAUCAACUCAAUUAGUUUAAUGAUAAUUUCAUAAAUUUAAUGGAUUUAUUUACUAAAUUUGAUCAUAUAUAUAUAUAUAUAUAUAUAUAUAUAUAUAUAUAUAUAUAUAUAUAUAUAUAUAUAUAUAUAUAUAUAUAUAUAUAUAUAAAGUAUUCGUACGUAAUCUAAGACUCGAAAUAUGUUAGAUAUCUAAUAAACUUUUUAUCACAUGAUAUCAUAUUAUAUAAUUGAUUAAAAGAGAAUUGGAGGGUUUAUUUGAUGAAUUUUUCAUGUUUUUAUGGUUUGUAGGAACAUAUAUAUAAUUUAUUUUGUUGGAAUUAUUCUUAGAUUCUUAGACUUGUUUAAUAUCUUAAUAGGUAAGAAAAGCUAACUAUCCAAUUUUAAUAUUGUUGAUCUUUAAUAAUAUUGUUUAUUUUGGUUUAAAAUUGGUUAAUUUACUAUAUAUAUAUAUAUAUAUUGUUGGUUUUGUGUUGAGAAAUCUUUUGUGUAAAUUUCCUAUUAAGUUAAAAUCUAUUUUGAAUGUGCAAGAUUAUGGUAGAACACUGAGUGAUGCUAGUAUGAUAUUGAAACUAACUUGAUUGUAUAAGUAUGGAAAAAAUUAUGCCUCAAAUCACUAAAUGUCAAUUUUCAUUAUUGAGCGAUUAUUUAUGUGAAUAGUCUGACUAAGUAAUAUUAAUAGUGAAUAUAUUAAAAGUAUUUUAUAAGAUAUAAAAUAAUAUGAUAAUAAAUUGUUAUAUCAUAUUAUAUUGACAGUGAAUAUAUAUGGAAGAUAUUUCAUAAUAUUUUAAAGAUAUAAAGAUAUAAGAGACUCUCAUAAUAUAUUAUUACAUCAUAAAUAUUGACAGUAAAUAUUUUGAAAUUAUUUCAUAAUAUCUUGUUGUAAAACAUACUAUCUAAGAAUAAACUACCCAUUAAAAAUUUAAUUAAUAAACCGUGUUAAAUUAAUAAAUUGAUAUAAUCUAUGUCAGACCUUAACCUAUCCUAAGUUAGAUUUUAGUUUAUUAUAAUCUAAUUAUAAAUUAUUAGUCAACGUUGGACACCUUACAUAAAUAAACAAUAAAUGCUUAAAUUAAAUUCUUAUUUAAUUAUCUUAAAUUAAACUUAAUUUAGUUUGAAAUUACUAAAAUUGAAUAUUUUAAGUAAGUUUUUAUUAUUUUUUUUAUCUAGUGUUGAAAUUUUUUUCUACUUUUUGAUUAAAUUUUAACUAUUUAAUUUUUUUAUAGUGUAUAAUGUGAUUUUUAUUUUAUUUAUUUAACUUUAUGUGUUACAAAAUAUAAAAUUUUGUAAUUAUAUUAUGCUAUUAUAACUAAUAUAAACUACAAGUGAUUUUUAUUGAUUUAAUUAAAAAUAUAUUUGAUAUAGAUUAAGACAUAGACUACAAAUUAAUAUAUAUAUAUAUAUAUAUAUAUAUAUAUAUAUAUAUAUAUAUAUAUAUAUAUAUAUAUAAAUGCAAUGAGGUAAAAUGUUUAUAUUUUUAGAUUUUACCUCUGUGUUAUUUAUAUUUUCGAUGCUAGAAAUAAUAUAAUUACAUUUAAAUUAAAAUUAUUAAUCAUUUUUAUCAUGUUAAAUUCUUGAAUUUAAAAUUGAAAUGCUAAAACUAACUUCUAUUAAUGAAGAUUAGAAUACUUGAUAGUAGAUUCAAAAAAUAAUGAAUUGAUCAAAUUAAAUAAAUUUAAAAUAAAAUUUUGACAAUAUUUAUUACCAGUCUCACUUUCUAGAACCGUAAGAAAACUGGAAUGAUAAAAGUUAUAAAAUUAGCUUAAUGGUAGGAACUAUUUAAAAAAAAAAAGUUGUUUAUUCAUUCGAAAACUAAAAUACAUAAUAAAGAAAAGUUAUAAUUAAUAUAACCAUUUUACCAAAAUUAGAAUAUAUAAUAAAUAAUGUGUUAAUUAACACAAUCAUUUUAGCUCAAAGAAAAUAUUUCUUUCUUUUAAUAAUUUUAUAUUCACAUUUUAAGUUUCUGUUACAAUAAUAAAUCUUAAAUUAUAAUGAGCAAUCUUACGAAAACAUUCUAUGUUAAACACUAUAAAUAUUUUAUUAUAAAACUCAAAUUAAUUACCAUGAUAAUUACUAGAUAUUUUAUUAUAAAAGUCAAAUUGUACACACAUGUUUAUUGGCAAAACAAAAACUACUAAAUUAUAUAAACUAGGUAGUAGAAGGAAGACAACAUAAUUGCUUAAGAUCUUGUAAGUUUAAGUUUGAAAGAAGAAGAACAACAACAAUGUAUGAUUUGUCUCAGCUUGAGAGACAAUUGGCUGAAUUCACUUCUUCCCUGUUUGAUGAGGUAAGUAUAUCAUUCGAUGAGCAAUUUGCAUUAAGAGAAGCAGAAAAUAAAGUUUCACAUCUCAUAAGCUAUGUUGUGUUACUGCUGCAUUUGUUUCCUUGAAAAGGGUUUCUUAGAUGAUCAGUUUAAUCAGCUUCAGCAACUUCAAGAUGAAAGCAACCCAGAGUUUGUGGUUGAAGUGGUGAAUCUUUUCUUUGAGGAUGCAGAAAGGCUUCUCAAUGAACUUGCAAAGACACUGUAAGGGCUCACCAAUUUCUUCCUUGUUAUUCAGAUCAUUGUAAAAAGUGCCUUAGGGAAUCUCUUUCUGAAUGAAUGUUGAUUCCUAUCCCAAACAGAGCACAGGAUAACAUUGAUUUCAAAAGGGUGGAUGCUCAUGUUCACCAAUUGAAAGGUAGCAGCUCCAGGUGAUAAUACUUCUUUACCUCUAUAGUUUCUCCAUUUCUUAAAACUCAACAGUAAAAAAGUGACAUUUUUUAUGCACUUAAGUACUUUUCGCAUUACUCUUCUCUCAUGAUUGAAAUUUCACUUUCGCAAUUUACAUGUAUUUGGUGGAAAUCUUACACGAAAUAAAGAUAAAGUAAAUCUAUUAUGUUUAAGUAACGACUAUUGGAUACAAACAAAGUCUCACAUUGAAUAAAAUAAGAGAUGAAUAUAGAUUUAUAUACAUAUAAGAUGAUAAGAGACAUUUUAGAGUGGUAAUAAAAUCAAGGUUUAAACCCUUUUUUGGUCCCUAAGUUAACUUCUGAUGUUCAGUUUAGUCCUCGCUUUUAAAAAUGUCAACCUUUAUUAUGAUAUGAAAAAUGUAUCAAAUCAGUCUUAUCCAUUAACAAAUCACAAGUUCAUUAAGUGAUUUGUUGUUCAUAACACCUUCCGUUAACAAAUCACAAAAUAUUGGAUACCUAGGUAUGAAAACUUGUGAUUUAUUGUUCAUUAAGUGCUGUCAUGAGGACUGAUUUGAUACAUUUUUCAUAUCAUAGGGACUAAAGGUUGACAUUUUUAAAAACGGGGACUAAACUGAACAUCAGAACUUAACUUAGGAAACAAAAAAAGGUUUAAACCUAAAAUCAAAUAAGGUGAAAGAAUAAAAUAAGAGAUGAAGAUGAGUUUAUAUAUACAUAAGAUACCUAUAAGUGGUACCAAAGCAAACAAUAUCUUACCAGUAUGGAGAUCUAUAUAUCUGUUGAACUUCCCUACAAGGACAUAUUUUAUUUUGCAAAUCAAUUUUGUAAGAUUGACUUAGAUUUAAAAUAUACUUAUUAAGAUGUUAUUAGAAUCUCUUAAAUUUAUCUUCACGAGUUUUGUUGCGCUUAAUUUAAAAUAUAGCAAAAUUGUAUUUACUUUUCAUCACUGUGUUAUCAUAAAAUAUACUUUCCUGAGGAUUAGACACAGAAGUUGCACACAAAAAAAAUGAGUGUUUUGAUAAGGUUAUUGGAUUGUUUGGAAACACAGCAUUGGUGCACAGAGAGUUCAGAAGGUCUGCAUUGCCUUCAGAGACUACUGUGAGGAACAAAAUGUUGAAGGGUAAGGUCUGAAUUAUUAACCAUCAAAGUGUUUCUAUAUACUAUGCAUAUAAGUCUUCUGUAAGAUUUGACAAUUUGAUUUAUUCAGAGUAGAUUAACUGAUACAUCUUGAGUUUAGCAGAUGACAGUUUUCUGUUUUAAUAUUUAGAGUAAUCUUUCUUGAAAUAAAAGAGGUCUAUUUAUCUUACCAAAUCUCUAUAAACAUCAUUGUAAAUUUAUUUACUAAUAAACCUUGGACAUGCUAAAUAGAAAAUACACGUUGGUUUUCAGGUGUCUCAAAAUCUUACAGGAAAUAAAACAGGAAUGUUCCUUGGUAAUAAGCAAGUUUGAAACUCUGUUUAAGGUAAGGGAAUGGAGGCAUGUAGUAAUUUUGCAUUGUGCCAUAUUUAUAUAAGUGCUUUUACAUACCAACUGAAUAGAACAAUUAAACCCUAAUAAAAGAUGUAAAAAAAAAAAAAAAAAACUGUUUAUGUCUCUGCUAAAGUUGUUUUAUUUUUACUUAUGUGAUUGUAGAUGGAGCAGCAGGUUUUUGCCUACAGGAGACUUGGUUAAUGGGUGGUGAUUGAUAAGGGAUACGGAAACAAUUUUUUUUGACAACGCAUACGUGACAGUUUGUGAUUGGUCUAUUUUAAAUAUUUUUUUAGAAUAAAUUCAAACAGAUCAAUAAAAUAGUGACACGUAUCCUGUUGUAAAAAAAAAUUGUUAAAAUAUAAUUUUCCUUUGCAAUAACCAUAAAAGUAGCAUGUUUCAUCAACAUUCUGUUGUAAUUUUAUCUUUUUCACUUUCUCCACUAUCUGUAAUAUUAAAUUAUCCUUUCUUUUUCUUUAUCUGCAACGUAAGAUGACACAAUAUGUUUCAUGUUGCAUUGCUUAACUCACUCUUUGUGGACAUCCAAAAAUUGUAUGGAACUUAUUUUAAGUAAAAAUAACGCAACACUUUAACAAAAUGCAUAUCUAAAUUUUAGUUAAUUAACGCUAAGUUUGGCCCCGAUAAGAAUUAGAAAAAUGAUAUUUGGAUAUAGAUAAUUUUUUAUAUUUAUUUAAUAUUAUUUUUCUAUAGAAAUAAAAGAAAAUAAUAUUUUUUAUGAUUAUUUUAUUCUUGUCACGAGUGUUGAAUGAAUAUAAAUAUUAUUAUUGUGUCAUUUUUCUAUGAAAGAAUUAAAUUGACUUCUUUUACCAUUACUUAUUCAUGUCCUAUGCUUUCUCUAAUAUAGUUGAAUUAAUUUACACCAUAACCAGAAUAGGGAACAUUCCUCCCCUCUUUCUUUGAUUCAAAAUGUCUAUAUUUGAAGUAGUCAUCUAAAUUUUUAAACUAAUUUAUUAAUAAAGGUUAAUCUAAUUUUAUAAAAAUAUUUGCAAGAAAAAAAUGGUUAAAUUUUUAAGUAUGAUUGGACAUAUUAUGAUGUCCAAAACUAUGAUGUCAAGGUAUCUGUCAUAAUAGAUCAUUUUUACUCGUCAUGAAAAGCAAUUUUUCUACUAGUGAGUGAUUUGUUUUUCUAUAUAAUAUCCCAAUAAUAUAGUAUUAAAUUAUAACAGAACUAUCACAUAAUUAAUAAAAUAGAAUAGUCGACAAAAUAACAAGUAAAGUCUCAGCAUAGUUGUACAAAACAUAACUAAAAAAUUUAAUUUUAUAUACAAACCAACUAGAACAAAACUAUAUAUAUAUAUAUAUAUAUAUAUAUAUAUAUAUAUAUAUAUAUAUAUAUAUAUAUAUAUAUAUAUAUAUAUAUAUGAUUAGUCUAAAGAAGACUAAACAUCUAACCUUCAUCCAUCCAAUGCUUGCUCCACAAUACCUUAACCACAAUGCACAUGAACAUACACAACAAUACAAAUAAGAUGGUAAGCUAGUCUAAACAAAUUUAUCCUAAAAUAAUUAAUAAAUCAACACAAAUUACAACUCCAAGCUAAAUAACCACACAAGUUAUACAUUUAAUCAAUAUAAACUUGAUUCAUCUGGAUAUAGUAAGAAUAUCGAACUAUGGUAGUUUAUGCACUUGUAGUGCUAAUACUAUUAGCACAACCCAAAUUAUCAUAUAAGGUUAGUCAUUUACAAAUGUCUUUGACCAAGGUAAAACUCCUAGACAAGAACCACCUGCUACUCUCAUCACAUGUCUCACUCUUCUUUACUUAAGAAUAGAUUAUUAUUAGAGUGUCAUGAUAAACUUCAAUACUUAGUUUCAUACAUUCAUAUACUCAAUACUUGAUAAAACAUUAAGAAAUUUCUCCUUGAAACUCUUUUCCACAAUCUUUCAUUCACAUAAGUAAACUCGUAUAAACACAGUAGGCAAUCACAUGAAAACUAUUAACAUCCGUCAGAGUAUAAAAAACAAUGUAAUAAAACAAAGACCUGAAAAAGACACUCAACGCCAGAAAGGGACGCAUAGGCGCUAGAGUCCAUUGAAAAGGGGUGCCUAGGGGACACUCAACGCUAGAGAUCUCGAUAAAAAGGACGCUUAAGGGGCGCUCAACGCCAACCCAAUUCAAUUACUCUAAGUUACCUAAAUUCAAACCUACACCUUUUAAUACCAAAUUUUAUAAACUAACAACAUGAAAAAGUCAUAAUAGACCCAAUAACACACCCUAAGACUUCAGUUUCCUCACAACCUCUCUGCUUUCAAUUUCAACUAGUUAAAAAAUAAAAUAAAGAAAAUAUAUCUAGCAGUACUAAAAUGGGUAAGGAAACUCAACCUAUCAAGCAAUUAGCACUUCCACAAUAGAUUCACUUAUUUCAAUAUCUAGACAAGUCCUAGUUGACCUAAUAAACAACCUUAAACUUCCGAUUUUCCUUUCUAACCCUUAUAUAAAAAAGGUUUAAACCUCUUUUUGGUCCUUAAGUUAUGAACGAAUGUUCAGUUUAGUCCCCACUUUUAAAAUGUAAACCUUUGGUUCCUAAGUUAUAAAAAAUGUAUCAAAUGAUUCAUUUUUUGAUGUUCAUGGUCAAAGUACAAAGAGCAAUCUAAAGUGCUGUUAUUAUUAAGAAACAAAUCAGAGCAAUUUAAAGAUGUAGCAGUUGUUAAGAAACAACCAAAAACAGUAUUUCAAGUCAAAAAAAGACUCAUUUGAUACAAUUUUUAUAACUUAGGGACCAAAAAGAGGUUUAAACCUAUAAAAAAAACUCACAUGUCAAAUCCCAUAACUUGAACUUAAAACUUUCUAAAACCACCACAUCGACUCAUACCUAUUUCCUUAUCAUAUUUUUAUCGACUCAAUAUACUAACAUGUAUCAAAUAACAUACAAUUAGACCUCCAACAUCAAAUUUCUCAAUCUAAACUUUGCCUCACCAACUUACCUAUAAAAACCUACCCCAAAAACCUCUGUCUUUCAUAACUCAACAUUCCUUAAACCUUGCUACCAAUUUCAGACAUCGGAACAACAGUAUACACACAAUUCAUGAAAACAAUAACAUCCAAAUUCCAUCACAUCAAAAUUCAAUCAUCAAAUAACCAACUACCCAUAUUUAAAUGACCUAAAACUAGCAUAAUUAUUGAAAUUGUAACUCAAUCGUUUUAACAUAAAUACAAGCACCAAACUUACACCAUAAGCAUAAUUUUAAGUUAGACUUCUAGCUUCUCUUACCUUACACUGAAGCUAUAGAGCUCUAAAAACUAAUACCCUUACUUUUGACUAAGGAAAUCCUAGAAACGCUUACAAACAGUAAAAUUGAAAACAAAGGAAGUCCUUAAAACCAUGGAGCAAUAAGGAAUAAGAAAAAAAACUGAAUGACACAUACCUCGCUCCUAAACCAAAGAUUUUAGAAGAGAUAAAGAAGGAAAAAAGGAGUAGAAACUUAUUUAUUCUAUAGAAAAAAUUGAUCGGAUAAAAACGUAGACCUUGCGGUUAUUGUCGUUUAAAAACCUUCAUCAAACAGAUAAUCGAAAAGUUAGAAAUAGAAAAAAGUGAGAGAACCUAUAAACAAAAUUUCAGAGAUAAAACGAGUACUUUAGAUAAUAAUAUAAAUUUAAGAAAUUUUAUUUAUAUUAUUAAAUUAUUUUUAAAAAAAUAUUUAAUUUCAUUAUUUUAAAAUAUCUAUCUAGUACUCUAUUUUAUAUAUUCUUAAAAUAUUUAUGAUUAACAUUAUUAAAACCAUAUGAUUGAAAUAUUAUGCCGUUAGAAUUGUGAGUAAUAAUUGUUAGGACACUCUCAAGAAACAAUGUAUAAAAAAAAACAAUACAAUUCAUGAAGUAACUUCUAGGUGAAAAUGUUCUCUUUUAAAACCCGUAAAAACACAAUCAAGGAUAGGUGAACAUAAAUAUAAGGAAAUUAGGGAGUUUGGAUUAUAUAUUAUUUUACUAAUAAUUUAUCUCUUUUAGUGUAGAAGUGUUAUUUUUUACUUAAUUAAUAAUUUGUUCUUUUAUUUAGUCAUUUAAUUUGUUUCCCUCUUUUUUUUAAUUGAGUUUUUUUUUUUAAACAAAAUUUAUUGUUUAAUAGUAUUAAAUAUUAAAAUCUAAAUUUGUCAAAAUAUGAGUUAUUUCUAAUUUUAUAAUUCUUUAAUCAGGAAAAUAAUUUAACAUAUUAAAAUAUUUAUAUCUGAUAUUUUUAAAAUAAUAUUAACGUUAAUUCAAAAAAAUAAAAUCAAAUAUUUUUAUAAAAUCAGAAACUUAAUUAAGUGUUUUUAUAAAAAUCAGAACUUAAUUCAGUCAAAAAAAGAAACUUAAUUAGUGUUUUGUUUUUUCAAAGUACUAAUUUCUAUUUUGGUAGUAUUUUUUAUUCAUGUAUAUCUUAUCAAAUUUAUUAAUUUUGUUUCGAGAACAGAUAUUUUGACACGCAUGUUAACAAGAUAUUAAUUUGACAUCAAUUUUAAUAAUAUAAUAAUAUUUAUUAUGAUUUUAAAUUAAAAAAUAAUAUAAUUAUAAUUAUAAUAUUAUUAUUUGAAUGUGUCGUAUGAAUCUAUUUUAUCUUUUUUCUAAAUCAUAAAAUCAGCACCCUUUUGUUUUAGGUAAAUCAAUAAAAAUAAAUAAAGUUUAAAUUUUAUCAAAGGUAAAUUAGAGUUAGUUGUUCCAUCUAAUCAUUCAAUGUUGAUAAGACAUUUUUUUUAUUUAACCAAUUUUAAUAACUCUAGAUUAAAUAUAUAAAUUAUUUAAUUAAUUAGAAAGAGGAAAUUGUUUUUAAACCAGUCACUGGUAUUAUUCUCAUUUUUUCCAUCUCACUUACAGAUGAUUGUCUUCUUUUUUAUAUUUUUUUAAUCACGUUAUGGAUUAUAUAUUUUUUAUUUAAAAAUGGAGUACAUGCUAAUCAAUUUCUUUUUCUACACUUGAUCAUGAUAAAAAACUAUUAUUUAUAUAAAAAUUAAAAUAAAAAAUUUAGAAGAACGUCAAAAUAAUUCUAAUAAUUUAAGUUGGAACUUGAAACACUAUUAGGUAAGCCUCUUUAGAGACAAUAUUUCAUGGUAGUAUUUUUAAAAUUUAAUAAUUUUGAUUAACAGCAUUUUAAUGUAUGUUCAAGUGACAUUUAGAACAAAUUGGUUAUAUAUAAAUAUUUUUUAUUUAUUUUGAUAAUUUGCUGUAUUAACUUUAAGACUCUCUGAUGUUAAUAUGUUCUAGAACUUUUUUUAUAACUUGUGCACAAAAAUACGUCACAAAUUAUAAUAUAUUUUUGAAAUUAAAAGUAUGCAAUAGCACAACAUUUUAGGGGUCAAACUUUCCUCCUCUUCUUAAGGAUUUUUAAAUUUUCUUAGAAAUCAAUCAUUUUUUAAUCAUGAAACAAUAAAAAAAAACAAUUUAUUUUAUCUAUCAUUUAUUAUCAUUAAUUUUAAUUUUUAUAAUUAUAAAAAAUUUAAAUGACAAAUAUAAAAAAGUUAAACAUGAUCAAAACAAAGGAAAAAGAAAUAAAGCUUAAAUAGGGUAUAUAUAUAUAUAAUUUGUUUACAAUUUCAUUAUUAUAUAAGUAGUUGCUAUCAUACAAUUUUAUCCUUUCUUAUCAUAAUAUUACAGUUUAUUUUAAUAAUAAUUAUCUGUAAAUUUACAAAUCAUUGAUAACAACCUAAUAUCACUUGAAAAUCAUGAUUAUUACCUUAAAUUGAGUUUUUUAAGUAAGUGAACUUAAAUUGUUUAUAAAAGAAUUAAGAGUAAUUUUUGUAUAUUUACUUUUUACCAUAAAUAAUUAAUACAUUUAUGUUUUUACACUUUUACACACCACUUAGCUUAUUAUGUAUGCUGUAAAAUUUGUACAUACCAUUGAUAAAAUAAGCAAUUAACCUAUUAUAUACCUUUGUUUGGUUGCUAGCUAUUAGAUAUCAGCCGAAAUUUACACUAAUUGAAUAAUCUAUUUUCUUCUUAAUAUUUUUUAUUAAAUUUUAUUAUUAUAACAUUUUCAACCAAAAUUAAAAACAAUAGUAUAAAAAACAUAUUCUUAUAUUAAUUAAUUAUUUGUGUUAAAAUACAUGCAACAAGAAACACUUGAACAUUUUGGUAGCGCGGCAGGGUAGAAAAUUCUUGAAAUGGAAAAAGCAGUUUCCCGCGAAUCUCAGUGGGGAUGCCACCUUGGCAAUCCGUGUCGUACCCUUUCAACCAAUCAGCGUGGAUUAUCGGACUCUAUAUAAUAACAUUCUACUCACAUCUCCUCUCAUCUGCACCUUCUGCCUCACUUCUAAUUCACUCUCCCAAUUGCAAAUUCUAGGGUUAGGGUUUUCAUUUCUAAGCAUAUUAGAAAAUGAGUUCUACUGGUUCAACCAAGGGUGGGAGGGGCAAGCCCAAGGCUUCCAAAUCUGUUUCUAGAUCACAGAAAGCUGGCCUUCAAUUUCCGGUUGGAAGAAUUGCUCGAUUUCUCAAAGCUGGCAAAUAUGCAGAGCGUGUUGGUGCCGGUGCUCCAGUCUACCUUUCUGCUGUGCUUGAAUAUCUUGCAGCCGAGGUUGGUUCCGAUUCUUGAUUAGGUUUAAAUUUUAAUCGGUUUUUGUUUUUCUUAUUGAUUGUGUUUGUUAGGGUUCUGAUUGACCUAAAAUCUUGAUUUUCUCUGUAACUUGUUUGUUGACAAUUAUUUGUUUAUUUAUUUAGGUUUUGGAAUUGGCUGGUAAUGCUGCCAGAGACAACAAGAAGAAUCGUAUUGUUCCUAGGCAUAUUCAGCUUGCAGUGAGGAAUGACGAGGAACUGAGUAAGCUUUUGGGGUCUGUCACCAUCGCCAAUGGAGGUGUGUUGCCCAAUAUUCAUCAAACUCUUCUUCCCAAGAAGGUUGGCAAGGGGAAGGGCGAAAUUGGGUCCGCUUCUCAAGAGUUUUAGGGUUUUAAUGGUUUUUUUUAGAAAAAUAGGUUAAUUUCGUUUUGGUUGUAAUAUACUUGGUUUCGAUUAUCUCUAUAUAUUUCCCGAGAGGUUAAGUAUUUCUCAGUCCGAUGAUCUAAAUGAUGUAUGUCUUUUUUUGGAUGUAUAUGAGAAAUGAAAAUUGGUGUUUUUGAUCGUUUUAAUGAGUUAUUGUUGACACUUCUAAUAUCGCCUUAUAAAUCCAUCUGUAUCAAACGUAAUGGCAUCAUGCAAUAGAUUGCCCGUAUUGUUUUUGAAUUUGGGAAUGUGGAAUGAUGAUUAUGGGGUCUCCCCAAAAUAACCGGGUUGCUUUGAUUCUUAAGUAUAGUGAACUUUUUUAACACUUUUGAUUUUAUAGUUUUUUUUUUUUAUUUUUCAGUAAGGGUUUAUAUGGUCAUCUUUUAAUUGAUCCUCUCUUCCUUGUGCGUUUUGUGAGGACUAUUGGCCCUGUGUCUUUGUGGGAAGUGUUCAUGCCUGAAUGUCCUUAGUGAUCAAUCGCUGUAUUCAUCCGGGGCAUUCGAUUGUUUGGCUGAGAUUUGGUUUUACUGGUUUUCAUGUUUUUGAGUGUCCUUUUGUUAAUUGUCGCAGAGUAAUAUUUUCAUCAUUUACUGUUGUCUUUUGAAAAUAAGCUUACGUCAAAUUGCCCAAUGAUUUCAUCAUGUUAAAGAGCAUUUGUGUCAGCGAGUUGCAACACUCAAUUUCAGCUAGAUUUUAGAUUCUUCUGAUAGGUGCUACAACGGAGGUUAUGUAUGAAUACUAGUGGGGAAAGUGCUUAGCGAAAUUUCGUUGCAUAUUUCCAUUUUUUUAGACACGAUGAAAAGGUUUUUGCUUGAUUUUAGAAGUAUUUUACAAGAGAGUAUUUUGGCGGUCUUUCAAUUGAUACUCAAUGGACGGGGAAUGAAAUAUAAAAUUGAUUAUUGAACAAUAGUAUCAAAUUAAUGAAAUUUGUAGUGUAUUUCGCAACCAAAAGGAAAGAGGGUCUAAAUCGAUCUUUGUUAAAAGGCGUCAACGUCAUCUGUUGGAAACGGCGUCGUCAUGUCAGAUUUACAAAAUGAAGACAUUUUUCCUUGAAUAUUUUAUCAUUAAUUUGUUUCUAUCUGGUUUAUUCGUUUGCAUUGAUGUUUAAGAAAAUCUUGGAAUUUAUCCCAAUUGUAUAAUAAACAAUAACCCUUGGUUAAAUGAUGGAAAAUUGUUUCUUGACUUUAAAAUUGGUUAUCAUGUAUUUAUGUGGUGAAGAGGGCAUGCAAUGAAAAAUUGAAACACUGGCCCUCAAAAGUUGAGUCCGUCGAAAACCAUCAAACACGCAGAGAGAGGUAAUUUCAUUUCACCCAUCCUAAUAAUUUCGAUGAAAUGGUAGGUUUUGGUUUGAUGCAGCGUGUGGGUGUGGUCUUGACACCGUGCCAUGGACAACACAAACCGAGAACUUGUGAAUUUAGGGUAAGAAUCCGAUGUUCCUCCAACAUUUAUGUGUCUAGGAAGACAGUGCUGGAGAAAGUGGACGAGGAGCUAGCAAAGGGAGAUGACAGAGCAGCGCUUGCACUUGUGAAGGAUUUGCAGGGUAAGCCUGGUGGGCUUCGAUGUUUCGGUGCAGGCAGACAGGUUAGCCUUGUGUCCUCUUGCGUCUUCUCAAUUUUCUAUGCUUUUUGGAUAAUCCUUCUCUAUGCUUAUUCUGUAGGUGCCUCAAAGGCUUUACACCUUGGAUGAAUUGAAGCUAAAUGGAAUUGAAACUUUGUCUCUUCUGUCGCCUGUGGACACGACUCUUGGUUCAAUAGAAAGAAAUCUUCAGAUUGCUGCUAUUCUAGGAGGUCUUGCUGCAUGGAAUGCCUUUGGAAUUUCCCCACAACAAAUCUUCUAUAUAUCACUGGGGUUGCUCUUUCUAUGGACACUAGACGCGGUACUUACUCAAACCUGGAGAUCAUUUCAUUUCACCAGAUUUAUGAAGUGAAGUUUUUCUAGAAGAGUAAUUUGUUCUAUGCUUGUUUGUAUCUUCUGCUGGUCCAACCAAUUGCUUACUCUUGCAUUUGCCUGUUUGGGGAGCUUAUUCUCUUUUCUCAUGCUUUGUCUGUUUAAACUUCUUAGAUAUGCUGUGUCCAUGUUUCGAUUUGUUUCCAAUACGCAUAUGAAUAAAAAGUGUUAUUUCCGUUAACCUAAUUGUCACAUUGCCAAUAGCAGAACUUUUAUUACUAUUUUCUGUAAGUAUCAAGGAUUGAAGUUUCAUUGCAUUGUUGAAUUCCGGAUCAAGUUUGUCUAUCAAUCUUCAUUAUAUUUGUGUUUUUUCAUUGACAUGCUAAUUGAAUUGCAUCGCAUGCUCAUCCAACCAAUUUCUUCUGCAGGUCUCUUUUGGUGGAGGUAUUGGUAGCUUGGUUGUUGAUACAAUUGGUCACACUUUCAGUCAGAAAUACCACAAUAGGGUUAUUCAAGUCAGAUUCAUGCCAUUCUAUUAUCGCACACUUACAAGUAAUUUUAUUUCAAUUAACUUACAUAAUCUUAGUGACCAUUAAGUAACCAUGUCGAAAUUUAAUUGUGCAGCAUGAAGCUGGCCACUUUCUAAUUGCUUAUCUGAUAGGAAUACUUCCUAAGGGAUAUUCUAUUUCUAGUUUGGAUGCUCUGCAGAAGGAGGGAUCUUUGAAUAUUCAAGCAGGCACAGCCUUUGUGGAUUUUGAAUUUCAAGAAGAAGUAGGCUGCUUUUUUUCCCCUUAUAUUUUAACGCAGUCCAAUUGCUUUUGAGGAAUUCUUUGGCUCAAAGGACGAGAGGGAAGGAAUUUUGAUUAGACAUUUUGUUUAGUUAAGAGGAAGGGAAGAUUAAUGUGCUUUUAUAUCCUAAUGAUUUUGGAUUUCAUAACGUGUAAGCAAAGAUGUUUAUCAUUAUAGUCAAUACACUUGAAAUGUUUAUAUUCCUUUCCCUCCCGUCCAAUAAAAAAUUUAACGAGAGAAUUUUGUUCCCAUCCUAAUUCCCUCUAAAAACUAAAUCAGAUAACAAAGAUUUAUAGCAAGAAUUACAACUGAGAAUGUGGCGUUGCAUGACUUUGUCCUAGUAAUUUGACUUUGAACUGUCACAACUUACCUGUAAGUCUGUCUUUGAGUGAGUGUUUCAGUUGCGUUUUUAACUCAUCAAACUGCUUGAUUAUCCAGAGAAUCACAUUUAUAUUUAGUUGACAACUAUAUUUAUUGAUUGGUGGCGCUUUUCACUUCAUACAGGUUAAUACAGGAAAAGUAUCAGCUACAGUAUGUUGCUAUCUCACCGACUUCUAAUUUUCACUGCUUACAAGGUUGCUUAAAUAGAUAUUCUGCACGUUACAAAAUUUUAGUAAUGUGACACAGCCUUGGUUUUAUGUUAAGACAUUGAACAGAUUUUCAUGUAUAGCAUUGGCUGGGGUGUCUGCGGAGUAUCUUCUAUAUGGAUUUUCUGAAGGAGGUCUGGAUGACAUAAGAAAGGUUUAUGCAAUUUUUUACUUACUUUCUUAGUCAUGACAAUUAGAAUGCUUACACAUAGCAUUGUCAUUACUAAUGAUAACUUUGUUAAAUGUAAAUAGUUGGAUUUACUGCUCAAGGGAUUAGGCUUCACACAGAAGAAGGCAGAUUCUCAAGUUAGAUGGUCUUUGCUAAACACGGUCUUGCUCUUGAGGAGGCAUGAAGCAGCUCGAGCUAAGGUUGCUGAGGCUUUGUCAAUGGGAAAAUCUGUAGGAACCUGCAUUGACAUUAUAGAGAGCUCUAUCGAUGAUUCAGAUCUUUAACGAAGCUUUUGAUUAUUCCCUUCUAUAUGUUGAUUAAUAUUUCUUUAAAUUUUCAUUUGGUAUCUCUGUCUUGCUCCGUUACUAGAGAAAAAUGUUAGAAGAUUGGCAAGUUGAUGACUAUAGAUGAGUGCACGACUAUGUAGCUUGAUAGACGUGUUUAUCAAAUGUAUUCGGGGUACUUUUGCCCACCUCCUAAGUUAGAGAUAUGUGUAUACUGUUGCGUAGACCAAGUUGGAUCCCAACCAAGCCACCCCAUCCUUUCAUCUCUCACAGAUUUUGCAAUGUAAUGCUCUGAUUGCAUUAUCUAUUGGCUUAAAUCCUUAAUUGGUCUCCAUGUUAGGAGGGAAUUUUCAGUUUAGUACCCGUUUUUAAAUGUGUAUACAUUGCGUCUCCAUGUUUUGUAAUUUGUGUCAAUUUAGUGAAUUAAUGACAUUUCAAACAAGUUUGUAACAGUAAUUGGAAGGUGUCCAAACGUUCAAACAGUUAAUAAACAUGCUGCAACUCAAAAUGACUUGUUCACUUGCAAUUUUCAAGCCAAAUUGAUGGUUCAAAGGGACUAAAUUGACACAAAUUGCAAAACAUGGGACCUAAUGUAUACACUUUUAAAAGUGGGUACUAAAUUGAAAAUUUCCUAUUAACAUGGGGAUCAAUUAAGGAUUUAAGCCUUAUCUGAGCCUUAGAUCGUUCCAUUUUCGAGACAAUUCUUAAGAAGGACACUGUUAAGGCCAUAUGGAAUUCUACGAAGUAGAAGUACUAAGGUUUCAUACCUGUCAAGUGCAUUCAAUUGCAAGUAUAGGAAGGAAUUUGAAACACUCCAUAUAAGAGUUGGAGAGACUGUGAAUGAUUAUUUUGCUCACACACUUACAAUUGCGAACACGAUGAAGGUUAAUGGUGAAAAAUAAAAGUGAUUUAGAAGUGGUGAAAAAGACAUCGUGUUUUAUGACUUAGCAAUUCAACUAUGUGGUUUAUUCAAUUGAAGAGGCACAAGACAUUAAUACUCUAUCUAUAGAUGAAUUAUAUAGCGGUUUGCUAGUGCAUGAGCAAAAGAUUAUUAUCUCAUACAAAGAACAAGCCUUGAAGUUGACUUAAGGGGACUUUUCCAAUCGCAGACGAGGUCACAAACGUGUCGAAAACAAGGAAGGACAAACUUCGACAAAUCUAUUGUUGAUUGCUUCAACUGUCACAAACUGAAACAUUACCAAUGAGAAUGUCAAAGCAAAGAAAAUAAUCAUAGUAAGAUUUCUAAAGAAAUAUUACCAUUGAUUUAGGUGGUAUGUACUUUUUAUUUGAGUAUGUUGUACUAACAAAAGUAUAUGAACUAAUGAAGAUGUCUAGAUAAAAUUCACGUCGGAUAGUUAACACUUAAAAAUAAUAAAUUCUUGUAAAAUAGAUUGUAAGUAUUUUAAUAUUUGUUUAUAAAGAGGUUAGAUAUAAGCAUCAUUAAAAUCUAUAUUACUUGUAAAAAAUUAAAAUUAAAUUUUAAUUUAUAUUUUAUUAACUUAUAUUUAAUUAAAAUUAAUAGUUAAAUUUAAUUCUUUUUAUAUAAUUUUUAUUCUUUUUAAUUUAUAAUUCCUUUUAAAUAUUCACAUGUUCAUGAGUAUCUACAAAUUUAAAAUAAUUCACAUAUUUUAUAAACGAAAAAUUUAACUAUAUAUAUUUUUUUUUGAAAUUUUAUUUUAAAAUUUUACAAUAUAUAUAUAUAUAUAUAUAUAUAUAUAUAUAUAUAUAUAUAUAUAUAUAUAUAUAUAUAUAUAUAUAUCUACAAGUAUCUCUAAGCAUCUAUUUUUUUCAUUAUAAUAAAUAUUAUCUGUACCUUAUUCUUAGUUUCAAUGUUUAUUUUUUUCAUCUCUUCUAACUACACUCAUCGUAAUAUUCUCAACAAAAUUAGAAGUGUCUCGCAUUUGACAUGCCAUAAUCAAGUUGACCGGACCUAUUCGACGCUGAAUGUUGACCAAUGUAACAAGCAUCCCAAUUCACAAAAAUUAAAAAAAAAAAAAACAGAAAUUCUUUUUCAUAGAAAUCACGACAACCAAAAAUCCUAAUCAGCAAAACUUAGAUCAUAAUCCCAAUAAACAAAAACGGAAUUAAGCAAAUUUAUCUAAAAUUUAGAAACGUGAAGACACAUUUAAAUAAUAAUAUUAUUGUAAUAUAUUUUAUAAUUUAUAAUUAAUAAAAAAAUUCAUCCCUUGGAUCUGGAGAGGGUUGUAAAAAUGAUGAAAUGAGCGUAAGCACAGAAAAAAGGAGUAAUGGGCGUAGAGUGGUUGUUGGUCUGCCAUGGUUUGGUCACUGCGGUGGUCGUUGUUUCUUUCCUCUGCGGUCGAUGGCCAAUUUUCGAAGGCACUUUCAUCCAACGCAUACACCAUUUUCUCACUUUCGGUGCUUACGACUAUUUCCUGUAACUCUCUCUUUCUCUCAAAUUUCCUUUUUCGCUUCCUUCAAUUUCAAUGGCUUCAUCUAUCACUCUCUCUAUUGCAGACGUUUCGUUGGCGCAGUUUUCGGCCAUAAGUGUAUGGAUGCAGUUCUUUCUGUCGAAUAUUACUGCUGCGAUCGUCCCAAUCCUCUUCUACAGGUACUACUGUUCUUUUCUAUUUCAAUUCAUUUCUUCAACUUCUCUUACAGUGAAAUUGUUGGUCCUUAUUACUUUGUGACCUACCACUAGCAUAACAGUGGAAUCCGUAAGCAAUUCCUCUAGUUUUUCAUUGGAUAAAUUGCUUCGUCUAAUUCAUCACGGAAAUCGUUUUUUAUAUUAUCUAGGUUACGAUUUGCUCACUUCUGACGUGUGAAUACUUCUUACUUGCGUCAUUUGUAUGCCAUAAUUACGAAAGGGAUGCAAAUGCCUCCAGUUCGUAUAUCCUUUUAGGAUCAUGGCGAUAUCCUUAACUUGCACAGUCUUGAAUGUCCGUAUAUUUUAAAAGUUCUAGUUCCUGUACGAUAAAACUGUAAGUUCCGGUUCCCAUGUGGAUACAAGAUAAUUCGGACUAAAUUUAUAACAUCAUUAUAUUUAUGACAUCAUUGAAAACUUUGUGAGGACCAGAACUUCGUAUUUUCUCGUAUAGGAAUUAAAACAUAAAAUGGGGACAAUUAUAGGAAAUAAAAGAAUAAUUUAACUCAUUGCAUAUUAUCCUAGGGGUGAGAUCGUGGUUUUUCUUUUCUUUUCAGAAAUUCUUGACUGCAAUUUUUUAUGUUCUCCAUUGCUUUGAAUAUUGUUUGUGCAGAUCGUAUACAUUGUGAUAAUCAGUGUUACCUAUUAUUUCGUUGCCAAGUCUUGCUUUGCCUAUAUCCCCGGUUACUAUUUAAGUGGAAUUCACAGGUAGUGUAGUGCUUGGCCAAUGUUGUACUCUAUUUUACUUAAUGGUUCCUUCAGCGUUAUUCUAUCCUGAAUUUUGUUAGAUCUUAUAUUUUUGUUUAGGUACACAAGCUUAUUGGCAGUUGCUGUUGGAAUUCUGCUCUUUCUUUUGACCAGCUUUUCUGAUCCUGGGACCGUAAACGCCGAGAAUGUUUCUAAUUAUAUUUCUGCUUAUCCGUAUGAUAAUAUUAUUUACUCAGAGAAAGAAUGUUCCACUUGCAAAAUUCCAAAGUGAGUGUGACACUGUUGUUGAAUUUUGUUGAAAUGUUGGCUAUGUCAUCUAUAAAACUGUCUUAAUUUUUUUCUGCAGACCUGCUAGGUCUAAACACUGCAGCAUUUGUGACCGGUGUGUUGCUCGAUUUGAUCAUCACUGUGGAUGGAUGGUUAGUAAUCUUUGAAACUCUCCUCUUGAUAAGGUUGCUCGUGUGGUUCUCAUUCUCAUUUAAUAUAUAUCAUAUACUUUUUUGAAGAUGUACUGAAGUUGUUUAACUCGCAGAACAAUUGCAUUGGGGAGAAAAACACACGGUAUUUCAUGGCAUUUCUAUUAUGGUGAGUUCAACAUGUAUUCUUACAUAAGUAUCAUUUUUGUUUAGUCUAAUCUAACUCCAUUACCAAAGGAACCCCAGAAUGUACAAUGCAUUGAGAGACUAAGCAAUUUUUUUUUUGAAGUUUCCUCUCCUUAAAUAAAAUUAGAGGUUCACAAAAAAUAUUCCAAGAGGUAUCUGUUGGUCAUUUGGCUGGUAUGGCAAAUAGGCAAAGUGGAUAGUGAUAAGUUAAAGUCGCUUGUCAUGGACUUUUGUGAUAUAAUUAUUCUUAUAUUGUUUCUGUUCAAGUAAUUGAUGAUUUUCUCCACAUUACUCACAAGUUUUAGUUAGCUUGCUGUAAGAGAGUACAAUUGAUUGAAGAACUAACUACAAAUGAAGAAAGUUUAACAAUAUUCACAGCAUUGUUGGGAUCAAACUUCACUAAUCUCCUUCUCACAACCAACCGUGAUUGUAUAAGUUUUCUUCUCUCACUAUCCAAUGUUGUAAUAAUUGAUAAAAAUCACCAAUCAUUAAUUCCUUAAAAUUUGGAUCGUAUGUUUCUUUAUCAAUCAUCAAUUUUUCAACCAUCAACUGAAUAAAUCUCUGUUGCAAUAUAGAGACAAUCAAUGAGUUAAAUCCUAUUUCUAGAAGCAUGAUUCAUUUAGUGAUUUAUUUUCAAUCGAGAUCAAUACAUUAAUUUCCAAUCAAUCCUAAGACUACUACUGCAAUAGAUGAUAUAUAUUAAAAUAAGACUGUGAUUGAUUAUAUUUGAUCCCAACCAAAAAAUGGCUAAUGCCAGUAUAUUUUUGCACUUUGGAUAGAAAUUUCUACAUGCUUAAACAUCCUUCCUGUUCCUUCUUUUUUGGCUUUUUCCUUGGCCUUUGGAACCCUUGAGUUACCAGUUCCUUUGUAUUUUUUCUUACUGUUGUACUAUAGGGCAGAUGGCUACCACCAAAUAUGAGUGGUGUUCGUAUUUUCCAUUUCCACAAUACUAAGUUCUAUCCAUUUCCUUAGCGUACAGAGUGAUUGGGCAGCCCUACUGCAUUCCAGUUUCUUUUUUUAUCUUUUAUCAUCUCUUCCCUCUCACUUUUCUUUGUCUUGUUUUAGAAGAUAACUUAACUUCAUCCUUAUCGUAUCUUUACAACAGGUAGCCAAAUCGUGUCAAAUUAUAGGAUUCUAAUUGUGAAUUUACAAUUCUAAUAACUAUGUUGUGUAUCUGUUUUCUGUUUGAUAAAUUUUAUUUGUACUUUGAAAAGAAAACUUCAGUUCCGACAUGGUACUUAACUAUUUCUUUACCAAUUCACUGUUCCAUUAUCACUUUAGUCUUAAACUUUUCAAAACAUCGUGAGGAUGUGUUUUUUAAUGUGCUAUUUUGCAAUCUUUUUCCUCCCCUUCAAUGAGAUGCAGUAUAGAUAACUAGAAAAUCUUAGUAAUAAUCAUUAGUCACUGAUUUCAACUUUACCUUAGAUUGGCAAUAGGUUAUACAUUCUUCAUCUCUACUUCUAUUUGUAGUUGUGAUUCUUUUACAUCUUGUAGGCAUUUCCUUAUAUGCUUGUAUGGAACAGUUGCCAUUGGCUUGGUUCUUGCUGGAAGACUAAGAGAAUUAAGAGUUGUUGAUAUUCUAACUGGUAAUAUAUAUUUGCAACUAAUACCAUCCUCGGAUUAAUUUUUUGUUUUUUACUAACUUUGAUACUUCUCUAUCCUUGUCAUAACCAAGCAGUUUAUUAUGGAAUAGAAAAUUCUUUUCUGGAUUUAGCUCCUAAUAUUGUGCAGGUGAGGGAUUUGGUGUCUGUACAUGCUGAUUAUGUUUUCUAUUUUGAUUCCCUGUUUUCCUUUUAAGUGGUUAGUGAUAUUUUGUUAUCAUACAGUGGUUGUUGGGUUCUUACAACACUCAGAUACUUCUUAUGGUGUUCCUUGCAAUCAUUGGGAUGCUGUUAGCUGGUUUCUUUGGUUACCAUGCAAAGCUUUGCAUUACCAAUACCACCACUAAUGAGGUACCUUAUACCUAACCUUCAAAUGUAUUUAGUAAUUUUUAGUAAAUUAGAAGGAACCAGGUCGUGUCAAGGAAUUCUUUAUCUUUUUUUUUCUUAUUUGAUAAUAAAAAUUCUCAUAAAGGGAGAGAUCAGAAUGCUAUGCAUUUAAAUAAUUGAAUUAGAGAUGUAGAGUAUGGAUACCUUGUGUACGUUCCCAUUAAGUUAGAAGAAAAUGCUGUACAUAAUAUCUAACUUGAAGUUUACAUGAUCGCUGGAUAGUAAAAAAAUUGAUGUGGUAUGAUGUUCUAGAACAAGUUUUGCAUCUGGACAAAAUGACAGCGUUGUUAGAGGUUUUCAGUUUUCAUAAAAUUCUUUUGAAACAAAUCGAUAUUAGGUAGCACUAGAACGAACCGCCUUUUGUUAGUGUCCUGUUGGGUCUAUUUGAUCUUUGUAAUGCCUGCUUGUUUAUCUUCCUGAGACUGAUAAUUUAUAAUCUACUACCUUUUUGAUGAAAGGAAUGCUGGUGAAUAUAUUACAUUUGAUAAAUUUAUUUUUUGUUCUGUGAGUGUUUGUUUCCAAUGAGUCCUUCUGGUUAAUGUGCUCUGAUAUUUAAGUCAGUUAAGUUGGUGAGUGAGCUAUGCGUGAGUUCAAUCCCCUGCAAUGUGUUCUGUCACUUUCCCAUUCCCUUACCCCUCUUCCCCUCCCCCUUGUAAGACGUAUUAUAAGUCUCCCUUGGACUUAAAAAAGGCAGUAGCAAAAUCCUUGCACUGACAACCCUACAUGAAUUGGACGGUUGCUUCAUCAACUGAAAUUAAAAAAAAAAAAAAGAUCUAGGUCUGGCAGCUUAAAUUUCAACUUACAGUUAUUACUGGUUUGAGAAUGCAGAAUUGUUCACAAGUACAAUUGCUCUAUAUUGUUUAUCACUGUUCAAAUUGUGUCCUAUUUAGCCAGAAAACUGCAUGCUUAUGAGAGAUGCUAAUGGCCCCCUAAUGCUCAAUGAAACUAAAGGUUUCUAUAUGGAUCACAGACUUUUAAGUGGCAAGACUACAUUGAGUGGCAAAGAAAGCUAAGAGAAGCAAAGGUGAGCGCUGAAGCCCUAAAGCAAAGUAUCGAUGGAAUUCGCAGUGAAAAACAGCCCUCAUCGAGCAAAUGGAGAGCCUUCUUUAAAAAAUCACCUCUAGAAGAUGUGGUAAUUGUUAAGAAUAACGUUUACGAUAAAGGUUUCUUCCACAAUAUUCUGGAGGUUAUUUCCCCUUUCUCUGCAAGGUGGUCCUUUACACAAAACAAAUUGAAGUCCAGAUGAGUAUGAUUCUAACUAACGUGUCUUUGAAGAGCUUUUGUGGGCUAGUUGCACAUAUAUUGAGUGGAUAGUAUGUCUAUGCAUUUAUUUAGAUUACCCAAUAAAUAUUUUGAAAACCAGUAAUAUGUUAUAUUAAAUGCUAUUGUCUAUUAGGGUUCUAGACUAGGUGUAGACUGAAUUGAUUGGCUGUACUUGAUAACCCUCCUUGUCUGCUUUUUUGGUUGUGUUGUACUAUUUGUUUCUAGUAAGAAAGAUAUCUGUGUACUCACUGCACUUAUUUUUUAUUUUUUGUGACACUGCUCUUUGUUAAUUUAUAUUGGCUGUAAAACUCAUCAAUGCAGUGUGUAGUCCACAGUUUGGCUAUAUUGCUGCCAAAAACUGGACGACGGUUGAAAACCUGUUUUAAAUUCAAUAAUUGACUUAAAAUGUUUUUUAGUAUAUUUGAUCUUACUUGAUCAUAAACAAUUUCUAAUAUUAACGUUUAAAACAUAUUCAAUAAAGUGGGCAUAUUAAAUUUCUCUCUCUCUCUCUCUCUCUCUCUCUCUCUAUAUAUAUAUAUAUAUAUAUAUAUAUAUAUAUAUUCUUACAAUUUAUAUUAUUGUUUGCACUAUCAGUUGUAGGCAUCAAUAGAAAUUGGUAUUAUGUAAACCUGAAAAGACAAGGAGUGGAUAACCCAGGAGGAGGAUAUAUUUCACUAUUAAUACUAAGAUACACUGUUCUUCUCCCUCCUAAAAAUUCUAUUGCAUGGUGGAAGUUGAUGCCUGAGGCUUCGCAUAAAAGACAAAAGUUGUUCAGGUAGAUAUAAAGUCAAAAGUUGUCCCUGCUUCCAGAAGAGUUUGCGCCGCUGAUAUCUGCCCACCUCCCAAAAACUCACGAGUUAGAUGAUAUAAAGUCAUUAGAGAUAAAUAAAUAGAUGGGUUUUUAGUUUUAUAUAUAAUUGGGCUGGUCCAUUUGUUUUUCCGUGCUUUCUUUCUGCAUCUCCAAUUUUUCUUUCUGCACCUCCAAGUUUCAUCUUGAAGACAAAUUUAACCUUGAUCAAUAUAUAUAAAAUAAAAAAAUUAGGUAAUUACCGCUGUUUUCUGUGGAUAGUUUUCCGUCUCAUUUUUUAGGUACUUGCGUUUUUGUUGAUUAAUUUUGGUUUGAAAUUUUAUAUUUAUUCUUUAAAUUUAUAUUUAUUUUUAAUAUAUUUUGCAUGUAUUAGAUUUCAAAAAUUAGUUAAAAAUAUUUACUGAAUUUCAAAAAUUAGUUAAAAAAAGUUAUUGGAUUUUAAAAUUUGAUUAAAAACUCUUCGAUUUUCAAAAUUCAACGUAAUUUAAAAAUCUGAUUUAGGAAUGCAUUAAAUUUCAAAAUCCAAUUUUAGCUUUAUAAAUAAAUCAUGAAUAUUGAAUUUCGAGACUUGAGAGAAUUCUUCAGAAGGAAUAAAUAAUUUAAGAAAACAACAGCACAUUAAGGUAUCUGAUAUUCCAAUUUUCUCCACUAAAUUUUUUGAGUUGUGUACAUGUUCUACCAAACUAUUUAGGUUUCUUUUGACCUUUCCGAUACCUUCACUUGCUCUACUGAACAAUCUGGAUAUUCAAAUUGUUCUAUCGACUUAAUUCAGUUAUGUAGCCUCUCACCAAUUUAACUGAUCCUAAUGUUUCACCAAGUUAUCUGCAAGUUCCAUUAAGCUUCCCUCAUGUUCCAUCGAGCUUUUCUUCUACUUCACUAAGUUUUCCACAUACUUCAUUGAAUGCUUGACAUGCUCCACCGAGUUCUCCACAUACUCCACCCUUUGAAUUUUGAAAAUAUAAUCUCUUAAUAAGAUUUCGAAAUCCAGUAUAUUCUUUAAUGAGAUUUUGAAAUUUGAUGAACUCUUUAAUUAGAUUUAGAAAUCCGUUCAAUCACUUAACAAAGAAAAUAUCUAAAAGAAAUUGAUAAUAAACUGUAGAAAAUUGGGAUUCAAAAUGGAAACGCAAUAAGCCAUGCUAAAAAAGUUGAAAGCAGUUUAAAAAGUGUCGAGGAAAGGAUGUGACACUACGAGAAUUCUUUUGAUCAUUCCCUAUCUCUAGCCUCGGAUCCCACUGCCAUGUUGAUUAAAUUACGUCAAACAAUUACAUUUUCAACAUAUUAUAACAUGUUCAAGGAACUCAGUGUGAAGUGAAAGUAGGGUUCAAGACUAAAGAUAAAAAAUAUCAAAAGAUUCUACAUCCUUUACGAAAAACUUUUUAAUCUACUUUCAACUUUUUUUAGCCUGGGUUAGUGUCUUUUCAUUUUGAAUCUCAAUUUUCUGUAAUUUAUUGUCAAUCUCUUUAAAACAUUUCUUCACUCUGAACAUAAAUUUAUGAAUGUUUAUAAGUGAUUAUGUAUCCAUUUUCGUUUGUUGGAAGCUUGUACAUUUUGUAAGAUGGAAAAAAUGUUUAAAGAGAUUGACGAUAAACUGCAUAAAAUUAGAAAUCAAAAUGAAAACAGAUAGCGCAUGCUAAAAUGGUUGAAAGCACUUUAUAAAGUGUUGAGAAAAGAGUGUGACGCGAAUUCUUUUGAUAAUUUCCUAUCUCUAGUCUCGAAUCCCACUGUCAUGUUGAUGAAAUUAUGCCAAACAACACGUUAUAAGAGGUUCAACGAACUUAGUGUGAAGGAAAAGUAGGGUCUGAGACUGGAGACAGAACAAAAGAUUCUCGAAACGUCACAUUCUUUCUUCGACCACGAGAAUAAGAACAAAUACCUUGUGGGUGGGCCGUAAUGGUAAAAUCUAUUGCAUGGUGGAUGUGGAUGCUUGACGUCUUUGCUUUGCAUGAAAGACAAAAAUUGUUCAGGUAGUUCUUCCAAAAGAGCUUGCACAACAGAUACUUGCCCACCUGUUAAAAUAUACAUGAAAGAGACUUCGUUUAAAUGAAAUGAAUAAAAACAACUUGGAGGAGUCAAAAGCAGCAAGAGAAUAAGAAACAAAUUUGUGUUUAUUAUCUACUCAAAAGGCAAAACAACUUUUACUUACUCUGUACUUCCCUCAUAGAGACAAACUGUACUAUAUCUCGUGUAGCUGCACGACCAGUAGAGCUCUCUAAGCGACGCCCAUUAUCAGCAUCCAGCGCCUGCAAACAAACAAGUUAUCUAUUCAUUCUCGCUAGCAACAAAGCAUUGCCAUGCUACUGAGUAAUUAAAAGGGUAUAAGGAAAACCACUUAGAUAAGGAUUAGUAGUAAACCUCCAUGCUUGUGAAGUCAGCAUUUCCAACUCCAACUAUGAGAAUAGAUAGGGGAAGAUCAGAUGCUUUAACAAGAGCAUUUAUUGUUUCUUGAAAAUCAGUGACAACUCCAUCCUGUAAGAAGAUGAACCACUUGAUCGAUUAUUCAUUAUCAUCUAAUAGAAAAUAUCAUCACCAAUUCAUUAUCUUCUUACCGUGAUGAUAAGCAAUACAUAAUACACUGUGUUAUUGUGUGAUGUGAGGGACUGCCCAUGUUGAUAACUGGACCAAAUAAAGUGGGUCCUGACAGAGUAACACUGCGCAAAGCACCGCCAUAAGCAUCCAUCCAUUAUGCCUUCAACUCCUACAACCUAAAACACAAAAAAGGAAAGUUAUGUUAAUCUGAUAGAACACCAACAAUUUAGUAGCUGUGGCACGGCGCACGGACAUAAAAUACUGCAAAUAAUAAAAAUCUUUUCCUAAAAAACAGAGAAGGGAAGAAUUUCUAACCUCAGAGCCACCUGGGCUCCCGUUUAGAUUAAAACAGUGGGAUAUGGUUCCACCAGGUAUCUUCCCUCCAAAGCCCCAAGCAGGAAAUCGCUUAUCAGAAUCAUAAAACUGAAUAACUUCUCCAACCUCCAUUAUAGCCUACAAACAAUACUAAUGCUGGUUAGACAAAACAAUGAUUCAGAUAAUGCCGCCCUAUUAUUGAAGUUGUUCAAUGCCAUAUAUAAAGAAGUAAAAANAAUUANAGUGUNCNGAUUNUGUACAUAANACAUGUUCAUAAGCUGCAAAACGNGGCCGAUNUAUNGUACCUUUUGGUANNAAUUUAACCGACCAUGNGGAUCAAUGUAAUGCAAGGAAUCUGAAAGUUGAGNAUUUCCAUUUGAAGCUGGACAAAUUUUGAAGCACUUAAUAAACUAUAGAGAUCAAAUUCAUAUUCAUCUUUGGGAGUAGAAGAACAAUUCUUACUUACCAGUGAAAUCUACAGUAACCAUGAAGUUCAGUUCAAAACCAUUAGAUAUGUAGUCGAUAAAACUGAACCGCUCCUUUUCACAAUACUGAUCCACAAACAGUUGACCCUUCAAAACCUAAAUGGAAGAAAUUGUAAAAAGUGAGAUUGAGUAAAGGAGUAGUGCAAAAUAAGUAAUUCUUUUGAAUGGAUCAAUACACACCUUCUCUUUUAUGUGGCUUUUGGAUGAUAUGACAAAAUUUGCGCCCGUAUGCUCUUUAUAUAAUUUUUCAAGGUCCGCUACCGACUUCUGCAUUUUUUUAGAUGGAAAAACUUCUUUUAACAACACUUUUUUAACAAUUAUUUGAUAAUAUAUACGUGACAGUUUGUGAUUGAUCCAUUUUAAGUAUUUUUUAAAUAUAAAAUCAAAUAGACCAAUAAAAUAAUGAUAUGUGUCUAUUCUAAAAAAAGUUAUAAAAAAAAAUAUUGUAAAAAUACGAUUGUCCUUUUCAGAUUCAAUCAAUCAAUUUUGACAUCAAUAUAUUUUGCAUUCAUGAACUAUAGAAGUAAAGGCCCCACAGAAAUAAGUUAAAAGUACGAUUUUGGUCAGUAUACUUGCACAUUUUUUAUUGUAAUCUUUAUAUAUAAAAGUUCUACGUUUUAGUUGUAAUACUGUUGUUUUCAUGACAAUGUAAAACCUCAAAACAUUAAUAGAAAUAUUUAAGAAAAUAAUGAAUAAUAAAAUAAAAAGUUAGUAUAGAUAAAAAAAAAACCAAUUUAUAAUAGUUGCAUUAUUACCCUAUAAGUACAUGAUCGCCGCUGCUAUUGAAAUCAAAACACUCUAUCAAUAAUGGAUUUUCCUGCACAGAAGUAAGAAAGUUUGAAAGCUGGAUAAUAAAAAGUAAUUAGAAUGUUAAAUUAACAUAACUUCAAAUGUUAAGCCGAAAUAUGGCUGGCUUACUUUACUUUCAAACUUGUGACCACCAAGACAAACUGGUCUCCAUUUUGGAUUUAAAUUGUCGUUGCUAACUUCAGUUUUGCAGAUAGGAAUAUAACCUCCACUCUCGACCAUUCUUGAUAUUCUUAGAAAAGGGUCCUAGCAGAAAAACAUAUAUGAGAGAUUUUUCAAAUGCUAAACAAACAGAACAAAAUAAAAUGCAUUCAAAUAAAAAAACAUGAAUAAUAAGAAUGUAGAAUAAGUACACUUUUGGAAAAAACAUCCUUGUUGUCCAAGCGAGAACAACGCAGGACCAUCUCAACUACACUCCUUGAAGCAACCGUCUCCUCAGCAUGAAGCAUAAUUGCUCCGAGGUUUCUUAAACCGCCAUUCCCGCUUUUGUUUUCGAGCCUUAAUGUUAACCUCCUACUCGGUUUAGUCACAAUCUGCGUCUCACAAAAACAGUUUACACCAGCGUCAGUGUACACAAUCACAUUUCUCAAUGCAACAGUAUUAGUUUAUUCUCUCAUAAAUUUUCACUCACACCUUAGUAAUGCCUGUUUUCUUUCUCGUUUUAUCUGAUCUAUUUUAGUGACACACUUCCCUUUAUUUGCUUUUCUAUCCCUCUUGAUGUUUGAGAGUUAAGAUUAAUAUUGAGCCACUGUGAGUAGCAUUCUUCAACAGGAAAUGUUUUCCGCCCAAUCUUCUACAUUUGUUUUAUUUGGUUAAAUUUGGUGUUAACAUGUAAACUAAGUGAUUUUGGAUAUUUAAUAAGGCCAACAUAUUAAUUAAUAAUAAAUAUAAGACUAAGAGUAAUGUAUGAUUAUUCUACCAUACCGGUAACUCUCUUAAUAGGAUAAAUACAUUUGACUGCUGUCAAUUUUUCCAAGAACUCCUUUUAUCCCCUGUCUUCAGCUCCCCGAAUUCCUAUCAGUUCUGAAUUUCCAAAACCUCCGAAUAAUUGCCGCACCUUGCAUUGAAUGACCUUUUUUUAUUGCUCAAUCUUUUACCUACUAUGUAUAACCAUCAUAAUAAUUAUUAAUCGUAUCAGUCAUUAUCCUAUCAUAUCUAUCUAUCGGUACUGGAUUCAUAGAUUCAAUCAGGUAUUGGGCUUAACGCCACCUAACCCCUUCACCUUAGUUUUAUCAAACUAAAGUUUCAUAAAAUCUAAUCAAUACCUCAAUGAUAUAACAUCAAUGAUAUAAUAAGUUAGGCUGUUACACUAGUGGCAUAUGUAAUUAUUUCACUUUUCCUUUUAGUAGAAAACUACUAAAUUUUGUUUGGAAACUUAACUACUUAAUUUAAUGACGGUAUUUUUAUUUAAAACUGACACUUCUUACAUAAAAUAUAAAAACAUAUAUCAUAUAUUGUGAUAUAUAAUUGGAUAAUGAUAUUUAGACAACAUUUUUUUGACAACAUUUGAACAUUGAUUACGUGUCAAUCUGUGAUUGGUCAUAAAUUACUCCCUACUCAAUAAUAAUAAUCAUAAACACUAUUAUGGAGUAAUUUACGACCAAUCACAUAUUGACACAUAAUCAAUGUUCAAAUGUUGUCAAUAAAACAUUGUCUAAAUAUCAUUAUCCUAUAUAAUUAUCUAUGUUUUGCCUCUUCUUUUAACAUUUUCUUUUCAUCUCUUUAUUUUUUCCCCACCUAAAUAUACAAAAAUGAGAAAUGUAUACAUUUAUCAGAAAUCACAGUUGAUAAAAAUCUCCCGUGUAAACCGUGAACUUGUUUAUAAAAAAUGAGAAUUAAAUAAUGUAUUACGCCAAAACAAUCAUGUUUGUCAUCAAUGAUUUCAAAUGAAAAGAAUGGUGCUGACCUCUGAUAAAGUGCAACUGGCCAUUCCAAUAAAUUCUUGAUCUCGCAAUUUUAGUGUCUGCAAGAACAACUAAUGAAACACUUUCUUGGUUUUCACAUAUAAACUUCACAAGUCAUAGGCUAGAGAAAGUAAGAACAUAAAUUUGGAAUGCAUAAAGCUCGUAUCUGAACAUUCUAUGUCUCAUUAUGCAUUUUAAUAUAGGAUUCUACCAUGACUUAAAUCAAGUUUAUAUAAAGUAGAAGGGAGCUGAACAGGUCGAAUUUUCAAAUUUAAUAACGAACGCUAGUACUCCUUUUAGCUAAAUAACCAAAUUACUAUUUAUUUAUAUAUAAGUAUUUGUCUAAAUUAUUUAUAUAAUUGAAAAUAAAUAAGAUAAAAUUAUUUUCUUACAAGGUACUAAACUGUUUUAAUGACCUCUUUAAAAGAGAGCCUAAUAAAACAAAUUAAAAACAACUUACAGGCAUAUAACAGAUAAUUUUUGUAAAUCCUCUAAAACACUUAUAAAUGCUUAAAUUCCUGGUCACGGAAAAUGGUCAGUUAUCUCCAAUGAAAUAGUUGGCUUUUUCAUAUCUACAUUCUAACAUUUUCAUUUUGUAAAACACUAGAUAGAGUAAUUGACAGAUUUACAAUUUACAAAUUAUAACAUACAAAAUUUAAAAGAUUUACAAUUCAUAAUUACUUCAGUGCGACCUAAUUCUUCCAAUUGACCGUCUGUUUUCUUUGUAAAUACCACAACCAUGGGAUCACUCUGAAAUAAAAUAAGAAAAACAUGCGCUAAAUUAUACUCAAAGGCCUAUUUUGAACAAUGUACAAGUACCAUAAAUACUUGGUAUUCACACCUAGGCUGCCACCGGCAAAUAGUUUUCAGUUUACAAAAAAAAAAAAAUUGUAAAUAAAGUCGUCAAUCAAGACAUUUACAAGAAUUUGAGGAGGAUCAAAGACACUACGGACAAUAUUUUACAUUCUAGUUUGUAAACCAAAUAACUUCAAAUCAUGGCCUGGUUAGCGUAAUUUGAUUGUUCAGAACUGUUAUCGGUUUGCAUAGCAUAACAAACUGCAAUGAUAUAGAUUAAGGUAAAUGGAAAAGUAUUUCAUAAAAAAAAAGAACACCAAGUCACACAUAAAUAAGCAUGAAACAUCGAGAUAUUAAAGAAAAUGACAACCCUUUCGAAUUUUUGUAGUCCAUUUUGCACCGUUAUCUAAAAGAAAAUAUACCUUUGAGGUAAUGUCCCGAUCAAGUAGCUUGGAAGCUGAAAGAGAUAACUGCAUAAAAUCAAUAAUACAGUGAGACUAUAAACAUGUGUCCAGUGUUCCAACAAUAAUAACAAAAAGCGUAUUUAAAGAACCAAAAGAAAAAAGACAGAAAAUAAAUUAGAAAACAAACAGUAAAAUACUUAAACAUGUUUUAUCAUGUAAGAAAAAUAAAUAAAUAAAUAAAAGAACAUUAUUCAUUUUGGUGGACGGGUUUAGUCAAAGCUAUCAAAAGGCUGGGUUUUUUUUUCUAGAGCUUAUGUUUAUAGAAAACUAAAGUCUGAUCCCAUGUUUCUUUGGAGGAAAUUCACCAUUACUGAAUUAUAAACCAUUGCAAAUGAAUAACAUCAAUUUCAACUCAAAAUGGUAACGAGUUUGUUGAAAUUUUCUUCUUAAAUAUUCUUUUUCUAUUUUUUAUAUUCAUUAACUCUUCUUAAUUGUGAGUCACUUUCACAUUUAUAUACACUCUCUCAAGAUUUUUUUUUUCACGGAUAAGUUAUCAAGAAUAGGUUUUGUACUAAGGAGUCGAAUCACAACUACUAAAUCCAGAUUUGUUAGUCUUUUCUUUUUAUAUAUUGACUUCUUUUUACUUAAUAUAAAACUUUCAAUUCAUUUUAUGAUUUUUGGAGACAGAGAGAUUUUAUUUUUACUUAAUAUAGAACUUUCAAUUAUCUUUCGAAAAAAGACAUAAAAAAUUUGUUAAAAAAAAAUGAACGAACUUAUAUAACCCACUAGUGCAAGAUGAGUCAUUUACAUCACUAAUCUAAUAUAUGACCACAAAGCACAUUACGGUAGUAAUUGUCAUAAUUUUGAUAAUGUCCCACAUAUAAAAUAUUAAUGUGAACGGACAAUAAUAUAAUCUUUUAACUCAAAAUUUCGACACAAUAAUUUUUUUAUACAAACUAAAAUAUAUAAAUUUGAAUAAUUUUAAUAAAUAUUUGAGAAUUUAGAUAUUUGAAAUGUUAAACCAACAACUGCUCCUAUAUUUGAAUUUCAGUUGGAAUUCUAAAAUAAUAAUCUAAACAAAUAUACUACAUGAGGCAAAAAAAUUACUUCGAUUUGAAUAUUUUUCAAUGUAAUUUCAAACUUAUAAGGAGAACAAUCAUUCUUCAUUUCGUUUUAAGAUCUUCAUGAAAGAUAUAAAAAAAAAAUUAAAUUAAAAUUUUUACCAUUGUUUUUUGAAUUCAUUCGGUAGAAUGAAAAUAAAUGAUGAAAAAUAAAAAUAUGUAAAUGAUGAAGUGAAAAUUAAGAAUUUUUGUUUAAGAAAAAAAAAAAACUAUAAAAAAACAAAGAGAAAAAUACAAGUAGCCUUUAACAUAUCUUUUCUUUAUUCCCAUCACAGAUGUUUCCACUCUCCCCAUCUUAUUUCCAUCCAACUAAACAAAACCUUUAUUUCCCUCCCUCCCUAGACCCUAAAAUCCAUACAUACAUAUACAUACAUUCCUCUAAUUUUUUUUUUCUCUUGUUUAAGACCGUUGCGUUAAUCUCAUUGUCCAGAUUUCGUCAUUUGUUUUGAAAAAUGUUUUUGAUUUAAAAAAAUCUUUUAUCUGCUACACAGAUUAAAUUAUAUAUACAAAGAUAUUUCAAUUCAAGCUUUAAAAACAUGACUGUGUAAAAUUGGUAGUCCUGUUUUAAUGAUUUUAAAUGUUAUUUUUUUGUUUUCUAAUCCAUCAAAAAGGUUACUUUUACUUUUAAGGGGUUAAAUAUGUUUUUAGUUCCUAUAUUUUGGGGUGAUUUUGUUUUAGUCCAUUUUCAAACUAAAGUAUACUUUAGUCCUUUAACUCUAGAAAACUCUGGUUUUAGUAUUUUUUACCAUUGAAGUAAAAAUGUGUCAAACAGGAUAAACAAUCCAAAUGCUGUAAUGAAACGCAUUUCAAACAACAAAUAAAGUUAAAAAAAAAUUGGUAAAAAAGACUAAAACCAGAGUUUUCUAAAGUUGAAAGACUAAAUUUUACCUUAGUUUGAAAAUGGACUAAAACCAAAAUCGCCCCAAAGAGACUAAAAACAUAUUUAACCCUACUUUUAAGCUAUGUAAUUAUAUCAUUUUUUAUAUAAAUAUUUCUAUGAAAUAUUUUCAAGAUAAUUAUAAAUAACUUUUUAUGAUAUAGUAAUUUAUUAUUAGUUUUUUAUUUUUUAAAAAUAUUUUGACAAUUAAUUAUUAUAUAAUGAGAUAAUAUAUCAUAAUAUUUUAACAACAUAAAAUCUGAUAAUAAAUUAUCAUAUUAUAAGAUAUAAUUGAUACGUAUUUGAAGAUAUUUUAUAAUAUUUUUUAUCUUAUUUAUAUUUUUUAUUUCUGUUAUAUAUAUAUAUAUAUAUAUAUAAUUUUUUUAUAUAUGAAAAGUGAUAUAUACUCAGUAAGAUGAUAAACUUAAUGGUAGAUACCAAAUAAUUAAAAAAAUAAAAAUAAAAAAUCAAGUAUUCACAAAAAAUAAACCUGAACCAAAUAUAGUAAAACAAGUGGCAAAAUAUAGACCAUAGCAAUAAUUCAAAAGUCUAAAAGUAAAGCACGAUUACUUUUCCAUAAGUCAAUGACUCCAAUUAAUGCAGAUAUAAUAUUGUUGGCUUCAGUAAAGAAAAAAAUUAGUUUCACUUGAUGAUCGAUAAAAAAAAAAAAUACUCAUUUUGAUUCAUAUAUUCAUUUAACUUAAAAAAUUAGUUUAAUAUUUCUAUUUGUCAAUAUACAUAUUUUUAUAAUAUGAAACAUUAAUUAACUGAAAAACCUUCUUUGCUUAUAAAGGGUGUUGAUAUGUAUAGGUUAUAAGCAAGGAGUUUAACAAAGCUAAUAGUUAAAAAAUCGAAAAAUAAAAUUGAAAAAAUAAUGAAAUAUAUCUUUAGAAGUUAUCAUAAUUUGAUAUUUUCAUAUAUAUAUAUAUAUAUAUAUAUAUAUAUAUAUAUAUAUAUAUAUAUAUAUAAAGUAUUGGUAAUUUUGUUCUUUGUUCCUAAAUAUUAAUAGUAUGUAUAUUUUUUAUUGAUCAAAAUUAUAAUUAAAUUUAUAUAUAAUUAAAAAUGAGAUAAAUUUAUUACACCGAUAAUUUUUUACUUAUUUCUAUUUUCAUGUUUAAUAAUGUUAAAUUUUAAGAUAAUUGAUAUAUUUAUUUUCUCCCAUUUUAAUAAAUAUUUUUUAUCUUUCUUUUUUAAAUUCUCUCUCCUUCAUCCCUUGAAACGCUCUUUUCCAGGUUCACAUCCGUUUUGUUUGACUGGAGGAUACAUACAGUAAGAGUGAAGCUAACUUGUUCGCAGGGGAAACGUCAAGCAUGCAACAACGAUGAUUAUGAUAAUAACAACAAUAAUAAUAAUAAAAAUAAUAAUAAUAAUAAUAAUAUAAUUAAUAGUUAACUAAUUAAGAAAAAAAUUAUCCGAAAUUUCUAUGCAUUUUUUUUUUCCGAAAACAAGGUGAACUGUGAACGGAACAAACCAUAGCAGUAUGCGAAAGAACUGAAGAAAAAUUGCAGCGACAGUGAAUAGGUUGAACGAUAGAAAAGAAGUUGAGAAAAAAUACCUCAACUCGGGUGAACAAUUGCUGAAACCCUUGAGUCUUGUAAAAGAAAUCAACGGCGUCGUUUUGCGGUUCUAUGCCGGUGGCUGCUUCACGUAUCCCUCCCACCGCUUGCUUCCCUCCUUUCAUAUCCGAAAAACACCCUCGCAUUUUCUCUCUCUGCAAAACUCUUUCUAAUUUUUAUAUUCUAAUGAAACAGUGAGUGAGUGAAUGGAUUAGGGUUUCUGUGAUUUUACAGUGCCUAUUUGUCCAAACAUGGCUAUGUUUGAGCUUCACAAAGAGAGCAGCGCGUUCGUUACCUUCUAUAGCUCGUGACAGAAACGCGUCGUUCAAUUCGUAUUUUAAUCCUUUUCGAUGAACUAUCACUUCAAGGGAGACAUACUAACCGAGAGAGAUACCGUGUAAUAUAAUAGUAUCGAUAUUUUAUUUCAACAAGCAUUUAAAGAAGGAAAAAGUUAAUUUGACACUCUUUAAAAAAAAACAUUCAUUUGAUAUAACUUUUAAUAAUAUAUAUUAUGAUUUUAAAUUAAAAAAAUAAUAUAAUUAUAAUCAAAAUAUUAUUAUUUAACUGUGUUAAAUGAAUGUAAUUUGUCGUUGUGCUGAAUCAAAGUGGCACUGGUCCUUAAAGAACUUACAGAUGAAACGAGGGACAUGAUGAAAAUCUAAUAUAAAUUAUUUUUCGAAAAAAUAUUAUUAAAGAAGAAAAGUCAUUCUUAGUUAUUACAUGUGUGUUUUCCAUAUACAAGCAUACACUCAUAGAGAUUCCUCGAGUGUUUAAUUUAAAAUCUACUAUGUGUAUUUAAUAAUAUUUCCAUUUAUUUUAUAUAGUGAAUAUUUGUAUAUUUAUAUGCUUUCAUCACUUUAGGUAAAAUUAUUUUAAUUUUUUGUUUAUUGUUCUCGUAAAAGUUUUUUAAUUUACAGUAUAGGAAAUACACAAUUAAUUUUACAUAUUUCUUUGUAAACAUCUUAUUUUAGAAUGUCUCAAAUUCUCUUGUGUGACGUGUUAACUACUGAAAAAUAAUUACACUUGAGAAAUAGUGUCCGAAAUUGAAUUGAAAGCUUUGUACACCCCUUCAAAUGGACAUACAUGUCUCAAUCAUGACUUUCUUUAUAUAUAUAUGGAACCAAUAGCUAUAAAACGAUGGAACAAUUUAUUUUAAAAUAAUAUAUAUAUUAUCAUAUAAUAUAACUUCUACUUUUUUAUAUUAAUACGAGUUUAUUAUUUAAUAGUGGAAUCAAUAUAUAACUUUAGAAUGUGUAAAAAAAAUAAAAAGCUAUAACAUAAUCAAUUACAAAUUUAGAAAAUUGAAGGAAUGAAGUGCUACAUGUACCAGUCAAGUGAUAAACCUAAAUAUUUAAUUACAAAUAUUAGAUUAAAAACAACGAUUUAGAUUGUAUAUAAAUAAGACCACCGAUUAAAAAAACACGUAUAGUUUGUAGUCAUAUACAAAAUUAUGCGUAUUUUUGUGUUUUAAUUUUAGAAAAAUAGGAAAAAAAUAUGUUAUGAUGUCAAUAAAUAUUUUAAAUUUGUAACUAUAUUAUUGCAAACUAUAUUAUGUCAAAAUAUAGAGAGAAAAAAUAUAUUCUAUGCUUUAAAAUGAUUUAGAACAUAUUUAUGGUUUACAGAAAAUCAUACAUGCAACUUUGAUCCAUAGUAAUCACAAAGACUAGUAAAUAAACUAAGGUCAAAUAAUUUAUUCAAAUCUCUCACAAAUUAAAAGCGGCAUAAUUCAUAUUAUAGUUUUCGAAAAUGUCCGUCUAAAAACAUUAUAUUGUAUGAAUACAAAAGAAACUUUAUGAUUAUUCUAAUAAGGUUGAUAAAAAUAAGUUGACGAUAAGUUACGUGGUAAGCAUGAGGCAAAGGAUAAGUUUUAGAAUUAGUAUAUAUACAAAUGUAUGAUAUUGACAUUCAAUGAAAUCAGCAACGGAAAAUCUACGAAAUGUCGAAAGAAUACAGACGAAGAAAAAGGAGUAAAUCACCCAAGAAAAAACCUUUACACUGAUAUACCUGAGCUUUUUCAUGCUUCUAUUUACAAUCAAAUUUCAACAAAAUGAAAUUUGAAAAAAUUCAAACUAGUUUAGCUAAUAGAAUUUCGGCCAUUUAAAUUGAACUGGUUUCGUGAGCAAAAAAAGCUUGUGGGUGGUCUGUAAUAGUAAAAUCUAUUGCAUGGUGGAUGUGGAAGCUUGAGAUAAGUGAGAAGGGCGUGGCUGAGGCUUGACGUCUCUGCUUCGCAUGAAAGACAAAAAUUGUUCAGGUAGUUCUUCCAAAAGAGCUUGCACAACAGAUAUUUGCCCAUCUGUUAAAGUACACAUGAAAGAGGGUUCUUUAAUGAUAUGAAUACAAACAAAUUGGAGGAGGCAAAAGAUGUAAGAGUAUGAGAAAAAUGGUAGGUGUAAAAUUGUCACUUUGACAACAUUUUUUUUAUAAUAUGUUAAUACUACGAAUCAUUCUGUGAUUAGUCUAUGUUGAUGUUUAUGAUUAUUAUUAUUGAUUAUGAAAUAAUUUUGAAUCAAACACAAAAUGACAUGUAGAUUAUGUUAAAAUGUCGUCAAAAUAUCGUUAUUCAUGUAAAAUAUUUGUUUGAUAUAUUGUGUUCAAAAGGCAAAGCAAGUUAACUUGAGAAGCAACUGGUACUUACUCUGUACUUCCCUCAUAGAGACAAAUUGUACUAUAUCUCGUGUAGCCACACGACCAGUAGAACUCUCUAAUCGACGCCCAUUAUCAGCAUCUAGCACCUGCAGAAAAAUAAGUGUAUCUAUUCAUUCUCUCUAGCAACAAAGCAUUGCCAUGCUACUGAAUAAUUAAAAGGGUAUAAGGAAAACAAUUGGAUAAUGAUUAGUAGUAAACCUCCAUGCUUGUGAAGUCAGCAUUUCCAACUCCAACUAUGAGAAUAGAUAGGGGAAGAUCAGAUGCUUUAACAAGAGCGUUUAUUGUUUCUUGAAGAUCAGUGACAACUCCGUCCUGUAAGAACAUGAACCACUUGACUGAUUAUUCAUCAUCAUCAUAUAGAAAAUAGCAUCACCAAUUCGUUCUCUUCUUACCGUGAUGAUGAGCAAUACAUAGUACAUUGUGUUGUGUGAUGUGAGGGACUGCCCAGCUAUUUGGGCUGCCAUGUUGAUAACUGGUCCAAAUAAAGUGGGUCCUGACAGAGUGACAUUGCGCAAAGCACUGCCAUAAGCAUCCAUUAUGCCUUCAACUCCUACAACCUAAACACAAAAAAGGAAAGUUAUGUUAAACUGAUAGAACACCAACAAUGCAGUAGCUGUGCCAGAGACAUAAAAUACUGCAAAUAAUAAUUUUUUUUUCUUAAAAAUAAUAAAUAAAAAAAAAAAGAGAGGGGAAGAAUUUCUAACCUCAGAGCCACCUGGGCUCCCGUUUAGAUUAAAACAGUGGGAUAUGGUUCCACCAGGUAUCUUCCCUCCAAAGCCCCAAGCAGGAAAUCGCUUAUCAGAAUCAUAAAACUGAAUAACUUCUCCAACCUCCAUUAUAGCCUACAAACAAUACUAAUGCUGGUUAGACAAAACAAUGAUUCAGAUAAUGCCGCCCUAUUAUUGAAGUUGUUCAAUGCCAUAUAUAAAGAAGUAAAAANAAUUANAGUGUNCNGAUUNUGUACAUAANACAUGUUCAUAAGCUGCAAAACGNGGCCGAUNUAUNGUACCUUUUGGUANNAAUUUAACCGACCAUGNGGAUCAAUGUAAUGCAAGGAAUCUGAAAGUUGAGGAUUUCCAUUUGAAGCUGGACAAAUUUUGAAGCGCUUAAUAAACUAUAGAGAUCAAAUUCAUAUUCAUCUUUGGGAGUAGAAGAACAGUUGUUACUUACCAGUGAAAUCUACAGCAACCAUGAAGUUCAGUUCAAAACCAUUAGAUAUGUAGUCGAUAAAACUGAACCGCUCCUUUUCGCAAUACUGAUCCACAAACAGUUGACCUUUCAAAACCUAAAUAGAAGAAAUUGUAAAAAGUGAGAUUGAGUAAAGGAGUAGUGCAAAAUAAGUAAUUCUUUUGAAUGGAUCAAUACACACCUUCUCUUUUAUGUGGCUUUUGGAUGAUAUGACAAAAUUUGCGCCCGUACGCUCUUUAUAUAAUUUUUCAAGGUCCGCUACGGACUUCUGCAUUUUUCUGAUUCAAUCAAUUUUGACAUCAAUAUAUUUUGCAUUCAUCAACUAGAAAAGUAAAGGCCCCACAGAAAUAAGUUAAAAGUAUGAUUUUGGUCAGUAUACUUAUACAUUUUUUAUUGUAAUCUUUAUAUUUAAAAGUUCUAAUUUUUAGUUGUAAUACUGUUAUUUUCAUGACAAUGUAAAACCUCAAAACAUUAACAGAAAUAUUUAAGAAAAAUAAUGAAUAAUGAAAUAAAAAGAUAGUAUAGAUAAAAAAAAAAAUAAACCAAUUUAUAAUAGUUGCAUUAUUACCCAAUAAGUACAUGAUCGCCGCUGCUAUUGAAAUCAAAACACUCUAUCAAUAAUGGAUUUUCCUGCACAGAAGUAAAAAAUUUUGAAAGCUGGAUAAAUAAAAAGUAAUUAGAAUGAUUAAUUAACAUAACUUCAAAUGUUAAGCCGAAAUAUGGCUGGCUUACUUUACUUCCAAACUUGUGACCACCAAGAGAAACUGGUCUCCAUUUUGGAUUUAAAUUGUCGUUGAUAACUUCAGUUUUGCAGAUAGGAAUAUAACCUCCACUCUCAACCAUUCUUGAUAUUCUUAGAAAAGGGUCCUAGAAGAAAAACAUGAGAUUUUUCAACUGCUAAACAAACAAAACAAAUAAAUAUGUACUCAAUUAAAUAAAAAAAACAUGAAUAAUAAGAAUGUAGAUGGGAUGUAGAAUAAGUACACUUUUGGAAAAAACAUCCUUGUUAUCCAAGCGAGAACAACGCAGGACCAUCUCAACUACACUCUUCGAUGCAACAGUCUCCUCAGCAUGAACAGUAAUUGCUCCUAGGUUUCUUAAACCACCAUUCCCGCUUUUGUUUUGGAGCCUUAACGUUAAACUCCUACUUUGUUUAGUCACAAUCUGCCGCGCGCACAAAUGUCCAAAAUCUCAUCUCUCAAUGCAAAGUAUUAACAAGUAGAACAGGAAAACUAGAAAAAGUAUAUACACAAGCAUAAAAUCUCAUUCUCUUUUUUAUAACUGGUAUCUUCCUACUCCUUUUAUCCCAUCACCCAUGUUAUCACACACUUCGCUUCUUUUUUUCUUUUUGCUCUCUAAAUUUACGAGUUGUGACAAUACUUGUGAUAGAAUCUUUUUACCAUCUCAAUUUUCCUUUUUAUAAAAUAGCAUUUUAAUUUUUCUUUUUUUAAAAAACUAUAUUGGGUUAGGAAGACUAUGGAGAUUUGAUAUAAAUGAACUGUGAUUACAUUUAUAUAAAAUUGGGUCCUUCAAAGAUUAAGAAAAAUUGAGAUCAAUGAAUUCUAAAUAAAUUUAUAUAAAAAUUAAGAUAAUAUCUUUCAUCUAAAAUCUUAAAUAAUAUAUUUAUGAAUCCUUUUUUCUUAUUUAUGUCUUCUAUUUAUGACAUGUGAGAUUUUUAGAUUUUCUAGCUCAAAUUCCUAAGAGCUGUUUCAUGAAACCUUGUAUGAAUACUCUCAAAAUAAGUAAUCUCAAAAUGAGUUAAGUUCAAAACGUUCUUGCAUUUCGUAUAUUUGUUUGCGAAACUUUGUAUCCUUCUUUCUCUUCUGUAUUAAAAGCUUCUCCUUUUAUUUCUUCAAUUUUUUUUCCACCUCUAUACACUCAUUACUGAUUUGUACUUUAUCAGAAUCCAUUAACAUAAUCACAUGACCGAAGGGGUGUGGAUAAAUUUAUUGUUUAUUAAAACAUGAAAAUUACGUAAUGGAUUUAUAUUAAGCCCAAAAUAACACGCAUCAAAAAUUGCAAAUAAAUACAAUGAGACUGACCUCUGAUAAAGUGCAGCUGGCCAUUCCAAGGAAGUCUUGAUCUCCCAGUUUUAGUGUCUGCAAGAAAAGCACAUUAUAUUUUUUUUCUUAGCUUUCCACUAUAAACUUCAUGAGUCAUAACCAUUUACUAAUUCGGCAAUAGGAAGUGAAUAUAAAAUGUGGAGUAUUACAAUGCAAAAACACAUAUCUAAACUUUACAAGUAUACUUUCAUUUUAACAAAUUGGACCCCUUUCACUCUCAUUAUGCAUUUUAGUGAAGCAAUUAAAAAUUUGAUUUCUUUAUCAUUGAAGAUCAUAUAGAAACAUUUUAAAAAAUGAGAACAAAUUUCUUAGAAGUUACUUGCUACUGUGUAUUGGAGCAAUCAAACUAAAAAUAGCACAUUAAUAUAUUUAAGCUCUUUUCAUAAAAUAUUUUACAAUAUUAAAGAAAUGCUUAUAUAUAAUGUGAAUUUAAAUUCAAAUAAGAUACAAAUAAUUAUCGUAUAUAGUUAUAUGAUUUAUCCUCUGGUUAUAAAAAAAUUCGAAAAUACAAUACCAAAAGUAUAGGUAAAUAUUUUUCUUUUUAAAAAUUAAGAAAGCAGCAACGAGUUGACUGUUUUCUUUAACUCAGUCGAAUAGUAUCACUGUUAAGUCUUUAAUGAGCAAAACAUACAGGAAUAAUUUAUGCUCCACUUAAUUAAGCAUAAAAAUUUCGAGGUAGAGUUAUUAUGGUUACAAACCUUGGUGGGAAUACCAUGAUAUUUUGUAUCAAUGUCAUAAACAUGAAAUCUGGAAAAAAUGUAAAAUGAGGGAAAGGUUGUAAGUUAUUAUUGCAAUACAUUGUAUGUAUUGGAAUAGAAGCAAGACACAUGAAAGGAUAGCUUACUCAAGUGGUUGCACAAUUUCGAAGUGAAAUGCAACACUAAUUUUCUCUAUCCACUCUGGAUUCAAACAAUUCAUAAUUACUUCAGUGCGACCUAAUUCUUCACAUUUACCAUCUCUUUUCUUUGCAAAUACUACAACCAUGGGAUCACUCUGAAAUAAAAUAAGAAAACAAAACCAACUAAAUUAUGCUUGCAAAGGCCAAUUUUGAACAAUAUAUAAGAAAGAUUAUAUUAUAUUUUCAAGUUUAUUUAUAGACAUGUCCAUGAGUUUGUGGGGAAACUGUGACUCUAAUAAUAAAAUUUUGCAUUCUAUAUUCUAGUCUAUAGAAAAAUAGUACAUGCAUGCACUUUUUGAAAAAUAUUACUACAAACAUCUAAUAAUAAAAACUAUUUAAGACAAAUAGAAAGGUAUAGAACAUCGAAGAAAUUGAAGAAAAUGACAACCAUCUGGAAUCUAGGUAUCUAAAACAAAAUAUACCUUUGAUGCAAUGUCGCGAUCAAGCAAGCUGGAUGCUGAAAGAGAUAACUGCAGCAAAAAAUAUUAUAUGAGCAUAAGUAUUUGUCAACCUUGUCCAGGUUUAAACAAUAUAUAACAAAAUAGUAUAUUGAAAAUGAACAAAAAAAAAAAAGUGAACAGAAUAAAUUGAAAAACAAACAAGAGGUCAUGAAAUAAAAUACCUAAACAUUGUUAAUGAUAUGUUUAGAUUUAUUUAAAAUUAUCUAAAUGGAUCUCUUGAUUGCAAAAGAAUUUUUUUAAUUGUACACUAAAUAAUAGUAACGACACCAAACAGUGUAGGAUAAAAACUCAAUUUACACAGUCAUAGAAAAAAUAAAUAUGACUUUCAUAUUUGUAAAAUGAAUAAUGUUUUAUUUUGGUCACUAUUUGCUUCAUCUAUCUAAAAUUUAAAAAAAAAAUGUUAUAUUUUUCCCUUAUGAAAUGAAUUUUUUAAUUCCUUGUAAAAAAAAAAAUUAACCACUAAUUUUUAGUUCUCAAUUAAUAUUCAUUUUUAAAUAAUUAAGUAAUAUUUUGUAAAUAUUAAAAGUGUGUAAAAUAUCACACAUGUUGAUAUGUUAACAUGUAGUAUUAUAGGUACGUUUGUUUAUUUUAUUUUUAAGUUCUUAAUAAAAUAAUUAUUUAAUAUGAUCUUAACAUGUUUUGGAAAACUUCAAAAGGUAAAAGGAGGGAAAAGAUUAUUUCUUUUUUAUAAGUAAUUUUAUGAUUGCUUAUCGUAAAAAAAAAUACAAGAGCCGUAGAAAUAAAGUAAUUUAAAAAAAGAAGAAAGACAAACGCAUAAUAACUUUUGUUUAUAUAAAAAUUUCCUUAGCAAUUUCUUUUUUAUCACAAACAAAUAGAUCAUGGUAUCAAUAGCCCUAUUUGAUAUUUAGAUAAGUCCAAAAAUAAGUUGAAUUAUAUAAUAUUAAAAAAAUUAAGGAUUGACUUGGGAUCAACAUAUAAUAGGAUGAAAUAAAAAUGUAACAUGAUAAAAGUAUUAAUUCUAACUAAUGUUUAGAUUCUUUUAUGAUAAGGAUAAAAAUAAAAUGAUACAAAUCAUAACAAUGAUAACAUUGGUAACAUCAUCAUUAAUAUAUUGAUGGUGGAAACAAUCAUGGGUAGAAUUACCUACAGUUAUUAUUUUAAUUAUAAUAUUAUUAAUAAUGAUAAUUGUGAUCAUAAUAAAAGUAUUAAGUUGAUAAUAUGGUAAUUAAUUAAUUAUAACAAUGGAAGCUGUUGUGGUUCGUAUGUAUAAGUCACCAACAAUAACAAACUUGGAAAAAGUAGUAAUGACAAUUGGGAGAGGAGGAUGUGGAUGUGGUAUAGAUGACUCAUCCUUAUUUUAUUAGAAGUAAAAAAUUAUCUCAGAAGAAAUUGUUUUUUAUAACAUUUUACUAUUUUAUAUAGUGAUUAAAUAAUCUUUUACCAAAAAUAAAAAUCACAUAAAAACACAUGAUAGUAUAAAUUUUAUUAAAAUACACAUUUCUUUACUCUAAAGUCAAGUAAUUAUAUAAAAGAAUAAAAAUUAUCAAAUUUAUAUUGGAAAUAAAUCCAAAAACUAAAGAAAAAGAGAAGGUUUAUAAAAGGUGUUUUAGUAAUUUGAAACAAAAGUUUUAUAUAUAUAUAUAUAUAUAUAUAUAUAUAUAUAUAUCGUGUAGUUCUAUUCUUUUUACUAAGUAAAGAGUCAAUUUCUUGCGUUGAAACUCUUCUUCCUUCGUCCCCUAUCGUUUAUGUUAAGUCUUUUCCGUGCCGUUUCCCUCUCUUCCACGUUUGGUUUGACAAUACAAUAAAAAGACUGAUCUCCUUAACAAGGUUUAAAGCACAACGAUAACUAAAUAUAGUAAAAAAAUGGAAGAAGAAGAGAAGUUCAUCACAACAUUUUCUUCCAUUUUUUAAAAAGACAAAUUAAACAAAUCGAAGUAUACCUAGUCAAGUCAACAAAAUAAAAAAAGAAAACGAUGGCGAUAGUAACGAGGUAGGUUGAACAAUGGAUAUCAAUGUGACAAGAAUUUAUGAAAAAAUUACGAUAAUGAUUUUAUGGAACUGAGAAAAUUAUGAAGAAAAAAAAAAUGAGUACCUCAACUUGUGUGAACAUUUGAUGAAACCCUUGAGACCUGUAAAAGAAAUCUACGGCGUCGUUUUCUGCAUUGACGGCUUCACCUAACCCUCCCACAGCUUGUUUCCCUCCUUGCAUAUCAGAAAAACACCCUCCCAUUCUCUUAUCCUCCCUCUCUCCCUCUCUGAAAUUUUCUAAUUUCCAAAAUGCCAACGAAACACUGUAAAAGGGAUUAGGGUUUUGUUUCCUGAUAUUAUAAUUAUUAUUUAUUAUUAUUUAUUUAUUCACAAAAUAAUAAUAAUAACAAUAAUAAUAACGGUCUGCUAAAAAAAUGACUAUACGGUAAAACUAACAAACUUUCUGCAUUGCCUUCAUACCUUGGCUUUUAUAGCUAAACAUAGCGCGUCUCAUAUCUUUCUUUUCACGAAACUUUCAUGUAAUUCCUUCACGGAGUCAAACAAAUCCCGCGGACAAAAUAAUAUUCUUAAAAGAUGAACAGAAAUUCAAAUCAUUUUCGAAAAUAGAUAUAUCAGAAGAAAAGUUCAAUCUUACUCAUUUUCCACUGUGAUUUCCUUGCAAUAGGAUUGUAGGAUACAGGUUCCCUUAUUUGUUUUUUUUUUAAAUAAUCUCAUUUAUAUUAUAAUAAAGCUAAAGAUAGUUAGACACAGAAAUAUAUGUUAUGCAAACAAUAUUUCUUUUACGUGUGUAUCGCUGUGAUUAGUUUAUGUUGGUGUUUAUGAUUAUUAUGAUUGAUUAUGAAGUAAUUUUAGACUAAUUACAAAAUAAUAUGUUCAAAUCUUGUCAAAAAAAUAUUGUCAAAGUAUCAUUAUUCGCAUACAAAUUAUUGUUUGGAUUAUAAUUACAUCUUUUUAACAUUGCAUUACUUUCAAAAAUCUAUACUUUAAUUUUUUAACUUUACUAUAUAUGUACAUUUUUUAUUAUAUCUUAUAUUCUCGUUGUUAAUAGGUAACUUUAUAACUCAUUAUUCACUACGCGUACUCGUUUUAUUGUAAAUUUAUGUAGUUAAAUAAAACUUUUUAGAACUGUGUUUUAUUUUUUAAAGAUUUAAAAUGAAUGAGGGAAAUAGGAGAAGAUUGACAAUAAUAAUAAAAAUAUAUCAUGACAUCAUCAUUUACAUAACACUUAUGAGAUAAUAAAUUUUUAAAUAUGUUUUUCAUAUAUUAUUUGAUUUUAUUAUAUUUUAUUUUAAUGUGAAAUCACACAAUUGAAUUUAAAUGAAAAUAAAACAUUUCUUAAAAUGAUUUAAUUAGAAUAUAUAGAAAUCUCAAAAAAUUUCUUACAGUAAUUUGAUUUACUAUUUAUAUGGUCAUACUAUUGAUUUCAUGAUUAUUUGAAAGUUUAAAUCUAAGUUAAGGAAUGUUAGUGAGUCUAUAUAGAGUUAAUUUUAUUCCAUUUAAUUUUUUAUGAAGCAAGAAUUUUGUGAUUGAUAGGCUAUUUAAUUCACUCAUUUAAAAAUAUUUUGCUAUUCUAAUCUACUCUAUAUACUUAUUAUAAUACAAGGGAAUUGACUCGAGUCAUUUUUUUUUAUAACAAUACAAUAAAUUAUUUCAUAUUAAAAUAUCAAUUUACUUAAUUUAAUAAAAAAAUUAAAGAUUUAAAUUAUUCAAAUAAUAUUUUAAAAUAUAAAAUUAUUAACUUUUAUAAUUAAAAACAAUUAUAUUAAUAAACUUAUAAAAGAAAUUAAUAAAGUGUUGUUCACUUUCAACUCAGUUUCAAAUCUAUUAAGUAAAUUGAACUUAAAUAUUUUUUAAAUCUUAAAAGUGUAUAAUUUAAAAUUUUGAUAAUACGUUUUUUAAUAUCUUAUUUUAGAAAGACUUAGAGUCUACUUCACAUGUGCUGACUGUAAAAGAAAGAAAUGAAAAAUGGUAGUUGAAUCAUGAAAACAUCACUAUACUUUACAAUUGUCUCUGCAAACACUUGACAACCCUUCCAACGGGCAUGUCAGAAACAUAAUUGACUUCUGAAAAUAUUUAAUUAUAAUUAUUGGUGAUUUAAAUUUUAUUUUUUAGAAAUUGGAUUUUUCUUUGUGAUCAUUGUUACCUUAAUUUUUUAAUAAUUACAUUAUUUUCAAUCCAUUUUCCAUCUUUAAAAUCAAUAUAUUCUUCCAUAUCCCGAUAGUUUCAAGAAUAAUCACGUAUCCUAUUAUCAAUUAUAAUUAGUUAAUAGUCUUGUUAAUUAUAUCAAUAAACUCAUUAUAAAUAACAACUCAGAUACAUCUUUUCUAAUUAAUUUAAUAUAUUAGCACUAACAUAUAAAUAAUUAUUACAAUUGGUUGUGAAAAAACUUGCUCACAUAUUUUAACAAAAUCUUUAAUUUUAUAACGGAUCUAAAUCAGGAAUAUGUUGAAAGUCUCACAUCCAAUAGAGAUUCAUAAUAUAUAAAUGGGUGCAAACUUCACUUACAAGCCGGUUUUGUAGGAUUCAAUUAGGCUUAAAGUCUAUUCCUAACAUGAUAUGAGAACCAUUGUUAAAGUUUGUCCUAACAAUAUUUGUUAUUUGUUGAGCAUAUUGUUUCAACUACCAAACAUGAUAUAUAUUUUUUAAUUAAUUCAAUAGAUUAAAUUUACCUUAAUAAAGAAUUUAAAAAUAUCACAUAACUAAUUUAUAAACACUUACAUUUUAAAAUGAUUUUUUUAGGACAAUACCAUGAUUACUAAACUUAAAGACGACAAAUAUACUUAAAAUUGUAAUAAAAUAUAUUACAAAACAAUAACAGUAUAAAAAAUACAACAAAACAGUGCAUAAAUAAAAAUAAUAAUUGACCAUAUAAAAAUCUCAUCAAUUAAAUAUUAAAGUCGUAUUAUAUUAUAUACUAUAACAUAGGAAAAUUAAGUAGAAACUAAGAAAUACAAACUAAUAACAUGGUGGUAUCCGUUCAUAUUUAUACUACAAUUUCCUUUUUAUGUAAAUAAUAGCAAACAAUUGUCUUCUACGCGUAGUUCAAACUAAGAAAGAGUAAACAAAGAAUAAUAAAUAAGACAACGUUUUAUCCAAAGACUAAUUGGAUAAAAUAAAUAUAAAUUUGGCUUGCUUCAUCAAAUGAAUUUGUAAAGACGUGGAAGUUUUCAAUUUCUUGUUUGAUUAUAUAUAAUCAUAGUUUUUACCAAGCACAGUCUAACAACACUAUCUGUAAUUUAAUUAUUUUUAUAUGUUUCUGACUUAUAUCAAAGACUAUCAAUUUGCUAAAUAGGUGUAGGUGUUUAAUUUCACUAAUUAAACAUGAAUAAUAUGUUUCUAUUAAAAAGUCCACUCUAAGUUUAAUGGAUAAUGAUAUUUAGAUAACAUUUUUUUGACAACAUUUGAACAUUGAUUACAUGUCAAUAUGUGAUUCGUCAAAAAUCAUCCUACAAUCAAUAAUAAUAAUCAUAAACAUUAUUGUGGAGUGAUUUUUGACCAAUCACAGAUUGACACGUAAUCAAUGUUCAAAUGUUGUCAAAAAAAUAUUGUCUAAAUAUUAUUAUCCAAGUUUAAUUGAUCCUUCUAAGAUAAAAUUAAUUUCUUAUACUGUAGUUUAACUUUACCUUUAAUUAAUAUAAGAUUUUCAAUAUAUUUUUCAUACUAAGGAUUGAACAUCUUCAUUACAAUGAAGGAUUAUUUAUUUGUGGGAGAUUAAUGCAUAUUCGAUCAUGAAUGAUACAUAAGCUCAAUAACAAAAUGUUAUUGGAAUGGAUUCUGAUAUUAUAUAAGGGAUAAACUUUAAACUUUAUUUCAUUUCACAAGUAAAAUAAAAUUUGUUAUAGUGUAAUUUGAUAUUAUCUUAAAUAAUAAAAAUAACUAAGGGAUCCAAAAUUAUUAUGUUAAAUAUCAUCUAGUAUCUAAAUCAAUUAAUUAAAAAAAUUAAUCCGUCAUUUAGAUAUUUGAUUUUUCUGAAUGAAAAUGCAUUAUAAAUAUGAAUUGUUCACUUAUUAUACUCGACUUUUACAUAAUAUAUAUAUAUAUAUAUAUAUAUAUAUAUAUAUAGAUAUAGAUAUAGAUAUAUACUACAGGUUUUGUUAAAGAAAAACGUAAAUACUUUUAAAAUAUUAUAAUAAUCAAUUUAUUAUACACGUAACCUUUUAUUUUAAUAGUACAAACAUUUUAUUAUGAAUAUUCAUAAUAUAAAUAAUCUCAUAUAUAUUAUAUAUCAGUACAAUAUUAUAAAGAAGUACUAUAACAACAGUAUUCGUAUACAAUUUUAAGUUAUUUUACUAUGAUUUUAUUACAAGAUUAUAUCUAACAUGAUUUAAUAUCGUUCAACUACUCAUAUAAUUGACUUUUCAACCACAAGAGUUGUCUCUAUCACAUGUAUCUUUCUCAACUACAAUCAUCAUACACACUCAUAUUAAUUAACAGGUCUAUCAUCAUCACAAUUUCAUACAUCAUUAUACACAUGCAUAUUCAUUAAUGGAUCCAUAAAAAAUUCUAUAAACAACCAUAUACCUUCUUUCAUUCCAAGACCAAAACAAUAAAUAAGAAAUGUUUUUCACAAAAAAGAAACAAACAUAAAAGACUAAUUUUCCUAACAAGAGAGCUCAAAUCAAAGAUUCCACUUGCCAAAGUAACAAUUCACGUGUUUAGAAUCUUGUUGCCAGAACUUCAAUUCUAUCCAAUAGUUAAUGAAGUAGGAAUCCCAUAUUUUCCAAGAUGACGUAGAUAAAAAAAAAUUAGGGUGGCACCCGAUGCUACAACACCCCCCUAACCCACUGAUUUAAGUGCUUUUGGUGGUCUAAAAGUGGCAUCCAAUGCCCUGAAGUUAUUAUCCAUCUUCUUAGUACGUCCGAUGGUGCUACAAUGUUGUCCAAUGGUGUAUCAAUACUCAAAACUCCAUCUUUGAGCUUUAAUUGAGUAAAUUGACUCUUCUUGAGUUAAUUCUCACUUAGUAAACUUUCGAACACUUAAAAUUUAAUGUUUUUAACUCGAGUCGGGCCAGAUUACUCAAUUAAAGAAUCUCACAUAGGCUUUACAACUCUCCACAAACCAUAAAACUCAUUAUUUCAACAUAUCAUAAUACAUACAAAAAUACAUAUCUAAAACAUAUUAAAUCAAAGUUCAUAUCGUAGUAAAUCACGGUUCAACACACAUAUAACUAGAAAAAUAAUUUAUAAAGAGAUGUUAUAUUUUAAAUUAAUGAAACUCAUUUAUAAUUCUUUUUAUAUAAAUCCUUUUAAUAUUAAAAUAACUUAUUCUCAUUAAUUUUAAAUCAUUAUCAGUUUUAAAAUAUCAUUUUCUAUAAUUUAGUUAAAUAAAAGACCAUAAAAGAUAUAUGUCAUUAGUAUAUUACAGUUAAAUUAAAUUAUUUAUUUCAAAAAAUGUUUUUUUUUUUGGUAAAAUUUGUUAGGUGGAUGUUAAUUUUAAACUAAGUAUUAUGGUCCUAGUCUAAUUGUUAUUGUAGGUAUGGAUUGAGUGACGUUAAGGACUAGUUAGUUGUGGGUUGUUUCUUGGUGAACAACACUCCUUUCAACUAUAUAGGGAUCAUCUCCUAAAAUAUUGUAAAUAUAAAUGUUAACAAAAACCCUAUUUAAUUCUUAUAAUUUAGAAUACACUUUUAAUUAUCAACAUUAUCAUAUUAAAACGAUUUUCCUUUUUGUAAAUGUCACUUUUUUAUUUAGUAAACCUUAGUCAUAAAAUUUAUAGUUUUUAAUAAAAAUGUAAUGAUAAAAGGCAUGUAUAUUUGUGAGUGUACUGUCUUUGUAUUUACUAAGCUAAUUGAACUAAAUAUUGGUUUAAAAAUUAAAAAUAUAUUUUCGAGUUUAUUAUUAAAUAUAUUAUUGACUAUGAGUAUUGAGAGAAAAUAUCAGGUAUUUGUGGGUUGGUUCAAUGUUAGCUAUAUGUCUACUGAAUCAGUUGAAAAGAAAUAUAUAUAUAUAUAUAUAUAUAUAUAUAUAUAUAUAUAUAUAUAUAUAUAUAGAUAGAUAGAUAGAUAGAUAGAUAAAAUCAUCAUAUUGAAUAUGAUAAUUUUACUAAGAAAUUGCCAAGUUGACUCCCUUAUGUCUUAGAAAUAUUGAAGAUAGUAUUGAAUAGUGUCUCUUGUUGGCAGAACAGAACAUCAAUAUCCAAACUCAUCCACGAAUGAUAUAUAUAAUAAAGUUAUUAGUGAGUUUUACUUUUCAAAGUUAAAUUGUAAGAUUGAGUUAAAUCAUAACAUGAAUAUUUGUAAGUAAAUUUAGAUGAACUUUUAUACGUAAUUUCUGGUUGAGAAAUCUCGAUUCUGAAUAAAAAAAGAAUUUGAACUAGAAACAAUUUUGGAUAAUUUUUUUUGUAUGAAAUGAAACAAAAAAGUAUACAAAAAUUUAAUGAAAACAACAUUAAUUUAGAAUCAAUUUUGCAAACGUGUAUAUGUAACAUGAUAAAGAUACUUUUAUUUUGAUAUGUUUGUGAUUUAUUUAUAUUGAUAUUUAUGAUUAUUAUUAUUAAUUCUAAAAUAAUUUUAAACUGAUAAAUAUUAAAAUAUUAUUAAAAAUGUUGAGAAAUAUCAUUAUUUAUAUAAUAUUCAACUGGGACCACCUUAAUGGAUUAGGGAAUACGUAGGUAGUCAACACGUUUGGAAUAAAGUAUGUCUGAAAUUGACCACAGAAAUGCAAUAGUGACAGAUACAUUAAAGUACAAUGCACAAUGAACUAUAUUCCGCCAUAGAAAUUGGAACAUAAAGCUCAAAACGAUGAACUCAUCAUGCUGAGAGGGCGUAGCAUAUAUAUGCAAUGUGACGCAAUCAAUUUUCUAAUUUUCUUCAACGAGUAUUCAAAAUUCAGUCAAACUUGUAUUCCUUUUUAAUCUGUGUGGAAAAGACAAAAGAUACAGAUAACUAUUGCUCAGAAUGAGGAUAGAAAGGGUGAGGAAAUGGAGGUUUUAAAUAGAAAGAUUUAACAAAUAAAUUAUAAAGAUAAAGUAAUUAUAAAUAAUUUUUUUAAAUUAAAAAAUAAAAUAUUAAAUUAAUAUAAAAAAAUUUAUAUACAUAAAAGUAUAAUUUAUUUUCAAACAAUGACCAUAUAUCACCCAAAACCAACAGCUCAAUCACUGCGUUCUGCUGAUACAGGGUGCAGACCCUAAGGAUAAACACAUUGUUAUCUUUUACUAGUCAAGAUUAUUAGUAUAGUCGAUGAGGAUUAUUCUUAAUUUGAAAAUUUUCGAACCUGAUUAUUAAGGUCUGAUAUAACACCAGUAGAUAAAGAGUGUUUAACUUCACACGCGUUUAACGAAAGAAAAUUCAAAGUAAAAAAUAAUCAAUAACUCUUUUGUAAAUAAAAUAUCAUUAUAAAAGUCGAUUCCUCAGAGUUACACGUCAAAUAAGGUAUAGACGUCGGUCUCCCAGAUCAGACGUCUAUGUUAGUCCCUUCAAAUCAGACGUUGACUACCUCAAAUCCUCCUUUAGACGUCGGUCCCCCUGUAUCAGAAGUCAAAAAGGACCAAAAAUAUCUCAUUUUAAGUGUCAAUAUUAAUUUUUUUUACAACAUAGACAUUGGCCUCCCAAAUCAGACGUCAAAUCAUCCUUUAGACAUCGCCUCCCAAAUCAGACGUCAAAUAAUCCUUUAGACAUCACCCCCAGAUCAGACAUCAAAAAGGUCCGAAAAUAAACGAUGCCUCCCAUAUCAGACGUCAAAUCCUCUGCCAAAAGCUACAAAGUCAGAAUUGAAAUGUCACUUUUUCAGACAUUAGAUGUCGAACAUAGAGGGGGUCGACGUCUAAUACACAUUAGAAGUCGGAUCCCCUUUCCCAAACAUCAAUAAGCUACAAAAAUAUCCAAAAAGUAGUGCUAAAAUGGAUUUUUUUAGUAAUUAGAUGUCAGAUGUGGAGGGGGGCCGACGUCCAAUGCCCUUUUAAACCUCAAACACUUAGAAUGCGAGUUUCACUUUCUUUCGCGUUUUUGUUUGGGUUUUUGCUUCGUUCGCGUUCGUCAUUGCUGCUAUAAGGUAUCUUUGAUUAAUUUUCUUCCAAUUAAUUUAUUUUGCAUCGAUUAACUUUAGUUUGCACCGAUUAAUUUUGGCUUAUGAUGUAGUUUUGCUCAUGAGUUGAUGAAUCUUGGCAGCGACAAUGAGUCUCCAAUGUCCAUUACUUGAAACUGAUAGUAUAUACAAUUUUAUGAUGUGCUAUAAUGAUUUUCUAUAUUUCAGGUGUGAAUGUUGUAGAAACAAAUUAAUUUAAAAACACAAAAAACAAAAGAGACUCGAUUUAGGAGAGGUCUAAAGUCAAAAUUAACGUCCGGGGAAGGGGAUGUGACGUGACGUCUCUCAAUAAGAUAUUAGAUCUGGAUUGGACGUUGAAUGUUUAAAAUAAUAGAUGUCAAAAGCCUUUUUACAGUAGUGUAACCUAUGUUACCAAUCAAGUUAUAUCAAUAUAUAUGUAUUUAAAAGAUUUUUAUGAAUUAUGGAGUAAAAUCACUUACUUAGAGGACUAUUAGGGAAUUCAUCUAGUCUUCAAGAUAACUUUGAAUAAUCUAAGUAAGAGACCUCAAUCCUUGUCCAAAACACCUACAUUGUCAAGUUAUAUCAAUCUAUAUGAAUUUCAAAAGUGAUUUUAUCAGUAAUAAACUUUAAAAUUUGUAAAAUUGAAAAUAGAAAUUCUUACAUGUAAAACUAAAAUUUAACAAAAAAAAAAAGACAUAAACUGAACGUCACAAACAAUAAUAUUUGAGCCUUAAGGAUUGUCAUAAUAAGAAUUGAGAAAUUUUUUAUAAGAUCAAAUGAUUCACAGAAUAACUCUAAUAAAAAAUAGUUUUUUAGUCUCAAAUGAUAGCUAAAACAUUAUGUUUGUUCUAUCAUAUGCAAAUUAUUUAUGCCUUUUUACAAAAGAAAAAAAAAACAUAACUAAUUUUAUAAAUUUUUAUUCACAAUAUAAUGAUUGAGCUUCUACUCUCGUUCAAAACAAGCAAUACAAAUGAGGGUGUUACUUUCUGCAAUCCUAUUUGUUCUUCUUGCACCGCUAAACUAGGAACUGUCCCUUUGACCCUUAUAAAUUUAUAAUAAAAUAGGAAAAGUUAAUCUCCACUUCACAGAGGAAUGAAUUUUGUAUUUGUUUUCGUAUUGUAUGUGAUGUCUCCGGUUGAGGUGUACGUUAGGAUUGAUAAAUCCGAAAUGUGUCGUCAAAUGUAUCAUCAAAUCUGAAAAAAUGCUUGUUACAAUACAUUUCUGAACGAGCAAAAAUACAUUCUUAAUUAUUUUUAUUUGACUCAAUAUAUAUUAAAGAGCAUAAUUAAUAAAAUUAGUUAAAGUUCUAUUAUGAAGUAAUUACUAGAUCAUAUCUGCAUGUUAUAAUUAAACUCUGAUCCAUGGUUAAGAAUGGAUAAGAUCAUUUAGUGUUCAAAGUUAGGCUUAUCAUGGGACUAAUAAAAGAACAUUGAGUCUCCUAGAACUCAUAAUGAAACAUUUGAUUCAUAGUGUCAAUAAUGGAACAUUCUAUCGUUGGAACUUAUAAUAGAAUAUUGGGUCCUUUAAGUUCUCCAUUAGGGAUAACAAAACAUUUCCUUUAUAUUUCAAUCGGGGAUUUAUGUUCCUAUCACACAUAAUAGUUUCACAUCGCUUAAAAAUUAAGGUCAAUUACAAUUUAAAUACUUCUUCCUCCUUUCAUCCUUUGAGAUGUCAUGAUGAAGUUUAGCUUUAACGUAGAUAAUACUUUGGAUAUAUGAUGAUUGACCAUAACAAUGUCACUCAACAAAUUUAGGAUCAAUCCUAAUGAUGUCACUCAACAAAUUUAGGAUGUAUGGUAAUUGACCCUAAUGAUAUCAUUCGACAGACUUGGAAUUAAAACAGUAAUACUCACCAUGGCCUAAAUUUUGGAAUACUGAUAUGAAUAUUAUUGGAUUUUUUAUUUUAGAUUUUCUUUUAUUUCAAAAUCUGGUUCUAAAAUUUUUCUUAUUUUUUUUUUUGUGGAUUUUCAGAAAUUAGAUUUUGAAAUCUAAUUUAUAUAUCCAAGAUUUUGAAAUCCUUUAUAUAUUUUCUUAGAUUUUUAAAUUCUUUGAAUUUUUACAAAUCAAAUUUCAAAAUUUGAUUAUGAUUUCUCCAAUUCCAAAAUCUAAUUUUAGAUUUUUAAAAGCUCGAUUUUGAAAUCAAAUUUUGAAUCUUUAGUUCAUCAGAAUUCAAAAUCCAAAUAAAUUUAAAUUGUUUUUGUUAAUCACAUUUCGAAAUCUUCUUAUAUUUUGAGUUUUUUUAUUUACUUAGAAAUCCAAGUUUUAGGAAUGCAAAUGGGUUUUAAAGUGGUAGAGGUGAAAGAUGAGAGGCAAUAGGGGUGUCAUGGCAUGCUGAAGAGUCUCAAAUAGGAUUUUAAACUCGAAUCAAUGUCAAAACCUAAAAACUGUUAUAAUUUAUAGAUAUGAACAAAUUUAAGGAUGCAGAAAGAAACUAGUAAGAUGCAGGAAGAAGCCCCCUUACAAUUUAUUAAAUUGUCCACCCUUCUUAGCAAAAUCUUUUGAACCAAUUUAUCUCUUUCCCUUAUCAUACGAAUCUCUAGAACUUGCGUUGAGCAUUGAACUGUUCAUGAUUUUGAAAUAUCUUUGCCUUCUCAAUGAUUCCCAUGAGCUAAUUUGAAAACCUAAAACAAAAUAAAAGGUUAGAUUAAACUAAAAAUUUGUAAUCUAAAUUGAAUUGGAUAAUCUUGAACCUGUUGAAUUUAUUACAUAAAAGAACUCCAAUUAAAUAAUUUUAAAAUUAUGUAUUAGUCUGUUUUUUAAUGUUAAAGUUAUAAUUAUUAAAAAAUAAAUUAUUUUAUUAAAAUAUGUUAUGAUUUAUAUAUUAAAAUGUUAUAUUUAAAAUUAUAAUUAAUUUUUAAUAUAACUUAAAUUUAAACCAAUUAUUUUAUAUUUAGAUUCUAUUUAUUUAUUUAUUUUAAAGCAAGUCAAAAUAAUUAAUUAUCGGAUAAAAAGAAUAGUCUAAUUAAAUAUGAAUUAGAUCGAGCUAACGUAUUAUCUAACCUGCUAGAACAAAACUAGACCAGCCGUUUAAGACUCUAAUUUAGAUAACUUAAAAAUAGAAAUAUCAUUUGUUAAAUUAUAAUAUACUUCCUCUUCAAAGAAUAACUAUAUUUGUUUCAAUGUAACUCAAUUUUUUGUAUUAUCUCUUUAAUUGAGUACCUUAUUUUCAAUUAUUCUAAUUCAAUAUGAUUCUUCUUUCGGUCAUCUAGUUUGCAUAGCAUGUUUUAAAAUUUAAUAUUUUUCUUUCUACAUUUGUACCAUUUUAAAAGAUUUAACAUUUAUCAGACAACCGUUGUUUUCCACUUCAAAUCUGAGCCGUUCAAACGCCAUUUUUUAUUUUAUUUUAUUUCAAUUGCAUUAUCUGUUUAUUAAUAGACAAUAAACAGAUUACAUGAAUAAAUUAAACAUUAAAUUAGAUGUAUAAAUUAUAUUCAAUCAAAAUAAGAUAUCAGAUAUAUAAAUUGGUGUCACUUGUAUAUUAAUAUUCUUAUCCAUUCGUCAUCCAAGACCCCAAUUUCCAAAAUGAAUCUUCUGCAUGUUAUUUGCUCCAUAUUAUGUAUAAAAUGAAGAAAAAGGCACAACACCACACAAACUGCAAAUGGUUAUAGAAUCUCUUCACUUUUGAUUCUCGUUCAUCCAAAUUACCUAAAUCAUGAUCUGAAUUUAGAACUCGAAGAUAACAUAAUUGAAUCAACUUAUAAUUCAAGUAUGAGUUUGGUAAUAGAAAAGUUCAACAAUGCUAUUGAUUUGUGAUAAUGAAACCCAGUUAGUUAAGAGAAUCCAACAAUUAACAUCAUAUGUGAUCAAUAACAGUGGAAUAUUCAAGUACUAUGAUUAUCAAGAGGGGAAAAAAAACCAUAAAUUUAUUGUCUUCAGAAAAAAAAAUAUAUUUUCAAUUGAAUAUAAUAUCAUGUUCACUUGUGUGAUUAGUUCAUAACCCCAUUUCCACAAGAAUAACCUCAGUUCUUCCUCCGGAAAAAUCUGUUUACCAAAAUACUCAUAUUCUUCUAGCUGGUAGUGUUCAAUUAAUUCAUGUCAGAUUCCCAGUAAGUGAAAAAAAACAUAUCAAUCGCGUGUGUCAAAGAGAAGGUGAUUAGUAUAGAUUAUGAUUUUUAAAUAUGAAAAUUUGUCAGGUGAGUGCCAAAAGUCCCCUUGGUGCAAUCCAAACUUUACAAGAUAUUGCAGAUCUAACUAACCUGACAUGUAUUACCUUGGGCCGAAUUACCCAAGAAGGUUGACAGUGUCGCUUAUAUUAUACUGGUAAAUAGCUGCUCAGAACCCCAAUCGCCAAACAUCUCGGGUAAUAACAUAGAAAAAGGUAGAAUUAUAUACUGAUACAGUCCACCAGGAUCAAAGUGUAUUGCCAGCAUAGAUCCUGCUUCAUCCUGUAAUGAUGUUAAAAUGAGGUGAACACAAGACAUCAUAACAAACGGGACAGUAGACACAGUUAAGGAAUGUCGAGUUCCAACCCAAGAUAACCCAUCCUGCGCACACAGAUGAAAACAAAAUAUAGCCAGAAUGCGUUAACAGCUGCUUUAACUAAUGUAACUCAAAAAACAUGAAACGAGGAUCCCUUCAACACAAUUCGAUACAUGGCUGCUUCACAGUAUAGCUGGUUAAACAAUAUAUAACAAAACAUAGAUUCCCUACCACGAACAAAGUGUACAAGAGGGUAUAGAAAUACUUCAGUUUAUUGGUACGAAAGAACCAGGAACUGAAGAAGGAUCAAGCUCCCAACACCCUCUGAGAUGCACAUUGUCCCUGUGCUGAAAAGCAGGAAUCUGAUGUGAAAAUCUGCCAACCUCUUCUCUUAAUAUUUCAAUUACACCAGUUUUAGAUCUCUGAAUUCUAGGAGCUCUGAAAAUUGUCUUGGAGUUGCUAUGUGGCGUCAGAACAACAACCUGUAUACUCUUCUCACUAUCUGCUAAUACUUCUACUAUAUCACAUUUACCUUUGCCCUGCUUUGAAGAAGCCAGCUCAUAGUUCUGGUCCCCGUACAGAGCCCAAACCUCACCUUUUCUAGGGUAAAUUUCAUAUCUAUUAUUUACCGAGGGUUCAACUUUUAACUGAUGAGAGAAUGCAGAGAGAGAGAGAAUCUGUAAUUUGCCUUUUUUAACUUCGAAGGUGCCACAAGAUAUUGUUCUUUUAAGAUCACCUGACGGUGAGCACGGUUCAAGCAUGGAAACCUGCAAUCUAAAAUUAGGAGUGAAUUCAAUCUUCUUAAUUUGAGCGUAAGUAUUGGGCAUAUAAUCCCCAUCACAAUAUAUUGCCCAUAUCUGACCACACUGAAAAGUCUUUUCAGAUUUUUCCUUCUUAAAGUCGUAACAUGAUUCUCCAAACUGAGGAGUGUUGCUACUCUUCAGAUUAUUGCUGUUUUUUGAAUGAUUAACAGUCAACUUACAUGUCCUUUCAGUUGCAUCUCCUAGAACAUUUUUCUUGCUUAGAUCUUUAUGCAACUUAUUCAAUGUCUCUCCAUCAUAACUAUUUUUCUCGUGUUUCUGAGGUUUCUUGACCUUCCUCUCAUUAGUAUGGGUCGAAGCAGCGCUUCCUUCUGGGGGACUGUAGUCCCUGUGGUCAAUGUUUAUGUCAUCCUUUCUGACCGUGAAUUGAACAGUGCUUGCUUGGCCAUUGUCCAUAUUUUUUUGGCUCGAUCUUGGAGACCUUCUGAGAAUUUGUGCUGUUCUGUCGGCAUCAAUAGUCUCUUGCAACUUUGAUUUGUGAAUACUAUCAUUAGAAGUUGCCUGUUCAACUUUAGAGUUUGCAUAUUCCUGGUGGGAACAAUUGACUCCAUCCGUUUUCGCAACACCAGUAUCACCAACUUCAAAAAGACAAGUAGGCAGACCAGCAGGAUCAAGUUCAAAAGAUCCACUUGGAACACCUUUCCUUUCAGCACCUGUCAUCUUGUAAGAAGGAAUCCGAUGAGAGAACCUGUACAUCUCACGAGGUGAUACACAAAAUAAGCUAAUACCAUCUAAUACAGUAUGUUGAAAGAGACUAACAAACCCUGCCACUUUGCCAAGAUAAGCAACUUCAAUGCCUAAAUUUUCAUCAAAAUCUGAUAGAACUUCCACAUAUUCAAAUUCGUACUCAAAAUGCUUUUCUGGAUUUGAACUCCAUCCAAGAUCCCAAUGUCUGAAAAUUGCCCAAAUUUCUCCCUUCUUUGGGUAUAUCAGAUAAGUAGUCCUACUUCCUUUUAUGCAAUGCAUCUGAUGAGAGAACAUAAAACGAUCUGUAGUACUCUGAGAAUGACCAAGUCUGAACUUACCACAAGCAAUAGGCAAACCGGCUUUAUGCCAGUCAAUCUCACCUUGGUCAUCUGAGUCAGCUUCUAGCCAAGUAAUCCGCAACGUGAAAGGGGAGUAGACUUUCUUCACAAGAGCAUAGAAUCGUGGCAUACCAUCAAUAUUGUCAAAAAUAGCCCAUAAUUGAUUAACAGCAAAACAAUCCUCUGCCUUAUCUCUCUCAAAAUCACUGAAAUCUGCAUCAGGACAGACAAUCUCUGAAUUGGGAGAUAAAUUUGACUUCGAUGGAGAACAAUAGACAGCUUUAGACUUUCUAUCAUUGAGAUCUGAGUUCAAUACCUCCUUUCCUUGCACAUUAGUCUGCUCAACUUUGGCUCUAUUCCUUAUAAUUGUUUCUUCAUGUAGUGCACCUGCUUUAUUUCUUGUCUCCCCAUUCUGAUCACCAUCACCCGUUGCUGACACUUCUUUUUCCUCUACUCUAGGGAUGGUAGAUGAUUCAUGAUGUUGUGUACUUUUGGAUGAGCUUCCAAAAUCACCAGCUUUAUCAGUUUCUGGGUACAGAACAUGCUGUUUUUUCCUUGAAGUUUUCCUAGAAGGAUCAACCGUAUUUUCUUGAUCCUUGGAGUCUUUCAUGCCUUUACCAUCUCCAGCUUUGUUAUUAUUAUAUGAUCCUGACUGCCUUGCUCUUUUACAACCAACCUUCAUUGAGGCUCGCGAUUCCUUGGUUUUCGACGCUUUAACAUCAGCCUUUGUCACUCCUGCAGCCACAUGGCCAUUUCUGCCAUUUGCAACUUUAGAAUUGGCACCAACUCCCGCAGUGGAUUUUGACAUGGGCACACCCUCUUCUUCUCUACCACGAGAUUUUCCACCAUUGCCUUUUGAUGCUUCUUUAGACGAUGCAUGUUUUGCAGACCCUUCGUGAUUAUUGAAAGGUGACCAAUAUGUUUGUGCCACAUUGGGGUUCCCCAUAUCAUGAGCUGUAAAGGGUUUAGAACACUGUUGACAGCGUAUGGUCUGAUUUAAAAUAGUUUUGUAGUAUUGAUAUCUAGUAUUACAAUGACAACAACAUGUCCAGAAUGUCGAACUUUCAAACUGAUGAUAUGGAUUCCAAGCAUGAGACUGUGAAUUAAAAAUGUUCUGAUAAUUCCUUGCAUUUCCAUUUGGGUGACAAGGGGCGACCUUAGCUGCUGUAUUUCCCGCUGAAACUCCAAAUUUUGAAUCAUACAGAGUACGCUUUGAUUGAUCGGUUAACACUCUGUUAGCUUCACCAACCAACUUGAAAGCAGCCUCUGCACCAGCAGAUUUAUUUUUAUCAGGAUGAAGUAGCAAUGCAAGCUUUCUAUACUGUUUCUUAAUGGUUGCUUCAUCAGCAGAUUGUUGAGUCUGGAGAAUUCCAUACCAGUCCAUGUCAGACCCAGAGGGUUUCUUCUGAGCAGCACAGUGGACCUCACAAACUGCAAGGAUCUGAACAAUGUUUUGAAUAUCAGGAAACAGCCUUUGGGCUUUUGUAGCAAAUUUCAGCCCCCCUUCAUAGUCACCAGCUUGCAUCUUAUUUUCAGCAAUCUGCUUAGCCCUCACAGCUUCAUCUUUGUUGCACUCCAUCAGUUAGUUGAAAUCAAAACCCAAUUCACUGCAGUUCUCUGAAUUUCGUGACAACACAGAGAGGAAAGAACACCUGCCGAUUCAGAAAUUCACCACCCAGUCAGUGUGCAACAUUUUCACCUGACCAGCGCAAGCCAAACUGCAAAUGAACCAUUUAAUAAGAACUUCAUUCAUAACUUGAAUAAAGUAAAUAAAGACACAUUUAAUAUAAUAAUAUGUUUAAGUAACUAUCUAUCUCAGUAACAGCUAAAAAAUAGAUAUGAUGUCUAAACCAUUAAAUCCAGGAUGAAUAAAUUUUCAUUGCACCUCAAAUACUACCAAUCAGGUAAAGUUCUGCACCAUUAACACCCUGUAUGGCACAGCUUACAAUGCUAAGUUUACACCCUAUUUUGCUACCUCAACCCCAAAGCUUUUGCAUAAUCGUUUGGUCAUGUUGAAGACGAUAGUUCCUAGUCUUAGAAAACUUCAAGCAUUGGAAUAUGAAUCACACCGCCUAAGAAAACAUGUUAGGUCACCAUUUUCAAAACUAAGUGAAAACAAAUGUAACUCAGCUUUCUAAACCAUUCAUUCAAAUAUUAGGGGACCAAGGCUUGUCACAUCUUUUGAAUUUAGAUAUUUUGUAACCUUAAUUCAUGAAUUCUCCCAUUGUACUAGGGUUUAUUUAAUGAAAGACUUUUAAACUUUUGUCCAUAUUUAUGUCCUUUAAUUAAAUUAAGAACCAAUUUGGAAAAGUAAUUAAAUUCUCCUCUAGUAACAAUGCUAAAGAAUAUUUUUCCGUUAAACUUACUUCCUUCUUAUCCGCAUAAGAUAUUUGACAUAGUCUACUUGUCCUCUCACACACAGCUACAAAAUGGCAUUGUUGAGAGGAAAAAUAAACAUCUCAUUGAAACUGCAUACUCUCUAAUGUUGAAUAAAAAUGUUCAUCUACAUAAUUUGGGAGAUGAGAACAAGUUUUUUAAUAAAUAGAAUGCCUUCUUCCUCUCUUAAAAAUCGAAUUCCUCACUCUACCAUUUUUCCAAAUGAUCCCUUAUUUCAUGUUUCUCCUAAGGUAUUUGGUUGUACUAGUUUUGUUCAUAAUAUAUCUCCAAGUUCAGACAAACUCUCCACAAAGGCUAUUAAAUUUGUUUUUAUAGGAUAUUCUUGUCUUCAAAAGGAUACAAACGUUAUUCUCAAACUAUUAGAUGAUAAUAUAUGUCAAUUGGCCACCUUUACUUACAUACUGACACAGAACAGAAAGAGUUCCUCCCACUCUUCGAGAAGUCUUUACAAAAAGAGCUCCCUCCCACUCUUCGAGAAGUCUCUCAUGAUUUAGAACCUCCUCCUCCAGCUUCCCCAACCAUGGAUCUUUUUUCAUCAACUCUUUCACAUAACUCUUCAAAUUGGCCUAUUGCUCUUAAGAAAGGUAUUCAGUCUACUUGUAAUUCAUAUCCUAUUUAUAAUUUUUCGAGUUAUCAUUGUCUAUCUCCAACUAUUCUUUUAUUUAUUUUCUGUCUGCCACUAUUGUUCCCAAAAUUAUUCGAGAAACUUGAUCAUUCUGGUAACAAGUCAUGAUUGACGAAAUGUAGGCUCUUACAAGCCAUGGCACAUGGAAGCUUGUUCUUCUUCCAUCAGGAAAGAAGAUUGUCAGUUGUAGAUAGGUCUAUGUUGCUAAAGUUUGACCAAGUCAAGUGGUGAAGUUGAUCUUCUUAAAGAUCAAUUGUGGCCAAGGGAUAUACACAAAUAUAUGGACUUGACUCCUGUAAUACUGUCUCUCUCAUUGCUAAAAUUUAAACCAUUUGGUUUUUUCUUGCAAUUUGCUACUCAACAUUGGCCACUUCACUUACUUGACCUUAAAAAUGUUUUUCUUCAUAGUGAUCUUGAAGAGGAAAUUUACAUAGAGCAACCUCAUGGGUUUAUCACUUAAGGGGGUAACCUAUUCUAGUGUGCCGCUCUCUUUAUGGUCAAAAGCAUUCAUCCCAAGCUCGGUGAUAGUUUCCUAGAUAGAGGAAUCCAAGAACACCACUGCAAAACACCCAAACUCACUGAAAAGAUCAUGUAUUAUUGAUUUUAGGCACAAAGAACAGCAAGAAUGCCUCCAAGGGACAAUGUUCCCUUCACACAGGAUGCCAAUGAUCCUGUCAACAAUUCUCUAAAACAUCCAAAAACAUCCCCUGCCUACAAAGAAUGAAUGGUAUAGAAGCAAGAUCUGCAGGUGUUAUAACAUCAGGAAAUUCAGGAUAUGAUAUUGUAACUGCUCUAGUGGAUGCAGCCCUGGACACCAAGGCCUCAACUGGGUCGCUCCCUAACUCCACUGUUUUAACCCCAGGCCUCGACAAUUCUGCUCCCUCCUCAUCUGGUUUACUACUCUGUGCAGAUAUAUCCUCCUUCUUCUCUUCAUCAUUAGCCAAGUACUCUCCUUCUUUAGAGAAUUUCUUGCCUUUCUUGCUGUUUUGUAGACUAUCUUUCUCAGCAUCCAAUCCCGUUUUUCCCUUUUUCUUUCCUUUCAUGAGAUUUCUCACUUCCUUUUGAACCCCUUCCAUGAUUUAUGCGUUUCUGCGGCGUGUCUUUCUUUUCUUGGAUGAUUUCUCUUAUUUCUUGCACACUUUUUCUUUCUUUUCUGUCAUGGCUCUUCCUUGUUGGCCCCUUUCUCCAAAGUAUUUACUCUUUCUUCCAUCACCUCCGAAUACUUUUCAUAAAACCUCUGAACAUCUCCUUGAGUUCUUGAUCACCCUCUUUUAAUUCCUUUAUCGCCCUUUCUACUGCCCUAAUUCUUCCUUCCACUGUUUUCCCUUUUCUAGAUCUGGCAGGUGGGACCAAAUUGAUAGGUACCUAGAUAGAGGAUCCAAGAACACCACAGCAAAACACCCAAACUCACUAAAAGAACAGCAAUAAUGCCUCCAAGGGACAAUGUUCCCUUCACAUAGGAUGCCAAUGAUCCUAUCAACAAUUCUCUAAAACAUCCAAAAACAUCCCCUACCCAAACAAAAUACUCAAAUUAUAGGGCCUUAUGAUGUAGUUUGAGUUGUCCUAUUAAUAGAAGAUCUACAAGAUAUUGUCUAUUCAAUGGGCGAAAUAUUGUCUACUCAAAGAGCAAGAAACAAAAAUGUUGUUUUUUGAUCCAUAAUAAAAGCUAAAUGUAGAUAUAUGGUCCUAACUACUUAUGAACUUGUGCAGAUCAAACAACUCCUUCAAGCAAGGUUGUCAAACUCAAGAGUUUUUGUAAACUCAUGAGAGUUCGAUAAACUCGACUCGUAGACUCGACUCGUAGACUCGACUCGUAGACUUGUAAGAGUUUACUUUAUAUGAAAAAAAAAUAAAAAAUAAUAUUUUAAUUUAAAUAAAUCCACAAAUUUAUAUAAUUUCAAAUAAAUAAAAUCAUAAAAAUAUUGUUCAUAUAAAUAUUAUAAAACAUAAAUUAAAAUGUUGAGUGUAAUCCUUUAAUAAUGAAUUUGAUGGCUUUCAAAGCAUAAUAAAAUAAGUUUUUUCUCUACAAAACAUAAAAACCAAGCAGCAAAGGACUUUCUUUAGAACUUAAACACACUGCAACAUUGUACUUAACAUAGACACACAAACAACUAAACAAUGCAGAGACCAACUUGAAAACAAUGCAUAGCUAAACUUAAAAACAUAAGAAUUUGAGACAAUGACCACCACUAAUAAGGGUGAAACAGCGGCAUGCAAAGGAGGCACGCGACCACCACUGACAGUGAGAUGGUGGGCGACGACAAGCAAGGCACUCGCGACGGCAAACGAGUGAGCUCGCGAAGGCUCGAGCUAGGGCACAAAUGAAACCGCAAGGAACGAAAAAGAUGAAUUGAAAGAACAAAAGUAAACCCUCGAUGAAUCACAAGAGAGGAACGAAGAAGAUAAGCUUCGCCACUAAUCCUAAAUCAGAAAACCUAAUCAACCUAAUCCGAUGAGCCAAAAAUGACUUCCUUUUACAUUUUAAAAUUUUCUUCUCAAACUCGCCAAAUCAUAAGCAAGCUCGCGAUUUCAAGCGAGUCUAUCAAGUCCACCAAUGAAUCUAUCGAUUUUACACCAUUUCCAAGUUUGUUUCCGAGUUAACUCGAAAGCACUGAAUGAAGUCGUAAACUCGACUGAGAGUUAACUCGAGAAUUUGAUAACUAUACCUUUAAGUGAUGAAAUUUUGCAAAGCUAAGAAAAUGAAAUUGUGUUGUGAUAAUCAGGUAGCCUUUCAUAUUGCUUCCAACCCUUUGUUUCAUAAAGUACCAAACACAAUGAUUGAUUGUCAUUUUAUUCUCUCACCAAGUCUUUGAGAAGACCUCAAAUUCGAUGUUCAAAGCUUAGUGCACACAAUUUGUAUACUUCAACUUGAAUGGGAGUUUUAAAAUUAUGACAAUUAUAGUAUUGUACAACUUACAUUAAGUUUUCUAUGAGUACCUAGUUUUAGGUUAGGGAACAUAGAUCGAACCUUCCUCUUUGAGAUGGACUUGUACUCAUCCUUAUAUAUAUAUAUAUAUAUAUAUAUAUAUAUAUAUAGACACACACACACUAGCUAAAAGUAUACACUCAUUGAUUUUUUAAAUCACUUCAAGUAGAAUUAAGAGCAUCACAGAGAUGCUUGGAGUGUUUCUUUAAACAGAGAAACACUUUCUAGAAGAAACUUUACUCAUGGAGAUAGCGUUACCAAGCACCAAGGUUUCUUAUUAAAGGCAUGAUUGCUUAUGUGAUAGUCCAAGUAAUUAAGUUAACAAAUCUUAAUAGUUGGUUCCAUUCAGUAAUGAUAUCUUUGGACAUACUUUUUUACAUCAACUCCUAAGCAAUGUAUAGUCUUUUGAACAUAUGAAACAAGUUUAUACAAACUUCUCUAAAAAUACUUAUAAGAGAAGAGAAUAAAAAACAAUAAAUAAGUUACUUUCUAAUCUAAAACUAGUUUUUAUAUCAAUAUCAAAAACAAUAAAAAUAAGACCAAGCAUAUAAUAAUUUAUUGAAAUUUGCAGACAAGUAUCUCCUACCCCAACUUAUAACUAACUUAAAAUCAACUUUUUGGAAUGAGAAAUUCCACAAACUAGCUCACAAAUAAGCGAUUUUAUCCAAAAUCAGUUUACUUAUUAUUCUUCUUCCUACAUAACCUUUAUAAAUUACCCACAUUUAGCUUCUGAAGAACCUAAAUGACAGAUAUUCCAACGUCACCUUAUACUUAAACUAUUUUGAGUUACCUUAGACAAACUUAUUUUAUUUUUUUCUCCUUAUGUUCUUCUUGGCUGCUGUUCAGAUGCCUAUAUAAAUAAAACCUCAGAAAAAGAAAAGAAAAGGAAAAACGCGUUUCCCUAAGCUAUAAAGAAAAACAUAUCCUUGCACAAAAUAUGAAAAAAAAAAAAAAAACAAAGUUUUACAUAGACAUGAUAACGAUAAUGAUGAUAACAACACACUGAUAAUGUAAAUUUUAGACAACACUGAAAUUUGCAAAGCUGACAAAAAACAUAACCUAAACCCUAACAGAGGAAAUGAGUGAACAAAAUAAAGAGUAAAUAAAGGAGCAUAAGAAAUCGUUUUGUUUGACCUAAAACACUAAGGCACAGCCAGAUCGGUGAGGAAACUCGCUUGCACAGCAACCGCUACGCCAUUGAAACGAGUGGGAAAGAGAUAAACAGUUAACCUCACUGUAUAUAGUACGCUAAUCACACUCACUCACUCCCAGCCGUAGAGAUAAAAGCGGGAAGUGAAAAAGUGAGAAUAGAACAAAGGGAAAAAUUCUGACCGUUUUUUAUUAUCAGAAGAAACGGGCCCUUGUAAUCUCCUCUAAUUUUAUAUUUCUCCUACUUCUCGGAAACUUCCAGAGAAUUAUAGGAUAUCGUCGAUAAUUUUAACAAGGAGAUGAUAAAUAAAUACCUCAUUUAUAAAUAUCAACAUUAUAUUAAGUAUAGAAACGGAUAGGAAAAUAAAAAUAAUGUAAUUUAAUUCUUAUUAUUUAAUUAUAUAAUUUAUUUCAAUUUUUACAUUUUUACUUUUAAUUAAUUUUUCUAUGUAAUAUUUUGGUCAAUUUUAUCGAAAAUGUUUAAGUUUUAGAAAUCUAUUAUCUAAUUUAUUCUUAACUGUUUAUACUAAAAGUACUUAAUUCAACUCAACAAUCAAUCUAACAUUAUAUAUAAAGAAACUCUUCAUCGUAUCUCCCAUAUAACUAUGAUCUAUGAAUAGUAUUUACUCGUUCUCACAUUUGUAAUAAAAAAAUUUAUAUUCACUUUAUUAUUUGUUUAAAAUGUUUAUAUGUAUUUUAAAACAUGUGAGUAUUAAAACAGAUAUUUUAUAAACUUUUAAUAAAAUUAAAAAUACAUAAAAUAUAAUAUAAAUUAAAUUAAAUGAAUUAAAAUUUAUUUUAAUUAAAUUUAAAACAAUAUAAUAUAAAUUAAUUUUAAAUAUAACUUAAUAUAUGGAUACUCACAUUUAAUUUUAGGAAAAUGAUAUUUUGACACUGCACACGUCUUUGUUUCAGUUUUUUUAAUUUGAAAUCGUCCAACCACGUUUUGACAUGUGUGCAGUAUCAAAAUAAUGUCAAAAAUUGGUGUCAAAAUAUUAUUUUUCUUAAUUUUAUAUCUAACCCAUUUACAAAUAAAUAUUAAAAUAUUCAUUGUUCGAAUAAUACAUACUCACAUAUACUAAUUAUUCGUCAUUAUCAUAAAUUAUUUGUUAUAAAUUUUAUGUGAAUAUAAGACAAACACAAACAUUUACAUCUACUAUUUAAUUUUAUUGAUCCUAUUUAAUCCUAGGAUAAUCUAUCAAAUACAAAAAUAAAGUAAAGAAUUAUAAAUAUAAUUACUUUUUUCUUUAUAAGUAAUAAGAAAAAUUAGUUUGACAUAAAUUGCAAACAUUUUAGUUAUUAAUUACUAUUGAUUUAACAAAAGUUCUCUCCAAUUUUUUUCUUUGCAAUAAAAGUAAAAUGACUGGUAUUAAAUGAGGAUUGGUGAUAUUAAAAUUAAUCCUAUUAUAAGUUUAGUAAUAUAAUUUUAAUGUAAGAUAUUUUAUUUAUGUAAUGUAUAUUUCAAAGAUGCAUGAUAGUAUAUUGGUGUAACAAGUCAAUGAUGACAACUGUUUGAGUGGGUUGGAUACACUAUGUAUCCCAUUCACCUAAAAAAUUUAUUUCGCUUUUCAUCUCGUUAUUUGUGUGGCAUGUGAAAAAGAAUAUACGGUAUUUAAUACCUGCAAAUAUUUUUAUAUUUUAUUUUUUAAUUUUAAAUAUAAAAAAAUUAUUUAAAAUCAAACUUUUAAAAUAAAAAUAUUUUAAAAUAUUAUUCAAAUCAAAUUAUUUACAAAAGUGUUAAUAUAAUAUUAAUAUAAAUGAGUUGAGGCCCGUAUAAAUUUUCACAAAUAUAUCUUUUAAAAAUAGCUUAAAUUUUAUAACCUACAUAAUAAAUAAAAUAUAUAAAGUUCAAUUUUAACUCAUUCUUCAAUAAUUAUUAUUUGUUACUAAUAAUUUUAUUUUGAUCAUUUAAUUUUUAAAAAUAUAUUAAAAUAAAACUUAAUAGUAAUUAUUAUUAAAAGAAUAACUGAGUGAGGAGCAUAUAUCUACGAAUAUUCGCAAAUGAGAUAUCACUACUCUAUUCAUUCCUUAGUAAAUCUUCAUUAUCCACGAAUAUUUAUUAAAGAUAAUUAUUUAAUAUCAGUAACGAAUUUUAUCAGUAAAUAUUCAUAAAUACAAGAUUCUUUUUUAUCUUUUAUGUAAUAAUAGAAUUAAUUAGUUGUUUGUAACGAAUUGUUUUGUUGUCAAUUAAUUAUGUUUUCUAAUAAAAGCAAUAUCUAAUGCAUAAUAAUUGAUAAAAAGUAAGUUUUAGCAUCAUCUAAAUUUAAGCACAAUGUAAAAUAAAAACAAAUAGCUUACAAGUAAAAAACAAAACUAAAAUGAUUAUAAAAGAAAAGAAGUUGAAAAACUUACCUUGAAUUUGACAUGCCAGUCUUCGCUUGCAGUUAGAUUCACUUAAAUAAUUCUAACAUUGUUUAGAACAAAGUUUUAUAUAAAGGAAUAGAAAAUUUGAAAACUGAUAUAUUCAAUGUGGAACUUCAAGAUAUUCAAAACCACAUCCUGACAUUAUAUUGUGUGCAAAAGAUGUUAUCCAAACCAAAUUCAAAUGCUAAAAAAAACAUAUAAGCAUAAUUUUCCAUUGACAACUACUCGGAUACAUUACGUGUGUACUUUAUAAAUCCAGUCUGCUAUGCAAAAAUGUAUUUUUAGCAUCAAUAACGUAAAUCUCCACUAUUAGCAAUGAUGGAACGUGGAGUAGAGAGAAAACAGAACUUAAGGAGAUAACAUCAAUCCUCUUCUUUAGUAAAUCAAAGCUUUCAAUCUUCCAAGCCUUUGUAAAAAUGUCAGCUAUUUGCUCUUCAGUCUUGUCGUAUAUUAAGACUGUACUUCCUUUGUUCACUAAUUCUCUUAAGAAAUGGUACUUAACUUUUAUAUGUUUUCUUCUGCUAUCAUUGGGUUCUUGGACAAAUUUAUGGUAGAAAUAUUGUAUAUUCUUAGCUGUAGUGGAAGUUUUUAUAGGAACCAUCAAUUCCUUUAGUAAUUCUUCCAGCCACACUCCUUGACAAGCUGCAAAACUCUCUGUAAUGUACUCUGCUUCACAACUGAAUAAAACAACUACUGGUUGCUUUUUAGAACACCAAGCAAUAGGUGCAUUAUUCAACAAAAAUAUGUAUCCAUAAGUGCUCUUCCUUUCCAUUGGAUGACCACCAUGAUCCGAAUCAGUGUAGCCAACCAAUUCUAACUCGGAUUUAUGUCUUCCAAUGGGAGAUAGGAUUCCAUGAUCAACUGUGCCUUGAACGUGGCUCUGAUACCAAUUUGAUGGAACGUGGAGUAGCAGAGAGUAGGGUUGGGCAUAAAUAACUAAAAUGUACCAAAUUAUAUCAAAUUACAGUUAAGUGUAGUUUUAAUAAACUACAAAAAACUGAACUAAUAUCAGUUAACUAAUAACUAAACUUUUUUCACAUUAUAAGUUUAAGACAAUUGCUCCUUGAGACUGUUGCUCAUCUGCGAGAUCGGAGUGAGAGCAUGACCUCAUCCAAAUGAGAUCUGUCCAAAUUCAACCAAAGAAAUAAUUGAAGAGACAAGUCAAGCUGGUUAUGAAUUGAAGCAUGGAAUGAAGUGAAAAAAUAAUACCUUUGAGACGCUCACUCCAAAAAGUGCUUCAACUUUGGUAGACACAAGAGCCUCGGUGAUAUUUUCACCAAGCCCAAAUUGAUCGCGUUUGGACUUCUCCCACACCCACACUGAAUCGUCAUCCCAACGACGGCAGAAGCAACACCAGAAGCAAAAGCAACACACACUUUCACACUCUCUAAUCCCUGCACUCUCUCUGGUUCAUGCCAUGAUUCUCUACCAAAUACCUUAAAAAACUGCUUCUCAAAAUAACCAACAAAACUGGACUCACUUUACUUUACUCUUCUUUACUUUACUUACCUGGAAGAUGGGUUGUGCCCGAGUUGGGCCUCGUUGUUUCGGCGACUGGCAUUUUUUGUUGCAAGAGUGAGAGAACAGUGAAGGGGAAUUUGAAGAUUAACAGUUAACUGGUUAACUGCACUGAAAGGUGUAAAGUUCAGUUUCUUUUAACUGAACUAUAAAAUAGUUUAAUUAGUUUGUAGUUAAAAUAAGUUUAAUUGUUUUAAGUACAUUAUAGUAUGGUUAACUGUAGUUUUAGUACAGUUUAUUGAACUAUGCCCACCCCUAGCAAAGAGAAAACAAAACUAGAAUCUUGACUCCCUUCUUCCUUCUUUGCCUCAAUCACUCUGAUCGACUGCAUUGUAUCGUGAUUCUGAAGCUUCUUAGGUCCUCACUCAACCGGGCACUGAUACCAAUUUGAUGGAAAGUGGAGUAGCAGAGAGAAAACAGAACCAGAACCAUAAAAAAAUAGAGAUAAAGACAGACUUUUAAUAUUGAACUAAAUGUAUAGAAUUUCAUAUUAACUAAAACUGGAACAAGUAAAAAGGUUUUUAUAAUAGCAAUGUACAAGUGUUAAGAUAAUUUAUUUUAAUGACAAUUGUCUUGGCUUAUUAUACAUUAAUAAGUAAAGCAUGACAUGUGACAUAAGAGCUUAAAUAAGUUUUAUGUAAUCAUUUUUAAUGAGUUCUUGAUAAAUUAUUUUUUUUAAAAUUGAUUUGCUAAUAAAUUAUAAAAAUUUAAAGUCUCUACAAAAAUGUAUUUAUGUUAUUUUUAAUACUAUAUUAUAUUUAUUUAUAGAAUGUAGGAGAUUGUUAUUAUAUGAUCAAAUUAUAAUAUAUAACUGAAAUCCAAAUUUUGUGUGAUAUGUUAGUUUUUUUAAGUUAAGUUACACUUAAAAAUAUAUUUACAAGACAAUACUAAAGUUUACCAAAUAUAUGUUUUAGCGAUGUUCGUUGAACUUAUUAUGGUACUUGUAUUGAAUCUCAUUUAUUUUCACAUCCAAGAUAUUUAAUCUUUAGUCUAAGGUGUGUAUUGAAAUUUAACAUUGUUUAGAAAUAUGAUCGUAUUAUGAUAUAUAAGUAAGGGUGUAAAUCUUAUCUUUGACAUUGAGCUAAACUAAAGAAUUUCAUUUUCGUAAUAUAGUAUAAAAACUUAUCCAGAUUUCUACUCACAAAAUUUGUUUGGCUUUUUAUAUCAUAUUGUUGUGUCUCUUUCUAUUUUCACUGUGUAUGUCCUUAAUGUGAAUAAUUAUAUGGUGAAAUUAUAAUAUAUUAGAGUAGGGUACACACCUUGUCAAGAGAGAUGUUGUAGAAUCCUAUAUCGGCAAAUGAUAAAAUAACACACACACAUUGUGAGAUUGAGCUAGACUAAUAGUUUCAUUUUCAUAAUAUAGUAUUAAAACUUAUCAAUGCUUAUACUCACAAUAUUUGUUUGACUUUUUAUAUCACAAAAUCUUAUCUCUCUCUAUUUCCACCAUGUAUGUCCUUAAUAUGAGUGGUGUGUUACACACCCUACAGAGAAUAAUGAUAUAGUGAAAUCAUAAUAUAUUAGAACAUGGUACAAACCUCGUCAAGAGAAAUGUUAUAGAGUUCCAUAUCGACAGGUGAUCAUGUAAAAUUAAUACACACAUAUAAAUAUACAUACAUACAUGUGCGUGUGUAAAAUUAAUACACACAUAUAAAUAUACAUACAUACAUGUGUGUGUGCGUAUGUGUAUAUGUAUGUGUGUUUAUACGCAUACAUAUGUAUAUAUGUAUGUAUGUAUGCAUAUGUGUAUGUAUGUAUGUGUGUAUGUGUUAGCCUUAGUUUGCUUCUACAAUUACCAUACACAUAAAGAAAGAAAAGUGAGGGAGGUAGUCGUUUGUUUCAAGGGAUUUGCAUUAAUUUGUGAGUGCAGAUUUAAGGAUGAGUAUAAAAUACGCACCCUCCCAUGGAUGAGAAGAAAAGGUGAGAAAGUGAUUGAAGUUACAAAAUUAUCCUUUCAUAUCUAGUAUGCAUUUUCAAAUGUGAUUGAAGUUACAAAAUUAUCCUUUCAUAUCUAGUAUGCAUUUUCAAAUUUCACAAUGUGAUGGUAUGCUCCUAAUGCAAAUAUUAAUCAUAAAACUCCACAACAUAUUAGAACAGGUUACACACCUUGUCAAGAGAAAUGUUGUAGAAUCCCAUAUCGGUGGAUGAUAAUAUAUAUAUAUAUAUAUAUAUAUAUAUAUAUAUAGAGAGAGAGAGAGAGAUAUAUAUGUAUAUAUAUAUAUAUAGAUACAUAUAUAUAUAUAUAUAUAUAUAUAUAUAUAUACAUACAUACAUACAUAUAUAUAUACAUAUAUAUAUAUAUAUAUAUAUACAUAUAUAUAUAUAUACAUACACACACACACACAUAUAUAUAUAUAUACACACACAUUGUGAGAUUGAGUUAGACUAAUAUUUUCAUUUUCACAAUAUAAUAUUAAAACUUAUCAAUGCUUAUACUCACAAUAUUUGUUUAACUUUUUAUAUCACAAAAUUGUGUUUCUCUCUAUUUCCACCGUGUAUGUCCUUAAUGUGAGUGGUGUGUUACACACCCUACAUAGAAUAAUGAUAUAAUGAAAUUAUAAUAUAUUAGAACAUGGUACAAACAUCGUCAAGAGAAAUGUUACAGAGUCCCACAUCAGCAGGUGAUAAUGUAAAAUUAAUAUACACAUAUAAAUAUACAUACAUACAUACAUACAUACAUACAUACAUACAUAUAUAUAUAUAUAUAUAUAUAUAUAUAUAUAUUUGUGUGUGUAUGUGUAUGUAUGUGUGUGUGCGUAUUUGUAUAUGUAUAUGUAUGUGUAUGUGUAUGUAUGUAUGUGCGUGUGCGUAUGUGUUAGCCUUAGUUUUCUUUUACAAUUAUCCUAUACAUAAAGAAAGAAAAGUGAGGGAGGCAGUCGUUUGUUUCAAGGGAAUUGCAUUGAUAUGUGAGUGCAGAUUUAAGGAUGAGUAUGAAAUACGCACCCUUGCAUGGAUGAGAAGAAAAAGUGAGAAAGUGAUUGAAGUUACAAAAUUAUCCUUUCAUAUAUAGUAUGCAUUUUCAAAUUUUGCAGUGUACUGACGUGCUCCUAAUGCAAAUAUUAAUCAUAAAACUCCACAACAUAUGCUAUAUGGGAGUGAGAAUGUAUGCAUUACCCAACCACUAUAGGUUAAUACACUUAUAGUCACACUGUAGACGUUUUAUUUUCUAUUCUCAUAGUUGAAAUUCCUCUUUAAUGUUGAAAUCAUUUAACACUCUACUACAAUAGUUGACUUAUUGGGAUUACAAAUCUAAUUUUUAUAACAAGUGCACUGGAUUCAAUUAAAGCAUAACAAGGUUGCAUCCACAUAGAUUUGGUUUGUAUAAAACAAUAACUUAUGAACUAUUUGAAUUCACAACUGGCAAGAAAAAAAAAUUGCUUAAUGAUUGAUGUAAUUGAUGAUGAUAAGAAUAUUGGGAUUGAAAUAUUCUUCUACUGCAUUAUUAUUUAAUCACUAAGUUAUUUUCAUUACUUUAGUGUUUUUGAAAGUGCUCUUUAUAAUAAUCCAAAAUCUAGUAUUUUCAUUUAAAACCAAAGGUUAUCAAACUCAGUGUGAUUCCUCAAUCCCUGAUUAAAUGACCCCUUUCAUUAAGAACAUGAUUAUAUAUUAAGCUAAAUUAGUUAAAUAUAUUCCUAGCAUCUAGCAAUAUUAAGAUAUUUAAUGGGAUACUUAAACCAAUUUCCACUCUAUUUAAGUUGAUGAAGUAAGAUGAGUGAUCAAGUAGUAAUCAAACAAUGAAAAUAAAACAAAUCACCAACAUAUAAAGCAAACAAGUAACACAUAUUAAAUAAACAACAAUGUAGAGAAUUAAAGAAGCUUACAUUCAAUCCCAAUAAUAUAAAGUCUAGAUGCUCAUGAUAAUGAAUUCAAGUUCAAGCAUUUAGAAUUGGUAUCCUCUUCCCAUGGUUCUUUUAACAUUUAUUACAAAGAGUGUAUGAAAAUCAACAUAGAAAUAACAGAGUAAGACUAUGUUUUUAUAGAAAUUAAAAGGUAGUAAUAGCUCCAAUAAUGGUGGUCAGCCUUUGAUGUUUCCUUCCUAUGUGCUUUUCUCCUAGCUUGAAACUCUAGUCUGGUUGUCAGUGUGGAAACUUUCUUUCCUAAGAGAGUUUCCUUUUAAGCUUACUUGUCAACUAUGGUGCUUGAAGUUUCUUUACAGUGAAGGUUUCUUCUUUGAGGCUUAACGCAAUAGGGGCUAUAUUUGAAUCUUUGUUAAAUCACCUUUUGGUGCUCAAUAUCUACAAAAUCAAAAACACAUUAGUUUUCCCAUUUUCUUACUUCUUUACUCCUCGUUAUGUAAUUCUAGGUAAAAGGGGUAUGAUUAUAAUAAAAAAAUAUAUCAAUUUCAUGCAUGAUAGUUGUCAAAAGUACAUGUGAAAUUAAGAAAGCUAGACGAUUAAUAUACUACUAAAAAAUAUACAUUUUACAUUCAUUAUUUAUAGUAUGUUACAUUGGUUAAGUAAUUGAUGUAAAGGUAAAAGAUGAAAAAGGUAAAACACAUUUUACAUCGAUUUUUAUGUCUUUACGAAUUAUAUCAAUAUUGCAACAGUUUCAAAUUUCAACUCAUGUAAAGGUAGAGUGACAAAGCCAAAAUAAAUAAAUAAUUUGAGUAUUUAUUAAGUUGGUUGUUUUCAUUGACCAAUGUAAUAUACCUCAUAAAACUAUCUUUAAAUGUGUAUAUUACAUGGGAUGACCUUCUAACCGAUAUAAUAUGCAUGUUUUUUUUAUAUGACUACAUUUGAUUCUUUCACAACCUCUUAUUGUCAAUAAUAAAAAAAGAAAGCAAUUGAAAAGAGUGGAAAAUUAUAGUAUGAGAGUGGACAUUCUGAAAGAUGAGGGUCCAUCGUUGUUAAUGAGAAGGUUUAUGGGAUGCCAGAAAAAUUAGCAAAAUAUGAAAUUGUUACAAUUCAAAUUGACAAAUUUGGAGGCUAGUUAUAUAUGAUGAAGGUGGAAAUUUUGAAAAGUGAAUUGAAUAUACCGAAACUUUUAAGGACAAAAUGAAAUGACAAUAGUUUUAAAGACGUUUUCUCUAUAACUUAUUUUAAAGGGACUCGCCACUCUAACUCAUUUAUGCCAUGAUCAUUCUUGAUAGACACAUAAUCUUCUUUUUACUACAAAUUAUAAUUGUAGAAUUCCUUUUGCAAAAGUGUUUAUCAUCAACCAAACAUCUUCAUUCAAUGUUUGAAGGCUAAAUUCUAUUGUCUUUCAAUUGAUAACCCAAUGUAAAUAGUAAUUUUGUACACCUAAAAAUUAUUUAGCACAUUAUCUUUUAUAAGAUAAAAUUGAUUACACCAAGGUAGUAGAUACAUAUUGACUUUCGGCAUAGAUCGACUUGGCUUAACUUUCAGCUAGGGUUAGCCCGAGUCUACUCAACUCGGCUCGACUUUUAACACUUACAAACUUGACUUGACUUUUGGUGUUGGCAGACUUGAGUUGACCUUGAGCCCAAACAGACUCGAAUGAACCCAUUGUCUUUUUCACUUAGGCUGACUCAACUUGACUCUUGUGUUGACUCAGCUUGAUUCUUGGCCUAUACCAACUCUACUCGACCCUUGGAUCCAAGAUGACUUUGUUUGACUAGGUCAAGUCAAGUUAGUCUGAAUCCAAGUUGGCUUAAGUUAUCUUUUGUCGAGAUUGAGUUGAGGUGAUCCAAAUCUAAGUUGAGUCAAGUGAGCCGAACCUAGGUUGACAUAAGUCAAUCUAACUUCAGAUUGAGCCGAGCUAGUUCGAACCCAAAUUGAAUUGAGUUAGUCCAAGAUAAAAGUCGAGCUGAGUUGGGUUGAACUAAGUUCGUUAUUACCUAAAGCAACCUAAAUCAGCCUAAAUCCAUUUGUAAUCAAGUCAUUUUAGUCCAUGUCUAUAAAUUUAAUAGUUAAUUUUAUUAUAUUAAUUUUUUUAGAUUUAAUUUAAUUGACAAAGCAAAUUAAUUUAUAUUUAAUCCAAUUUAAAUUGAAUUGAAAAAAAAUCCAAAUAUAGUAUGUAUUAAAAACAUAUAUAAAUUAUAAACUUGAUGUGUAUUAUAUUUAGAUUUGGAUCUUUAAAAUAUAUUAUUUAAUUAUAAUUAUUAGUUAAUAUUACGGUUGAAUAAUUGAACCGAGCAUCAUUGCGUUCAUUAUUUAUAAAAUUUUACAAAUAUUAUUUAAUCUUCAUAUUUUUCUUCUUUCUUAUUAGUUGACAUGAAAAAACACUUUAAAAUUCGUUUGGUAAAAAUAAAAUAAAAUAAUAAGAUAAAAAUUAGAUAAACAUUAUUUUUAUCUAAUAAUACGAUCACAUAAUAAUAUAUAUCGAUGACAAUGAUAAUAAUUAUAAUAAUAAUAAUAGCGAUGAUAAUAAUAAUAAGACUAAUAAUAAUUAUGAAUUUACAAUAAUAGUAUAAGAUUAACAAUAACUUUCACAUGUCAUUUGUUGAAAAUUAUAUUAUACACUACUUUCAUAAAGUAUAAAAAAUGAGUUGUAAGAGAGUUUAAUGAAAAAAUACGAGUUUAACUUAUAUAAAGGAUUAGUAUCACUUCUAAAAUAAAAUAAAAUAAAAUAAGACAAUGGAUUAAAAUAUAACUUUCACACAUUGUUUGUCGAUAAUGAUGUUUUACAUUACUUUUAUAAAAUAUAAGAACAAUUAGUCUUUAGAGAGGGAGUUUAAUGAGGAAAUAUAACACAAAUUGAGUUUAACCCACAUAUAAGAUUGAUAUCGCUUUCAAUCUAAAACCUUAAGAUGAUUGACUAAAAUAUAACCUUCACAUGUCCUUUAUUGAGGAUGAUGUUUUACAUUACUUUCAUAAAAUAUAAGAACAAUUUGUCUUUAGAUAUGGAGUUUUGUGAGAAGAUACAACAUCGAAUGGAGUCUGACUUCUAUCUUAUAUGUUGCUCAAUUUUUUCAUUUUUAGAGAAAACAUCACCAAUCAAAUCUGACUCUAGACAAAUAAGUAAUUGACAUUACUCUUUAUCUAAAACCUUAAAAUAAUAAAUUAAUGGGUAUUCAUGUUUAUAUACUGUUUCACUUUCUCAUUUUUACUCAAUGUGGGAUUUAGACUUAUACUUUAAUUCUCAAUACUACUUGUAUAAGUUUCUCACCAAGAUCCAUGAUUUCUGAUAUCACUAAUUGGUUUAUCAAGAAAAAAAAUUCAUCGUAAUAAAUAAACAUAAAUUUUUAUAAUAAUUUAGAAACUAAAAUAUAUUUAACUUUUAAACAAAUAUUUAAAAAUAAAAUAUUUUUUUUUCUAGCAAUUAUGAUCUCCAACAUUCGAAAAUAAAAUUCAUCAAGAGCUUCUCAAAUAAGCACCAAAUUUAAUUUAUAUUAUAAUAUUUAUAUUUUUGGUAAUAUAAAAAACACGAUAAUAUUUCACAAAAUAAUUCAUUUAUUAAAUUAAAUAUCCAUAUCAAAUAUAAUAUUUUCAUAAAAAAAAAAUCAAAACAUUUGCUUGUGUGAUUCCGUAAGUUGAAUAAUACUAACUGAGCAUAAAUAACAUUAUUCAAGACAACUCAAUUCAAGUAUUGAUAAAUUCUUGUUUGUGAAUUAGCGUAAUUGAUUUCAUUAUACAUAAAAUUAAUAAAAAUAGUUAAAUUCAUUAAUAACAUAAAUAAUAAUUAAUCUCAUACUUGAAGAUGUUUUUGGGAAAAUAAAGCAAGACUUGUGUGAAAGGGGUGUACUGUCCCAUAUGCUGAAGAAAAUCUCAGGCCAUCAUAAAUAUUUUACUUCCUUUUUAUUAAACUCAGAAAAACGACUAAAAAUUAAAAUACAUUAAUUUAUCACACCUUUUGUAUACUUUUCUUACAAAAAAAAAUGUUUUUUUUUUCUUUUAUGAAGAAAGAAACAAUGCAGGGAAUUCUUAGAGAAAUGAGAAGCCUCCACCAAGUCGUAGCAUUUUAUUGAAGAAACAUCUUCAAAACUUGGAUAAAACAAUUUCUCGCAUAAAUUCUAUAGGAGCUGCACACAAAAAAAUAAGAUCACAUAAUGAACUUUACACCAGAUUCAUACAUUAAACUCAACUAAUACACCAAAUUCAAUUGCUGCAAGGUAAUCAAUAAUGCUAUUUUUUAAGUUAAAUAUAUUUUCCAUGUCUAAAUUAUUAUAAAAAAUUGUUUUUUAAUCUUAUACUAUAUAAAAUUUACGCAUAAUAUAUUUUUGGGUUAAAUAUGUUUUGGUCCUUUAACUUGUGAAAAUUUGAAUUAGUCCAUCCUCAAAACUUUGACCUAAUUUAGUCCCCCAACUAUAGAAAUAUAUGAAUUUAGUCCUUUUAACUAAAUUUUGUUAGAUUUAUUUCAUGAUAGCAUUUGGAUUCUUGACACUAUUCGACACAUUUUUGUUUCAAUUUAACUAAGAAACGCAUUUGAAAUAUCAAAUAAAGUUAAUAAUUUUGGUUAAAAAGACUAAAUUUAUACAUUUCUAAAAUUGGGAGACUACAUUAUGUCAAAGUUUUGAAAAAAAAUUAAUUCCAAUUUUUACUUAAAGCUAAAGAAUCAAAACCAUAUUUAACCCUAUAUUUUUAAACAAAUAAUAUGUAAAAGUUAUAUAGUUUGGUGACGAGAAACUUUAACUUUUUUAUAGUUAACAAAUAAAAAAAAAAAAGUUUGAUGAUGCAGAUAACUCCUUUAAAAGAAAAAGAAUUUUGUACCUUCUAAGCCCGUGAAAAGAUUAAACUGACCAAUAGCCUGCCUUAGGAACAUUUCUACCCCACCCACAGUUUUUGCUCCUGCAGCAUCUGCUUCCUUCAAUAAUCUUGUUCUUCUUGGUGUAUAUACAGCAUCAAACACUAACAAGUAAUGUUCCAAAGUUGACUGCAAGAAGAGGGCAGCAUCAACAAUUUUUAAUGACAUUAAAAUUGAAGUUUCACUUUUUAUAAAUUGGUUUAAACCUCUUUUUGGUCCCUAAGUUAUAAGGGAUGUUCAGUUUAGUCCUCGUUUUUAAAAAUGUAAAUAUUUGGUCCCUAAGUUAUAAAAAAUGUAUUAAAUGAGUUCUUUUUUGACUCGAAAUACUGUUUUUGGUUGUUUCUUAACAACUGUUAUAUCUUUAGAUUACUCUGAUUUGUUUCUUAAUAAUAAGAGCACUUUAGAUUGCUCUUUGUAGUUUGACCAUGAACAUCAAAAAAGGACUCAUUUGAUACAUUUUUUAUAACUUACGAAUCAAAUGUUUACAUUUUUAAAAGCGGAGACUAAAUUGAACAUCCGCUCAUAACAUAGGGACCAAAAAGAGGUUUAAACCUUAUAAAUUUGAUGAAAACUUUUGUUAAAAGAGAUUAAUCACAUGAUGAGUUCUAACCAUAGGUUUAAUAUUAUAUUAAGAAAGAUUUUAAAUUUAACUCAAUCUCAUAAAACUAACUUAUAAAAUGAGAUUUGCAUCUUUUUAUAUAUAUUUUAAAUUGGUUUUGUUUCUUUUGUUGAUAUGGAACUUUAAAGAAAAUUUGUUUUUUUUAUGACAUCACAAAAACCUAUCAAAAUAAGAUUUACUAUGAUAGGUAAACGAGUAGUCGUGGUUGUAAUUCUAACUUACUAUGACAAAUUUUUGAAAAUUUAUAUAAAUUCAACUUGCUAUAACAUAUUCUUGAAAACAUGUUCAACUUACUAUAACAUAUUUUUGAAAACUGAGAUAAUAAGUUCAGUUUAUUAUAACACAUUACUAUGACACAUUUUGGAUCUCUUCAAAUAACGCUUCAAUUUUACUAGAAAAUAACAUUAAAAAAUUGUAUCUAUGUUUUUGUGAUAAUUUAGUUGAAUAAAGAGUGUAGAACCUCUGCCACCGGAAUUCUGUCAGUAUUUGGAUGCAUUCCUAUAGGUGUUGCAUUUGCAAGAAUUGCCCCUUUCUCUGGCUCAAAGUUCACCAACUCUUUGUAAGGCUGAGCCUCACCAGAUACAGCACAGGCAAGAGAUUUUGCUCUGUCUUUUUAAACAAAAAUAGAGAAUAACAGAACAUUUGUCAAUGGAAAAAUGAUAAUAACAACGUGCAAUAGAAACGCAGACAUAAGAGUGAACAUACAAACUAACAUAGUAAAUGCCCUUAACAAAACAUAAAGAUGUUGGUAAAACUUAUUAGAAGUGGAUUUUAAGUCUAAUUUAAUUCUACAAAACUAACGUAUAUGGUAGGAUUAAAUCUUGUUAGAAGUCUCACAUCGAUUAAAGAAUAACAAAACAUUUGUCAAUGCAAAAAUGAUAAUAACAAUGUACAAUAGAAACACAGACACAAGAGUGAACAUACAAACUAACAAACAUAGUAAAUGCCCUUAACAAAACAUAAACUCCAGGGCAGAGGAGAUGUUGGUAAAACUUAUUAGAAGGUGGAUUUUAAGUCUAACUUAAUCCUACAAAAUUAGUGUAUAUGAUAAGAUUUGCACCUCACUUAUAUAUUAUAAAUUGGACUUAUCUCUAGUCGACGUGGGACUUCUAACAAAACUUAAGCUCUAAGAUGAGAAAGAAUAAAAGGAAAAUUAAAUUUAUUAUGGAGAAUAUAUCCUUAUUUUUAUACCAAAAUCAAUGUCAAAUAUUACUAGACGAGCUCCUCUGCUUUUAGCACCAAAUGCAAGUGCUUUCCCUGCACCUCCCGCACCAACUACCACAAACAAUCGACCAGCAAGGGCUGAACCUAAAGAUGCUCCACCAUCAUUGCAACCAUGUUCUGACAAAUUUUGAUUUAGGGAAUCAGUAAAAUAGUAUUAGUAAAAAUUACACAAAUUGUAAUUUGAUAUGGCCCAUUGGAAGAAGGAAUUUAGUUAGAUAAUAAAUUGAAAAAGAUUACAAAACUUAGAUCAAGAUAUUUAUGUUCUAGUUAAAAAAAAUCCUCUAAUCAAAUGACAUGUAAAAAAAACUGUAGGCACCCGACAAUUCAAGCUUUUAAGAAAAUUAGUCCUUGAUGUUGUUUCACAACCUCAUUUGUUAAAUGAUAAAGGGUUUUAUUUUUCACCUUUAAGACAUUCAUGUAGUCUAUGUUAGGUUUAUAAAAGAAGAGAUUCACUCGAGAGAUAUAAUAUUAAUGAGAAUGGAACCUUAUCAUAUAAGAUAUUGACAUCAUCCUCUAUCCAAAACCUUAAGAUUUUGAUUUUGGAUAGAAAGUAGUGUCAAUCUCUUGUAUGAUUAAAAUUCAAAUCUUAUUGAUGAACCUCCUCGAUUGUAAACAUAACCGCCUCCUUUUAAUUUCUUACAAUUAUAUCUUUUGGCAAGGUCAAGGAAACUAAACUAAGCAUAACAGUGCGGAAGAAUUACCAAUGAGUGCAUCCUCAAUUGCAGUAAUUGCAGCCUCACAAUCUGUAUUGUAACCAACAAGCUUCCCAUCUCCUGGUCUUCUUAUGAUAGUAUUAACAGCUCCUAUAGACUGGUUGAACAUGAAACAAAACAAAUUGAUUAUGCCUUAAUAAAAAUUAAUUAUGGAAGAAUAGCCGCAUCAUAGGUCCAGUUUAAAAAGCACCAUUAAUUUCAACUAAUAGCUUACCUUAAUUAAUUUUCAUUGAACUAACGUAGACAGACUAAUCUUUCAGAAAAACAUCAGUGUCAUUUCAAAUUAUCAGUUUUCAACUCUAAAAUAAAAAUACAUAAAAACGCUCAGCUAAUGCAUGGAAAGGCAUACUUCAAUUAUAUUUAUAUGCACCACCGAAACAUAUGGUCAUGGAAUCAAGUUACUGGAAAUAAUACAUGAUUCCAUCUACCAAAUUUUGUGUUGACAUUAUAAAACUAUCUUAAGUUGUUUAAUGAGCUUCUAAGACUACAAUCAUUGAAAGUCAAAUAUUUAAGGUUUUGUAUUGAAGGUAAUGUCGGAUAUCAAGUAAGACUAGGUAUCUGACCGAGCAAAUAUCAAAACUAAGAUAGGUGUUAACAUGACUUUGAUACCAUAUUAAAAAAGUUGACUGUAAGUCUAAUUCAAUUUUAUAAAACAGUUUUGUGAGAUGAUGUUUGCAUUCACUUAUGUAUUGUAGUUUUGUCUUAUCUUUAAUUGAUAUAAGAUUUCCAACAUUUAUAUCUUAACAUAAGGAAGAACUACUAUGGAAAUACAUGUUCAGCCGUGAUGUUGGAAAAAGACAUCUACUGUGGAACACUUUUAUAUGUUGAAUGGAAGACUAAGCCAACCUGAGCAAGCGGAUGGACUUCAUCACAAAACCUUAGAACUUCUUCCUUAUAUGGAAUCCCAACACUGCAAUACAAAAGUCGAUGAGAAUUUUCCAAAUAAGAAGUGAAUACAAACCUUUAAAUGGUUGAAGUGAUAACAAAACUAUCAAACAAAUUCAUUCAUGCUAACUGCAACUUCAAACAGUAUCAAGUCAGGAUGAGGACCUCAAAGUGAAAUAUAUGAUUCCAAAUUGUAAGUGGAUGAAUAGCAACAUGUGACAUACCUAAAACCUGAAAAAUCAGGGCUUGAAUAGGUGCUAAAGAACUCUUUAAGAUCGUCAACAAACAUGGGGACAUAGAUUCCAUUGUAGUUUACAUGUCUGAAGGAAGGAUUAUGCAAUAUAGGACCUUUGCUGUGGCUAACUGGUUUUGAGAUGAGCCCAAAAACUUUAGUAUCUUCAUUGACACCCUCCAAUUUAUAGGCUUCCUUGAGACUAUCAAGAGAAGGGAUACCAGGGAUUGGAUUUCCUGCCAAUGAUCCAUAUACAAAGAACCCACCAAAUUUUGGACAUAGAAGCUGGCUUAUAAGUCCUCUUUCUCCAACAGAGUAAGCAAUCAAUGGUACCUGCAGAUUCUAACCAGAGCAGGCAAACAUUAUAAAGUAGAAACAAAGAUGAGAAAAUUAAUUUUACUAUAACACAAAAAUAUUGAAAAGAUCUGAACAGAAGAGAUAACAGCUUGUCAGAUUUCCAUCCUUUUACAUUAGAAGCACCCUUCUUCACAAAAAUCAUUUUUAUUCCACACUGAACAAACCAAGAGAACAAGAUUUCUCCUGCUGGCCCUGUCUAGUGCCAAAGUUACUAUUGCUUUAGUACAAUUUAUACUGGAAAUACUAUCAUUCAAGAGAUGUAAACUUAAAAAAAGAGAAAAAUCCAUGCCUGACAAUGAGGAAACAAGCUAAAUAUUCUUGUAAGUUCUGUUAUAUCAGCUGCAUGUGUAACAAGUUUGAUGAUAUCUGAUCCAGUUGCUUGCAUGCGUGCAACAAGUUGAAGGAGUUCUUCUUGCGGAGGGGUGAUGUCAUCCACAUAACAAGAAACGAUUAUUUUUCCAUGACUGUUAUGAUUUCUCUUAUGUUCCAUCAAGGUAGGAAGACAAGAAGCUUCCUGAACAACCAUACAGUGUAAUGAUAAGCACCUAAGUGGAAUUUCACUCUCUAAGAGUGCAUCAUUCAGUUGCUAUUUAUGAUAAGCAAAUGCAUGUGAUAAGCUUAUUUCAAAAUAACAUGAUGCAAUUGGUGAUAUAUAUCUUUUUACAGAUGUAUGAAAGUUCUUCAAACAUAUAAAUACAUAACUGCGAUUAUAGGGAUGAAAAUUAGAAUUACAUUAACGAGAUAUUGUAAGAAAAAUUUAUAAGCGGUACCUUCAGCUCAACCUCUAUGAAAUCAGCUCCCAAUUCCAGAGCUAAUUGCAAUGCUUCCAGUAGCAUGCUGUCAUCGCCUUUGGAUAAACUACCAUCCCAUUUUUUCCUAAGUAAAUAGAACAAACACGUUGAAUACAAAGGGAGUAAGAUAUAAUAAUAGGAGGAUAAGUUUGUUGUGAAGUUAAAAAAGAGGCGAUGAAAAUAAAUGAUCUAGCGUGAGACUAUUCCCACUUAAUCAGUUGUCUCAAGUUUGAAUUUUAAACAUGAAACUGAUACUGUUUCAACUUAAUCAGUAAUCUAAAAUUUAAAUUUUGGACUAUCACUUUAAACACUGCAAAGGUGAGUUAUGUCACCAGUGAUAAUCCUAUCAUGCUAAGACAAAAAAUUAUCAAAAGAUGAUCGGUUCCUUUAGGGAAUUCAAACACUCUCUCUUCCAACUCUGUAGGAAGUACUACAUUAGGAAGUACUACAUUAGAUAAGACCAAUUUAGAAUAUAUGAAUGUAAAUCUCAUUGGAUUUUAUGAAAUUAAGUUAAAUUUAAAAUAAAUUCUUUAACACGGUAUCAGGACGAUGAGUUAGAAUGUAUCUUAACAACUUUAUCCAAAUAUUUGUUGAAUAUAUUCGGAAAACCGAACAAAAACAACGGCUAUAGCUUAUGUGAGUUCUAAGAGAUGCACCAAGAAGAUACAAUACUGAUAAAACAUCACUCAAAUACUCAAACUCAUAUAAAGGAUCGAUAUCAUCUCAAAAUCAAAAUCUUAAUAAAUUUAUAGAUUUUCUUCUUUAUUUCUACUAAAUAUGUGAAUUAGACUCCUCCUUAUUAUAUUCCCAACAAAACAAACAUAACAAGAGAGUUGAGAUGAAUUACCUGUUAGCAAUAAGCACGGGUAGUGGCUUAUUUUGAAGGAUGAUUUUGAGGUGAAGGAGAGGGUGAAAGCUGGUGAUGCAGUCCAGCCUAACCUCUACUGUAUCAGCACCUUCUGCCUUUGCGUGAUUCAUGUUAUUCACAAUCUGCUCAACAGAUACAGAUUGCUGUUCAUUUGUGAUUGGAGCACAAAUGUUGAACACCUGGUUAGCACUACCCAUUGCUUUUGAUUUCUCAAACAAUUCAAAAACCACACGGCAGAUUUAUUGUUAAGAGAAGCAAACGUACAGAACAAGAUCUCUUAUAGUUAUCAAAAGCUGACUGGGUUCCCACCUAAUUCUUUUAAAACUCAAUGCAAUUCAACUUUAUUACCUUUCGGUUUUAUGAAGAGCAAAAUGUCUUAUUAACAAUUUUUUUUACUGUAAUUACAUGAUAAUUUAUGAUUAAUCUAUUUUAAAUAUACGAGAUAAUAAAAUAGUACACAUAAUUAUUGUUAAAAAAUUACUAACAUGUCAUAAGACACAUUCUUACCUUUUUUUAUUUUACAUGCAUUAAUAUGUUCUAUAAGAAUAAAAAUAUCAUAAAAAAAAUAUAUUUUAAAAAAGUUAAUAUUAAAUAAAUGUAAAAAAAGUUAUGUAUGUUAAAUUAUUAUUUUUCUUCGAUUUUAUACAAAUACACAUUUUUUAAACCAGAACGUGAUUAAAUAAUAUUACUACUUAAUCCAGACAAACAAGAGUGGGUUUUAUUAGAUUCAAUAUAAUAAAAUAAAGUAAGAUAGUGGGUUAUCAAAUCUAAUUCCAAUAAUAAAAAAUUAGGCACUCAAUUAAAAGUUUGACAAACUUUAAAUUCUCGUGCAAAAGGUCAAAUGUUCUCUUAGAACUUUUUGGGGUCUGUAUCAUAAUCUUCAGAUUUGGAUCUUAUUACAUUAUCUAUUAGAGUAAGCUGAUAUAUAGUAUAAAAGAAGGUAAGAUAUAGUAUUUUAAAUAAGAUUUUAAAUCAUGUCAUUAAUAUAUAUAUAUAUAUAUAUAUAUAUAUAACUUUUAUUUGUGUAAACAAUCAAAUAAGGUAUUGACGAUAGUAGGAAUCUUACAAAACUCUUGUGCUGGAAGAAAAUGAUAAAAACAAAAAAAAUAUUUUUUAAUAUUUAAUUUUUUUAUAUUUAUUUGACAGUAUUUUUCUUUUUUUAUUUUUUCUUUUUAAAAAAAUAAAAAAAAUUAUAAUUUUAUUAUUAUUUUAUUUUUAUACUUCAUAUUAAAUAAAUAUAAAAAUAUGUUACGAUAUUAUUAUUGUAAAAAGGAAUAUCCUAAAUGUUAUGAGAAAUAAAGAAAGCAUUAAAAACCAGUUUAUAAAAUUAUAUAUAUAUAUAUAUAUAUAUAUAUAUAUAUAUAUAUUAAGUUGGUUUAUACAUUAUAUUUCCAUAGUUUGGAAUAUUAAAUUUAUUGUAAUGUCAAUUUACUAUUAUUUAUUACAGAUAAAAAAGUUAAAUAUUAUGCACAAAAUUCACGAAUAGGAAGAAAAAAGUUAUGUGAGUAUUUUACUUAAUGAAUGAACUAAUUCAAUGCAAACCAUUUAAAUUGAGUUAAAACGUAUUAGACUGAAUUAGUAUAAAAUAGACGUGUAAGAGAUUAUGACAUUAAUUUGUUUUAAGAUACUGUAUUUAAUUUUUUGUGGUUUAAACGAAUAAAUAUAGGUCUGCGCACUAUUGUUGCGCUUGACUGUUUGCUUUAAUAUCCAUCAUCACACAAGAGAUUUGGACUUAUAUGUAAAAGAAUGACUGAUUGAUUUUAGAGUUAGCUUUUUUCAAGAGUGUUCUUUUCUGCACCUCAUCUCUUUUUUCAUGUAUCUCUAAUUUUACCAUUUUAUCCUUCAUUAAAUAAAUUCAAAACUUAUUUAUGGCGUUAUUGAAGAAGAGUAAACACUCGCCAUGGGUAGCUAGAGGAAGCAGUAUGUAAAGAAGAACAAUGAAUAUAUCAGAGAAACUGUGGAAGAAACGAAGGAGAGAGUUUCUAAAAAGUUGGGGGUGACUGUGAUGGUUCUUGUGGAGAGUGAUAUUGUUUCUGCAAAGAGGGCAGGUAGAAUGGUUGUGGAACCAUGGAGCAAUACAAUGAAGGUGAAAACAGUGGUGGCAUCCCGGCAAGGUCCAUAUCUUCCCUCCAUCAAAGAUUUGGCACGGAAACACUGCACAACAAUCUCCUUCACUUUUCUUCCCUCCAUCACCAUUGCUAUUGCUACGAAUUUUCAGAACAAGUGCAAAGGUUGUAACAGUGAACCUUCCUUCAUUUUGUUGAUAUAGCCACUCAAACACCAGCGCCUGCAAUCGAAUUAGAAGUGCAAAAUGGAAAAAAAAAAAAAAAAACGAGACUUAACCGCAUUUCGAAGUGCGACAACUCUUAACCGCAUUUCGAAGUGCAACACCCCUUAACCGCAUUUCGAAAUGCGGUUAAGGAGUGCCGUAAUGCGUUUUCACUGUACUGCUUAUCGACUUUAUGUUAUUUUUCAUUAUAACCAUGGACGCCGACAGCAAAACCAAACAAGAUAGCAGUUGUAUUUUCAAAACUUGAUCGUGGAGGGGUGGAGAGCAAGAAGGGUAAAGGUAGAAUGAAGAAAGGGGGUGUAGGGUUUUUUAAACGUGAGAUGCGGCAGAAUCAUUUAUAGAGGUUAGGAGUAUGCUGAGAAUUAAACUAAAAUUGAGAGGUGCGAUCCUGGAGGUGCAGGGAGGAACACUCCUUUUUGAAUGCAUCACGUUUGCUCUGGUCAUACUUGUCGAUUCCCACGUUUUGAAUUUAUAUCCAAUGUUCCCAAUAUGGCUAACAUUAUUAUUCUACAAGUGGGUAUCGGGGUUGAUUUUGCAUUGAAUUAACUCCGAUUUAAUUAACUAUGAAUUAGUUAGUUAUUUAAUGAAUCAAUCAUCUCGUUUAUUUAUCAGUGAAUUAAAAAAUUUGAUUUUAAUCACUUUAUUACAUAUCAGUGAAUCAAAAGAGUUACUUUACUUAUUCCUUUAAUUAUAAGUUUUUUUUUUCAAUUAAAAAAAUAAUAAAAAUUUUUUAUUUAAAAUUUAAAUAAAUAAAUAAAAUCUUAAAAUAUAUUUAUGAUUAAUCAAAUAUAAAUUUUAUUUAAACAAAAAUAUAACAAAAUCUUCUGAACAAAAUUUUUAGUAACUUUAUAACGAUCCAAAUUUGUUUUUGUAUAAAAAUUGAGUUAUUAAGUAUAAAUGUGUCGAUUUUUCUUGUAUAAUUAUUUCAUACAAAAGUAAUUUCAUGUAAACAUAAAUAUUUAAACACUUAAACAUAUUAACUAAGUACAUUAAUAUAAAUAUGUACAAUGUUAUGUAUGAGGACUUCUAAUAAUUUGGAAAGUCUAUUGAAUUUUGUGUUAUCUUAUUUUAUUUUAUUGUGUACUCUGUUUGAGUACAUAUUACUAUAAACAUUUUUGUUCCAAUAUUUUAUAAAAUGACUAAUCCAACAAAAAGUAUUUAUUAAAAGAAUUAUGUGGAUUUGUAAAUCAGUCCGAUCCAUCAGAAGUUUAACCUAAGUGAGUCGAGUUCACUUUUAAACCAAGUUCAAAAUUGAUCUUCGAAAUUUCAAAAUUUUUUUCAACUCAAUCCAAACCUGUGAUGAACUAAGGUAGCUCACCACGUUUUAACAACACUAGUUAACUGUGUAUUUAGAGGAGAGUUGCUAAAUGUUAGCACAGAUGUGAAGAAAUGUUAAUGACAUUCUUUUAUUACUAAUCCAAAUAAGGUAUGAUUUUUAAUAAUAAGGUUUGAAACAAAUGUUAUAAAAAUACAAUAAGUUGUUUAAAAAAAAUUGAUACUAAGACUUGUAUAAAAUAUAAUAUAAUAAGACAUUAUCUCAGUUUUUGUUUUUUCAAAAAGUCCCUGUAAAAAAUGUAGAUAUUUUAGGUAAACAAACUCAUUCCUCAUUUAACUAGGUAUCGUGUUUUGGUGUAUAAAUUCAACACAACUCAUCUAUUAAUAUAUUAUUAAUUUCAAUUUAUUAUAUAUAUGUGGGUCUUAUAAAAGAUACAAUGGAAAAAGACAACAUAUAUACGAUGCUUAUUCUUCUUGCUUUAAUAUCUUUGCCUAAACGUUAUUUACGUCUUCUUAUCUCCACUUUUUUUUCUUCUUCUUUUAAUCUAAGUUUUGAUUUGAUUUAUUUAGAUGAAUUAUUUAAUAAAUAUACAAAUACAAUAUAAAUAUGCUAAACUAUAUCAAAAUGCAAAAGAAAAAUAAAAGUAGUUUUUUAAAUUUAUAUUAAUUUUUAAUUUCUUAGUAUGUUAUCCAAAUCAAACCUAAUUUACAAUUAAUCAAGUGGGUUUAAUUUGCAUUUGAUUAAAAAAUGACAGAUAUCCAACCUAAUCUAAUUCAAAUUAUUUUAAUUGGUGUAGACAAUAAUAGGAUAGGAUAAAAGGUCACAUGAAGUGUAACUCAAUUCUAUCCAGAGUUGUAUCUUUAAUAUGUUUUGGGCAUAAAUAAAUAAAAUGAGCAAAAAACUUAACUUUUUUAAUCACUCUUUAGAUAUUUAUAACAAAAAUAUUAACUCUUUUUUUAAAACCCAAUUCCACAAAUAUAGUUUUUUUAGGGAAUUCUAGCCAGUUGUUUUAAGUACCAAUACACGCGCUUAACAUUCUUUGUGUGAAAAUUAUUAUUAUAUGAAAACUAUAAAGAAAAUAAAAACUUUUAUUAAAAUUAAAUUAUAUAUAUAAACGUAGACGGUAUUUCAGUGUAUCAUUUUUGUCUACGUCAGUGUUGGGAAUAAAACGUUGCUAUGCUCUCUGUUUAGUAUUAACAUCCGAUAACAAUAUUUCAAAUUAAAAUGAACUGAAUAAAAUAUUAUUAACUUUUUAUUUGUUAAAAUUUCCAACCAAUUUGAUCUAUUUCAAAAAGAUUCAAUCUAAUUCAGCUACUAAUAACUAUUUUAAGGAUAAUCGAUCCAAUAAAAUGGUAUAUAAAAUUAUGAAAUAUGUAUAUUUAAUUACGAAAAAGUAAUUGAAUUAAUUGUAAUCGAUUAAGUAUUAGGAGAGUCUAGUGAACUUCGGAAAAUAAUAGAUGGAAAAUUAAUUAUCCAUAAAAUUAAAUGGAUAAAUUUAUAUUUUUAUAAUUGGUAGAUUUACUCGUGAUUGUAGAUAAAUCGGAUGCAUAAUAGUAUGCUUUACCAUUUGUCCAUCUUCAUGUAAGCAUUGUAAGAGUUAGAUCCAAAUUCUUGGAGGUGGGUAUAGGAUCCUAUAGAAUAUGGCAAAAAUUUACAUUAAAUUCGUCGUAAUCAAACAUUUAUAUCGUAAUGAAUUUAAGAUAGACUCAUAAAGAAGUCAUGUUCAAUUAAAUUGGCAACAAAAAAAAAGUGAUACAAAUUUUAAAAUUAUGAGGUUAACAACCAUUCCAUACAAGAGUAACAACAUUACAAUGGUGAAAUUCUCCAUGUUUUUCCACACAGCACAGUAAUUCGAUACUAUCAUACUCUAUAGAAUUUGCAUCUGAAAGAACCAAAUCUAUCUCAGUAGCCCUUCCUACACAACCACGUCGAUAACAUUUGAUAUUGUUCAAUUCGGUAAAGAAACAUUACCCAGUCGAUCAUUUCAUGACAGAAGCGCUUGCAGACAUCAAAGCAACGUCUGAACAGUGUUAAUGCUUCCCCUCUCACCAGUAAUACAACUAUGAACUCAUCAUGCUUUUAUACGGACCACAAACGAACCUGCUCAGUGAUGUAGAAAAGGAGAUUGAUCAGAGCAACUCAUGCAGAGAAGACAAAUUUUAUAUAAAAAUAAUUGUAUUUGAGUGUAGAGGUCAAUAGGUGAUAAAAUUAGAGAGAAAUAAGAAUCAGAACGGGAAUGCAUCCAUAUCCUUAUUGAAGAUAAUUGUUACAUACAGGUUCUAAAUAGACUGAUAGUUGAGUGUAACUUCCCAGCGACUAUUGCCCAUGACUAAAUGCAUUUUAUCUCGUGGUACAAGGAUGUACUAUUUUCUAAGUACCUUAAGUAUCAUUAUUCCAACCCAUUAAUGUUAAUCGGUUCACAACUUACAUUUCAAACAAACAGAAAUUAUAACUGCAUUGUUGACUCAAAAUAAAGGAAUUUACGCACUGCAAUGCUGGUAGUUUUUUUGUUAUGUUGAGUGCAAUGUUGAUAGUUUGACAUAAUUAAAGGGAGCAAAAGAAGCAGAUAAGAUAAUGAAAGCAUCAUUUAUCCCACAUUAAGACUAAGAUACGUACACCUGCAACAGUGAUAUUCAGGGCUUAUGAACACACAGCUAGAUAAUGUUUACAUUUUACAAGUACGGGGACAAACAAUCAUGUUUAAAUUGUCCUAAAUUAACAAACACUGGUUAAGAAAAAUAAAGGUUAACAUAAUUUUUUCUAUAAUCAAUGCAAAAAUUAAACUUCUUAAACUGAGGCAAUAAUAGCACUAUUUCCACUUUAUCAUCAGCACCAUAUAGUACUUUUAUUCGGUAAUAUAAAGAUCUGAAAAGUACGGAUCAUAAUAAUUUGAAAGUAAACAACAAGGUUAUCAUCAAUCAGGCCCUUAUUAAACUAAAACGUUAAACAAAGAUUCAGGCUUGGUUGGCACACAGCAAAGCUGUAGUCUUGUGCUAAGAGAAUAGCAAUGUCUAAUCAAAGAAGCAAGUUCAUGAGCCUUUUAAGUCCCCACUUACGAGGGUAAGACCAAGUACAUAUAGGGCCCCUUGUUUGAGCUGUUUUGAAGGAAAAAGUUAUUCUUUAAUUAAAAGAUGAAUUUAAAAAUUUGUAAUAACUAUGCAAGUUUUUCUACAGCUAAUCAGUCAAUGAUGAAAGGUUUGUAUAUGACAUUGAUGUAAAAGCAUACAAAUUAGGAUGUAAUAAUAAAAAAUAUACAUACACACUUGCACAACUUCACCCAACAUGAUUUGAUCAAGAUACUUGAAAAAUUAAGGAUGCUCUCACACUCCUAAACUUGACUAUAGACCAUUAAAUAUCAACUAGACUGGAAACCACUUAAACUUCUCUUUCAAACUGAUCAAAUUCUUGUCACAUUUAUUUUGCAACAAAUGCUAGAUAAUCACAGUUACCAAUCCCAAAUAGCCCAUGUAGAAUUUCCAACCUCAAAAUUGCUAUAUGGGAUGGCAGAAUAAUGACUACUAAAUUAAACUUUUAUUUAUAAGUCUUUUAAUCUAUAUCAAUAUGCUACAAAUACAAAUGUUUAGAUAUAAAAGUUUACAUAACAUUAAAAACAUAUUCAUUAAUAAUAAUAAAAAGAUCCAUAAUCAUCCAAAAACCCAGUCAACAAAACAACAAAGAAAGAGCAAAGAUCUGUCUACACAGAGAACACAGUAGGGACCGGUCAGAAAACAAAGACAGGGUCGGAAAAGGUCUGACUUGGGUGGAAACUAUGCAAAUAGCAGUGAAUGGAAUUGAUUUUGUCCAAACAGUGGGCAGGGAAUCAUAUUUCCAUAUUCUGAACAUGAAACAAGGAUUCAAUUUUCAAAUCCUUUGCCCGAAUGAAAGGGAUCAAAAUUGUGAGAUUUCCCCCUAAGCACACAUCAAACGAUGCAACAAAAUGGCAUGGUGAAAAAAUAUAGAAGCCAGAUGCCAGAACACAACACUGAAUCGACAUGGCAUCGUGAUUACACACUAUUGAGAACUAUGGAUAACCUUUACCAAACUAAGAAAGAUAAAUAAGUUGUGCAUCCAAAAAACAUUCAUAAUGAAAAUGAACUCUUCUCUAUCCCUAAAAGUACUUCUCUGAUCUGUGUUAGAGAAAAAAAAGAGAAAAAGAAAUACACACAUGCAGGAAGGUUUGAUAUAUCCGCAGAAACUGCACAAGGAAUUCCCAAGUUGGAAAGAGCUCCUCUAAUGAUCCCGCAUGGGAAAUAAAGAUGCAUGCUCAUUGCAUGUGCCGCCUUGUUUUCAGCUGUAGGUGAAUUGUUAUCCUCAACCGAACCAGCAUUAUCAGUGGAUGGAUCAACUGACAUGCGUGCCAGCCAGCGAAAUUUAUUAUCUUGCAAUACAAAUGUACCCUGCAACAGAACCAAAUACAUCCAUCUCAGUCAAAAACUACAUAGUAAUAAAUAAACAUUCCCACAGGAUUCAAUUCCGAACUCACCCUAUGGUUUGUCUUCAAGUUGUCUAUCUGCUUCUUAAAUAGCUCAGACCAAAAAUCCUUGCAGAUGAACUUGAUUGCUUCCAGAUGAUCCGUGAACCGAGGCCGCUCCAUAGUAUACCUACCAACAAAUCACAUUUUCACAAAUUCACUCAAAAUUCAUAGUAAUUCCACCAGAAAACAACAACGAAGAAUUAUUACAUUACAUACGAAAACAAUACAAAGUUAACCUACCCUAAAUUAUCACCACCAUCCAGUGAUGUCAAAGGUUUACCAAGCAGGUAUGCAAUAAGCCUAGAUAUUAUCUAAGAAACUUAGUUUAAUUUGAAAUUAGGGAUUAUUCGUAUAAUUGCGUAAACUAUCUAAAGUCAGUAGCACUAUGGUGUUAUUCAGCACAGAUCUCCACGAACAAUACAGAAAUUGAAAUACAAAUGAAGGUACAAAGAUCAUACAUAACAGGAAUUUGAUGAUGUUAUCAGGGACUGGAAACAACCUUUCAGAAAGCUGGUGACCGACCUGAUAUCCAAUGGCCUCGAUCCUGCGUGCAGCGAGUUCAGGCUUGUUGGCGUAGAAUCGAUUGCAGUAACACGCCACCAUCUCCGUCAAUAAGCUAUCAACGCAACUCUCUGAAACUUCACGAACCAUUUUCUCUCCUUCUCUCUCUCUCUCUCUCUAACACGCACUCGCUAACAAUGGAAAACGAAGGAAUCAGAAUCACUAUACACUCUGAAUCUGAUUAGUCCUACUCGUCGCUUUUGCUCCCUUGCCUCACCCCGAUCCACACCAACACAUCUGAAUUGAAAUUACUGCACUUGAAUGGGCUUAACUGUGUUACCUACUUUGGGCCUGUGGUCCAUGAUUAAGUCGAUUCCUUUGAUAAUCGGUACUGGGCUGAUUCUUUCUGCACCUCCACAAUUUCAUCCUAGAACUCAUACAUUUCAAAUAAGAAACUGAAAGAAAGAAGAAGGAAUAUUAAAAUAAAAUUAGAUGGAUAAACUUGUCAAUUUAAAAGUUACAACGGUGCAGGUAGAAAACUACGGGGGUGGAAGAAGCAAAAGCGGAAUGUAGAAACCCCCAGCCCAAGAAAAGAGGUGUGGGUUCCGAAUUCAAAGAGAGGACUCUUUCCUACAGCCAACAAUCACGGUAUUGCUAUAUAUAUCUUCUCCAUCACACUCUUCGUGUUCUCCGCCACCUUCUACCUUUUCUCUCCAUUUUUCUGCUGCGGCUUUGUACCUUCACGACUCACCACAAUGGCCACCAAUACACUCGCGGGGACAUCACUCUCCAUGCGAUCUCUCACUCCCCAAACGCAGGUAUCGUUUUCCAUUUCCUUUUCCUUUUCAAUUAUAGCUGCUGCUCCGCGCUUUGUUCCCUUCUUGAUCUGUUCAUUCCUCGUGGGAAAGUCCUCGAUGCGAUCGUUUACAUGCUUAUUUUUUUGCUUUAUAAGGCACGAUUUGCUACCAACACUCCUGAAUCUUAAUUUUUGUUUAUUCCUUUUAAUUUUUUCACUUACUGUCACUAAUCGCCAGUUCCACUCAUUUUUUUUUUCAUUUAAUUUAUGUCUAUUUUAACUGCGAAAGACUUUUAGAUAAAAAAAUGUAUAUGUGUUUUUUGGGUUUCUCAAGUUUCAUGCCAAACAAAUGUAUAAUUUUGUGUUAUUUUUUUAAACGGUGCCAGCUUAUUAGUGAUAGGAGCUGGGCAAAAGUUGAAAAUUUUUGGACAAUAUCAUGCCAUGCUUUCUGCACAUAUCAAUGGCGGUCAUUAAAUUUUUUUUCACAUGAAAAAGAACCCGGAAAAACUUUAAUGUAUUGCAAUUAGGUUUUGUUGUUUUAUUUUUUAUUCAUUAAUUAAUUCUUUAAUGAACUUUGAACUGGUGAAUUUUUUGAACAGGCCUUCACCUCACUUUCUGGCCGGAGAUCUGCUCUGAUUUCCAGCUUUGGGAGAAAGAACGUUUCUUUCAACUUGCAGCCGCGUCAAAUUCGCCUUCAAAUUUCUUGUGCUGUAAGUAGCUACUGCAGUGUGUUAUUUUUCAUAUUUUCGUAAUUGACUAUUUCUUGCGUGGGUAUCAAAUCCCUGUAUUUUAGACUUCUUAAGUCUAUUGCGUGUAGGAGUUUUCUUCUUCACGAACUCUCUUUGCUCGAAGCAGGGUGCUUGAGAAAUAUGAUUGAGAAUAGAUGUUAUGUGAAAAGUGAAAUAGUAUGCUAGUUUAUAACAUGAGAACAAACAUCCUUACUUUGGUUGAUCCUUUGGCCUCAAUUAACCCUUUUUGUUCCACACAGUGUAUUGAUAUCCAUAAAUUUCAUGUUUGGUAAGAGAUGGUUUUAAAUGAAGAAACACUGAAAACUACUAUUGUGAGCUUUUAUGUGGAUACUGCUGCAAAGGCCAUUAACCGUACUAUUAUAAUCGUAAAUUAUACACACUGAUCUGUUUCUUUGAAUCUUGUGUUUCAUUAAGUUUGUAAAGGGUUUUACAUGCAGGACACUGUAUGCCUGUUUAUGUGUACCGGUCUUUAAUUAGUCUCUAUUUAACACCAUUUGAUCCUCACAAAUCACAAGUUGAAAAAUGUGAUGCUAUUAACAAAAGAAUAAUUUUUCUAUCCCGUCUCCACCAAUUUAAAUUAAUCCAUUAAUGCUUCGCUUUCUUGAGAUUUACCAACGGGUGAAGAACAUGUGAUGAAUGUAACAGACUUUGGCUUUCAAAGGGCUUGAUGGCAUAUUUUGUCAUAUUUGAUUGGAAUUUAACUAAAACAAGCCAUAAAUGACCAGGACCUGCCUUCUCCCUUUGUCUGCUUGUAUAUGUAGAUAUGUUUAUGUAUUUAUACUUUUUACGUGCUUAUGAAAUAACCUUUGAGCAGGCUAAAGCAGAGACAGUGGACAAGGUUUGCGAAAUAGUAAAGAAGCAGUUGGCCGUGGCUGAGGGUGAAACUGUGACUGCAGCAUCAACAUUUCAAAAACUUGGAGCUGAUUCCCUUGACACGGUAAUGAGAAAAACGUCACGGCAUAGUACAGUAUAUUACCAGAUGGUACCUGUAUCUAGCAUCCUAUAUUACAUAUGCCAUGAAUAAUUGUGGAUUUCAUUUAAAUAUCAUACCUUGUAGGUUGAGAUCGUGAUGGCACUCGAGGAAGAAUUCGGUAUUUCCAUUGAGGAAGAGAGGGCACAGUCCAUCGCUACAGUUCAGCAAGCUGCAGAUCUUAUCGAAGAUAUCAUUCAAAAGAAGAGUUCUUAGAAUAAACAUGUUCCAGAAGGUUUGAGUAAACAUGAACUCAGUCUCCAUACCGGUCAACAUUUAUGGUGUGGGGCAAUUUUGAGUCUCGAGUGUUUUAGUUGUGAACUCUGUUGCUUGAUAAGAUAGUCUGGGAAAACAAGUUAGUCCAGUGGAAUUAGUUUUAUUAAGUCGUCUUUUUUGCAUUAAGUGGUUUAAUGUCAGUGAUAUGUUAGUUUUACCAGAGAUAAGAUUAUUUAUGUCAAUGACAUUUUAUGUUAAUUUUAUUUAGUUCUCAAUUCUUGCUGGGGUAAUUAAGAUGAUAAUUUGGCUGCUACAAAAAUUAGGGGAAGAAAUUUAACCUGAACAACACCAAGUGGAUGAGAACUCCGUAUACGUUAAAAGUCAUGUUCAUUAAAUAACAGAACACUUUGAGGUUCUAUUUGUACAUGAUAUUGCAAUCUGCUAGAAUAGUUAUUUCAUUUACAUAAUCCUGAUACUGAUACAACCUUAAUUUAGCUACUGCUGAUAACAUUAUUCCCAAUCUGUGUCGAAGAAACCCGCAUCUUUCAUCUCGGAAUAAUACACGUUUUCCAAAUGAAAAUUUUCUUCCUGAAAUUUCGAAGCAAAAAUCAAGAUUACAAGGAAAGCUAGCUGUCUUUAAACAAUAGCCAAAUGCUUGAAAAUAAACGGCACUAACCUGAAAGAAGUCUGUUUGGAAUGUUGUGAACAAAAAAGGAAGGUAAAAUGCAUGAUAAAAGACAACCGCGACACGAUACAACCUGUGAAAAAAGUAAACAAGGCUUUAAUUGCCAAAGAAGAACAGCUCAAAACGGUAUUCUCAGUUAAAUUAGGAUCUGACCAGAAGCCAAAUGCAACACCGUUUCCAGUGAGGCCACAAGCAAUUGUUGCAAUCGCAUUAAAAAUGAACAUGACAGCAACAUACUUGUAAAAGGCAAUUUUCGCUGCAUGAAAGGAAGGAAAUUAGGCAGUCAAAAACAGUUAAAAAAACGUCAUGUUCAGAGAAUACUCACCAGGCAACGUUUCUCUCCACCCGGAAUGGUACAUAAACAUUAGGAAGCCAUAAGCAGCAGUGAGCAACAGGUUGUGGACAAUCAACAAGUUCCAUUUCACAUGAUUCCUAUUUUCAUUGCUGUCGACAAAUAAUGGGAUCCCAAAAACAAGAACAUAUAAAGCCUAACAAGAAAACAAGAUGCAAUCAUUCUUCCAUUGCCACAAUAAAGCACAGAUUCCGAUAAGAAAACUGAAAUUGCAUGCUUUUUCAUUGGCUCAGCAGAAAUCCAUAUUUCAUUCCACAGUGGCAUGAAAAAUUAAGUUGAUUUGACAUGUGAGAGAGCACUAAUGUGUUUUUUGUAUCUCCAUUAAGAUAACAUGAUUUAAACAAGGACACAAACUCUGUAUUUUGGUAAAAACCAAAGAAAUACCUUCAGCAGUAUAUCCAAGCCAACAACAAGCGUUGAGAUUCCAAAAGUCCGUCUCAUUGCUUCUAAACCACCUGCAUUAUUUCCUUGAAGUAAAAAAGCCACCAAGCUCACUUCCAAAAACAGCAUUCCGGAAGUGGUAAACAAGGAUAGCAAGUUCCAUGACAACUCUCUCCUAGAUGUACACUCCCAUGCCUGGAGUCACCAAAGAUCAAAUAAAACAUAUAUUAACCCACCACUCUAGUCUCAAGUGAAGAUACAGAAAAUCCUAGUAAGCUAGAAAUGAGCAUCAGAUAAGCAAAUUCCAAUGCAUAUGGGAAUUCUGUCCUAUCUGAAUAAACUUUUUAGGUUUAAUUUCUAAUGUGUUUCUUAUAUUACGCUAAACACAUGCACUUUUGAUAUCAUUUUGGUUCUCGAUGUCAAGCGUCUAAUUUCAUUACGUGAAAUUGAUAAGGUAUCUCAUAAAUUUUCAGACAAUAUAAAAUAACCACAAAUAUUGUAUGUUUUUUUUUAAUUUUACAGGAACAAUAUGUGACGGAUUAAUAACCGCUGUAAUAGUUUUGACAGUUCCGAACCACCAAUUUCCAUAUUUUAACUAAAGAAAUUAUGUUAUAGGCAUAAGAACCGAAAACAAGAAAUGCCUAAAUAUACGUAUUAACCCAAUUCCAUAAAAUGUCAUCAUAGCCCCUUGAGAAAUAAAAGGAAAAUUACCAGUUUUCUCAAAAUAAUGGAAAGAUUCAUACUAACAUAACUUAAAAUUCAACCAACGAAUCUAAAAGAUUGAUAAAGAUUGAAAAGAAGAUUUUUUAUCUUUUUCAGAAUUUAUCGUAGAAUAUGACUACUUGUGUUGAUCGUAGAAAUAAUAUACUCACUACUACUUUCUAUCUAAUUUAAUUAAUAAUUAAAAUUCGGGAAUGAAAAAUACAGCAAAAUUUGACUCUUUUUUUUAAAAUGUAAAGGUCAGGGGAAAAGAAACAAUAAAUCAUUUUUUUAAAGUGAAUCUAAGGAAAAAUAAAUAAAUCAAAUUAAAAUCAAGUAGCUUCUCCAAAAGAUGAUCUUUAAUUUAUAUUAAUUUAUUUAUUGUAACAAUAAAUCAUGGCUUUCUAUCCCUAGUCAAGACAGUAAGUAAUUAGUAUAGUCAAAUCCCAAUCCUUAGUUAUGACACUCAAAUAAAGAAACAUUUCUGCCAACAACCAUUGCUAUAUUUAUGAACUAAUCUUUAAGCUUAAUUCACCACUCUGCUACACAAAAAUCUGAAGCAAAAGAACACUUCCCAUAAAAUCAUUUUAUGGAAAAAGGCAUAGAAAUUGGUGAUUUCCAUCUGAGCAGACCAGUCUUUAUACAUGAAUCAGAACAAACCUGGAAAAAGCACCAAGCAAGAUUGAGAAGUGUGGCGAGCCAGAGCGAGGCGUUAUACGAAAGGAUGAUGUAUGAGCGAGAAAGAGAGAGUUUGAGGAAACUGUGUCUGGCUUGAAGUAUCAGGUAAAGGACGAAGAGGAAGGAGGGAAUGAUGAGAAUGGCAUUGUGCCAGAACCCGUGACAUUCGAAUAGCCAAUCGUAGAACCCGUGGGUUGAACCAUUUGAAAUGACGCCACGUGAAUCAGAGACUUGCGUUAUCACUGUCUGUGGAACCAUAGUCUCUGAAAGGGGAAUUGCACGGGAGAAGAAAACCCUAAUUUCUUGAUUUUGGCAUAUAUGGAGCUCGGCUUCAAUUUGUUGCGUGACUUACUGGUUCUAACAACAUCUUUGACCACAACAUGACUUACGUAUCAUUAAUUUAUUUAUUAUUACAUAAAUCUUCCAUAGUUAAAUUAAAUGUAUCUAUCAUCCAAUUAUUAUGGAACGAAUUUUAUUAUUUUAAAAUGGUACAUUAUGCAAUGAAUAUAUCGUCUACAAAAAUACAAAUAAUAACUUUAUAUUGUAAAAUAAUUUUAUUUCAUAUUGCCACGUAAUUCAUUUGGUAAAAUAUAUAUAGUAAGUAAAUGUUAUCAUACUUUUCUUAAUAAGAAAUUCAAGUUAAAUUUGGUAAACAAAUUUAGUUAAUCUUUAUAAAUAAAAGAAAAAUUAAUAAACUUAUAUCAUCUACAACUAUUACUAAAGAUUAUUGCUUUUCUAAAACAGUUUGUCAUUAUUUUUAUAUUAAUAUACAUAUUUUAUUAUUAUAUUUUAUAAUAUUUUUAUUUAAAUUUAAUUAAUAUCACCAAUAAAAGAAUUAUUCAUAACUGUAAAAUUGAAUUAUUUUAUAAUUACUUUUAAUUUAUAAUUAUCUUUCUCUUUCUCUUUCUCUCUCUACGUAUAUAAUAACAAUUUUAAAAAACAUUUAAAAAUGUGAGGUGGAUGAUUUCUUGAUAAAAAAAUAAAUUUUUUAACUCUGUGUAAAAUUAUAAUUAUUUACUAUAUAUAUUGGUUUACGAAGUAGAUUGAUAAGUUUUAUUUCACAAAUUGAUUCUAAAUUUCAAGUUUAGUUAAGGUUUUAUCUAUGUCAUUCAACCGAGUUGGGUGGCUGAAUUACAUUUCAUAGAGUAAUAAUCUAGUUUUAAAUUAAUGUAUUGUUAAUUUUGUUAUUGAUAUGACCGAUCAAUUCACCGAUUUUUUCUCAUCAGAUCAAAAAAUUAUUAACAACUCAAUCAUUGCUAAUCGAGUGACCAUACUGUACAAUUAAUAUAUAUAUAUAUAUAUAUAUAUAUAUAUAUAUAUAUAUAUAUUAAUAUAUUAAUAAGCUUUUUUUUGUUAAUUAUCUUUGUUUUCAUAAAACUUAAAUAAUAUAUUAUUCAAAAUUCCAUCUUAUUCUCCCUUAAUCCAAUUAGUUAUUGAUCCAAAAACACGUUUUGCUCACAAAACUUCAUUGUUGUCACCUCAAUUAUCUUCUUUUAUAAUAAUAGUCUCUUGAUACAUUUUUAUAUUUAUUUAAUACAAAAUAUAAAAAUAAAAUAAUCAUUUAUAUGUGUCAAAAAAUUAUUUUUCUUCAUUUUAUCUAUACAUAUAAUUUUUUAGAAAAAUAACUUUUUACAUACUUAAAUUAUUUAUAUUUAUUUUACACUAUUUUUAUUUAUAUUUUACUCUAAUUUUUUCUUGAAAAACUAUUUUAACUUUAUACUGUCUUAAACAUGAACGUUAAAAGUGUUUGAUGAGAUAUUAUAACUUUUUGCACUGUCAAAAUUCUGUAAAAAUAAAUAGGAAAAGGAAAAGAGGGAAACCGUUACAAGAUGUAAGCGUUAAUGGCUGCAACCAGGUCACAUGCAGCACCUCCAAAGUUUCCAACCUAUAACGUGUCUCCCUUUGGGAACAGAUCCUCAACUCACUCCACAAUAGCAGGAUACCACUCCAAGACCCUUCCACUACUCAUUUCAUUUUCCUCUUUCUCCCUUUUCUUCUUACACCAAUGCCUCUCUAAUGCAAAAUCAAUGAAUUUGGAUACCAAAUUUUCCUGAUUCUUCCUAUUUUGAAAUAAAUUCCUGUUUCCAGACACAGAUCAAAGCAAGUUUUACCAUAUCUUUAUAAUACAUGUGUGAGAAUGUGAUAAUUUUUUCUGGUAUUUAUUUAUUUCUGUUUACUUUUCUUGGAUUCUAGAUGGAUAGGCGAAGAGUGUACGAAAGGCAGAACAGCUCUUCCGGGACGCCGACGACGCCUUCCUCGCCGGGGAGCACGAUAACGCCAGUGAACCGCCACGCGCGUACAGGUUCCACUGGCUCCGCCAUGGCUGGUAUCCGAAGAGCACAGAACAAUGCCACCAAGGCCGCCGCACAGAGACUCGCACAGGUCAUGUCGCAAACGGACGACAAUGGGGAAGACGACGAUGACGUUCCUCUCGACUACUCCUCAAUCACCGGCGCCGGAGGCAUUGGCCUCGGCGGUGGAAGACCGAUGCCAAGUCGCUCUCCCAUGGUAACUUAAUUAACCACUUUCACCGCUUUGGUUGCAUAUAUUUCCUCCUUUUCUAAUAAAACGUGAUUCGAAUUUGAUGUUGUUGUUGCCGCUGUUCUAUUAGGCAGUUCGUAGCGUUCAGGACCCAGCAGCGUCUGCAAGGUCCCGGUCACCGAUGGUAAUUUCGCUUGAUGAUCUGAUCGCAGUGGUUUAUUUGAAAUUUGUCCCCGGUGUUAGUUUACGUGUUAAAAUUGUUCUGUUUCUUUUAGUCAGUUCGCUCUCUUCAAGAUAAAAAUCCAUCUGCGAGAUCACGUUCUCCUGCGGUAAUUGGAUUUUUCGUUGCAAUGAUGUAUAUAUUCAUAUUGAAGGCUGCUUAAUUGGAAUCACACAAGUUGAUGAACACUUUUGAUUUUGUUUCUCUCAGCCAGUUCGCCCCACGCAAGAUCCUACACUAUCCGCUAGAUCUCGAUCCCCAGCGGUAAUUAGCUUCUCUGCCUACCAUUUUUAUGGGAAAUACUUUCGACACAGUCUCUACAAUUUACUAAUUCUUGUUAAAAAUUAUUUAAUUAUUUGUUUCACUCUAUAUGAUGAAAUUUACUUUAGAUUUUACAAUAUUUUAAGAAAUCUUAAGAUUAUAACAAAACAAAAAAAAGUGUAUUAGAAGAGUGUAGAUUAUAUUAGUAUCACUCAUUAGUUUAAUUGGACGCAAGAGUGUGAAAGCUAUUUCAAUAGGUAAGGUUUUAAAGAGUGUUUAGGUAGUUAUUUUUUAAUCUACCAAGUUUGGUUGUUAGUCGGAGUUUGAAUAAGAAGAAGGGGAAGGCUUUUUCAAUGUAAGAACCAGAUGACACAGAUUUGUAUAUUUAUAUAUUUUUUUAAAUAGUUGUUAUCCUUUUUCUACUAUUCCUUUGUAAUUAAAACAUGCAUUAUUUUUUUUUCUAAUACAUUCUUAACUAAUUAAAAUGUUUUAGUAAAAACUUAAUAGAAAUGUAAAAUGAAUGAGAUAUAAAGUUUUUAAUCUAAUUUGAUAGUACAAAGACAUACUUAUAUUUAAAGCAAUAUUAUAUUUUUUGAGUAAUUUAUUGUUUUAAACUGAUUUUACUAUAUAACGUGAAUUAGUUAGUUGUUUUUUUUAUUAGUUGAAUGGAGGGACUACUUUGUUAGUUUAGAAAUGAGUAGUAAUUUGAUAAAGUUGAUGAAACUUUGAUUUUUUUUUUUUUUUAAUUUGCCUUAGUCAGUUCGCGCUGUUCAAGAGCAGCCACAAUCUUUGAGAGCCACAUCUAACGUUCGAUCAUCUCCCGUUUUAAAUGCUCUUCCUGCUGAGCAGACACCCACAGUACUGAGUAACGCAGAACAACCACCUUCUGCUCGUUCGGCGUCGGGAAACCGAUCCUUGGACUUUUCUCCCUCUUCUCGCGCUAUGAUAUCGACACGGUCAACUCAACCCAGUAGCGCGAGCAUUGAUCAACCUCCCUCUGCUCGCUCAACCGCGGGUCGUCCCAGUGGACUUUCUAAGGUGGUUCCCAUGGUGCCUCCCAGUGUACCUAUCACCCUUAGACCAGCCUCUUCUGCUGGUGUUCCACCCUCAGAGCCUCUUACUGAUGUUAGAAAAGACAGAAGGUAUGCCGCUACUUCUGCUCUUUCUUUUACAUUUCCUUAACAAGAAAAUAUCAGACACUGUGAAGUCAUAGAAACUGUUGUUUUCCACUACUGAAGCUCCCACAUACGACAGAAAGACAAGUGGAAUGUGUGGUUUCUCAUACUGGAGUUGUCCAGUAGUAAAGAGAAUUGUGCUCGGAGUGAUAUACUUCCUGAUAGUAUUUCUUGCACUCUCUUUUCACAACUUGGAUUUCAUUUUCUAAAAAUAAAAAAGGUUACUUUUGAAAACAUAGAGUAAAGUAAUAAUCAUUAAUUAAAAAUGAUUGAAAUUAUAAUUAAUUUCAAAUAUAUAGUUUGUUUUUCCACGAUUUUAACCGCUGAUUGGAAAUUCUAAUCAGCGAAAACUUUUCAUUUAUUAACUUGAGAGGUUUGGUCCAAUUGGAAUUCGGGUGAAAAGUCAUUUCAUGAUUGUCCACCUAAACUAACAAAAGAUUAAAUCUGAUAAUGAAUCACAGUUUUACAAUCUUAGUUUUUAAAAUGCACGUCGUAAACAAAGUCAGGGAUGACAUUCAGAUCCAAAAUUUGAUCUCCCACGCUAAUCAUCCAUAUAAUGCUAUAUGUUUUUUUUUUAUGUCCGUGUAGAUUGUCUCUUGAUCUGGGUAGUAUGAAGGUAAGAGAGGCCAAUCAGCAGCAACGUCCUACUAAUGAGCUUGAAGACGAGGUAGUACAUGGAUCCAUGCGUGAUCUAAUUAUUAGGGUCAUAUGCAUGCUUUUGAUGUCCUUUUUUUCAUAUCAGUGGCACUAAUCAAGUUACACGUUCUGUAUUUUGCUUAUUCUUUCCUCCCUUUUAACUUUACGGCCUUGCAUUUCUUAAUCUUCAACGGGUUCGGCCAUACAUGGCUGCUGUCUCUUUUCAGGAAUCUACUAAUGCGAUGUGAAUUUUAAUGCAGCUUGAUAUGUUACAAGAAGAAAACGACAAUUUGGUUGAAAAGGUGAUAAAACGCAAUAGUUUGAGCAUGUUUUCGGUAAACAUUCAAGUUUUGAGAUUCUAAAUGGAUGUUUGUAACAUUGUAGAAGAAAGAAUCGUGUGUAUCUCUUUUUUCUUCAUUCCAUCUGUUGUUCGGUUUAUAUUUAGAUAAGAUACAAUAGUUUCUUUUUAGAUUCAGAUAUAAUUUGUGCUAGAUUAUAUAUAAUUCUAGCUUAACAUUCUCAUGCGAAUGUUUAUAAUUUGGCUGAAUGCAGAUAACAUGGACUUUUUUUCAUUAUUAAAGCUGAUUUUGUUUCUAGACAUUCAUUAAUUGAAAAAAUUGUGUAUAUAUCCUCUGCAGGUUCGACUUGCAGAAGAGAAGUUUGAGGAAUCUGAAUCAAGAGUCAGGCAACUAGAACAACAGGUAAUACUUUUGAGGACUGGCUAUAGUGUCCAUCUCCGGCAAUGUUUGUCUCUUUGUUAACAAGCAAACCAUUAGGAAUGUGCUACUACAAUAUUUUAGAUGUGGCUAUAAGUUUACAUUAGUAACCUUUUUAUCUAAAAUGAAAAAAAAAAAGUUUUAAUGCAGAAUCAUACACCUGAUGUUCAUAUCAACCAGGCAAACGAGAGGCACAUUUUUUUUUUACAACGGUUAUUUGUGCAAGUAAAUAUGAUUUAGAAGUGUGUCAUCUCCGGUUAGAAAAAUUAUAGGGAUCAAUAAGUUGUUUUUGACAUUCACGAUUUCAUAUAACAUAUAACAUGUUUUUGUACAAUGGUAUUUUAACAAUUUUUUUAAUAAUUUUUUGAUAAUAAAUUUUGUAUUAUUAUUUUAUUAAUUUUCACAAGUUAUGCAUGUUAAAAAUAAAAUAAAUUUAAUUAAUAUUUUAUUAAUAUGUUAAAAGUUGUACAUGGUACAGACAAUAUUUAAUUAUUUUGUUUAAAUCGAAGUCAUGCAUUAUGAAUAUGAUUAAGUUGUUUUAUUUUUAAACUGAAAUCGCAUAAAUAUGACUUCAGUUAUUUUAUUUAAAUAUGUUGUAUUUGUAUAUAUAACUUCAAAUUAAAAAAAAAUAACUGAAAUCAUUCUCAUUUUAAAUAAAAAGUUGGAAAUUGUCAUUGUUAUAUAUAAAAAUUUUAACAGAAAAUUAUUCAAAUUAAAUACAUUUUCAACAUUUUUAUGAAAGAAAACAACCAUCAUCCUUUUUCUUUUAAAAAAAAAAAUUCAUGUGUUAUAUUCUUUAAGGAAUUACGACUAAAUGGUAAAAAUAAAAAUCCUCUAAUAUGCUAAUAAAUAACUAAGAAAAAUCAAAUUUGUAAUUCGUUGACAGAUUUUAUGGAUAAUUAUCACUUCUUGGAUGUAGAAUUGUAAUUUAAAAAAUAUUUUUUGACACAUCUAAAUUUUUUACAUUCAUUUGACAUUAUCUUUACUUACUUUUUACUCUCUUCUUUCUUAAAAAACUACAAAAAAUUAUAUUUUUUAAAUUAUUUUAUCCUUAUAUUUCGUGUCAAAUGAGUGUAAAAGUUUGUCAUGAUAUUAUUAGUCUUGUAAUUUUAUCAGUCUUCCAAACGCACCUACUUCUGCCCGUUUGAUCUUUAGAUAGAUAUACUAGUAAUAUAUUAUUUUAUUCUAAUUUAAUUGCAUUAUUAGUGGAAUUUUCUAUUGACAUUUAAUACAACUAGUUUUCUUGAGGUAGGCGUCCACAAUUUUGAAUUGCAUGGUGGGAUUCAUGACCAUUAGUAAAGAAAGACUCUUACAUUCGCAUCAUCUCAUGUUUCUAUGUCUGUAUCGCUGUAUGGUUCUACUGGUCAGAGAGCAUCAAAGACUACUAAUUAUAAUAGUCUUGCACAUCCUUUCGUAUAGGUUGCUAAUCUUGGCGAAGGUGUAACUAUGGAGGCUCGCCUUUUGGCCAGGUAAGUGGUAUGCUGGCGAAGGUGUACCUAAUAAAUUCUCUCCUUACAAAUUAUACACUUGGAUACAAUUUUAGAUCAUGAAAGCAGGUACCAAGAAAUAUGAGUUAGUAUAGAAAAAGAGAAUUGAGAAACAACUUAUGGACCCUACUCAAAUAAUAACGGAUCUCAUUUUGGCAUCUUCUCCAAAUCAAACUAACAUGAGAGCAUUUUGAUAACUUCAACACUGGUGGUUUGCCUUAAAUUUAACUCCACUUACCAUUUAGAUAUGAUUUAAAAUAAGAGCGUUGGUUUCCACUUAUAAUUUUCCUAAGUUUUUUUUUUCAUUAAUCAUUUUAUUUAUUCAUUAAUGAUUAUUUUUCUACAAUAAACUUAACAUUCACAAUUUAUUGAAUCCAUUUUGAAAGAUAGAAGCUUUUUCUUGAACAGUGUAAGUGGAUAGAAUGCAUUAAACAAAUUUAUAAUGAGUCAACUAUGUUUUAAGAAGGAGAUAAUGCACAGAAACACAUUCAUUGGGAUGAUGAUGUAACUUUUGUUAGUCUAUGUAUGCAUAUGUAUUCUCUUUGGCUGACUAAAACGAAGAAAUUCAUAUAAAUUCAAUGUGAGGUGUCCUUCAAGAAAAUUACCUACCACAGCUGAAAAAAUAGACUAGAUUAACAAAAAGAUACAGUCAAAUCAAGAUUUUAUUUUUUUUCGUUAAGUUGUACAAUAUAAUCUUAAGUGAUCGGGUAAGUUCUCUUUCAUCACUAUUGUUCGUUUUGUUCUUCAGGAAAGAGGCAGCACUGCAGCAAAGAGAGGUUUAUCCUACUUUCCUUCCCUGUCUAAAAUUUUACUUUGAACCUUUAGAAAUUAUUCUUAUAAUUCUCACAAUUCUUAGAACUUAUUAAGAGAGAGUUUCUUAUUUAAAGACAGCAUUUUAAUAGUAAUAAAUUGCUAAAAAUUAUUCCAAUAACGAAGUUGCAUAAAAGCAGAUUCGUAAGUUUAUGAACCUCUUUUUUUAUCAUUGGAGUAAAGCUUUUAUAAUUAACUUAAGAGAAUAAAAUACCACCAACCGUAAUUCUUUUUACACAUAUUUUACUAGGCGAUCCGAGCCAAUUUCACUGACAUGGAAAAUCAAUACACUGAACAUCUUAUUGUGUUUAAUGUAUGUAUAUAUAUGGAAACGUGUCGGGAACACGUGCAUGCGGAAGUCAUGUCAUUGUGACCCAAAUUUCUCAUUAAAGUGAAAUUAGGAAGUCGAAUGAUGAAUAUCUUCCCAUUUUCAGGCCGCUCUGAAAAAUGCUUCAAAGAAGCUUGAAGGUUUUCAAGCGUCGGAUGCUGAGGUAUCCAGCAAUUUACCUUGUACGUUUCAUAUUACUGCUUUCAAAUCUGCUAUUUGAAUGCGUGGGGAAUAUUUUGUUUAUAGAAUUCAAUUUAAACUUCUCAUAUUUGGCCUAAGGACGAGGCGACGGUUGCUUUGGAAAAGCUACGGCUUAUGACUCAACGAAUGAUACUCAACGCGGAAGAAAUGGUAGGUUUAAUGUUAAUCGUAAUGUGUUUCGUUUUAAUUUUAAUAGCCUUCUGCGUUGCUAUGUAGUGGCUUUCCGUUUUGUUUCGCAGGAAGAGGUUGCUUUAAAGAGGUGUUGGCUAGCUCGGUAUUGGGGUUUAUGCGUUAAACAUGGUAUGGUCAUCUCACCAUUUGUAUCAUUUACUUUUGUUUAAAGUCAGAAUGAACAUUUUAAAAUUGAUGGUUUCUGUGUGUGGUGACUCAAAUUUAUUCUACAUAUAUAGUUUCACGUUUUUUUUUACCAAAAAUAAAUAAAUAGAAAGAAUGAAUUCAAUUGGGUUGUUUGGUGUGUGUGUGUGUAUAUAUAUAUAUAUAUAUAUAUAUAUAUAUAUAUAUAUAUAUAUAUAUAUAUAUAUAUAUAUAUAUAGACACAUAUAAAGGUGAAAUUUCAAAAUAAUUAAUAUCUGUAUUUUUUUUAAAUUAAAAUAAUAAAUUACAUAAAUUAAAAAUUAUUUUAAAAAAUUAUAGGUGUUGAGGAAGUACUAUUCCAAAAACUUCUUAAUAGUAAAAAAAUCAAUAACUAACAAGAUUAAAAAUUAAUCUAUUCUAAAAUCUAAAUAUUAUACAGUUCCAUUUUGAAGCUAGCUUUAACAAAACAAAAAUAAAUGCAAUAUAAAAAGAAUAUAAAACAAAAUUAUUUUAGUUCAGCCAAAAUUGGGCAAUUAAAUUUGUGGAUUUUGUAUACAAAAUAACAUGCAACUUCAUCUUAACGAACUUACUUUCUACUUAGGAUUAACUAUGCUUUUUUAUUCAAAGAAAAAAUAGGGAGAAUAAAAGUACAUUGAUGGCACUUAAAUAUAUGCCAGGUAUUCAUGCGGAUAUUGCUGAAGCAAAAUACAAAUACUGGUCUAUGUUCGCCCCGAAUCCCGUUGAAGUUGUAUUAGCAGCAGGAGAGAAAGCUAAAGCGGAAGCAGGUAACAUUAAUUACUUUCGAAUUUCUCGUGUUCCCUUUUUAAGUUUUUCCACCGUAUCUCUUGAAAAUAAAUUCGGGUUAUUAAAUUUCCGUGAGUUUUAUUCUACAUGGUAGACCUCGAUGUAGAGGAUACAGAAAAUCGACGUGAUAUAAAGGAACUUUCAGGAGAGGGAAACAUUGAGAACAUGCUUUUUGUCGAGCAAGGAUUGCGACAAUUGGCUUCACUAAAGGUUUCUAUUGUAUCCUUAUUGCUUCAAAUGUAGUAGAUAAUGCAAUACUGAAAUGUUUUUUCGCCUGCAUAUACAAUGUUUUGUAUUAUUCUGUGAGAUGUUAACUCAUUAGCAAUAAUCUACUAAUUAAGGUCGUCAGAAUAAGGAGUAAUUGCUCUAGGUCCGAAAUUAAAUCUAUUUGUUACUAUUUUACAAUUAAAAAUCAUACUAUUAAAAAAGGUAUCUUUAGUGAAAUUUUCAUUUUAUUAACACAGAUUUUUUUAAUAUACAUGUGAUCUUUUUACUAAAUUUAAAAUAUAUUAGUAUAAUAAUAAAUAAACAAUGAACUGGUAAAAAAUUAAUCUGUGUCGUGUGAAAAUUCUUCUUUCAGUCUAGAACACAGAAUGGAUCGAAUGUAUGAUAAUGUGUAAGCAAGCGCGUGUUUAGUUACUAUCAUUCCUAUCUUCUCUGGAAGAGUGUGCUAACAUAAGGUGCUAGAAUCAGGUGUCAAAAAGACGUAAAACUAAAGUGUUGUUUGAUUACUAUUAUCAAAGAAAUAAAAUAAAGUAAGAAUGGAUAAUUUGGACAUUGAAAAUGUAUGAAAUUUUUAAUUUAAUAAUAAAAUUUAAAUUACUAGUCUAUACGUAAAUUUUUUUUCUAGGUAAAUUUUAUUUUUACCAUCCAUCUUGUGCACGGUUUUCGGUAAGUUGGGUCUUUAUUGAAUAGAAACAUAUAGGCUUUUAAUCGCUUCACCAAGGAAUUUAAAAUUUAGAAGUACCCUUCUAUCCAUAUUUUUAACUUUUGUCGGAAAGUAAUUUUAGAAAUACUUUGUUUCUUUUAUUGAUACUAAUUGUGUUAUUUAGUGAAAAGACUACUAACAGCCAUACUAUUUGUAGAGCUAAUUUUGCCAACAACAUUGCACUUAUGACAUUUAAUUCAUUUGUUAACAUCUUAUUUUGACUGCUAAAAAAAUUAUUCUAUCUAUGACCUGAUUUAUUCUCCAUGACUGUUUUGAAGGUAGAGGAAGCAUUGGCGUUUGUAUUGGCUCAACAUAGGCGACCAAAUGUGUUAAGAUUUGGCUUUUCAGGUGCCCGAUUCAAUAGUAUUCACUCUAAUUUUAUAAUUUGUUUAGUACAUUCUCAUCAUCUUAUUUGAUAUCGUAAACAUUAAUUUGUCUCCAUUAUUCAUUCAACGUUUAUCUCGUUUUACAUAUGCACAUGUCAAAAGCAUUUCAUAAAAAUCGAAGAGAGACAUAGGAAUGUUAUUGCGAAGUUGUUGUCGGAAGAAAAAAAAGACGUUAGCUUUUUCCGCAAAUGCUGUUGUCAUGUCAUUUAGCUUCUGUUAUAAAUUUUGCUUAUGAAAUUAUGAAAGAUGAAGCUUACAGAUAACAUGCCUUUUUUUUUAAUGAAGGAUUCAAAUUUAGUUUUUAAAGUGAAAAUUUAAUGGCAGAAUAUUGUUGUCUGAAAUAACUUUAGUUUUUGUGACUAUAAAUUAGUUUUGGUCCUAUAAAAUUUUAUUUUACAAUUCCUACUGUUCAUUCUUGAAAUGACAAUUCAUUGAAAACCAUCUUUGAUAUUAAAUAAAAUUAUUUAAUAUAAAUAUAAAUAUCUUUUAAUACAAUAGGGAUAUCAUAAAUUUACAGUUGUGUCAAGGCUAAUAACAAUAAAUAUAUAUGAAGAGACUUAAAACUUAUUUAAUAUAUAUAUAUUUGUGUGUACAUUUUCUAUUUCUCUUUUUAUGCUUGUUCUAAUUGGUGUAAGUUUUUCUUAGUUAGCAAAAAAUUACAUUACAUUUAAAUCCAUGUACAAAAUAUAUAUAACAAAAGCCUUGCUGAAGGCGUACUCCCUCUCAUAGUGUAGAGCAUUGUUUGUUCAUUGUCCUUAAUACUCGUCAUAGAAAUUUUGUUUGCUAAAUAGGAAAUAAAAGAUGGAAGAGAAUCCGUAUAAUCAUAUUGUUAAGAGUUAUUUAAAUCCACAUAUUCAUUUACUCAAAGAUUGAUAUAUGAAAGUUCUGACUCUUUCUUAUUUUUUUUGGUGUAGAUGACCUAAAACUACCAGUUGAAGGGCAGUGUGAUGCAUUUGGUAAGUUUUUUGGAUUUCAGAUUCCAUUUUCCCCAAAAUGACGUGUUAAAAAGCUGAAACUUAAUGCUAUAGUGGAGUUAUAAUGUUAGAUGGCAGUAGUAACUGAACCCUGAUUUGAAACUUUUGAAGUAGAAUAACUUUAGGACUUUGAUUUAGUUUACUGUAUUUUUUUUCUUUUCAAAUAUGAGAUAUGGAGUAUGUUAAGUGAGAAUUAUAGAGGUGAGAUGCAUACAUAGUCUUCACCAUUCAAUCUGAUGGUUACAUGUUUUGUCUACCUUAUACCUUAUCAUCCUCACCACAACUUGCUCGUCUGUAGCUUUAUUAUUUAUUUUGUUUAAUUGGAUUGAUGUUAUUUAUGUAUAAAUAUUUUAUUUUCAGAUUUGAGUAAGGAGGAGGCUGAAGAUGUAUCUUUUAAACAGGUAUUUAGCAUUUUCUAAGUAAGUGAAUAAAAAAAAAGGAGAGAUUUCAUAUUUUUUUUAAGAUUGUUGUAAAUUAAUAGAAGAAUGAUAAAUUAAUAUAAUAUCCUUUUAAAAAAUCAUACUUUUAUAGCAUUUAUUUUCCUAACUGUUCACUUCAUUCUCAUUUUGAGUAUACAUGGAGUCUUAUCAAUCAUGUUUGUUUAGGCUUGGCUUGCUUACAUUUGGAGGAGAGCAAAAAAUCAUGAAAUAGAGCCUGACAUAGCAUACGAGCGUUUGCAGUUUUGGAUCAAUCAUAACUCAAAGAUUCCUAAUUCACAAGAUGCCGUUGACGGUAUUGUCCACCCCUUUCCUACUUAUCAGUUGUAAUUUUUACCUGCAACAACCCUAUUAAACUUUUCGUGAAAAUUAAGUUUUUGCUAUUAUAGUUCUGCACAGUACUGUCACUUUUAUGGUAUAUUUUAGCAUGUAAUAAAAAAAACAGUAUUAUUAUACGAAGAUAUAACUGUUAGAAAUCUUAUAUCACAUGUUAGACAUAAAAUCAUUUUAUAUAUAUUAUGUUACCCUAAUCUUAUAAGUCGGUUACGAUUAAAAUCUACUUUCUAAUAUGAUAUCAGAGUCAUUAUUAAAAUUUAUUCUAACGAUAUUUGUUGUUUGUUGGACAUAUUGUUCUACCCCGUUGAAUUAGACUUAAAGUUCACUUUUUAACAAUAACCAUAAGUUCAUUUUUUAUAUAUUUUGCUAACUUUGGUGAUUGAAAGGAGUUCAUUGAGAAGAUAUAACACUAAUGAAGAUCUAAAUCUAAUCACAUAUAAACACUAACGAAGAUCACAUAGGAAUUGACUCUACUAUUUAUCCAAAACAUUAAAAUAAUAAAUUAAUGAAUUUUUUACCUUUAUAUAAUAUUCUUCUUUCUUAUUUUCAUAUCAUAUGAAUCUAAGACUUGCAUCCCCGACAGAUUGCAGCAGCUAAAAGAUCCACUGUUAUCAUUCUAUUUUUUGUUAGUAUGUAUUAAGUGAAUUAUAAUCUGAGUAAUGAUACUUUCACAGGCAACAAACUUUUACGUUCAUUUAAUAUUAUCUUUUUUUUUUAUAUAUAUACAAAAAAUUGUGUACCUUGUGUGAGAGUAUCACUGCUGUGUUAUAAACCUUCUCUUGCAAAUAUAUGUCAAUGUCCUACUUUAUCGAUCUUAGUACUUUAUUCCUUUUUGGCAGUUGAACGUGGACUUGCCGAAAUCAGAAGGUUGGAUAUUGAAACGCAACUAUGGGAUGAAUCACGCAGAGAGCUGGAGCAAGAUGCUGACAACUCCAACGUGCCCGGUCGGUCAGACUUUUAAUAUAUUUAAAUUAGGUUACAACAUUUACUUUUUCACAUUUUUAAAUGGGUUUUGUAAUUUAGUUAAUCAAGAGUUGGAGUAAAAUAGGCUUUAAUUUUCACUGUAUCAUAUUUUACAAAACAAUGUUAUCAAUUAUUAUGAUAAUUUUAAAAAAUUAUAAUAGAUUCGAUUUAUAUUAAUUUUGAAUCCUGAAAUACUUUUCGGAAAGGCUAUUCCAGAACACAAUUUUAAAUACAUUCUAAAAUUUUUAGAAAGGUAUUUCCCAGUUUAACGACUUCCAAAAACAGCCUUAAAAGAAAAGUUUUUUUGAAAUGAUUAUUCCGAAAGAUAAUUUUGAAUUUGGAAAUACAUUUAAGAAUAGUUACUCUAGAAUAUAAAAAUAAAUAAGUUAUGGAAUUUACCGUUUUGGAAGUCAUUUUCGAAUAUGGAAAUAUCUCCCAAACAUCCAAUUUGAAAUGUAUUUUCUUACGCAUUUCAGAUUAAGUGUUUCUGAAAUACCUUUCGGAGCACCAAAUCCAUAAAAUAUUAAAAAUAAAGAGAUGUGAGGAUUUUUAUUUUUAUUUGGUUUAAACCAUUUAGUUGUCCCUAUUUUUGGGAAGUUUUCCCAUUUUGAUCCCGUCUUAUUAGAAUCACCAAUUGAGUCCCUAUAACUGUUAAUUUCAAUCAAUUAAGCCCCUGCCGUUAAAUUUAGUUAACGGGGUUAACUCUCUUUUGCACAGCUGGAAGGAUGACCGGUUAAUUUCUGUAAACGUGGCCUAUUUAGAGUUGAAACGUGGCAUGAAUUAGAGUUGAAAUUGAUUGAAAUUAGCACUUAUGGGACUUAAUUCAUGCCACAUUUCAACUCUAAAUAGGCCACGUUUAUAGAAAUUAACAGGUCAUCCUCCCAGCUGUACAAAAAAGUUAAUCUCGUUAACUAAAUUUAACGGCAGGGGCUUAAUUGAUUGAAAUUAGCACUUAUAGGGACUCAAUUGGAGAUUCGAAUAAGACAAGGAUCAAAAUGGGAAAACCUCCCGAAAAUAGGGACAACUAAAUGGUUUAAACCUUUUUAUUUUAAUAAGAUGUAAUUUGGGACUUACAACUUUUGGCAGUGAAGAAAAAAAAGGAAGGUGUAAGCACCCUAUGAUUCAAACCAAAUUUACCCACAUUGAUGCAACAAUAUUAAUCUCCUUGCGAUUUCCCUCAAAAUCUCAUUCACUGGAGAUUUUAGCUUUAUUUAUGGGUCAUGUCGAUCUUCUUUUAAAACAAUUUCGUUGACAUUUUUGUCAUACAAUUCAUUACAUCAACACGUCCUUACUAUAUAUCAAUAUAGUUUUCAUCUUGAUCCUUCAUAAUCCAAAAAACAAAAAAAUUAGGGUACAAGUAGUCCUCUAUGAAAACUUUAUCUUGUUGAUUUUCUUUCUUUAUCCCCAUGAAUAACAUCAAUUGUUGAGUUUGGACAUUAUAGAAACACAAGAACAAAAAAAAUGAAAUUAAAUACUGCAAAAUAUUUUAUACACAUAAAAAUCACAUAUCUCAUAGCAUACUCUAAAAGAGUUUAACAUGAUUAUAUGACAACAAUUAUGAAAACAGAAAAAGAAUACGAUAUAAAAAAUAAUCAUGAUGGCAAUAGGGUGAAAUGAAAACGAGUUUUAUUAUCUCACACACACAUAUAAAGGAAAUAUCAAUCCUCCUAUUCAUAGACAUAUCUAACGGAUAUAUGUUCGUAUCGUUUUUAAUACUAUUUCAAUAUCAAUUGAUUAUUUUUUACAUAAAAAGAAUUACGGCAAAAAAAAAACAUAAUAUUAUAUUCAAUAUCAAAAUUAUGUAUUAUUAUUUUUCUAAAAUCAAGCAUUUUUAAAAAGUUAUAAUCAUAAUUGUAUAUAUCAAAUUAAAGUAUAAGAUAAUUGCCUUAUGCCUUUAUAAAUAUAAGGUAUUAAUGAUUAAUUAUUGGGUUUGAUUGUCUAAAAAUAUUUUGCGUUAAAAGUCCCAUAAAUAUAUGAUCCACGUUUAGGUACAAUCAUCUUGAUCUAUCCUAAUAAAAAUAUAUACCUCUUUAUCAAACAUAUAUAACUUGAACGUGAGUGUCUUCUGUAGGUCAACCACCACUCGGAAAGGAUUACUUGAAGAGUUGGACGAUCGGAGCAUAGCAAGGAAGGACGACCGACCCUAGACAAAUGUAAUCGAAAUAGUCCUCUUUAUAGCAUCUCGCAAUCUUUUAAAGAUUUGCGAUGAUUUAUAACGAAAAGUCUUGUACGCCCCUCUACUAUUGCUGCUCAUUUGAGGAGUUUGCCAUGUGCCUCGCCAUGCUUUUGCAGCGUAGUGCAGUCUCCCCAGCUGGCGAGAUUCUCUGGUUGAAGACAUGUGGUUCCGGUGAAGACGAAGACAGGGCAUGAGGAAGAAGACGCUUGAUGAUGACGACACAAGCAGAGACGAAGGUUGAAGCAGAUGUAUUCGGAUCUAGUAAAAAGCAUAUCCGGAUAAGAUUUUCCAUGAAUUUGCGAAGCAAGCGUAUCCGGAUACAUGUUUAGCGUAUCUGGAUCCACGUUUUCCAUUAUUUUUCGAAGGAAGGGUAUCCGGAUACAGGUUUCGCGUAUCCGGAUCUAUGAGACAUUUUUCUUCGUAUCCGAUUCUUUGGAUGACAGCUCUGUCUUCUUUUCGGUUAUAGUCAACCCUUCGCCAUACCUUCAUUCCUUACUCCAUCGCAACAAGUGGGUUAGCUGAAGUGUGUCAAGCUUCGUGCAUGGGUGAUGCGGUUAUCAUCUUCCUCGCGUCGCUGUCAAACGUGUACAUCCCCCAUGGAAGCUAUGGUGACUUCGGGUUGAGGAGAAUGACGCAGAGGUGGAAGUGUGUUCUUACGAGCAGCAUAGAGACCUAGACCAAAUGAACAGUCAAGGAAGGGAGGAGGGAGAAGAGGUACAUGUCUACUAUGGAGAAGAAGAAGAAGGGUAGAGGAGAGGUUGAUGGAGAUGAAGGCUUCAUUUUAGAACAUUAUAAUUUUUUUUAUAAUUAAAAAUUAAUUUUAAUAAUUAUUAAUAAAUUUGCUCUUUACUUUUAUAUAUACAAAAAUGAUAUUUUGACACGCCAAUUUAUUUAUUUUUGAAAUUGAAAUGACAUGAUGGGUCCCCCCUUUUUAAAUAUUUUUUAAAAGAAAAAGGGUAAUUUUGAAAGAAAAAAAUAAAGAAAACAGUGUCAUUUGAAUGUAAUUGACAUGUGUAAUUGUAUCAACACUCUUAUAUAACAUUAAAAAAUAACAUAUUUUUUACUUUAAUAACUAAUUAGGGAUAUUUUGGUAAUUUUCAAUUUCUACCAAUUAAACUAAUUUUUUAAAUCUGUCACAUCAAUCAAAUCUUACAUUAAUUAACAAACUUUACCCUCAAAUCCAUUCUCAAUUAUCCACAAAUCCAGUCAAAAAACAAUAAAAAAUUAUCCUCAAAUUCACUCAAAUUAUUUUUUCCAAAUUAUUUCUCCUAAAUCUUACAAAAAGAACACAGCUGUAGUGAUGAUAGAAAGCUAUGAAUUUUCUUGUUAGAACAUUAAUAUCCAGACCAACUACAUUAAAUUUUAUUCACAACAAAUUUGUGGUCAUCUACUGAAAUUUUAAAGAUAAUUGGAAUUAGAUAUGUCACAAAAAUUUUAUGAUGUUAAGAGGAAGACAUAUAAUUAAGAAAAAAUUAAGAUUGUUUUGAUAAACAAAUUAAUUAUAAAAUAUUUAUUUUCACUCGUUUAUGUAAAUAUUUAAAAUAUUUAAAAAUAUAAAAAUUCAUAUUGAUUAAUAUAAAAGUACACAUUGAUAAAACUGGGUGAAAUAUUAGAGUCUAACCUAAGAUCUUAAUCUUAAUGAUAGGAAUUAUAAGAAAUUUAUAUUGAAUUUACGAUGCGAGUUUUUAAAAAAUUAAAAAAAAUCAAUAAUAUUAUUAUUAAAGGAAAUUUACACGAGAGUUUAAAAAAUAAUAUAACACCACGUGACACAUUUAACAUAAAAUAACUGAUGAAAAAUUUUAUAAAGUCUUUAAGGCUCUUUAAAAAUUAUAUAAAAAUUAAAAUAGUCCUAGUGAGCACAAUUAAAAUGAAAUAGAUGUACAAAUUUUUUAAUCAAAAUUUUGCAAUAUAUAUCUUCUGGAAGCAUCUAAAAUGUAAAGUUGUUAAUUAUUAAAUUCUAAGAAUUAGAUUUUGUAAAACAUAAUGAUAGUUAAGAAUAAUGUUAUAUUACCAUAAAUUUUAAAAAUAAAAAUAUUUAAUUACAAUAAUUAAAUAUUUACAAAUUUGUAAAAGUUAAAAUAUAAAUAAAAAAUAGAAAAAUACGUAAUAAAACAAAAUCCUCCAAAUUUUAGAGAGAUAAGGUCAAGAGGUGGAUGGUUAGGUGAGUGAUAUACUGCAACGUGUUACCUGUGUUAAGUCCCAACACGCCUCAAUGGCUAUAAAUAAAACAAAAAGACCUUACUGUUUCUAUCAUCACUCUCCUUCUGCUACUUCUAGACUCUUCUUCUCUUCCCACACUUCUUCCUUGGGGUGCCCUGAGGUAUGCAUGCUAUUUUCUCUCUCUUUUCUUCAUCUCUUUAUCAAUUUGUGUCCGAUUAUUGUUCUUCAACAUCUCUUCCAUGUUCUCUCUCAAUAUUCUGGAUUCCUGAUUUUUGUUUCUGGUUAUUGUUCUUCGACAUUCCUUCAAUUUCCUCUUUCAGAAUACUCGAUUGUUGUUUCUGAUUACUUUUCCUCUCAAAUCUCUAUCUCUCUUUUUUGUAUUUACUCUCACUCGUGCACAGAUCGAUUACGUUAUGUUAAACGCUGUUGACCGCAUAUUUUUUACUUAUUUUUUUAUUUUUUUAAUGUCCUUUGGUUAAUUUGGACGAAGGAAGAGUUGAAAAGCGUAUCUGUUAAUCUCCUGGCUUCGGAUUCGAUUUUAGAAAUGAAAUUAGUUUUAGGAAUUUUCUAUGUUUUUUGUUUGAACUCGUGCUAUUACUAUGAGAUAAGGAAGGAUUUGUGUUCGUUGUAGAUCUGUCCGUUUUGUUUAGCGUUGGCAGACAGAUCUACUGAAUAGGUAGCUUGUUUCUGUAAUUGGACAUUGAGGUUAUGUUUUUUUUGUCGUGAUACUCUAUUUUCUUGUGGUCAACACAAUAUUUUCUUUCUAUGUUUGGAACUAACAUAAAAGGCUUCAUCAAGUGAAUUUAAUUGUACUUGGAUCGGAAGUUUUGAAGAUUUUGAAAUGUCUUUUACUGUUUAGUUUGUCGUGUUACACAGCUGACUUUGUUGUGUGGGCACAUCAGUCGUGGAUUUUUAUCUUUUCGAUUCUGACCAUUUGAAUAUGAUCUACUGGUCUAUAUUUACUGCUCUUAUUUUACCAUAAUUACUACUAGUUGUAACUCUGGAUGAGAGAGAUGCCUUCUUAUUUUAUUUCACCACCAUGAUAACCAAGACACUGUAUGUGCACACGUCACGCAUGUUGAUUCUAUGAGCUUGUACAUGUAUUGUCUGUUUUAUCUGAAAUGUCUGCUUCGUUGUUCAGAUCACAUUGUGCAAUGGUGAAGGCUGUGGCAGUUCUUGGCAGCAGUGAGGGUGUCACUGGAACUGUCUACUUCAGUCAGGACGGAAAUGGUGAGUCUCAACAGUGAGCAUAACCCUCAUCGUUAAUAAACUUCACAAUAUGCAUUUAUUAAGGAGGAAAAUAAUAAAUUAAGAUGAAUCAAGCCUCUCUAUUAGGAAAAAUUUAAAUUAUGACUUUUAUUACAAAAGUGCAUAUUUUGAUGGUAUAUUAUGACAUGAAACUUUUUUCUUUUUCUGUACUAACCAUUGAGCCAAAUCAAGUAAUAUAUAUUGUCAAUUGUGCAGGUCCAACAACUGUAACUGGCACUCUUGCUGGUCUUAAGCCUGGUCACCAUGGCUUCCAUGUCCAUGCCUUGGGGGACACUACCAAUGGUUGCCUUUCAACUGGUAUAGUCUUUGGACAAUAACCCGAAUAAAUUUUUAAUUCUGUUGGACAUUAAUGAACUGGAACGACACUUGAAUUGAAAGCAAUGAACAUUUAUAUGCGAGAUUCUUCAAAGUUUGAAGCAAUAAAAUCUAUUAUAAAGCAGCUGGAUUAGAUUAAAAUCCUGCCACUUAGUAACAUAUUAGAAGACUUAAUUUUUAUUUUCCCCCAUUUUUACAGGACCACAUUUCAAUCCUAAUAACAAGGAGCAUGGUGCCCCCGAGGAUGAGAAUCGCCAUGCUGGUGAUCUAGGGAAUGUAAAUGUUGGUGAUGAUGGUAUGAUCGAUAUGAUUUUUUCCUGUCUCAUUUAUUUGAUUUGUGCUGAAUCCUAUCAUUCCAAGAUAGAUAAUAAUGCUACUUUUCUGACUCGAAUUCUUAAAGUUCUGAUUAUUUUUAUAAUACCGAUGUUUAAUAAUAGUAAUCUUUUACGCAUUACACGGAUGUAAUUAAUAGUUAACAAGCAAUCUGGCGGUUUUAUCAGAAACUUUUCCAUUUUUUGAACAAAUGGCUGGUAAUCAAGAUUACUUUCUUUCUGUUUUGGUGAUAGUCUAUCUCUGAAAGAACUUCUCAUUUUUAAUUUUUUAUACAUACCGCAUGCUUGUUUGGUCCUUAUUUUGAAAUGGAUUACUCUCGUUGUCUAACCCAGGUACCGUCACCUUCAGUAUUACUGACAGUCAGGUAUGUUAUUCAUCUCCUGAUCAAAUUCUCUGAUUAUUUCUUCUAUGUUGAGAGUUGAUUGACACCAUGAGAAGCUUCAGUUUUUAAUGAGUUAUUGAAUGUGCACAGAUUCCUCUCACUGGACCAAACUCCAUCAUUGGGAGAGCUGUUGUUGUCCAUGCUGAUCCUGAUGAUCUUGGGAAAGGUAUUCACUAAUCUUUUUUACACUUUGCCAUCUUUGGUAUCUGAGGCAUCGGUCAUCAAUCAUGACUUGUCACAUUCCGUCUUAAUUCGGUUGGAUUUGUAUCCUGUCGUGAUUUUGCCAUAUAAGUAGAAAAGUUAUUGUAAGUGUCACCAUCAUUUGCGGUUGGUUCAUCGAUUUAAAGUGUCUUCCUCUCGUUCAUUUUAUUUGCUAACAAACGAUGAUCUUGGUCAUUUCUCCUUCCUUGUAUACCAAAUCACAGCUAUUCAUUAUUCUGUUAAAAAGCGUUCGUUGUUUUUCGGUUUACUGCAUGUUAUAGUUCCUCCUCCUUUUGUGUAGGUGGUCAUGAGCUUAGCAAGUCUACUGGAAAUGCUGGUGGCAGAGUAGCAUGUGGUAAGCAGAGACUGUGAUGUUAAAAAUACCGUAUUUCUGAUAUUCCUUAUUACCCAUGCAAUAUCAAUGGUAGAUGUGGUAAACAGGUUUACAUACAUCUUUAUAGAUACUAUCAUGUAUCAACCAAUAACAUAUAAUUUGACAGCCUUUGCUAAAAUGUCUGCUGUCUCAAUCUUUGUUUUCACUGUCUCAUGGCUCCU
rnacentral:lncRNA from 1 species